CAUCCCUCCAAGGGCAGCCCCGAAGCACGCUCUCAAUGCUUUUGAGACACCUCCCAAGCGUCGCAAAACUAUAAUGGAUAUUGUUGAGGACGUUCGCAGACUAGACAGAGUUAUCAUAGAACUCCAGUCCUCGAUUAAUUCCCUCACUAGGCAGCUCUCUAACCACAACACUGUUAUACUAGGCCUUAGGCAUGAUCUUGCCAGUGCCAACAAGAAGAUUAAGGAAUUAGAGUGUCGCUAAGUUAUCUAGAUUAGACCUUGAGGCAAAUGCAUCUUAGUUAUCUAUCUUUAAAUUCGGUUUAGGUUUACUAUUAUCAUCAGUUUGCUAUCAGUUUACUACAAGUAUUUUGUAAUAAAUGCCUCAAGGUUAAUAAAGAGUAUUAUUAUUAUUAUGUCUUGUGUGUCUCUACUUUAUUUUUGUGCAAGAAAGCAGAAAACAAGUAUAGGGGAGAUCCCUCGACACGCCAAACACACUCCGACUACACCACUCCACGAUUGAGGUACACACUCUGCACACUUUACUUUACACAUACACAUAUCUUGAUUAUGCAAAAUACUGUUUCCGACAUGAUAAAUUAAGAAGAUUAAAAUAUUUCUAAUCAUGAUUAAUCUCACUCUGUGAUAUUUCCUAAAAACUUGUACCUAUUAUAAAAUCAUUUUUAAAAAAAAACCUAUGUUGCUUAAGACAGUAUGGAAUGUGAGAUGAUAGAGUAUGAGUUUCUUAUUCUUGAUAUCAUUGUUGCUUGGAGAAUUUAUUUCAAAAUUAAUUCUAGCUAACAUCCUUAGUGUUUUAUAUGCCUGAUAAAACUGAAAAUAUUAAUUAUAAUUAUAAAAGCUAUCUACUCUGUAUUGAGUUUGUUCAAAAUGAGUUAGACCCUUGUUGAGAGAUUUAUCAUGCUCCUAAGAUCAAGACAUUUAUUCAGAAAGAUUCACUCUUCCGAAGUAUUAUUGCAUUAGAGGCAUGGGCUAUGCAAAAAUAAAGAUAUUUCGAGAAAAUAAAAAAGGAGCAAGUGCUCGACAACCUCGCAGAAAAAAAAAUGGACAAGUGUCCGGCAGUAGAAUUAGGGGUACCUCGGUAUCCACUUAAAAAAAGAGAGAAAAAGAAAAUGAUAGCCCAUGGUCCCUCUAAUAAGCAAGCAAGAGUUGACAAAGAUUUUAAUUUCCAAAGUCUUUGAUCUAAGAGUAUGACAUUCCCCUCCUCGGAUCCCGUUUUGAUCAGGCAAUAAAUACAAAGUAAGUAUGCUUGAGAAUUUUUGCAAAUUAAAACAACCUCAGUGAGAUAUAUAAAAGAUAAUGAGUGAUCUGAGAGAACCUAUGAGGAUAAAAAGGUAUGCUAACUUUCUUUCAAAAAUAUACAAAAACUCCAAGUGACAAGAUUGAGAAGAAAGGAUCUUUACUCUUAACUAUAUACUUCCCUGACUAUAGUACACAGUGGAAUUUUAACACCCUGCAGUUAUGAAAAUAAUGUUUUAAAAUAUUUUACCCCAAAUAUUGUUCUUAACCAUCCUUUUCUCGAGGACGAGUAAAAGCCUAAGUAUGGGGGUAUUUGUUGACGGUUCUUAAGUAUCAAUUUUAGUUAUCAAAUAAACAAGAGAAAUGACCAAUAUGCAACCAACACCUAGAAUUAGGGUUUGAUCUGACAGAAUUCCAUGAGUUUUGUUGUUUAUCUGUUUCUACAGGGGGUUAUCAGGAAAUAAGGAAGAAAGGCCCACAUGUCAGGAUUACAUAGAGAUAUCAACGCACCGGGCAAUUUUCUACCAUCUAGAAGACUCCAGAAGCCACGGGAAGAAAGCAGAGGCCGAAAGGGGCCAGGCCUAGGGUGUCCGCCCCCCUCUGGAUGCCAAUCAGGACUCUCUUCGCACAUGAUGUUCCACCGACCUAAAGGAUCAAGGAUAACGUAGUACCACAUCGCCUACCAACCCAAAAUUGCUUAGAGGAGGAUGACUAUAUAAGGAGAGCCCCCUGGCCCCUGGAGGAGACAAGAAGUUAUCAUAGAGUUGAGGGGUGCCCUCGAAGAAAAACCUCUUCUCUAAAUAAAAUUUCUUUUUAGGCUUAGCAAUCAAUGUAAGUAGAAAUAUAUCUUCUAGUUUCUACUAGAUUGAGAGAGAUAGAGUGGAGGUGUAGAUUGGAGGAAGCCUGACCUGUUGGUGUCUACUCCGAGCUUGUACCUGCGGGAUCAAGUUCUCCUAACCCGAGGCUUGCUCCUAGGAUUCUUCAGUAUUUCGACUUCUAAAUUCUAGUAAGUUCUUGUUUUAUUGUUCUUUUGGUUUAUGAGUUUACUUUAAUCUCUUCGCGUAGAGUUUAGAGUAAUCAUUGCUGGCGUAAACGUGGUGUUUAGGCUGGGGUACUCAUAGAUAUUCCCUGACUAGCUAGACCGUGGUAGUAGUGAGGAACGUGACAAUUCCGAGUUACCUUUGCAGACCAUAUCUCGUUAGCAGGAAGGAUAGGGUUUAUAGGUGCGGGUUGAACAUCCUUUGUGGUGUCUAGAUUCCGUUAGCCUCCCCAAUAGAACAGUAGAUCAUCCUUACCAAGGUUAGAAGGAGACUAUGGUUGUAGUCUUCUCUAUUUAUCACUCACAUCGAGAAACAUUCUUUGUUGCCUAAAGGGUUAGUAGUAAUAGACCGGGUUAGUCAGAUGCACUCUUUCUCCUAGUGGUAAAAAAAUAAAUACGAUAGUCUGGAUAACCUCCCGGAUGAAGUGCUCACCGAUAUCCGUGCGCUUGCGGAUCAAUUCCUUAUUGUGUUCCCAAAUAUCAACACCAUCAACAAGCUCCCCCAAGCUUAACCGUUGCUCGUCCCUGAGCAAAGAUGGACUCAAGAGUUUAUGCAGUGGUUUCAUGCCUUAAAAGUACACAUGCGUUCAAACAAGAUCUCAUCUCUGGGUUAGGGCAAACUGUUAAGAUUUAAACUUACUCAUUUUACCUUCCACCAUGGGGCUUGCAACCGUCACUUAUGUCUUGAGCAGUUAAAAGAUAGAACGGUCUAGUCAAGCGCCAUGUCUCUUGUUCUUUGAUUAACUAUAGCUCUGGAGUUUUUGUAGAUUUUCAAAUAAAACUCAGAGAUUCCUUGUAUGUCUCUCUCUAGUCUUUUUUGUGGUAUUUCUAGAUCCUUACCAAGGCAGUAAUGGUGUAUGCCUUCUCUCAAAGUAUAUGGUAUUUUUGGUAUGAGGCAUAGGGGUAUUGCCUUCUGUCUCACCCUACUCUAAUAAGGUUUUGAUAUCUGGAGCUCAUAGGUGGGAGACAGCUAAUACAUACUUACAAGACACUUAUUGCAUAGUUAAACCAUGGAUCUAGAAGAACAAGUCAAUAAAAAUCAAGAUGUGCAUGUGUGGCGAAUGAAUGGUGAUAAUGGUGAAAAUAAUGGUGAAAGUCUAAUUCUACUUUUGCUCUUUUGAGGGGGUACAUACCUUUCUUGCACUUGAGGCUUUUGAGGGGAAUGAGGCUCUCUAUAUUUUAUUUUUCUUUUCUCUCAGGUGGGUAUCUUGUACCCCUAAUUCUACUGUCGGACACUUUUCCAUUUUACCUCUCGUCUCACUUUUUCUCUUUUUUUUUAGGUUUCGGACACUUGGCCCUUUUUAUUUCCUCGUAUUCACUUUUUUUCAGAGCACUCACCCUCCUGGAAUAAUGUAGCAAGUGGUAGUAACCAAAAUAUCUCGAGCAUUUAUUUCACGGGGAAUAACAGGGAUAAGAUAAUGUUUUUGGCUAUUCUCUCCUAGAUAGGAGUAGAAUAAUUUUGGGUGAAUCUGGAUAUGGAAAUGAGUGGAUGUAUGUGGAUGCGUACUUCUUGAGUACAAGCAGCAUGUAUGAGUGAACGUGCAAGUGAAUCUUGAUUUUAACCGCAUGACAAGCUCCUAAGGGUCUAUACAGCUUGACCACACUCAAUGCUCGUAAGCAGUAAAAAAGGAAAUGUAUGGUUCAUAGUCUAAUAAGCUUGUAUAUAUGGCUGUGGUAGAAUUUUAAACUCUCAUCAUACAAGAACUCAUCAUGCAAUAUUUUAAAGAUUUUGAAAGAUAAAAUUCUCCAGAAUUCUAGCAUCUCUAGGAACAGAUAAACAGCAGCUCAACCUUCCCAUAUCAUAUCUGUUAACGACUUAGGCUUUUGAUCAGGUACUCUUCCCGCAAAUUCAGGUUUAGAGCAAGCUUUAAAUUAUAACAGUUAUGCCUAAACUUGAGAGAGAGCUCAAAUUUGAAAACUAGGUACUUGGUAGAGCAACUAUUUAUCAUAUCCAUGUAAGAGUUUAUCAUUGAACUUCAGUUUGGCAUAGACACCUUAUUUAUUUAUUUAGCAAACUAAGCAAAGAUAUAUAUAAGGACAAAAUGUUUAAUUGGGUUUUUAUGAUUAUGCUUUUUUUUAUUAUUUGAGUAAAGUAUAAAUAUGAAUAGAAACACUUAGCUGGAUAAAUGAGGGUGCUCUCCCCGAAGCUUGAUUUUAACGUAAUUUCUUCUGAUGUAGCUAGCAGGUGGCGUAGGUGUAUUUGAAUGUCGGCAGCACCCUGAUAGCGAUUAGGAUAUCCUCCGUCUGCUAGUCUUCCUUGAUCCUUGAAUUCUGUGGGGCUCAAAUAGACAACAAAGCUUUAUGGAACUGAUUAAGUGUUAGCAUAAAAUCUCUUAGCCUUUAUCAUGUUGAGCUUCCUCUAAUAAAUAUUACUCUCUUUAGUAGGAUCAUAAGUUUAUUUUUAUAUUUUCAUUUUUAUAGGAGAAGAAUAUAUUUAUUUUAUUUUUACGCCACCACAGUGAAUGGGUUUUAUGCCACGAGCAUACUCACAUGGGGCUUACUAUUUUUAACAUUUUUAUUUUCUUUUCAAGAUAGCAUGAUUAACUAACAAGCUAUUUAAGGAAAUUAAAUAAUUUAAGAAAAAGGGAAUGCAGAAAAGAUAAAUACGGAUAACUACCGAUUUUACCUUUCGGCGAGGGUUCAAUGUUUUAAGUCUUCUGAACAAGACUUCUCACCGUGUUCAUUCUUUAGGUGCGUCAUUUGAGUUAGGUGUGGACCUUGAUAUCUGCACCUCUUGAUACGGUGUCACCCAUGUUUUUCGUUUGCCUAGCAGUUCGAAGUGCGGCGUUGGCACCAUCCUCCUCAGUGGGUUUCUGCUCGUAGAUCUAGAUCCUUCACUUGGUAGAGUCUGGGAGUGGGAAAACUGCUCCAUGUUUUGCUCAAAGUGUAUCCUGCUCAUAGAGACAAGGCAGAGAUCAAGUACAUGGGCCCUGUUGGUGGAAAACACCAACAGAACCAAAAGUGUAUUUGUUCUUCUCUAACCUUAAGCAUAGUGAGAAAGACAAAGUUGAUGGAUGAUAAGAUCAUGAGUGUAGCAUUUAAAACAUUUGUCAGAUCAGAUCACUCAACCUUAUGGAAAGAUAAUCUAUCUAAGUAAAUGUUUUUUUUCUUUACAUGACUAUCAUUUUCCAAAGAUCGGAUGUACAACAUUUUAGCUCAUAUGAUUAAGAGUGUGGGAUCAAGAAGGUAGUACCGGAAACAAAGAUUAAAGGACUAAACAUGUUGAAUCAAUUGGGUUGGUUAAUUUGGAGUUAUAUACAUGUUUGUCUUUUUAUCCAUAUGCAUGCCAGAAUCAAGGAGAAGCUUAUAACAGUGACAGUCACAUACCUUAAGAUGUUACCUUAAUUGAAGAGUGAUGGUACAAUAUCACCUUGUGGAAGCUUUUCUUUCUCAAUGGUUGUGCAUAUUGUUCGUGGCACUCUUCGUCUCGUUUCAUGGAUUAUCUCUUUAUGAUGGACGAGCUAUGUCUUUCUUGUGCAAAUUGUUAAACUUCAUGUGUCUCCCUCUUUAUCUCCAUUCUGAAUUUAUCUUAGGACUUCUCAAAUCGAUAUUGAAAAUUUUCCUACAGGCGUUAGUCCAACAAAAUAUACCAGUGUCUACACAAGCAGUUUUUAGUUCAAUAACCAAACUAGACUCCAUGUCUAAUCGGAUUAAGGAAGGCUAUUUAACCUAAGCACCAUGCUUAAUUUAAAUGCCAAUGGAAGUAUGUCGAGUACUUCCAAACCAACACUUACUUGUGAAUAGAGAAAGGUAGCAUGACAACAUUAUAGAGAUCUACUCAAGUGGGGAUGAAGUAGAAUGAUUAUUGUUUAACAAAUUUAGCAUGUCUUAAGGGUAGGGAAAACCAACAUAGCAACAUGGCAAAGGAUGUUUUUGUGUAAGGUAUUCCCCCUAGGUUAAACAAGUCAAGUUUGGAUGAAUUUAAUUCAAUGUUGCAUGAUGAUUGGUUGGACAUACCUUGUUGUUAUUCUUCACUCUUUUACUACAAGCCUGAAUCGCAAAGAUAAUGGGAUUGCUUUCCCCCAAGCUGAAUGUUGACAUAGUCUUUAAUCUUGAAUCCGCACAACACAGAUGUUCUUCAAUAUUCUUGAGCUUCAAAAUGUCAGUGAUGAUUGCAGCGCUUCCAAGUUGAUGAAGAUAUCUUGAUCAUUGGGGAUUCUCUCUUUAAAUCAUGUUAAACUCAAAUAGACAACAAAACUUGUGGCACCGAUUAAACAUUAGUAGUUGGCCACUUAAGCCUUAGUUGUCCAAGAUUUUUAGAUUUUUCUUAAUUCUUUUUCUAAGCAGAGUUUCAACAAGGUCUCUUUCUUAAUAUAUGUAUAUUUUUUUGGGUUUUAAUCUUUCUAUGAAGCAAAAAGAAAUGGAACAGGAUGAAUGCAUGUUUAUUUACUUUUAUUUAUUUUUUAUUUUAUUCCACCACGGUGAAUAUCCGUGUGGGCUUUUACACACCAUACAAUUUAUUCACAUGGGGUUUUAGUAUUUAAGAUGCAAUGAGUUAUAUAAAAUAUUUUUAUUAUAUUUUCUAAUGCAAUAAUAAUGCAAAAAGAUAAAUAUGUUAUGGAGAAAUGAUGAUGAAAAAUAAAUAUGCUAAAAACAAAUGUAGAAAAAUAAAUACAAUAAACCUACUAAAGCUAGUGAUACAUUAAAUUAGCAGACAUCAAGAUCAUUAUCAAAAUCUUCACACCAAUUGCUUCCCUGACAACGGCGCCAAAAUACUUGUUGACAUUCGUUAAGUGCAAUAAGAAUAAGAAAAAUUCCGCAAGCGCACAGAACAUCAUCGUAGCAUUUUACCGGGAGUAUUCCAGGUAUCGUUAUUUAUAUUUUACUACUGGGAAGCUAAGGUCAAGGAAUCUGAUAACUUACUAUCAUGCAUCUACUUAUUUAAUAAACCAACUAGACUAAAGUAGGGGUAAAUGAUAUACGAGAGGUAAUAAUAUAAAUGUGAGAAUUCUAUGAUAAAUGCGUAGAUAGCCAUAGCGGGAGGACAAUGGGAGAGACCUGGGUUCCUGUAUACUUCUCUAUUACUUCAGUUCUAUGAUAACAAAGAAUGAAUAGAUAUAGCAAUCACAUAUUAGCAAUUUGGGACAUCAGAACACCAACCACAGAAAGAGAACUGGAAGGGGGCUGGGAAGCUCUGACUACAGUCCUACAAACACCGAUCCGAACGAGGUGGAAUACGUCGACCGUUAGGGCUGUCACUACCCUAGGGCUUCCACAACAAUCCGUAGGACUGGGUGCAACCUCAGGUAACCUCUAGUAUAGACACCACAUCUACACUAACGAUUACUACUCUAAUUACCAUGAAUAACUAGAGCACUCGAUGCGAACGGAGAUCCUAUGCCAAAAUAUAACAACUACACUACUCGAUAAUAAUAAAGGCAUAAAAGUAAAUAGAGAAGAUAAAUAUAUUAAAGCAUAAGUAUUAUAAUAAAUAUAAAGACAUACCAAAACUUUGAAGACUUCUCCAGAACCGAAGCGCAGCUCCGCUCUCCCUAACUCUCGACUAGAACUAAUCUACUACAUUGGAAUGUCUAGCCCUAAUUCUCUAUAGAGGAAAGGUUAUCCUUCGAGGGCACCUCUCAACUCUAUAAUGAUGUGUUCUCCUCCAGGGGCCAGGGGCCUUGCUUAUAUAACCUCCUCCUUUGUGCCUUUUUGGUUCAGCAGGCGAUGUGGUACUAAACUUUCUACCAUAUCUCAUUAAAAUGCACAUAUGCCUUAAUGGACCAAAUCUAAUCCCGCACCUCUUUUAUGUGGAGUCCUUCUUUUAUUAAUAUCUCUUGAUUCCGAACUCCAAAUAUUGCAAAUAAUAUAUGCAUUUCGAUCAGCUCGACGAGAUCUUUGUAAUGGUGUACUCCAUUCUCUGAUUGGUGCUUGUACCAAGGCGGGCGCCCCGGCCCCGGGUCCGUCUCGACUCCGCUUUGGUCGCGUUGCUUCUAGAGUCUUCCUAAUUAUGGAAAAUUACCGCACACAUUAAUUCUCUAUGUAAACCCGACGUGUGGGCCUUUCCUUCGUAUUUCUUGAUAACCCCCUGCAGAAAUAGACAAACACCAAAACUCGUGGAAAUCUGUCAGAUGAAACCCUAAGUCUAGGUGUUGGUUGCAUUUGGAUCGUUUUUCAUGAUUAGUUGAUGGUUAAAUGUGAGCAUUAAGGACCGUCAACAGAGUACAAUGUGAGUCAAGAUGAAACCCUAAGGCUAUAUUGACAGCUUGUCAUGCUCUAAAUAGGGUGCCCAAAAAGAACAAAAGUUAUUACACCAUUCGAGGAAAGGGAGAAGAAGAGAUUAAAUCUUUCUUACAUGCGAACCUUGGGUUGUUUGGCAUAGGUGAAUAUGUCAACAAACAAAAAGCAAAAGUUUAGACCAAAAACUAUUGAUUGUCUUUCUUGGAUAUGGAAUUCAUGGUGUGGGCUAUAGAUUUUUAAUAAUAAACUCUAGUGUUCCUAAUUUGAUUGUUAGUAUAAUUAUAGAAUCUAGAGAUGCAAUAUUUUUGAGAAUGAAUUUUCCAUGAAGAAUACACCUAGCACUUCGAGUCAUGAUUCUUUUUUUCUCCCUGAGACACCUAAACGAGUAAUACAUGUUGAUGAAGAUGAAAAUCCUAAGGAGGGUAACAAUACAGUGACUCGAAAGAGUAGGAUACAGAGGGUUGCAAAAUCUUUUGGUGAAGACUAUAUUAUAUACCUUGUGGAUGACACUCCCACAACCAUUGCUGAGGCAUAUUAUCACUUGAUGUUGAUUUGUAGAAAGAAGCUAUUCAAAGUGAAAUGGAUUCUAUUAUGUCUAAUGGGACUUGGGAAUUGGUUAAUCGUCCUUAUGGAUGUAAACCUAUGGGGUGCAAGUGGGUAUUCAAAAAGGUGCUAAGACCUAAUGGUACUAUUGAAAAGUACAAAGCAUGGCUAGUGGCUAAAGGUUGUAGUCAAAAGGAAAGAGAAGAUUAUUAUGAUACUUACUCUCCUAUUGCUCGUCUAGUGACCAUACGCGUGUUGUUGUCCUUGGCUGCCUCACAUGGUCUUCUCAUCCAUCAAAUGGACAUUAAGACAACUUUCUUGAAUGGAGAGCUUGAGGAAGGGAUCCACAUGGACCAAUGUUGACAAUAGAUAAGUACUCUUUUUAACCAUCAAUAUAGCAUGAGAAAGGAAUAAAAUCAGAAUACUAUCUAGCUAUAGGGAUUAUCACUAACAAAAUUCCUCAAGUUUUGGUAAUUGUCUAUUUCUGCAAGAGGUUAUCAAAAUAAGAACAAAAGGAGGUCCACAUGUCAGAUUUACAUAGAGAGAAUACGUGAAACGUCAACUUAGGAAUACUCUAGAAGACACGAGAAGGCGACCCUAUGAAGUGGGGCCCUGUGGCAGCUAGCUAGGGGCGGGCGCCCUUGACUUUGGGGCAGCUGCCCGGCCCUCUCCACCAAUCAGGUGCAACCUCACGGAUCCUACCUCCACCGCCUUUGAGGUGUAAUCUUAAGCAUACAUUUAAGUCGGUUUGAUCCGAAGGAUAUGGUGCUUAUUAGGGGGCUAUAAAUAAGACCCUAACCCUCCUAGAGAGGAGGAAUUCAAGAGUUCAGAAUUCUCUUAGGAAGAAUUAGAUAGAGAGGGGUCCCUCAAAUGGAUAUGUCUCUUUAGGGUUCUUAGCCACCUUCUCAAUUAGAUCUGUAUAGUUCUAUAGCAUAGCUAUAGAGGAAUAGAUCUACAAGGAGUCAAGUUAAUCUUGGUGUCCAGAUCUCCAUAGUUCUAUAGCAUAGCUACAUAGGAAUAGAUCUACAAGGAGUCAAGUUAAUGUUCAUUCUUGGUAAACUCUUAUUCUUCUUUGUUAUAUUUAUAUUAGUUCUUGCUACUAUGAAUAUGACUUUGGUCUAUUUGAUUAUAUUGGAAUUGACUUUAUUUUAUUUGCUUAUGUUCUCAAUUAUAUUGUUAUUAGUAUACUUUGAUUAUAUGCUUACCAUAGUUAGAUUAGAAUUAUGUUUAUGCAUAGGAUCGUAUAGCGCUUACUCAUUAGGCCGAUGGAUAAGUGGUAGAUAUUGUGUAGGCGUGGUGCCUAGACUGUAUUUAUCUACGAUUACACUUUAUAGUCCGAAGCUUGAGGUAGAUCACGAGAAUGAUAGUCCAAUUGAGUUCUUUGUAUUCCUUCUCCUGAUUAUAAGGAUUGUAGAGCACCAUUAUUACAGAUAAGUAAUUGCUAUGUUCAUGAUCUUUCUUGCUAAUAUCACUAUGCAUAGAUAACCUAUACUUGCGAUGAUGUUAAGUGUACUUGCACUAAUCAAUGUAUGCUUUGAUAGUAUAGUUACAAUACUUAGGAUUUAUUCUUAUAGAUUGUCCUAAUGUCAUGCUAGUGCUAUACACUUAGAGUAAUCUAAUUGAGAUGAUAUUUAUCAUAUGGCUACGAAUUCUUAUUUAUCAUCUGUCACUUAUUAUUCAUAUUCAUAUAUUUAUCUUAUGUGACACUUACCCUGCAUGAGAGAUAGAUAAAGACAUGGUUAAGAUCUCCAUGAUUACAUGCAGUGCUCAUUGCUCAUUAUCCAUUGCAAGUCCCUUCCCAAUGGUAAAAAUAUAAAUAAUGAUACCUAGAACACUCCUGGUUAAAAUGCUACAUCGGUAUUUUCUGUGCGCUCGCGGAUCGUUUAUUUAUUUAUUUCUUCCUAGGAAAGCAUAUAGAUUUAAUACCAGCACUUCUACAUCAUGAUAGGGAUGACAAUUAUUGACGGUUGAUAAUGUCAACUUUUAUUAGAACUUUAAACUCGAAGGAGAACAUGAAAACACACUAGUCCAGGGUUUAAACUAACAACUUCCAUGAAUUUUGCAUAUUGUGUAUUUUCCAGGCUCUAUUUCCAGAAAAGCUAAAAAGAGGGAUUGAAGUGCAAAAUAAACACGAAACUUAUCCGCCACAAAAGACAUCAUGAACGGGGCGUGGGAAGACUCUAUAAGACACCCGAAGAUCCGGGGGGCCAGAGGCCGCUAGGUGGGGCCGGCCAGGACCACCCUAGCGUCGGUUGGCGCCCCCCUGCUAGGGUUUCGGCCCCCCUUCUGGAAGCUUUCUCCACCAUCUACGAGGAGUCAUCUGGGCAUUGGUUAAGUCAGUUUGAUCCUACGGUGCACGUCAAUCCCACCGGGCUAUAAAUAAUGGGCAGACCCCCCUCCUUGGAGGCAUCAAGUCAUUUGGAGAUCCAUCCAUCAAGAGCUUUCUCUAGUUCAUCAGAGUCUCUCUAGUUCAUAGUUUUAGCCUAGUUAGAUUAGAAGUAGAAGAGUUCUAGUUCUUCGGCGGGAUCCUGAGCCCUUGGCAUCUGUUUGGAGGGUGGAGUUCGGUAUAGUUCUAGUACCUUUCUCUUAUUGUAUUCAAUAUUAUGAUUCAGGGAACAUUGUUCUUAAUCUGUUAUAUAUUCUUAAUUGCAAUAGUCAUUGUUUACUUUGAUUAUAUGUGUAGGAUAGUUGGUUUGAUCUUAUUGAAUUCAUGUAAUUGCUCGUAUAGCAUUUACCUAAUUAAUUGUUGGGUAGAUAGUAGACAAUACGUAGAAGUGGUGUCUAGAUAUCUUGUUUAUCUGUGAGUGCACCCUGAUUUACCGGGACGUGUGGUAGUCCACGCAGGUGAUAGUUGUGUUGGUUCCUCUAUAGUCCACCCUCCAUACGUUCGACUAGCAUGGGCGCGGUCGCGAAGGAGGUGACCCUUGUGUCUUAAUAGCCUCAUUAGUUGAUGCCUCUUUACAUGUGAUUAUGAUAUAGGGUUGACUUAACAAUGAUUUCUAGAUGUAAUUGCACUAAUUAGAGUUAUUCAUUGAUGUAGUUAUAGAAUUACCUUAGUAUUUAUUCCUGAGUUUAACCAUUGGCUAGCUAUUACUAUGACUAUAAGAGCUCUAAUAUUUAUCUAUUUAUAAUGACUGAUCAUUAUUUAUCUUAUAUCUUUUAUCAAGUGACUUAUCCCUGUUAUGAGUAGGGUGCUAGUUAUGGUUUACCGUUCACAUCAAUAGUAUAAGUUAUAGUUAUAAGUCCUACAUAUGGACAUUCCCUGUGGAUACGAUAUUAAAACCCCAUCGGGUAAAAUGUGACAUUGGUACGAUAUCUGUGCGCUUGUGGAUAAUCUUACUUAAAUAUUAUUUAAAGGAGUGCAGUUAAUUUAUACCAACAACAACCUAGCUUAAGUGAUGUUAAGUAAUUUUGUCGCCGUUGCUAAGGAUAGGUUUAAGAGUCUAUUUUUAGUAGUUGCGUUAAGAAGUGUCAACAAGCAUUUUUGGCGCCAUUGUCGAGGAAGAUGAAAGCAUCAAAGGAUAAAGAGCAUCACUGCAUCAACUCAUGGAUUGAGCACCAUCCACCCUUCUCACUCAUAUAGCUUUACCCUUGUCUUUUUAUCUAUUUUUAUCAUAUGCAGGGUAUUGUAUGAAUAGGUUUGAUCUCCUAGAUAACUUCGUUGAUAAUCCAGAGACAUUGAUCAUGGCGACGAAGGAUAAGUUGAGAAGGAACCAAUCAACAUCAUCAACAUCUGAGCUUGCCAAUCCUCCUGAGUUAGAAGAUCAACCUAGUCAAAGUUUGACAUCAGAGAUUGAUGCCAUGGCUAACAAGUCACUUCAUGAGUUCUCAGCUCCCAUUAUAGCCAAUAUUCGUACUGGGCUAGCUGUGGAUAUUAAUGGGUCAUUUGUGCUCAAGCCAACGCUGAUCAACAUGGUGCAAGCAGGCCAGUUGUACGGGAAGGCCCAUGAAGAUGCUCAUCACUAUCUAGGAUGGCCCUAGAGAUGCUAUCUUACUUUACCUUUUCCCUUUCUCACUAUUGGGAAAAGUGAAGGAGUGGUUCUACAUCAACAAGGAGAAGAAUACUACAUGGGCACUAUGUUCCACCAAUUUCCUAGGAAGUUCUUUCCCAUAAGAAAGACAAAUGCUCUUCGUGGGAAGAUAUCCAGCUUUCAGCAACAACAUGAUGAGACAGUCCUAGAAGCUUGGGAGCACUUUCAAGACUGACAUACUCGAGUGUCUGUGUCAUGGGAUGGAGAAUUGGGUACUCAUGCAGAUUUUCUAUCAUGGGCUCAGCAACAACACUCGUGAAACCAUGGAUGCUGCUACUGGAGGAGCAUUCUUAUCACUUACCAUUUCUCAAGCCACUGCUCUUGUGGAAAAGAUGGACUCCAAUCAAGGUUGGAGCGAGGAUAGAACGCAGACCCGCAAGAGAGGUGGAGGAAUGCACCAGCUCAAGGAGGUAGAUAUGCUAGCUGCCAAGAUGGACCUGCUGAUGAAAAGACUUGAUGAAAAAACCAUUGAGAAGAAAGAAGUCAUGCACAUUCAUGAUUUGGCAUGACUUGUGAAGAGUGUGGAGAAACUAGACAUACAUGUACCAUCUGCUCAGAGCUGACAGAGGAUGUGAACAACAACAACAACAACACCUACUACCGUCCUUAGUAGAAUCAAGGCUAGAACCAACAAUAGCAGCCUAACUACUCAGGUUAUUACAAAGGUAAUAAUUCUUACAAUAAUACAAAUCAACCACCAAUAAUAGAGUUAUUGCUUAAUCAGGGCAAGUUAAUGGAUAGCUUAUCUAUGAAGCUAGCAUCUAAUAAUAAAACCUUACAAUCAAUUAAUAUUAGAAUGGAAAGUUUGUCUAAUGCUGUCAAGAAUCAGCUUAACUAUAAUAAGAUGCUAGAAUCUCAGUUGCAAUAGCUUGCUCACUGUUGACGGUCCUUAAGUAUCAAAUUUAAUCAUCGAAUAAAUAAAGAAAAGGAUCUAAAUGCAACAAAAACCUAGACUUAGGAUUUUAUCUGACAUAAUUCCACGAGUUUUGGUGUUUGUCUAUUUCUGCAAGGGGUUAUCAGGAAAUAUGGAGGAAAGGCCCACACGUCGGGUUUACAUAUAGAUAUUAACAUGUGCGGCAAUUUUCUAUCAUCUAGAAGACUCCAGAAGCCACGGGAACGAGCCGGAGGCCGAGCAGGCCUAGGGGUAGGACGCCCGCCGUCCCCCCUAGGGCGCCCGCCCUGGCCUGAGAGCCAAUUAGGGUUUGAUUCGACUGCCCACGUUCAAUUGGGAGGGCUAUAUAAGCAAGGCCCCUAGCCCCUGGAGGAGGGCAACUCUAUCAAACCCUAAUUCAUUCAUUCAUCCAAGGAGAAGAGCCUCUGAUCAAGCCCUAUAGCCACCACAUCAACUAGAGCUCUAGUUUAGCAUAGCGACAUAGGAUUAGAACUAGGAGUCAAUCUUCGAUUGGUUUCCGGAUCUGUCAAUAGGAUUCUUGGUAAUUCCUCUAUUGUUCUUCUUUUGUUCAUCAUUGUUCUUCAAUAUUAUGAAUAUGACUUUGCUCUAUUUCAAUAUAUUGAUUAUGACUUUGCUCUACUUGUUUAUAUUUGCAAUUAUAUCGUUCUUAGUUUAUCAUGGUUAUAUGCUUGACUUAGUUAGAUAGAAAUUAUAUACAUGCUUAGGAUCGUAUAGCGUUUAUCCAUGUGUACAGUGGGUAAAUGAUAAGUAUUGUGUAGGCGUGGUGCCUAUACCAUAUUUAUCUAUGAUUGUACCGUAUAUGCCGGAUCGUGGGAUGGUUCACGAUGGUGACAGCUCUAUUGAUUCUUAUAUAGCCCCCUCCCAUGUAUAGGGCAGGCAGAGCAAUAUUAUUACAGGAGAGUGAUUGCUAUGUUUCUCAUCUUCCUUGACAAUAUCACUAUGCAUGGGUGUAAUCUUCUCUUGCAAUGAUUGCCAAGUAUAAUUGCACUAACUGUGAUAUGCUAGACUUUAUAGUUAAUAAUAACUUAGGAAAUAUUCUUGUAGUUCAUCCUAAUUCCAUGCUAAUGACUUGCUAGAAUAUAUGUUGAGGUGGUUAUCAUUAUCAUAUAGUUUUGCUGAUCAGAAUAGUUAUCUUUGUCACCAUUCAUAUUUUAUCUAUAUUUUAUGUGACACUUACCCCUGUAUUGAUGAGAUAGAUGAAUGCUCUCUAUUACACAUGCAAUGAUACUCAUUUCCAUAUUUCAUUCCAUCAUUAUUAGUAAUCCCUUCCCAGUAGUAAAAAUAUAAAUAACGAUGCCUGGAAUACUUCCCAGUUAAAAUGCUACAUCGGUAUUAAUCUAUGCGCUUGUCGAUCCUAUUUAUUAUUUAUCUAGAUGAGCAAUUGCAUAUUUCAAUACCGUGUCUAUCAUGUCAUGCUGGGGAUGACUUGGCUUAAGUGGCACAAGGGAUAGGUUCGGCAUUUUUGGCACCGUUAUUAGAAGAAAACUAAGUCUACUUUUGGUAAUGACAUAGGUUCGACACGAGGGAUAGGUUCAGCAUUUUUUGCUAGACAUGCUUUUAAUCGUCCGUAGCUUGUAGAUACACUACAUAGGGUAUCAGAAAAUGCUCCAUAGGUAAUUAAAGUUGUUUUUUGAUACAAUUAAAAAGUUGUUUCAAUGUAACACGAAGUUACACACACUUUGAACGUCAGUAUAGGUUCAAAGGCGUAUAAAUAAUCAUACAUAGUCAUGUAAACAUGCUUCUUGAUAUGAUAUUAAAACAUCUCAAAAUGAAAUUAAAUAUGCCUUGGUCAUCCACUAUCAAAUUUAUAUAAUAUUAUAUGAUAUAAAGAGAAUAAAAAAACAAAGUGUAUGUUUUAGGUUCGAACCAUGAACUUUUGUUAUGAGCCGAAGCCUAGUAGUGUACUAUGAAAUAAUAAUAAUAAUAAUAAUAUGAAAAUAACAAAAAAUGUAGCACCAUCCUAAGGAGGUAAUUCAUAUAAUAACAAUAAUAAUGCAAAUAACAAGAAACUAGUAGGUUCGAACCAUGAACUUUUGUUAUGGGCUGAGGCCUAGUAGUGUUCUAUGAAAUUGUAAUAAUAAUAUGAAAAUAACAAAAAAUUUUGUACCAUCCUAAGGAGGUAAUUCAUAUAAUAACAAUAAUAAUGCAAAUAACAAAAAAAUAUAGUCUGCCGUUUGAACCUUCAACCUCGGUUGUCCAACUAGGCAAUCGUGACCAAUGGAGCUACAAAGGUAUUAUAAUUACACUUCCUCUAUAAUUUUAUAUGUUUUUUGGACUCCAGGUUUACAUAAGAUUGUACCGUGUGCUCCCUUUGCCAAUCAAGCCUUAUUUGGAUGUAGUCGGAUUCACAAUAAUUCACAGGAUGGAUUUCUAUCCCAACACAUAUGGAUUAAGGUGAAUCCGAUAACAUCUAAACAAACCCUAAUGUUGCAACCCUCCCCUCUUGACGCUUCAGCAAAUUCAGAAAUUCCUCCAAUCCAAUUCGUUCCCACUACUACAAAAUGAGGCAUUGGUCGAUGCCCAAAAUCAUCAAAAACCUCGAAAUUUUUGUGGCCUGGGGCUAAAGGCUCCUUUAGCACCGGUUUGUAACACGGGCCGGUGCUAAAGGUUCCUUCCUAACGGCUACUGACAGGUGCUAUCGGGACAGGGACCCUUUAGCACCGGUUCUUGUUACCAACCGGUGCUAAAGGGUCCCCUUUAGCACCGGCUGGUGCCAUGGGCCGAGGCAAACCCUUUAGCACCGGUUCGUGGCAUAAACCGGUGCUAAAGGCUACAUUCGAUAUAUUGUACAUUAAAAUUUUUCAUAUGUACAUUAAAAAAAUACAAUACAUGUCACUUUUUAAAGAAUAUUAUGCAAAAUAUUUAAUUUACUAUAUAAUUAAUAAUGUAUAGUGUAUAUAUAAACACUUUAAAAAGCUGAAACUAAAAAACAGGCCCGUUAGCACCGGCGCAUGGUUGGAACCGGUGCUAAAGGGUUCUGAAAAUUUCUGAACCCCGCCUGAGCCCGCCUAAGGGUCAAACCCCGUCUGAGCCCGCCUAAGGACCCUUUAGCAUCGGCCCGUGGCUGGAACCGGUGCUAAAGGGUCCCUUUAGCACCGACUGGUGUUAUGAAUUAAUUAUAACAAUUAAUCAAUCAUUACUUAAAUGUUUAUCAUGUGAUUAUAAAUUUUAUAAAAUAAUUUACAUCAACAAAAAUUGAAGUGUUAAAAUAAUUCAUGGCAAUAAAUAGGUUUGAACAGAAUAAAAAAUAUUAAAAUUAACUUAAUAUUUAUGUAUCAUUGCUGACCACUGUAUUGUAAAUUAUUCACUUGCCGCCUAAUUAUAGUGUUUCCCAUUUUCAUUUGCCGCCUAAUGAUUCCCCACGAAAUCGAGUUUGACAGAAAAACUGGAUUAAAACUCCCCGCCGCCGCCUCUCCAUUAUCUUCGCUAGAUCUAGCCUCCGUACUCUGCUGCACCUGGCAACAACCGGCAACCACACAAUCCUCUGCUGCACCCUGACUCCACCAGAACAACACAAACCCCAUUACGUUGUGAUGACAUCGUGAAGGCCAUUUGCGCGCUGGCCGCCCGGCUGGACGCUGUUGCUCUUGGCCUGAUGGGAACCGCUGCCUGUGGAUGGCCGGGUGGUGGUGAUCUUCAUGAACUUCGAUUGUGCCGCAAACAACUUUCAUCCCUAUUGCUAAAUCCUAUUGCCGUCGGUGAGCAAAUUUGCAGCUUUCCCCCUUGUCAUCUAUUUCCAUUGUCUCGCAACUAACCAAGGACCAAGGACCCAAUAUUGCAAGGUAAGGCAGCAGUGAUACCUCGAUUAUGCCAUGACUUCCUUCUUUAAUCACUGUCCCUUACCCUAAUAAUCUGCCAUAGAUGAGAGCUGUAACCUCUGAAUGCCAUCUAGAGGAAGAAGAAAUUGUAUGCUCUCGGUAAAUGUUCUGUGACUCAGCUAGUAUUUUGGGCCUUAAGCCUAUGUAUAUAUAUUCGUCACUUUACAAUUUCUUGUGAACAAUUGAAUUGUGAUCUCGUCCGGGUGUCUGGCCAUCACCUUCUAUGAGCUCCAGUUCCGGCAACCCUCUACGAAUUUGUGCGCUAGAGUUCCGGUGAUGCGAUAGGCAAGUUUCGGUGUGGCUGUUUACACUCUGUGAGUUCACACCAAUGUAGUGCGGCAAGGGGAGUAGUCAAAGCAAGGUGGCAUUGUAGUCUGCAGUCUUUACUAGCAAACAUCAGUCUGGAGUAGACACGCCAACGAUGUCCCGCCAUCAAGCAUUAGUCAUUAGAUCAGAUAAAUUACUUGUUCUUUUUAAUCACCAGCUACUUUCAAAUUAUUGUUUGUUUACUUUAUUUAUGUUGGUUUUAUUACUCAAUUUGGUUAAUUAACUUGUGAAGCAGUGAAAGAUAGGUAAGUGCAAUUGUCUAUGUAUGUUAAAUCUUAUACUUUACUAUCUAUUAUCAAUCUCGCCAUACCUAAAGUUUUUCUUGUCGUCUGCCACUUCGCUCCUAGCCUAAUUUAUAUUACUGUUGCAGCUACCAUUGUUUAAUUCUUUCUAGCCUAAUUGGUCAUAUCUGAUUGAAUGUAGUGGUAAUAGGUUCAGAACUUCAGAUGUUUUUUUGUCUUUGAGGACUUUACUUUGGUGAUGCUAUUUUGCAAUGAAGAGCUAAUGUUUGGCUGGAUACUACUGUAACCGUUCAACAAGUUACUGAUUCCUAGAUGGUCUUACUUACUGGAUUCUGGUGUUAUGCUCCUUAAUGUAGAGAUUAGUCUAGGUCUAUUUUUGUUGGAGAUUAGUCUGUUAUGCUCCUUAAUUGAACAUAGUGGUAGGUUCAGAUGCUUUUGUUCUUGAGUACUCUCAUUUGGUGAUGCUAUUUUCCAAUGAAGCGCUAUUGGCUGGUUUUUGCUAUUCUGAAUGGAGCUAAUAAGUUCUUUAGACUUCGUCAAUAACUUAAUUUGUCAGUUUUCCCUAAUUUUGGGUUUCUUUGCAAGAUAUAUAAAUCAUGGCAAGAGGACCCCGAAGAUUAAGGAACUUGAACCUUGAAGCAGGAUGGAAAACCUAUGCUGGCAGGGCCUGAAAAUUUGGUACACAAUGAGAACUAGAUAUUGAUGAUAUAUUGGCCAACAAGUUUGAUAUUGCUAGCUUACAUAUCUGGAUAUGAUGUUAAUUCAUCAAUUCUAUAAGAUAUAUACAACACAUUACUGGUAUCAUGAAACGGUGGCUUGCUUUUAUGUCUAAGGUGUUACCUGAAAUUGUUUGCAUAAAUGAAAUGGGAUCAGCUCUCCACGAUGAAGUAAGUAUCUAUGGGUCCAUCAGAGAUCAGUUUGUUCUCAAUUUAUCUUUAUUGUGUUUGAUGUUUUUCAUUUCCUGCAGGUUGGUCAUACUAAAAUGGAUGAUGGUGAUGAUACAGAGCGCACGCUUGUAGUGAUGAUGAUGAUGGCCAUGGCACUUACAGUAAUAAUGAUAUUGGCAUUGAUCCUGAAGACUCAAAUGAAAAUGUUUACUCUCCAACAAAUGAUGUUUGGGUAACACAAUAACCUUUCUAUCUCUAGUUUCUUAGUGACAAUAUAGCAUUUAGGUACAUUCUAUUGUCCUAAGUACUAUAGUUCUUUGCAAAUGGCAGCAGUCACAUGCCAUAGUUCUAAAGUAAACCAGGAUUUUGCCUAGUCAUCGCUACCACAUGAGCAAAUCGUUGCCGAGUGAUAGAACACCUCGUAUCAGUCUACUGUGUCUAUCUGGAUCACAUGAGACUCAGCGUUUUUUGGGUUUUUCUAUACUAAUUUUGAUAUGAGCAUAUACUCUUAGCAGCCUUUAGAGUAAGACUGAGAGCAAAUUAAAUGGCUUCUUUAAAUUGAUAAGAUAGAUGCUAUAUACAACUGAGAGCAAAUGAUUAGAUAUUGAGUUGUCAGUGGAACUAUGUGAUAACAUGUAACAAUUGAAAUUUGGGCAAUAUAUUUCAGAAUGCAACUAAGGAGGUUCUGUUAUUAGUUUGUAGCCUAAAAGUUCCGAAGAAUCAAAUGCUAAUGCAUAGUCUCUAAAAAUUGAUUUGCAGAUAAUAUAUUUUCUAUUUUAUUUCUCAUUUCCCUAGCUACAAGCAUAGUACAUAUAUAGUUGCUGACGUCCUAGAAACUUUGGUUCCUCUUAUUUUGUAGCAUGAUGGAAGCAUGUGACUUGAUGUGGAUGGAAGCUACAAGUAACUGGACGUAUGUGACUUGAUGUGGAUGGGAAGGCAAGCUACAAGUUUAGUGUGAACAAGAUAGAUUUUAGGCGUUAGGACAAACAAUAUAUUUGUAUGAUAUGGUCACCUUCUCUAUGCUUCUUGUCUUGUUCAAUGCACUUUAAUCUAUUAUUUAAUCAGUAUCUUGGUUUGUAAAGAUAAAAUAGAUUUUAUCAAUGCAAUCUCUAUGAUUCACUUUCUUUUUGUCGAAUCAUAGAAAUUAAUAUCUACGACCAGUAAAAAAAUAUCUUUGUUCCUAGUAUGUGAAAAUAUGUUAAUAUAAAUUGUGUCCAUAUUAAUCAUUAUAGUAUAUGGACCUAUAGAAGUGUCUCUAUUUUUGUUAAGUCAUCGUAAAAAGCUACAACACAACAUAUUUAUAUUAAUAGACACCAAUAUGAAAUUUUUACUUUUCUAUUGAGACACAACAUGGUGUACCUAUACAAUGUAUCAAAAUCGGUACACACGCCAUAUAAACAUAUCUAUUAAAACGUCUAUAUGCUUCUUGAUGCAUAAUAUGGCGUUAUAACAUAGUGUGACUAAGUAGGUACACAUGUAAUAUUAAUGUAUCUAUGAGAGCGUCUCUAAAUUUCUUAAUACAUAACAAAGCGCUACUAGACAUCGUAACUAAAAGAAUAGACACGCUGUAUAAAUGUAUCUAUAAAAGUGUAUCAAUAUGUGUAAACAUGCAAAUAGUGUCUCUACAAAGCGUCCUUUCAUCUACUUGAUGUGCUUUGAGAAUUCGUCUCUACAAGUUUUGACACGGUCCAUACGAAGACGCUUCUAAGACGCUUUAUGAAAAUGUCACAAUAUUCUUGUAGACAUGAAAUAAAGCGUGCCUAAUGUAUAAAUAAAGCGUCGCUAUAGGGGGGUAUUUCUAGUAGUGACAAGCAUUUUUGGUGCCAUUGCCGGAGAAGGUUGAUUUCCUAAUAGGAAUGAAUAAGGAAUAAUGAGUCAUCAUUCACAUCACUAAUAUGAUUGAGAUCAUCAAUUCUCUCGUACAACUUUACCUCUGUACAUUGCUAGUUUUAUUAUUUUAUGUAGGGUGAUGUAUGAAUAGAAGAGAUCUUCCACAUAAUUUUGUUGACGACCCUGAAGCAAUAAUCAGAAAAACAAGAGCCAAGCUCAAUAAAGUUAGAUCAUCAACACUUGAGCGUAAAGCUCCAUCAAAUCAAGAAGAUCUUCGAAGUUUCAUUUGGAACUUGACAUCAGAGUUUGAAGCCAUGGCAAACAAGUUGAUCCGUCAUUUCUUGAUAGGUACCGAUAUGGAAUCGAUACUAGGGUGGCCCGAUCUUCACGACAGUAGAUCAAAAGAAUAAGGAUAACUUGCUGCGAACAGCGGGUAACUAGCUUUAUACCUGACAAAGGAUGGAUGUGACCAAGCGACGGGGAGAGAGGCACCGAAACCAUGAAGACUUCGACUCGAUCUCCGAACGACUGCAGAACCACAAUCCAAAACUAAUCCACACAAUACGACGUAGCCGAACGGAAGCCGUAGAGCAUGAAGUAGGGGAACCCAGAGGAUUCACUUCACAAGUCCAAGAAGAACAAGGAGGAACAAAGGUUGAGUAAGGCACUCAGCAACACGGCUGCAAUAUCAUGUAGUUUAUCAAAUGAUCAAAGGUUUCUAAUAACUUAGAGGUAGGGAAUAUUUAUAAUAGGAACAACCCUCAUAGAUAGGUAUGAAAACAAAAUAGAGUUUCUGAGGGAAGGCAAUGUGAAAGGUCCUCUCGGAAUGGAUUCCCGAGCUGGCUUCGCGUGACUGUUGGUCUCUAGAGUAGUUUCCAAUAAACUGACCAUAACUUCAUAUUGGGGAGUCCAAAUGACAAACUGUUUCUUGGGUGUGAAACUAGACUCCAAGAGCUUUCCAGCAAUGUAUGCCAUGCACCACGAAACGUUGUAGAUUGGUACAGUUUUGCACGGCAAUUUGUACCAACAUUCUGUCACGACAGACUGUUGACCUUUUGAGCAGUCUUGACUAAUCCAAGCAUAACUCUUGAUUGCUGUUGACACCGUUUUUGGACACGUACCUGGGGAUUAGUAAAGCAUAGAUCGGUAGAUGAAGCAACGGUAACUAAUCUACAGGGAAGUUGCCGAUGAAGGUGGUUGCCGAUGAAGAGGCAAUUGAAGGUGACUAAGUCCAGAGGUGGUGACAUGUUCGUGCCGAUGAUCAGUAUUAGUGUUUGCCGAUGGCCACAACAGGAGGUCUGCCGAUGACUAUGAGCGAAAGCGUGGAGAUUGCCGAUUGAUCUGUGGCGGUGCCCUGGUCGAUUACAAGGGGGUAGUUUUAUGUUUUCCUUAGUUAUUAGAAUUCGUUGUGUACGGGUUCCGUUUAGUUUGGAAUUCGAGUCCUGGUCGUGUCUGAUUGUAGCUCUUCAUACAGGGUAUAAAUAUAGACCCUAGGGCAAUGCAAUGAGACAAUCUAUCAAUCAAUCAAACACAAGUUUUUACUCAUAUUCCAGCAUCUACUUUUUUGAUGACUUCGUCAUAUUUUCCUUUUAUUACAAGUUCUUAGGAAUUCGUCGACUUAAGCUCGGCGUGUUCUCAAGUUCCACGUGAUCACCUCUUGGUCGUGACAUCCGGGCGCAUCGCUGUUGUCGGGACCAAAGUGGUCGAGUUACCACCUUUGUCGAUGGUAAGGUCAAAUCGGCUGGCACGCCUUAACGUUUAAAUCGGGUAUUAGCCCUUUGUGUUUGCAGAUCAAUUUUGCAUCAACACAUAUUUUGGCACGCUCGGUGGGACAGAUUCAAGAUCAAGAUCAACAUGGCGAAUACCGAGUUCGACUUGGAGAACGUCAUCCCUGUGACGGAAGCCAAUCUCAGAGAUGAGCAAAAGCAAGCUAUUGAAAAAGCCAUGGAGGACUACAAGCAGCAAUGUUUGAAAUCCUUUAGCAUCAACAGGAGUGGCGAGGUGAUCCAGAAGGAAGUGUUGCCGGCACCUCGACAGAUUACUUUUGAAGCCAAUCCUGGUAAACUUCAAGACAUGGUUGAUAAUGUUAUUAACCGUGCCUUGAUCAAUCAAGCCGGUGUGCUGUCCAACACAGUUUUCAAUGUUGUGGCUAGAACUUUUAAGGAAGGACAAUUGCCACCAAAUUAUGUGGGCCCUGCCUAUCAUCAGCUAGGAUCACCAGUGGUCAUAGCUCCAUCGGCUACUAUGGCCGCUGCGGGCACAGAAACUACUGCCUCUCCAAGCACAUUAGGACUCACUAAUGUGCAAUCUACGCCAAUGACUAUCAAUCCAUCAACUUCGGAUGAGCAAAUCAAGCUUGCCACAGAUCUAUUGGCAUCGGCAAUGUCAGGAUCGGUUCCUCCUAAUUGGUGGGGUUACGGGAUGCCCCCUGAGAUGAUGUUGAAGACUCCUAGAACAUCUCAAGUGGCUGACUUGACAGGCAAGGCUCCUAUAGCAUCGACACCUCCAAAUCUGCUGAUAAAUCAGAGUCCCCGGUAUACUACAAAUACUACUGGAAGACCUUAUACUAGGAAUUCUCAAGCUCCAAUGUUCUAGAUGCCUAACGCAAUAGAGGUUUAUGACAUAGCCAGGGUAUGUCAACUCAAUGAUGAUGCCCAACUACCAGUCAUCGGCAGGGCCUAUGCCGAUGAAUGCUAAUAUUGGAUGGACAGGGCAGCUAGUCUUUCCACAGAUGCCUCAGCAGAAUCAUCAGGCUGUAGGGUUCCAACAAGGACUAAUCCAACCUGGGUUUCAGAAUCAAGGGUUGGUCAACCAGCUGAUGAAUCUUAGUCGGCAGAUUGGUGGUCAGAUGGUUAACCCAAUGUUCCAUGCAGAUCGUGCACCUCGGCGACACGUGGAAGCAUAUCAGCAGGUGCCAGAUCCACAACCGCCUCAUCGGCAAGAUGCCAAUGCUUAUUGGGCUGAUAAGAUAGCUGAAGUAAUGAGAGACCAAUUUGGGAUAAAACCCAAAGUCAACACUUACUCUUAUCGGACACCGUAUCCUCCUGCAUACGAUUUAAUUCCACUUCCAAAUCGGUACAAGGUACCAGAUUUCACUAAGUUUUCUAGGUAGGAUGAUACGUCAACUAUGGAGCAUGUCAGUAGGUUCAUCAUUCAAUGUGGGGAAGCUGCUAACAGAGACGAGUUGAGGGUUCGAUUGUUCUCGUCAUCGUUGUCUGGGUUGGCGUUCACUUAGUUCAUAUCGUUACCUCCUAACUCAGUGAUUCCUUGGGCCGAUUUGGAGAAGCAAUUCCACAAAUACUUCUUUUCUGGAGUUCAUGAGAAGAAGAUCACCGAUUUGGUCAGAUUGAAACAACGUCGAUGAUGAAUCGAUUGAAAGCUUUGUGCAGAGAUUGCGAGAAGUUAAGAACAAGUGUUAUAGUCUGGUUCUGGACGAUAGGCAGCUAGCCGAUUUGGCUUUCCAGGGUCUGUUGCCGCAUGUCAGGGACAAGUACGCUUCUCAAGAGUUUGAAAGUUUAAGCCACUUGGUGCAGAGGAUUUCUAACCAAGAUAUUAAGCCCUUUGAGCCUAAGAGAGCAUGGAAUAAAAAGGUGUCGUUUGUUGAUGAGGCAGUAAGUUCAGACUCUGAUGAAGUGCCGAUCAUCGGUUUAGCAGAAUGGGUGAAAAAUAAGAAGCCGAUGUCUUGUCCUUUUGGGCAUAAGGAGCCAGAGAAGUUCGCAUUCGACAUUACCAAGGCCGAUAGGAUAUUUGACUUUCUACUUCAAGAAGAGCAAAUCAAAUUGUCGCCUAAUUAUGUGAUUCCAUCGGCUGAAGAGUUAAAGAAGAUGAAAUACUGCAAGUGGCACAAUGCAACCUCUCACAGCACCAAUGGGUGCAAGGUUUUCAGGCAACAGCUGCAAUCGGCUAUAGAAUCUGGAAGAAUCAAGUUUGAUAAUUCCAAAGCUCAGAAGCCGAUGAAGAUCGAUCAACAUCCUUUCCCAACAAAUAUGUUGGAUGCUAAGGGAAAGACCAAGGUCUUGACGUCAGAAGCAGCUGAAAGAAGUGCAUCAGUGGAUCCUCAGCAUCAGAUCACAGCUGCCGAUGCUAAAGGAGAGGGUUUGAUCCAGGAAGGAAAUAGCUCAGGAAGGCCUCCCCGAUCUGGCAUUGUGAUAACACAUAGAAGGCAUCGGGAGACUUGGCAGCAACGCGAUGAUCGGUAUCGGCGCCAGCAGGAAGAUUAUCGUCGGGAAGAAGAAAGAUGCCGACAGGUGUGGAAUCGGCACAAGGAUCAUUGGAACUGCCCGUUCUUUAUCCAUUGUUGGGAGCUAAAUAUUAAAUUGCCCACUGUUAGAGAUUGCCCUGAAUGCAAUGGUUAUGAUCGGUAUGAUAGACCUAAUCGGCAAUAUGAGAGUGAUGACCGGCGAUUUAAUGGGCCGAUUAGGGGGAGAACUUCAGUUCAUGAUCGGCUAGGGGGCAGACUCAGUGUGCAUGAUAGACUUGGUGACCGUGUCAAAUAUUUUCCUAGGAACUAGGAAGAGCUUGAAGAGAUGGCAAAUGCUCGAGUUCCCAAUGAGUUCAUAUUUUGCAGGGAUGCCAAUACCUAUCGAGUGGAGUCAAGACAAGUUCGUCAGCAAUCGACAAGACAGCCGCAACUUCCUCCAUGGUGCCUAGAAGGGUUGACUAGGACAGAGAAAAGGAGGUUGCAGCGCGAAAGACGAGAAGAGCUAAGCAAGGUCGAGAAUUCUGGCCAGUCUGGAAAGCGGCAACAACCGGAUCCUAAGGGAAAAGGGCCAUCGAUAGAUGUUAACAUGGUAUUUAUGUUGCCGAUGGAGUUCCUUGCGCCAUCCAGUGAUGAUGAGGAGCUGGAUUUUUUCGACCAAAUAGCUUAGUUGGCUCUGGAUCCGAUGACGGCUAUCUUUGAAAAGCCUGCCGAUAAUGAAAGACAACAUCUUAAAGCUUUAUUUGUCAAAGAAAGGGUUGAUGGGCCGCCGAUGACCAAGAUACUUGUGGACGGUGGCGCUGCCAUCAAUAUCAUGCCAUACGCAGUCUAUCGAAAGCUUGGGAGAGGAGAUCAAGAUUUGACCAAGACCGAUAUGAUGCUAAAAGAUUUUUAAGGAAAUGUGUCUCCAGUUAAUGGGGCAAUAUGCAUGGAGUUGACCAUCGGCAGCAAAACCUUGCCGACAAAUUUCUUUGUGAUCAGUGGAAAAGGUGCUUAUAAUUUGCUGCUAGGGAGAGAUUGGAUUCAUGCCAAUUGUUGCAUCCCAUCUACAAUGCACCAAUGCUUGGUUCAGGGUUCAUUGGAUAGGUGACAAGAUUGAGAUUAUCCCGGGAGAUUCUUUUUAUGUCAUUGCAUCGGCAGAGGCGGACACUUAUGAAAGGACCAGGUGUAUCUCGGGAGAAAUUUGGGAGAAGGAUUUCCUCAAAGUUGCCAAUUAUGAAAUUCCAUCGAUCCAAGCAGUCGGUUCUGAUGAGGAGUUUUAAUGGAUAGGUUCGCCGAUGAUGGAAAAUUAGGCCAGGGGUUUACAUCGGCUGAUGAUUUAGUAGAGGUAGAUAUAGGUAAUGGUGAUAAGCCUAGACCUACUUUUAUUAGUGCUAAGUUGAAUUCUGAGUGUAAGCAACAAUUAACUGAUUUAUUAAAGGAAUAUAAAGAUUGCUUUGUUUGGGAUUAUACCGAGAUGCCUGGUUUAGACCGAUCUAUUGUUGAACAUCGGUUGCCCAUCAAGUCUGGAUUUCGGCCACAUCAACAGCCAGCUCGCCGAUGUAAUCCUAAUAUUCUUCCUAAUAUUAAGGCAGAAAUAACAAAACUUAUUGAAGCUAAGUUUAUUCGGCAGUGUCGGUAUGCCGAAUGGAUUUCCAAUGUUGUCCCAGUUUACAAGAAAAAUGGGAAGCUUCGAGUUUGCAUUGAUUUCAGGAAUCUUAACGAAGCUACGCCGAUGGAUGGUUACCCGGUGCCGGUUGCCGAUUUACUAGUUAAUGCUGCGGCUGGGCAUCAGAUUAUUAGCUUCAUGGAUGGCAAUGCAGUAUAUAAUCAAAUAUUCAUGGCUGAGGAAGAUAUUCCAAAGACUGUAUUUAGAUGUCCUGGUCAUGAUGGGUUGUUUGAAUGGAUAGUCAUGACUUUUGGUUUGAAAAAUGCUGGUGCUACCUAUCAAAGGGCUAUGAAUUUUAUCUUUCAUGAGUUCAUCGGCAAGCUAGUAGAAAUUUAUAUUGAUGAUGUGGUGGUUAAGUCUGGAGAUUUCACAAAGCAUCUUGCCAAUCUGCAAAAAGUGUUGGAAUGUACAAGGAAACAUGGUUUGAAGAUGAACCCUAACAAGUGUGCAUUCGGUGUAUCGGCAGGGCAAUUUCUUGGUUUCAUGGUGCAUCAAAGGGGAAUUGAAAUUAACCGAAGAUCCAUCGAUGCUAUUAACAAGAUAGUUGCUCCUACCAACAAAACUGAGCUCCAAUCUUUGAUCGGCAAAAUAAAUUUUAUCAGGCGGUUUAUUUCUAAUUUGUCUGGUAAAAUUGGUGCUUUUAGUCCUUUACUUAAAGUAAAGGCCGAUCAAGAGUUUAUAUGGGGAAAAGAGCAAAAGUUGGCUCUGUAUGAAAUAAAGAAUUAUCUAACAAAUUCUCCAAUUUUAAUUCCACCUUAGCAAGUAAAGCCUUUCAGAUUAUAUUUGUCUACCGAUGGGAUGGUCAUCGGUUCGGCUUUGAUUCAAGAAUUUGAAGGGAAGGAGCGUGUGAUUUACUAUAUGAGAAGAAGAUUGAUUGAUGCUGAGACCAGGUAUUCGGCCAUUGAAAAAUUAUGUUUAUGCCUAUAUUUCUCGUUUAUUAAGUUGAGGCACUACUUAUUAUCGGCCGAAUGUACUGUUAUAUGCAAAGAUGAUGUGGUCCGAUAUAUGCUAUCUAUGCCGAUUAUGAGUGGCAGAAUCGGUAAGUGGAUUUUGGCGCUGUCAGAAUUCGAUCUGCGGUACGAAUCGGCUAAGGCGGUUAAAGGACAGGUCAUGGCCGAUUUUGUGACUCAACAUCGGGGUACAGUGGAAAUUUUGGAAAUUGUGCCUUGGAAACUCUUCUUUGAUGGAUCCACGUGUGACCGGGCGGCAGGAAUCGGCAUAUUGUUAGUUUCCCCUCAGGGAAGGAAAUAUGAGUUCUCUUUGCCGAUUGUUGCCACGUCAACAAAUAAUCAAGCCGAGUAUCAAGCUUUAAUUAAGGGGUUGGAAUUGUUAAAAGAAGUUCAUGCUGAUGCUGUCGAAAUCUUCAGGGAUUCUAUGCUGGUUAUAAAUCAAUUGGCCGGAAGCUAUGAAUGCCGAAGCGAAGUCCUGAUAACUUAUUACGAAAAGAGUAUACAACUGUUAAGGGAAUUCAAGGAUUUCCGAUUAGAGCAUGUACCUCGGUUACAUAAUGAGGAGGCUAAUCGGUUGGCUCAGCAUGCCUCGGGAUAUCAACCCAUAUUGAAUAUGUUAUCGGCAAUAAAUGCUGAUGAUUGGAGAAUGUUGGUGCAAAAGCUGGUCUGCAAACAGAAAGGGCUAAUACCCGAUUCAAACGUUAAGGCGUGCUAGCCGAUUUGACCUUACUAUCGGCAAAGGUGAUAACUCGAAUAGUUUAGUCCUGACAACAGCGAUGCGCCCGGAUGUCACGGCUAAGAGGUACUCACGCGGAACUUGAGAACACGCCGAGCUUGAGUCGACGAAUUCCUAAGAACUCGUAAUGAAAGGGAAAAAAGUAUGACGAAGUCGUCGAAAAAGUAGAUGCUGGAAUAUGAGUAAAAACGUGUGUUUGAUUGAUUGAUAGAUGUCUCUUUACAAGGUCCUAGGGUCUAUAUUUAUACCCUGCUCAAAGAGCUAUAGCCAGACACGAUUAGAAUUCGAAUUCCAAAUUACACGGAAUCCGUAUACAAAACGAUUUAAAUAAUUAAGGAAAUAACAAAACUAUCCCCCGUGACAAACUGAAACUCUGCCACAAACCAUCGGCGGCUUCCAAACUCUCCCUUCGUAUCAUCGGCAGACUCCCUUUCCAUAGUCAUCGGCAGACUUCCUCAUCAUAGCAAUCGGCACAGACACAUCACCGCCUGUAGACUUAGUCAUGUUCAACCUCUCCUUCAUCGGCAACCAUCCUCAUCGACAACUCAUCCUGUAAACAAAACACUGCCGUCUUAUCCUGCCGGCCUGGACACGUGCCCAAAAACGGUGUCAACACAUGCCCCCCAAUUUCGGAGUAUGAAAUCAUUAAUGCUCCGAAAUUCUCUGCAGUAAUGAUGCCUUUUCCCGCAAUUAAUGCUCCUAAUCUGGUAACCGACAACCUCAAUCUGAACAACUCUGAUCCUAUUCUUCUGCAUAUUCCUCGAAAUCCUCAACUUCCUAAAUGGGCAUUUCCUUCUCAACCGUACAUCGGCAAUAUUACCGUUACAAAGAUCUACCGAUGAACUGAUCAGGACGUUCGUACAAACGACUAUCUUCACUUUACUCGCCCAUUGGCAAUAUGACCGUUACAGGACGCUGCCGAUGGACCGACCAGGAGAUCCCGCACAGUAAAAUAUCUCCAGAUAAUGACCGCUUCCCGUCAAAUCACCUGCACAAUCCCUCGAUUAUCGUGCGAACAGUUACCAUAUCUACCUGAGCACCCUCGGAUUUCUCGGAUGCGGCAAGGAGAUAAGUCAGAUUUGCCCUUGCCCAUUUUGUCCUAUAAAUAGUUCCUUCUCGGGUACUCCUUCUCCAUCACAUUAUUCCACCAUCCCAACUUUACUUUCCUAGCGCGCGGAGCCAUUCAAAAUCUCCAAGACCUCCGACAAAGACUCUUCCUCACCAACCCCGGAGCCCUCAGAGAUCCUCCUCGUUGCAAGAUGGCUAUUAGCUUCAUUGUCCCUGAGGUCAGUUCUUCAUUCCGUCUCCUGUACUUUUCCUCACAUCCCCGUUCAUCCGCAAUCCAUUUUACUGAAUAUUUUUUCUUUUCUUUUCUUUGUGUUCCUUUUCUUUAUUUCCAAAACCACCAGGAAUUGUCCAACAAAAUUGUCAUCCCUACCGAUCAACCACACCUCCAAUGCCUCAGCCCUCUAGGGGAUCCAGAUCCAACCGAUCUUAUUAACGUAGAAACCAACAGGAUCCCUUUCAGAACCGAAAAUUUUUCUUUAGAUCUGUGGAAAGACACCUUCCGUUCUUGGCCCAGCCCUACUGUAGGGUGGAAAGACUGGUUCUCGAGGGUCAGCAACUCCAAUGAAGUCCAGUGGGGUGAGAGAAAGCUAGAUCAAUGCAUUAGAUUGUCCAUUGCCGAUAUGCAUAGGAAUGAGUCACUGUUGAUAGCUGCAUCUUACUUUUGGUCAGACACCCUCAACGCUUUUGACUUUGGCCACAACCCUGCUUCUCCUACUCUUGCCGAUGUAGCCACGCUCACCGGUCUUGACACCGCUCCUAGUGCCAAAGUGGAAACUCGUGCCAUCGGCGGCUGGUCAAGGUACAUUCAGAAGUAUCGUGGGACGGGGUCUGUCAGCAUAAAGGAACAAACCACCUUUCUAAACAUGUGGCUGGACAAGUUUGUGUUCUGUGGUCGAUCGGCAGGACCGACUUCCGUCUAUCUAUCGGCAGCAGAGAGACUGGCUAACGAUGGCCGAUUCCCUCUCGGCUGAUACUUGCUUGGCGCUGCUUACCAUCUCCUCCAUCAGGUGGCUAAGAAACUCCUGCUCGGCCAGUCCACUGGCAACUUAGGCGGCCCCUGGUGGUUCAUCAAUAUGUGGCUUAAUCUGCAUUUGCACAAGCGCCUCAACUUUAACUUAUUUACACAGCGUUUCCCAAGAGAUAUAACUAAAAAUCAUGUGUUGGGUGAAGAAGAAUCGGCAACACGCGAAUUUCUUUGGUAGCACAAAACUUUGAAGGAGCCGUCAUAGUCUUGCCUGGUUCAGGGGGUAAUCCAGAUCAGAUCUGCCGAUUCUUCCAGACUUCUUAUGAAGGCUUGGCCAGAGAUGAACGACCAUGGUUGGCCUAUGAUGACCCAGACAGUAUGCUCCCUCUGGUUUGCAAUCCAUUUGAUGAAGCUCUUGACAGGGAUAAUGAGGUGAUGAUGACAAUUGUGACUCCUAGAGCCAUACCAGUGAAUUUCUUUGGUAGCACAAAAACCUCUCCCCAGACUUAUGAAUUCUACAACCCAUUGGCAUUAGCUCGUCAAUUAGCUUUCGGCCAGCUGCCGAUUGCACUCUGUUAUGCCGAUGUGAUAAAACCCAGGGAACUCAUCACCAACUUUCUUGAGUGGAUUCGAAUAGCUCAACUACCACCGAAUGCCGAUACAGAUGCAGAUUUGUCAGAGUGGGUUCCAGCCGCUUUCAUUACUCAGGCAUAUAAGCUAUGGUGGGCAGAAUGGAAGGAGCAUCUAUUCUGCAAGUCAGCCCUUUCAUAUCGCGGUAUGAUCGACCCCGAGUACAAAGUACCCGAUGAUGCUGUAAGUAUUUUAAACUGGUGUUCUGAUUUUUCAAUCUUAUUUUCAUUGGUAACUCACCUUUGUAUCCCUUUUGCAGGUUGACAACAUCCCUCCAUCGGUUAGCAGAAGUGGUAAGCCGAUCGACCUGUUUCCACCAGGCCCAAUUUCUUCAAUCGGCCACAAUGCUCCCACUCUGGCUACCAUUGUGCAUCGAGGUGUGCGCCUCAAGAAAGUCACCACCAAGAGAACUCAGACACCACCAUCGGUAGCCGCUUCCACCCUGGCACAAGCUUUCAAGGCAAUUCGUCAACCCUUUUUCAUUUAUACCGAUUACCUUUACAUCGGCUACAUUUGUAUUUAUAAACUCCUUUUUAUUGCUGCAGCAAACCGGUGCAUCGGCAAAAGCCAAAUGUCAAGGUGCCGAUGCCCCCCAGUCCAGCCAGCCAAAGAGGAAGGGCGCCAACGGUAUCAGGGCUGGAACAAAGCGCCAGAAAGUGGCAACUCCUCCUCCUCCUCCUCCAGCAUCUCCUAUUCCGGUGGAAUCUUCUCCCUCCCCUCCAGAUGUAGAGAUCCAGCAAGCACCAUCUCCCCCUCAUCCGCAGGAAGCACCAGAAGCAGACGAACCCCAGCAGGAAGAACCCCAAGCAGAAGGUACAUCAACUGACGUGGGUGGACAAACAACUGGCCCGGUAGGUCCAAUUACAUCAUCGGCAGUUCCCCCAAUUCAGACAAGCAUCGUUCUUCCUCAGGGUAACAUAUUUUAUUAUAUUGCCACCGAUGAACUUAUUCUCAUUCAGCCUCAUAACUCUUUCUGUCUUCCUUUCAGUCGAUGUUAUCCCAUCGGCAACCCUGGCCGAUCAACCUGUGGCCCCACCGGCAUCUUCCUGUCAAAGGCAAGAAAUAGCUUUGAAGCAAGUAAGUCGCUCAGCCUUCAUCAGUAUUAUUUGCCGAUUCUCCGAGCAUGAACUAACUUACUUUGUUUUUCUUUCUCAGGAACAAGAUUCUCCUGAUAGCCUUUUCUCCUUCGCCAUCGACAUCUCUGAAGAAGAAGGUGAAGAAGCAAGCUCUUCCCAGACAGUUGGCAUCACAUCGGCAGAGAUCAGGGCCAAGCUGGAAGAACUGUCGGCCCUCCUUCAUCAGGACACGGCACAACUGGUCGAUGACUCCGACCCAGCCAAGGUUCUGUUCAGGACUCUCAGAGGCCAGAUCCCAACCGAUGUUGAAUAAAUCCUCUUCCAAGCCGCACAUUUGGAGAGUCGUCAGCUGCAGUACUAGAGGGCUUCUCGGCGUCUUGCCGAUAGAGCUGCUCAGACUCAGCUCUCAGAAGAGAUGAGGAAAGAGAAGCUCUUGACCGAUGAAAAGCACAAGAACAUCGGCAUCUUGAGAACUUCAGGAGACACGCUGAAGCAGAAGAUAUCUGACUUAUCGGCAAAAAGGGAAUCCCUAUUGGCAGAACUCAAACAAGUGGAGGACGCCUUGUCCCAAGCCCAACAGGAAGAGAGUCAACUGCCAGAGUCCAUCAAGCUUCUUGAGCAUGAGCGGAACGUCCACGGUCGCAAGGCGCUACAGUUGAAGAAGAAGCUGAAGCUGAUAGAAGGCUCUGCCGAUGACGAUAUCAAGGAGAUAGAAGCAGCCAACCAAAUCCGGCUACGCGCCAUAUCGGCGAUCCAGGCGCUGCUGAACACAUGAAGCUCUCAUCGGCAACACAUCUGUGUUUUCCUGCUCUUUUAGCUUUUAGUCUAGCCGAUAGGACUGUUAUCGGCAUCUUUUGAAACAUUAAGUCCUGCCCCCAAUCAUUUAAAUCCAGCCGAUAGGAGUGUUAUCGGCACUUAAACUUUUAUGCAUCGACCCAUAUGCUGGGGUAGUACUUCUUUAAAUAUUUGCCAUUUAAUGCUCUGGGAAAUUCAACUUCUUCGAGAGUUUCUAGAAUAUAGGCAUUUCCAGGAGCCGAUCGACUUAUCCGAUAAGGACCUUCCCAAUUAGGAGACCACUUUCCAAACUUCGAACUUUUAGUCCCGAUUGGUAAAAUUAAUUUCCAUACCAAGUCCCCAUCGGCAAACUCCUUAGCCUUUACUUUCUUGUCAUACCAUCUAGCAACUCUCUUCUUAUUUUCUUCUAUACUCAUUAAAGCCUUUAACCGAUGUCCCGCUAGAUCAUCUAACUCAUCGGUCAUCAAAGUGGCAUAAUCAUCGGCAGCUAAUUGAUCUUGAAAAGAUAAUCGCCUAGAUCCAGCCUUAAUUUCCCAAGGUAACACUGCAUCAUGUCCAUAUACCAAUUGAUAGGGUGACACCUUGGUUGGUCCAUGACAAGCCAUCCGAUAGGACCACAACGCUUCAUUUAAUAAUGUAUGCCACCGCCUAGGAUUUUCUUCAAUCUUUCGUUUCAUAAGUUUGAUAAUUCCUUUGUUAGACGCUUCGGCCUGCCCAUUGGCUUGAGCAUAAUAAGGAGAAGAAUUCAACACUUUGAUCCCCAUAUCGAUUGCAAAUUCAUCAAACUCCCCUGAUGUAAACAUAGUGCCCUGAUCGGUAGUAAUUGUUUGAGGAAUUCCAAAUCGGUAAAUGAUAUGCUCCUUCACAAAAUCAAUCAUAUUGGCCGAUGUGACUUUCUUUAAAGGAAUAGCCUCGACCCACUUAGUGAAAUAAUCAGUGGCAACUAGAAUAAACUUAUGCCCUUUGCUAGAUGGUGGAUAAAUCUGGCCGAUCAGAUCAAUAGCCCAUCCUCGGAACGGCCAAGGCUUUAUGAUAGGAUUCAUAGCCGAUGCAGGUGCCCUUUGAAUGUUACCAAACUUCUGACACCCUUGACACCCUUUGAAAUACUUAAAGCAAUCCUCAAGUAUAGUCGGCCAGUAAUAUCCAUUCCUCCUAAUCAUCCACUUCAUCUUAAAAGCUGACUGAUGCGCUCCACAUACCCCUUCAUGAAUUUCUCCCACCAAACUCCUAGCUUCAUCAUCACCUAAGCAUCGGAGAAGAAUGCCAUCAAUAGUUCGAUAGUAUAAUUCAUUGUCGAGGAGCACAUACUUGGUCGCUUGAAAUCGAACUCGUCUUUCAACUUUCUUAGAUGGAUCUUUCAAAUAAUCAAUAAUUUCUUUCCUCCAAUCAUCGGCAUCGAUUGCCGAUACUGUAUUAACUAUAGGCUGAUAUCCUGAGGCAUGCUGAGCUAACCGAUUGGCCUCUUCAUUAUGCAAUCGGGGAACAUGCUCUAAACGGAAAUCUUUGAAUUCCUUUAAUAGUUGCAUACUCCUCUCGUAAUAAGUUAUGGGAACUCCACUUCGGCAUUCAUAGCUCCCGGCCAAUUGAUUUAUAACCAACAUAGAAUCCCCGAAGACUUCAACAGCGUCAGCACGAACUUCCCUUAACAACUCCAAUCCUUUUAUCAAAGCCUGAUAUUCAGCCUGAUUAUUUGUUGAUGUAGCAACAAUCGGCAAGGAAAAUUCAUACUUCCUCCCCUUAGGGGAAACUAACACUAUGCCGAUUCCUGCCCCCCGGUCACAUGUAGAUCCAUCAAAGAAAAGCAUCCAGGGCACAAUUUCCAGGGUUUCCACUACACCGCAAUGUUGAGUCACAAAAUCGGCCAUAAUCUGCCCUUUAACUGCCUUAGCCGAUUCAUAACGCAGAUCGAAUUCCGACAGCACCAAAAUCCAUUUACCGAUCCUGCCACUCAUAAUCGGCAUAGAUAGCAUGUACCGGACCACAUCAUCUUUGCAAACAACAGUGCAUUCGGCCGAUAACAAGUAGUGCCUUAACUUGAUACACGAAAAAUAUAAGCAUAGACAUAGUUUUUCAAUGGCUGAAUACCUGGUCUCAGCAUCAAUCAACCUCCUGAUUAAGUAAUAAAUUACACGCUCUUUCCCUUCAAAUUCUUGAAUCAAAGCUGAACCGAUAACCAUCCCAUCGGCAGACAAAUACAUUCUGAAGGGCUUUCCUUGCUGAGGUGGAAUUAGAACUGGAGGAUUCACUAGAUACUUCUUGAUUUCAUCCAGAGCCAACUGCUGUUCUUUCCCCCAAAUAAAUUCUUGAUCGGCUUUUAGCUUAAGAAGAGGACUGAAAGCACGAAUUUUGCCAGACAAAUUAGAUAUAAAUCUCCUGAUAAAAAUUAUCUUGCCGAUCAAGGACUGGAGCUCAGUCUUGUUGGUAGGGGCUACUAUUUUAUUGAUGGCAUCAAUAGAUCUUCGACUAAUUUCAAUCCCCGUUUGAUGCACCAUAAAACCAAGAAACUGCCCUGCCGAUACACCAAAUGCACACUUAUUGGGAUUCAUCUUCAAUCCAUGCUUCCUUGUGCCCUCCAAUACCUUUCGUAGAUCGGCAAGAUGCUUUGCGAAGUCCCCAGACUUGACCACCACAUCAUCAAUAUAAAUCUCUACCAGUUUGCCGAUGAAUUCAUGAAAUAUAAAAUUCAUGGCCCUUUGAUAAGUAGCACCAGCAUUCUUAAGGCCAAAAGUCAUGACUAUCCACUCAAACAAUCCAACAUGACCAGGGCACCUGAACGCAGUCUUCGGAAUAUCUUCUUCAGCCAUGAAUAUUUGAUUGUAUCCUGCAUUGCCAUCCAUAAAGCUAAUAAUUCGAUGUCCAGCCGCAGCGUCAACCAACAAAUCGGCAACUGGCAUUGGGUAUCCAUCCAUCGGCGUAGCUUUAUUAAGAUUCCUGAAAUCAAUGCAGACCCGAAGUUUCCCGUUCUUCUUGUAGACCGGAACAACAUUGGAAAUCCAUUCGGCAUACCGACAUUGCCGAAUAAACUUAAUAAGUUUGAUUAUUUCGGCCUUGAUGUCAGGAAGGAUAUUAGGAUUACACCGGCGAGCUGGCUGCUGAUGUGGCCGAAAUCCAGACUUAAUAGGUAACCGAUGUUCAACAAUUGAUCGGUCUAAACCAGGCAUCUUGGUAUAAUCCCAAGCAAAGCAAUCUUUAUAUUCCUUAACAAAUCGGUUAAUUGCUGCUUACACUCAGAAUUUAACUUAGAACUAAUAAAGGUAGGUCUAGGCUUAUCACCACUACCUAUAUCUACUUCUACCAACUCAUCGGCCGAUGUGAAUCCCUGGCCUAACUUUCCAUCAUCGGCGAACCUAUCCAUUAAAAACCUUCGUCAGAACCGACUGCUUGGAUCAGUGGAAUCUCAUAAUCGGCAACCUUGAGAAAAUCUUUCUCCCAAACUUCUCCUGAAAUGCACCUGGUCCUCUCAUAGGUAUCCGCCUCUGCCGACGCAAUAACAUAAGAAGAAUCCCCCAGGACAAUCUCAAUUUUGUCACCUACCCACUGAACCAAGCAUUGGUGCAUUGUAGAUGGGAUGCAACAAUUGGCAUGAAUCCAAUCUCUUCCCAACAAUAAGUUGUAAGCCCCCUUUCCACUGAUCACGAAGAAAGUUGUCGGCAAGGUUUUGCUGCCGAUGGUCAGCUCUACACAUAUUGCCCCUUUGACUGGAGACACGUUCCCUUCAAAAUCUUUAAGCAUCAUAUCGGUCUUGGUCAAAUCCUGAUCUCCUUUCCCAAGCUUCCGAUAUACUGCAUACGGCAUGAUAUUGAUAGCAGCCCCACCAUCAACUAAGAUCUUGGUCGUUGGCUGCCCAUCAACCCUCCCUUUGACGAACAGAGCCUUAAGAUGCUGUCUUUCGUCAUCGGCAGGUUUCUCAAAGAUAGCUGUCAUCGGAUCUAGAGCCAGCUGAGCUAUCUGACCGGAAAAUUCCAACUCAUCAUCACUGGAUGGUGCAAGAAACUCUAUCGGCAACAUAAAAACCAUGUUAAUUCCUGCCGAUGGACCUUCCCUCUUAGGAUCUGAUUGCUGCUGACCUCCAGACUGACCAGAGUUCUCGCCCUUGCUUAGCUCCUCUUGCCUUUCACGUUGCAAUCUCCUCUUCUGUGUCUUGGUCAACCCUUCCGGACACCAUGGAGGAAGUGGUUUCUGCCUUGCUGCUGGGCGUCGAUUCUCUCUUGACUCCAUCCGAUGCGUGUUAGCAUCCCUGCAAAAUAUGAACUCAUCGGGAACUCGUGCAUUAGCCAUCUCCUCGAGCUCUUCCUGGUUCCUGGGAAAAUAUUGGACACGAUCACCAAGCCUAUCGUGCACGCUGAGCCUGCCCCCCAGCCGAUCAUGAACUGAUGCUCUUCCUCUGAUCGGCCCAUCAAAUCGCCGAUUGUCAUCAUGAUAACACCGAUCGGUCCUAUCAUGCCGAUCAUAACCAUUGCACUCAGGGCAGUCUCUGACAGUGGGAAGCUUAAUAUUCUCCUCCCAACAAUGGAUGAAGAACGGAUAGUUCCAAUGAUAUCUAUGCCGAUUCCACUCCUAUCGGCAUCUCUCUUCCUCCUGACGAUAAUCUUCUUGCUGGCGCUGAUACCGAUCUUCCUGUUGCUGCCAGUUCUCUCGGGGCCUUCUAUGAGUUAUAGCGAUGCCAGACCGAGGAGGCCUACCUAAAUUGGUUCCUUCCUGAACCAAGCCCCUACCUCUUGCAUUGGCAGUAGUAACUUGAUGCUGAGGAUCUACCGAUGCACUUCUCUCGGCUGCUUCUGAUGUUAAGACCUUAGCCUUUCCCUUAGCAUCCAACAUGUUUGUUGGGAAAGGAUGUUGGUCUAUCUUCAUCGGCUUCUGAGUCUUGGAACUGUCAAACUUGAUUCUCCCAGACUCUAUAGCCGAUUGCAGCUGCUGCCUGAAAACCUUGCACUCAUUGGUGUCAUGAGAAGUUGCAUUAUGCCACUUGCAAUAUUUCAUCCUCUUUAACUCCUCAGCCGAUGGGAUCACGUGAUUAGGAGGCAGUUUGCUCUGACCUUCCUGAAGUAGAAAAUCAAAUAUCCUAUCGGCCUUAGCGGUGUCAAAAGCGAACUUUUCUGGUUCCUUCUGCCCAAAAGGGCAAGACAUCGGCUUCUUGUUCUUUACCCACUCUGCCAAGCUGAUGACUGGUUCCUCAUCAGAAUCUGAGCUCGUUGCCUCAUCAACAAAUGAUACCUUCUUGUUCCAUGCUCUUUUGGGCUCGAAAGGCUUGAUGUCUUGAUCAGAAAUCCUCUGUACCAAAUGACUUAAGCUUUCAAACUCCUGAGAUUCAUAUUUGUCCCUGAUGUGCGGCAACAAACCCUGGAAAGCCAAAUCGGCUAGCUACCGAUCGUCCAGAACCAAACUAUAGCACUUGUUCUUGACUUCCCGUAUCCUCUGUACAAAACCCUCAACCAAUUCGUCAUUGCGUUGUCUCAAUUUGACCAAAUCGGUGAUCUUCUUCUCAUGAACCCCGGAAAAGAAGUAUUUGUGGAAUUGUUUCUCCAGAUCGGCCCAAGUAAUCGCUGAGUUGGGAGGUAGUGAUAUGAACCAGGUGAAGGCCGAUCCAGACAAUGAUGAUGAAAAUAGACGAACCCUCAAUUCGUCCCUGUUACCGGCUUCUCCGCAUUGAAUGAUGAACCUGUUGACAUGCUCCAUGGUUGACGUGUCAUCUUGCCCAGAAAACUUAGUAAAAUCCGGCACCUUGUACCGAUGCGGAAGCGGGAUCAAAUCAUAUGCGGGAGGAUACGGUGUCCGAUAAGAGUAAGUAUUGACUUUGGGUUUUAUCACAAAUUGGUCUCUCAUUACUUCAGCGAUCUUAUCGGCCUAGUACGCAUCGGCAUCUUGCCGAUGGGGUGGUUGUGGAUCCGGCACCUGCUGGUAAGCCUCCACGUGUCUGUUCGGUGCAUGAUCUGCACGGAACAUUGGGUUGAUUAUCUGGCCUCUCGCCUGUGGGCCACCAAGCUGUUGCCCGCCAAUCUGCUGUCCGCCGACUUGUUGGCCGAAAUUUAUUGGCUGGUUAGAGAUUCCCUGAUUCUGGAACCUGGGAUAGAUCUGCCCUUGCUGGAACCCUGUAGCCUGGUGACUCUGUUGGGGCGUUUGCGGAAAGGCUUGCUGCCCAAGCCAUCCAUUAUUAGCGUUCAUCGGCAUAGGCCCUGCCGAUGACUGGUAAUUGGGCAUCAUCGUUGAAUUGACAUACCCUGAUUGAGCCAUAGACCUCUGUUGCGUCAGCAUCGAGUCUGCCAAUGCGUUAGGCAUCUGGAACAUUGGAGCUUGAGAAUUCCCAGUGUAAGGUCUUGCAGUAGUAGUUGUAGUAGUAUACUGGGGACUCUGGUUCAUCGGCAUAUUGGGAGGUGCCGAUGUCAUAGGAGUCUUGCCUCUCAUGUCAGUCGUCUGCGAUGUACCCGGUGUUAAUUCUGGAGGCAUGCCAUAACCCCACCAGUUGGGAGGAGUUAACCCUGUCAUUGCCGAUGCUAACAGAUCUGUGGCAAGUUUAAUCUGCCCAUCUGAAGUCUGUGGAUUAGUUGUCAUCGGCAUAGAUUGUCCAUUCGUGACUCCCAACGUACUUGGCGGAACACGAAUUUCCAUACCCGCAGCGGCCGUAGCAGCCGAUGGAGCUGUGACCACUGGUGACUUUGGCUGGUGAUAAGUGGGGCCCACAUAAUCUGGUGGCAAUUGUCCCUCCUUGAAAGUUCUUGCCACGGCAUUGAAAACCGUAUUAGACAGUACACCAGCUUGGUUGAUCAAAGCACGGUUGAUAGCACUGUCAACCAUGUCUUGAAGUUUGCCAGGAUUGGACUCAAAAGUAACCUGCCGAGGGUCCGGCAGUGCUUCUUUCUGAAUCACCUCACCGCUCCUGUUCAUGCUGAAGGACCUCAGGCAUUGCUGCUUGUAAUCCUCCAUGGCUUUAGCAAUAGCUUGCUUCUGCUCAUCCUUGAGAUUGGCUUCCGUCACGGGGAUGACGUUCUCUUGAUCAAACUCAGAAGUCGACAUGUUGAUCUUGAUCUUGGAUUGGUCCGACCGGGCGUGCCAAAAGAUGUGUUGGUGCAAAAGCUGAUCUGCAAACACAAAGGGCUAAUACCCGAUUCAAACGUUAAGGCGUGCCAGCCGAUUUGACCUUACUAUCGACAAAGGUGAUGACUCGAAUACUUUAGUCCUGACAACAGCGAUGCGCCCGGAUGUCAUGGCUAAGAGGUACUCACGCGGAACUUGAGAACACGCCGAGCUUGAGUCGACGAAUUCCUAAGAACUCGUAAUGAAAGGGAAAAAAGUAUGACGAAGUCGUCGAAAAAGUAGAUGCUGGAAUAUGAGUAAAAACGUGUGUUUGAUUGAUUGAUAGAUGUCUCUUUACAAGGUCCUAGGGUCUAUAUUUAUACCCUGCUCAAAGAGCUAUAGCCAGACACGAUUAGAAUUCGAAUUCCAAAUUACACGGAAUCCGUAUACAAAACGAUUUAAAUAAUUAAGGAAAUAACAAAACUAUCCCCCGUGACAAACUGAAACUCUGCCACAAACCAUCGGCGUCUUCCGAACUCUCCCUUCGUAUCAUCGGCAGACUCCCUUGCCAUAGUCAUCGGCAGACUUCCUCAUCAUAGCAAUCGGCACAGACACAUCACCGCCUGUAGACUUAGUCAUGUUCAACCUCUCCUUCAUCGGCAACCAUCCUCAUCGGCAACUCAUCCUGUAAACAAAACACUGCCGUCUUAUCCUGCCCGCCUGGACACGUGCCCAAAAACGGUGUCAACAGAGAAAAGAAAUCAUUGAUUAUUUAAAGGAUCCAUCUACGAGGGUUGAGAGACGUAUUCGGUUUCAAGCUACCAAGUAUGUGCUCCUCGAGUGGUUGUUGACGAUCCUUAACGCUCACAUUUCACCAUAAACUAAUCAUUGAAAAUGAUCCAAAUGCAACCAACACCUAGACUUAGGGUUUUAUCUGACAGAAUUCCACGAGUUUUGGUGUUUGUCUAUUUCUGCAGGGGGUUAUCCGGAAAUACGGAAGAAAGGCCCACACGUCGGGUUUACAUAGAGAUAUUAAUGUGCCGCGUAAUUUUCUAUCAUCUAGAAGACUCCAGAAGCCACGAAAACGAACGGGAAGCCGAUAGGACUCAGGGACAGGGCGCCCGCCCUACUUUCCUGGCCGCCCGCCCACUUCCAGGGUCUAAUCAGGACACGUUUCGGGGAUUACGCUCCACCGACCUAAAGGAUCAAGGAAAAUCGUGCGAUUAAUGUCGAUUUGAUCCAACGACCCAUAUUCACUUGAAGGGACUAUAAAACCAGACCCCCUGGCCCCUAGAGAUCAUACCUCUUCUACAGAAUCAAAGCUAGGGUUUUAAUUCUUCAUCCAAGUAGAGAGGAUCCCUCUAGUUCUUCUAGUUCUACCUCUAGUUCAUCUAGAUCUAGUUCUAGUUCAUCUAGUUCUAGUUCUAGUUCCUCUAGUUCUAGUUCUAGUUAGUUCUAGUUGUAAUCUAGAAAAUAGGGAGAGAGAAGAGGAGAGCGGAGGAGGAGCCGGAUCUGUCGGAUCUUCGUCAACAUUGUACUUUUGUAGCAACUGGUUCGUUCUUCAUCGUUCUCCAGGUUCUUCAAUUCAUAACUCCUGAGUUCUUUAAUUACUUUUAUUUACAUUCAAGUUAUUUAUUGGAUUCCCGCUUGCAUCAAGUGCUCUAGUCUUUAUAACGCUAGAGUAGUAAUUAAUAGAUUAGAUGUGGCGUUUAGUCUUGCAAUUACCUAGAAUUGCACCCAAUCCUGCGGAUUGUUGUGGUAGCCUUAGGGUAUUGACAGCCCUAACGGUCGACGUAUUCCACCUCGUUCGGAUCGGUGUUUGUAGGACCGUAGUCAGACCUUCCUAGCCCCCUUCUCAUCUCUUCCUGUGGUUAGUGCUCUGAUGUCCCGAUAUAGAUAAUCUUGAAGUAAUUCUUGAUUCUUAGAUCAACUAGAGAACUCUCAGGAAAGUUCCUCUCUUCCCACCAAAAAUAAUUAUAUAGUUAUCCUUGGGCGAUCUUGGAUCUUAAUUAGUACACUCACGUUCUCUGUGGAAAAUCGAUACUGUGGAAUACUCCCGGGUGAAGGCUACAUCGGUAUCCGUGCGCUUGCGGAUUUUUCUGUUUGCGUUUAAAAUACCCAACAAGCUUUCUGGCACCGUUGCCGGGGAACGGUAGCUGUGCUAGUUUCGAACCAAGUCGUCCGUGUAUCCUUUUUCUUUUCCUUUUUUUACCACACUCACCUUAUCAUUUUCACCAUACCACAUGGAUUUCACUCUAAGCAUUAAUGAGCAUGGAAUUUAUUUCAUAGCCACUUCAUUUACUCCAUGCUCAUAUGCAACAUCUUCCCAAUCCAUUGGUCUCUCCAACAUCACCACAUUCGAGAUCUUCAACUCCCUCUUCCUUUCUAUUUAUAAAAACUUUAAAAGGGCGGUUGUCGAUGCAUAUGUCUAUAUUAAAUAUUGCAGAUCUCGUUGAGUUGAUCUUGAUAUAGGUCAGCGUUGGAGGGGAAACCACUUCGCCGACAUAAAUUGAUGGUUUCCCAAGGAAAAGCUUAGUGUCCUAAAACAAGCACUGAUCAGAUUGUAACAUGAGCUUUUAAUUAUUUACAACAUUACCUUGUGUAUUGAGCAUAUAAGGAUAAUUGUAAAAAAUUCCUUUGGGUAUUCUUGUCACUAACCUUUCCAGGAUUGGAGCAAGAAGAUCGGAUGAAUGACAAGCACAAGGUAUGUCCAACCAAUCAUCAUACAACAUUGAAUUAAAUUCAUCCAAACUUGAAUUUUGCAAAAUUCAAGCUUGGGGGAGUACUUUACAUAAAAACAUCAUUUGCCAUGUUGCUAUGUUGGUUGUCCCUACCUUUGAGGCAUGCUCAAUCUGUUAAAUACUAAUCACACUACUUCAUCUCCACUCGAGUAGAUCUCUAUAAAUGCUCUCAUGCUACCUUUAUUUGCUUUAGUAUAUGUCUAGGUUUGGAGUAGUUUCAUUUAUCUUUUAAUUAAGCAUGGUGCUUAGUUUAGGAAUGAUGAUCUUACUUCCAAGGGAUUUUAAAUUAAGCAUGAUGCUUAGGUUAGAAUGCCCUCCUAAAUCAAAUUAGACAUGGUGUCUAGGUUGAUCUUUGAGCUGAUAGUAUGCUAUAGUAGAUAUUAGAUAUUUUGUUGGACUAACCCCUGCAUGAAAACUUUCAAUAUCGACCUGGGAAGUCCUGAGAUAAACUCACAUUGGAGACAAAGAGAGAGACACAUGAAGUUUAACAAUUUACACAAGGAAAGCAUAGCUCACAAGAGAUGAUCCAUGGAGGGUGCCACAAACACGUUGCACAACCACUAAGAAAGGAAAGCUUUCACAAGGUGAUAUUGUACCAUCACUCUUCAAUUAAGGUAACAUCUUAAGGUAUGUGACUAUCACUGUUAUAAGCUUCUCCUUGGUUGUGGCGUUCACAUGAAUAAAAGAGACAAACAUGUAUGAUUUACAAUUCUAGAUUAACCAACCCAAUCGAUUCAACAUGUUUAGUCUUUCCACCUUUGUGAUUCCACACUCCUAAUCAUAUAAGCUAAAAUGUUGCACAUUCAAUCUUUGGAAGAUAUAAACAAAACAUAAAUAUAGAUAGAUUAUCUUUCCAUUAGGUUGAGUGAUCUGAUUUGACAAAUGCUUUAAAUCCUACACUCAUGAUCUUAUUAUCCAUCAACUUUGUCUUGCUCACUAUGCUUAAGGUUAGAGAAGAACAAAUACACUUUUGGUUCUGUUGGUGUUUUCCACCAACAGGGCCCAUGCACUUGAUCUCUGCCCUCUAUGAGCAGGUACACUUCGAGCAAAAUAUGAAGGAGUUUUACAACUCCCAGACUCCACCAAGUGAAGAACAUAGACAUACGAGCACAAACACAAUGGAGAUACUGGACACUCAUGCAAUCACUGCCCUGAGAUGCUUGAGGACGUAACUACUGGAGUAACCUCGUUGUGGAAGUAAUUACUGACCUUCUGCUGGUCAAGAGAGACAAUCCAGGACGCCCCGUCAUCCCGAUCUCCAUCGGCAUGGUGGACUUCCUAGAAGCACUCUGCGACUUUGGCUCCAGUGUCAACAUUAUGCUCAGGGUACUCUAUGAAAAAUUCUUUACACAUCCUUUCCUAGAAACAACCAUGUGUUUGCAGCUUGCAGAUCAGACACUAAGUUUCCAAAAGGGAAUAUUGAAGAACCUCUACGUCCGAGUUGAUACCUUGUAUGCCCUAGUAGACUUCGUGGUGACAGAGACUGGUACUAAUGAGAGGGCACCCAUCAUCCUAGGGAGGCCACUCCUGAACACCUCGGGAGCUGUCAUCCAGGCUAGUGCUGCCAAGAUCAGUUUCUACAUCAAGGGGGGAAGGAGGCAUUUUCCUUCAAGAACAAGACUACACAAAUCUCAAAGCAAUCCCGACAUGAACCAAGGAAGAGGAUUAACAGGGGGAACAGGAACAAGCAAAUGUGGACUGAGUCAGCUAAGAUGGUCACUGCAGCUCAAGGAGGUCAAGAUCAUCAACUCAAGUCACCUUUCUUGAUCAAGAAGGAUGACCCUGUUGUUCCAAGCAUCGAGUGCACAAUCAACGGAUACUCUUUUCAAAAGACACUCUACGACACCGGGUCAGUCGUCAACAUAAUGGCCGCAGUCACCUAUCAACUCCUGUUCGGAACCAUGUCCCUAAAACCGACAUACAUUCAGCUCCAGAUGGCAGAUCAGACAUUCCGGAAGGUUAUUGACAUGGGAGAAAACGAGUAUGAUCCACCCAUCAUCCUUGGGAGACCGUUCCUCAGCACCGUUAAAGCAAUCAUCUACACUGGAACCAGAGAAGUCCACAUGCACUUCCCCUCUGAGAAGGUACACCGCUAUUUUACUGACACUAACUAUAUAGUUGAAGACAUUAAACAGGUCAGGACAAGAAGGAGACGACGCAACUACAACCAGAGGAGGCAAAUCAUCAAGGACAGAUGGGCAGACUACGAAGGAGAAGUAGUAAGGUCUGAAGACAUACAGCUGGAAUAGAACUGUCCUGAGGAGACCGUAGCACCAAGUCAGGUGUGGAGAGAGAAGAUAGUUAUACAUGAAUAGCAGGCACCGCCGGAACCACCAACUACGCCAUCCAGCAAAUCCCAGGACGACUGAGAAAACGAAGAGUCCCGUUCGGAGUACUUAAAAACACCGAACGUCUUGCCAAGAGGUAAACUUGGUAGUUAUCCUUUUUCUUUCAAUUAUUUUAAAAUAGUUUGCUUAGUUAAUCAGGUUCAUAUUAUCUUGAAAAUAAAAUAUAAAUGUUAAAAAUAGUAAGCCCCAUGUGAGUAUGCUCAUGGCAUAAAACCCAUAAGUACAUUCACUGUGGUGGCGUGAAAAUGAAAUAAAUAUAUUCCUGUCCUAUAAAAAUAAAAAUACAAAAAUAAAUUUAUGAUCCUACUAAAGAGAGUAACAUUUAUUGAGGAGGCUCAACAUGAUAAAGGCUAGAUAUUUAUGCUAACACUUAACUAGUUCCACAAAGCUUUGUUGUCUAUUUGAGCUCCACAGAAUUCAAGGAUCAAAGAAGACUAGCAGACGGAGGACAUCCAAAUCGCUGUCAGGGUGCUGCUGACAUUCAAAUACACCUCCACCACCUGCUAGCUAGAUCAGAAGAAAUUGCGUCAAAAUCCAGCUAGGGGGAGAGCACCCCCAUUUAUCCAGCUAAGUAUUCUACUCAUGUUUAUACUUUACUCUAAUAAUAAAAAGAUGCAUAAUCAUAUAAACCCAAAUAAACAUUUUGUGCUUAUAUAUAUAUCUUUGCUUAGUUUUCUAAAUAAAUAAAUAAAUAAAUUUUGCUAUGAACCCUCAUGAUAAUCUCUCACAUGGAAAUGAUGAAUAGUUGCUCUGCUAUGACUAGUUCUUAAAUUGAAAUCUCUCUCAAGUUUAGGCAUGACUAGUAUUAAUCAAGAUUUGCUCUAAACCUGAACUUGUGGGGAGAGUACUUGAUCUAAAGUUUAAGUCGUUAACUGAUACGAUAUGGGAAGGUUGAGCUGUUGUUUAUCUGUUCCGAGAGAUGCUAGAAUUCUGGAGAACUUUAUCUUUGAAAAUCUUUAAAAUGUUGCAUGAUGAGUUCCUGUAUGAUGAGAGUUUAAAUUCCUACCACAGCCAUAUAUACAUGCUUGCUAAACUUUGAGCGACACAUUUACUACUGCUUAUGACCAUUGAGUGUGGUCAAGCUGUGUAGACCCUUAGGAGCCUGUCAUGUGGUUAAAAUCAAGAUUCACUUGCACGUUCACUCAUACAAACUGCUUCUACUCCGGAAGUACGCAUCCACAUAUAUCCACCCAUUUCCAUCUCCAGAACCACCCAAAAAUAUUGUACUCCUAAUUCGGGAGAGAAUAGCCAAAACAUUUCUGUUUUCCCCUGUGAAAUAAAUGCUCAAGUUAUCUUGGUUACUACCACCUGCUACAUUAUUUCAAGAGAUGAGUGCUCUAAAAAAAGAGAAAAUAAAAAGAUACGAGGAAAUAAAAAGGGGCAAGUGCCCGGAACCUCGAAAGAAAAGAAAAAGUGAGACGAGAGGUAAAAAUGGACAAGUGUCCGAUAGUAGAAUUAGGGGUACAAGAUACUCACCUGAGAGGAAAAAAAGAAAAUAUAGAGCAUCUCAUUCUUCUCAAAAAGUUUCAAAAGAGCAAGAAAGGUAUGUAUGUAUUGUAAUAAAUGUCUUGUAAGUAUGUAUUAGCUGUCUCCCACCUAUGAGCUCCAGAUAUCAAAAGCCUUAUUAGAGUAGGGUGAGAGAGAAGGCAAUGUCACUAUGCCUCAUACCAAAAAUACCACAUACUUUGAGAGAAGGCAUACACCAUUAAUGCCUUGGUAAGGAUCUAGAAAUACCACAAAAGAGAGACUAGAGAGAGUCAUACAAGGAAUCUCUGAGUUUUAUUUGAAAAUCUACAAAAACUCCAGAGCUAUAGUUAAUCGAAGAACAAAAGACAUGGCGCUUGAUUAGACCGUUCUAUCUUUUAACUGCUCAAGACAUAAGUGAUGGUUGCAAGCCCCAUGGUGGAAGGUAAAAUGAGUAAGUUUAAAUCUUAGCAGUUUACCCUAACCUAGAGAUGAGAUCUUGUUUGAACGCAUGUAUAUCUUUAAGGCAUGAAACCACUGCAGAAACUCUUGAGUUCAUCUUUGCUGAGGGACGAGCAUAGGUUAAGCUUGGGGGAGAUUGUUGACGGUCCUUAACACUCACAUUUAACCAUCAACUAAUCAUGGAAAAAGAUCCAAAUCCAACCAACACCUAGACUUAGGGUUUUAUCUUACAGAAUUCCACGAGUUUUGGUGUUUUUCUAUUUCUGCAGGGGGUUAUCAGGAAAUACGGAAGAAAGGCCCACACGUCGGGUCUAGAUAGAGAUAUUAACGUGCCGCGCAAUUUUCUAUCAUCUAGAAGACUCCAGAAGCCACGGGUACGAACGGGAAGCCGAGAGGACUCAGGGACAGGGCGCCCGCCCUACUUUCCUGGGCGCCCGUCCACUUCCAGAGUCCAAUAAGGACACGUUUCGGGGAUUACGCUCCACCGACCUAAUGGAUCAAGGAAAACCGUGCGAUUAAUGUCGGUUUGAUCCAACGGCCCAUAUUCACUUGAAGGGACUAUAAAACCAGACCCCCUGGCCCCUGGAGAUCAUACCUCUUCUACAGAAUCAAAGCUAGGGUUUCAAUUCUUCAUCCAAGUAGAGAGGAUCCCUCUAGUUCUUCUAGUUCUACCUCUAGUUCAUCUAGAUCUAGUUCUAGUUCAUCUAGUUCUAGUUCUAGUUCCUCUAGUUCUAGUUCUAGUUAGUUCUAGUUGUAAUCUAGAAAAUAGGGAGAGAGAAGAGGAGAGCGGAGGAGGAGCCGGAUCUGUCGGAUCUUCCUCAACAUUGUACUUUUGCAGCAACUGGUUCGUUCUUCAUCAUUCUCCAGGUUCUUCAAUUCAUAACUCCUGAGUUCUUUAAUUACUUUUAUUUACAUUCAAGUUAUUUAUUGGAUUCCCACUUGCAUCAAGUGCUCUAGUCUUGAUAACGCUAGAGUAGUAAUUAAUAGAUUAGACGUGGUGUUUAGUCUUGCAAUUACCUAGAAUUGCACCCAAUCCUGCGGAUUGUUGUGGUAGCCUUAGGGUAGUGAUAGCCCUAACGGUCGACGUAUUCCACCUCGUUUGGAUCGGUGUUUGUAGGACCGUAGUCAGACCUUCGUAGCCCCCUUCUCAUCUCUUUCUGUGGUUAGUGCUCUGAUGUCCCGAUAUAGAUAAUCUUGAAGUAAUUCUUGAUUCUUAGAUCAACUAGAGAACUCUCAGGAAACUUCCUCUCUUCCCACCAAAAAUAAUUAUAUAGUUAUCCUUGGGCGAUCUUGGAUCUUAAUCAGUACACUCACGUUCUCUGUGGAAAAUCGAUACUCUGGAAUACUCCCGGGUGAAGGCUACAUCGGUAUCCGUGCGCUUGCGGAUUUUUCUGUUUGCGUUUAAAAUACCCAACAGUGGUAAUGAAGCUAAAAGUUUGAUGGGAGAGAUCCAUGAAGGAGUGUGUGGAGCACAUCAGUCGGCUUUUAAGAUGAAAUGGAUGAUUAGGAGGAACGGCUAUUAUUGGCCAACCAUACUUGAAGAUUGUUUUAAAUAUUUCAAGGGAUGUCAAGGAUGUUAGAAAUUUGGUAACGUUCAAAGGGCACCAGCAUCGGCCAUGAAUCCCAUUAUUAAACCUUGGCCGUUUCGGGGGUGGGCUAUUGAUCUAAUCGGCCAGAUUUACCCACUAUCAAGCAAAGGGCAUAAGUUUAUCUUGGUUGCCACUGAUUAUUUCACCAAGUGGGUAGAGUCUAUUCCUUUGAAAAAAGCUACAUCGGCCAAUAUGAUUGAUUUUGUGAAAGAGCAUAUUAUUUACCGAUUUCGUAUUCCUUAAACAAUUACUACCGAUCAGGGUACUAUGUUUACAUCAGGCGAGUUUGAUGAAUUUGCAAUCGGUAUGGGGAUUAAAGUGUUGAAUUCUUCUCCUUAUUAUGCUCAAGCUAAUGGACAAGCCGAGGCGUCUAACAAAAGAAUUAUUAAACUUAUCAAACGAAAGAUUGAGGAAAAUCCUAGGAGGUGGCAUACUUUGUGAAUGAAGCUUUGUGGUCAUAUCGGAUGGCUUGUCAUGGGUCAACCAAAGUUUUGCCUUAUCAGUUGGUGUAUGGUCAUGAUGUUGUAUUACCAUGGGAGAUUAAAACCGGAUCUAGGCAACUAUCUUUUCAAGAUCAGCUGACUGCCGAUGACUAUGCUACUUUGAUGAAAGACGAGUUGGAUGAUAUAGCAGGGCAUCGGCUGAGGGCUUUGAUGAGUAUAGAAGAAAAUAAAAAGAGAGUUGCCAGAUGGUAUGAUAAGAAGGUAAAGGCUAAGGAGUUUGCCGAUGGAGACUUAGUAUGGAAACUGAUCUUACCAAUCGGGACUAAAAGUUCAAAAUUUGGGAAGUGGUCUACCAAUUGGGAGGGUCCCUAUCGGAUAAAUCGAUCUGCUCCUGGCAAUGCCUAUAUUUUAGAAACUCUCAAAGGAGUUGAAUUUCCCAGGGCAUUGAAUGGCAAAUACUUAAAGAAAUAUUAUCCUAGCAUAUGGAUUGAUGCAUGAGAAGUUUAAGUGCCGAUAACUUUCCUAUCGGGUGGAUUAAAGUGUAUGUGGGGCUGGACUCAAUGUUUUAAAAGGAUGCCGAUAGCAGUCCUGUCGGCUAGACCAAAAUAAUCAGGAGUGUUUGAAGGAAAAGAGCAAAACACACCACCGAUGGAGAGUUCAUAUGUUUAGCAGAGCCUGGAUCGUUGAUAUGGCGCGCAGACGAAUCUGAUCGGCUUCUUCUAUCUCCUUCAUGUCUUCAUCGGCAGAGCCCUCCACUGGCUUCAGUUUCUUCUUCAUCUGCAGUGCCUUGCGAGCUUGGACAUUUUGCUCUUGUUCAAGAGUCUUGAUCAUCUCGGGCAGCUGGCUUUCUUCCUAUUGAGCUUGGGACAGAGCUUCUUCUACUUGUUUAAGUUCUGCCAACAGGGCUUCUCUUUUCACCGAUAGGUCAGAAAUCUUUUGCUUCAGCACGUCUCCUGAGGAGUUCAGAAUGCCGAUGCUCUUAUGCUUCUCAUCGGCAAGAUGCUUUACCUUCAUCACCUCCUCUGAAAGCUGGGCAUAAGUGGCCCUGUCGGCAAGGCGUUGAGUGGCCUUUUGAUACUGAAGCUGUCGACUCUCUAAGUGUGUGGCCUUGAAGAGGAUCUCCUCAUCAUCGGCAGGGAUCUGGCCUCUGAGAUUUUUGAAUGGAGCCUUGGCUGAAUCAGAAUCAUCAACCAGUUGGGCUGUGUCUUGAUGGAGGAUGGCUGACAAGUCUUCCAGCUUUGCUCUAAGCUCUGCCGAUGAAGUUCCAACUGCUUGGGAAGAGCUUGCUUCCUCUCCUUCAUCCUCAGAAAUUUCGAUAGCAAAGGAGAACAGGCUGUCAGGAGAAUCUUGUUCCUGAAAGAGGACAGGAGAUGGGUUAUUUGAUGACAAAAUAUUAGUAAAAUACAGAAUGAUAAUCAAAUAACUUACUUGCUUCAGAGCGAUUUCUCGCCUCUGGCUAGUUGAGGCCGAUGGCACUGUGGGUUGAUCGGCUGGAGUUGCCGAUGGAACAAUGUCAGCUGAAAAUUAAUAGAGGUAAUUAUAAAGUGGAAAAGUAGGUUCAUCGGCAAUAAAUAGAGAGUAUGUUACCUUGAAGGGGUGCAGUACUUGUCUGAAUCGAGGAAACUACCGAUGCUAUGAUUAAGCUUACUGGAUCGACGGUCUGCUCAUGUACAUCAGCCAAUGUUUCUUCUGGCUGAGGUUCUUCUAGCUGGAGUUCUUCUGUUUGGGGUUCUUCUUGUAGCUGAGGAGGAGAUGAUGCUUGUUGUGUCUGAGCUUCUAGAGAAGAGGGGAUGAUUCCACCGGAAUCGGUGACCUUGGAGGAGGAGGAGACGUUGCUGUUCUCUGGCGCUUCGCUUGUGUUCUGGUACUCUUGGAACCUUUUCUCUUUGGUUGGCUGGACUGGGGGGCAUCGGUAGUCGUGCUUCUGGUCUUUGCCGAUUUGCUAGUGUGCUGGUACAACAAUGAAAGUUUUAUGAGUACAAGUGUAACAGGGUAUUGAUGAGGUUCUGAUUAAAAUAAUAAAUUUACCGAUGAAGUUCCCAUGCUAGCCGAUGUGUCUUGAAAAAUUGUGUGAAUGUAAGAAUGGAAUCGAUAUAAGUUGAGGAAUUCAAGAAUUUACCUUGAAAGCUUGUGCCAAAGCAGUGGCAGCUAACGAUGGGGAUGUUUUCGUUCGUUUGGUGGUGAUUUUCUUGAGACGCACACCCCGGUGCAUUAUAGCAGCCAAGCUUGGAGCGUUGUUGCCGAUCAAAGAGAUCGGGCCCGAUGGAAGGAGUUCGAUCGGCCUGCCACUUCUGCUAACUAAUGGUGGCGUAUCAUCAACCUAUAUAAAAUAAAGAAAGUAAGUUACCAAUAGAAAAUGAGAAUGAAAGGAUUGAAACGUCGGUUAAAAUGCUUACGGUAUUAUCGGGGACCUUGUAUUUGGGGUCGAUCAUGCCACGAUAUGUGAGGGCCGAUUUGCAUAGCAGAUGCUCUUUCCACUCUUCCCACCACUGUUUGUAUGCCUGGGUGAUGAAGAGAGCUGGGUGUCCAAGCCGAUAAGUCGACAUCUGUAUCGGCGUUUGGCGAGAAUUGAGCUAUUCCGAUCCAUUCAAGAUUGCUGGUGAUGGUCUCCCUCGGCUUUAUCACAUCGGCGUAGCAAAGUGCAAUCAGCAGUUGGCCAAAAGCCACUUGGCGAGCUAGUGCCGAUGGAUUGUAAAACUCAUAGGUCAGAUUGGAAGCUUUCCCACUGCCAAAGAAGUUCACUGGUAUGGCCCUUGGGGUAAUAAUUGCCAUCAUCACAUCACGGUCCUUGUUGAGAGCAUCACUGAAAGGGUGGAAGGUCAGGGGAAUCUGGUGUCUGGAUCUUCAUAAGGCAUCCAUGCCCGCUGUUCUCUGGUCAGACCCUCAUACAGAGUUUGAAAGAAUCGGCUAACCUGGUCUUCGUUACCACCAGUGCCAGGUAAGACUAUGGCAGCUUCGCCAAAGUUCAGAGGGGAACGAGUUGCUGAUUAUUCUUCAUCCAGUUCAUAAUCCUCGGCUAUGUCCCUGGGGAAGCGUUGUGCAAAGAGGUCGAAUUCAAGGCGCUUGUGCAUGUGGAGAUUAAGCCACAUGUUGAUAAACCACCAAGGACCGCCUAAGUUGCCGAUAGGUUGGCCGAGCAGAAGUUUCCUGGCUACCUGGUGGAGGAGGUGAUAAACCGAACCAAGCAGGUAUCGGCCAAGAGGAAAUCGGCCGCCAUCGGCUAAUCUUUCUGCUGCUGAUAAGUAAACAGAAGUUGGUCCUACCGAUCGGCCACAAAAUACAAACUUAUCUAGCCACAUAUUGAGGAAAGUUGUAUGUUCCUUUGCAUUAACAGGUCCUGUUCUUUGGUUCUUCUGAAUGUACCCAGACCAACCGCCGAUGGCACGAGUUUCUACCUUGGAACUGGGUUUGGUGUCAAAUAGAUGGCUGUUAUCGGCAGUGGAUAUGUCUAAGCCGGUGGGCAUGAGCACAUCGGCAAGUGUAGAAGAAGCAGGGCCAUGGCCAAACACAAAAGCGUUGAGCAUGUCUGACCAACAGUAUGAGGCAGCAAUUAGCAGUGACUCAUUCCUCUCCAUAUCGGCAAGGGACAACCUAAUGCACUGGUCUAAUUUUCGCUCGCCACGUUGAACCUCAUUUCAGUGGCUGACUCUCAAGAACCAAUCCUUCCAUCCCUUGGUAGGACUGGGCCAGGAACGAAAGGCAUCUUUCCAUAGAUCUAGGGAGAAGUUUUCGGCUCUAAAGGGAACUCUAUUUGUCUCUGCAUUUAUCAGAUGGUGGGAUCUAGGUUUCCUAGCGGGCUAAGACAUUGGAGGUGAGGUUGAUCGGUAGGAAUAACGAUCUUAUCAGCCAAAUCCUAGAAGUUUUUGAGGAUAAAAAGAAGAACAAAAAGAAAAAGGAGUAUUCAGCAAGACGAAUUGUGGAUGAACAGGAGUACAGUAAAAGUGCAGGAGAAAGGGUGGUAAGCUGACCUCAGGAACAACGAAGUUGAUGGCCAUCUCCUCGCAGGGAAGAAGAUCGAAGACUUGGGGGAUGGUGAAGAAAGGCCUUUGUUGAAGUUCUUGGAGUCCUCGGGUAAUGACGCCACCAGGAAAGUAGAUUUUGGGCUGUAGAAUGCUGAGAUGAAGGAGUACCGGAGAAGGAAGUAUUUAUAGGACAAAUCAGGCAGGGGCAAAUCUGACUUAUCUCUUUGCUGCAUCCAUGAAAUCCGAGGGUAUUCAGGUGGAUAUGGUAACUGUUCGCACGGUAAUCAAGGGAUUGCGCAGGUGAUUUGACAGCAAGCGGUCAUGAUUUUGGAGAUAUUUCACUGUACAAGAUCUCCUAGUCGGUCCAUCGACAGUUCUCUCUAACGGUAAUGUUGCCGAUGGGCGCAUAAAGUGGAGAAAUUCGGUUCGAGAGGUUAAGGAGUUCGAGGAAUGUGCAAGAGAAUCGGGCCAAGGUUGUUGGGAUUUGAGAAACGGUUACCAAAUUGGGAGAAUUAAUGGCGGAAAGGCAUCAUUACUGCAGAGAAUUUUGGAGCAUUAAUGAUUUUAUACUUCGAAAUUGGGGGGCAUGUGUUGACACCGUUUUUGGACACGUACCUGGGGAUUAGUAAAGCAUAGAUUAGCAGAUGAAGCAACGGUAACUAAUCUACAGGGAAGUUGCCGAUGAAGAGGCAAUUGAAUGUGACUAAGUCCAGAGGUGGUGACGUGUUCGUGCCGAUGAUCAGUAUUAGUGUUUGCCGAUGGCCACAACAGGAGGCCUGCCGAUGACUAUGAAGGAAAGCGCGGAGAUUGCCGAUUGAUCUGUGGUGGUGUCCCGGUCGGUUACAAGGGGUAGUUUUAUGUUUUCCUUAGUUAUUAGAAUUCGUUUUGUGUACGGGUUACGUUUAGUUUGGAAUUCGAGUCCUGGUCGUGUCUGAUUGUAGCUCUUCCGACAGGGUAUAAAUAUAGACCCUAGGGCAAUGUAAUGAGACAAUCUAUCAAUCAAUCAAACACAAGUUUUUCUCAUAUUCCAGCAUCUACUUUUUCGACGACUUCGUCAUAUUUUCUUUUUAUUACGAGUUCUUAGGAAUUCGUCGACUUAAGCUCGGCGUGUUCUCAAGUUCCACAUGAUCACCUCUUGGCUGUGACAUCCGGGCGCAUCACUGUUGUUGGGACCAAAGUGGUCGAGUUACCACCUUUGUCGAUUGUAAGGUCAAAUCGGCUGGCACGCCUUAACGUUUAAAUCGGGUAUUAGCCCUUUGUGUUUGCAGAUCAAUUUUGCAUCAACAAUUGUGAUGUCCAAAUGAGAUGAGACUUGAGACAUUGGAAAGUAGACUCGACAAGCUUUCCAGCAAGUCCUCAUGGGCAUUCAUACCUUUUGUGAGUAAAAGAAUAUGAAGAUUGCCUUGCACUGGUCCGUUCUUGACUCUACUGGUCCAUUUUGCUAGUCUGUCACGGACUUGCACUGGUCCGUUCUUCACUCUAGUGAUUCGAUUUGCUAGCCCGUCUUCAGGGUCCGAUUCCUCUUUCUCUUCUUCUAUAUACCUGAGUACAAUCAAGGUACAACACUUAGGUAGUAUAUAAUUCUCAUUAACAUUAAAAUGAAUCCCACAAAGUAGCGCGUGGACCUCUUGUUGUAGCUUCUUUGCAUGACUACGUAUAACCGGUCCAUCGAUGACUUGGGCUGGUGUCCGUGUAGGUAAAACUUGAGUGGUUGUAGCUUGACUUGGAGCUUGUGACAUCUUGCUUGCUGGCAUGGUCAAAUCAACCUCCCCCUCUUGAAACGGAGUCGUCCUCGACUCUAACUCUUCUAAUCCAAAGAGUUGUGCUAGGCUAUUGGUUUGUAAUGUUCUGAUAACAUCGCAAUCUUCUUAUUCCAUAAUAGCAAGGUGUUUGAAUCUAUAAUCAUAUAAACCAAGUAGUAGCCCUGUAUGUGGAAACCUAAAUGAUUUGGAAUUAAGUUUAGCUUUCACCUUGAGUGGAUGCUUGAAUGUUGAUUGCCUUGGUAUGGUCUCAUCAGUUCUCAGCUCCCACCAUGGACAACAUCUGUACUGGACCUGUUGUGGAGAUCGAGUGGACAUUUGAGCUCCAGUCUGGGCUCAUCAACAUGGUGCAAGCAAAUCAGUUCUGUGGGAAGGCACAUGAAGAUGCUAGUGCUCAUCUCCAACACUUCCUGAAGAUUUGCAGCACGUUCACAAUUCAAGACGUUCCCAGAGACGCCAUACUACUUCGCCUUUUCCCAUUCUCACUGUUGGGGAGAGCGAAGGAGUGGUUGUAUGCAACAAAGGAGAAGAAUACUACGUGUGCACUCUGCUCCACCAACUUUUUGGCCAAGUUGUUUCCCAUGGGCAAGACCAAUGCUCUCUGUUGGAAGAUUACAAGUUUUCAGCAACAACAUGAUGAAUCUGUUCUAGAAGAAUGGGAGCCAAGUGCUUACAAGACUACAUCCUAGAAUGUCCCCAUCAUGGAAUGGAGAGUUGGCUACUGAUGCAGACUUUUUAUCAUGGGCUCGGCAACAGCACCUGUGAAACCAUGGAUGCUGCAGCCGGAGGAGCAUUCCUGUCACUGACCAUACCACAAACCGUAGCUCUUGUGGAGAAGAUGGUGUCCAACCAAGGUUGGAACGAAGAAAGAACUCAGACACGCAAGAAGGGUGGAGGUAUGCACCAGCUCAAGGAGGUUGACAUGUUGUCUGCAAAGAUAGACCCGCUCAUGAAGAAGCUCGAUGAUAAAGCUUAAAACAAGAAAGAAGUCAUGCACAUCUACAACUCUCAAAUGACUUGAGAGAAGUGUGGAGGUACUGGACACUCAGGCAAUCAUUGCACUGAGAUGUUUGAGGACGUGAACUACAUCAACAACAACAACAACACAUUGGAGUGAUUAAUCAAAUCAUGAUUUAUAGCAGUAUUAACCAUAUCUUGCAAUUUACUAGGAUUGGGAUUGAAGGUAACCUGUCGUGGCAUCGGCAGCUCUUGCUUCUGGAUAACUUCCCUGCUCAUUUUCAUGCUAAAGGAUUUGAGACAGAGCUGCCUGUAUUCCUCCAUAGCUCUCUCCAUAUCUUGCUUUUGUUCUUCCCUGAGGUCAGCUUCUGUCAUAGCGAUGAUGUUAUCCGUGUCGAGAUCAGAAGUCGCCAUGUCGAUAUUUGAUGAUGAGAGUCCCACCAGCGUGCCAAAAGAUGUGUUGAUGCAAAAAUAGAUCUGCAAACACAAAGGGCUAAUACCCAAUUUUGAUAUUAAGGCGUGCCUGUCGAUUUGACCUAGCAAUCAACAAAGGUGAUAACUUGAAUACUUUGGUCCCGACAAUAGCGAUGCGCCCCGAUGUUACGGCCAAGAGGUACUCACGUAGAACUCAAGAAAUCGUUGAGUGUUACUUGUCGAAUCCCUGAGAACUCGUAAAUAGAAGAAAAUAUGCAAGUUGACAAAGUCGUCGAAAUAGUAGAUGCAGAAGUAGAUGUAAAACUUGUGUAUGAUAUUGAUUGAUAUUUCUUACAUUGCUGCUAAGUCUAUAUUUAUACCCUGACCUAAAGAGUUACAAUCAUACACGAUUAGGAUCUAAUUCUAGACAAAACGGGACUCUUACAUAAAGCAUGCUCUAAUAAAUAUAGAAAAUAACACCUAUCUAUUCCUGUGUCCACUUCAAUAACGAUGAAACCUCCAUUGGCUCCUGCUUCAUCGGCAUACCCCUGUAGUCUCCAUUUUAAUCACUUUGUGGUCAUAUCGGAUGGCUUGUCAUGGGUCAACCAAAGUUUUGCCUUAUCAGUUGGUGUAUGGUCAUGAUGUUGUAUUACCAUGGGAGAUUAAAACCGGAUCUAAUAAAUAUAGAAAAUAACACCUAUCUAUUCUAGACAAAACGGGACUCUUACAUAAAGCAUGCUCUAAUAAAUAUAGAAAAUAACACCUAUCUAUUCCUGUGUCCACUUCAAUAACGAUGAAACCUCCAUUGGCUCCUGCUUCAUCGGCAUACCCCUGUAGUCUCCAUUUUAAUCACUUUUAUGUUCUCCUGCAUCAGCAUCGGCAACCAAUUGCCCUCAAUCGGCAAUGGCGAUCAAUCGGCAAUAACUAGCAAUCACCGUAUCCAUUCUCAAGCCAAUAGCAUGCUUCCACCAACUAUCAUUUCAUCACCAGCAUCAUUCAAAUCGGCUCUCGGCACCCUUCUGUUGACCUAGCAUAGCAACUUCCUAUUAUCGAUGAGAUCUCCUUAACCAUCUUGACUCAUGCGCAAAAACGGUGUCAACAGAUGCCCCCAAUUUCAUAAUACAAAAUCAUUAAUGCUCCAAAAUUUACUCCAGAUAAUGACACCCUUUUAAAAUUACUUCCCUUCUGAUAAAAAUCUAUUACCAAAUCUAAACAACCUUAACCUUGAUCCUCGCAUCUCAGUAAACAUCUCAGAUCUCCCAACGACCCGUAUCAAAUCAUAGGGAAAACUACCCAUCGGCAAGACUUUACUGCUAGGAUAUAUUGCCGAUGACUCGCUAAAAUAUUGUGCACAGUGAAAUAUCUUCAACAUCAUGAUUACACGCCAUCAAAUCACCUGCACAAUCCCUUGAUUAUCAUGCGCACAGUUACCAUAUCCAUCGGAACAACCUCAAAUUUCAUGGAUGCGGCAAAGAGGUAAGUCAAAAAUACCCCAUCUUAUCUCAACCUAUAAAUACUUCUUGCACCCUGCCAUUCUCGAUCUGCAAUCUCGUUCUCUUCGGCGGCGACUUCGACGAAAAAGCUCCAGAACUCAUCGAGAAGCUCCGCUGCAGUGGAACUCUCAACCCGGAACCUUCAAGUCUCUGGUUUUUUCCUCAUCUUGGAAGGAAUGGCCAUCAGUUUCACCGUACAUGAUGUUAAUCCACUCCUAUCCUCUCUUUCCCUUUACCGCAGUUCUUUACAUUCUUGCAAGUUCAUAUACUUAGCACUUUCUUCCUAUUUUUUCAGUUUUCUUAAUCCCCAAACUUUAGGAACUGAGUGAUAAAGUAGUUAUCCCUACUGAGCAACCCCUUCUCCAAUGCUUGGGUCCGAUGGGUGAUCCAGAUCCCACUGACAUAAUAAACAGCAAAACCAACAGGAUUCCGUUUAGGGCUAAAAAUUUUAAUCUAGAUCAGUGGAAAGACACAUUCCGAUCCUGGCCAAAACCCACUAAGGGAUGGAAGGACUGGUUUCUGAGAGUUAGUGGGGCUAAUGAGUUGUACUGGGGAGAGCACAAAAUAGACCAGUGUAUCAGACGCUCCAUUGCCGAUAUGGAGAAAAACGAGUCGAUGAUGAUAGCAGCCGCAUACUUCUGGUCAGACACCUUUAAUGCCUUCAUGUUUGGUCACGGCCUAGCUUCCCCCACACUUGUCGAUGUUCUCAUGCUCACUGGUCUAAACAUCUCGACUACCGAUGAUGAUAACCUUUUUAAUCGAAAGCCCGAGCACAGGGUAGACACCCGUAACAUCGGUGGUUGGUCAGGGUAUAUUCAGAGGUAUCGGCAAACCAGAUCGGUUGGUCAAAGAGAGCAGGCCAUUUUCCUAAAUAUGUGGCUGGACAAUUUUAUCAUUUGUGGCCGAGCGGUAGGGCCAACUUGUGUUUACUUAUCGGCAACCGAGCGAGUAGCCAAUGGCCACCGAUUCCCCCUCGGCCGAUACUUCUAAGUUCUGCCUAUCACCUCCUUCAUCAAGUGGCCGAGAAGCUCUUGCUGGGUGAACCCAUCAGUAACUUAGGAGGCACUUGGUGGUUCAUCAACAUGUGGCUCAACGCCCAUAUGCACAAGUGCCUACAAUGGAACUUCGCACAACAGUUUCCUCGAGACAUUGCCGAGGAUUACGAGUUGGCAGAAGAUGAAUCGGCAACUCGUUCGCCCCUCAAUUAUGGUGAAGCUAUCAUAGUCCUCCCUGGAACCGACGUGAACGAGAAUCAGAUUGGCCGAUUCUUUCAAACUCUCUACAAUGGUCUUUCUCGGGAUCAUCAGGCUUGGAUGCCUUACGUAGACGAGGAGUCCAGAUUCCCUCUCCUCUUUCAUCCUGCCGAUGAAGCGCUUAACAAGGACAAUGACCUAAUGAUGGCUAUUAUCACUCCAAGAGCAAUUCCAGUGAACCCCUUUGGUGGUGGAAAGAGCACCAAUACAACUUAUGAAUUCUACAAUCCAUCAGCACGGUCUCGUUAGUUAGCCUUCGGUGAACUGCCUAUCAAACUUUGCUAUGUCGAUGUGGUUAAGCCAAGGGAGACAAUUACUAGUGGUCUUGAGUGGAUCAAACUAGCCCAACUCCCGCCAGAUGCCGAUACAACAGAUGUCGAUCUAUUAGACUGGGUCCCAACUUCCUUCAUCACUGAAUCCUACAAGUUAUGGUGGGAGGAAUGGAAAGGACAAUUGUUCAUGGUAUCAGCUCACAUAUACCAAAACAUGAAAUUCCCGAUGAUGUUGUAAGUUUCCUUCCGAUACUCGAUUCCUCUUUUACCUUUAACUUUAUCGGCAACUCACUUUUUAUUCUGACAGGUCGACAACCCGGCACCAUCGGUGAGCAAAAGCGGACGACCUUUUGAUCUUCGGCCAGAAUCUCCAGUUUCUUUGAUCGGCCACAACGCCCCUAGUCUAGCAGCCCUGAUGCACCCAGGACUUCAUUUCAAGAAGAUGACUACCAAGAAAUCAAAGACCACUCCAUUGGUUGCUGCCGCUACUCUGGCGCAAUCUUUCAAGGUAAAAACCCUUAAUUAAUUCCUGUUAUACCGAUUCCGAUUUAUACUUAUAUUAUCUUUUUAGGGUGCAUCGACCACGACUAGAAUGUCAUUAGUAACUUUGCUUUGCACUAGACACCUUCAUUCCUCAAUGAAUAUUAGAAAUAUUCCCCUGUUCUUAUAUUUAACUCACCAAAUUUUAAAUCUUGUGGUAGCAAACUAGCACAUCGGCAAGGGUCCAAGGUACUCAAUCAUCUGGUGUCGAUGCUCCCCAGUCGGCAACCAACCAAGCCCCUCCUAAGAGAAAAGCCCCCAAAAGCACCAAGACUCAGCCGAAACGGCAGAAGGCAAUACCAACCUCUCCACCUCAUCCGGCGCCCCAUACUUACACAGAUCCAGCCGAUGCACCUAAGCAGACCAUCGAUCCACUCGAUCAAGGCACGUCAUUGCCCGUUAUUCCUAAGUAGACAACUACCAUUCCCUAUCAAGGUAAAGUACCAAUCAUAAAAUUAUUGCCGAUGAAUUUUUUACAUAAACACCAUCAUCAUCCUUAGCAUCUACAGCCAAAGAUAUUCAAUCAGCAAAUCCAGCCAAUCAAGGCACAAUACAAGUUGCAUCCCUAAGUCAAAGGAAAGAAAUCGCCCUGAAACAAGUAAGCCACCUGAUCUGCUCGAUUUUGUAUUAUCUGCGUCUAAUCCCAACUAACUCAUCUUCUCCUCCAUUUUCAGGAACAAGACUCCCCCGACAGCUUGUUCUCCUUUGCCAUCGACAUCUCUGAUGACGAGGGUGAAGAAUCAAAUUCCUCCUUAGUGCUCGGAAUCGCAUCAGUAGAGAUCUAUUCUAAGUUGGAAGAUCUACUGGGCCUUCUACAGCAAGAUGCAGCCCAACUGGUGGAUGACUCUGACCCAGCCAAGGCCAUCUUUAAGACUCUUUGGGGUCAAAUUCUAGCUGAUGCUGAAGAAAUGCUCUUCCAAGCCGCCCAUCAAGAGAGCCGCCAACUCCAGUAUCAAAAGGCUGUUCAACGCCUUGCCAAUAGAGCUGCCCAUGCCCAACUUAAUGAAGAAAUGUUGCAGGUAAAGCACGCUGCCGACGAGAAGCACAAGAGCAUCGACACUUUGCAAUCCUCAGGCGUCGAAUUAAAUCAGAAAAUUUCUAAUCUAUCGGCAAAGAGAGAGGUUCUACUUGAUAAACUUAAACAAAUUGAAGAAGCAUUAACUCAAGCCUAGCAGGAAGAAAGCCAAUUGCCCGAUGCGCUCAAAAAUCUCCAGCAGGAAAGGGAUACCCAAGCUCGCAAGGCGCUACAGAUGAAGAAGAAGCUAAAACCAGUAGAAGGCUCAGCCGAUGAGGAUACCCGAGAAAUAGAAGAGGCCAACCAUAUUCGCCUGCGUGCGAUAUCAGCCAUCCAGGCCUUGUUGAAUCUGUAAACAUUUUCAUUGGCAAUAAGUUUCAUCAGAUCUUUUGAAAACACAAGCAUUUGAUCCAACCUAUAGGAUUGUUAUCAACACUUAAAAUUCUUAUGCAUCGGCCCAGAUACUAGGGUAGUGUCUUUUUAAAUAUUUUCCAUUUAAUGCCCUAUGAAAUUCAACUCCUCCAAGAGUCUCUAGAAUAUAUGCAUUGCCAGGAGCGGAUCGACUUAUCCGAUAAGGACCUUCCCAAUUAGGAGACCAUUUUCCAAAUUUUGUACUUUCAGUCCCAAUCGGUAGAAUUAACUUCCAGACCAAAUCUCCAUCAAUAAACUCCUUAGUUUUCACCUUUUUAUCAUACCACCUAGCUACUCCUUUUUUAUUCUCCUCAAUGCUAACCAAAGCUUUGAAACGAUGUCUUGCCAGAUCCUCUAGCUCAUCUUUCAUCAGAGUAAUAUAAUCAUCGGCAACUAAUUGAUCUUGUCAAAAUAUUCACCUAGAACCAACCUUAACUUCCCAAUGUAACACAACAUCGUGCCCAUAUACCAUCCGGUAAGGCGACACUUUAGUUGCACCAUGACAUGCCAUCCGAUACGACCACAGGGCUUCAUUUAACACCGCAUGCCAUCUUUUAGGGUUUUCUUCAAUCUUCUGCUUGAUGAGCUUAAUAAUCUCUUUGUUAGAAGCUAUGGCCUGCCCAUUAGCUUGAGCAUAAUAAGGAUUCAACACCUUAAUCCCCAUAUCGAUUGCAAAUUCAUCAAACUCCCCCGAUGUAAACAUAGUACCUUGAUCGGUAGUGAUUGUCUGAGGAAUACCAAAUUGGUAAACAAUAUGCUCCUUAACAAAAUCAAUCAUAUUAGCCAAUGUCACUUUCUUCAAAGACAUGUGUCCCUUGCUUGACGGCAGAAAAAUCUGACCGAUGAGGUCAAUAGCCCAUCCUCGGAACGGCCAAGGCUUGAUAAUAGGAUUCGUAGCUAAUGCAGGUGCUCUCUGAAUAUUACCAAACCUUUGACAUCCUUGACACCCUUUGAAAUAUUUGAAACCAUUUUCAAGAAUAGUCAACCAAUAAUACCCAUUUCGUCUAAUCAUCCAUUUCAUUUUAAAAGCUAACUGAGGUGCUCCACAUACUCCUUCAUGGAUUUCACCCAUCAAAGUUUUGGAUUCUUCAUUACCAAGGCAUCUAAGCAAGAUUCCAUCCACGGUACGAUAAUAUAAUUCAUCAUCAAGGAGUACAUACUUGGUGGCUUGACACCUAACGUGUCUUUCAGCAUUCUUAGAUGGGUCUCUUAAGUAAUCAAUGAUUUCCUUUCUCCAAUCAUCGUCAUUGAUUGCCAAUAAAAAUGCUACCUAGAUAGGUUGAUACCCCAAAGCGUGUUGAGCCAACCGAUUAGCUUCUUCAUUAUGUAAUCAGGGAAUAUGCUCUAAACGGAAAUCUUUAAAUUCCAUCAAUAAUUGCAAACAUCUUUCAUAAUAUUAUAUUAAAAUCUCACUUCGGCAUUCAUAAACCCCAGCCAACUGAUUUAUAACGAGCAUAGAAUCACCAAAGAUUUCAACAGCAUCGGCACGAACUUCCCUCAAUAACUCCAAUUCUUUCACUAGAGCUUGGUACUCAGCCUGAUUGAUUGUCGAUGUAGCAACAAUCAGCAAUGAAAAUUCAUACUUCUUUCAACAAGGAGAAAUCAACACUACACCGAUACCUGCCCCUUGAUCACAUGUAGAUCCAUCAAAGAAAAGCGUCCAAGGAGCAACCUCCAAAGAGCCCACCAAACUGCAAUGUUGAGUAACAAAAUCGGCCAUAACUUGUCCCGUGACUGCUUUAGCUGACUCAUAAUGUAAGUCAAAUGAAAUGCCAGUAUCCAUUUGCCGAUUCUAAUACUCAUAAUCGGCAUCGACAACAUGUAUCUGACAACAUCAUCUUUGCAUAUGACACUACAUUCGGUCGAUAGCAAAUAAUGCCUUAAUUUAGUACAAGAAAAUGAAAGGUCCAAAUGGCUAGAGGGGGGGUGAAUAGCAUAUUUAAAAUUCUACAAACUUUACUAAACAAGUGAGUAAAAUAAGUGGCGAAGCUAUUCUAGCACUAGCACAACUAAGCUAUGCAAGCCACCUAAACAAGUCUAGCAAGAAGGCUAAACACUAAAACACAACAACUCUAUACUAACAAGAACUAAGCUACACAAGCUAAACUAACAAGGUAGGCAAGUAUGUAAAGAAAGGAGACUGAUUGUUAUAACGAUGUUGUAGAGAUGAGAUAUAUCCAAUCAAUCACGUACACAAUCACAAGAGAGACCUCGGCAAGAGAUGACACAAUAUUUUUUACCGAGGUUCACUUGCUUCCCAGCAAGCUACUCCUCGUUGUGGUGACACACCCACUUGAUGGAUCACGAGCUAAUUGGCAAUCCGAAGCCAAACCCUCAGCGGGUGCCACACAUCCACUCACAAGAUGGGGAUCCUCCAAGCCACAAGCAAUCCACUAGAGUAGCCAAUUGCGAUCUCCCGCGGGGAAGGCUCAAGAACCCCUCACAAAUCGCUUGGUGAAGUUCGAAACAAUCUCCAAUCACGAGCUCAACACCACCGCUGCUCCAAGCCGUCUAGGGCGUCGGGAAACACCCAAGAGUAACAAGAAAUCCGCAGCAAACUCAAGAAUCAAGUGCCACUAAAUGCUACUCUCAAAGCAAUGCACUUGAAUCUCACUCAAUCUCACUAGGAUUAGCAAUCAAGCAAGGAGAUGAGUGGAGGGAGUGUUCUCUAGCUCAAAGUAUGCCUCAAGUAUUCAAAAGUGCAAGAGAGAGCCUCCCAAAGCCGGCCACCAACUAUUUAUAAGCCCCCUCAAAGAACUAGCCGUUGGCUGUUUUCACUGGGCUGAAAACUGGGGCACCGGAUGCUACUAAGUGAGCACCGGACGCUCGAGUCCCUACAUCCGGUGCACUGGGGUUGGCCACGUGUCCUUCCUCGAUUUCACGUGUCAGAUCCUAACGGUCACCUGCGGAUCACCGGACGCUCUGCAGGUCCACAGCGGACGCAUCCGGUGCACACUGGACUCAUGCGCAGAGAGUUCCGCAAACCUGCGGGUCACCGGACGCUAAGCACCGGUAGCGUCCGGUGCUCACUGGACCCAUGCACAGAGAGGGUCGCAAAACACCCGCACACCGGACGCUAACCACCGGACGCUCUCAGAGUGCGUCCGGUGGUUAACCCUAGCAAGGUCAAGCACACCGGACUCUGAGGCCAGCGUCCGGUGCCUCCGCACUCAGCGUCCGGUGAGAGUUUCUCAGUGAGAAAACACUCCUGUGACUUCUCCAAAUUUCCCACCAGCGCAAUAGAAAAUAUACACUUAUUUUUCCCAAAACCCUCUCAACCCUAGGAACUCCACCACUUUCGUAAAUGUGCUAACACCAACAAGUGUCCACCACCAAAGUGCAUGUGUGUUAGCUUUUCACAAACAUUUUCCCAAAGGAGUUAAGUUAGCACUUUACUAGAUCCUAAUGCAUAUGCUCAAGAUAUGGACCAAGUAGCACUUGAUUCGAGUGAUGACCGUGAUUUCCCCUCUUGAUAGUCGGCUAUCUAUCCUAAACCCGGUCAAUCACUUCUCUACUCAUCUUAGACCGGCAAAAGCAAAACCCUAUGUUUAUACCUUUGCCUUGUUCACUUUCUCCUUUGCCUAUCAUCAUGAUCUCCACAUCAUGCUUCAUCUAUUUGUAAUCAUAUGACCACCUUUCCAUGCCACCAUGCACCUUCAUCACAUGUGUUGCUAUGCCUAACUCAAAUCACUUAAACACAAGGCAUUAGCAACUUGGUAUCAUUAUAAACCAAAACCAAACUUGGGCUUUCAGAAAAGUACAAACAUAAGCAUAAUUUCUCAAUAGCAGAAUACCUCAUCUCAGCAUCCACCAAUCUUCUACUUAAGUAAUAAAUCACAUGUUCUUUCACUUCAAAUUCUUGAAUGAGAGCUGAACCAAUAACUGCAUCAUCAGUCGAUAAGUAUAAUCUGAAGGGUUUUCCAUGCUGAGGUGGAACUAACACUAGAGGAUUUGUCAAAUAAUUCUUAAUUUCUUCUAAGGCCAGGUGUUGCUCUUUUCCCCAUACAAAUUCUUGAUUGACUUUUAAUUUGAGCAAAGGACUGAAAGCUCGGAUCUUGCCGAUCAAGGAUUGUAGCUCAGUUUUAUUGGCAGGAGCAACUACCUUGUUGAUUGCAUCAAUGGAUCUCCUGCUAAUUUCAAUCCCUCCCUAAUGCACCAUGAAACCUAGAAAUUGGCCUGCCAAUACACCAAAUGCAUAUUUAUUAGGAUUCAUCUUCGAACCAUGUUUCCUUGUGCAUUCAAGUAUUUUUCGCAAAUCGGCUAGAUGUUUUAUGAAAUCCCCUAACUUAACCACCACAUCAUCAAUAUAAAUUUCCACCAACAUGCCGAUGAACUCGUGAAAGAUGAAAUUCAUAGCCCUCUGAUAAGUAGCACUAGCAUUUUUCAAGCCAAAGUCAUGACUAUCCAUUCAAAUAACUCGACAUGACUAGGACAUCUAAACGCAGUCUUGGGAAUAUCUUCUUCAGCCAUGAAUAUUUGAUUAUACCCUGCAUUGCCAUCUAUGAAGCUAAUAAUCCGAUGGCAGCUGCAGCACCAACCAAUAAAUCAACAACUGGAAUUGGAUAACCAUCCAUCGGUGUAGCUUUGUUAAGAUUUUUAAAAUCAAUGCACACACGAAGUUUUCCAUUCUUCUUGUAGAUAGGAACAACAUUGGAAAUCCACUCAGCAUACUGACACUAUCAAAUAAACUUAGCUUCAAUGAGUUUGGUUAUUUCAGCCUUAAUAUCAGGAAGAAUAUUAGGGUUGCAUCGGCGUGCUGGCUGCUGAUGUGGCCGAAAUCCAAAUUUAAUAGGCAACCGAUGUUCAACAAUCGAUCGGUCUAAUCCAGGCACCUUAGUAUAAUCCCAUGCAAAGCAAUCUUUAUAUUCCUUUAAUAAAUUGGUUAAUUGUUGCUUACAUUCAGAAUCUAACUUAGCAAUAAUGAAAGUAGGUCUCGGCCUAUCACCACUACCUAUGUCUACUUCUAUUAAAUCAUCAGCUAAUGUAAAUCCCUGUCUUAACUUCCCAUCAUCGGCAAACCUAUCUAUUAAAACUCUUCAUCAGAACCGACUGCUUGGAUCGGUGGAAUCUCAUAAUUGGCAACUUUGAGGAAAUCUUUCUCCCAAGUUUCUCCCGAUAUGCACCUGGUUCGCUCAUAAGUAUCUGAUUCUACUGAUGCAAUGAUGUAGGAAGAAUCCCCAAGAACAACUUCAAUUUUAUCGCCUACCCAUUGAACAAGGCACUGAUGCAUCGUAGAAGGGAUACAAUAGUUGGCAUGAAUCCAAUCUCUCCCUAACAGUAGAUUGUACGUGCCUUUUUCCAUUGAUGACAAAGAAAGUUGUCGGCAAGGUCUUGCUGCCAAUUGUCAAUUCAAUGCAUACAAUCCCUUUAGCUGAAGAUACAUUACCUUCAAAAUCUUUCAACAUCAUAUCAGUCCUGGUUAAAUCCUGAUCUCCUUUACCAAGCUUCCAAUACAUUACAUAUGGCAUAAUAUUAAUUGCAGCCCCUCCAUCAAUAAGUAUUUUGGAAACCGGCUGCCAAUCAACCCUACCUUUAACAAAUAAAGUGUUAAGAUGCUGCCUUUCAUCAUUGGAAGGUUUCUCAAAAAUAGCUGUAAUUGGAUCAAGUGCCAGCUGAGCAAUUUGAUCAGGGACACUAAUUUCAACAUCAUCACUAGAAGGCGCAAGAAACUCCAUCGGCAACAUGAACACCAUGUUGACAUCCACCGAUGGUCCUUUCCCCUUGCGGUCCAACUGCUGCCAAUCUUCGGUAUUAGAAGAAUUUUCAUCUCUAUACAAUUCUUCUUGACGUUCCCGCUGCAUCCUCCUCCUCUGUGUCCAUGUUAAUCCUUCUGGUCACCACCAGGGAAGCUUUGUCUUCCAAACUAGAUGAUAGCGAACCUCCUUUGACUCUACACAAUGAAUAUUAGAAUCUCUACAAAAUAUGAAUUCAUCGGGAACCCAUGCGUUUGCUAUUUCUUCAAGUUCAUCCUGAUUCCUUGGAAAAUGACCGACACAUCCACCAAGCGUAUCGUGCACGCUAAGCCUACCCCCAGCCGAUCAUGGACUGACGUUCUCCCCCUAACCGGCUCGUUGAAACGUUGAUCAUUGUUCUAGAACCUCCGAUCUGACCGAUCAUACCGGCAACAACCAUUACACUCGGGACAAUCCUGAAUAGUCGGCAGUUUGAUAUUUCGUUCCCAGCAAUGAAUGAAGAACGGGCAAUCCCAAUGAUCUUUAUGCCGAUUCCACUCUUCUUGCUGCCUCUCUUCUUGUUGACGCUGAUGCCGAUCCUCACACUGUUGCCAUGUUUCCCGAAGCCGUCUAUAAGUAAUUAUAACACCAGACUGGGGAGGUCGACCAGAGCUACUACUUUCCCUUAUCAAACCCUUUCCGUUGGCGUCAUUGGUAGUUACUUGAUGUUUUGGAUCCACCAAUGCAUUCUUCUCAGUCAUUUCUGAUGUUAAGACCUUGGUCUUACCUUUGGCAUCUAACAUAUUUGUGGGGAAAGGAUGCUGAACAAUCUUCAUUGGCUUCUGAGUUUUGGAACUAUCAAACUUGAUUCUUCAAGAUUAUAUAGCCGACUGCAAUUGCUGCCUAAACACUUUGCAUUCAUUUGUGCUAUGUGAAGUUGCAUUAUGCAAUUUGCAAUACUUGAUUUUCUUCAAUUCCUCUGCUGAUGGAAUUACAUGAUUAGGUGACAAUUUAAUUUGUCCUUCUUGAAGCAAGAAAUCAAAUAUCCUAUUGGCUUUGGUGAUAUCAAAACAAAAUUUCUCUAGUUCUUUCUCGCCAAAAGGACAAGACAUCGGCUUCUUAUUUUUCACACACUCUAACAAGCCGAUGACUGGUUCUUCAACAGAAUCAGAGUAUCCUACCUCAUCAUCAAAUGAUACAUUCUUAUUCCAAGCCUUUCUAGGUUCAAAAGCCUUGACAUCUUGAUCAGAAAUCCUCUGCACCAAAUGACUCAAACUUUCAAACUCUUGGGAAGCAUAUUUAUCUUUGAGAUGUGGCAGCAAUCCUUGAAAGGCCAAAUCGGAUAACUGCCAAUCAUCCAGAACCAGACUGUAACAUUUGUUCUUUACGUCCUGUAGCCUCUACACAAAGCUCUCCACUGAUUCAUCAUUACGUUGUCUUAAUCUUACUAAAUGGGUAAUCUUGUUCUCAUGAACUUCGGAAAAAAAGUAUUUAUGAAAUUGCUUUUCUAAAUCGGCCCAAGUAAUGACUAAAUUUGGAGGUAAUGAAAUAAACCAGGUAAAAGCCGAUCCUGACAGAGAUGAUGAAAAUAAACGAACUCUUAAUUCAUUUCUGUUGGCAGCUUCUCCACAUUGAAUGAUGAACCGAUUGACAUGUUCCAUGGUUGAGGUAUCAUCUUGCCCAGAGAACUUAGUAAAAUCUGGUACUUUAUACCAAUUUGGGAGUGGACUUAAAUCAUACGCAGGAGGAUACGGUGUCCGAUCAGAGUAAGUGUUAACCUUGGGUUUUAACCCAAACUGAUCUCUCAUAACCUCUACUAUCUUAUCGGCCUAAUAAGCAUCGACAUCUUGCCGAUGUACAGUUUGAACUUUUGGCACCUGCUGAUAUGCUUCCACGUUUCUUUGGGGUACACGGUCUCGAGCAAACAUCAUAUUAGCCAUAGCUUGUGGACCACCAAUCUGCUGAGCAAGAUUCAUCGGUUGAACUGCCGAUGCCUGAUUCUGAAAACUAGCCUGCAUGUGACCCUGCUGGAUCCCUUCAACCUGAUGAUUCUGCUGCAUUGUAUGUGGAAAGACCAACUGCCCUGUCCAACCAUUAUUAGUGUUCACUGGCCCUAGAUUUGCCGAUGACUGGUAAUUGGUUGUCAUUACUAGAUUGACAUAACCUACCUAAGACAUAAACCUUUGUUGCACCGGCAAUGGAUUUGCCGAUGAAUUCGCAUUAGGCAUCUGGAAUGUGGCGCCUGAAAAUUCCCAGUAUCUGGCCUCACAGUAGUUGUUGUAGAAUACUGUGGAAUUUGAGUCAUCGGUGAGACUGGAGGUGCCGAUGGCAUGGGCAUUUUCCCCGCUAAGUCAGUUACCUAAGAUGUUCCAGAACCAUUUGCGAAACACUCUGGAGGCAUACCAUAUCCCCACAAGUUGGGAGGAACCUGACAGUUAUGAAAUACAGACCCUGACAUGGCCGAUGCUGAUAGAUCUGUGUUGAGCUAAACCCGUCCCCCUGAGAUCAUUGGAUCAGAUCUCAUCGGUGUAGAUUGCUUAUUAGCUAACCCCAAUGUGCUUGGAGGAGAAGUAACCUCUGUACCCGCAACGGCUGAAGGAGCCGAUGGAGCCACAACCGAUGAUAAUCCUGGCUGAUGAUAGGCCAGGCCAGCAUAGAGUGGUGGUGCCUGUCCUUCUUUAAAGGUUCGGACCACAACAUUGUAAAUAGUAUUAGACAACACAUUGGAGUGAUUAAUCAAAGCAUGAUUAAUAGUAGUAUUAACCAUAUCUUGCAAUUUACCAGGAUUGGGAUCAAAGGUAACCUGCCGUGGCAUUGGCAGCUCUUGCUUCUGGAUAACUUCCUCGCUCCUGUUCACACUAAAGGAUUUCAGAUAGAGCUGCCUGUAUUCCACCAUAGCCCUCUCCAUGGCUUGCUUUUGUUCUUCCCUAAGGUCAGCUUCUGUCACAGCGAUGACAUUAUCCGUGUCGAGAUCAGAAGUAGCCAUGUUGAUAAUUGAUGAUGAGAGUCCCACCAGGCAUGCCAAAAGAUGUGUUGAUGCAAAAAUUGAUCUGCAAACACAAAGGGCUAAUACCCAAUUUCGAUAUUAAGGCAUGCCUACCGAUUUGACCUAGCAAUCGACAAAGGUGGUAACUUGAAUACUUUGGUCCCGACAGCAGCGAUGCACUCAGGUGUCACGGCCAAGAGGAACUCAUGUGGAACUCGAGAAAUCGUCGAGUGUUACUCGUCGAAUCCCUGAGAACUCAUAAACAGAAGAAAAUAUGCAAGUAGACGAAGUCAUCAAAACAGUAGAUGCAAAAGUAGAUGUAAAACUUGUGUAUGAUAUUGAUUGAUAUUUCUUACAUUGCUGCUAAGUCUAUAUUUAUACCCUGACCUGAAGAGUUACAAUCAUACACGACUAGGAUCUAAUUCUAGACAAAAUGGGACUCUUACAAAAAGCAUGCUCUAAUAAAUAUAGAAAAUAACACCUAUCUAUUCAUGUAUGCACUUCAAUUACGAUGAAACCUCUAUCGGCUCCUGCUUCAUCGGCAUACCCCUGUAGUCUCCUUUUUAGUCACUUUUACGUUCUCCUCUAUCGGCAUCGGCAACCAAUUGUGCUCCAUCGACACCGGCGAUCAAUCGACAAUAACUAGCAAUCACCGUAUCCAUUCUUAGGCCAAUAGCAUGCUUCCACCAACUAUUAUUCCGUCAUCGGCAUCAUUCAAAUCGUCUCUCGGCAACCUUCUGUUGAUCUGGCAUAGCAACUUCCUAUUACUAAUGAGACCUCCUUAGCCAUCUUGACUCAUGCCCAAAAAUAGUGCCAACAUUAGCUUUAAUAAAAUGAUUGAAUCUUAGUUGAAUCAAAUAGCUGUUGCUGUUCCUGCUACUAACCCUGGUAUACCGUCACAACCAGAAGGGCUAGAAUCUACAAAUCUUGUAGACAUGUUUGAUGCAGGUAACUACUAGAGAAACCAUGUAGUUGGAAGACGUAAUAACCUUCUGCUAGUCAAGAGAGGCGAUCCAGGACGCCCCAUCAUCCCGAUUUCCAUCGGCAUGCUGGACUUCCUAGAAGCACUCUGUGACUUUGGCUCAAGCGUCAACAUCAUGCCCAGGGUACUCUAUGAAAAAUUCUUUACCAAUCCUUUAUCAGAUACAACCAGUGUUUGCAGCUUGCAGAUCGGACACUGAGCUUUCCAAAAGGAAUAUUGAAGAACAUCUGUGUCCGAGUUGGUACCUCGUACGUCCCAGCAGACUUUGUAGUGAUUGAGACCGGUGUUGAUGAGAGGUCACCCAUCAUCCUAGGGAGGCCAUUCCUGAACACCUCGGGAGCUAUCAUCUAUGCUAGCGCUGCAAAGAAUGUCCUCCGUCUGCUAGUCUUCUUGAUCCUUAAAUUCUAUGGAGCUCAAAUAGACAACAAAGCUUUGUGGAACUGAUUAGGUGUUAGCAUAAAUAUCUAGCCUUUAUCAUGUUGAGCCUCCUCAAUAAAUGUUACUCUCUAUUUUAUAUUUUCAUUUUAUAGAGCAGAAAAAAAUAUUUAUUUUAUUUUUAUGCCACCACAGUGAAUGUACUUAUGGGUUUUAUGCCACUUGUAUACUCACAUGGGGCUUACUGGUUUUAACAUUUUUUUCUUUUUAAAAUGAUAUGAACCUGAUUAACUAAGCAAACUAUUUUAAAUAAUUGAAAGGAAAAGAUAACUACCAAGUUUCCCUCUUGGUAAGGCGUUCAGUCUUUUUAAGUCCUCCAAACGGGACUCUCCGUUUUCUCAGUUGUCCUCGGAUUCGCUGGAUGGCGUAGUCGGUGCUUCCAGCGGUGCCUCCUCUUCGUGUAUAAAUAUCUUCUCUCUCCACACCUGACUCGGUGCUAUGGUCUCCUCAGGAUAAUUCUGUUCAAGCUGUAUGUCUUCAGACCUUACCACUUCUCCUUCAUAGUCUGCCCAUCCGUCCUUGAUGAUUUCCCUCCUCUGGUUGCGGUUGCGUCGUCUUCUUCUUGUCGUGAUCUGCUUAGAGUCUUCAACUAUAUAGUUAUUGUCAGUAAAAUAGCGGCGUACCUUCUUUGAGGGGAAGUGCAUGUGGACUUCUCCGGUUCCAAUGUAGAUGAUUGCUUUAACGGUGCUGAGGAACGGUCUCCCAAGGAUGAUGGGUGGAUCGUACUCAUCUUCUCCCAUAUCAAUAACCUGAAAGUCUAUAUGGACAAAAUGAUCGUCUAUUUUAAUAAUAACAUCAGUUACUAUUCCUUCAACCUUUUCAGAAUGUCUGAUGUGCCAUCUGGAGGUGAAUGUAUGUUGGUUUUAGGGGCAUGGUUCCGAACAAGAGCCGAUAGGUGACUGCGGCCAUUAUGUUGACGCCCGAUCCGGUGUCGCAAAGUGUCUUCUAGAAGUUGUAACCAUUGAUGGAGCAGUAGAAGCUUGGCAUACCUGGGUCAUCCUUCUUGGUCAGAAAUGGUGACUUGAGUCGACGAUCUUGUCCUUCAUGAACUGCAUUUACCAUCUUAGCUGACUCGGUCCACACUUGCUUGUUCCUGUUCCUCCUAUUGGUCUUCUUCCUUGGUUCAUGUUGGGAUUGCUCUGGGAUUUGUGUAUCUUGAAGGAAAACGUCUCCUUCCUCCUCUUGAUGUAGAAACUGAUCUUGGCAGCACUAGCGUAGAUGACAGCUCCUGAGGUGUUCAGGAAUGGCCUUCCAAAGAUGAUGGGUGCCCUCUCAUCAUUACCGGUCUCUAUCACCACGACGUCUGCUGGGGCGUACAAGGUACCAACUCGGACGCAGAGGUUUUUCAAUAUUCCCUUGGGGAAACUUAACGUCUGAUCUGCAAACUGCAAACACAUGGUUAUUUCUAAUAAAGAAUAUGUAAAGAAUUUUUCGUAGAGUACCCUAGGCAUAAUGUUGACACUAGAGCCAAAGUCACAGAGUGCUUCUAGGACGUCCACCAUGCCGAUGGAGAUCACGAUGAUGGGGCAUCCUAGAUCGCCUCUCUUGACCGGCAGAAGGUCAGUAGUAACUCUGCAAUGGGGUUACUCCAGUAGUUACCUGCAUCAAACAUGUCUACAAGAUUUGCAGAUUCUAAUCCUUCCGGUUGUGAUGGUACACCGGGGUUAGUAGCAGCAGCUAUUUGAUUUAACUGAGAUUCAAUCAUUUUAUUAAAGCUAAUUUGAUUCUUGAUGGCAGUAGAGAAAUUAUCCAUUAUAUUAUUUAUAUUUUCUAGCAUUUUAUCAUUAGAUGCCAAUUUCUUAGAUAGGUUAUCCAUUAGCCUUCCUUGAUUAGACACUAACUCUCUCAAAGGUGGAAAAUUAUUAUUAUUGUAAGAAUUGUUACCUUGAUAAUUACCUGAGUAGUUAGGCCUCUGUUGAUUCCAACCUUCAUUUUGUUGAGGACCUACCUGGUACUGGUGGUAAUGAAGACCAGGUUAGCCGAUUCUUCCAGACUCUGUAUGGUCUUCCCAAAGAUCAGCGGGCAUGGAUGCCUUAUGAAGAUCCAGAAACUAGGUUUCCACUCGUCUUCCACCCCUUCGAUGAUGCUCUUAAUAAGGAUAAUGACCUAAUGAUGGCAAUUAUCACCCCGAGGGCCAUCCCAGUAAACACCUUUGGCAGUGGGAAAAACUCUAGCCCCACUUACGAGUUUUACAACCCAUCGGCAUUAGCUCGCCAACUGGCAUUUGCACAACUACCGAUCAGACUCUGUUAUGCCGAUGUGGUGAAGCCAAGGGAAACUAUAACCACUGGACUUGAGUGGAUAAGGAUAGCUCAGCUUCAACCAAAUGCCAAUACGACAAAUAUCAAUCUAUCGGCUUGGAUCCCGGCCUUCUUCAUCACUCAGAUGUACAAACAGUGGUGGGAAGAAUGGAAAGAACACCUGUUCAGCACAUCGGCUCUCACAUACAGUGGUAUGAUUGACCCCAACUACAAGGAUCCCGAUAACACUGUAAGUCAUCGACCGAUAUCUCAGUUCCUUUGUUAUUUUGACUCUAUCAGUAACUUACUCAUUCUCAUUUAUUUUCUUAUCUUUCGACAGGUCAAUAACCCAGCACCAAUAGUUAGCAGGAGUGGAAAGCCGAUUGAACUCCUCCCAUCAGGCCCGAUCACUCUGAUCGGUCACAACGCACCAAGCCUAGCAGUUUUGAUGCACCGCAACGUGCGCUUUAAGAAGACAACCACCAAGCGAGCUAAAGCAUCCCCACCGGUAGCCGCUGCUACCCUAGCACAGGCUUUCAAGGUAAAACUCUCUAAUUUUCUUUUGUCGGCACUAAUUUUACCCCAUACUCACAUUAUAUUUUCAGGGUACAUAGGCUGCAACAUUAGCUUCAUCGAUAACUUAUCUUUCAGCAAAAUUCCACUAGUAUUUUUAUAACUUUACUCAUGAAAUUUUGGUUGUUGCCAUAGCAAACUAGCAAAUCGGCGAAGACCAGAAGCGUCCAAACAAGUGCCGAUGCCCCCCAGCCUAGCCAAGUCAAGAGAAAAGGCCCCAAGAGCACCAAGUCACAACCGAAGCGCCAGAGAACAGCACCAUCUUCUCCUCCACGUCCAGUGUCGCCGAUCCACGUGGAAUCAUCCCCUUCUUCACCUAAAAUCUAGACACAGCAAGUACCGUCUCCACCUCAACCAGCACCUCAGCCACUAGAAGCACCAGCUGAUGUAUCUGAGCAGAUUGCUGAUCCAACUGAUUUGAGCAUGUCAUCGGUUGUUCCUCCAGAACAUACAAGUAUGUCACACCCGGUUUUAAGGAACAAAACCAGGCUAGCUAUAUGUGUGCCUAGGAAGUCCACACAUACAACAACAGAAAGGAACAGUAUCAGAAACAAUGUUAUAUAGCGAAAACAUACUUAUAAUUAACACUUACAUCAGAGUAUCGCGGAAAGGUAACUAAUCUUCAGGCUCAAUCUGCACAGGGACGGUUGACUGGGGGUAACAUAUGCCUAGCACUUCUUGUAUCCUGAGAACACCUUCAUGAUUCCAUCGCUCUUCUGCUCAACUCUUACUAGUAAACUGAAGUGGUGGGAAAUAGCAAGAGUGAGCACAUGUCGUACUCAACAAGUAUAACCAGGGGUUCAUGAGGCUCAAAUAGCUGACACUGGUUUGACUGCAUUUAGCUUUUAAUAGUGGAGAGCAUGUUCAUAAUUUAAUAGCAAUUGUCAAGGUAGCAGUAAUAAUCCAUUAAUCACAUGAUCAAGUGUAACCAUAAUUAAUUCUUAGCAUAAACGAUAAUCAAAUGAACAUAACAACUUAACAAGCUCAUCGUCGUCGCAGCAAGAACCCCCAAGGCCGCUCUUAACCGUGAGCACGGCUAGUAUACUAGUUUUAACACUCUGCAGAGGUUGUACAUCUUUACCCAUGAGUCAUGAUUUACCCUUUCGCCCGAGGUGAUCAGCCUCUUAACCCACUCCCAAGGAAGGUCGGCAGGGAUCACUAUGAAGCCUUUCAAAAGUUCGUCUAACAUGUUAGGGCCGCAAGGUUUCCUUUGCGAGCAGAUAUAGAUACCCCUCUUCCGAAUGGCACAAUGACGCGCAGCCUAUACACAAAGGGACAGGGGCUCGCACUAUACCCGUGUCGGUUCAGCCCCUCCGCCCUUUCGGGUAACCUCUAACAAGCUAGAAAAGGUCUUCAUACUGAGCUAAAGCCAGAGCCAUUAUAGCCCUCAUGGUUGCACUGUUGUCCCGGUGAUCACUUACAGACAAGAUCUCAUAUAGUUAUUUGUCAUCUUUUAACGUUCAUUGCAUAGCUAUUAAUCAUCUUACAAGAUCAUGGAUUAUAUCAAGCACUAGCACAUCUACACCAAAUGCAUAUCAAGUAGGUAGCAAGGAAUCCAGGAUAACAAACAUCUAUGAUUUUGCUAAGGUCGACAAGGUGAUAGCAUGCAUAUGAUAUAUAUGUGUAGUUAUAAGUGAAUAGGUAACAAGGAUGAUGCCAAGUUAUACUUGCCUUAAAUACUUCCUUUCCACUUAAGGUUAAAUGCUCAUAGAAAUCCUUCGGUCUUCUUUCUUGUAGCUUUUGUCCCCCAGCGCUCACAUACAGUUCUCGUCUACUCGUAGCAAACACCACACAUAAGCAAACUUACAAGCAACAAACAGAAAUAUCUAAGAACAAUACAUCAAUCAAAAUAAAAGCGUUAAAAGAGAGCGUACUAACGGCAAGGCUCGAUGCUAAAUUAUCAUAAAAAGAAAUGACUACCUAAAGUUUUGGAUAUUAUAAAAGAACCAACUAUAAUCUUAAUAUGUUUUAGUUAAGAAAAAUCAUUUGUAACCUACUAAUUCAGAUUAGUCAAUUUAUAUUUUAAUCUUUAAAAACAAAUUGGAUCUAAUUAUAUCUUAUUUAUGAACAUGUCUAUUAUUUAAUCAAUAAUCAUAUUUCAAUUAUAAGCAUGCACGCAUCAUUUUAAUCAAAGUAAACUUUAACUUUUCAAAGAAUGUGUGAAAACAUCUAUUCAAAUUAUUCAUGAUAAGUGUUGGAUAUGAUCAUAUUUUAUUCAUACAUAAUUUUAUAUCGUUUAUGCCGGUUAAACUAUAACUUGUAAAAUAAUAUAACAUGCUAACACUAAAAUAAGUUUAUGGUAUAUAUCGUGAUUGUCUAAGCAAAAUAUAAUUAAACACAUUUCAAGUUACUAUUAGUUAAAUUCAUGCUCAUAUAAUUACAAAGGAUAGACAUGACAACCUAUAUUAUUUUUAAUUAUAAAACUAACUAUAUUAAACAAUUAAAUAUUUAGCAAUAUAUGGAAAACAUGUGACAUGAAAAACACUAGCACUAACGUGUAGACUACAUUGCUAUGAGUCUAACACAACUUGAAUGGCUCAAAACGGAGAUUAUAUGGUCAAAACAAGCUAGUGUAUUUACUUUAUAUUCUAGAAUUAAUUUUGCAAAGAAAAACGGCCACAAAACUCAUGUGACAUCAUCAAGCUAGUAAUAGAAAAACUACACUGCAGCCAACACAAUAUCUCAACAUGACGAUUCGGAAUGCCGGCGAACUCAGAAAUAGAGUACAAUGAGGACACACAGAGAUAGAAAGGCUAAGGAGAGCUCACCUAGGUUAUUCACAAUUAGCGAUGGACGCAUGACGAGAACGUAGAGCUCGGUGGAGCGGACGCAUCAACAGGUUCUUCAAUUCCUGGUGGAUCUCGGCAAGACGUACACAUACAGCAUCAACAGGUCCUCUUCCUUAGACAUCACGUAUAUGGGCAUGGCUGACUGCUGCCCUGCUUAAGCCUUCGUGGCUGGUUUGCACGGCAGGGGCAAAAAUCUCCACACUCACGCACGCAUAAGGGCAGCGCGGCCACGAUCUCUGGGCAGCUCGGGGCGGCGGAAGCUAACUAGGGCAAAACCAAUAAGCUGAUUCGUCAAUACCUCAUAUGGCUUCGCCCUUUAUAUGUGUGGAUUCACGAUGACCUAGUGGGCUCACAGGACGAUGUCCGACUCGAAUACAAUUCAGAAUUUUAUAUGAGGAAGGAAAUCGAGAGGUUCACAUAUGCAAAGAUACAGAGGCUGACCCAAAAACACUAGGCCUUCCAUAGGCCCAAAAGUGAAGGAAUGGGUGUAUAUGUGCCGAUUGAGAAGACAAUGUGAUCCAAGAUAAAUUAUUUAGAGCUGAUGGAAAGAUUUCUAUUGUUUUCGGAAUUAAAUAAAUUCAUGGAUAAAAUAUUUUCAAAAAUGUCCAAAAUUAUUAUUAAUUAACCCAUGAAAAAUUCUCUGGAAGCUCCAAAAAUUCAGGAAAAAUUAUCAGAGACAUUAUGGAACAAGAGGCACCAAAAUAAAGUAUUUUGGAGCUUAUAAAAUAUAUCUUGGAGCAUCUAAAAAUUAGAUUACGCUUGCAGAAAAGUGAGAAAGAAUUCCCAAAAGACAGAAAAAAUCUCGAGAACUUUUAAUUAGUCGGUUGGUGAAGGAUAAACUUAAUGAUUUAGAGUAGAAGAAUAGGAUAUAGAAUACUUUAAAUGAAAAGAUGAAAAGAUUACGAUCAAGAAAGAGGAGACUUAAUUAUAGAAAAAGAUAGAGACACACCGGAUACAAAACAACGACUUACUAAACACACUCUAAAUUUUACCCACUCACAACACAAAAUCAAGCCAUAAGCAAGCAUCACACCACAUCAACAAAUCCCAUCAAGUUAAUUCAGAUAAAUUUGAAAAUUCACAUUUUCCUAUAACUAAAUUUGCACUAACUCAAACUAAACUUAGCAAAUCUUAUGCAAUAUUAAAUUUAUUAUAUUUGUUUAGUGUUUUCUAUGCACAACCCAAAAUCAGAAGUUUUGGGGUGUGACAAUUCUACCCCACUUAACAGGAAUCUCGUCCCGAGAUUCGGAGAGACUAGGAUAAAGCAGAUCUUCAAUAUUGUUUUGAGACUUUUGAUGAGAUAUGAUUUAGGGGUUAAGGAUGAAUAAAAGUUAAUAGUGAUGUCAAGGAUUGGUUCUCAAAAAACACACAGAUCGAUGAUGGUAAAAGUGCAUUGGAGAAGUGAAGUUGACCUUUAGGUUGUUAUAUUGUAAGGCAAACAAUCAAGGGGCAAGACUAACAAAAGAGCAUAAGAGAUGAAGAUUGAUGACAGAAAAGAUAAAGUUUGAUAUACCAGAAAGAGAUAUACAAAAAGAAAUUUAAUUGAUCAUUAGGUCUUCAUAUCUGGAAUACUUGAGAUAGAUGACGGUAGCGGACGCAACCCCACUUAACAAGAUUGAGCUACUUCUCAAGAGAAUACCUUGUGGGCCUCCUUCAAAACACAAGAACAGAGACAACACGCAAGCAACACACCAAACAAGACAAACACACAACACACAUCGAUACUACACGUGUUUCUUCAACAAUGGUGGUCAUCCUAAAGGACAGAUUAGAGAUGAUGAAAGGACAUCAAACUUUUGAAUGAGGUAGGAUUAGAAAACUUUUUUGUAAAACUACAUAAAAAAAUCAAGGGAGUGAGCAGUAGUAGCUCAAAGGAAGCUAUCAAGGAGGGGAUACAAUGGGACAAAGAUUGAGAAAUAAUCAAAAACAAAGAGUCAAGCGAUACGAAAAUAGUUUUGUAGUAAAGUAUUAUUCAGAAAUCGACCAGUGCUACCUAGGCAUACGUCCUACAGUCACACUGCUCUGAUACCACUCUGUCACACCCGGUUUUAAGGAACAAAACCAGGCUAGCUAUAUGUGUGCCUAGGAAGUCCACACAUACAACAACAGAAAGGAACAGUAUCAGAAACAAUGUUAUAUAGCGAAAACAUACUUAUAAUUAACACUUACAUCAGAGUAUCGCGGAAAGGUAACUAAUCUUCAGGCUCAAUCUGCACAGGGACGGUUGACUGGGGGUAACAUAUGCCUAGCACUUCCUGUAUCCUGAGAACACCUUCAUGAUUCCAUCGCUCUUCUGCUCAACUCUUACUAGUAAACUGAAGUGGUGGGAAAUAGCAAGAGUGAGCACAUGUCGUACUGAACAAGUAUAACCAGGGGUUUAUGAGGCUCAAAUAACUGACACUGGUUUGACUGCAUUUAGCUUUUAAUAGUGGAGAGCAUGUUCAUAAUUUAAUAGCAAUUGUCAAGGUAGCAGUAAUAAUCUAUUAAUCACAUGAUCAAGUGUAAGCAUAAUUAAUUCUUAGCAUAAACGAUAAGCAAAUGAACAUAACAACUUAACAAGCUCAUCGUCAUCGCAGCAAGAACCCCCAAGGCCGCUCUUAACCGUGAGCACGGCUAGUAUUCUAGUUUUAACACUCUGUAGAGGUUGUACAUCUUUACCCAUGAGUCAUGAUUUACCCUUUCGCCCGAGGUGAUCAGCCUCUUAACCCACUCCAAAGGAAGGUCGGCAGGGAUCACUAUGAAACCUUUCAAAAGUUCGUCUAACAUGUUAGGGCCGCAAGGUUUCCUUUGCGAGCAGAUAUAGAUACCCUCCUUCCGAAUGGCACAAUGACGCGCAGCCUAUACACAUAGGGACAGGGGCUCGCACUACCCGUGUCGGUUCAGCCCCUCCGCCCUUUCGAGUAACCUCUAACAAGCUAGAAAAGGUCUUCAUACUGAGCUAAAGCCAGAGCCAUUAUAGCCCUCAUGGUUGCACUGUUGUCCCGGUGAUCACUUACAGACAAGAUCUCAUAUAGUUAUUUGUCAUCUUUUAACAUUCAUUGCAUAGCUAUUAAUCAUCUUACAAGAUCAUGGAUUAUAUCAAGCACUAGCACAUCUACACCAAAUGCAUAUCAAGUAGGUAGCAAGAAAUCCAGGAUAACAAACAUCUAUGAUUUUGCUAAGGUCGACAAGGUGAUAGCAUGCAUAUGAUAUAUAUGUAGUUAUAAGUGAAUAGGUAACAAGGAUGAUCCCAAGUUAUACUUGCCUUUUCCACUUAAGGUUAAAUGCUCAUAGAAAUCCUUCGGUCUUCUUUCUUGUAGCUUUUGUCCCCCAGCGCUCACAUACAGUUCUCGUCUACUCGUAGCAAACACCACACAUAAGCAAACAUACAAGCAACAAAUAGAAAUAUCUAAGAACAAUACAUCAAUCAAAAUAAAAGCGUUAAAAGAUAGCGUACUAACGGCACGGCUCGAUGCUAAAUUAUCAUAAAAAGAAACGACUACCUAAAGUUUUGGAUAUUAUAAAAGAAACAACUAUAAUCUUAAUAUGUUUUAGUUAAGAAAAAUCAUUUGUGACCUACUAAUUCAGAUUAGUCAAUUUAUAUUUUAAUCUUUAAAAACAAAUUGGAUCUAAUUAUAUCUUAUUUAUGAACAUGUCUAUUAUUUAAUCAAUAAUCAUAUUUCAAUUAUAAGCAUGCACGCAUCAUUUUAAUCAAAUUAAACUUUAACUUUUCAAAGAACGUGUGAAAACAUCUAUUCAAAUUAUUCAUGAUAAGUGUUGGAUAUGAUCAUAUUUUAUUCAUACAUAAUUUUAUAUCGUUUAUGCCGGUUAAACUAUAACUUGUAAAAUAAUAUAACAUGCUAACACUAAAAUAAGUUUAUGGUAUAUAUCGUGAUUGUCUAAGCAAAAUAUAAUUAAACACAUUUCAAGUUACUAUUAGUUAAAUUCAAGCUCAUAUAAUUACAAAGGAUAGACAUGACAACCUAUAUUAUUUUUAAUUAUAAAACUAAAUAUAUUAAACAAUUAAAUAUUUAGCAAUAUAUGGAAAACAUGUGACAUGAAAAACACUAGCACUAACGUGUAGACUACAUUGCUAUGAGUCUAACACAACUUGAAUGGCUCAAAACGGAGAUUAUAUGGUCAAAACAAGCUAGUGUAUUUACUUUAUAUUUUAGAAUUAAUUUUGCAAAAAAAAACGGCCACAAAACUCAUGUGACAUCACCAAUCUAAACUACACUGCAGCCAACACAAUAUCUCAACAUGAUGAUUCGGAUUGCCGGCGAACUCAGAAAUAGAGUACAAUGAGGACACACAGAGAUAGAAAGGCUAAGGAGAGCUCACCUAGGUUAUUCACAAUUAGCGAUGGACGCAUGACGAGAACGUAGAGCUCGGUGGAGCGGACGCAUCAACAGGUUCUUCAACUCCUUGUGGAUCUCGGCAAGACGUACACAUACAGCAUCAACAGGUCCUCUUCCUUAGACAUCACGUAUAUGGGCAUGGCUGACUGCUGCCCUGCUUAAGCCUUCGUGGCUGGUUUGCACGGCAGGGGCAAAAAUCUCCACACUCACGCACGCAUAAGGGCAGCACGGCCACGAUCUCUGGGCAGCUCGGGGCGGCGGAAGCUAACUAGGGCAAAACCAAUAAGCUGAUUCGUCAAUACCUCAUAUGGCUUCGCCCUUUAUAUGUGUGGAUUCACGAUGACCUAGUGGGCUCACAGGACGAUGUCCGACUCGAAUACAAUUCAGAACUUUAAAUGAGGAAGGAAAUCGAGAGGUUCACAUAUGCAAAGAUACAGAGGCUGACCCAAAAACACUAGGCCUUCCGUAGGCCCAAAAGUGAAGGAAUGGGUGUAUAUGUGCCGAUUGAGAAGACAAAGUGAUCCAAGAUAAAUUAUUUAGAGCUGAUGGAAAGAUUUCUAUUGUUUUCGGAAUUAAAUAAAUUCAUGGAUAAAAUAUUUUCAAAAAUGUCCAAAAUUAUUAUUAAUUAACCCAUGAAAAAUUCUCCGGAAGCUCCAAAAAUUCGGGAAAAAUUAUCAGAGACAUUAUGGAACAAGAGGCACCAAAAUAAAGUAUUUUGGAGCUUAUAAAAUAUAUCGUGGAGCAUCUAAAAAUUAGAUUACGCUUGCAGAAAAGUGAGAAAGAAUUCCCAAAAGACAGAAAAAAUCUCGAGAACUUUUAAUUAGUCGGUUGGUGAAGGAUAAACUUAAUGAUUUAGAGUAGAAGAAUAGGAUAUAGAAUACUUUAAAUGAAAAGAUGAAAAGUUUACGAUCAAGAAAGAGGAGACUUAAUUAUAGAAAAAGAUAGAGACACACCGGAUACAAAACAACGACUUACUAAACGCACUCUAAAUUUUACCCACUCACAACACAAAAUCAAGCCAUAAGCAAGCAUCACACCACAUCAACAAAUCCCAUCAAGUUAAUUCAGAUAAAUUUGAAAAUUCACAUUUUCCUAUAACUAAAUUUGCACUAACUCAAACUAAACUUAGCAAAUCUUAUGCAAUAUUAAAUUUAUUUUAUUUGUUUAGUGUUUUCUAUGCACAACCCAAAAUCAGAAGUUUUGGGGUGUGACAAUUCUACCCCACUUAACAGGAAUCUCGUCCCGAGAUUUGGAGAUACUAGGAUAAAGCAGAUCUUCAAUAUUGUUUUGAGACUUUUGAUGAGAUAUGAUUUAGGAGUUCAGGAUCAAUAAAAGUUAAUAGUGAUGUCAAGGAUUGGUUCUCAAAAAACACAGAUCGAUGAUGAUAAAAGUGCAUUGGAGAAGUGAAGUUGACCUUUAGGUUGUUAUAUUGUAAGGCAAACAAUCAAGGGGCAUGACUAACAAAAGAGCAUAAGAGAUGAAGAUUGAUGAUAGAAAAGAUAAAGUUUGAUAUACCAGAAAGAGAUAUACAAAAAGAAAUUUAAUUGAUCAUUAGGUCUUCAUAUCUGGAAUACUUGAGAUAGAUGACGGUAGCGGACGCAACCCCACUUAACAAGAUUGAGCUACUUCUCAAGACAAUACCUUGUGGGCCUCCUUCAAAACACAAGAACAGAGACAACACACAAGCAACACACCAAACAAGAUAAACACACAACACACAUCGAUACUACACGUGUUUCUUCAACAAUGGUGGUCAUCCUAAAGGACAGAUUAGAGAUGAUGAAAGGACAUCAAACUUUUGAAUGAGGUAGGAUUAGAAAACUUUUUUGUAAAACUACAUAAAAAAAUCAAGGGAGUGAGCAGUAAUAGCUCAAAGGAAGCUAUCAAAGAGGGGAUACAAUGGGACAAAGAUUGAGAAAUAAUAAAAAACAAAGAGUCAAGCGAUACGAAAAUAGUUUUGUAGUAAAGUAUUAUUCAGAAAUCGACCAGUGCUACCGAGGCAUACGUCCUACAGUCACACUGCUCUGAUACCACUCUGUCACACCCGGUUUUAAGGAACAAAACCAGGCUAGCUAUAUGUGUGCCUAGGAAGUCCACACAUACAACAACAGAAAGGAACAGUAUCAGAAACAAUGUUAUAUAGCGAAAACAUACUCAUAAUUAACACUUACAUCAGAGUAUCGCGGAAAGGUAACUAAUCUUCAGGCUCAAUCUGCACAGGGACGGUUGACUGGAGGUAACAUAUGUCUAGCACUUCUUGUAUCCUGAGAACACCUUCAUGAUUCCAUCGCUCUUCUGCUCCACUCUUACUAGUAAACUGAAGUGGUGGGAAAUAGCAUGAGUGAGCACAUGUCGUACUCAACAAGUAUAACCAGGGGUUCAUGAGGCUCAAAUAGCUGACACUGGUUUGACUGUAUUUAGCUUUUAAUAGUGGAGAGCAUGUUCAUAAUUUAAUAGCAAUUGUCAAGGUAGCAGUAAUAAUCUAUUAAUCACAUGAUCAAGUGUAAGCAUAAUUAAUUCUUAGCAUAAACGAUAAUCAAAUGAACAUAACAACUUAACAAGCUCAUCGUCAUCGCAGCAAGAACCCCCAAGGCCGCUCUUAACCGUGAGCACGGCUAGUAUACUAGUUUUAACACUCUGCAGAGGUUGUACAUCUUUACCCAGGAGUCAUGAUUUACCCUUUCGCCCGAGGUGAUCAGCCUCUUAACCCACUCCCAAGGAAGGUCGGCAGGGAUCACUACGAAGCCUUUCAAAAGUUCGUCUAACAUGUUAGGGCCGCAAGGUUUCCUUUGCGAGCAGAUAUAGAUACCCCCUUCCGAAUGGCACAAUGACGCGCAGCCUAUACACAUAGGGACAGGGGCUCGCACUACCCGUGUUGGUUUAGCCCCUCCGCCCUUUCGGGUAACCUCUAACAAGCUAGAAAAGGUCUUCAUACUGAGCUAAAGCCAGAGCCAUUAUAGCCCUCAUGGUUGCACUGUUGUCCCGGUGAUCACUUAUAGACAAGAUCUCAUAUAGUUAUUUGUCAUCUUUUAACAUUCAUUGCAUAACUAUUAAUCAUCUUACAAGAUCAUGGAUUAUAUCAAGCACUAGCACAUCUACACCAAAUGCAUAUCAAGUAGGUAGCAAGGAAUCCAAGAUAACAAACAUCUAUGAUUUUGCUAAGGUCGACAAGGUGAUAGCAUGCAUAUGAUAUAUAUGUGUAGUUAUAAGUGAAUAGGUAACAAGGAUGAUCCCAAGUUAUACUUGCCUUAAAUACUUGCUUUCCACUUAAGGUUAAGUGCUCAUAGAAAUCCUUCGGUCUUCUUUCUUGUAGCUUUUGUCCCCCAACGCUCACAUACAGUUCUCGUCUACUCGUAGCAAACACCACACAUAAGCAAACAUACAAGCAACAAAUAGAAAUAUCUAAGAACAAUACAUCAAUCAAAAUAAAAACGUUAAAAGAGAGCGUACUAACGGCACGGCUCGAUGCUAAAUUAUCCUAAAAAGAAACGACUACCUAAAGUUUUGGAUAUUAUAAAAGAAACAACUAUAAUCUUAAUAUGUUUUAGUUAAGAAAAAUCAUUUGUAACCUACUAAUUCAGAUUAGUCAAUUUAUAUUUUAAUCUUUAAAAACAAAUUGGAUAUAAUUAUAUCUUAUUUAUGAACAUGUCUAUUAUUUAAUCAAUAAUCAUAUUUCAAUUAUAAGCAUGCACGCAUCAUUUUAUUCAAAGUAAACUUUAACUUUUCAAAGAACGUGUGAAAACAUCUAUUAAAAUUAUUCAUGAUAAGUGUUGGAUAUGAUCAUAUUUUAUUCAUACAUAAUUUUAUAUUGUUUAUGCCCGUUAAACUAUAACUUGUAAAAUAAUAUAACAUGCUAACACUAAAAUAAGUUUAUGGUAUAUAUCGUGAUUGUCUAAGCAAAAUAUAAUUAAAACACAUUUCAAGUUACUAUUAGUUAAAUUCAUGCUCAUAUAAUUACAAAGGAUAGACAUGACAACCUAUAUUAUUUUUAAUUAUAAAACUAACUAUAUUAAACAAUUAAAUAUUUAGCAAUAUAUGGAAAACAUGUGACAUGAAAAACACUAGCACUAACGUGUAGAUUGCUAUGAGUCUAACACAACUUGAAUGGCUCAAAACGGAGAUUAUAUGGUCAAAACAAGCUAGUGUAUUUACUUUAUAUUCUAGAAUUAAUUUUGCAAAGAAAAACGGCCACAAAACUCAUGUGACAUCAUCAAGCUAGUAAUAGAAAAACUACACUGCAGCCAACACAAUAUCUCAACAUGAUGAUUCGGAAUGCCGGCGAACUCAGAAAUAGAGUACAAUGAGGACACACAGAGAUAGAAAGGCUAAGGAGAGCUCACCUAGGUUAUUCACAAUUAGCGAUGGACGCAUGACAAGAACGUAGAGCUCGGUGGAGCGGACGCAUCAACAGGUUCUUCAAUUCCUGGUGGAUCUCGGCAAGACGUACACAUACAGCAUCAACAGGUCCUCUUCCUUAGACAUCACGUAUAUGGGCAUGGCUGACUGCUGCCCUGCUUAAGCCUUCGUGGCUGGUUUGCACGGCAGGGGCAAAAAUCUCCACACUCACGCACGCAUAAGGGCAGCGCGGCCACGAUCUCUGGGCAGCUCGGGGCGGCGGAAGCUAACUAGGGCAAAACCAAUAAGCUGAUUCGUCAAUACCUCAUAUGGCUUCGCCCUUUAUAUGUGUGGAUUCACGAUGACCUAGUGGGCUCACAGGACGAUGUCCGACUCGAAUACAAUUCAGAAUUUUAUAUGAGGAAGGAAAUCGAGAGGUUCACAUAUGCAAAGAUACAGAGGCUGACCCAAAAACACUAGGCCUUCCAUAGGCCCAAAAGUGAAGGAAUGGGUGUAUAUGUGCCGAUUGAGAAGACAAAGUGAUCCAAGAUAAAUUAUUUAGAGCUGAUGGAAAGAUUUCUAUUGUUUUCGGAAUUAAAUAAAUUAAUGGAUAAAAUAUUUUCAUAAAUGUCCAAAAUUAUUAUUAAUUAACCCAUGAAAAAUUCUCCGGAAGCUCCAAAAAUUCAGGAAAAAUUAUCAGAGACAUUAUGGAACAAGAGGCACCAAAAUAAAGUAUUUUGGAGCUUAUAAAAUAUAUCUUGGAGCAUCUAAAAAUUAGAUUACGCUUGCAGAAAAGUGAGAAAGAAUUCCUAAAAGACAGAAAAAAUCUCGAGAACUUUUAAUUAGUCGGUUGGUGAAGGAUAAACUUAAUGAUUUAGAGUAGAAGAAUAGGAUAUAAAAUACUUUAAAUGAAAAGAUGAAAAGUUUACGAUCAAGAAAGAGGAGACUUAAUUAUAGAAAAAGAUAGAGACACACCGGAUACAAAACAACGACUUACUAAACGCACUCUAAAUUUUACCCACUCACAACACAAAGUCAAGCCAUAAGCAAGCAUCACACAACAUCAACAAAUCCCAUCAAGUUAAUUGAGAUAAAUUUGAAAAUUCACAUUUUCCUAUAACUAAAUUAGCACUAACUCAAACUAAACUUAGCAAAUCUUAUACAAUAUUAAAUUUAUUUUAUUUGUUUAGUGUUUUCUAUGCACAACCCAAAAUCAGAAAUUUUGGGGUGUGACAGAGUACUACACCCCCCUCAAGGUAAAGUACUGACCAUAGAAUUAUCGCCGAUGAACUUAUCAUCACAAUUUAUAAUUAUCCUUGUAAUUUUUUCAGUUGAUAUUGUCCCAUCGGUAACUCCAGCGAUCAACUCGUAACAUCGGUUGCAUCUCCGUGCUAGAGGCGUGAAAUUGCUCUGAAGCAAAUAAGUUAUCUGAUCUCUGUCCUUUAUAUUAUUAACAUUUGAUCAUCAGAUAAUUUACCUCUAUUUUCUUUUAGGAACAAUUUUCUCUAGAUAGCCUAUUUUCCUUUGCCAUCGAUAUUUCCGAUGACAAAGGUGAAGAAGUGAGUUCCUCUCAAGCAGUGGGAAUUUCAUCGGCACAGAUCAAAGCUCUGGAAGACCUGUUGGCUCUACUGUACAAAGAUACAACCCAAUUAGUAGAUGAUUCCGAUCCAACCAAAGCUUUAUUCAAGAUUCUUCGAGAUCAGAUCCCAGCCGAUGCAGAAGAAGUCUUAUUCCAAGCUGCACACCUAGAGAGUCGCCAGCUACAAUACCAGAAAGCUACUCAGCAUCUUGCCGAUAGAGCCGCCCACGCCCAGCUUACAGAGGAAGUGAUGCAAGUAAAGCGUAUUGCCGAUGAGAAGCACAAGAGCAUCGGUAUUCUGCAAUCCUCAGGGGAUGAGCUAAAGUAGAAGAUCUCUGACCUAUCGGCAAGAAGGGAAGCCCUACCAGUUGAGCUCAAGCAAGUAGAAGAGGCCCUGACCCAAGGUCAGCAAGAAGAAAGCCAGCUGCCUGAGAAGUUCAAGAUUCUUCAACAAGAACAAAAUAUCCAAGCCCGUAAAGCACUGUAGAUGAAGAAGAAACUGAAGCCAAUAGAAGGUUCUGCCGAUGAAGAUAUCCGGGAGAUAGAAGAGGACAACCAGAUCCGUCUGUGUGUUGUAUCCACUAUCCAAGCUCUGAUGAAUUUGUGAGCUCUUCAUAGACAACUUAUUCAAAUCUGCUUUUAGAAACUUUUGGUCCAGCCGAUAGGACUGUUAUCGGCAUUUUAAAACAUUAUGCAUGAUCUUAGACAUUUUUCAUCCAGCCGAUAGGAGUGUUAUCGGCACUUAAAUUUCUAUGCAUCAACCCAGAUACUCGGGUAAUACUUCUUUAAAUAUUUUCCAUUCAACACUCUGGAAAAUUCAACUCCUUCGAGAGUUUCUAAAAUAUAAGCAUUACCAGGAGCAGACCGAUUUAUCCGAUAAGGACCUUCCCAAUUAGGAGACCAUUUUCCAAACUUUGAACUCUUAGUUCCAAUCGGUAGAAUUAAUUUCCAUACCAAAUCUCCAUCGGCAAACUCCUUAGUGUUUACUUUUUUAUCAUACCAUUUAGCAACUCUCCUUUUAUUUUCUUCUAUACUUAUCAAAGCUCUCAACCGAUGCUCUGCCAAAUCAUCCAACUCACCCUUCAUCAAAGUAGCAUAGUCAUCGGCAGCCAACUGGUCUUUGAAAAAUACCCGCCUAGAUACUGUUUUAAUUUCCCAUGGCAACACCGCAUCGUGCCCAUACACCAACUGAUAGGACGACACUUUGGUUCACCCGUGACACGCCAUCCGAUAUGACCACAAGGCUUCAUUUAACAACACGUGCCAUCCUUUAGGGUUUUCUUCAAUUUUCCGCUUCAUGAGCUUAAUAAUCCCUUUGUUAGAAGUUUUGGCUUGUAGCUUAAGCAUAAUAAAGAGAAGAAUUCAGCACUUUAAUCCCCAUACCGAUUGCAAACUCAUCAAACUCUCCCGAUGUGAACAUAGUACCCUUAUCGGUAGUGAUGGUUUGAGGAAUACCAAAUCGUUAAACAAUAUGCUCCUUCACAAAAUCAAUCAUGUUAGCCAAUGUUACUUUCUUCAAAGGAAUAGCUUCAACCCAUUUUGUAAAAUAAUCAGUGGCAACUAUGAUGAACUUAUGCCCUUUGCUUGAUGGCGGAUAAAUCUGUCCGAUGAGAUCAAUACCCUAGCCCCGGAAUGGCCAAGGCUUAAUAAUAGGAUUCAUAGCCGGUGCGGGCGCCCUUUGAAUAUUGCCAAACUUCUGACACCCCUGACACCCUUUGAAGUAUUUAAAGAAAUCUUCAAGUAUAGUUGGCUAAUAAUAUCCGUUCCUCCUAAUCAUCCAUUUCAUCUUAAAAGCCGAUUGAUGUGCUCCACAUAAUCCUUUAUGGAUUUCACCCAUCAAGCUCCUAGCCUCAUCAUCACCUAAACACUUGAGCAAAACUUCAUCUAUCAUUCGAUAAUAUAGCUCUUCUUCAAGGAGUACAUAUUUGGCAGCUUGAAACCUAACACGUCUCUCAACCUUCUUGGAUGGAUCCCUUAAAUACUCAAUAACUUCCUUUCUCCAAUCGUCGGCACUGAUUGCCGAUAAUACACCCAAGAUGGGUUGAUAUCCCGAAGCAUGCUAAGCCAAUCGGUUAGCUCCUUCAUUAUGCAACCGAGGAAUAUGCUCUAACCGAAAAUCCUUAAAUUCUUUUAACAGCUGUACACACCUUUCGUAGUAGGCUAUCAAAAUUUCUCUUCGGGAUUCAUAAAUUCUAGCCAACUGAUUUAUAACAAGCAUAGAAUCGCCGAAAAUCUCAACAGCAUCGGCAUGAACCUCCUUUAAUAAUUCCAACCCUUUGACCAGAGCUUGAUACUCAGCUUGAUUAUACAUCGUGGCAACAAUCAGCAAAAAAACUCAUACUUCUUUCCUCGAGGAGAAAUUAGCACUAUGCCGAUUCCUGCCCCCCCCCGUUCACACGUGGAUCCAUCAAAGAAGAGCGUCCAAGGAACGACUUCCAAAGUGUCCACCAUACCUCAAUGCUGAGUUACAAAAUCGGCCAUAAUCUGCCCUUUAACUGCCUUAGCCGAUUAAUAACGUAGAUCGAACUCCGACAACGCCAAAAUCCAUUUGCCGAUUCUACCACUCAUAAUCGGCAUUGACAGCAUGUAUCGGACUACAUCAUCUUUGCAUAUAACAGUGCAUUCGGUCAAUAACAAAUAGUUUCUUAAUUUGAUACAUGAAAAUUAUAAGCAUAAGCAUAGUUUUUCAAUUGCCGAAUACCUUGUCUCAGUAUCCACCAGUCUUCUACUUAGAUAAUAAAUCACACGCUCCUUCCCUUCCAAUUCUUGAAUCAGAGCCGAACCGAUGACCAUCCCAUCGGUAGACAAAUAUAAUCUGAAAGGCUUUCCUUGCUGAGGUGGAAUCAGAACUGGAGGAUUUGUCAAAUAAUUCUUGAUUUCAUCUAAUGCCAACUGUUGCUCUUUCCCCCAUACAAAUUCUUGAUCGGCUUUUAAUUUAAGCAAAGGACUAAAAGCACGAAUCUUACUAGACAAAUAAGAUAUAAACCGUCUGAUGAAAUUUAUCUUGCCGAUCAAUGAUUGAAGUUUAGUCUUAUUGGUGGGAGCAACUAUCUUAUUAAUGGCAUCAAUAGAUCUCCUGCCAAUUUCAAUCCCUCUCUGAUGCACCAUAAAACCAAGAAAUUGUCUUGCCGAUACACCAAAUGUGCAUUUAUUAGGAUUCAUCUUCAAACCAUGCUUCCUUGUGCAUUCCAACACUUUUCACAGAUCGACAAGAUGUUUUGUGAAAUCUCCAGACUUAACCACCACAUCAUCAAUAUAGAUUUCCACCAACUUGCCGAUGAACUCAUGAAAGAUAAAAUUCAUAGCCCUCUGAUAAGUAGCACCAGCAUUCUUCAAGCCAAAGGUCAUGACUAUCCAUUCGAACAAUCCAACAUGACCAGGACAUCGAAAUGCAGUCUUUGGAAUAUCUUCUUCUGCCAUGAAUAUUUGAUUGUAUCCUGCAUUGCCAUCCAUAAAGCUAAUGAUCUGAUGUCCAGCUGCAGCGUCAACGAGCAAAUCGGCAAUUGGCAUUGGAUAAUCAUCCAUGGGCGUAGCCUUGUUGUGAUUCCUAAAAUCAAUGCAGACACGAAGUUUCCCAUUCUUCUUGUAAACGGGAACAACAUUGGAAAUCCACUCGGCAUACUGACAUUACCGAAUAAAUUUAGCUUCAAUAAGUUUAGUUAUUUCGGCCUUGAUAUCAGGAAGAAUAUUAGGAUUGCAUCGGCGUGCUGGCUGUUGAUGCGGCCGAAAUACAGACUUGAUAGGCAACCGAUGUUCAACAAUCGAUCAGUCUAAACUAGGCAUCUCGGUAUAAUCCCAAGCAAAGCAAUCUUUAUAUUCCUUUAACAAAUUGGUUAAUUGUUGUUUACACUCAGAGCUUAACUUGGCAAUAAUAAAAGUAGGUCUUUGCCUAUCACCAUUACCUAUGUCUACUUCUACUAAAUCAUCAGCCGAUGUAAACCCUUGGCCUAGUUUUCCAUCAUCGGCGAACCUAUCCAUUAGACCACUUCAUCAGAACCGACUGCUUGGAUCGGUGGAAUUUCAUAAUCGGCAACUUUGAGAAAAUCUUUCCUGCAGACUUCUCCUGAAAUGCAUCUGGUCCUUUCAUAAGUAUCCGCCUCUACCGAUGCGAUGACAUAUGACGAAUCUCCUGGGACAAUUUCAAUCUUGUCACCUACCCAUUGAACCAAGCAUUGGUGCAUUGUAGAUGGAAUGCAGCAAUUGGCAUGAAUCUAAUCUCUUCCCAGCAACAAAUUAUAUGCACCCUUUCCGCUGAUGACAAAGAAAGUUGUUGGCAAGGUCUUGCUGCCGAUGGUCAACUCGACGCAUAUGGCUCCCUUGACCGGACACACAUUUCCUUCAAAAUCCUUUAACAUCAUAUCGGUCUUGGUCAAAUCUUGAUCCCCCUUUCUAAGCUUCCGAUAGACUGCAUAUGGCAUAAUAUUGAUAGAGCUCCACCAUCAACAAGUAUCUUGGUCAUCGGUUGUCCAUCAACCCUAUCUUUGACGAAUAAAGCUUUAAGAUGUUGUCUUUCAUCAUCAAUAGGCUUUUCAAAUAUAGCUGUCAUCAGAUCAAUAGUCAACUGAGCUAUCUGUUCCAGGAAAUCUAUCUCCUCAUCAUCACUGAAAGGUGCAAGUAACUCCAUCGGCAACAUAAACACCAUAUUAACAUCAGCCGAUGGGCCUUCCUUUGGGGUCUAACUGCUGCCGAUCUUUAGAUUUAGCAGAAUUCUCUCCCUUACUUAGUUCUUCUUGUCGUUCUCGCUGCAGCCUUCUUUUCUACGUCCUUGUCAACCCUUCUGUACACCACGGGGAAGUUGUGGUUGCCUCGCCGAUGAUUAUGGUUUCCCCUUGAUUCCACCCGGUAAGUAUUAGCAUCCCUACAAAAUAUGAACUCAUCGGGAACUCGCGCAUUCGCCAUCUCCUCAAGUUCCUCUUGGUUUCUGGGAAAAUAACUGACACGCUCACCAAGCCUGUCAUGCACACUGAGUUUGCCCCCCAGCCGAUCGUGAACUGAUGUUCUUUCUCUAAUCGGCCCACCAAAACGCUGAUUAUCAUCUUGAUAUCGUCGAUUUGAUCUGUCAUGCCGAUUAUAACCAUUGCACUCAGGGCAGUCUCUAACAGUUGGUAAUUUAAUGUUUUGCUCCCAACAGUGGAUGAAGAACGAGCAAUUCCAAUGAUCUUUAUGCCAAUUCCACUCCUGUCGGCGUCUUUCUUCUUCUCGGCGACGAUCUUCCUGUUGGCGAUGAUACGAAUCUUCACGUUGCUGCCAGGUUUCCCGAUGCCGCCUAUGAGUGAUCACAAUAUCGGACCGAGGAGGUCUUCCAGAACUGGUGCCUUCCUGGAUUAACCCUUUACCUUUAGCGUCAUCGGUAGUGAUCUGAUGCUGGGAAUCUACCAAUGCACUUCUCUCAGCUGCUUCCGAUGUCAAGACUUCGUCUUUCCCUUGGCAUCCAACAUGUUUGUGGGGAAAGGAUGUUGAUCAAUCUUCAUCGGCUUCUGGGCUUUGGAGCUAUCAAAUUUAAUCCUCCUAGACUCUAUAGCCGAUUGCAACUGUUGUCUGAACACCUUGCAUUCAUUUAUAUUAUGAGACGUUGCAUUAUGCCACUUGCAAUACUUGAUCUUCUUCAACUCUUCUGUCGAUGGAAUCACAUGGUUGGGUGACAAUUUAAUUUGUCCCUCCUGAAGCAGAAAGUCGAAUAUCCUAUCGGCCUUUGUGAUGUCAAAAGCAAAUUUUUCUGGUUCUUUCUGACCGAAAGGACAAGACAUCGGCUUCUUAUUCUUCACCCAUUCUGCCAAGCCGAUGACUGCUUCCUCAUCAGAAUCUGAGCUUGUUGCCUCAUCAACAAAUGACACCUUUUUGUUCCGUGCUUUCUUAGGUUCAAAAGCUUUGAUAUCUUUUUAGAAAUCCUUUGCACUAAAUGACUCAGACUUUCAAACUCUUGAGAAGCAUACUUGUCUUUAAUGUGUGGCAACAAUCCUUGGAAAGCCAAAUCGGCUAGCUGCCGAUCAUCCAGGACUAGACUAUAGCAUUUGUUCUUAACAUCCCGCAACCUCUGCACAAAGCUUUCAACCGAUUCAUCAUUGCGUUGCCUUAGCCUGACUAAAUUGGUAAUUUUCUUCUCAUGAACUCCAGAAAAGAAGUAUUUAUGGAACUGUUUCUCUAGAUCAGCCCAAGUAAUUAUUGAGUUUCGAGGCAAUGAAAUAAACCAAGUAAAGGCCGAUCCAGAUAAAGAUGAUGAAAAUAGACGAACCCUUAACUCAUCUCUAUUAGCAGCUUCCCCACACUGGAUGAUGAACCUGUUAACAUGUUCCAUGGUUGACGUGUCAUCUUGUCCAGAGAAUUUGGUGAAAUCUGGCACCUUGUACCGAUUUGGAAGCGGAAUUGAGUCAUAUGCAGGAGGAUAUGGUGUUCAAUAAGAGUAAGUAUUAACUUUGGGUUUUAUCUCAAACUGAUCUCUCAUCACCUCAGCUAUCUUAUCAGCACAAUAGGCAUCGGCAUCCUGCCGAUGGGCUGGUUGUGGAUCUGGCACCUGCUGAUAAGCUUUCUACAUGUCUCUGCGGUGCUCGAUCUCCAGGGAACAUAGCAUUAGCCACCGCCUAUUGACCACCAACUUGCUGAGCAAGAUUCAUCGGCUGAUUGACCAAUCCUUGAUUCUGGAAACCAGGUUGUAUUGGUCCCUGCUGAAAUCCCAUAGCCUGAUGAUUCUACUUAGGCAUUUGUGGAAAGACAAACUGCCCUGUCUAUCCAUUAUUUACAUUCAUCGGUGUAGGUCCUGCCGAUGGGUGAUAAUUGGGCAUCAUCAUUGAAUUGACAUACCCCGACUGUGUCAUAAACCUUUGAUGCGUCGAUAGUGGAUCUGCCGAUGCGUUAGGCAUCUAGAACGCUAGUAUCUGAGAAUUCCCAGUAAAAGGCCUUGCAGUAGUAGUUGUAGAAUACUGGGGAUUCUGAGUCAUCGGCGAUACUGGAGGUGCCGAUGUCAUAGGAGCCUUGCUUGUCAUGUCAGCCACUUGAGAUGUCCUAUAACUAUUUGCCAUAAAGUCUGGGGGCAUAUCAUCCCCACCAGUUGGGAGGAACUUGACAAUUUUGAAACACAGACCCUGACAUUGCCGAUGCCAAUAGAUCUGUAGCAAGUCGAACUUGUCCCUCUGUUGUUGCUGGGUUAGUCCUCAUCGGUGUAGACUGCCCAUUAGUUUGAGCCAAUGGCAGGAGGAGCCAAUGGAGCCAUAACCGAUGAUGACCUUGGCUGAUGAUAGGCCAGGACCACAUAAGACGGUGGUAUCUGUCCUUCUUUGAAAGUUUGAGCCACAGUAUUGAAAACUGUAUUGGACAGCACACUGGAUUGAUUGAUUAAAGCACGAUUAAUGGCGUUGUCAACCAUCUCUUGCAAUUUACUAGGAUUGGCUUCAAAAGUGAUUUGUCGAGGCAUCGGCAAUGCUUCCUUCUGGAUCGCCUUGCCGCUCCUGUUGACACUGAAGGACUUCAAACAUAGCUUCUUGUACUCUUCCAUAGCUUUUGCCAUAGCUUGCUUCUGCUCAUCUCUGAGAUUAGCUUCAGUUACUGGGAUAAUUUUCUCCGUGUCGAAAUCGGUGUUCGACAUGUUGAUCUUGAUGAUGAAUCAUUGUCCCACCGGGCGUGCCAAAAGAUGUGUUGAUGCAAAAAGUAGAUCUACAAACACAAAAGGCUAAUACCUGAUUUGAUGUUAAGGUGUGUCAGCCGAUUUGACCUUACAAUCGACAAAGGUGAUAACUCGAAUACUUUGGUCCUAACAACAACGAUACGCCCGGAUGCCACGGCCAAGAGGUAUUCACGCGGAACUCGAGAAGUCGCCGAGUUUGACCCGAUGAAUUCCUAAUAACUCAUAAGUAAAAGGAAAUAUAUGUAGUUGACGAAGUCAUUGAAAAGUAGAUGCUAGAAUAGAUGUAAAAGACUUGUGUUUGAUUGAUUGUGUUGUUAUUCUUAAAUAGCCACGAGGUCUACAUUUAUACCCUGUCCAAAAGAAUUACAACCAGACACGACUAGGACUCUAAUUCCAAAUAGAACAGAAUUCAUAUACAAAACAGACUCUAACAUCUAUGGAAAAUAUUAAUCUAUCCACCCUGGGUGAUCGGCACACCGUCAUCAUCUUUGUCAACAAUCCCUACGCCUUCCCUUGCUUAUCAUCGGCAAAUCACCUUCCAUCGGUAUCGGCAACCACCAGCAUCAGUCAUCGGCAUAGAUCGACCACCACCGUUGGACUUGGCUACAUCCUGCCGUUUCUCCAUCGGCAUCAAUCCCCAUCGGCAACUCCUUUGAUAACCAGUCAUCACUCUUUCACCUGCUGAUCUAUAUUUCACUAACUCCUAGAUACGUGUCCAAAGAUACGUGUCUAAAAACGGAGUCAACAGCAACUAUUCAUCAUUUCCAUAAUAGAGAUUAUCCAGAGUGCUCUUUACUCACAAUCUAGUUCAAGCAAACUAGACACACUCUAACUAACACAAACACAAAAAGAGAACAAAUACUCGAGUAGAUAAAGUAGACACGAUAAAAGUCCAUAACAAAAAGUCUCCUUACUUUAAUUAUAUAGGUGUGAACCUUCAUGUGCUCACUAUUUUUUUUGCUUUUUAAAUUAUAUAAGUGUGGACCUUCAUGUGCCCACAUUUUUUCUUUUUAAUUUAAGUAUAGAAAUAAAACUCUAAGAGGGUAGAAUACUUACCUGGAUACGUGGGGGUGCCUUCCCCCAAGCUAGAUGUUGAUGUAGUCGUUAGGUCUCGUAGUGUUGACGAUUGGCGGUGGAAGUGUACUUCUUCAAUAGGGGCAUUGACUAAUUUUGAUGGUUAAGAUAGUGCCCCAAUAGAGGAUAGGACAUCCACCUGCUUAUCAUCUCUUCUUGGUCCUUCAAAUCCUGUGAAACGCAAAUAGACAACAAAACUUGUGGAACAAAUUAAGCAUUAGUGGUUGGCCACUUAAGCCUCAGUUGUCAAAAGCUUUUGAGAUUGUCUAAGCAGAGUUUUAGUGGGAUUUCUUUCUCAAUAUUUUUGUAUAUUUUAUAUAUAUAUUUUCUAUGAUGUAAGGGAAAAUGCAACAAGAUGAAUGUAUGCAUAUUUACUUUUAUUUUUAUGCCCCACGGUGUUGGUAUAAAUUAACUGCACUCCAUUAAAUAAGUUUUAAGUAGGAUUAUCCGGAAGCACAUAGAUAUCAUACCAGUGUCACAUUUUACACAGAGGUUUUAAAUAUUGUAUCCACAGGGAAUAGUUGUGAUGAUGAAAAAGUAUAUAGACUUAACCCUACAAUUAGGCUAGAUCAUAUCAAGAAAAGGGAAAUAGCUGAUGCAAUCUGGUUCUGACUCUGGUAAACUUUGUAUAAUAUCGUCUUAUUGGGCAAGUAACCCGAAUAGGAGAAGAAACAAAGUAAUCUCCUACCAUGCACCUAUAAGCCUAUCAAUCCUAUCAACGGGAUGUGGACUACAGAGGAUUCAACGCAACUAUAAAGUCACCUGCGGGAGCUACCACAGUCUAGCUAAUCAGGGGACAUUCAUAAGUAAACCUAGCCUAAGCAGCAUGCCUACACUACGAAAUACUACUUCAACCAAGUAAUGACCAAGAUCAAAGCACUCAAUAUGAGAUGUGAACCAAAGAACGAAUAAGAACAACUUGCUUACUUAAAUCAGAAUGGUAAGUACAAAAGUACCUCAGAACACAGCUCUGGGCGAUGGAACUGAAUCCAGAAGAAUAUAGCCAUGAAGAAGCGCCGUUAGGCCGGAACUCCUCUACUCAAUCUCUCUAAUCUCUAAACAAGACAAGAUCUAGAAGAACUAGACUCUCCUAAUUGCUACAUCUAGAUGAACUAGAACUAGAUCAACUAGAGGGACAAUAACCCUAAUUAUGUAGAGAAUAUGAAGCACCGGGUGUAGAGUGCCUCUUAGGGGAGCCUUGGGCGUCAUUAUAUAGGCCGAGGUGGACUAGGGGGCAAGGAACCACCACGUCAUCGAUCCGUGUCUUCAUCUUGUGUGCACCACCGGAUCAAACCGACUUAAAAUCAACGUAGGGAUACUUUGCUUGGCUUCCAAGGAGGCGUAGGAGGAAGACUCCAAAAGGCGGCGGCCAGCGAAGAAAUUAUGGCGCCGACCGGCCCUAGGGUGGGACCGGCCAGCCACACCUUCUCUCCUCUGCGUUGCUCGUUCCUUUGGGUGUCUUCUAGACCCUUCCUGAGCCUGAUGACGAUGUUUUCCGUCGUGGAUAAGUUUUGUGGUAAAUUAUGCACUAGAAUCCCUCUUUAUAGCUUUCCUGAAAUUUACCCUGGAGAAUACAGAAUAUGCAAAACUUGUGGAAAUUGUCAGAUAAAACCCUAGACUAGUGUGUUUUCCUAUGUUCCCUUGUGUCUAAAGUUCUAAUAAAUAUUGGCGUUAUCGACCAUCAACUAUACCCCCAAGCUUACCUUUUGUCAGUCCCUUGACAAAGAACCCAAGCCUAAUUAAUAAACUUGGAUCAGGAGUUGCUACAAUACUUUCAUUUCUUUUAAGUACACUUGCUUUUAAACAUAAAUUGUCCUCCGGUCUAACUUUGGAUCCACAGAGAAUCGAGGCAUACAAUCAAAUCAAGAUGUGUAUGUGUAUGGGAUAUGGUGGAUAGGUGUAUAUAUAAUAUUUAGUGGCUAAUCCUAAUUCCACUUUUGCUCUUUGAAAAUUACUCCCUCCUUAGAACUUAAUCUUUGUUCUCUUUCUCUUUUUGUUUACUGUGGGAGGCGGGCAUUGAUGUACCCAUUGUUUUAAUUGUUGCGACACCUGUCCAUCAUUUACUCCCCCUUUUUUUCUUUUUCUUUUUAAAUACUUUUGCAUAGCCACAUGCAUCCUUUGAAUAUAAAUAAUUGGAGAGAUAAUGAUAAGAACUUAGAGCAAUUAAGUGGGGGUUGUCCUAUAGGGUAUAUUUUUUGGUGUUUACUCCUAGUGUAGGAGAAAACAUUUUUUUAAGGUGGAUCUGGAUGAAAGUGGAAAUGACUGUGCUGACAUCCCAGAGUAGGAGUAACGCAUAUGUCGGUGGAGUGCAUAAGUGAUCUUAAUUUUAAAAGCAUGACAAGACUCUCAUAAGGUAUACUCCAAAGGUUGACUAAACUCAGUGUAAAGCAAGCAGCAUGAAUGUGCAAAGGUUUUCCUAGCUCUAAAUGUAUCAUAUAUGGCUUCGGUAGGAAUUUAAAAUUUAUCAUACAAGAGCUCAUCAUGUAAGAUUCUGGGUUUUUUUAAAAAAAUCUCCAGAACUUAGUAAUGCUAGGAAUAAGAUAAAUCACAGCUCAGACCUUCACGUGUAAUAUCAAUCAAUUACCUAGACUCAGCUUAAACAUAUGCCUCCACAAAUUUUAGGUUCAGAGUAAAUUCUUAUAUUAAAGUGGUCAUGUCUAAAACUCAGGAGAAUUCAUGGUUGAAAACUAGGCACUUGAAACAAUUUACUGUAGAGCAACUAUUCAUCAUCUCCAAGACAAAUUUUAAUGUUCUCUAAUUUUUAUUUGACUCUAAACUAGACUGAUUGUAGACACACUCUAUGAUCACACCUUAAUAUAUAGAUACGUAUUUUGUUUGGUUUUUAUUCAUUUCUAUUGGACUCAGAAGACUCUAAAGAUAUGGAUCUUCAUGUGCCCAUAUAUUUUUGAUAUUUUUAUAUUUUCUUAUGAUACUAUUAGGAACCUUCAUGUGCUCACAUAUUUUUGGUAUUUUAUGACUAUAUAAAAUAGACUCGAUAAUCGCGUAGAUAUAGUUACCUGAUAACUAGAGGAUGCUCCUCCCCCAAGCUAGAUGUUUGCAAUAGUUGGUGUUGAUGAUCUUCAGAGUGAGCUAACCGGCAGCGCUCCAUGUGGGUGCUACUAGUAGACUCUCUCCUUGUCAUAAUGUUGUUCAUGCAUAAUUACACUCCAAAAAGAAAACCAAAACUCGAGGCUCAAAGUUAACAAUGGGUUAGUGGUCAGCCAAAGAGUAAUUGAUCAUGUUUAAGAGCUAGCUUUAAUGUUGUCUAAUUUAAACAUGAUUUCAAUUUUUCUCUUAUUUUUGAAUUUUCUAAUUAUGAUGCAGGAAUUUAAUGUUAUAUUUUUGUCAUUUUUAUUUUAUGCCACUAUAGCGGAUGUUCCUUCAGAAAAUACCAUAGGGUAUCCACAUGGGGCUUGUGAUGCCAUGAGUAAUUCAGUAAAUAUUUUUCUUAUUUUUAUAUCUUUUAGUGUGUAAACAAAAUUAUGCUACUAAAUAAAUUACAAAUGCAUUUAAAGAGAUAACUACCAUUCUAACCUUAUGGUUAGGGUACGGAAUUUAAAGUCUACCGACAUGACUUAGAUAGAGGAGAACACUUAGUGGGUUCAUCGUCUGAGGUAACCUCAGUCAACUUCCAUUUUCGUGGUGAUGUCGCACGUGCCUUCUUCCAUCUCGCUUCUAUCUCUUUUGCUUCUCUCUUUUUUGGCUCCAGCUCUUCAGCUUUAUUCUCUUUCUCCCUCAUUGAAGCUGAGUGGUCCUCAUGGAGGGGCUCAUGCUUAUAAGAGCAAGUGUUGCCUGGAAUACUUCAAUCUCAUCACCCAAGAAGUUAUUUCAUUCAUACAGGGGUCAGUUGUAUGUCAGAAAGGUGUACUUUUCAAGUGAUGAAGAUGAAGAUUCCUAGGUAAGUUGGCUCUUGGAAUCAUCCUACAGAAAGCUCUCAUAAAACAACAAAACUCGUGGAACGGUAUCAGGAUAAAAUGUUAAUGAUUACCAUUUUUAGAGGAUUGGGUGUUGUGGCUGUUCAAAGUAUUUUUAAGACAGCCGUAUUAAUAUUUUUGGAUUUUAUGGGUUUAUAUGCAUAAAGUGCAUGAUAUAUAUUUUUAUUCUAUAGGCCACCACAGUGAGAACUCCUACAGCUUUUACACUACAAGGGUUUCACAUGGAGCUUUAUUUUUUUAAGAUGCAUGAAUGUAGCCUAAUGCAAGACUAUUUUUGCUAUUUCUAUGUGUUGCCAAUAUGGAAAAGUAAACAUACUAAAGAGAGAUUAACUCAUACAAUGUAAGGAAGUAUAUAUAGAUAACUACUGAUGUUACCUUACGGCGAGGGUUCGAUAUUUCUAGUCCUUCAAAUAGGACUUCUUCCACUCUUGUGUAUCUCUCCAUCUUGAGAGAUGGAGGUCUUAUUAGUUGCAUACCUCUAGUGAUGACGUGUCACCUUUGUUCUUUGAAUUAGCCAGCAGGUUGAAGGAGAGUUUUAAUAGUAGCUGGCAGCAUCUUGCUCAGUGUGCAUGUUCACAGAACUUUCACUUGUAGAAUUAAUAAACUUUGCUUGAUGUGUUGUCCAGUUUACAAAACAAAGGUAGAGAUCAAGUGCAUGGGCUCUGCUGGUGGAAAAACACCAAUAGAACCAAAUCUAUUUCUUUAUUUAUUUUUCUCCAUCCUUAGGCAUAUUAAACAAGGUAAAGUUAGGUUACAUGAUUUAUUUAUUUAUGAGUGGUAAGAUCAAAAGAUUAAGCAUUUAAUGUUGCAUUUAAGUUCACAUGAUAGAAAAGAAUGAAAUUGCUUAACCAAUGGAAGGAUUGUCUAUCUCUAUAUAAAUUUUCAAAUAAGUAUGACUCUCAUCUUCCCAAGAUUGAAUAUAAUGUUUUAACUUGUUUAGUUAAGACUGAGAUUAAGAGAAUGGUGUCAUGAAUAAUUUUAUAGAGCAAAGCAUAUUGAGUUAAUCAAUUUAAGUGGUAACUCUAAUAUGUUUUGUCUUCACUUAUGUGCACACCAAGAUAAAGAGAAGAGAGUGACCACUUACCUUAGAAUUUACCUUCAUUAUUAGAGCGUGAUGGCACUAACUGAUGAACGGUAAAUGACUGGUGGUCCUUCCUCUUGCAUCUUGAGUUGUUCAUAGACAUCUUGUCUCCUCUGUUGCACUCAUUCUUUUGCCAUCUUUUACUUCUUUAAUUUGUUGACUCUUUUCACUCCAGUCAUUAUUAUGCCUGCAACAGAUUAGUGGACAACACAUACCCGAAGGAGUAUACAAGUUUUUAACAUAGGUUGCUUGUGCAGUACUUUAUUUUGCUCUAUCUAUGCUAAUGAAAAGAUAAUAUUAAUAUUGUUUUAGCAUAGAUCAUAUUUUAUACAGAUAUGGCUUGAGGCAAAGUAACUUGUAGUAGAAGAUAAAGUGAAUGAAUCAUUGAUGUUCAAAGUUCUUUCAUUUAUGAUGAAUGAGUUGUGUCUUCUUCUAUAAAGUAAUUAAAGUUCAGCAUGUCCCUGUCUUAUAUCUAAAUUGAAUUCAUCUGUUGACUUACCCAAAUUAAAUUUAUAAAUUUUCAUAUAGGUGUAGUCCACAAAAUAUCCAAUGUCUACUACAGUAUAUUACUAGUUCAAAAAUCAACCUAGACACCAUGUCUAAUUUGAUUUAGGAAGGCAUUUUAACCUAAGCACCACGCUUAAUUCAAAAAGCCUUUGAAAGUAAAAAUCAACACACCUCUUAGUUCAAGAAUCAAACUAUACACCUUGUCUAAUUAUGACUCAAGAAAAUAAUUUUAACUAAGCACCAUGCCUAAUUCAAAAGGUAUAUGAAAAUACUCCAAACCUUAAGGAUACUAUAGCAAACAAAGGUAACAUGAAAGUUUAUAGAGUGUUAUUCAAAUGGAGAUGAAAGAGCAUGAUUAACAAAUUGAAUAAAGGUAGAGACACCAAUAUUAGCAACAUAAGAUUUUCUAAAUAAGGUCAUUCCCCCAAGCUAAAAUUUUGUAAAGUAAAUGUAAGCUUGAGUGGAUGUAAUUCAAAAUUGCAUAAUGAUAGGUUAGUGAUACUUGGUGCUGCCAUUAUUAGUUUUCUCACUUUAAACCUGAAAUGGUUAGUGACAAGAAUAUUCACAGGAAUAUUUUGACAAUUAUAUUUCUAUGCUAAAGGUGCAAGCUUAAUUCAUUUUUUUAAGUGGUUAUUUUAGAACACAAAGUUGUUCUUGGGAAACCUUCUGAUUAUUAUAAUUCGAGUUGGUGAGGUGGUUUCCUCUAGAAGAUUAGCCUUUGUGCACCUAUAUCCAGAUUACAACGAGAUGUAUAAUAUUUAUCAUAAACAUAUGCAUCUACAACCACCCUCUUAAUGAUGUUAUGAAUAGGUAGAAUAAGGGGGGUGAGGAUCUCAUGUGUGACAAUAUUAGAGACUAAUUGAUCCAGGAGAUUUCUCAUAUGAGCAUUGGUCUGAUAGGGUGUUUAAUGAAAUAAUUCACAUGCUCGACAAUAUGAUCUCCCUUUUUAAACUCCAAGGUUGUCUCUUCAUGGUUGUCUAUAGGCAAUAAGUUUGCCUCUAUUAUUUCAUGCCUAUGACAUUUAUUUUAUUUUCUAGGAUUUCCCAUGAAUUGAUGUCCCUAAGGUUGGUCUCGUCUAAAGCUUUCUCUAAACUUGGGUGAGUUUUGUUUAACAAAGAAAUUGAUUUAAGCUCAACAUUUGAAUUUAGACCAAGUUUCGAUGCUAGUGCUAAAACUUCAUCUUCUUCCAUCCAUUCCUUACAACAGCAUAUGCAUUUCUAGUAUGUUCUACGCAUUCCUGCCAUUGUUGUUGCUCUUCAAGGGUAUUCCUAUAAUCUUCAUGACUCCUAUUCUUAGGAUGUCUUGAUGGAUUUCUAGGGUCAUUAUGAAGUUUAGUGGAAGGAGCAUAAAAAGAUUUAUUGGGGUCAAGGAUGGGUUUAGAAAUGGGUUCAAAGACAUUUAAUAUGGGCAUAGAAGGGGAGAAGAUAGAAUUUAUUUCUAAGUGGCUUGGCUCUCCUUCUAUGGCAUCAUUUGGCAUACCAUCCUUGAAUUCUUCCCAAUGUCUUUUUAGGAAGGAAAGGAAGUUGAUGAUGCUUUUCCAAGAUACUCUUCUAGAAGAUCUGAUAUGCAUUGAUUUAGGAGCAUCUUAGCUAAUUGGAAGUUUAAAUCAUCGAAGUGGAAUUUUUAAGGUUUAGGAUUGAUAGCUAAAUCCUAGGAAUGAGAUCAUUGUGUUUUAGCUACCAAUACUUCCAUUUUUAGUUUGGAUAAUAAGUCCUUUUCUUCUUUUGGGGAGUUCAAAAAUAGCCAGAGCAACUCUUUUGAGCAUAAUCUCUUGCUUUUAAAUAAAAAAGGACUCUCAAGAAGAUAAAUCAAGGGAUUCCUUGUAACUCUUGGUAAUACCCAAAUGUUGAAAAAACAUGGGGCCUAGCAAACCAAGGUCAGGAUUAAUGAUCCCAUGAUAUAUUUGAGAAGGGUUUAUUAUGUAGAUAUGGGCAUAGCUUAUAGAUAUUAUGAUAAGGUUUAUGCUUUAAGCUUUUGCACAUGCCAUAAAGAUAGGUGUGGAAUUUAAAUAAAUAUCCAUAAGGAUAAACACAAAAAUAAUGAAGAGACUAGGAUAAAAUAGGAAAAGAUAAAAGUAUAAUACAAGAUUAAGCUAAACUAAGCCAAAAUCAGCAAACCGUUCCCCGGCAACGGCGCCAAAAAUGCUUGUUAGUAUAAAUUAACUGCACUCCAUUAAAUAAGUUUUAAGUAGGAUUAUUCGCAAGCGUACAGAUAUCAUACCAGUGUCACAUUUUACUUGGAGGUUUUAAAUAUCGUAUCCAAAGGGAACAGUUGUGAUGAUGAAAAAGUAUAUAGACUUAACCCUACAAUUAGGCUAGAUCAUAUCAAGAAAAGGAAAUAGCUAAUGCACUCUGGUUCUGACUUUGGUAAACUUUGUAUAAUAUCGUCUUCUCGGGCAAAUAACCCGAAUAGGAGAAGAAAUAGAGUAAUAUCCUACCAGGCACCUAUAAGCCCAUCAUUCCUAUCAACAGGAUGUGGACUAUAGAGGAUUCAACGCAGCUAUAAAGUCACCUGUGCGAGCUGCCACAGUCCGGCUAAUCAGGGGACAUUCACAAGUAAACCUAGCCUAGGCACCACGCCUACACUAUGAAAUACUACUUCAACCAAGUAAUGACCAAGAUCAAAGCACUCAAUAUGAGAUGUGAACUAAAGAAUGAAUAAGAACAAGUUGCUUACUUAAAUCGGAAUGGUAAGUACAAAAGUACCUCAGAACACAGCUCCGGGCGAGGGAACUGAAUCCAGAAGAAUAUAGCCAUGAAGAAGCGCCGACAGGCCGGAACUCCUCCAGAAUCUCUACUCCUCUACUCAAUCUCUCUAAUCUCUAAGCAAGACUAGAUCUAGAAAAACUAGUCUCUCCUAAUUGCUACAUCUAGAUGAACUAGAACUAGAUCAACUAGAACUAGAUCAACUAGAGGGACCCAAACCCUAAUUGUGUAGAGAAUAUGAAGCACUAGGGUGUAGAAUGCCUCUUAGGGGGAGCCUUGGGCGUCAUUAUAUAGGCCGAGGUGGAGUAGGGGGCAAGGAACCGCCACGUCAUCGAUCCGCGUCUUCAUCUUGUGUGCACCAUCGGAUCAAACGAACUUAAAAUCAACGUAGGGAUACUUCGCUUGGCUUCCAAGGAGGCGUAGGAGGAAGACUCUAGAAGGCGGCGGCCAGUGGAGAAAUUAUGGCGCCGACCGGCCCUAGGGUGGGACCGGCCAGCCCCACCUUCUCUCCUCUGCGUGUCUCGUUCCUUUGGGUGUCUUCUAGACCCUUCCUGAGCCUGAUGACGAUGUUUUCCGUCGUGGAUAAGUUUUGUGGUAAAUUAUGCACUAGAAUCCCUCUUUUUAGCUUUUCUGAAAUUUACCUUAGAAAAUACAGAAUAUGCAAAACUUGUGGAAAUUGUCAGAUAAAACCCUAGAAUAGUGUGUUUUCCUAUGUUCACUUGUGUCUAAAGUUCUAAUAAAUAUUGGCGUUAUCGACCGUCAACAAUAUCCCCAAGCUUACCUUUUGUCAGUCCCUUGGGAAAGAACCCAAGCCUAAUUAAUAAACUUGGAUCAGGAGUUGCUACAAUACUUUCAUUUCUUUUAAGUACACUUGAUUUUAAACAUAAAUUGUCCUCUGGUCUAACUUUGGAUCCAUAGAGAAUCGAGGCAUACAAUCAAAUCAAGAUGUGUAUGUGUAUGGGAUAUGGUGGAUAGGUGUAUAUAAAAUAUUUAGUGGCUAAUCCUAAUUCCACUUUUGCUCUUUGAAAAUUACUCCCUCCUUAGAACUUAAUCUUUAUUCGCUUUCUCUUUUUGUUUACUGUGGGAAGCGGGCAUCGAUGUACCCAUUGUUUUAAUUGCUAGGACACCUGUCCAUCAUUUACUCCCCCCCUUUUUUAUUUUUCUUUUUAAAUACUUUUGCAUAGCCACAUGCAUCCUUUGAAUAUAAAUAAUUGGAGAGAUAAUGAUAAGAACUUAGAGCAAUUAAGUGGGGGUUGUCCUAUAACAAACUCCUCAUGUUUUGCUCAAGGUGUGUCCUGCUCAUAAAGACAAGGUAGAGACCAAGUGCAUGGGCUCUGUUGGUGGAUAAACACCAAUAGAACAAAAAGUUGUGUCUUCUCUAACCUUAGCACAUAGACUUUGUUGAUGCAAAACUGAUCUGCAAACACAAAGGGCUAAUACCCGAUUCAAACGUUAAGGCGUGCCAGGCGAUUUGACCUUACUAUCGGCAAAGGUGAUAACUCGAACACUUUGGUCCCGACAACAGCGAUGCGCCCGGAUGUCACGGCCAAGAGGUGCUCAUGCGGAACUCGAGAAUACACCAAGCUUCAAUCGACGAAUCCUUAAGAACUCGCACUAAAAAGGGUAAAUAUGAUGAAGUCGUCGAAAAAGUAGAUGCUAGAAUAUGAGUAAAAACUUGUGUUUGAUUGAUUGAUCGAUAGAUUGUUCAUUACAUGGCCCUAGGGUCUACAUUUAUACCCUGCUCAAAGAGCUACAAUCAGACACGACUAGGACUCAAAUUCCAAAUUAAAUGGAAUCCGUAUACAAAACAAAUUUAAACAACUAAGGAAAACAUAAAACUAUCCCCCUGUAACCGACCGGGACACCACCGCAGACCAAUCGGCAAUCUCCACGCUUCCCUUCAGAGUCAUCGGCAGACCUCCUGUUAUGGCCAUCGGCAAACACUAAUACUGAUCAUCGACACGAGCACGUCACCACCUCUGGACUUAGUCACAUUCAAUUGUCUCUUCAUUGGCAACCACCUUCAUCGGCAACUUCCCUGCAGACUAGUUACCGUUGCUCCAUCUGCCGAUCUAUACUUUACCGAUCCCCGGGUACGUGUCCAAAAAUGGCGUCAACACAUGCCUCCCAAUUUCGGAGUAUAAAAUCAUUAAUGCUCCGAAAUUCUCUACAGUAAUGAUGCCUUUCCGCAAUUAAUUCUCUCAAUUUGGUAACCGUUCGUUAAACCCGAACAACCUUGGCCCAAUUCUCUUGCAUAUUUCUCGAAUUCUGCAACCUCCCGAACCGAAUCUCUCCACUUUAUGCGCCCAUCGGCAACAUUACCGUUAGAGAGAACUGCCGAUGGACCGACCAGGAAAUCUUGUACAGUGAAAUAUCUCCAAAAUCUUGACCGCUUGCUGUCAAAUCACCUACGCAAUCCCUUGAUUACCGUGCGAACAGUUACCAUAUCCACAUGAGCGCCCUUGGAUUUCACAGAUGUGGCGAAGAGAUAAGUCAGAUUUGCCCCUGUCCGUUUUGUCCUAUAAAUACUCCCUUCUCCGGUACUCCUUCUCCACCUUGUCAUUUUACAGCCCAAAAUCCACUUUUUUCGGCGGCGGCAUUACCCGAGGACUCCAAGAACUUCAACAAAGGCCUUUCUUCACCAACCCCCAAGUCUUCGUCUUCUUCCCUGCGAGGAGAUGGCCAUCAACUUCGUUGUUCCUGAGGUCAGCUUUCCACCCUUUCUCCUGCACUUUCACUGUACUCCUGUUCGUCCGCAAUUUGUCUUACUGGAUAUUCCUUUUUCUUUUUGUUCUUCUCUUUACCCUCAAAAACUUCUAGGGUCUAGCCGAUAAGAUCGUUAUUCCUACCGAUCAACCUCACCUCCAAUGUCUUAGUCCGCUAGGAAACCCAGAUCCCACCGAUCUAAUAAACGCAGAGACAAACAGAGUUCCUUUUAGAGCCAAAAACUUCUCCCUAGAUCUAUGGAAAGAUGCCUUCCGUUCCUGGCCCAGUCCUACCAAGGGAUGGAAGGAUUGGUUCUUGAGAGUCAGCCACUCAAAUGAGGUUCAAUGGGGCGAGCGAAAAUUGGACCAGUGCAUUAGGUUAUCCCUUGCCGAUAUGGAGAGGAAUGAGUCACUGCUAAUUGCUGCCUCAUACUUUUGGUCAGACACGCUCAACGCUUUUGUGUUUGGCCAUGGCCCUGCUUCUCCUACACUUGCCGAUGUACUCAUGCUCACCGGCUUAGAUAUAUCCACUGCCGAUAACAGUCAUCUAUUUGACACCAGACCUAGCGCUAAGGUGGAAACUCGCGCUAUCGGCGGUUGGUCCGGGUAUAUUCAGAAGUACCGUAGAACAGGACCUGUUAAUGCAAAAGAACAGACUACUCUCCUGAAUAUGUGGCUGGAUAAGUUUGUAUUCUGCGGCUGAUCGGCAGGACCAACUUCUGUUUACUUAUCGGUAGCAGAAAGACUAGCCGAUGGCGGCCGAUUUCCCCUUGGCCGAUACCUGCUCGGCUCGGUUUAUCACCUCCUCCACCAAGUAGCCAGGAAACUUCUGCUCGGCCAACCCAUCGGCAAUUUAUGGGGUCCUUGGUGGUUCAUCAACAUGUGGCUCAGUCUCCACUUGCACAAGUGCCUUGAAUUCGACCUCUUUGCACAGCGCUUCCCCAGGGACAUAGCCGGGGACAUAGCCGAGGAUUAUGAACUGGACGAAGAAGAAUCAGCAACUCGCUCCCCUCUGAACUUUGGCGAAGCUGCCAUAGUCUUACCUGGCACUGGUGGUAAUGAAGACCAGGUUAGUCGAUUCUUUCAUACUCUCUAUGAAGGUCUGACCAGGGAACAGAGGGCAUGGAUGCCUUAUGAAGAUCCAGAUACCAGAUUUCCCCUGACCUUCCACCCCUUCAACGAUGCUCUCAACAAGGACUGUGAUGUGAUGAUGGCAAUUAUCAUCCCAAGAGCCAUACCAGUGAACUUCUUUAUUAGUGGGAAGGCUUCCAACAUGACCUAUGAGUUUUAUAACCCAUCGGCACUAGCUCGCCAACUAGCUUUCGGCCAACUGCCGAUUGCCCUUUGCUAUGCCGAUGUGGUAAAGCCAAGGGAGACCAUCACCAGCAACCUUGAAUGGAUCAGAAUAGCUCAACUCCCGCCAAAUGCCGAUACAGAUGUCGACUUAUCGGCUUGGAUCCCAGCUCUCUUCAUCACCCAAGCAUACAAACAGUGGUGGGAAGAGUGGAAAGAGCAUCUGUUCUGUAGAUCGGCUCUCACAUAUCGUGGCAUGAUCGACCCCAAAUACAAGAUCCCCGAUAGUACUGUAAGUAUUUUAACCGAUGUUUCAAUCCUUUCACUUUCACUUUCUAUCGGCAACUCACUUUCUUUGUUUCAUUCAGGUCGAUGAUACGCCACCAUCAGUUAGCAGGAGUGGCAAGCCGAUCGAACUCCUUCCAUCGGGCCCGAUCUCUUUGAUCGGCAACAACGCUCCAACCUUGGCUGCUUUAAUGCACCUAGGUGUGCGUCUCAAAAAGGUCACCACCAAGCGAACAAAAACAUCCCCGUCGGUAGCUGCCACUGCUUUGGCACAAGCCUUCGAGGUAAACUCUCAAAUUCUUUGACUUAUACCGAUUCCAUUAUUAUACUUACACAAUUUUCAGGACACAUCGACUAGUAUGGGAAUUUCAUUUUUAACUUUGAUUAUUUUAAUCAUAACUCGAUACCCUGUUACACUUGUACUUAUAAACUUUUCAUUGUUGUAUCAGCAUACCGGCACAUCGGCAAAGACCAGAAGUACGACUGCCGAUGCCGCCCAGUCCAGUCAACUGAAGAGAAAAGGUUCCAAGAGUACCAGAUCACAAGCGAAGCGCCAGAAACGCCUCCUCCUCCUCCAAGGUCUCUGAUCCUAGUAAAAUCAUCCCCUUCUUCUCCAGAAGCCCAGAAACAGCAAGUACCAUCUCCCCCUCAACCACAAGAAGAGCCUCAGCCAGAAGAACCUCAUCUAGAAGAAACAUCGGCUGAUAUACACGAGCAAACCAUCGAUCCAUCCAGCCUAAUCAUAGCAUCGGUAGUUUCCUCGAUUCAGACAAGCACCGCACCCCCUCAAGGUAAAAUACUAUCCGUGAAACUACUGCCGAUUGACCCAUCUUUCCACUUUAUUAAUUACUUCUGUCAAUCUUUCAGCUGACAUAGCCCCAUCGGCAAUUCCAGCCGAUCAACCCGUGGUUCCAUCGGCCUCAACUAGUCAGAGGCGAGAGAUAGCUCUAAAACAAGUAAGUUACCCGAUUUCUAUUUUUAUCAUCACCAGUACUUGAUCAUAAAUAACUUAUUUUAUCUUCCUUUUCAGGAAUAGGAUUCUCUCGAUAGCUUGUUCUCCUUCGCCAUCGAAAUCUCUGAGGACAAAGGCGAGGAGGCAAGUUCUUCUAGAGCGGUUGGAAUCUCAUCGGCAAAGAUUAGAGCAAAGUUAGAAGAUUUGUCAACCCUCCUUCAUCAAGACACGGCCCAAUUGGUUGAUGACUCCGAUCCGGCCAAGGCCCUGCUCAAGACUCUCAGAGGCCAAAUUCCUGCCGAUGCCGAGUAGAUCCUCUUCAAGGCUGCUCACUUGGAGAGUCGAUAGCUUCAGUAUCAAAAGGCUGUUCAGUGCCUUGCCGAUAGAGCUACUCACGCCCAGCUUUCAGAAGAGAUGAUGAAAGUAAAGCUACUUGCCGAUGAAAAGCAUAAGAGCAUCGGCAUUCUGAAAUCCUCAGGAAACGUGCUGAAGCAAAAGAUCUCUGAUCUAUCGGUAAAGAGAGAAGGCCUGUUGGCAGAACUCAAACAAGUGGAAGAAGCUCUGUCUCAAGUUCAAUAGGAAGAAAGCCAGCUGCCUGAAGCAAUCAAGACCCUUGAACAGAAGCGAAAUAUCCAAGCUCGCAAGGCACUGCACAUGAAGAAGAAACUGCAGCCAGUGGAGGGCUCUGCCGAUGAAGACAUGAAGGAGAUACAAGAAGCUGAUCAGAUUCGUCUGCGCACCAUAUCGACGAUCCAGGCUCUGCUAAAUAUAUAAACUCUUCAUUGGUGGCGUGUCUUGCCCUUUCCUUUUAAACACUCCUGAUUAUUUUGGUCUAGCCAAUAGGACUGUUAUCGACACCUUUUUAAAACAUUAAAUCCGGCCCCAGAUACACUUUAAUCCAGCCGAUAGGAAUGUUAUGGGCACUUAAACUUUCAUGCAUCAAGCCAUAUGAUAGGAUAAUAUUUCUGUAAGUAUUUGCCAUUCAAUGCCCUGGGAAAUUCAACUCCUUCGAGAGUUUCUAAAAUAUAGGCAUUGCCAGGAGCAGAUCGGUUUAUCCGAUAAGGACCCUCCCAAUUGGGAGACCAUUUCCCAAACUUUGAACUUUUAGUCCUGAUCGACAAGAUUAGUUUUCAUACUAAGUCUCCAUCGGCAAACUCCUUAGCCUUUACUUUCUUAUCAUACCAUCUGGCAACUCUCUUUUUAUUUUCUUCUAUGCUUAUCAAAGCCCUCAGCCGAUGUCCUGCUAAAUCAUCCAAUUCGUCUAUCAUCAAAGCAGCAUAGUCAUCGGCAGUCACUUGAUCCUAAAAAGAUAGUCCCCUAGAUCCAGUCUUAAUUUCCCAAGGUAGCACUACAUCAUGUCCAUACACCAACUGAUAAGGUGAAACUUUGGUCGACCCAUGACAAGCCAUCCGAUAUGACCAUAAAGCUUCAUUCAACAAUGUAUGCCACCUCCUAGGAUUCUCUUCAAUCUUCCGUUUAAUAAGUUUGAUAAUCCCUUUGUUGGACGGCUCGGCCUGCCCAUUAGCUUGAGCAUAAAAAGGAGAAGAAUUCAACACUUUAAUCCCCAAACCGAUUGCAAUUUCAUCAAACUCGCCCGAUGUAAACAGAGUACCCUGAUCGGUAGUAAUCGUUUGAGGAAUACCAAAUCAGUAAAUAAUAUGCUCCUUUACAAAAUCAAUCAUAUUGGCCGAGGUGACUUUCUUCAAAGGAAUAGCUUCAACCCACUUGGUGAAAUAAUCAAUAGCAACCAAAAUGAACGUGUGCCCUUUGCUAGAAGGUGGAUAAAUCUGGCCGAUCAAAUCUAUAGCCCAUCCCCGGAACGGCCAAGGUUUAAUAAUGGGAUUCAUGGCCGAUGCAGGUGCCCUUUGAAUAUUGCCAAAUUUCUGACAUCCUUGACACCCCUUGAAAUAUUUAAAACAAUCCUCAAGUAUGGUUGGCCAAUAAUACCCAUUCCUCCUAAUCAUCCAUUUCAUCUUAAAAGUCGACUGAUGCGCUCCACACACUCCUUCAUGGAUCUCUCCCAUCAAACUUUUAGCUUCAUCAUUGCCUAAGCACUUGAGAAGAACUCCAUCAAUUGUUUGAUAAUAUAGUUCAUCUUCGAGGAGCACAUACUUGGUGGCUUGAAACCGAACACGCAUCUCAACCUUCUUAGAUGGAUCUCUUAAAUAAUCAAUGAUUUCUUUUCUCCAAUCAUCGGCACUGAUUGCCGAUAACGUGUUCAAUAUGGGUUGAUACCCCGAGGCAUGCUGAGCCAACCGAUUAGCCUCCUCAUUAUGCAAUCGAGGAACAUGCUCUAAUCGGAAAUCUUUGAAAUCCUUUAACAAAUCGGUUAACCGCUGCUUACACUCAGAAUUUAACUUGGCACUAAUAAAAGUAGGUCUAGGCUUAUCACCACUACCUAUAUCUACCUCUACCAAAUCAUCGGCCGAUGUAAACCCCUGGCCUAAUUUUCCAUCAUCGGCAAACCUAUCCAUUAAAACUCCUCAUCAGAACCGACUGCUUGGAUCGGUGGAAUUUCAUAAUCGGCAACUUUGAGGAAAUCCUUCUCCCAAAUUUCUCCCGAGAUACACCUGGUCCUUUCAUAGGUAUCCGCUUCUGCCGAUGCAAUGACAUAAGAAGAAUCUCCCGGGACAAUCUCAAUCUUGUCACCUACCCACUGAACCAAGUAUUGGUGCAUUGUCGAUGGGAUACAACAAUUGGCAUGAAUCCAAUCUCUCCCUAGCAGCAAAUUAUAAGCACCUUUCCACUGAUAACGAAGAAAGUUGUCAGCAAGGUUUUGCUGCCGAUGGUCAACUCGAUGCAUAUUGCCGCCUUAACUGGAGACACAUUUCAUUCAAAGUCUUUUAGCAUCAUAUCGGUCUUGGUCAAAUCUUGAUCUCCUUUCCCAAGUUUCUGAUAGACUGUAUAUGGCAUGACAUUAAUAGCAGCCCCACCAUCAACUAAUAUCUUGGUCAUUGGCUGACCAUCAACUCUUCCUUUGACGAACAGAGCUUUAAGAUGUUGCCUUUCUUUGUCGGUAGGCUUUUCAAAGAUAGCCGUCAUUGGAUCUAGAGCCAACUGAGCUAUCUGGUUGGAAAAAUCCAGCUCCUCAUCAUCACUGGACGGCGCAAGGGACUCCAUCCGCAACAUAAAUACCAUGCUAACAUCUGCCGAUGGCCCUUUUCCCUUAGGAUCCGGCUGCUGCUGAUCUCCAGAUUGGCCAGAAUUCUCGCCUUUGUUUAGCUCUUCUCGCCUUUCGCGCUGCAGCCUCCUUUUCUGCGUCCUGGUCAACCCCUCUGGACACCACAGAGGAAGUUGUGGUUGCCUUACUGGAGAACAACAAUUUUCCCUUGACUCCACACGAUAGGUAUUGGCAUCUCUGCAAAAUAUGAACUCAUCGGGAACUCGUGCAUUGGACAUCUCCUCAAGUUCCUCUUGGUUCCUAGGAAAAUACCCGACACGAUCACCAAGCCUGUCGUGGACACUGAGUCUGCCCCCAGCCGAUCAUGAACUGACGCUCUUCCACUAAUCGGCCCAUUAAACCGCCGAUCAUCGUUCUGGUACUGCCGAUUAGGUCUGUCAUACUGAUCAUAACCAUUGCACUCAGGGCAAUCCCUAACAGUGGGCAAUUUGAUGUUCUGUUCCUAGCAAUGGAUGAAGAACGGGUAGUUCCAGUGGUCCUUGUGCCGAUUCCACUCCUGUCGGCGUCUUUCUUCUUCCCGUCGAUAGUCCUCCUACUGGCGCCGAUACCGAUCUUCACGUUGUUGCCAAGUCUCCCGAGGCCUUCUAUGAGUUAUCACGAUACCGGAUUGGGGAGGCCUUCCUGAGUUAGUUCCCUCUUGGAUCAAACCUUUUCCUUUGGCAUCGGCAGCAGUAAUCUGAUGUUGAGGAUCGACCGAUGCACUUCUUUCAGCUGCUUCUGACGUCAAAACCUUGGUUUUCCCCUUAGCAUCCAACAUGUUUGUCGGAAAAGGGUGUUGAUCAAUCUUCAACGGCUUCUGCGCUUUAGAACUAUCAAACUUGAUUCUCCCAGAUUCUAUAGCCGAUUCCAGCUGUUGCCUGAAAACCAUGCACUCAUUGGUGCUGUGAGAAGUCGCGUUGUGCCACUUGCAAUAUUUGAUCUUCUUCAACUCCUCAGCCGAUGGAAUCACGUGAUUGGGUGACAACUUGAUUUGGCCUUCCUGAAGUAGAAAGUCAAAUAUCCUAUCGGCUUUGGUGAUAUCAAAUGUGAACUUCUCUGGCUCUUUAUGCCCAAAAGGGCAAGACAUCGGCUUCUUAUUUUUCACCCACUCUGCCAAGCCGAUGACUGGCUCUUCAUCAGAAUCCGAGCUUGCUGCCUCAUCAACAAAUGACACCUUUUUGUUCCAUGCUCUCUUGGGUUCAAAAGGCUUAAUAUCUUGGUCAGAAAUUCUUUGCACCAAGUGACUCAAACUUUCGAACUCUUGAGAAGCGUAUUUGUCUCUGAUAUGUGGCAACAGACCCUGGAAAGCCAAAUCGGCUAGCUGCCGAUCGUCCAAAACCAGGCUAUAACAUUUAUUCUAGACUUCCCGCAACCUCUGCACAAAGCUUUCAACCGAUUCGUCGUUGCGUUGCUUCAACCUGACUAAAUCGGUAAUUUUCUUCUCAUGAACUCCAGAGAAGAAGUACUUAUGGAACUGCUUCUCUAGAUCGGCCCAAGUAAUCACUGAGUUGGGAGGUAACGAUAUAAACCAAGUGAAUGCCGACCCAGACAAUGAUGACGAGAAUAAACGAACCCUUAGCUCGUCUGUGUUAGCAGCUUCGCCACAUUGAAUGAUGAACCUGUUGACAUGCUCCAUGGUUGAUGUAUCAUCCUGUCUAGAAAACUUAGUGAAAUCUGGUACCUUGUACCGAUUUGGAAGUGGGAUUAAAUCAUAUGCAAGAGGAUACGGCGUCCGAUAAGAGUAAGUGUUGACUUUGGGUUUUAUCCCAAAUUGGUCUCUCAUUACUUCAACAAUCUUGUCGGCCCAAUAAGCAUCGACAUCUUGCCGAUGGGGUGGUUGUGGAUCUGGCACCUGCUGAUAUGCUUCCACGUGUCUCUGAGGUGCACGAUCUGCAUGGAACAUAGGGUUAAUCAUCUGACCACCAAACUGCCGACCAAGAUUCAUCGGCUGAUUAACCAAUCCUUGAUUCUGAAACCUAGGUUGGAUUUGUCCUUAUUGAAACCCUGUAGUCUGAUGAUUCUACUAAUCCAUCUGUGGAAAGACUAACUGCCCAUUCCAUCCACUGUUAGCAUUCAUCGGCACAAGCCCUGCCGAUGACUGGUGAUUGGGCAUCAUCAUUGAAUCGACAUACCCUGGUUGUGUCAUAAACCUCUGCUGCAUCGGCAUUGAAUCUGUCGAUGCGUUAGGCAUCUGGAACAUUGGAGCUUGAGAAUUCCCAGUGUAAGGUCUUGCAGUAGUAGUUGUAGUAUACUGGGGACUCUGAUUCAUCGGCAGAUUUGGAGGUGCCGAUGCCAUAGGAGCCUUGCCUCUCAUGUCAGCCGUUUGAGAUGUUCCAGGAGUCUUCAACAUCAUCUCUGGGGGCAUACCAUAACCCCACCAGUUGGGAGGAACAGAUCCUGACAUUGCCGAUGCCAAUAGAUCUGUGGCAAGCUUGAUUUGCUCAUCUGAAGUUGAUGGAUUGGUUGUCAUCAGUGUAGAUUGCACAUUAGCGAGCCCUAAUGUGCUUGGAGAGGCAAUAGUUUGUGUUGGGUAUUUUAAACGCAAACAGAAAAAUCCGCAAGCGCACGGAUACCGAUGUAGCUUUCACCCGGGAGUAUUCCAGAGUAUCGAUUUUCCACAGAGAACGUAAGUGUACUAAUUAAGAUCCAAGAUCGCCCAAGGAUAACUAUAUAAUUAUUUUUGGUGGGAAGAGAGGAAGUUUCCUGAGAGUUCUCUAGUUGAUCUAAGAAUCAAGAAUUACUUCAAGAUUAUCUAUAUCGGGACAUCAGAGCACUAACCACAGAAAGAGAUGAGAAGGGGGCUAGGAAGGUCUGACUACAGUCCUACAAACACCGAUCCGAACGAGGUGGAAUACAUCGACCGUUAGGGCUGUCACUACCCUAAGGCUACCACAACAAUCCACAGGAUUGGGUGCAAUUCCAGGUAAUCGCAAGACUAAACACCAUGUCUAAUCUACUAAUUACUACUCUAGCGUUAUAAAGACUAGAGCACUUGAUGCAAGCGGGAAUCCAAUAAAUAACUUGAAUGUAAAUAAAAGUAAUUAAAGAACUCAGGAAUUAUGAAUUGAAGAACCUGGAGAACGAUGAAGAACGAACCAGUUGCUGCAAAAGUAUAAUGUUGAGGAAGAUCCGACAGAUCCGGCUCCUCCUCCGCUCUCCUCUUCUCUCUCCCUAUUUUCUAAAUUACAACUAGAACUAACUAGAACUAGAACUAGAAGAACUAGAACUGGAACUAGAUGAACUAGAACUAGAUCUAGAUGAACUAGAGGUAGAACUAGAAGAACUAGAGGGAUCCUCUCUACUUGGAUGAAGAAUUGAAACCCUAGCUUUGAUUCUGUAGAAGAGGUAUGAUCUCCAGGGGCCAGGGGGGUCUGGUUUUAUAGUCCCUUCAAGUGAAUCUGGGCUGUUGGAUCAAACCGACAUUGAUCGUGUGGUUUUCCUUGAUCCUUUAGGUCGGUGGAGCAAUAUCCCGAAAGAGAGUCCUGAUUGGACUCUGGCUGAGGGCGGGCGCCCAGGAAAGGUGGGCGGGCGCCCUGUCCCUGAGUCCUCUCGGCCUCCGCUUCCUUCCCGUGGCUUCUGGAGUCUUCUAGAUGGUAGAAAAUUGCGCAGCACGUUAAUAUCUCUAUGUAAACCCGACGUGUGGGCCUUUCUUCCAUAUUUCCUGAUAACCCCCUGCAGAAAUAGACAAACACCAAAACUUGUGGAAUUCUGUCAGAUAAAACCCUAAGUCUAGGUGUUGGCUCCAUGAUUAGUUGAUGGUUAAAUGUGUGCAUUAAGGACCGUCAACAAGCUCCCCCAAGCUUAACCUUUGCUCGUCCCUGAGCAAAGAUGAACUCAAGAGUUUCUGCAGUGGUUUCAUAACUUAAAGAUACACAUGCGUUUAAACAAGAUCUCAUCUCUGGUUAGAGUAAACUAUUAAGACUUAUAACUUACUCAUUUACCUUUCACCAUGGGACUUGUAACCGUCACUUCUGUCUUGAGUAGUUAAAAGAUAGAACAGUCUAGUCAAGCACCAUGUCUCUUAUUCUUGAUCAGCUAUAGCUCUGGAGUUUUUGCAGAUUUUCAAAUAAAACUCAGAGAUUCCUUGUAUGACUCUCUCUAGUCUCUCUUUUGUGGUAUUUCUGGAUCCUUACCAAGGCAUUAAUGGUGUAUGCCUUCUCUCAAAGUAUGUGGUAUUUGUGGUAUAAGGCAUAGUGGCAUUGCCUUCUCUCUCACCCUACUCUAAUAAGGCUUUUGAUAUCUGGAGCUCAUAGGUGGGAGACAGCUAAUACAUACUUACAAGACAUUUAUUGCAUAGUCAAACCAUGGAUCCAGAAGAACAAGUCAAUAAGUCAAAUCAAGAUGUGCAUGUGUGGCGAAUGAAUGGUGUAUGGUGAUGAUGGUGAUAACAAUGGUGAAAGUCUAAUUCUACUUAUGCUCUUUUGAGGGGAUACAUACCUUUCUUGCUCUUUUGAAACUUUUUGAGGAGAAUGAGAUGCUCUAUAUUUUCUUUUUCUUUUCUCUCAGGUGGGUAUAUUGUACCCCUAAUUCUACUGUCGGACACUUGUCCAUUUUUACCUCUCGUCUCACUUUUUCUUCUUUUUUUUUCUUUCGAGGUUCCGGGCACUUGCCCCUUUUUAUUUCCUCGUAUUCUUAUUUUCUUUCUCUUCUUUUUUUUUCUCUUUUUUUAUUAGAGCACUCAUCUCAUGAGAUAAUAUAGCAAGUGGUAGUAACAAGAUAACUUGAGCAUUUAUUUCACAUGGGAAAAAUAGAAAUAUUUUUGGCUAUUCUCUCCCGGAUUAGGAGUAGAAUAUUUUUGGGUGGUUCUGGAGAUGGAAAUGGGUAUAUGUGGAUGGUACUUCCAGAGUAGAAGUAGCAUGUAUGAGUGAACGUGCAAGUGAAUCUUGACUUAACCACAUGACAAGCUCCUAAGGGUCUACACAGCUUGACCACACUCAAUGCUCAUAAGCAGUAGAAAGUAAAUGUGUGGCUCAAAGUCUAGCAAGCAUGUAUAUAUGGCUGUGGUAGGAAUUUAAACUCUCAUCAUACAGGAACUCAUCAUGUGAUAUUUUAAAGAUUUUCAAAGAUAAAAUUCUCCAGAAUUCUAGCAUCUCUAGGAACAGAUAAACAGCAGCUCAACCUUCCCAUAUCAUAUCCGUUAAUGACUUAGACUUCAGAUCAAGUACUCUUCCCACAAGUUCAGGUUUAGAGCAAAUCAUAAUUAAUAACAGUGAUGCCUAAACUUGAGAGAGAUUUCAAUUUUGAGAACUAGUCAUGGCAGAGCAACUAUUCAUCUUUCCAUGUGAGAGCUUAUCAUGAGGGUUCAUAGCAAAUUUUAUUUAUUUAUUUAUUUAGCAAACUAAGCAAAGAUAUAUAUAUAAGCACAAAAUCUUUAUUUGGGUUUUUAUGAUUAUGCAUCUUUUUUAUUAUUUAAGUAAAGUAUAAACAUGAGUAGAGCACUUAGCUGGAUAAAUGGGGGUGCUCUCCCCCAAGCUGGAUUUUUGACGUAAUUUCUUUUGAUGUAGCUAGCAAGUGGUGGAGGUGUAUUUGAAUGUCGGCAGCACCCUGACAGCGAUUAGGAUGUCCUCCGUCUGCUAGUCUUCUUUGAUCCUUGAAUUCUGUGGAGCUCAAAUAGACAACAAAGCUUUGUGGAACUAGUUAAGUGUUAGCAUAAAUAUCUAGCCUUUAUCAUGUUGAGCCUCCUCAAUAAAUGUUAUUCUCUUUAGUAGGAUCACAAUCUUAUUUAUAUUUUCAUUUUUAUAGGACAGGAAUAUAUAUUUAUUUUAUUUUUAUGCCACCACAGUGAAUAUACUUAUGGGUUUUAUGCCAUGAGCAUACUCACAUGGGGUUUACUUAACAUUUUUCUUUUCUUUUCAAGAUGAUAUAAACCUGAUUAACUAAGCAAACUAUUUUAAAUAAUUGAAAGGAAAUGGAUAACUACCAAGUUUACCUCUUGGCAAGGCGUUCGGUGCUUUUAAGUCCUCCGAACGGGACUCUCCGUUUUCUCAGUCGUCCUGGGAUUUGCUGGAUGGCGUAGUCGGUGGUUCCGGCGGUGCCUCCUCUUCAUGUAUAACUAUCUUCUUUCUCCACACCUAACUCGGUGCUACGGUCUCCUCAGGACAGUUCUGUUCAAGCUGUAUGUCUUCAGACCUCACUACUUCUCCUUCGUAGUCCGCCCAUCCGUCCUUGAUGAUUUGCCUCCUCUAGGUGCGGUUGCGUCGUCUUUUUCUUGUCCUGACCUUCUUAGAGUCUUCAACUAUAUAGUUAAGGUCAGUAAAAUGGCGGCGUACCUUCUCAGAGGGGAAGGGCAUGUGGACUUCUCUGGUUCCAAUGUAGAUGAUUGCUUUAACAGUGCUGAGGAACGGUCUUCCAAGGAUAAUGGGUGGAUCGUACUUGUCUUCUCCCAUGUCAAUAACCUUAAAAUCAUCUGGAGCUGAAUGUAUGUUGGUUGUAGUGGCAUGGUUCCGAACAGGAGUUGAUAGGUGACUGCGGCCAUUAUGUUAACGCCUGACCCGGUGUCGCAAAGCGUCUUCUGGAAGUUGUAUCCAUUAAUAGAGCAUUGGAUGCUUGGAACACCAGGGUCGUCCUUCUUGAUCAAGAAAGGCGACCUGAGUUGACGAUCUUGACCUCCUUGAGCUACAGUGACCAUCUUAGCUGACUUGGUUCACACUUGCUUGUUCCUGUUCCUCCUGUUGGUCCUCUUUCUUGGUUCAUGUCGGGAAUGCUCUGAGAUUUGUGUAGUCUUGUUCUUGAAGGAAAACGUCUCCUUCCUUCCCUUGAUGUAGAAACUGAUCUUGGUAGCACUAGCGUAGAUGAUAGCUCCCGAGGUGUUCAGGAAUGGCCUCCCUAGGAUGAUGGGUGCCCUCUCAUCACUACCAGUCUCUAUCACCACGAAGUCUGCUGGGUCGUACAAGGUACCAACUCGGACGCAGAGGUUCUUCAAUAUUCCCUUUGGGAAACUUAGCGUACGAUCUGCAAGCUGCAAACACAUGGCUGUUUCUAAUAAAGCAUGUGUAAAGAAUUUUUCAUAGAGUACCCGGAGCAUAAUGUUGAUGCUGGAGCCAAAGUUGCAGAGUGCUUCUAGGAAGUCCACCAUGCCGAUGGAGAUCGGGAUGACGGGACGUCCUGGAUUGUAUUUCUUGACCGGCAGAAGGUCAGUAAUUACUUCCACAACAGGGUUACUCCAGUAGUUAUGUCCUCAAGCAUCUCAGGGCAGUGAUUGCCUGAGUGUCCAGUAUCUCCAGUGUGUUUGUGCUCGUAGAUCUAGGUUCUUCACUUGGUGGAGUCUGGGAGUUAUAAAAAUCCUUCAUAUUUUGCUCGAAGUGUACCUGCUCAUAGAGACAAGGCAGAGAUCAAGUGCAUGGGCCCUGUUGGUGGAAAACACCAACAGAACCAAAAGUUUAUUUGCUCUUCUCUAUCCUUAAGCAUAGUGAGCAAGACACAGUUGAUGGAUAAUAAGAUCAUGAGUGUAGCAUUUAAAACAUUCGUCAGAUCAGAUCACUCAACCUAAUGGAAAGAUAAUCUAUCUAUACUUAUGUUUUGUUUAUAUCUUCCAGAGAUUGAAUGUGCAACAUUUUAGUUCAUAUGAUUAGGAGUGUGGGAUCACAAAGGUGGAAGGACUAAACAUGUUGAAUCGAUUGGGUUGGUUAAUCUAGAGUUGCAAAUCAUACAUGUUUGUCUCUUUUAUUCAUGUGAACGCCAGAACCAAGGAGAAGCUUAUAAAAGUGAUAAUCAAGUACCUUAAGAUGUUACCUUUCUUAAAGAGUGAUGGUACAGUAUUACCUUGUGGAAGUUUUCCUUUCUUAGCGGUUGUGCAUCAUGUUUGUGGCACCCUCCAUAGACCAUCUCUUGUGCGCUAUGCCUUCCUUGUGUAAAUUGUUAAACUUCAUGUGCCUCUCUCUUUGUCUCCAAUGUGAGUUUGUCUCAGGACUUCCCAGGUCGAUAUUGAAAGUUUUCCUACAGGGGUUAGUCCAACAAAAUAUACCAAUGUCUACACAAGCAGUUUUUAGUUCAAUAACUAAACUAGACUCCAUGUCUAAUUAGAUUAAGGAAGGCUUGUUUAACCUAAGCACCAUGCUGAAUUUAAAAACCAAUAGAAGUAUGUACAGUACUUCCAAACUAACACUUACUAGGAUAAAGAAAGGUAGCGUGAUGGCUUUUAUAGAGAUCUACUCAAGUGGAGAUGAAGUAGUGUGAUUACUAUUUAACAAAUUGAGCAUGUCUCAAAGGUAAGGACAACCAACAUAGCAACAUGGCAAAGGAUGUUUUUAUGUAAAGUACUCCCCCAAGCUUGAAUUUUGCAAAAUUCAAGUUUGGAUGAAUUUAAUUCAAUGUUGUAUGAUGAUUGGUUGUACAUACCUUGUGCUUGUCAUUCAUCCGAUCUUCUUGCUCCAAUCCUAAAAAGGUUAGUGAUAAGAAUACCCGAAGGAAUAUUUUUACAAUUAUCCUAAUAUGCUCAACACACAAGGUAAUGUUGCAAAUAAUUAAAAGCUCAUGUUAUGAUCUGAUCAGUGCUUGUUUUAGGACACUAAGCUUGUCCUUGGGAAACCAUCAAUUUAUGUCAGUGAAGUGGUUUCCCCUCCAACGCUGACCUAUAUCAAGAUCAACUCAACGAGAUCUGCAAAAUUUAUUAUAGACAUAUGCAUCGACAACCGCCCUUUUAAAGUUUUUAUAAAUAGAAAGGAUGAGGGGGUUGGAGAUCUCGAAUGUGGUGAUGUUGGAAAAACCAAUGGAUUGUGAAGAUGUUGCAUAUGAGCAUGGAGUAAAUGAAGUGGCUAAGAAAUAAACUCCACGCUCAUUAAUGCUUAGAGUGAAAUCCAUGUGGUGUGGUGAAAAUGGUAAGGUGAGUGUGGUAAAAAAGGGAAAAGAAAAAGGAUACACGGAUGACUUGGUUCGAAACUAGCACAACUACCGUUCCCCGGCAACGGCGCCAGAAAGCUUGUUGGGUAUUUUAAACGCAAACAGAAAAAUCCGCAAGCGCACGGAUACCGAUGUAGCUUUCACCCGGGAGUAUUCCAGAGUAUCGAUUUUCCACAGAGAACGUAAGUGUACUAAUUAAGAUCCAAGAUCGCCCAAGGAUAACUAUAUAAUUAUUUUUGGUGGGAAGAGAGGAAGUUUCCUGAGAGUUCUCUAGUUGAUCUAAGAAUCAAGAAUUACUUCAAGAUUAUCUAUAUCGGGACAUCAGAACACUAACCAUAGAAAGAGAUGAGAAGGGGGCUAGGAAGGUCUGACUACGGUCCUACAAACACCGAUCCGAACGAGGUGGAAUACGUCGACCGUUAGGGCUGUCACUACCCUAAGGCUACCACAACAAUCCGCAGGAUUGGGUGCAAUUCCAGGUAAUUGCAAGACUAAACACCACGUCUAAUCUAUUAAUUACUACUCUAGCGUUAUAAAGACUAGAGCACUUGAUGCAAGCGGGAAUCCAAUAAAUAACUUGAAUGUAAAUAAAAGUAAUUAAAGAACUCAGGAAUUAUGAAUUGAAGAACCUGGAGAACGAUGAAGAACGAACCAGUUGCUGCAAAAGUAUAAUGUUGAGGAAGAUUCGACAGAUCCGGCUCCUCCUCCGCUCUCCUCUUCUCUCUCCCUAUUUUCUAAAUUACAACUAGAACUAACUAGAACUAGAACUAGAAGAACUAGAACUGGAACUAGAUGAACUAGAACUAGAUCUAGAUGAACUAGAGGUAGAACUAGAAGAACUAGAGGGAUCCUCUCUACUUGGAUGAAGAAUUGAAACCCUAGCUUUGAUUCUGUAGAAGAGGUAUGAUCUCCAGGGGCCAGGGGGGUCUGGUUUUAUAGUCCCUUCAAGUGAAUCUGGGCCGUUGGAUCAAACCGACAUUGAUCGUGUGGUUUUCCUUGAUCCUUUAGGUCGGUGGAGCAAUAUCCCGAAAGAGAGUCCUGAUUGGACUCUGGCUGAGGGCGGGCGCCCAGGAAAGGUGGGCGGGCGCCCUGUCCCUGAGUCCUCUCGGCCUCCGCUUCCUUCCCGUGGCUUCUGGAGUCUUCUAGAUGGUAGAAAAUUGCGCAGCACGUUAAUAUCUCUAUGUAAACCCGACGUGUGGGCCUUUCUUCCAUAUUUCCUGAUAACCCCCUGCAGAAAUAGACAAACACCAAAACUUGUGGAAUUCUGUCAGAUAAAACCCUAAGUCUAGGUGUUGGCUGCAUAUAAGUCUUUUUCCAUGAUUAGUUGAUGGUUAAAUGUGUGCAUUAAGGACCGUCAACAGUUUGUGUGCCCGCAGAGGCCGUAGUAGCCGAUGGAGCUGUGACCACUGGUGAUCCUGGCUGAUGGUAGACAGGGCCCACAUAAUUUGGAGGCAAUUGUACUUCUUUGAAAGUUCUAGCCAUGGCAUUGAAAACCGUAUUGGACAGCACACCAGCUUGAUUGAUCAAGGCACAGUUAAUAGCAUUAUCAACCAUGUCUUGAAGUUUACCAGGAUUGGCUUCAAAAGUAACAUGCUGAGGUGCCGGCAGUGCUUCUUUCUGGAUUACUUCGCCACUCCUGUUGAUGCUGAAGGAUUUCAAACAUUGCUGCUUGUAGUCCUCCAUAGCUUUUGCAAUAGCUUGCUUCUGCUCAUCUCUGAGAUUAGCUUCUGUCACAGGGAUGACGUUCUCCAGAUUGAACUCGGUAUACGCCAUGUCGAUCUUGAUCUUGAAUCUGUCCCACUGGGCAUGCCAAAAGAUGUGUUGAUGCAAAACUGAUCUGCAAACACAAAGGGCUAAUACCCGAUUCAAACGUUAAGGCGUGCCAGCCGAUUUGACCUUACUAUCGGCAAAGGUGAUAACUCGAACACUUUGGUCCCGACAACAGCGAUGCGCCCGGAUGUCACGGCCAAGAGGUGCUCACGCGGAACUCGAGAAUAUGCCGAGCUUAAGUCGACGAAUCCUUAAGAACUCAUAGUAAAAAGGGAAAAUAUGACAAAGUCAUCGAAAAAAUAGAUGCUGGAAUAUGAGUAAAAACUUGUGUUUGAUUGAUUGAUCGAUAGAUUGUUCAUUACAAGGCCCUAGGGUCUACAUUUAUACCCUACUCAAAGAGCUACAAUCAGACACGACUAGGACUCAAAUUCCAAAUUAAACGGAAUCCGUAUACAAAACAAAUUUAAACAACUAAGGAAAACAUAAAACUAUCCCCCUGUAACUGACCGGGACACCACCACAGACCAAUCGGCAAUCUCCACGCUUCCCUUCAGAGCCAUCGGCAGACCUCCUGUUAUGGCCAUCGGCAAACACUAAUACUGAUCAUCGGCACGAGCACGUCACAACCUCUGGACUUAGUCACAUUCAAUUGUCUCUUCAUCGGCAACCACCUUCAUCGGCAACUUCCCUGCAGACUAGUUACCAUUGCUCCAUCUGCCGAUCUAUACUUUACCGAUCCUCGGGUACGUGUCCAAAAACGGCAUCAACAGACUUUAUGGGUGAUAAAAUUAGAAGAUGAGCGAUAAUGUAGCAUCUCAAAACAUUUGACAGAUCAGAUUACUUUUGACCUAUGGAAGGAUAAUCUAUCUAUUCAUGAUGAUUGCGACCUAUUAUCUUCCAAAGGUUAGAUGUGCAACAUUUUAGCUCAUGGGAUAAGACUAUGAGAUCAAGAGAGUGAAGCCAAGAACAUGUGUAUGUCAGGAUUGCGAACAACUUCAGAGUGAUUUCGUACCUCAAGAUUUUACUUUUGUCUUUGAAGAGUGAUGGUACUAAAUCAUCUCGUGGAAGGUUCUAUUGUCAACUGGUUGUGCUUAUGAAUGGCUUGUCUUCUCUUGCUUAUCUCACCAUCUUCUUGUUCUUCUAAUCUUGAAAUUCUUGUGAUCCUUGCACUCCUUUGAGAAAUUCUUUAUGAUGGUCUUUGUCUUGAAGGGGCUUAGUUGAGACUAGUUCACCUUCAUGGAGUGAGAGCUUUGAUUGUAGAUCUUGUUCCUUUGAUCUCGUCUCUCCAUGAUGAAUGACUUGUGUUUCUCUUAUGCAUUGAAUUUCAUGUGUCUCUUUUCUCUCCAUGUGAGUUCAUCUCAAGACUCCCCAGUUUGACUUUUCAAAGUUUUUCUGGUAGGGGUCAGUCCAACAAAAUAUUCCAAUAUCCACUAUAGCAUACUAUCGGCUCAAAAAUCAACCUAGACACCAUAUCUUAUUUGAUUCAGGAAGGAAUUUCAACCUAAGCACCUCGCUUAAUUUGAAAGCUUUUAGAAGUAAGAUCAUCACACCUUUUGGUUCAAGAAUUAAACUAGACACCUUGUCUAACUUAAGUCAGGAACACAGUUUAAACUAAGCACCUGGCCUAAUUUAAAAGGUGUAUGAAAAGAAUUCAAAAUCAAUGCAUACUAUAGCAAACAAUGGUAGCAUGAAAGCAUUGUAGAAAUUUACUCAAGUGAAGAUGAAAGAGAACAUGAUCGAUGUAUAGGAAAUUGAGCAUGUCUUAGAAGUAGGGACAAGACGAUAGCAACAUGACAGGGGUGUUCUUAGAAAGUUUCUCCCAAGCAUGAAUUUUGCAAAAAUAAAGUUUAGGUGAAUCUAAUUCAAUGUUGCAUGAUGAUUGGUUGGACUGACCUUGUGAUUGUUAUUCCUUUGAUCUUUACCCUAAGGAAUAUUUUCACAAUUAUGUCUAUGCUCAUUAUACAAGGGUAGCAUAUCAGAAAGGUGAACACUCAUGUUAGGAUCUAAAACAAUGCUUAUUUUAGGACACUAAGCUUGUCCUUGGGAAACCAUCAAAAUGUUAUAGGUGAAGUGGUUUCUCUUCCAACACCAAUCUUAAGAGCACUUGAUAUCUGCAAUAUUUAUGAUAGACAUGCAUCUACUACCUCCCUUUUGAAGUUUCUAUAAACAAAAAGAGUGAGGGGGUUUGAGAUCUCGAAUGUGGAGAGGUUGGGGAGACCAAUGUUGUGAGAAAAUGUCUCAGAUGAGCAUGGGCUAAAUGUUGUGGUUACUAAAAAGAUUUCAUGCUCAUUGAUGUCAUCUUUGUCUCCAAUCUAAAUGUUUGAAAUUUUGCUUGGAUUGGUGACUCAUGGACUGGUCUCUUCUAGGGCUUCCUCUAUGGAUGGAUGAGAAUCAUCAUCAAAAUCAAAGGGAGUUGAAAACUCACCAUUGAACUUGAGCCAAAGUUCGAUUCCAUUAAUGCUUCUUCCUUAUCCAUCCAUUCUACACAUUCCCACUAGUGUUGUAGCUUCUCCUUGUCAUCUAUGUGGUCUACAUAAGCCCUAUAAUUUGGAUCUACUAGUGGAUAUCUAGGACUAUGGAGAGCAUACGAGAAUUCAUUAGGGCCAAGGAUGUGUUGAAAAAUAGGUUGAGAGAAGUUAUCUAUCGUAGGCAUAGAAGGAGAGCAGAUAGAAUAAUCUCCAUAAUGGCUUGGCUCACCUUCUAUGGCAUAACUAGACAUGACAUCCUUGUAUUCUUCUUGAUGUGCUCUAUGGGGGAAAGGUAGUUGAGAACUCUUUUUUCUAAAUGCCCUCUUAGACAGUUUUGUGAACAUGUUUAAAAACUGGAAGUCUAAGCUUUUAGGAUUGAUAGUUGAAUCUUGAGAUUGAAGUAGUUGUGAGUUGACUGUCAAGACAUCCUCUUUUUGUUCAGAAGAGAACUCCUUUUUCCCAGGGGGCUCAAAAUCGUCUCUAGUCCAACGAGUGGCUUGACUAAUCUUUUUGAGCAUAAUCCUUGCUUCACUAGCAGGCAAAUGAAGGAAAGAUCCUCCAAAGGAGAAAUCCCUAGAAUCCUUGCUCAGAUCCACAAAAAAAGUUGAAGAAGUAUUGGGUCUAGAACAGAAAGGUCUGGCCCGGUGAGGAUAAGUUAGUAAAGUGGUCCCAUGAUUCACCAAGAGAUUCUUCUUUUAGUUGCCUAAAAAUUAGAACCUCCAUCUGUAGGUUAACCACUUUGGAGAUGGGAAAGAAUUUCAAUAGAAAUUGAUUGCAUAGCUUCUCCCAAUCUCCUUGUACCCUUCCUACAUUGAGUUUAUACCAAUAUUUAGCUUUUCCUGUUAAAGAGAACGGAAAUAGCUUCCAUUGGAUGGUCUCAUCAGACACACCUUUUAUGCGAAUAAGGCCACUGUCACACCCAUAUUUUAAGAACAAAAUAGGAUGCAUAAAAGAAUCAUAUGUGCCCUAGGACUAGUCGCACACAUAAGUAGAAAAAUCUUAAAUGUACCAUUGCAGUGUUUAUUACAUAGCGGAACAUAAUAAAUCACAUAGUCUUACACAAAAAUGAUAAUAAUAUUAAACAACGCUCUCGACGGAAGCUCCACAUAGGGACACUAUUGACUGGUUGACUCCAAACCUAGUACUCAUAGCGAUAGUCCUCAUUCCAAUCAACAUCAUUAGCAUAACCUGGGGUGUUGGGAAAUUGCAAGAGUGAGCACAUAUCGUACUCAACAAAUAUAACCAGGGGUUCAUGAGGCUCAAAUAGCUGACACUGGUUUGACUGCAUUUAGCUUUUAAUAGUGGAUAGCAUGUUUAACCAUUGAAUAGCAAAUAUCAAGGUAGCAUAAUAAAUCCCAUAACCACAUGAUCAAUGUAUAAAAGAAUUAAGAAUAACACAUAUAAACAACAUAAUAAACCAUCAUUUAUCAUCAUUAAUCAUGUUCAUCAGUGUCCAUCUAUUCCGUCAGUUUUCCGGGCCGCCCGUAUCUGUGGGCACGGCUAGUAUACCAGAUUUAACACUCUGCAGAGGUUGUACAUCUUUACCCAUAAGUCAUGAUUUACCCUUUCGCCCGAGGUAGCUAAUCUCUUAACCCCCUUCCUAGGGAGGUCGGCAGGGAUCACUAUGAAGCCUUUCAAAAGUUCGUCUAACAUGUUAGGGCCGCAAGGUUUUCUUCGCGAGCAGAUAUAGAUACCCCCUUCCGAAUGGCAGAAUGACGUGCAGCCUAUACACAUAGGGACAGCGGCUCGCACUAUACCCGUGUUGGUUCAGCCCCUCUAGCGCCCUUUCGGGUAACCUCUAACAAGCUAGAAAAGGUCUUCAUACUGAGCUAAAGCCAGAGUCAUAUAGCCCUCAUGGUUGUACAAGUUGUCCCAGCUUUUGCCAAGGGAUAAGUCCUUAUGGAGGGUCAAGAUCAAUCCAGCAAAAGCCAGAGUUCUUUCCACCCUUUAUAUUCAAGUUGCUAGAAAGCUUAUUUUAUUGUUUAUUGUAUAUUCAAAUAUUCAUGUUACAAGAUCAUGGAUUAAUAAUCAAGCACUGGCAAGAACUACCCAAAUGCAUAUCCAAAUAGGUAACAAGGAAUUCAGGAUAACAAUCAUCUAUGAUUUUGCUAAGGUCAUCAAGGUGGACACAUGCAAAUGAUAAAUGCUAUAUUAAUUGUGUACAGGUAACAAGGAUGAUCCUAAGUUAUACUUUCUUGAUCAAAGCUCUCCUGAGCCUGCUGGUCUUCAAAGGCUUGGUCUUGAUCACCAACGUAUCGCUCACCGUCUAUAACCGAUCAUCAAUCAACAACGCGCAAUCCAAUGUAGACAAUCAUACACGAAGCAAACAAGCUAUAAUUAGAACAAUACACCAAACAGUGGUAAAUCAAAGAUAAAAGUUUAUGAAAAUAUUCUACGCAGCGCUACGAUCACACAAACGUAAAGUUCACGAAAAUCGGAAUUAGAACGUAGAAGAUAUGAAUUUUCUAAGAUUUCCUAUAGAGAAAUAAUUAAUUAAAUGCUACUGCAGAAAUAAAAAGUUUCAAAACAGAUAACUAAUACUUCUAACAUGUAGAACAUGUAAAUACGAAUCUAACGAAAUUUGAAUGGACAAAAAGGAGUUAAAAUGAAUAUGUUAUGACCAAAACAAAACCAAUGGCAAAACUGUAAAUUUUGGAAAGCGCAUUUGAACUCAGUCGGCCAGAAAUACGUUUUCAAAGUUGGAAAACACAUUUUACACAGGCGCCUUGGGACUGCGGGUUGAAUACUCAAUUCUCCAGGGACUCUUUAGCAAAACUGCAAGUGAAGGGGUGUCCUUGUUUCUGGGCCCUUGAUCUUGAUCUGGACGGCUCGGGCGCGUCUGGGGCGCCAGGAGGUGGCGGCCGGCCGCCAGGGAGACCUCCGGCGUGGCGGCGCCAUUGCUGCCGCCUCGGAGCUCGCCGUCGACCUCCGCUUUCGCGAAAUCCAGCACCAAACGCCGAUUCAAGGGCACCGGGAGAUGGAGAAAAGCGUCGCGGGCUCACCUAGAGGGUUGGUUCGGCCAGAGAAGGAGCAGGUAGUUCGGUCUUCGCGGCGCACUCUGACGAGAUCUCCAAAUCCAAGAGGAGAUGGCAGCUGGGCUCAACUCGGCGACCUAGAUGCGAAAACAAGACGAGGGAGCGAUGCUAGAGACUUUAUAGUGGUGGGUUUGUGCGCUUGGCAAGGAAUCGCGGGAUACCGGGAUUGAUUCGGUGAGCUUUCCUAGCUUCGGUCGCGGCGGGGGAAGGAAGAAGGAAGGUGAGAGGAGAGCCUGACGCAUGGGGCCCGGCUGUCAGUGUAAGAAAGGAGGAAGGGGAAGGAGUGCGCGCGCUGGCAGCCUGGACUGCGCUCAGCGCACUGGGCCGAGAAAGGAGUGGGCCGCGCGAAGGGAGAAAGAGGGAGUGGGCCGAGGGGGGGAAGAGCUGGGCUGCGGGGGGGGGUUUGGUAAUCACCGAGAGCAGGUGGCUCUCCCUUUCUUUUUUUUCUUUUUCAAAACCUUUUCCCAAUUUGAGCUUUUGAGCAAAAUAAUAAAAUAAAAUCAGCACAAAAAAAUCAUUAUGCUACAGCAUGAAUGCACAAAUAAGUUUCUAUCCCUAUGUUGGAUUUUUUUUAAAAAAAUAUUUGUUUACUAAAUUAAAUGCUCACAAAAAUACCUAAUUAAAUCAAAUUAAAUCCUAUUAUUCAAAUUUUGGGUAUUACAGCCACAGAUUUGCAUAAACUCUCGAAGGUGUGGAUAUGGAUUUUCCUCACGGUCUCCCGAAUAGGGUUCUUGUUCAUCAAAUUUUAUAAAUCCUGGGCUUAUCUCAAAACCAUCUGCAGUGAUAGGCUCUAAAUGUUCUGGCGGUCUGAGGUAUGUGCCCGUGUGGUUAGCAUAUUUAUAAAUAGGGAUGUUAUUGUCCAUGCUAACAAUGGAUGGAAAGGAAUAGGAAUAGAAGGGAUGGGAUAUGUCAAGGGCAAAAGAAAAUAAGAUUUUUUUGUAUAUAUAUAUCUUUUUUGUGUGUUUUUGAAAAUAUAAGAAAAAGGCUAGGCUAGGGUUCGUAGUGAAUUCAGCAACCGUUUCCCCAGCAACGGCGCCAGAAAGCUUGUUCGUAUUUAUUAACGCAAAUAGAAAAGAUCUGCAAGCGUACGGAUACCGUUGUAGCUUUUACCCGGAGGGUUUUAAAUAUUGUAUCCAUGAAACGGGUGAGUCAACUACGUGGUCUAACCUAACCAGAAAAGAAUAGAUGGAUUGGAACCAAAACUAUUCGAACUAAAUCUACGGUCGAAACAAGAAUCGAACCUAGGGGAAAAUUAAUCUAGUAUGAGGGCGAUAGUAGGAAAAUAGAGAGGAUAACUUAAUCAGGGUUUCUACUUCUACCUUGGGCAGGGCUACACUAAGCUUCUACUAUUCAUCUACGACAUUACUAUGGAAGACAACAAACAGAGUACAGAUCUACCAUGUAACCAAGGGGCACCUGCUCGGCCAACAAACGGGAGGUGGGCUAUAGAAGACUCGAUGAAGCUAUACUAGUCACCUUCGCGAUCUACCACCGAUCUAGAAUGUAGGAUGCAUCUACGAGUAACCCUAGUAUAAGCGCCACGCUUACCGUACAAUUAUACUCUAACCUAUGUGCAUAGAUUAAAGUACUCAAAAGAAACUCGUGACCAGAAGAAUAAUAUACAACAUGGACCUUACUUGAACCAGAAGUUGUUGAUGACCCGAGCCUGAGCAAUCUCAGGACCGCACAGAGCCCAAUCCUGCCGAAGUAGAAGUUGAUGAAGACACACCGAUAGACCAGCGCCUCCUCCGAACUCCUCCCUCACUCUCCAUCUCUCUACUAUCUAGAAGACUAGAUCUAUUCUAACCUAGGGGUAGAAAGGUCAUGCAUUCGAGGGACACCUAUCAUACCCUAACCCUAAUCUUGGCUCUUGAUGUUGAUGAUGGUGAAUUGAUGAGAUGGAUGAUUGCUUGAGGGGGCGCCCCUAGGCUCCUUAUAUGAGGGCGCCUGGCCUUCGGGCUCCCUUGAACUGGUGAUGUGGUACUAAACUUUUCUGCCAUAUCUCAUUAAAAUGCACAUAGGCCUUAUUGGGCCAAAUUCUGAUUUAGGCCCAAUUAAUCCCACAACUCUAUGAUGGAGGCCUUUUCCUUUAUUAAUAUCUUUUUAUUCCGGGCUCCAAAUAUAGUGAAUAAUAUAUCCGUUUCAAUUAGCACAAUGAGGCCUUCGCAAUGGUGUCCUUUGAUUCAUCAUUUUAGGUAGUUUAUUCAACAAAAAAUUAAAUCUCCUACAAAACAAGUGAGAACACCAAAACUCGUGAAACUUGUUAGUUUCAAACCCUACAACUAUGCACUAAUAAUAUGUUUCUAUUAUAUUGUGUAUUAAUUGAUGGUAUAAUAUUGACAUUAAGGAGCGUCAACAGCCACCAAGUGUCGUUGUGCCUCUUCACCAUUGUUAGAGCCAUCCCAAGCCUCGCUGCGGCACAUCGUGCUCAACUUGAUGACAGGAAGCUCCUGGUGGCACCCACACCCCUAGAGACCUCGCCGACUACGAGAUCCGGCUGGUCAACGGCUGCCGGGGUGCGGUGUGACUGACCGGUAGGGCCAACUAACCUUUAGGUCCCUCACGACAACGUCAUAGGGGGUAGAUCUGGGGUGCAUGUAGCAUUUUAGUGCUUAACGUUUUUCAAAAUAAAUUGGUGAAAUGCUUUUAAGGCUUGAAAAAAUCAUGACUUGAGUUAUAAGGCUCCAAAAAUGUCACGAUAAAUUUUGUUGUGCUCUGCAUGUCUAGAUCUACAUGAUAAAAAUCUUCCAUGUCACUUUUGGGAUACUUUUAUAUAUAGCUUUAUUUAAAUGUUUAAAUUGUUGUUUUCUUAGGAAAUGCAUAAUAAAAUGAAUAUAGCUCAAAAAAUGGGAUUCUUAUUUUGUUAACAUUAUAUUGAUUAGUAGUGUCUAUGAAAAAUGUAGAAUGUGAUAUGUACUAUAAAAAUAUUUAGUUGUGAAUUAAAUGCUUAAAAUAGCUACUUUUGUGAGUUUUGUAAUAAAUAAAGUAUGCAUGAUAAUGACUUGUAAACUUUUGUUGGUUACUCUUGUGAUAGAAAGUAGUGAAGAAAAUAUGAAAUCUAUUGUUUGACACUUUUUGAUGUGUAAAGUAUUUUCCACAAUUUAUACCUUGUGUGUUUGUCAUUUUUGUGUAGGCUAUGUUGUAUGUCCAAAUGAAGUGAAAAUUUUAUGGUAGACUAUGUUGUAUACCCUUACCAUAUGAUGGUUAUGUUGUUGCAUUAAGUUAUAGGAGUUGAUUGCAAUCAUCAAUGCAUCAGAUAUCCCUUGAUUACCACCCUUUUAUAUACUUUGUCCUAUUUAGUACAAGCUCGGAGUUAAUGCUUAGAAAGCUUAGUCUGGUAGAAGUCAGGUGAUUCUUUGUCACUUGUGAGCUAUAUGUGGUUACCUAAAAGGGGUUGGCAAUAUGUUUGUUGUCAUGGUUCAUAACCAAGUGUUGAGAAAUAAGUUGAGACCAGACAGAGCCUUAUGGGGGUUUUGGACCAUAGUGAUUCUAUCUGUGUCAAUUAAGGAUUGGUUGUUGACGGCCUUCUUGUCAUGUUGAACACAUGUCCCACAUUUAACUUGGCGGAUAACUCAUUCUGAUCAUGAAGCUAGGACGCUAUUCGGGCCGGGAAUUGAUCUAAUCCAUGCACCAUAUUGAAGUUAGUUGAGGAGGCCAUGGGGGUGCGAUGUUGAGACCAAGGUGCAUCCUGGCAGUCGGGUGGCCCCUAGGUACAGUGGUGCCUAUCAAACCCGUGACUGGACCAGAAUAGUGCAUUCGGUGACCAAAGCGACCCUAAUGGGGAAGCAUGGUUUGUGUGGGGAAUAAAUUACCAUAUGGUUAGGAAUCAAUUUGAAUCACCAUCACUCCUAGAUAGAGAGCACUUGACUUGAACUUUGUCACCGUAGUAAUGUUUAUGAAACACUUGGUUGUUUAUGGUAUGAUGAUGAUGUUGGAAAUGCUACAUCUAAAUUGGUAUUACUGUUGUAUUGAAUCAAGUGAUUGCUAUAGUACAGGUGCUAAUUUAGAUGACAAGUUAACGACUAUUAACUUAAGCUAAAUACCUGAAAGUUACUCAAAAAGUGUGUCAAGCUAGCCCACUAUAAAGCCUUACAUUAUCCUUGGUGUUGUUAUUUCUAAUUUAAGACAGGUAAGUCUAGUUGAGUACUUUCUCAUACUUAGGACUCUAUUCCCAUGUCAUUUUGUAAAUGGUUAGAGGUACUAUGGGUAUUACAUUAACUGCCUCUACCCAACUUUGGGUGAUGCAUAGACCAAAGGCAUGGUCACUCUACCUUAUCUUUUGCUCUUACGGGAAUGAUCAGACUCUAGCACUUUAUCUAAACUAAGUGUGUGUGGAUUGAAAGCUAUUUGCUUCCACUAUCACUUUAAGACUUGCAGUUGUAAUAAAUUUAUUUGAACUCUGAUGUAAGCAACUUAUGUGUGAACUUUAUGUAAUUUAUGGAUGGCAACCACUAAACUUAUUACAUCUUGGUUGUAUGCUUGAAAAGUUGGAGAUCCUUUGAGAUUUCACAGACUACCAAAAUUAUAUGGGCUUAAGUCUGAUGGUUUGACUAUAAAAGUGGUCAUUAUUGGACUUAAUCUCUUAUAAUUUGGACGGUUCUAUUACACUCGUCCACCAUUAGAAUGAGGAUCCAUGCCUCCAACAAUUUUUGCUCCCCUUCCUUGUCAACCAAAAGGUUUGGAUUGCCUCCUUGGUUUGAAUUAUUAAUAAAGAAGCAAGGAGGGUCAUAUGGGGGAUCAAAAUUAGAUGUGGAAGAUGAUAUUGAUUUGAGGGGCUAUUGGAUGACCAAAACUUGAGAUGAAUAGUGAAAAUGAUGAUUUUGGGUCAAGGAUGCUAAGGAUCUAUGUUGGGUCUGAUGGUGGAAGUUGUUUCCAACAUUUGGAGAAAGAUCAUCCUUAAAUUAUAAAGAAAACUCCAAAGGAUGAAUUUCUUCCUCCUUUUGUGUCCCUAGGAAUGGUUCAAACAUUGGGAUGAUAGCUAAAGGUAUGGAUGCAAUUGGUAAUAAUUUAGGUAGCGGAACUUCUUCUUGCAUGGGGGUUGCAUUGUCCAUUUUAGCGAGGGAGUCAUCAUGGAUAUCAGUGUAGGGAUAGUUUUCUAGGAUUCUAUCAAGGAUAACUCUCCCCUCACUAUCAGAAAGAUGUAAGAAGGCUCUUCCAGAAGUGAUGUUAAGGAAAUGUGUAGAUUUCUCACUAAGACACAAAUAGAAGUGUUGCAAAAACAUAGGAGGGUAUAGCUAGAUCAGUGUCGGAUGGUAGUAGAUCUAUUAAGCGGGCCCAUGUAGCAACUAGAGAUUCCUUCUCUUUUUGUUUGAAGCUUAGGUCCUCCACUCUAAGAUUAGUCACUCAAGAGAUAGGGAAGAAGGUUAUUGAUGAGGACAUGGCCACUGUUGAUGGUUCUUAAGUACCAAUUUUAAUUAUCAAAUAAACUAGAGAAAGUCCCAAUAUGCAAACAACACCUAGAAUUAGGGUUUGAUCUGACAGAAUUCCACGAGUUUUGUUGUUUAUCUAUUUCUGCAGAGGGUUAUCAGGAAAUAAGGAAGAAAGGCCCACAUGUUGGGAUUACAUAGAGAUAUCAACGCACCACGCGAUUUUCUACCAUCUAGAAGACUCCAGAAGCCACGGGAAGAAAGCAGAGGCCGAAAGAGGCCAGGCCCAGGGCGCCCGCCCUGGUGACCUGGGCGCCCGCCCCCUGCUGGAAGCCAUUCAGGACUCUCUUCGCACACGAUGUUCCACCGACCUAUUGGAUCCAGAAUAACGUAGUACCACCUCGCCUACCGACCCAAAAAUGCAUAGAGGAGCAGGACUAUAUAAGGAGACCCCCCUGCCCCCUGGAGAAGACAUGAAGAAGUUAUCAUAGAGAUUGAGGGGUGCCCUCGAAGGAAAACCUCUUCUCUAAUUAAUAUUUCUUUUUAGGCUUAGCAACCAAUGUAAAGUAGAAAUAGAUCUUCUAGUUUCUACUAGAUUGAGAGAGAUAGAGUGGAGGUGCAGAUUGGAGGAAGCCCAGCCUGUCGGUGUCUACUCCAAGCUUGUACCUACGGGAUCAAGUUCUCCUAACCCGAAGCUUGCUCCUAGGAUUCUUCAGUAUUUCGACUUCUAAAUUCUAGUAAGUUCUUGUUUUAUUGUUCUUCUGGUUUAUGAGUUUACUUUAAUCUCUUCGCGUAGAGUUUAGAGUAAUCAUUGCUGGCGUAAACGUGGUGUUUAGGCUGGGGUACUCAUAGAUAUUCCCUGACUAGCUAGACCGUGGUAGUAGCGAGGAACGUGACAAUUCCGAGUUACCUUUGCAGACCAUAUCUCGUUAGUAGGAAGGAUAGGGUUUAUAAGUGCGGGUUGAACAUCCUUUGUCGUGUCUAGAUUCCGUUAGCCUCCCCAAUAGAACAGUAGAUCAUCCUUACCAAGGUUAGAAGGGGACUAUGGUUGCAGUCUUCUCUAUUUAUCACUCACAUCGAAAGACAUUCUUUGUGCCUAAAGGGUUAGUAGUAAUAGACCGGUUGGUCUGAUGCACUCUUUCUCCUAGUGGUAAAAAAAUAAAUACGAUACUCUGGAUAACCUCCCGGGUGAAGUGCUCACCGAUAUCCGUGCGCUUGCGGAUCAAUUCCUUAUUGCGUGCCCAAAUAUCAACAGCCACCAUGCAUAUGACCAUGCUUAGACAAUCACAUGGAGGCCAAGUAGAUCAGCAAGGGCAUCCUAAUGGAGAAGGAGGCCUCAAGCUUAUACGGUUCAAGUCACCAAAGUGGAGGACUAAAUCAAGUUUGAGUCUACCUUGAAAUCUAGGAGCAGUCUAUAGUAAAACAGAUGCUCAGGACACAAACUCAACAUGGCAGACUCUAAAACUAAAAUAUGUAAGGCUAUGGCGGUUGAAGGACAGAAAGCAAAUAUGGCGGUGGACUAUGGGACGAAGCAAAAUCAACUAAACUAAGGAAAAUAUGAACUUGAUGGUAUACCUAAGGCAUUGAAUACCACUUAAUGGGGACAAAUUCCUGAUCAUCUGUUAGGUUCAAGAUAAACGAUGAUUUGUUCAGAGAGCAAUACACCAACCCAACUUCAGAUCACAAAGACCUGAACCCUGCAACCUUAGCACCACAUCUCCUCAGCUUAUUGACCUAUGAUGCAUGGUCAACCUCACCAAGAAGGCUAAUCCUUGCCUACAAAUCAAAGAACACACGCAAGAAUAAGAAAGAAUGUGACCAAAUUUUAGAUGAAUGAUUAAUCUCACAAAGUUAGGGUCUCACAAAUCGAUGAUGGAAAAAUUAUUAUAAAUAGAAUAAUCUAAGCAAAACUCCAAACCCUAACAAGGGUGGCGCCUACUGAUUAUAAGGUGUUAGGGUCAUCACUCCCCCUGGACGUGCCCCUCUAAUGCGCUCAAUGACGAUACAUGGUCCAAUGGACCAAAAACAGUGAUGCAGCACUGAAAGCCCAAGUUUGGUUUUGGUAAUUAAUGACACCAAGUUGCUAAUGCCUUGUGUUUAAGUGAUUUGAGUUAGGCAUAACAACACAUGUGGUGAAGGUGCAAGGUCGCAUGGAAAGGUGGCCACAUGAUUACAAAAAGAUGAAGCAUGAAGUGGAGAUCAUGGUGAUAGACAAGGAAUUAAGUGUAGGGUUUUGCUUUGUCGGUCUAAGUUGUGUAGAGAAGUGAUUGACCGGAUUUAGGAUAGAUAGCCGACUAUCAAGAGGGGAAAUCACAGUCAUCUCUCAAAUCAAGUGCUACUAGGUCCAUAUCUUAAGCAUAUACAUUAGGAUCUAGUCUUGUGCUAACCUAACUCCUUUGAUGAAAAUGGUUGUGAAAUACUAACACACAUGCACAAUGGUGGUGGUCACUUGGUGGUGUUAGCACAUUUGCAAAGGAGGUGGAUUCGGCGCUUUUGAGAAAAUGAAACGCCUAUUUUCUAUUGCACCGGUGAAAAUCUUUGGGAAGUUACGGGAGUGUUUCUCAAUAAGAAACACUUACCAGAUGCAGGUGUUGGCAGCAUCGGAUGCUGCACUUGCGCAUCCAGUGAGGUGUCAGUCUCAGGCGCUUGUAAGUCGAGCGCAUCGGUCGCUCAACGUCGGACGCAGUACGUUUACUGUUCGUGCGUCUGGUGGAGCUAGACGACUGCAAGCUUUUCUGACGAGAGCAUUGGAUGCACCGGAGAGCGUCCGGUGGUCAGCGUCUGGUGACGUAGCGCGUUUUACAAACUCUCUGCAUACGUGUCUGCUGUGUACCGGAUGCGUCCGGUGCUCACUUGACUGCGCCCGAUGGUUUGCAAGUGACCCAUUAGAGAUCGACGCGCGAGUUUUAAAAAAAGUUAACAUGUGGCCAUAAUCAAUGCUCCGAAUGCAGGGUUCUAGCGUCUGAUGGCUCCCCGUUGUGUGUCCGGUGACCCCGUCUCGUGCCCAGUGAAAGAGCCAACAGCUCUAUUUAUUUAGGGGCUUAUAAAUAGAAGGUGGACGGCUUUUGGGGGUUCUCUCUUGCUCUUUGGCAUACUUGAGACAUACUUUGAGCUAGAGAACACUCCCUCCACUCAUCUCCUUGAUUGAUUGCUAAUCCUAGUAAGAUUGAGUGAUCUCAAGUGCAUUGCUUAGUGAGAUGCAUCUAGUGGCACUUGAUUCUUGAGUUUGCUGUGGAUUUCUUGUUACUCUUGGGUGUUUCCCGAUGCCCUAGAUGGCUUGGAGUUGUGGAGGUGUUGAGCUCGUGAUUGGAGAUUGUUUCGAGCCUCACCAAGUGAUUUGUGAGGGGUUCUUGAGCCUUCCCUGCGGGAGAUCGCAAUUAACUACUCUAGUAUAUUGCUCGUCGCUUGGAGGAUCUCCAUCUUGUGAUUGGAUGUGCGGCACCCGCUGAGGGUUUGGCUUUGGAUUGCCAAUUAGCUCGUGAUCCAUCAAGUGGGUAUAUCGCCAUAACGAGAACUAGCUUGCCGAAAAGCAAGUGAACCUCGGUAAAAAUUCUUGUGUCAUCUCUUGCCGAGGAUUCUCUCUUGUAAUUGUGAUUGUAAUUGAUUGAUUUGUCAUAUCUCUACUCUACAAUGUCGGUAUAACAAUCACUUCUCACUCCUUUACUUAGUUGCAUACCUUGCUAGUUGUUUAGCUUGUUUAGCUUAGCUUUCUUGUUUAGGAGUGUAGAUAGCCUUUAGUUGUGCUUUCUUGUUGUGACUUAGUUUUUGGCUUUCUUGCUAGACUCGUGUAGGUGUCUUUCAUAGCUUAGUUGUGCUAGUGCUAAAAGAGCUUUGCCAUUUGUUUUACUAACCAACUUGUCUAGUUGAGAUUGUAGAAUUUUAAAUAGGCUAUUCACCCCCCCUCUAGCCAUUUGGACCUUUCAAGCACCCUUGCAGAUUCUAGAUGUUGACUUGUUUUGAUUAUUCCCAUUGACUCCAUAUGAAUUUUGACAUGAAAACAAAGCCAUUAUUUAGCUUAUGAAAUUAUCUUUCCAACCAUAUGUGGAUCAUCAAAAACGGAGUCUGGAUGUCUCCUAAGUGUCCAUUUUACUGCAGACUACUCAUGGAUUCCGAGGUGGACUCGAACUUGAUUUAGGCCUCCACCUUGGUGACUCGAACCGUAUAAGCUUUAGGCCUCCUCCUCCUCCUCCAUUUGGAUGCCCUUGCUUAUCUACUUGGCCUUCAUGUGAUUCUCUAAGCAUGGUCAUAUGCAUGGCGGUCAUGUCCUCAUUAGUUAUGUGGAACUUGGAUUGAAGAACCUCGCACUCUCCUUUUACACUUUCUAUUGCUCGAGCAUACCACAGCUUGGCUAAUCCCGUCAAGGAGAAUAGAAAUAGCUUCCACUUAAGGGUUUCAUGUGACAUGGCCAAAAUGUGAAGGCAUGAACACAAUUGCUUGAACUCUUGCAGAUGAGCAUACGAGUUUUCACCGUUUUCCCUAGAAAAAGAUUGUUCCUGAACUCUAGCUAUGAAAGAAGGGUGAAUUUCAUAACUAUUGAUAAGGUUGGGUUUUGAAGUUGGAGGUGGAUCCAAUCUAGUGCUUUUUGGAGCAGAAAAUUGAAUGAUAGUAAUGGGACGCAUGGUAUGAAAGAUAAAGGACAAAAGAUACUUGGAUGACUCGGUUCUAAACUAGAACAUCUCUAUCGCUCCUUAGCAAUGCACCACAUAGCUUGUUGACACUAGAUAUAAAUCUGCAAGUGCAUGGAUGUUAAUGUAGCCUUUACCUAGGAGUAUUUCAAGGUAUCUAAUUUCCACAGGGAACAUGAAGUGAACUAGUGAAGAACUAAGAGAAUUAAAGCAUAGAACAAUGAUGGGUGAUUAAAGGAUAGAGAGGAUAUGUGUGUGGUUUCCUUGAGUAAGGCAAGAAUAAAGAAGACUUCACUAAGGUUGUUUACUACGGGGUGUACCUGCCCUGACUCACCUAGAGGGUUGAUCAGGCACAAAGCACAAUGAGCCUAUGAUUUAAUAACUAGGCCCAACAUGGUGGAAUACAUAGGAGAACAGGGUUGUCACCACCUGCCACUACCACCUAGCCGCAAACAUAGGUAAGAUAUAGCCUAAGCACCACGCUUAAUCUAUAAAAUUACUAAUCUAAUCGCACGUGACAGAUCAGAGCACCUUAACCCGGUGGUGAACAAGUAAAGAACAAUAAAUAAAGUAAUACUUAAGUUAUGCAAAAGAACAAAGUUACCACACUAGAAGAAGAAGGCAGACUUUACUCGAAGAAGAACUUCAUCUGCCGAGCUACAAGUGGAGAGAUCACCGAUAGGCCCGGCUCCUCUACCGACUUCUUCUUACUCUCACCCUAUCUUAUAUUCUAGAGAGGUAGCUAUUCUAUCUAGAAAUUUCACACUCUCAACUUCUACAUCUACUUCUGAGUUCUACUUUUGAAUGCUUACAAAUGAGUCGGAGGGGCCUAUUUAUAGUGUAAAAUGGUAGAGGGGGAUUUGUAGAUGUGUUGGGAGUCAGUGGGAGCAAAUGAGAUGGCGGCUGAUGUAGGGGAGCAGCAGCCGACCCUUGGAUGCACCGCCUCUCCAUCCUACAACCCUAGAUCUUACCCUAAGGUGGUUACAAGGUUAGUUGGAGAGGUGGUUUGCCUGCCUUUGGAGGAUGACGGUGGGUCCAUGGAUCCAUGGCACAUCCAUCCACCACCAUUGGAUCAAACCGACUUAGAUGGAGGGUGUAGAAGCCAUGGGGGAGUGAUCCCACAAAUCAGUGACGUGGUAGGGCCUAGAGAGGAGUCAGGUGCCGCCUAGGUGGCAGCGGCCGCCGGGCGACUUUGCCCGGUUGGCGCCCCGUCACGUCCACAUGUCAUCCUGGCCUCAAAUUUGAUCAUUUUUGCUAUUUUUCCUGCAUGCGAAUAAACUUCCAAUUAAGGACAUGUGGAACUAGGUGCAUUAUAAAUAAAAGAGUAAAGUGCACUAGCGGUCCUCGAAUUUGUUCGGCUCUCACAAAUCGACCGCUCAAGUCCUCAAACUUCUUCGUUCGUGUUGUCUCGGUCCCUAAACUCUUAUAUCACUCAUUUAGGUCAUCAAACUUGUUUGGCUAUAUCAUUUAGGUCUCUAAACUUGCAAAUCACCCGUUUAGGUGCUCAAACUUGUUCAGUUAUGUCAUCCUAGUCCCUACAUAUUGUACACUUGUAAAUUCAAUAUAUAUUUAUAGAAAUGUCAAAAAAAUAAAAAAAAAAGUUUUAUAAGACUCCUGAUAAAAUGUACUUUAAAUUAGAAUAAAAUAAGUCAUCUUGUACUUUCUAUUUUUAACUCUAUAGUUCAAUAACUAAGUAGAAACAUAUAUUUUAGGACUUAUAAAAAUUGAUGUGCCUAUUUCUUAUUUAACUACAGAGUUCACAAUAGAAAGUAAACAGUGAUUUAUUUUAUUCUAUUUUAAAGCACAAUUUACAUGCAGUCUAAUAACAUUGGAUUUAUAAUUUUUGGAUAGUUCUAUAAAUAUAUAUUGAAUUUACAAGUUUACAAUAUUUAUAAUAUUUAGGGACCAGGAUGACACGCUGAACAAGUUUGAGGAUCUAAAGGGGUGAUUUGCAUGUUUAGGACCUAGACGAUACAAUCGAACAAGUUUGAGGACCUAAACAAAUGAUUUGAGAGUUUAGGGACCGAGAUGACAAGGAUGAGCAAGUUUGAGGACCUAUACGGUCCUUUUUGUGAGUUUAGGGACCGGAACAACACAAUCGAACAUGGGCCGCUAGUGGAUUUCAUUCAAAAUAAAAAUUUUAUUUCAUGUUGAUUUACCUUGUAUAUGGGUGGAAUGUUGAUGGUUAAAUGGGGGUGUUAACAACAAUCAGCAGUUUUGAAUAUGCCUAAAGUCACUUCACUCAAGCUUCGUUUGGCAUCUCGUGUAUGAAAUACACAUGUGAAUAGGUCCAGCCGUAUGUUCGAUAAAUCCGUGCCACUCACCCAAUCCACGCCUGGCGAUAGCUAAUCCCACCGCCACAUGCAUGCAAGGCCGCAAGCACGGAGCACCGUUCGUCUGUUUCACUUCACUUCCAUCUUUCACGCCACUCGUGGAGAUAUUUCUCUCCCGCUAGGUCUCGUAAAAAUAUUGUUCGCUGAUUUGUUGUUCGAGAAAAAUACUGCUGAUUGUUUGGCAUAUUCGGUAGAUUAGCUUAAGCGAAUAGGACUAUAAUAUCUUGGUAGCUUGGCUGAUAAGCUAUGACUGAAAGUAUCGUAUGCUGAUUUGUUGUGAGAGAAAAACAUUACUGAAUGGCGGAUAGAUUCGGUAGAUAAACUCAAGCGAACAUGCUAUAAAUAAAUAUAAGUAUCCCAUUUUUUCUGCUCAUAUCUCUAUUUUCAUUUGUCAGGACAUUCCUAGUCAUUUGGAAUCGACUCUUGUAAGAUACGUAUUUAAAAUCUAUUUCACAAUUGCAGCUGGAGAGCAGUCAAUGCGCAAUGCCGUGCCUAAUUUUUGAGAGAACGAACAAGGCCUUGAGAAAUGUGUUAACUUCAAUUAAUAUUAAUGUAUAUGUUAAGUUUAUACUGACCUAAAAUGUGUUGCACUAGCAUCUCAACCAAAAGCCAAAGAGAAGCAUUCAUUCAGGUCUCGAUGAAUAACCAAUGGCCCCUUAAUUUGUCCCUCCAUUUGCAGCUAGGCUGAUGAUUCAAAUUUCUAGCAAGAUACGAUCGACUGCCAGCGCACCUUCCUAGCGUGCGUUCACAUUAUUUGCCAUCGUCUGAGACUGUUGUAUUAAUUUUUUUAGUUCGGGAUACUAUAGCACUUUUAUUUUUAUUUAACAGGCUUAAAAGAUUUAUCUCGCGAUUUACAGGCAAACUGUGUAAUUAGUUUUUGUUUUCGUCUAUAUUUAAUACUGCCGCAAGAUUCGAUGUGACGAAAAAUCUUAAAUUUUUUUUAUUUUUGGAAUGAACUGAACAAUAAAAGAAAUACAGUAGUAAACCGGACCGUAUUAAAGAAGUUUGAGGGCCUGCUUCGUUGACUUCCAAAGUUUGCCAUGCCAAAGUUUUGACAAGUCAAAAGUUGGGCAAAAAAAUUACCAUAAAUUAAGCAAGUCAAAUGUGAGAGUUUGAUAAAUUUUGGUAGCAAACUAAAUACUAGCCAAAAUCAUGGCUCGCCUAAUCUCUACCAUAGCAAAUUUUGAAAGCGAACCAAUAAGCCUUGAAUCUUUUGCUUCUCUAAAACAAAAGCUAUUGUGAUUUUGUCUCAAGAAGUCAGAUUCGGUACUAAAGGCCAUGAAAUAGGUUUGCCACUUAUCCAUAAACAGUAUAUCCCACGAUGAUAAUUGGACGUGUAAUGUCACUUGCAGAUUUUCAUAGUUUUUCAGUCUACCCACCGCCUCACUGCAUUCUCAUGAACAUCCUAAGGUUGCUGAUUUGUUAUAAGAGUAUCUCCAAGGAUUAUGCAUUUUUAGUUUUGUAUUUGAUUGAGUUUGUAAAGUUGUAAAUAAAAAUGGCAAGGAUAAAAAGGCGUGAUCUCCAAUGGUUUUGCAUUUUUACUUGGCAUUUGAGGGAAUUUUAGGCCCACACUUUUUUUGCCCGAAAGGUUUUUCUCUUGGCGCGCGAUUUUCUUCAUCGCCUGUAAUUCUUCGCGCGUCGCGCGCCUUUAUAUUGCGGCAUUCCGCGCUCAGCCAUCGUCGCACCGUCCAGGUCCUCGUGCCGCGUCGUUUGGUCCUCACUCGUCAUGAACCUCGCUUCAUCCUGAACCCCACCCGUCCUGAACCUCGCCCCGUCCUGAUCCUCUGCGGCAAAGCUUCGCGACAAAACUUGGUGGCGCUCGCGUGUGGAGGAGUCGCGCGGGUGAACAGAACGCUGCCCGAGUCGCGCGGGCGUGGAGACGAUCACGAUUUGCAAAGCCUGGGGGCUUGGCAUAUAUGCCAAGUCUAGACCUCUAAAUGCCAAGUUAGGCCGUGUUUAGUUUGUGAAAGAAAAAAAUUCACGACACUAUAGCAAUUUCGUUUGUUUGUGGUAAUUAUUGUCCAAUUAUGGCUUAACUAGGCUCAAAAGAUUCGUCUCGUAAAUUUCGACCAAACUGUGCAAUUAGUUUUUAUUUUCGUUUAUAUUUAAUACUCCAUACAUGCGCCUAAAGAUUUGAUGUGAUAGAGAAUCUUGAAAAUUUUUGGUAUUUGAUGUGGAAGUAAACAAGACAUUAUGCAAAUUGUAAAGUCUAAAUACAAAACCAUUGGAUAGCAUAUUUUAUGUUUUUUCUUUGCAAAUUAGUAAAUACAAAGUCUAAAUGCAUAACCUUUAGAGAUGCUCUAAGAGAAAAAUACUACUAAAUAGUUGAUAGAUUCGACAGAUAAACUUAAGCGAACAAGCUACAUGAAUUGAAGAUGCAAUCAAUAAAAUGAGAGACUGCUAGCUCUCACGCAAACAGUUCCAUCACAGGUAUAACACUACUACAGAAUGAGGCAUUGGUCGAUGGCCAAAAUAGUCAAAAACCUCGGUCAUUUUGCGGCCCGGGGUUAAAGACCCCUUUAACAUCGGUUCUUAACACGAACCGGUGCUAAAGGGUCCUGCCCAACGGCUAUUGACAGGUGCUGUCGGGGCAGGGACCCUUUAGCACCGGUUCGGGUUACAAAGCGGUGCUAAAGGGUCCCCUUUAGCACCGGCCAGCGCCACGGGCCGAGGCAAAGCCUUUAGCACCGGUGCGUAACACAAACCGGUGCUAAAGGGUGACCCUUUAGCACCGGUUUUUGCCCGGAACCGGUUCUAAAGGUCCGGUUUAUAGGCCGGAUCCCUCCUCCUCUCUGCCCAUUUGAAACCGACGCCCAUCGUUGAUCUUCUUCGACUCCGUCAUCGUUUCUUCGUGUUUGGAGGUGACUAACUUUUGUCUUUCUUGUAUUUUUCAUGUUGUUUUUGGCUUGUGAUGUUCCCUUUAUUUUUAGCUCAAAUCCACAUGUUCUUGCUUAUUUCAUGGUUGACCUAGUAUUAAUGUAGUUUGCAAGAAUGAAUUAUAGUAUCUUUUUAUGAUCUUAGAAAGUAGGAUAAUUCAAAUUAAUUGGUUUGUUAAUAUCACUUGAUUUAUUUUUAUUACUACACAAUGUACAUUGUAUAAUUUAGAAGAUUUGUUGAAGUAGCUAGACAAAUAAAGGAUAUUAUUAGGUUCUUCUUUAAUCAUACAUGUUUACUAGUAAAUGUGAAAUUUAUAAUUGUUUAAAAAUUGAGUAUGGAUAGUAGAUGACAACUGUGACCGGGUCUUCGGUCUCUCAACGGGUUCAAAAGCGAUACCGGUCGGAACUCCCUCUCAUUACUUGUGGCAAGUGUGGCUAGAAGAUUGUGAUGGAGUACAAAGUGUCGAAAGAGGGAGUAAACAAGGGUCGUAUAUUCUACAAGUGUCCGGAUCGUAAUGUGAGUUAUUUCCACACAUUUGCUUAUAUAUGUGCAUAUUUUUUAAAAUGAUAUUAAUUAAACUUUUGAUUAUCUCUUUUAAUUUCAGUGGGACGGUACCGGCGGAUGUACAAGUUGGUACUGGGAGGAAGAAUACAUUGAACACAUUAAGAAAUCUUUUGCACAGGUGGUUGACGCUGAAGGUGGUGAGGCAGUGAGCCGACGAAAGGAGUUCAAUGAUGUUGAUCAAGCGAAUGAUCUAUCUAUUAUAGUUGGGAUCGGACGCGAACUAAUUAUGUUGCUUAAGUGCAUUUUAGUUUUGGUUUUUUUUAGUGCUAGUUGCGAUUGUAUUUGUUGUAGCCGAGCUUUCCUGAAUUAAUCAACUAUGUAUCUUAGGCAUGUUGUGCAAUAAGAUGAGAAACUAUAUGUGUGCAUGGUUUUCAUAAUAUAUAUGUUAUAUUUAAUGCAGAUGGUAACACGUAAUUGGAUGUAUAAUGAAGAUCGGCGCUCCAAAGAGUUCAUUAAUGGCGUGCACUAUUUCUUAAGUGUGGCCGAGACAAAUAAGAGGAACGGUUUCAUGUGUUGUCCAUGUGCCGUGUGCAAGAAUUUGACGGAAUAUUCUAACUCAAGAACUCUUCAUUCGCACUUAUUAAAGUCUGGUUUCGUACCAAACUAUAUUUGUUGGACCAAACAUGGAGAAAGCGGGAUUAUAAUGGAUGAAGGUGAAGAAGAAGAAGAAGAAUUGAACCAUGCCAAUAUUAUUGCUCAGUACGGUGGCUUCAAUGGUGUGGCAAAUGGGGGAGAUAAUGAAGAAGAGGUAGCGGCAGAAGAUAUAUGGGAACUAGUCUAUGCAACUAAUUUUAAACUUCCUUUGUUCCGGUGCCAAUGUGUGAAGACGACCGGAGGUGGGGUAACAGUCGACAAGGAGUAUGGGAUGACAACCGUGGACCUUAACAAUAGUGGGUUCAAAGACGAACCAUUCGUCCUUGCUGCAGACAUGAGUCAGGUGUUCUAUGUCAAAGAUAUGUCUACGAAACCAAAGAGAGGAAAAAAUGAUGACCACUCAAUCAUCAAUGAGCCAAAGCGCCACAUUAUCCUUUCUGGGAAAAGAAACAUUGUCGGAAUUGAGGACAAGUCAGACAUGUCAGGCGAUUACGAAAGGGAUGAUCGAAUUCCGCCCUUCAUAGUCAACAAAGACCCAAGCAUUCUGUUAAACAAUGAGGAUACUCCAUGGUUACGGCAGGAUCAUAACCAAGGGUCAUACGUCAAGAAGAAGUUCACUGUUGUGUCGGCUUAACAUAAAGUCAUGUUUAAUAGUAUGUGUUGUAAAAUGUACGAAUUCUGAGAAUUGUAUGAAACUAUAUUUGAGAAUUGUGAAUUUUGAUGAGUGUAUCAAUCUUUGUAUUCAUGACUUUUCCAUUUGGGACAAUCUAAGGUUCGGUCAAAGGGUGUUUUUGUAAAAACCAAUGCUUUGACUUUGGUCAAACUUGAUCAAAUGGCCCAUUUGAUGACUUCAAAUGAAAAAAUUUUGAAUACAAAGUUGUUAGAGAUCAUCAAGAUCUAUAUUUUAUAUAUUAUCCAUUUUUCCAUUUGGAUAAUUUUGAGCCAAUCCUAAUCACAUUUCUAUAAAAUCCAAGACGGGUUUUGGUCAAACUUGGUCAAAUGACAAACUAAAUUACUUAAAUGAAAAAAUUUUAAACACCAAGUUGUUAGAUAUCAUCAAGAUCUAAACUUUUAUAUACACAACUUUUCCAUUUGAGUAAGUUUAAGUUAAUAAUACCCACCAAUUCUUGAAUCUCACACAAACUAUAUGAAACUAUAUAUGUCAAUUGUGGAUUUUCAACUACACCUUCCCAAAACUUUGUCAAAUGCAAAAAUAUUCUAUAUAUGAAAUGUAGAUUUUGAUGAGUGGAACAAUAUUGGUAUUCAUGACUUUUCCAUUUGAGACCAUCUAGGGUUCCGAAACCGCUGCGUGGCUAUGAAUUCUCUGAAAAUUUAAAAUUCAGUGGUUCAAACUUUUGCAAAAGAAAAGUUGACCAUUAGACAAAAUGUAGAACUUGAUGAGUGUAACAAACUUUGUAUUCAUGACUUUUCCAUUUGGGACAAUCUAGAGUUCGGUCAAAAGGUGUGUUGAUCAAGAUAUAUAUUUUUAUAUGAUAAAUAGAUUUUUUAUUUGAUGAAAACAAUACCCUACUAGCAUUCCGAGUAAUAAAUAACAAAAAUAAAAAGUUUAACGUCAAUAUGAUGUGAAAAUAGAUUUCAAGUUGAUUGGAUAUAGUUUUUGUAAAUUUAUUGGAAUAAUAUAUUUUUGCAAUACUAAACAUUUCUUACAAAAUAAUUGCAAAUUAUAAAAAUAUAGUAAGAUAUUUAAGGUUAAAAAUUUUCAUGUGUACAUUAAAAGAAAUUUCAAUAUACGUCACUGUUUAAAAAAUAUUAUGCAAAAUAUUUAAUUUACUAUACAAUUUAUAAUAUAAAUUGUAUAUAUAAACAAUUGAAAAACCCUAAAGUAAAAAACAGGGCCUUUAGCACCGGCCCAUAGUGGGAACCGGUGCUAUAGGGUCCUGAAAAAUUUCAGGACCCCGCCCGAGCGCGCCUAGGACCCUUUAGCACCUGUCCGUGGUUGGAACCGGUGCUAAAGGGUCACUUUAACACCGGCUGGUGUUACGCACCGGUGUUAAAGGGUCCCCUUUAACACCGGGGCGUAACACCAGCCGGUGUUAAAGACCCUUUAGCACCGGUGCCAGCCACGGACCGGUGCUAAGGGGUCCACCCCUAUAUAAGGGUCGGUGCGCCCUGGAUCUGAAGCAGUACGUCUUCGUCUUCGUCGAGACACCUGAACCGCCGCCUCCAUCACCAGCGCCGCCGCCGUUUUGUCUGCCCGCGCCGUCGUCCAGCGCCGCCGCGUGGCCGUCUGCAGCGCCGCCGCGGUCAUCAUCGCCACCAGCGCCGCCGCGGGCGCCAUCUCCGCCACCAGCGCCGCCAGCACUGUCUCUUUCUCCGCGGUGAUCUUUUCUCGACGUCGAUCUCCGGCCGGGCGUCGAUCUGCUAGCGCGCGCUCUCUCUCAAUGUGUUUAUCAAGAUCGAACUCCGGCUUAUGCAAAAUGAAUGAAUAUAUAUUUUUUGCAGAUUAUAUAUAUAUAUAUAUAAUCUGCAAAAUGAUGAAUGAAUAAUGUAUAUUAGUUUUUAGUAACAUAUAUAUAUAUAUAAACUGCAGAAUGAAUGAAUGUAUAUUAGUUUUUAGUAUAUUAUAUAUAUAUAUAUAUAAUCUGCAGAAUGAAUGUAUAUUAGUUUUUAGUAUAUUAGUAUAAGUGUAGGGUUGACCUGUUAUAAAUUAUAUUAUGUUAAUAUAUAUUUGUAAUAUAUUAAUUUUAUUCUUGUAUUAUUUUGUAGUAUUAUUUUUUUAGUAUAUUAUUUGUAGUAGUAUUUUUUAGUAUAUUUUUGUAGUAUAUUAUUCUUGUAUUAUUCUUGUAUCAUAUUUUAUUUUCUAGUGUUUUGUAUAUAUUAUUGUUUGUACUAUUAUUCUAGUAUUGUUUUUUAGUAUAUUAUUCUAGUGUAUUACUUGCCUUAAAAGAUUCUGGUAUUAUUUUUAGAGCACUCCAACACUUUCAUUUGUAGUAGUAUAUAAGUCUCUAAUAUAUAUUCUAGUAGUGUUUACCCACCAAAUUUAUUCUAGUAGUGUUUUGUAUAUAUUAUUGUUUUGUACUAUUAUUCUAGUAUUGUUUUUUAGUAUAUUAUUCUAGUGUAUUACUUGGCUUAAAAGAUUCUAGUAUUAUUUUUAGAGCACUCCAACACUUUUAUUUGUAGUAGUACUAGUAGUAGUAUAUAAGUCUCUAAUAUAUAUUCUAGUAAUGUUUAGCCACCAAAUUUAUUCUAGUAGGGUUUUGUAUAUAUUAUUGUUUGUACUAUAUUAUUCUAGUAUUGUUUUUUAUUCUAAUGUACUACUUGUCUUAAAAGAUUCUAGUAUUAUUUUUAGAGCACUCCAACACUUUCAUUUGUAGUAGUACUAGUAGUAGUAUAUAAGUCUCUAAUAUAUAUUCUAGUAGUGUUUAGCCACCAAAUUUAUUCUAGUAGGGUUUUGUAUAUAUUAUUGUUUGUACUAUAUUAUUCUAUUAUUGUUUUUUAUUCUAAUGUAUUACUUGUCUUAAAAGAUUCUAGUAUUAUUUUUAGAGCACUCCAACACUUUCAUUUGUAGUAGUACUAGUAGUAGUAUAUAAGUCUCUAAUAUAUAUUCUAGUAGUGUUUAGCCACCAAAUUUAUUCGAGUAGGGUUUUGUAUAUAUUAUUGUUUGUACUAUAUUAUUUUAGUAUUUUUUUUAGUAUAUUAUUCUAUUGUAUUACUUGGCUUAAAAGAUUCUAGUAUUAUUUUAUAGCACUCCAACACUUUCAUUUGUAGUAGUACUAGUAGUAGUAUAUAAGUCUCUAAUAUAUAUUCUAGUAUUAUUUUUUUAAUAUAUUAUUCUAGUGUAUUUCUUAUCUUAUAUAGAAUAUAUAUAUAUAUGUAUGGUUGCAGAAACAUAAAUGGCUGACCGUGCUCAUGAUGAUCCUGAUUAUAUAUGGAAGAUGCCAUUCAAAAUAUGAUCGACGACGGUAGUCAGUACUUUAUUGAUUACCACGAGAUCAUGCAAGGCAAUCCGACUGAGCAACAAGAGGGCAAUGCCCCUGAGCAACAAGAGGGCAAUGCGCCUGAGCAACAAAUUGUCGUGCAACAAGAAGAAAAUACUGGCGAGGUAUGUAAAUGUAAACAUAUAUAAUUAAUGCAUCUCUUACAUUAGGUUUUAGACUUACUUGGUUAUUAAUUUAGUAUUUUUGUUUCUAUAUCUAUGUGUAGCCUUCUAGAUCGACCUCUACGGGGAGAAGCGUACCUCCACGAGGGCCAAAGAAGCCGUUGGAGGGCCGCUAUGUAAUCUCUGAGUUUGAGAUAGCUACAGGCAGACCACUUGGUGAACAUGCAAAUAAAUAUGUUAGUCACUGUGGAUAUCUUGUGAGAGAUCAAAUACCAAUUAGUGCUCGUGAAUGGAGAGAGAAGCGAGGUGCUCCUGAGAUCAGUUUUGUCUCUGAUCGUGACAAGGAGUUAGUUUGGAAAGCCAUCACAGACGUUUUCACCUUCAACACCAACGAUGAAGAGUUGAAGGUGCGAAUUUAUGACUGGACUAUGAAGAAGAUGGCAGUACUCUUCCAGAAUUGGAAGAAGACUUUGUACAAUAAAUAUGUUAAGAAAAACGAGACUCCAAAUUUCAACCUCAAGCAAUAUGUAAAACUGAGGGCCUUCUGGGAUGACUUUGUGCAGUACAAAACAUCAGAAGAGGGUGAGGAACGAGCCAUUAAAAACAAAGAGAAUGCAAGUAAAAAGACAUACCACCAUCAUAUGGGAUCAGGUGGUUAUAAGAGUGCUGUUCCCAAGUGGGACCGAAUGGAACAGGAGAUGCUUGCUAGGGGGGUCACACCCGAGACAAUAGCAAAGAAUUGGAGCGAGCGCUCCAAGCAUUGGUUCUACGAUCAUGGGGGAAACGUGGACCCAGACACCGGGGCGCUAGUUUGGGGCCAAGAAAUAUCUAGAGCAGUAGAGAGACUAGUCCGUGCACGAGAGGCGGUUCAGUCUGGUGAGUUCAGGCCUAACAGGGAGAAGGAUGAACUGACCUAUGCGCUUGAAAAUCCUGAGCACGGUGGGCGUACGAGAGGCUAUGGGGCAGUUCCGUGGCUGCAAUCAUUCCAAGCCGAUCAAGAUACCUACAGAAGACGCCAGAGAAAGAAGGAUGAGGAGGCAGAGCGGAUCCGCCGCCUGAAAGCUUUUGUUCUACAGUCAGAAGAGCGCGAGAAAGCUCGUGAAGAAUGGAUGUAGGCGGAGAUUCAAAGGCAAGUGCAAGCAGCACUUAGUCAAAUGACGAAAGGGCAAGAUACAUCACAGCCUGAGGUCAACGUUAGCCCCCCAGGCCAGUUGAAAAGCAGCUGCGCAUCCAUGGAAGUACCAACCAUUUAGGAAGACACGAAGCUACACUUCCCUGUGGAUGAUGUCACAGAGGCUUUUACUACCUGUGAGCUGCAUGUACCAGAUGGGAAUGCAACAAAAAGGUGGCUAUCGCUGUUGUCAACCCUAUCGACCGAACGAGAACUCCAAGAAUCCAUAAUCGACCAGUACCUAGUGGAUAUGCUAGCGUCUUGGUUGAUAGGGUUGAGAAAGGUUGUGGCAAUGUGCCUCUAGACAUAGAAGGGGGAGACAGAGAGAAGACCUUAGGUGAAGCUGAGAAGACAUUUAUUUGUUGGCGCAAACGCUUCAUAAUUAUUCCUCAACAUAGGUUUGUGUGUGAUUUUACUUCUUAUAUUAUUUAUUAUGUAUUGAAAUUUAAAAAAAGUUUGCUUACAAAACUUGUAAUUGUUUUCUUUGCAGGGACUCCUCCAACCUAAGUCCAGUUCUCUCCCCAGCGCAUUAUAGUGCUGCAGGCGGUGACAAUGCUGGAUCUCCUCCAACACCUACGGCGGCCACACCGACCCCGCCACCGCCUCCACCACGGUCUCCACCUCCUCCACCGAGGUCUCCAACUCCUCCACUGCGUUUACCAACGCCGAAAAGAUCGGCCCCACCACCUCCACCGCCUGCACCGCCCUCUCCAAAGAGUGCACGGUCGGUCCCCUCGCCUCCAAAGCGAGGUAGUCAGAAGCGGUCCGCCCAAGAACGACCGAAGUCAUCGGUCCCACCUCCAAAGAAGGCUGCCUCAGCAAAGAGAGCUAAGACACCAGAAAAAUUACCUUACGAAAAGAGUGAAGAGGAGGUAAUUGCUGCAUCCAAAGCUCAGGUGAAACAAUUUUUUGAUAAAUUGAACGAGGAUAGGAAAAAGCGGCUUAACCCGAAAAGUCGUACUUUUAUGUAAAGCCAUCGGAACUGAGGCAGAAGGUGGCGGACCAUCAAAAGAAGCAACGCGAAGCUCAGAAAAAGCCAGUACUUUUAGACUAUGAGCGGUCUCUGGUCAAUUCUUCACAGCCUAAGAAGAGAGUAGGAAAGGGGGUCCCACAGCUCGGAGAAGUAUCAAAACCGGUGCCCCCUUUGAUUGUGCCAAAUCAAUACGGCUCAAAUGAAGACUUGAUGCCAAAGAAAUCCUUAGCAUUGUCUGAGCUAGACUCGCUUGAGCGUUACUUUGGACAGAGCGGUUUAAAUAUGGAAGAAAUUGCCGCCAUUCUUGGAUGCCAAACAUUUGAAAAAGCUGAGGUAGUUGAUCAAUGGAGGGUAAGAUAUGAACCGGGCAGGAGUCUAUUCGACCCUCAGCGUUUACAUGAGCUCGGCACACAAAUGUUUGCAAUAAACAAAUGGUGCAUUGAGGCGUCUAAAAGGGGAGAGAAUUGGAUUUCUAUUCGUAUUAUACAACAUCACUACUUCCGUGGAGAUGACCUCAUACAUGUGCAGUUAGAAGAAUUGCACCAAUUAUGUCACCUCGACGCUCUCGACAAAUCUCUUAUCAGCUGUUUUUGUCUGUAAGUAUUUUUUUCUUUUUAUUAUACUUCUAACUUCUUUAAUUACAUGUAUAUAAUCCUUACACACUUUGGAUUUAUAUGUAUAUAUGCAGGCACCAAAUGAGAGAGCUCAGAAUGAGAAAUGACAAUAGUAUUGGGUUCGUUGACCCUUAUAUUGUUUUCAAGGCUCCGUAGGCAGUGUGGACAGCAGCUCAUGAGACAGAAGUCUGCACCAAUCUUAUAAGGUUCUUUGUGAACCAAAAAGAAAAACAAAAAAUACUCUUCCCCUUCAACUUCGAGUGAGUUAUAUAGUUAUUAAGUGCAUGCAUAUUUUAUUUUACUUAUUAUUACUCGAGACAAGUUUUAUAUAGUUAUAUAUAGGCCUGACUAUAUAUAUGUGUGUAAACAGCUUUCACUGGAUACUCAUGGUCAUUGAAAUUCCCAAGAACCGGUUGAUAAUCUUUGACUCAAUGAGAAAACCACAAGAAAAUUAUCAACAAAUGGUAAACAUUAUUCAAAGGUACGUAAUGUCGAUCUUAGCUAGAAAAAUAUCAUAAUAUGACUCUGUAAUUAUUAGUUCACGAUCCACAAUAGCUGUGUGUAGGGUUUGGGAAAGAUUCAUUGACCGUGAACAUCUCAGUGGAUGUAAAGCGCCGCUUAACAUAAUACAUCCACAAGUAAGUUCUACUAGCUAUCAAACUUUCACUAACUUUUAGCCUUCUUAUUGUCGUUGUCGUGAAUAUUUUAUAUAUAUGUAUCGUACAGUGGUGUUUAAGACAAGAAGGGGAGAACAAUCUAUGUGCAUAUUACGUGUGCAAAUUCAUGAUGGCACAAGUCAAUCAAACACCCACAGAGACGCUCAAAGUACGUUACAUGUCUCUUUUCAUUAUCUCCUGAAUUAUAUUGAAUAAUUUAGAUAACUAAUACCUUUUUUAUUUAUUUCAAAUUAAAGACGGAAUGGUUGAGGGAAAAGGUCAUACAAAAAGACCGAAUCAAAGCUAUCCAAGAGACGAUAGCAGGAUUUCUCCGCGAGCAAGUGAUCAAUUCAAACGGCGAGUUUCACUUCAACGGCAACGAAACUCUUAUUCCAAACAACGAUGAUUGUCGACGAAAGCUAGUCGGCAGUCUACCUUGGGGUAUACCCACGGUAGUAGUUUAUCGGUAGACGGUGCGCAAACUACGAACUCGAUGGUGACGCAAGACACGGACAAGCUUUUUAUCCAGGUUCGGCCGCCGAGUUGGCGUAAUACCUACGUCCUGCGUCUGGUUGUAUUGGAUUGUGUUGAGAGAUAAUCUGUCCUAGGGGGUCCCCUUGCCCCUCCUUAUAUAGUCUGGAGGGCAGGGUUACAGAUCUAGAAACUAAUCCUAGCUGGUUACAAUUGCCAUAGAUAAUUCGAUAUCAAUUCCUAUUCUAACCGACUAGAAUCCUGCUUGAUCUCCACGUCUUGUUUCCUUGCGCGAAACUCGGGCUGUCGGAUCAAGCCUUGAACUCGUCUCGUAGUGGGCCAAGCUUCCUAGCUGAAGUCUAGCCGUAAGGGUAUAGGGGUUUAUACCCCCACAGCUAGUCCCCGAGCGCCAUGUAUUGUGAUGCAACACUCCGUCUUGAGCUUCUUCGAUCAGCGUGGCCUGUCGUCUUCAAUGAGCGGGGAAAUCGCCCAAACGGUUCAUUGAUCAACGUUGUCAUCGAAGAAGCAGGUUGUUCGAAGAAUGCAUGGUGCUCUAAAAAAAAUUUCUUUCCUGGUGAAGUGUGCCCACUUUGCCUUUCUGAAAGGUAGAAGUAUCAAAAAAGCAAGCAAAUUCACCGCCAGGUGAAGUGUGCCCACUUAGUCCUCGAGCCUGGUAGUAGGUGGCGUAGGCACGUGGUGCCAGGGUCAAAGGAAAAUUCCCCAAAGUAGUUUUGAGACUGAGAUGCAUCGCUAGAUGCAUCGUACCGAUGUAGUCCCCGAGCUUGCUGGAAGGCGAAGUAUGUGCCUUGUAGCAAGGUCUAAAAAAUUGAAUUUACCAGUCCCCGAGCAUGUCAUGCUCGUCUGCGAUCGAAAAGACCAAUCGACCAGUCCCUGAGCAUGUCAUGCUCGUCUGCAAUCGAAAAGACCAAUCGACCAGUCCCCGAGCAUCGAGUGCUCAGUUUCCUAAGCAUGCUUUAAAGCUUUGAGCUGAUAGACUGAGCGACCAGUCCCCGAGCGUCGAGUGCUCGGUGGUCGGUGCAGUCCUUGAAGUUCUGAGUUGAUAGACUGGGCAACCAGUCCCCGAGCGUCGAGUGCUCGGUGGUCGGUGAAGUCUUUGAACUUUCGAGCUGAUAAACUGGGCGACCAGUCCCCGAGCGUCGAGUGCUCGGUGGUCGGUGCAGUCUUUGAAGUUCCGAGCUAAUAAACUAGGCAACCAGUCCCCGAGCGUCGAGUGCUCGGUGGUCGGUGCAGUCUUUGAAGUUCCGAGCUAAUAGACUGGGCGACCAGUCCCCGAGCGUCGAGUGCUCGGUGGUCGGUGCAGUCCUUGAAUUUCCGAGCUGAUAGACUGGGCGACCAGUCCCCGAGCGUCGAGUGCUCGGUGAUCGGUGCAGUCCCCGGAUUGCUGACUCACUGGCGUAUGUGUCUUCUUACUUUUGAAAAGGUCUUUCAAAUUUAAAGUUGACGUGACGGGGUCUCCUGACGAUAUGUCAGACGGAUGCAUGAAAAGCUGUGCCUGGCAACUGUACAACCGCUCUUUGCGUGGUUUGAGAAAAGGAAACCAUCAAUUGGUACGAAAACUCCGCCGCAUUAAUUGUCUAUAAUCAUUGUAAACCGAAACGCCGCGUCCGCCGCAUGGCCUGCCCACUUCCCGAGAUUACAGGAAGUGGGAGAGGUGGGGUCGCUGGUUUAUAAGGGCCUAAUAGGACCGCCUGUACCGCUUCUCCUGCCAUUGCCUUCAAACCUUCCGUUCUCAUCUUCUCCAAUCACCUGCAUCUUCCUAACUCCGGCCCACAUUCGCACCUCUAAUGGCGAAGAGCGACUCCAGGAAGAGGGCCGACCUGAUGGCCAAGGAAUGGAAGAAGUCUCGCAGCACCACCAAAUCGCUUGGUGACCUCGUCGAUAUGGGGCUGUUGCACGACGCAGAGCUCGGCGGCUGGAGGGCACCAGAGGGGGAGAGCUACCCCGAUCCUCGCGCCGGUGAGGUCGUCGUUUUUGAAGACUUCGUUAAGAGAGGUUUUGGUGUUCCUGUCCAUCCUUUUCUUCAAGGUCUUCUUUUGUACUAUGAGAUCGGGAUUUGCAAUCUGCACCCGAACUCAAUUCUCCUUAUUUCCACCUUCAUCCAUCUGUGCGAGGCCUAUGUUGGCAUAGAGCCGCACUUUGAUCUUUUCCGGUAUCUUUUCUGUCUGAGGAAGAAGGGAGCAGUUGGAGGCUCCAAGGUUGCAGGUGGAGUAUACCUCAACCUCCGUGAUGGGAUGAAGAAUCGCUACCUGCACUGCCCAUGGAACACCUCCUUGACCGAAUGGUACAGGAAGUGGUUCUACGUCAGGGAGGAACCGGGCAGCUCCACGUUCUGCGACGUGGGGUACGUUCCCGAGAAGAGGGCGAGCUGGUCUGACCGCCCAGAGUUCGACGGUCAAGUGGCGGAUCUGAUGAAGCUGAUCGACUGGUCGCGCCUGGAUGGGCUUAGCGUGGUCGGCAACUUCAUUUGCCGCCGGGUGAUGCCCUGCCAGAAGAGGGUGCACUCGGCGUAUGAGUAUGCCGGAAGCACAGACCCGACCAGGAUGCGGUCGGAGAUCCUGGAGAAGGCGGAGGUACAACAGCUGCUGAACGAGCUGUUUAACUUCGCGGAUGGGGGCUUCACCCGUAGCAGCGAUCGGGUGCAAGCCUUCAAGUUAGGACGACCAGCACCAAAGGUAUGUAGCAGACUUCGUUUGAUCAUUCGUAUGUCGCCUGUAGUUGGCUCAUCUCUGUUACUUUUGCAGGUCGGUGAUGUCGACCGGUGCGUAGUGUACGUAUCACUGGCACCGGGGAUGGAAGAUCCUGUGGGAGAGGUCCCGCCAGAGGAAGGCCGAGCCCGCCCCGUCCCGACCUCCGAGGAGAGGGUGGUGGGGAAAAGGCCAUUGCCGGUGGAUCCCCUGCCGACGCCGGAGCUGCCGGCAGACCUACCGGCGGAGAGCAGCCAAGCGCCGAAGCGUCGUCGGCUCGUGCGGAUCGUCGACGACGACGACGACGACGACGAGGAGGAGGCUGCGCCGUCGUUGGUCCGACGGCCUCGGGGCCGCCCAGACGCUGCACCGGUCGCCACUGAUCGAGUGGCCAGCGGCGCAGCUGCCCCGCAAGUUGCCGAGGUGGGGGCACAGGCGCCGACCGGCCGGGCGAGGAGGAGGUUCACCGCGACCCAUCGCCGGUCAGACCUGUAAGUGUUCAACUUACGUAUUUUGGACUCCCUUUUUUUUUAACUUCUGUUCCUGUAGUGCGGCAUCGGAUGUCGACCCUGGCCAAACUGCCGGCCAGGGAACGGGCGAGCCUGCCCGCGGUUCUGGGGAUGCGGCCCCCCAGACCACAGAGCAGCCGACUGCUGCAGUCGCGCCUGGGAGCACCGAGGAGCUCCCGAGCGCGGCGCCGACUACAACAAGCAGCCCGACCAGGGCUGGGGAGGCUCCCCCAACUGACUCCUCGGAGAAGGGAAGGUCUCCGACCGCUCCUCCUGCCGGGGGGAGUGAAGUCCCCCCGCCGCCCCGAGCAGGAGCCUCUCCAGCUGCGGGCUCCCCAGGUCUGGUCCAAGGGGCGGUGACGCCUGGGACCACCACCGGGGGUGACGCAGCCCAGGAGGAGGAAACCAGGGCGGCCUCCGACGACGAGGUAGAAGAGAUCGAGGGUCGUCCCCGUGAUGGCCGCCAACACGUGUAUGUGUGGCGCCAACGCGGGGAUCACUUUAUCGGUCAUGAGGAGCUUGCCGAGUCCGAAGAGGCCGCCAGGGUGGAGCGCGCGGCCAAGCGCCUUGUCGACGAAGUCAAGGUAAGCGGCGUUUUGAGCUGCCGCGCAUUCUUUUGCCUUGUCUUCUGCGCAUUGUUAUAUGCUUGCUUUGUAGGACGUUAUGAAAACGGCGAAGUACCGGAAACGGUGCUUUGACCAGAUAGAAGGCGUCAUGGCCGAGAACAAGGCCCUUGCCGCGGAGGUAGACCGGUUGCGGGCGGAGGUCGGAGAGAAGGUGGUCGAGAUGAGCGCCGAAAAGGAGCGUCGUCUCGACCUUGCUCGUCGUCUGACCGACCAGUACCGGCUGCAGGAAGGUUAGUCAUACGCUCCGAGCAGUUUCGCGUACUUGCAUAGUUUGCUUCGCUGACCAGUUUGAUAUUCACGCAGACUUGGAGGAGGAGGUGGCGAGCCUCCAACAAGAGAAGGAGCAGCUCAGCCAACAGCUCGCCGGUGCUCAGGAGUCCGGGCGGCGAGCGGAAGAGGAACUGGGUAGAAAAGACCGGGAGUUAGCUGGUAAUGGGUGCCGCCUUGUUGGUUGCUACCUGCCCCUUUGCUUGUCUGGUAUGCCGAAAAUAACGUUUCGUUUCGUUUGCAGUGCUCAAGGUGAACGCCAAAAAACACCUGGAUGAGCUGGUCAAGGACCGGGACUCCUGGAAGGUCAACUGUUGCAGGAUCUGGAAGGGAGUGUCCCCGGUCCUGGACCUGAUCAGUCCCGAGCUCCCGGAGAGCCAGCCCCGCGUGCCGCCGUUGACCCCGGUCGAGAAGGCGCAACGGGCGUGGGACUGGCUCCAGCAGUUUGUGAAGGACGCCGGGGAGUUUGCCGGCGCGCACGUCCUCAGCAUGGUACGCGCCCACUACCCCCUGGUCGACUUGAGCAGGCUGGAGAAGGGGUACCCGAAGGAAGUCGGCCCACAGGAAGCGGACGAACUUCGGGGUAGUCUGCUGGACUUGUCGUCGACAGUGAUCGGCGACAUCAACCUGUGCGGAACGGCCACUCCUCCAGACCAGCCGAGCUCAGAUAGGUCGGCCAGGGAGUUGUCGGGCGCGUCCGUUGCUGGAGAUGGGCGGUCGACGCCUGCGGUCUCGACCAGCCAGGCGCCGGUGGCCCCGACCCCUUCGUCCGGGCAGCAGGGCCAGGCGGGUGAUCAGCCCGAGCAGCUAGGCCAAUAAAGUAGUCUGUAGGAAUAGACUAGUAUCUGCCCGUCAGGGUAUUUAUUGUAAACUUUGUAUGUAAAGUUUGUAAUAAAGUUUUCUUUUUUGUCAUGACUGUUGUUUUGAGCGCUGUACAAUAUCUGAGUGACGUGUCACCGUGUUUGUCUUGGUUGUCGCCAAGAGCAUCCAUCGCAGGAGUUUUGCCGAGUGCUGUGUAUGACAAGGUAUAGGCGAAAAAUAGAGAAUCUUAUUAUCAAAAAAUUAUAAGAUACUUACAAAAGAAAGUCAUUAAAACUUUAUGGAUAGAAACGUCGCAGUUUGUCGAUGUGCCAAGAGUUAGGUACUCGUGUUCCGUCUGGGUAUGCCAAUCUGUAGGACGUAGGUCGUGUGACCUCGGUCACGACGAAGGGUCCUUCCCAGGGAGUGGAUAACUUGUGCAUUCCCUCCUGGCUUGUUUUCCAUCGGAGCACCAGAUCGCCGACCACGAAGGAACGGUCCUUGACGUUCCUGUUGUAGUAUCGCCUGACUGCCGCGAGAUAUUUUGCUGUUCGGAGACAUGAAACUAAACGCUUUUCCUCCAUGCAAUUGAUUUCGAGUUCUCUGGCGUUGUCGGCGGUCGCCUGGUCGAAGUGCUCGAUUCUGGGAGAUCCGAAGUGUAUGUCGGACGGCAAGACCGCCUCAGCACCGUACACCAUGAAGUAGGGAGACACCCCUGUGUUUCGACUGGUCUGAGUUCGGAGGCCCCAGACCACUGCCGGCAAUUCUUUCAUCCAUCGACCGGGUGCUCUGUCGUUCUCGGUGUACAAUCUUUUCUUUAGGGCGUCGACGAUCAUUCCGUUAGCACGUUCAACUUGACCGUUGGCACGUGGAUGUGCCACUGACACAUAUUUUAUGACUAUGCCUCUGUCAUCGCAGAAAUCCCAAAAAGUGGUGCCAGUAAACUGAGUGCCCAGGUCGGUGAUUAUGCUGUUCGGGAUGCCGAAUCUGUGUAUGAUUUGAUUGAGGAACUCCACAGCCUUCUCGGAGGUUGCCUUGACCAGGGGCAUGUAUUCAAUCCACUUGGAGAACUUGUCGAUUAACACGAAGACAAACUUGAAGUUGCCCGGGGCUGGUUUAAAUGGUCCGAUCAUGUCGAGCCCCCAGCAAGCAAAGGGCCAAGACGACGGGAUGGUUUGAAUUUCAUGGGCAGGUACGUGGGUCCUCUUAGCGAAAAACUGACAUCCUUCACAAUGUCGAACCAGUUUUUCUGCGUCGCUGACCGCGGUUGGCCAAUAAAAACCUGCUCGGAAAGCCUUUCCGACCAGCGUUCUAGAUGCGGCGUGGUUGCCGCAAGAUCCGGCGUGUAUGUCCUCCAAGAGCUUGAUACCAUCGUCUUGGGGUAUGCACUUGAGCAGUACCUCGGAGCUUGCGUUUUUCCGCAUGAGUUUUCCGUCAACCAGGAUGUAGUUCUUUGAUCGUCGGAUGAGACGCUCGUUCUCUGUUUUGUCUUGAAAACCUGUCCCGUCCGAGAUGUAUUUGAUGAACGGGAUACGCCAGUCACGCCCACUGGUUGUCGGAGUGGCGUCAUCUAUGAGCAUUGCCUCGGUGGGUUGCUUGUCGACCAGGGUGGAGCUUACGCUCGGCUCACGGAUGUCCUGGACGAAAAUACCCCGCGGGAUUUGGGCCCGAGACGAGCCUAACUUUGACAACGCAUCUGCUGCUUGGUUCUUGUCCCGGACUACGUGGAUGUACUCUAUGCCAUAGAAGUUAGUUUCCCAUUUGCGAAUUUCUUUGCAGUAGAGAUCCAUCUUCUCGUGGGUUGCGUCCCACUCCUUGUUGAGCUGGUUGAUGACCAAAGCGGAGUCCCCGUAGACAUAGAGGCGCUUAACCCCCAGCUCAACGGCUAGUCGUACGCCAUGUAAGCAAGCUUCGUAUUCGGCGACAUUGUUUGACGCCGGAAAAAGGAUCCGAAGGACGUAGCGGAGUUUGUCCUUGUUUGGUGAUACGAACAAUAUCCCAGCGCCUGCACCGUUGAUGUUCAAGGACCCAUCAAAGAACAUUGACCAGUGGUCUGAGACAUCGGGAACGGACGGUUCGUUGAGAUCCGUCCAUUCGGCAAUGAAAUCGACCAGGGCUUGGGACUUGACAGUGGUGCGACUCUGAAACUCCAGGGAAAAUGGACAUAAUUCCAUUGCCCAUUUCACGAUUCUGCCAUUGGCGUCUUUAUUGCGCAGGAUGUCACCGAGGGGAAAGCUGGUUGUCACCAGGACUCGAUGGCCGUCGAAGUAGUGCUUCAGUUUUCUUGAUGUUAUCAGGAUGGCGUAUAUAAGCUUCUGUAUUUGUGGGUACCUGGCCUUGGAUUCGUUUAAAACUUCGCUUAUGAAGUAGACGGGCCUCUGGACCUUGAAGACGUGACCUGGUUCAUCUCGCUCGACCACUAUUGCCGUGGAAACAACUCUGUCGGUUGCAGCAAUGUAAAGGAGCAGGUCUUCAUUGGGCUGAGGCGCUGUGAGAACAGGCGGUGAAGUGAGGAAGGUCUUAAGCUGAGUGAACGCAGCGUCGGCGUCUUCUGUCUAGGAGAAUUUUUCUGACGCUUUCAAUAGUUUGAAAAAGGGGAGGCCUUUUUCUCCCAGCCUUGAGAUGAAACGACUGAGGGCGGCCAUGCAUCCGGUUAGCUUCUGAAUAUCCUUGACGUUCUUCGGUGGUCGCAUGUCGAGUACGGCUUUGACUUUUGAAGGGUUUGGUCGUAUGCCGUCGCAACUGACGACGUUGCCGAGCAGUAGACCGGAAGGAACGCCGAAAAUGCAUUUCUUGGGGUUGAGCUUCCACUUGUACCUAUUGAGUGCCUUGAAGGUUCGGUCUAAGUUGUCGAUUAGGGUGCUCGCAUCCCUUGUUUUUACGACCACGUCGUCCACAUAGGCCUCGACGAGGUCGUCGCGAAUCUCGUGGUGGAGGCAUUGCUGGAUGGCCCUUUGAUAAGUGGCCCCGGCGUUUUUAAGUCCGAAAGACAUGGUAGUGUAACAGUAUGCGCCGAAAGGUGUGAUGAAGGAUGUUUUGAUCUGAUCUUCUUCUUUUAACGAGAUCUGGUGAUAACCAGAGUAGUAGUCUAGAAAGGAGAGGAGUUCGCAUCCGGCCGUUGAGUCGACCACCUCGUCGAUGCGAGGAAGACCAAAAGGAUCUUUAGGACAGUGUUUGUUGAGAUCGGUGUAAUCAACGCACAUUCUCCAUUCAUUAUUCUUUUUGCGUACAAGAACCGGAUUGGCGAGCCAAUCGGGAUGAUACACCUCUUUUAUGAAUCCGGCUGCUAGAAGCCGUGUUAUUUCUGUCCUAAUAGCCUCCUUUUUGUCACGAGCGAACCGUCGCAGUUUUUGCUUGAUUGGUCUUGCGGUCUUCGAGACGUUUAAGGAGUGCUCGAUCAGGUUUCGUGGGACACCGGGCAUGUCUGCGGGUUUCCAUGCGAAAACGCUCACGUUGUCCCUUAGAAACCUGACGAGCGCGUCUUCCUAUUUUGGAUCCAGGUUAGCCCCGAUGAGGGCUGUCUUCUCAGGGUUGCCUUCGACUAGCUGCACUUCUUUGUACUCCUUGGAUUUCGAAUUCUUUCUGGAUGUCUCCUGCUCGGGUAAUCGGAGCUGGUCGGGAGGCAGCUGCGCGGCUUGGCUUGCUGUUUCCGCCAUGCGGAUUGAGAGGUCAAUUGCCUCGGUGAUCUUGAAGCUUUCUUCUUCGCAGGUGUACGCCGUGUAGACGUUGCCUCUGACGGUUAGGACACCCUUCUCCGUGGGCAUCUUAAGCACUAAGUAUGAGUAGUGCGGGACUGCCAUGAACUUUGUCAGCGAAGGGCGGCCCAGUAUGGCGUGGUAGGUCCCGUCAAAGUCCGCGACUACGAAGUUGAUGAACUCCGUCCGGAAGUGAUCGGGUGUGCCGAAUUGGACAGGCAAUGUUAUCUGUCCGAGGGGCACCGAACUUUGACCCGGCAAAACCCCCCAGAAUUGGGCGUCGUAAGGUUUUAGUUGCGCCGGUGAUAUCUUUAGGGCGGGCAGGCUGUUGCGGAAGAGAAUGUCGAUGGAGCUUCCCCCGUCCACGAGCACGCGCUCGAAUCUGAUGCUAUUGAUGCAGGGAUCAAGAAUCAGUGGGAAACGUCCCGGCUCUGGGAUAGCGGCCCACUGGUCCUUCCUGCUGAACGAGAUCUCCCUGUGGGACCACGCGGGAAAUUUUGGAUCUGCGAUCAGCCCGUCCGUGCUGUCUAUGUUGAGGCAGGCUCUCUUUAACAGCUUUCUUUCUCGCUUGGACUCAGUGGAGACCUUGCCCCCGAAAAUGGAGUGGACCACGUCGGUGGGGCUGACGUAUUGGUGUCGGGGGUCCCUGUCUUGGUCCUCAUCCUCAUCUUCGUGGUCGUGCCCGUCGCGUUUGUUAUUUUUCUUGGCGGAGUCCUCUUGGGCGGCCCGCCGUGUAUAGGUACUUUUGAGGACGCGACACUCUUCCAUGGUAUGGUUAGACUUUGGGUGUAGCUGGCAUGGUCCCUUCAACGUUUUGUUGUAGUCGUCUUGGUAGUCCCGUCGUCCGUUGGGACGUUUGACCGUAUUUACUUCGUGGUCGUAUUCACGAGGGCGCUUCCCUCUGAAGUCGUCGCGGCUGUCGCGCCGCCGAUCCCAAACCUCUCGGUGAUCGCGGUUGUCGGAGCGGCGGUGAUUUCUGUUGUCGUAGCGACCACGACCGUCAUCCCGCCGAGAAGGCUGGUCGGGGCCUCUCGCGUCGUCUCGGAUUAGUUUUUCUGCGUCAUCAGCAUCGGCGUAGUUUUUAGCCGUGGCGAGGAGCUCUGCUACCGUUGAUGGGCGUUUACGCAGCAGCUUGUUCCUCAGCGCUUCAUGGAAACGCAAGCCCUUGAUAAAGGCUGAUAUGGCCUCGUCGUGAGAAAUCUUCGGGAUUUUGAGGCGCAUAUCCGAGAACCGUCGGAUGUAAUCGCGCAGAGGUUCAUUCUUCUUGUCUCUUAUCCUUUCAAGGUCAUACUUGUUCCCGGGCUGCUCGCAUGUGGCGAUGAAGUUGUCGAUGAAAGCCUGUCGUAGCUCUUCCCAAGAUUCGAAGGAGUCCUCGGGCAAGCCGAGAAGCCACUGAUGACCAGCCUGGUCGAGGACUACGGGGAAGUAGUUAGCCAUGACGUGCUCAUCUCCUGCCGCUGAUCGGACGGCGAUUUCAUAAAGGGUGAUCCAGUUCUCUGGAUUUUCCUUGCCGUCGUAUUUUUUAAGUUUUUCGAGCUUGAAAUUGCGGGGCCACACGACCUGACGGAGGUGCGAGGAGAACUGCCUUAGGCCCGGAGGACCGUGGGUCGCGUCGUACUCGAUGCGGCGCAGGUUUUCGUGGACUGCUCUUUCUGCGGCGCGCCUGUUGAUGCGAUCCCGGGCAUCUUUGGGAGGGAUGUUGUGGCGGAGAUCCCUGUGUUGAUCUUCUUCUUCUUGGUCGCGUACACGGUUCUGCUGGCGGCGGCCAUCGGCGUCCCGACCACCAUCGUCGCGCCGUGAGUCCCCUCGACGGUUGUCGGGGGAGCGGCUGCGGCGGCGCCUGCUGGGCGAGGCCCGGCUGCGAUUAGUCUGGUCGGAGGCGGCUUCCGUAUAAGAGACGUCCUGGACUCUCUUGAGUAGAGUGGCUGUCUGUCCCAUUGCGGCGAUUAGGUGUGCUCGGAUACUGGUCCGGACUCCCUGGCAUUCGGGGGUGUCAGGAAGCCGAUCCAGGUUGGCCAUGGCGACAGCCACGUUGGCGCUUGGCGUUUUGUAGACCGGCUGGUCCCCGACCAUGUCAAAGGCAUCAUUGAGGUUACUUGGUGGCAUCUGUUGUUGCUCAUCCGCACGCCGUCGGGCGCGAUCGGCGUUACGCUGUUCGCGGAGUUGCCUCUGGUCAUCUGUUUCUCCGUCAACGGCCGGCUCGUCGGCGCUGACAUUGAACACGAUAUCCCCUCGCCGGGGGGGAAUAUCGGGAAUCGGUCGAAACCCGGAGGGUGUGAAGGAAAAUCCAGGUCGUAGCCCUCGUCUUCGGUGUUUAUAACCUCGGUGGGGACGGAGCCGGUGCUUGAGUUGGUGCUGGAAACUUGGCCGUCCCGUAGCUCUCGGAUUGUCACCAUAUUGAUAUGGUGACGAUUGUUCCUUGUCGGCGACCAGCCCGCUUUGCUGAAAACGGAUUGAACAUGCUGUGAGUAGACAGAGGCCGAGUUAUUCAGGCCGCAAGGAUGGUCUCCCUUUUUGAGCUCGACGGAUCGUCCUGAGGAGGUUGAGGUUAUCGUCAGGGACGUUCCCAGCCGUUCGUGUGUGGUGACACGAGUUGGCCGGCGGGAUUUCGAAAAAUCCGCUCGAGUGGCUUGGUCGGGCCGGCGCAGAACUCCAUCUAUUAGUUGGGAGGCUUCGAGCAGCUUGGAGUCGGCGCGAUCGAGCGCUUGGAGGAGGUCCGAGCAGUCGAUCUCCUUUCCCUUGUAGAGUGGGAACGGUGGUCGGGAGUUUGGUGCCGUCAUGCGUGUGGUCGGAGACGGCGUGAUCUCAGAUUGGAUCUGGAUCUCUUUCGGAACCGUGGUCGGGAAGCCGCAGCUGCACGUCGUCCACGUGAUCUGGCCGACGGUGAACGUGAGGCCUUCGGGCACGGUCGCGGAAGCUGGGAUCGUGACCAUCUUGUUCGCCGGAAAAGUUGCACGCACACCCCCUACCUGGCGCGCCACUGUCGACGAAAGCUAGUCGGCAGUCUACCUUGGGGUAUACCCACGGUAGUAGUUUAUCGGUAGACGGUGCGCAAACUACGAACUCGAUGGUGACGCAAGACACGGACAAGCUUUUUAUCCAGGUUCGGCCGCCGAGUUGGCGUAAUACCUACGUCCUGCGUCUGGUUGUAUUGGAUUGUGUUGAGAGAUAAUCUGUCCUAGGGGGUCCCCUUGCCCCUCCUUAUAUAGUCUGGAGGGCAGGGUUACAGAUCUAGAAACUAAUCCUAGCUGGUUACAAUUGCCAUAGAUAAUUCGAUAUCAAUUCCUAUUCUAACCGACUAGAAUCCUGCUUGAUCUCCACGUCUUGUUUCCUUGCGCGAAACUCGGGCUGUCGGAUCAAGCCUUGAACUCGUCUCGUAGUGGGCCAAGCUUCCUAGCUGAAGUCUAGCCGUAAGGGUAUAGGGGUUUAUACCCCCACAAUGAUCAUUUGUAUCGUUUGUAGACAUCAUUGGGAGAAAAAAACUCUAUGUAUAUAUGUGUUACGAAUUUUGUACAUAUAAAACUAUAUAUAUAUAUAAAGCUUUUUACAUAUCUAUUUAAUUUUUGAUGUGGCCUAUUCAUUUUAUUAUAGGCAAAGCUUAAUUAUUAAGCUAAGCCUAUAAUUUUCAUUUAUAUAUGCUUAAUAUGCGUGUAAUAUAAAUAUAUUAUUGUAUCAGCAAAAACAUGUUUUGAAAAACCUAUUAUUAUUAUAUAAAAACAAUAAACAGAACCGAAGAAGUGAAAAAAAAAGAAACCCUUUAACACCGGUUGGUAGUUUGCGCACCGUCUACCGAUAAACUACUUACCUUGUCUUCAACAUACAUAUUUAUAUUAACUUCUUCAACAUACAUAUUUAUAUUAACUUAGAGCAUCUCCAACCGUUUGACAAAAUUUAUUUCUCAAAUCUUAUUGUUUGCUAACUCUUAAAAUAAUCUCAUACAACCAAAAAAACAAAAAAAUGGAUAUUUUUUUGUGCGACAAUCGCUUUCGUCCGUCUGCCUGCCCUCCGCCGUGCGUCCGCGUCCACGUCCCCCGCAUUAGGAAACAGCGUGGGCGACCGCGAUCACCUCCCCGAUCUCCUCCCCCUUUCCUAUCGCGUCCGCCCGAGCGUCGUCAAUCCACGCGCCCCGAGCCCCUUUGGACGAGAGCGGCCAUGCCCCGAACCUCUCCCUUCACGACAGCGAUCGCGCGCCCCGAUCCCCUCCCUGGCUGUCCGCGAGCGCCGUGAUCUCGGCCGCGGCCGCAACCUCUCGAACGUCGUCGCAACCGCCACAGCAACACCCUCUCUGGACGAUAGCACCGUCGAGACCGCCGCCACCUCCCUAGACGACGGCCUCGGGUCCUCCAAGGUCACGCCCUCACCACCCGCUGGCCUCGCUCCUCCAAGGUUGCGCUCGCCGCCGGCCAGCCUCGCUCCUUGCACGUCCCCAUUCUUCGCCCUCCCUUUUGCACGCCAUCGCCCUCGCCGUCGCACUCCACAGUCGUCCUCUCCAAGAGACCAAGACCCCAGUGACCGAGUCAAUCUCGUUGUUCGUGUCUCCACAGCAAGGGGAACUCACAGAUGCACACGCCGAGACCACGAACUGCCGCUACACCGACGCGUUGGCCAGCCGUUCUGCCUCCCGUGCCGCCCGCACUUGGUCCGCGGUUGAGGCGAGCGGCCGGCCAGGCUCGUGCGGCAGGGGCAAGUAGGCAGAGCGGAGGUUUAGGGUGGCGGCGGCGGCACCAGCGCUCCCCUCCCGCACCGCGCGAGAAGAAGAGGCCACCCUCUAGAUCUCCGCUCGACCCCAGCUAGGCCGCCGGCGGCGGCUGGGCAGCAAAAUCCAGCACACAGUAGAGCAAGGGCUUCUCCAAGUCUGCACUGAAAGCCACUGGGAUCUUAGCCUCGCUCCUGGACAAUUUCCUCAUCUUGGAAGCACGAAGAUAACUGGCAGAAAGGAACAAAGAUGUAUUUUAUUCCCCUUAACUCCAUUUGAUAUUCUCAUCCUAUUUGGUUUUAGUAGAGGUUUUUUUAAUCUUUUUUUUUUGUUCAGAUGCAGUACAUGACUCCAUUAAGCUAGAGUUGGUAACGAAGGUCCACAAACCAACAUUCAGGAGGUCCACAAAUCAACAUUCAGGCCAUCAAGGUAUUAUAUAAUCAGUAAACCUGUCCUGGCAUCACCAUUUUCUAUGCAGCCAAAAAAUAUCAAAGUCUUAAGUAGUCCCUGAAGAUUUAACUGUUUGCUGCAGUAACCUUCUACAAACUAAUUUCAAUUGCAUAGAUACAAAUGUCAGACACCAAGGUAUAAUCAGUAAACCAGACCUGGCAUCUCCAUUUUCUAUGUAGGCUAAAAAAAUCAAGCCUUAAGUAGGCCCUGAAGAUUUGAGAACCUUAGAUAAUGCCUGAAUGUUAUGAGUACUAUCACUUCUGCUGAUUUUACAAACAUGGACAUUGUCAGGCUUGCCAAUUGCAUCAUAGGUUCAGGAUGUGGUGGUGGCAGUUUCUCAGUUCAUGAUCUUAGAUGAAUUCAAAUAUUUCCUGGAUAAGUCAAAUUUUCAUGUGCUUCUGUGUAUUGGAUGUAGCUAAGCUUAUGACAUUUUUCAUCAAUUUGUGUUUUGACAGCGGUGCCCUCACGAAGCAAUUGGCUGCGCCAUGACAGAUUCAUUAUAUCAUUACUCGCUGGGCAACGCAAGCUAUGCGACAAUAUUUCAUCCUCGCUGGAGGAGCUACAUCCCUGAUCUGGUCCUCACUCAAUGCCUUUCGUAAGAGUGCGAAAGCAAGAAGCCAUCUUUCUAUUGGUUCGUAUAAUUAUCUAACCCUGACAUUUGUAUCUUCUAAAUAUAAUGAAAUGCGUGAUUGAUCUUAGUAAUAAUGAUGAUUAGCUACGGUUAGUCAAGCAAAUCAGUCUAUUUAAUUCUGAUUUUUCUCGAAAUACUGAUCCAGGUUUUAUGAUGGCCACUGGAAAGAUUCUUCUCAAGGUAUGUCCAUGGUUUUUGCUAUUCGCGGAUAAGGUUUUAAAUCUGUCUUAGAGAACGAAAAGAAAAAAAAAAGAAAAGAAAAGAAAGAUAGGGGUAGCAGGAAAUUGUACUGUACCUCGAUAUUUCAUUGAUUGGUGAGGAUAGUGAUAAAAAAAUAUUUAUUUAAUAUAACUUUAAAUUCAAGGCUGAGAAUCAGUAAAAUAUUAUUGUUGAUUACACUGACUUGCAUUUCAUUAUAGAACAACAAUAAUAGAAACAUUAAGUGUCAUAUCCAGUAUUUCAGUUAGCACUAUAUUUUCCUUUUAGUGAAACAGCACAUGAUAGUGCUAUUUUCAUUGACUAAGGUAGGAUUUUUUCUCAAUUCUGCCAUGUACAUUCAAAUCUAUCCAAUACCAACAUUGCCUUCAUCAAUGGUGUUCUUGGGCAACAAGUUCAGACCUGUAAGACCCACUAGCCUACUCCCUUACUCUCAUAGUGCUCUUUCUCAUUCUCAUUGUUCUAAUUGUUGUGGAAACAGAAAACAGAUACAGUAGUGGGUAGGCAUGAAAAAUCACAAAUAAAGUUAUAUAAUCCAUUCUUUGGCGAUUAAACCAAAAUGAAGAUCUUGGAGUUGGUAGGCAUGAAAAUUCUUUAUACAGUUGCACCCUUUCUUGCUGCCUUAAUUCCGGCACUAAAUCCCAUUGCAAUUUUUUUUUGUUCAGGGAGGAAAAUUGCACUUUCUUUAUUAGGAUCAAGUGGCUACUAUCAGCAUUCAUUAUUUUAUUUAAGAUCAUUUAAUGGAGGUAUCGGCUCAAGAUUGAGGAGGCAGAAUGGAUCAUGUCAGCAGCAGCACAUUGACAUGUUUUUAGUGUAAGCGCCGAGUAGCACCAAGAUGUUUUCCAUUUACUGUUGUCUUCCUGCAGGCUGCAAGGAUGGCUGGUUGGCUCCAUUAUUCAAGUGAAAAGAGGUCUCCAAAAAGAAGACAGGUUGGAUUUGAUCUUGUUCUUGGUUCAAAUGGCAAGUGGUUCCGAACCCGCAGUAUUGAGGUUGUUCGAUCUGUAAAGUUACUUGAUGAGGCUAAAUGUUACGGCUCAAGCUGCGCAAUGCGUAGGAAUGGAAGGUGGUAGGACGAGGCUUGAACUGCCGGCGGUGAUCAGGCGGCACCGAUGAACUGGAGUGGCAAGAGCUAGACGGAGAACAGGGCUGGGUGCCCAAGGGGGAGAGAAAGUCUCAAUCCCAGGCUGAUCCUCUUCCUCUGCAAGUGUUCUGCCUUCAUAGGCGAUUACAAUCAUGCAUGCAGCUAACACCACAAAAUGCUCUCGUGCUUUGACAAACUCAAACCUAUUCAAACUACUAAUCCUAGAGAACCGGAGAACAGAUCCUGGAGAACUGGCAUGUGCCGUGUGGCUGCUCCUCAGCCACGGGUGUGCUGCCGGCACUGAUAUGUUCGCCCUGCAGCAUGCGCCUAGCCACUUCGGCGUUCAUAGUGGAGACCGGUCAUAACACUGAAUCUCGGAGCACAUCAGAAUUACUACACUAGCUCACUGAAAAUGAUAAAUUGGACUAUUUUGGAACCUUAUCUUUAUCCUUCAGGUGACUAUGAUUAUUAUUUUUUGUUCAGGCAAAAUUGUGUUAGUGUUUGUAAUUUGUGUUAGUGCUUCUGUUAGUAAAUUAGCACAUGUGAAGUAAGACGGGAUAGUGCUUGUGUUAUUGUUGUCAGUGAUUAGCUUGUUUAUUUAACAAUGCAUCUCACUGGCUUGGUUGUGGUUGACAUGAUCAUCCGUCGUAGGACUACCUAUAUUUGAUCUGCAGCUUGUGUUUGGUUUUAGCUGUUGUUUUUAUUUGCUCCUUUUUACUGUCAACAUUUGACCUAAUUAGAAAGGCCUACUACCACCAGUGAAACUAUAACAGAGAUAUUUUUGAUGAAAUAGAUCGUUCUGUAGUUUUUAGUGGUCAGGUCUGGGAUACGUGACCCCAAUGAGAUUACUUCUGGGUUUGAGUUUGUCAUCUUUGUAGUUGAGCGUCGUGGUGUUGUAUGCUUCUUAUUGUCUAUAUAAUGUUUUUUUUUGAGGAAACAUUGCCUAUAUAAUGUGUAAAGAUUAAGAUGAAUUUUCUUUUUUGACUGAAUUGAAACGAAGCGAAGUCUAAAUUUUUUGUAGGAAUAAAAAUGCGUCCGUUAUAUUAUUCAAAUAGACUAGGAAAGUUUUUUUUUUCAGUAUCUAAGGAACAAUAUGCAAAGGUGAUUUAUCUAAGCUAAUGGCAUGAUGGAUUUUGUGCCUGUGUAAGUGUAGACUUCGACUAUUCAUGCUCUGAUGGAAUUGGAUGACAGCAUUUGGAGCAACGUUGGUGGGAAGGUAAACAAGAUGCUGUCAUAACUCAUACGUGAUGGCAAAAUUAUAUCUUUCAGCUUUUUUUGAGAGGAUAAUUUCAGUAAGAUAUGGCAAUUGAGUUGGUAAAAUAAUUUGUAGCAAACAACUACAUGUAUCAUAUAUCAUGGAUUAAAUCAAAAUGACCAAGGGCUACCCUAAUUAUGGAAAUUUAUGGACCCAGGUUGUUAUUGGAUAUUUUUUGUAUGCUCACUUUAUUUGUCUUAAAUUUUCUUAGAAGCAUUUGACAUAUCACCAAAGACAGAGUUAUCGAUAUUGAAUUGUUGGUCGAAGAAUCAAUUUUGUUUUUGGUUACAUCGUUGCAAAAUUGCAAAGUUGUACAUUCGACUUGCUGUUAUUCUAGGUUCAACUUGCCGUUUGGUAAUUAUGGCAAAAACAUUACAAUUUCGACUCUCAUAAUUGGAAAUGGGAAUUUUGACUCUCAUGAUAGGUACGUAGAAUCUGAGAGCCUAUGAUGUCGCACUUAUGAUUGUAUUAAUUUUACAAACUUUCCCUUUUGGAUUAAAUAAUGCUUUAAUAUUGAUAUUUAAUUUCAUAAAAUUGUUACAUAUCGUGCGAUCCGUAUGUUUUUAGUACGAAAGUUUAGAUAUCCCGUAGCAACGUACGGGCAUGCUACCUAGUAAAACAGAAAAGAAAAAAAGAUCUUAUCUCGUAAAUUUCAUUCCCAGAAAACCCAAAACCCCACUAACGAAGCAAAGAGCUCCGCUAAGCAAACGAAGAGCCUUGCUAAGCAUGAGAAGAAAGACAAAUGCUAAGCAAGGAGCCCACGUUUAUAUUUACAUGUUAGACAAGAAGAUAUAACAAGUUGAAAAAAGUGUAUUAGGAUGCCAAACUGUUAGACAAGGCUUUUCCUCAUUUUGCUAAAAAAAAUUAUGGAUGGAAAAAUCAUUUGCCAAAAUGUUAGAGAUUGCCACAAAAACCACGGGAUAUCUCAUGACUCUACAAAGGACCUUAGAAGAGGAGCUGAGCUACCUAACAGAUGUACAGAUAUCCUUACAGUGUAAAUAUUAGCUUCCCAAAACAGUACUCUAGUGAUACUUCAACAGUACUUUUCAGCGAAGAACUAGAUUUUCCUCACAGAAUGUUAGCAUAAGCCAAAUUUCAGUGAAACAUAGCCAAUUGACUCUAGGGGCAUCAUGUCAUUUUCUAGCACUAGACACUAACACGACUGAGUAGCAUUGCUUGAUACUACAAUACAAGUGUACAACUGCCUAACACAAUGUGGUCAUCCACUGAUACAGUGGUACGCUCAAAACAGGGCGCAGCAAAGCCUCACCGAUUUUUCUAGUGCCAAUCGAAAUCGACUACAGAACAAAAUCAAUAGGCUUAACAGAAACAAGAUAUUCAGUCAAACCAGACGUUGUAUGUAACACUGAGGGUUGGUCCAUAGUUCAUACAGUUCCAGAUUAAUAACAUAUAGGAGCCAAACAAACCAUGACAAACUGUUCCAAGAAUUUAAUCGUGACUUGCAACAGCGCAACAGCCACAAGUGCAACAGCAACCGACACUGUUUCCAGAAGGGAAGUAUCAAGAUAACUAGAGGCAGUAAUUUAUACUUGAGAAAUGACUUGGCAACAUGCUCGUUGGUCCUCAAACUUUUAUUCUUAGAUGGCAUAGCCGAACUGACAACUGACAUCCAAACUGAAUUGGCCUUCUAGUUGCGGCAGCAACUAUCCACUCACCCCAUUUUUGUGGUAGCUAUAUGUCCAAUGAGAGAUGAAUCAUAUGGUCCGUGCAGUGUGCCUACAAUCACUGGAUUCGAGUUUGUUUCAUUAACCCUUUGUGUCAGCAUUAAAGACCUCAUAAUUCAUCCCCAUCAAACUGCCGACAGAUCAAUCAUCUUCCACUCACACUUUAGCCCAGAAGAUGGUGGCACUCCCUGUAAAUUGCAAACCAACCAAAUAAGUGUAUAAGUAUAUAAAAGAUUCCACUAGAGGCAUUAACCAACAAAAGAGAACACACUUUUGCAAAUAUAUAGCAACAUUAAAAGAAAAACACCUAUCUAGGCAAGCCCUGUAGUCUCAAAAAUGACUAUUCUAGAAAAAUCUAAGUGAAUGCACCACCCCCCUGCACUCUGCACAGUAUUCCAUCCAAUUGGGUGAAGUCUAAAUAUAUUAUCUUAACUAAAGUUAAAUGCACUAGCGGCCCUUAAACUUGUAAGGGUGUGUACUUAGAGCCUUGAAACUUUGAAAAUGCAUUUUUGGGUUUGAAUGAUGCACUGGUCCAUGCAGCAACACAAGCCGUUUAGCAGCCUGUGAACGGGAACAUGACCCAUGUUCCCAUUCCCACGUUAUAAAAUGAUACCGCAAGUUCCCAUUCCCAGAACAGGAAUGGGAACAUGGCUGCUCAGCAUAAGCAUUCCAUGUUGAUGUGGCAUGCCAGUGUGGCAUGUUUUUUUACAUUUAACCCUCCCCUUACCUCUUCUUCCACAAAUGGAUCAUCCACUACUACAGGAUUGAGCAUCAAUGACUAUAAUCUAACGACCAUGUGUAAUUUGUGGUUGUCAGGUUCCAUCAUGCGUCUAACCAUGCAUCAUACAAGGAUACCAGAUGACUAAUUUUUUGUCAGUCUAGCGCUCUCUCGUGGUCGCUAACUUGCUCGAUCUAUUUUACCGAUCCCGUUCCCACUAACUCUUUUGUUCCCCUUCACGAUCUAUUCUUCCUGUUAGAAUAUUUACUUCCUCUGUUCUUGCGCCAUCAUUUACUGGCUGGCUUUGCCCUUUGGGCUCUCCUAUAGAUGCAUUAAUCUCCUCUAGAUAUGUGACACCUCCUCCAGGCUGGCUGGCCCCUUGGGCUCUACUCUCCUCUAUAUAUAUGUAAACCUCCUCUGUUAUCUAAUUGAAUCACUACAGCCUGUUAGGCUUUGUUCCAUCAUGGUAUCAGACUAAUUUCAGUCCCCCCCCCCCACCUCUUCUGCAUUCCCCUUCUCGGCCAUCGCGCGCCUCCUUCGUGUCGCGCGCACCGCUCCCCUCAGCGCCCGCGCCCGUCUCCACGGCUGCCGCACACACGCCCUCCCUCCGUACUGCGCGCGCCGCCCCUGGCAGUUGCCGCGCCCACCCACCUCCAUGACCGGCGCCAGCGACUCCUCCACCGGAGGCCCGACAGCCUCCUCCGUGGCCCAGCUCCACAAUGAAGCUCUGGCCGCCGCCAAGACCCUAGAAGACGAAGCCGCCUCCCUGCGCACCACCAACGCCGCACACAGCAAGCAGCUCGAAGAAGAGGCCUCCCUCCUCAAGUCUGCCGCCGCCACCCAGCAGCGUGUCUGUGCUGCCGCCGCCGCCCUCAACUAGAGCGUGCGCACGCUGACGCUUUGGAGCAGCAGGCCGCUGCCCUUCACGAGCGCCUCCGUCCCAACCAGCUCCGAGACGACUCCACCGUGGACAGCGACGACCUCUCCAUCACCUCUGAAGCAGAGGCCAUUGCCCACCUGCAAAGCCAUGCUGCUGCAGUCCAAAACAUCAAGAACUUGAUUCCAAUCGUUCUUGACCUCUAGUCCUCCAACUAUUCCAAGUGGCGCGGCUAUGUCCUCCUCAUCCUCGGCCGCUUCGCCCUGAAGGAUCAUAUCCUCAGCGACACGCUUCGUCUUACUGAUCCGGCCUGGUGACGCAUGGACGACGUGGUCGUGUCAUGGCUCUUCAACACUACGCGACAGGGUCACGGCUUGGGCCACCUGGCUUGCAAUCGAGCAGCAGUUCCUGAACAACCGCGAAUCCCGCGCCAUGCUGCUCGACGCUGAGUUCCGCACCCUCACCCAGGGCGUCCUCUCCGUCGACGACUUCUGCCGCAAGAUGAAGGGAAUGGCAGACGCUCUUGCCGACCUCGGCGAGCCCAUCAAUGAUCACACCUUGGUGCUGAAUAUCCUACGCGGCCUCAAUUAACAUUUUCAAUUCAUGGCCCAGCUCGUCACCUGCCAGCGGCCGUUUCCUUCGUUCGCCGACGUGCGUGCUGACCUGUGCCCUGCUGAGCUCAACCUGGCAACUCCCCAGGCACCACCAUCAGCCCUCGUCACUUCCUCGACCAGCAAGCCGCCCACCUCUACUCCGCCUCCUGGACCUGCUCCCCCUCGCCAUCCUCAGCCGGCCCGGGGGGCCUCCUCUGGAGGCAACCGUGGUCGCCGCCGCCGUGGAGGACGCGGCCAGGGCGGCCAAGGCGGUCAGGGUGGUCACAGUGGCCUACCCGGAGGGUCCCAAUGGCCCUCCAUCUUCAUACCUUGGACUGGGUCCAUUCAUAUGUGGCCUGGCUCCAACCCCGGUGGUUCUCGCGGCCCUCCACCACCCUAGCCUCCUCCACAGCAGGCUCUGAUGGCCGGCCCUGGCCUGCUCCCAGCGCCCCAGCAGGCGCCUCCUCCGGCUUGGUUUCCAGCACCACAGGCGCCCCCUCCUAUGUAGUUGCCAUCAACAUGGGAUACCCAAUCCCUCGCCAGCGCCUUCAGCACCGUCUCCCUCAACCCUCCGCCGCGGACCUCGGACUGGGUUGUCAACUCCAGUGCCACCUCGCACAUCGCCUCCGACCCUGGUAUCGUCACCAUGUCGCCAUCCUCCUCCUUGCCCUCUUCCAUCAUCGUGAGCAACGGUGCCACACUUCCUGUUGUUGGCACCGGCUGCUCCACUAUUCAAAACCUCCUAUCUGUUCGUUAGUUCACUACUGAUAAUCGUGUUUCAGUUGAAUUUGACCCGUCCGGUAUUUCUGUGAAGGAUCUUUGUACCAGGAACGUUCCUCAAUGUGACAGCUCAGGCCCCUCUACACCCACCGGCUACCGUCUUCUCCUACUGGUCCCUGCACCCUUGUGGCAACCCCGGCAAGGCUGCCCUUCAAAGCCUUGUCCAGUCUUCCUCCAUUACCUGCAGCAAACCUGAGGACGACUCUCUGUCAUGCCUGUCAACUUGGGCGUCGUGUCCGUUUACCUUUUUCUAAUUCCUUGUCGCGUGCAUCCAAAAAUUUCGAUGUAAUCUAUUGUGAUCGAUGACAUCACCUAUUAUGAGCAUAUCUGGUUUUAAGUAUUACCUUGUUAUACUGGAUGACUGCUCUCAUUUUCUUUGGAAUUUUCCUCUCCGUCUAAAGUCCGACACUUUCCCUACCCUCUCCAAUUUCUUCAAUUAUGUGCAUACUCGGUUCAGCUGUACCAUCAAAUCCAUGCAAUGUGACAAUGGCCGUGAGUUUGACAACUCCGCAUCUCGUGCUUUCUUUCUCGCAAAAGGAGUCACACUUCGCAUGUCCUGUCCCUACACCUCCCAACAGAACGGCAAAGCUGAACACACCAUCCGCACCAUCAACAAUGUCAUCCGCACCUUGCUGUUCCAAGCCUCCAUGCCCCUCCUAUUAGAGCAUCUCCAAGGGUUUUGCAUUUGAGUAAUUUGCCAAAAAGCUUCAAAAGAGGUAUCCAACGGUUUUGCAUUUGGAGUUUGCAAUUUGGGCAACUUGGCAAAUGAGGGAGCAAACUUGGCAAAAAUACCAAGCUGUGGACGACUUUGCAAACCCGAUCGCGUGAGCAAAGUCACGCGCGAGGAAAGCGCGCGCGCCUAGAGACCUUCUAUUUUUAUCCUUUGCCAAGUCCAAAUGCCAAUUCCCUUGGAGAUGACCUAUUUUUAUCCUUUGCAUUUUGUUAUGGGAGUUUGCAAAUAGCAACAAAUGUCAAGUCAAUUUGCCAAAGCCUUUGGAGAUGCUCUUAGGCUGAUGCACUUGCUACAGCCACCCACCUGCUGAACUGCCUCCCCAUCAAAACCCUCAACAUGAUCACUCCCUUCUUUUGCCCUCUACGGCUCUCAGCCCUCCUAUCAUGACCUCUGGGCUUUUGGCUGCACAUGUUACCCCAAUCCGUUGGAGCUGCUCCUGUGGCAGAGGUUGUAAUCGUGUGAGGUUGCGGGACGAGGAGGGAGUUCCCGACGGCGACGCGGACGUGACACCGUCCUGGCGGCCGGCGUCGAGAACACUCACACACAGACGAGAGACGAGAGGCUGGGGCACCAAGUGCCAAUGAGCGAGAGAGUUAUCUCAGCUCUGGCUAAACUUUCAUUGACUCAAGUGUUCGGCAUAUAAGGGGAGUUACAACUUGCUAAUAAUAGAAGCUAGACUUUAGGAUCCAAUAAUCAAGGAACUAUUCAAACCAUACUUGCAUGGUGACUGCGUCCAACGUGAUCCUUACAUCGUGGCUCUCCAUAGCUUUUGCCGCGCUGCUAGCCACGGUUUCGCUUUCUCCGGCCGUAGACAUUCCCGACCAUAACAUCUCUCCCCUCCUCGUGAAACAGCUCGUCCUCGAGCUGGAACGAGGGGUGUGGGGUGUGCUGCGCGGAAGGCGUCAACUGGCUCUCAUGUGGUAUCCUCGGCUGGCAUGUUUUCCCACUGGACAAGGACAUGCCAUUCUCCUCGACGCAGGCGAGCACGUAGUGCCUUAGCUGGUUGAGGCAGGAGUCUGACGUCCUGGAGCGGGGGUAGAGCUGGUGUAGAGGUAGGAGCGUUCCCGUGGAAGGGCUUGAGGACACCCACAUGAAAAACAUCAUGAAUGCGGGCGCCUUGAGGCAGCUAAAGACGAUAGGCGACAUCGCCCACCCGGUCGAUGACCUGAAACGGACCAGCAUACCGUGGCCCGAGCUUGCCACGGCGUCCCGGCAGGAGUGACUGUGCCGGUUGAUGAAGGACCCGUAGCCACACCCAGUCCUCGGGGGUGAACGCCAGUGCGCGGUGAUGUUCAUUAGAGUAGCGACACGCGUACUCCUAUGCUUGAAGAAGCCUGGCGCGAACAUCCGCAAGGAACGUGUCGCGGUCGGCCAGCAAGGUGUCGACUGUGUGCGUCCAAGUGCUGCCUGGCUGAUAAGGCAGAAGCGCAGGUGGCGGUCGGCCGUAGACCACCUAGAACAGAGUGGUGCGCAGCACAGAGUCCGCACUGUUCUCACCUUAGCUCACUACCAGGACUGGCCUAUUCAUCAACUUGAUGUGAAGAAUGCCUUCCUCCACGGGAGUCUAAAACGGCGUACUGUUCUCAGCCCGCUGGAUUUGUUGAUCCUGCACUUCCUGGGCAUGUCUGUCGGCUCAACAAGUCCCUCUAUGGUCUAAAGCAGGCGCCGCGUGCAUGGCACACCCGGUUUGCCUCUCACCUCCUGUCCCUGGGUUUCACUGAAGCUAAGUCAGACACCUCCCUAUUCAUAUAUCACCGUAGCUCUGAGACAGCCUACAUGCUCCUCUAUGUGGACGACAUCGUGCUCACCGCCUCCUCUCCACAGCUACUCCACCGUGUUAUUGCUGCUCUGAAGAAUCAGUUUGCCAUGAAAGAUCUUGGUCCUCUGCAUCACUUCCUUGGUGUGGCUGUUCAGCAUCGCAGCGACUCGCUCUUUCUCUCCCAGCGGCAGUACACCCUGGAUAUCAUUGCCCACCAUGGCAUGAGUGCCUGCAAACCCUGUACAACACCGGUUGACACUUGUGCCAAGGUUGCUGCUGAAGCUGGUCCCCCCGUGGCUGAUCCUACCUCCUACCGCAGCCUUGUAGGCGCCCUUCAGUACCUCACAUUCACCAGGCCCGACUUGCCUACGCAGUUCAGCAAGUUUGCCUUCACAUGCAUGAUCCCCGGGAGACACCUCGUUGCUGCCAAGCGUAUUCUCCGCUACCUACAAGGCACCAUCAGCCAUGGCCUUGUCAUUCCCCGGUCUGCUCCAACCCAGCUCACUGUUUACACCGACGCCGACUGGGCUGGCUGCCCUGACACCCACCGUUCCACCUCCGGGUACGCUGUCUUCCUUGGCAGCAGCCUCGUCUCUUGGUCCUCCAAGCGCCAACCCACCGUCUCUCGGUCCAGCGCUGAGGCUGAGUACCGGGCCGUUGCCAAUGGCGUUGCUGAGGCAACUUGGCUGCGCCAACUCCUGCAGGAACUGCACCAGUCACUGCAGUUCGCCUGCCUCGUCUACUGUGACAAUGUCAGCGCCGUCUACCUCUCCUCCAACCCCAUCCAGCACCAGCGCACUAAGCACGUGGAAAUUGAUCUCCACUUCGUCCGAGAACGGGUCGCCAUUGGGGCUGUCCGUGUUCUCCACGUCCCCACCACGUCGCAGUUCGCUGAUGUCUUCACCAAGGGACUCCCUUCAUCUGUCUUCAUGGAGUUUCCCUCCAGUCUGAACGUUCGUGCUAACGACGCUCCAACUGNNNNNNNNNNNNNNNNNNNNNNNNNNNNNNNNNNNNNNNNNNNNNNNNNNNNNNNNNNNNNNNNNNNNNNNNNNNNNNNNNNNNNNNNNNNNNNNNNNNNGGGGGGGGUUUAGAAUAUUUACUUCCUCUGUUCUUGCGCCAUCAUUUACUGGCUGGAUCUGCCCUUUGGGCUCUCCUAUGUAUGCAUUAAUCUCCUCUAGAUAUGUGCCACCUCCUCCAGGCUGGCUGGCCCCUUGGGCUCUACUCUCCUCUAUAUAUAUGUGAACCUCCUCUGUUAUCUAAUUGAAUCACUACAGCCUGUUAGGCUUUGUUCCAUCACUUCCCAUAAAGCCAGGGUCGUUUCUCCCAUGCCAAGAUGGAUCUAAUCUACCUGCACAAAGGUCGAACUGAUUUCACCAUGUGAAAAUCAAUCUGUUUCCUACUAGGUUUCUCCGAUCACCACCACUUUAGUAUGGAACAUACAUGUGGCUGGCAUGGUACUAUGGUGCACCACUCAAUAAGUGAAGGGACCGAAGUGACACACCCUUAGGGCACUCACAAUGCAAGACUCUAUCACAGAGUCCAAGACACUUAAUUACAUAUUAUUUAUGGUAUUUUGCUUAUGUGGCAGCAUAUUUAUUGAAGAAAGAAGUAGAAAAAAUAAGACUCCAAGUUUUAUUUAGACUCCAAGUCCACAUUGUUCGAGGUAAUAAAUAACUUUAGACUCUAUGAUAAAGUCUGCAUUGUGAGUGCCCUUACAAGUUUAAGGGCCUCUGGUGCAUUUAACUCUUAUCUAAAUAUAACAAUACAAAUCAUUUUAGAAUUAUGUUCAUCUCAUUUCUUCCUAGUAUACUUUUUUGAAUGAUGUUCCAACUCCCAUAAAUAAAUGCAGUCGCUUUCUAAUCCCUCUCAAUAGGAGAAGCAGAUUAAGUUCAGGAACAAAAGAAAACCAACUCUAAUUAAUGAUGUUCCAACUCCCAUAAAUAAAUGCAGUCGCUUUCUAAUCGGAGAAGCAGAUUAAGUUCAGGAACAAAAGAAAACCAACUCUAAUUAAUCAUUCUAUGACUACUACUGUUGCACCUAAGUACAUAUAAAAUCAAAGGACAUCAAUUCUACUUUGUAUAGAUGAUAAAUAAUACUCCCUCCCUUCCAAAUUAUAAAAAUGUUUUGGCUUUCUAGAUACAUUGAUUUUCCUAUGUAUCUUAGACAUAAUGUAUAUCUAAGUGCAUAGCAAUAACUAUGUAUCCAGAAAAGCCAAAACGUCUAUAAUUUGGAAUGGAGGGAGUAGAAGAUAAAUUAAUAUCAUUGAUAAAUUUAUUAAUUAUAACUAAUUACCAUGCUCCCUAACAAACCCAUAAAUGGCACUGAACUAAAACAAUCCUAGGUGUAAAGGCACUCCCAAUGCAGAAACUACUAUGGUUUCUAUGAGUAUUUAUUAUCAUGCCAACUAAGCAUUUUGCUGAUGUGGCAGUCGAGUUAUUGAAGAGGGAAGAAAUCCUAGAAACGGUUUCUAUAUUAGAAACGAUGUCUACACGACUACCAAUGUCACCGGAGUCCAUCCGCACACGCAGCCACGAUCCCGUGCGCCUGUUCUUUCCUUGUGUGCGCGCUGUUGCUUGCUUCGAGCUAUCCGCUUCGUGCAGUGCUCCACUAGAAGGAGCCGUGUGCUCGGCCACAGGAAGUGUCCGUUCGCACAGGAUGAGGAGAGAGAAGCAACCAGGAUAACGGGAGAGAGAGAUGUAAAUAGUUGGGUCUAAAAAAAUACUGCAUUGAGUAUAGUUUCUAUAGAUAGUGUCCUGUGGUAUAGAAACUACUUAGUAGUUUCUGCAUUGGGAGUGCCCUAAGAUACCACAAACUGUUGACAAUAGCAAUAUAAUGCUUUUGGCACUAAAGGAAAGUGGACUAGAAAGAUCUUGGUCCAUUUUACAGCUGCAUCUAGAAGAAAUCAACCAAAUAAACUGCAGAAGUACUUCAAGCGAUUUUAUGAUAUUAUUAAGUCAUCUCUCAUCUCCCAUUGAAUACAUCAAAAAUCAAAAGAACAAAAAGAAAGAAAACAAAUUGAAAGGGUGCAAGUCUAACCAGAGGCUGUGCCACGUACCAAACCUAACAGCAGCCGUUGUCAUGCUUCAAAGAUCACCAUUCUCAAAAGAAAUUUAAUACUACGGGAGUGCUGCAGGUAUGGGCCAAGCUCAAUAGGUCAGGCUGUGCCACUUAAUCCAAUAGUCCCCAGCAACUCCUACAUAAAUGAAAUGAAAUACAACAAAACAUAAAUGAGAACUGUAACAUCUUCAUACAUGUGAACCAAAUUUCACUGCAUGAAAAUAGAACACAAAAUGAAAUGAUAGUUUACACUUGCUACGAAGAAUUAUUUGUAAUGUUGACAACUGGAAGGAGUGUCCAUACCAGCAAUCAUCCUGGUACAAGUUACUUAAUCACACAUGGUAACUGCUAGACCAGAUAGAAUUUGCUGGCUCUUGUUCAGCUAUUUGACCACUUUGCUGAUUUCUUUGGUGGUAAUUUUGGAACAUAUUCUGCUUUGAAGGCUCAAAAAGGUGGAAAUCUUGCCAUGUCUUCUCAUUGGCCCCUUGUGCAUGUAUCUCAGAGAUCUGUUGUUUCCCAGGGAAGGGGAAUGGAGUGGCAAAUGAAGUGAUAGUAUCACUGACACCAGGAUAAACAGCUCUUAAAUUGUUAACAUCAUCAAUCGAUGGCUGAUAGCCAUCUAGCCAGCUGUAAUCAUCGACCUGUGGGCUCUGUAGUUUUUCAACCAGAAUAGAAUCAUCUUGACGCUUCGGGGUUACAUGAUUAAAUCCUGGAGGCGGCCCAACAGGCUUUGAUGGACGACUAACAGGGUUCUUCUUUGAAGCAGUUAGUGGUGCUUCUGUGAAUUUCAUUGGCAUGCCACCUGAUGGUGCUAUUGAAGGUACAACUGAAUCAAGUGUAGAGGGGACAGUCUCUCCAGUAAUGUUCACAUGAUUAUGCAUCGAGUUUUUAGUGGUACCAGCAGGCUCAGUAGACGAAUACCCAAUAGACUGUACACCACUCAAUCCAGCCUGCAACCUCUGCUCUAGAUAGCCAUUUCGAGUUAUGUUGACAGUCUUCAGUCCAUUCAUUAACAGCAUUUCUUGUUCACUGAGAAAUUUUGAAUAGUCAGGGCUAUUAAAACAUUGAACCAUUGAUGCAGAUACACGUGGUUCAGAGACAACAUCUUGGAAAGUUAAACCUAUGUGCUGAGGAACAACAUGCUGUGCACCACUGCUUGUCCAGCUGGAAGCAGGCUCCUCAACAGGCUGCAUGAGUUCAAAUCUUGGAGCAAUGCUAGGAAUAACAUUUUGCUCACCAUUGACAGCCCAACCAACAGAAGAGCUGGGAAGCGACUGGUUAAUGUUGUAAUUACCAGCAGCUGACAGAGAUGCAGUACUUAGAAAAGAAUGUGACCCACCAUUGGGUGGCCAACCAGUCAGAGACAUUGAUGCAGUGCUCUGAACAGACACUAAACUAGCAUUGGUUGGCCAGCCAGCAGCAGACAUUGGUAGAGGAUAGGUAUAUCCAUUAACCAACAGGUCUGAAGGAGCUUUCAGAAACUUUUCAGAAGCUAUAGGCUUGAAAACAAUUUCUUCAUCAUCGUCACUAUCAGGACCAAACUGCACAUUAGACUGCAGUGUGCCCAUAUUAGAGGAAACUGAGUCAAAUGUUCUAGCAGCCUCAUGAUCCAUGUCAGCGCCAUUUGUUUUAAGUGCAUCAGGAGACUCAUUAAGAGGGUUGUUAGCCUUAGACACAGGAGGGUUCUUGGCCAUGACAAAUUUCUUGGAAGAUGGAUCAAAAUAUAUCCUCAACUGAUCGAUCUGAACAAAGUUCAGCAGUGACUUCCCUGCAGCAAAAAUUCGUUGAACCCGUGCUUUCUUCUCCUUGGUGCUUCCAACAUUUUCAAAAGUGUGUUUGCUUGAGAAAUCCAAAAUGGUAUGUGCAGGAACUAAGGGCAAAAAACCUCUCAAUUCGAGAUCUUCCCAAAGGGCAAGCCUGUUACCAGUUUCACCUUCCUCAUAAAUGCUCAUAUUAGAAAAGCAAGCCUCAUCAUCAUCAUCGUCCAUAGAUGCAAGGUUGGUAAGGAUCAGCUUAUUCAUAAAUGAGAUACAUUGGUUCCAGAAGAAAGAUCUGGCAUUUGCAUGCUUUUCCUCCAUCUCUGAAUCAACAGCCAACUCCGGAUGGGAUGCCAGCCAUUCAAUGUACACCAGAAUGGCUGGCAGAUAGAAGCUUGAUGUGAUAUCACGGAGCUCUGAACACCUUCUGAGAAUUCGUCCAACAAAAUCAAAAGCAGCCGUAAACGCACUUUGGAGCAGUACUCUGUGUUGCACAAUUUCAGCAUACGACUGGCUAUCAGGUUCCUUCUUUACAUUGUGUACUGUGAAUAUAAGGAUGACAGUAAGCCUAACAGCAGCUAAUGCAUUUUCUGCAGCAUCACAACCAAAAUUAAGCUCGUCCUCAAGACCAGAAGAAAGGAGAAUCUGCAAAUCAUUGCUAACUGAAGAAAACAGCUCCCCAAAUGUUUCCAAACUGUUAAAAAGGGAAAGAAGAAAUUAUUAGGCAGAUUGAGACCAGUAAGAGGGUUGAAGAAUUGAUCCUGAUCAUGUAAGAGACUGGGCUGUACCUGGUCCUCGUGAAAAGAAUUCCAUUGAGCCUGACAAAUCGUAUAUAGAAGGCCUUCAAUGUAUCACGAAUAUUGCACUCCCGUUCCCUUUCAGCUGUUUCAGCAUUAACAUCUUUUGGCUGAAACCUUACUUCUCCCCGUCCUCGGCCCCUCCCAGAUGGACGUGGGAGUAAUGUCUUAGCACUGGGAACUUUGUUGCUGUCUGGGAGCUGUCCAUAUAUUUGGCGAUUCUGCAUAGGAAGUUGUACCAUCAUUAAAAGAAGCUUAAUAGCACAAAUCUGGAAAUAAUUAUUCAUUUGAUGAUGAAACCAUUUCCUUUUCUUAGUACAAAAACUAUGUUCUCUGUUAGUGUUGUCUAUUACUCAAGACUAUGAUGCAAACAUGACAGCGAAACUAGCAAAUAUUGAGAACCAUAUGGAAUAUAUAUUGGAAAUCAUCCUAUCAUUACCUAUUGAUUUAAUAUGUUCAUCGAGUAAGGGUAUCAUGAACAAUUACAGUCCCAUAUAAGCCACAAAGAAGUGAUAUCUUGGGCUAUCGAUAUCAACCUGAAUGCUAACAUUUGCAAAUGAGAACACACAAAUAUAGAUGCCUCAAAAACUAUUCGCACUUAAUUCACCUAAAUAAUCGAAUCAGUGACACUACUGUAUGACUGGAGGUACUAAACAACGAAACAUCUCAAGAUAAAUUAACAUUAUAUAAACAAAAAUUUAUAUAAGAAAGUAUUCUUGACAUGACAGCUGUAUACUAAGUAAAAGCUGAAGAACAAAGUACAAAAUAAACAUUUGCUAUGUAUGAACCUGCAAAUUAAGUGCCAUUACAUGGCACCUAUAUUAUAUAUGGCUGUACAAAGUGACUCAGUGCCAAGGGUUAUCAGACAUAUUAGUUGUGCAGAAACAAUUAAAAUACUAAAAAGAAAACCAACCAAAUUUUCAACCACCUGGUCUUCAGAUACCAUCAGAUGAACAAUACAAAGUUUGCCAGAUAAGUCAGGAAAUCAAGCAAAAUUCUCAUGCCAUAUCAAACAAUGUACUGAAGGUCUCAAACCAAAAUGAGAGCAUGAUAAGAACAAUACUUUGGACAUGAAUUAAUGAAGACAGCAACAAUACCUUCUCAAAAAGAAUAAUCAAGUUGUCCCGUGCAGUGGUAAAAGGAGUAUCUGCAGCUAAGCUUCGGAAGUACCUAUAAACAGCUACCACCUCGUUGCCUGAGUAAGAAGCUAGUAUAGCAAGCUGAAAAAAUGACAGCAGCAAUAAUUAAAAGACUGAGUAGAGAACAAAUAGUCUACUGAGCAUGUAUAGUAAUGUGGUAAUACCUGAUGAUGAGGGUUGCCACUGGAAGGAUAGAUAGAAGCUGCCUCUUUGUAGUAACUAGAAGCAGCUGCAUAUUCACGACUAGCCGAAUCACCAUCACCAUGCAAGCUCUUGUAACGAGCAAGAUCUCCCAAAUAUAUCAGACACCGAUGGCAUGAAAUCAAACCUUUCUUCAACUGAACUGUUUUCUUGUCAUCUCGCACAGAGUUGUUCGCAUUGUCAAGGCCCUCUGGAAAGUAACUGAGUGGAAGGCCCCAAUUUGAUUUGAUCUUUAACAUCAAGUCAUGAUAGAAGCCAGUUGCUUCUGAAAGGAAGCUUUUGAAGGCUGAUUUGAUUCUCUUGACUCGAUCUGGGUUAGCAUUGCUCUUCCCACUAGAUGCAACUGAGCUUGCAGCACUAAUGUUCCUCCUGAAGUCUUCAAUUCUUUUGUAGUGCAACUGCCACAGGAGAUAUUCUACCUCUUUCUGUUCAGAGAGGUCAUGAUCUAAGAGAAUUAUCUUCUCAAAGUUGUCACGCAUCUGAAGCCAUAUGUUGGGAUCUGAUGGGACUUUGGAUUGUGCGGACUUGCGGAGCUGAUCUUCGAGUUCAUUAUUCUGCAUAAUAACAUUGCAAUGUCAUAAUUUUAUCAUUAUGCUUCACAUAAACAUGAGUAUCAAUCGCAUCUCCUAGCUAUCAUUUGAGAAACCUGAAUACAAGCAAAGCUUGACUCACAACCAAGGAAACAAUUAGCUCAGGUAUUCUCCUUUCUUAAGCAAUUUAUCAUACAAACCAAUUAUAAAAUAUGUAAGGAAAAAAUAUGCCAAGAACUGCUCGAGGAUCCACAGUACCAAGUACCCAACGAAUAACCUAUCAUGCAGCGCAAGCCAUCCAAAAAACCGUGGAAAAUCCAGGGGCACAGCGGAAACCACUGGAUCAAAAACCCAGAGUGUAGACCAGUAGUAUUGGUUGUACCAUGCAAAGGAACAAAAAAUAACUAAGAGGCUUUACCCUAAUAAGGAGACGCUCGGCAAGGUCCCGUACCGAGGAUGGGGCUACGCUAGCACUAUCCAUGGGAACAGUCAUCAUCCAUCAACCGCUCACCGGUUUCAGCACCUGCAGCCAAAUUACGAGCCCACGAGUCACCAACUGAAAGCAAACAUCAUGCCAGAAAGUACCAAUCCAAUCUCGCAAGCAGGUAAGCAACAAGAGUAUCAGGCCCUAACAUGAGCAAAACAAACCCUAAUCCCCUUCUAGACCAAGCUAGGAGGAUGAAUCUACGCGCCCGACUAACCCCGACCACCAGCAACGAAUCCACGGAUCUCCACAAACCCCGGUUAAUCAGAGGCGAAUGUCCGCGAAAUCUGGGCUCAAAAUCUUCCGCACCGGGAAAGCUCGCGAUCGGGUCAACAAUCUGGGCUCAAAAUCUUCCGCACCGGCAAAGCUCGCGAUCGGGUCAACAAGAGGGUGAAUCCAAGGAAAUCGCGAGUGCCCGGAAGGAAUUCGUACCUGCGCGCUGCUUGCUCUCGUGACGCGAGCGAGGGGAAGAGGGGAAUUUGGGGCGAUUGCAGAGCGACGGAAAGAGGAGGAUGCGACUUCCUUGUCUGUGUGUCGUCGCGUCGCCGUGUUGCGGUUGUACUCCAAUGUCCAAUCCCUCGGCGAGGGCGAGGCGGCUGGGGGCUCUGACGCAUGAGACCCACGCGUCGGUCUUUAUUUUGGGCUGGUUGCUUUGCUGGCUCGGUAGCCAAAAAGAAAAGUACUCAGGCCUUGUUUAGGCCCUGUUUAGUUAGUCACCCAAACAUUUUUCAACUAUCCCAUCGAAUCUUUCGACACAUGUAUAGAACAUUAAAUAUAGAUAAAAAAAUAAACUAAUUACACAGUUUGGUUUAAAAUCGUGAGACGAAUUUUUUAAGCCUAGUUACUCCAUGAUUAGCCUUAAGUGCUAAAGUAACUCACAUGUGCUAAUGAUAGAUUAAUUGUACUUAAUAGAUUUGUCUUGCAGUUUCCUGACGAGCUAUGUAAUUUAUUUUUUAUUAGUUUCUAAAAACCAUUUCCAACAUCCUUCCGACAUAUUCGAUGUGACACCCAAAAAAUUUUCAUCCUCAAACUAAACAGAGCCUUAGUUCCUAAAAAAUUUUGCAAAAUUUUUCAAAUUCACCGUCACAUCGAAUCUUUAGACGUAUGCAUGGAGUAUUAAAUAUAGAUGAAAAUAAAAACUAAUUGUACAGUUUGGUCGGAAUUGACAAGAUGAAUCUUUUGAAUCUAGUUAGUUCAUAAUUAGACAAUAUUUAUCAAAUACAAACGAAAGUACUACUAUUCCUAUUUUGUAAAACUUUUUGGAAGUAAACAAGGCCUCACUAUGUCCCAAUUAACUGUUUGAUUUCCAUGUCAAAGAAUUUGUUAUAAAACAUGUUGCUAGCGGUUGAGAUUUUUCCCUCUUCGUCUCUCAUGAUCAACACACUAGAUGAAAAUAGAAGAACAAAUAGACACAAGAUAAUGAGACUAUUCUUUAUUUCUCUGAAUAUUAGUGAUUACAACAUAAAGCUCCCACGUAUAUAUAGUCCUGCCAAGCCUAAGAGUUUUGGUAAGAGCCCACAUACAAACGGGAUUAGGAUUCGGAUUCAUCAUUCUCCUUUCCUUCUAGGUAUUAAGUUUGUAUGUUUUACAGCACUCCCCUUUGGGCGAUUACUACGAUAUGCACAUGCCUCAUUAAAAACUUCAUCCAAAAACUUAAUGGGAAAAAACGGUUCUUGGAGAGAAGAGUACAUCGCAUUCGUUAAUUGUAUUGCAUAUGUUGUCUCAUUAAAAACCUUGUGUGAGAAACUUUCAAAUAAAAACUCACAUAGAAAAAAAGAGUAUAACAUUUAACCUUCAUGGUCAUAUAUUCUUCAUGAUACCAUAUUCUUCAUAAAUAGAUAUUUAUCUUUAUGAUUUAUGUAUAAACUUCAAUAGCAAAUAUGAUCUAUUUAAUCUUUGUAAUUCUAGUGGUUUACCUUCAAGGUAGAUUUGAUAAAAAUAUGCUCUCCCUCAUAAUGCCAAUUUUUGAACUUUAUUGUUUAAAUCACACCAUUCAUAAAAGUGUGCUUAAUUAAUGGUAUGCAGUACCACAAUACUAUAUCGUUCAAAAAGGGCUGAUAAUUCUUCUAUGAAUUAUAUGUGUUGGGUACCAUAAAAAGGGAUACCCAAAUCAGAGCAAUAAAGAACGCAAAAAACAAAGCAUACUAACCACAAUUACCGGGGCACGACCCCCAGCUUAUUUGACCCCUUAGGGCCUCGGACGCAAGUUCCGACUCGCCCGACCCCUGAGGGCCUCGGACGCAAGUUCCGACUCGCCCGAUCCCUCAGGGCCUCGGACGCAAGUUCCGACUCGCCCGACCCCUCAGGGUCUCGGACGCAAGUUCCGUCUCGCCCGAUCCCUUCUGGGCUCAGGCGCCGGACCCCGCUCCACCAGGUCAACAAGACUUCCACCGUACGGCGCCCGUACCCCCAAAGUGACAAGCGCGAUGAUUCCCAUACCGCAGCAGGGCAGGGUGCCGACUGUUCCAACCACCCUAGUCACUGUGGCCUUACUUCUUUCACUGUGUGACCUUACCUCUUUUCACUGUGGCGUACUGCCGCACAGUAGAAAGGGAAUGGGAGAGGUUAAUCAGCACCACUAUUUGAGGUCCUUUCCCACUAUUGACAGGAUGUGCAGCAGUGCCGGCGAUCCGACCCCCGCGACCCCUACAGGGCUCGGUAACCCUCUACAGGAGCAGCCAUGCUGUCAACCAUCCCUCAAGGACGAGAUGGACCAGCUUCAACAGGGUCGGGACUGUGGUUUCACCAUUCAACAGAAGAAAUCUACUCAUGUAAAUACCUGUCUUCCCUUGAGGCUAUAAAAGGGGAGCCAGGGUUCACAACUAAGGACAGGUUCAGAAGGCGCACGCCCACCGCACUCUUUCACAGAGCAGCGACCCGCACUCUGUCCACCACUAAGUCGAGACCUGGGACUUAGCUCUCUCUCGCAACCUGCUUGUACCCCCUACUACAAGCACCUUUGGGUGCAAGGUUAUACAGAACCCCCGAUCACACUGGACGUAGGGCAUUCUUGGCCCGAACCAGUAUAAACCCUUUGUGUCUCACUUGCAUCACCAUCCAAGUUUGGGUAGUCACGCAGACUUAUACUUGUUAGUGUCUAGACCACGAGUCUAUACACCGACAGUUGGCGCGCCAGGUAGGGGCCUUCUGCGUGACAUUCACUUGUCCCUACUGGGAAGAUUUGGAUGGCAGACGGAUUUCACCCACUCCGCCGCGGCACCAUCAUGAUGUUUGGGAGUUUGGAGUUCAUGUCCCUCGGAUCCGGCUAAGACAUGGUCCUCCUCCCGCCACGUGGUGAUGUCGAGCCCAGUCCCGAGCCGAUCCCGCCACAGUCGCUGCGUGGGAACCGUUCGGGACACCGUGCGGGGGGCACCCGACGGGGGCGUCAGAGAUCUAGCAUCUCCGACCCUACCACUGAGGCCAGGAUCCGUCCGGCCCUCCCCCCGCAUAUUCCUCACCAGGUCGCCCGUUCCUCCGGCCCGACAGGCGCUAGAGGAAGGGCUCGCGGGGCAUCAAGCUCCGCUCCCAGGACCAAUAGAGGAUCAUCGCGGCCACCCUUCCCACCCCGUUCGAAGGGAAAGGCACGGCCCGCGCCCGUCCCCCGCAAGGGGGACAAAGGGGCCUCAACAUCCCUCCCUCCUUCACCUAUGGGUAAAGGAGAAACAGCGGCACCUCCCGAAUUACCUUUUGGGCUCAGGAACGCCGCCGCCACCUACGCCUCUUCCGUGAGCACUUCGUUAAGUGCGUACGCGGAACUUCUAGGUCACCACUUGAGGUCUACACUGGACCUCAUCUCCAUGCCGCCCGUUUUGUCAUACCCGGAGGGUCCUACCUCAGGCAACGACGAGUGGGCCGGCGCUGACUUUUCCGGGUGUGGCGACCCGGAGACCUUCAUGCGCUUCUUGGAAGCCAGCAACUACUGUCUCGGCUACUUCGACUCUGACAACGGAAGCUACGACCCGUCACGAGAAUGCUUCAACCUGGAAGUCGGAGGCACGCCGCAUAACGCCCAGGGGGACGCAGGGCCAUCUAGGCAAGGGAAUGCAACUCCGCCUCCCAACCCAACUCCCGGAACCGAUCUCGUAGCCCGUGGGGUAGCAUCAGCCCCCGUUGGAGGGCACCGCCCUGACCUCGAGCAGCUCAAUGAGCUGGAGGCCAGGCUCGAAGAAGAACGCACACGCCUCCGCCAACUCCGCGAGGCCCUGGUUCGAGACCCGUCAGGCCGCGGAGAUGGGGGCGAAGCUAGACGCCGCGCCCGUGACGUCAACUGUCGUAUUGUCGAGGACCAACGGGGUGACGCCCCAGUCUUCAGCACGGCCAGCUAGAACGUGAUGGCCGCUGCACUCCUCCUCAAGGCGAUGCCCGAGCCGUCGACUCCUGAGGGAAGGAGAGUGCGCCAGGGGCUGCGUGGCCUCCUAGAGCAGGCUGUGGUGCAGAACGCGGAGAGUUCUGCCUCACAAUCCCACGGCACGAGACGUCGUGAGGACCGACCACCUCCUGACAAGGCACCAACGGUACAGGGUCUUCCGCCCCCUAACCCACAAGGGGGCAACAGGGCCCCGUCAGUACACGAGCGCGUCGGAGCCGACGCGGACGUGCGGGCCACCCUCGAGGCCAGGCGACGUGAUAGGGACGAGGCCGAGUCCCGAUGCUACCGACCGCGCCGAGGCGGGAGGUACGACCCCGAUCACGACCGCAGCACAUCGCCAGAGCCUCCGGGUCCCCGCGUCUUCAGCGAGGCCAUACGAAGGGCCAAGUUCCCGGCGCGAUUCCGACAGCCCGCCAACCUCACCAAGUACUCAGGGGAAACCAACCCUGAGCUCUGGCUGGCGGAUUAUCGCCUAGCAUGCCAGCUAGGCGGUGCAGACGACGACCUGCUCAUCAUCCGCAACCUCCCACUCCAUCUGGCCGAUACGGCCAGGGCAUGGCUCGAGCACCUCCCUGAGCGCAUGAUCCACGACUGGGCCGACCUGGUCAAGAUCUUUGUUAGGAACUUCCAGGGCACAUACGUGCGCCCUGGGAACUCUUGGGACCUAAGGAGCUGCCGGCAGAAGCCCGAUGAGUCCCUCCGAGACUUCAUCAGGCGAUUCUCCAAACAGUGCACCGAGCUCCCCAACAUCACGGACUCCAACGUGAUCGGAGCCUUCAUUUCCGGUACCACCUGCAAGGAGUUGAUACACGAGCUCGGACGCAAGACCCCUACAAGCACUAGCCAGCUGCUCGACAUCGCCACCAACUUCGCCUCAGGAGAAGAGGCGGUUGGCGCCAUUUUCUCCUACAGCGCAGCCAAGGGGAAACAAAAGGCCGAGGCCACUGAAGCCUCGGGCUCACGCGACCAAAAGAAGAAGAAGAAGGGUCGCAAGGGGAAGCAGGGUCAGUCGGACGACAACCUAGUCGCCGCAGCUGAUCGCAAGAACCCCAAGCGGGCUCCUGCUGGCCCCGGUCUCUUCGACGAAAUGUUGAAGAAGCCGUGCCCCUAUCACAGGGGGCCAACCAAACAUACCCUUGAAGAGUGCACCGUCCUCCAUCGGUACUAUACCGACAUUAUCACCAAGGAGAGUGCCGAAGAGCCUCCCAAGGACGACGACCCCCAGGGGGAGGUUUUCCCCAAGGUUAAGAACUGCCUUUUGAUCUUUGGGGGACGUGCGGCUCGCCUCACUACGGGUCAGAGGAAGCGCGAACUCCGAGAAGUUUGCGCAGUCAGCACAGCCACGCCCUCGUACCUCAAAUGGUCCGAGAGCGCAAUCACGUUCGACCGACAGGAUCACCUGGAUCGGAUCCCCAACCCCGGGAGCUAUCCUCUGAUCGUCGACCCAAUCAUCGCCGAAACCCGUCUCACCAAGGUACUGAUGGACGCAGGCAGCGGCCUCAACAUCCUUUAUGCCGAGACUCUGGCCCUUAUGGGGAUCAGUAAGUCCCGGCUGAGGAACGACACAGCACCAUUCCAUGGAGUGGUGCUAGGACAUCGUGCCCAUCCUCUCGGACAGAUCGAUCUGUCCGUUUGCUUUGGAACCCCCGACAACUUCAGGCGGGAGGUCCUCACUUUCGAUGUGGUCGGGUUCCCAGGGACCUACCACGCAAUCCUGGGACGACCAUGCUACGCCAAGUUCAUGGCCAUCCCCAACUACACCUAUCUCAAGCUCAAGAUGCCGGGGCCAAAGGGCAUCAUCACCGUCAGCACGACCAGUCAGCACGCUUAUCAGUGCGACGUCGAGUGCAUUGAGCAAGCCGAGGCUCUGGCUGAGUCACUGGCCAUCCUUACGGGACUCGGCGACUGCGACCAGGACGUACCCGACCCCAAGCGUCACGCCGGGAGCUUCGAGCCGGCGGAGGAAACCAAGCUAGUCUUCCUCGACCCCGGAACCUCUGAGGGCAGGGCGUUGAGGAUUAGCUCCAGCCUCGAUCCCAAAUAGGAAGUGGUGCUCGUCGACUUUCUCCGUGCAAACACUGACAUAUUUGCGUGGAGCCCUUCGGACAUGCCUGGCAUACCGAGGGAAGUCGCCGAGCACUCCUUGGAGAUCCGAGCCGGCUCCAAGCCCGUGAAGCAACGCCUGCGCCGAUUUGACGAGGAGAAGCGUUGGGCCAUCGGGGAAGAGAUCCACAAGCUGCUGGCGGCUGGAUUCAUCAAGGAGGUCCUCGAACCCCGAGGGGGCGAAGCUCCACCUCAUCGUCGAAGAAGGCGGCCAAGGCAUCUCCGGGGGCAGCCGCAGCGUCUUCGAGCCUCUGCACCUCCUCCUGGGCCUCCGUCUCAUCAUCUGGGAGAACAUAGCCCUCACAGACCGCCGGCAAGUCAAUGCCGGCAUAAUUAGAGCUCACCACCGCCAGGGCUUUCUUCACCCCGGCGUGGAGCGCCUCCCUCAUCCUUUCCCCGGCCCGGGAGUAAAGGGCUUCGACCCGACUCCGUAGCGACGAUCCCGACGCCGACACCCCGAGCCCCUCACACGCCGAGGUAACCAUGGCUUCAAGAGCCAAGCGGUCCGAAGCCUCGGCGUCAAGGGACUUCUGCAGGGCCUCGGCAGUAGAGGUCGCCUCGACCACCUUCCUCUCCAACUCUGUUGAAAAACACAACAAGAAACAAAAAGUCAGAAAAGACUAACUUAAAAGUGUAAAGGGGGCCAAGGUAAAAGGCGCAAGUCUUACCCUCGGCUCGCUUCUCAUGCUCCGCCGAGCUCUGGUGCCAGCGGGCCACCUGGCUCAGAGCCGCAGCAAGGUCAGCCUGAGUUUGGUUCAGGGCAAGGUCUUUUUUGGCGAGCAAAGCUUCAAGCCGAGCAACCUCACCCUUAUACCCCUCGGCCGCCGCCUUCUGCUCCUCGGAUUCCUGGGUAAGGUCCCCGACCCUCUUCUCUAGGGGGGCGACCUUCUCCCGGGCCUCCCGAGCCUCUAUGCCAGGGCCGAGCACUUCUGCCGAAGCUCGGCGGAGAUCUCACACUCCCUCGCAAGCUCCCCCUCAGUCGCCUCCCUGGCAGCCCUCUCGUUCUCGUAAGACGCCUAGGCAUUGUGGGGGUAUAAACCCCUAUACCCUUACGGCUAGACUUGGGCCAGGAGGCUUGGCCCAUUACGAGACAAGUUCAAGGCUUGGUCCGACAGCUCGGAGUUUCACGCAAGGAAACAAGACGUGGAGAUCAAGCAAGAUUCUAGUCGGUUAGAAUAGGAAUUGAUACCGAACUAUCUAUAGCAAUUGUAACCGACUAGGAUUAGUUUCCAGAUCUGUAACCCUGCCUUCCGGACUAUAUAAGGAGAGGCAAGGGACCCCCCUAGAUCAUCAUAUUCUCUCAACACAAAUCAAUACAAUCAGACGCAGGACGUAGGUGUUACGCCAACUCGGCGGCCGAACCUGGAUACAAAGCUUGUCUGUGUCUUGCGUCACCAUCGAGUUCGUAGUUUGCGCACCGUCUACCGAUAAACUACUACCGUGGGUAUACCCCUAGGUAGACUGCCGACUAGCUUUCGUCGACAGGCAUCCCUUUCCCGGCGAAGAAAAACUGAUUUCUCCAGGGACGUUGCCUUGAGCGCCUACAAGAUCGGAAGUCACGCAGAGAGUUAGUAUUGCAAAAUAAGAACAAAAUUACUUUACAACAUGGGUAAAAGCCUUACCUGGGCCAAAUUGAACAUGUCUCGGGCCACGAGCUGAGAAGCUCGAUUGAUGGCCUCGACGCUGGCACACCCGCACGAUUCCAGACCCUGCUAGAGGUAAUUCUCCGACGGGUCGUCCAGAACGAAUCUGGCUCCCCCCUCAGCAUCGCCGAGGUUGGGCCAUAUUACGGGGCUCUUGCCCCAUCGGGCAUCUUCCUCCCCUCCCGCCGCAGGGGCCUCGGGCGCCGCGCUGGACGCCACGAUGGCUCGCUCUCCCUCGACCUGCGCGGGUCGGGCCGCGCCUCCUAAAUCGGCGUCCUCCUGAGGAGGCGUGGCUCCAGGGGUAGAGGCCGUCUCCUUCGGUCCUUGGGGCUUCGGCGCCCCCGUGUUCUGCCCCUGGUGGCGCUCUCCCACCUCGCAGCUCGGGGGUGGCGGCGACAUGGGCCUAGCCGACCCGGGAGUCGACUGAGCCCCCCUCUUCACAGCCUUCAGGGGGCCCAGCGCCACCGAAGGCGCUUUUUGCUUGCGGCUAAAGGAGCAACAUCAAGUUAGAAGAAAGAGAAAAACAAAAAAUCAGUAGAAGGAUCAGAAAUCCUAUACAUACCUCACUCGGGGAGCAGACUUCUUCUGGGAGCUCGGAGCUCCUUGGGGGUCCCCCGCAGCUCCAGGGGCCGUUGGUCAGACCUCCGCCUCGCCUGCCGGUGGUGCGGGGGACACCACGGUGGUCUCAGCCUGCGACGCCUCCACCGAGGCACCGGUUCCCGCCCCGGACGCUGGGGAGGGCUCAGCCAUACCCUCUAGCGCCACCGGUUGAGGGGGCACCUCGGAUUCGGCUCCCGACACCUUCUCCCCCUCUUGAGGACCCACGAGGGCUGAACCCUCAUGAGGGGCACUGUCCUCAUCAUCCACGAUGAUGUGGGGGACGGCCUGUCCGCCCCCCGGGGGCCUCCGGCCCCGCUCGGGCCUUUGACCCCUCCGGGGCCUCCAUCCCCCCGCCGGCAGGAGGGAUCACGUCAUCCUCCUCCGCUAGCUCGUCGAGCCAGUCGGCGUUAUCUCCUCCGCCCUCUAUCUCCGAGACCGAAGUCUCGGGAGACGGAGGCGGGGCGACCCCCGCCUUCUCGGCUUCUCGGUGAUUCUUGGCGGAGAUCUCCCGCCGUUGCGCUUUCUGCGCCGCUUUGGCCUUCUUGUCUUCUUUGGCCUUUUUCUGUUCCUCGUUCCGGGCCCUGUUCUUAGCCCGGAUCUCCUUAUCCUCAGGGAUUGGGGGUAGGGAAUCCCUGACGGCCCCCAUCCCCUGUGGAGCAAGCAGAUAAACAGGGAGUCAGGCGAAAGAAAAAACAGGUAUAAAAAAUUGAAACAAAGGACACCUUCUUACCAGGGAAAUGUUGCCCUUUUCAGGGCGCAUCGGCACCACCCGGGAAUUCUUCAUCUCUGGGUGCGUCGUCUUCUCCACCCGGGCGGUGAUGUCCGAGGCCGAUAUCGGCUCGGCUAACAUCCUCAUCCCUGCCCAGGGGACGUCCCGGGUCAUCUCGAACAUGGGCACCCGGCGCUGCGCCAACGGAAGCAGGCUCCUCUUGUGGAACGCUAUUGCCACCGUGGCCGCGGUGACUCGGGCAUCUCGCAGCUUCUGAAGCCCUGCAAGAAGCGGGGCGAGCUUCUUCUGCUCCUCUGACGGAGCACCCCACGUCCACUUCUGGGGGGCCUCCGUCACCAUCUUCCCGGUGUACUUCGGCAGAAGACCACCGUCAUUCCGGAGGUAGAACCACGCGCUCUGCCACCCCCGGUUUGACGAGGGCAUCGAGCUCCAGAUGUAUAAUCUGGACCGUUGCUGAUGAAGCUGCAGCGUGCAGCCACCGUCUCACAGGGGGAUCUUCUCUUUCCCCACGUAACGGGCCGACAUAUCCGCCUUGAAGAGGUGAAGCCAGAGGUUCCAAUUGACAGGAACCCCCAGGAAUCCCUCGCAAACCGUGGCGAAGACGGCGGCCUGCAUCACCGAGUUGGGAUUCAGGUUGUGCAGCCACACUUCGUAGUAGUGGAGGAUCACCCUGAUCAGGCGGCCAGCCGGAAUCCCGAACCCCCGGUCUAAGGACGACAGGAAGCAGACCACAUAGCCCGGCGGCGGGUUUGGCUCCCUGUCGUUCGCCGAAGGAACGAUCCACUCCGGGAGCCCGACAUCCUUGAGAGGACGCAGAAUCCCGGCCUUCACGCGCGCCUCCAGCGCAGACUUGGUCACGUUGCAGGGUGGCUACGCCUCAACGCCGGCCAUGGCUUUGGGAGGAAGAGGAGUGUCUGCGCAGCGGAAGUGGAGGAGAUGGCGGCAGAAGAAAGGGCAAGAGGCAAGGACUUUGUUGCGCAGGAGUGAGAGGAAAGAAACCACGCCCCCAGCGGCCGCUUUUAUAGAAGGGGCGCGCCACGACCACGCCCCCUGCGAAGAAGGCCAAGAAGGAGGGAGAGCAACCGUCGCCCACUCCCCAGGUGAAAAAUUCGAAGCGCCAACUCCCUCCGAUUCUCGCGCCCGCCGCACGCGCGCAUUUAUUUCAUAGGUGAAACUCCCAUCCAGCCAACGCGAGACAGCACGGCCGUAUCGACUCCCCACGCACCGCGCCUCAAAAGAAGCGCCCUGAAAAAUUAUGUCAGGGUGGUUCCUUCUAGGGGAUGCGGCGCCCGACCCCCCGCUGACCAAGCGUCGCAGGAAGGUCUCCGUCGGGCACAGUUUUCCGUCUCGCCCGACCCCAUCAAGACCCCGAGCAAAAGCUGCAAGGCGGUUUCCCGUCGGGCGCAGAUUCCGUCUCGCCCGACCCCAACGCUACAAAACGAGUCUGAAAAAAACCUUUUGAGGCCCAAAAUCCCCAGGCCAUGGUCACCUACGUUCCAGAGGUUGCGAGACUGACCUGCGACACAGGUUCGAACAGUCGCCUCAGGAUGACUGAGCUAGAGAUGACUGGAGAUGAGCACAAUAGAGGCCUAGGUCCGAGCCCCAUAGGGAGUCGGCGCAUCUUUACAAGUCAUAUCCGAGACCCAUGAGGGUGUCACGCGAGUGGGAUCCCAUCGAGGGAGGCAUCGAGCCCUUGGAACCUAUCGAACGGUUCCGACAUCCACCGUGACUGCCCUUGGGUACUUUUUGAGAUGUGCCCAUAAGGCCACUAGCCGACCCCUAUCGAAUGGGACUCGGACAUCCACUUGGAUUUACCCGCCUGCAGCUCCCGGGGAGCGUCGUCACUCGCCCAUCGAGGGUAGUACGGCACGACCCACCCCUCCUCCGAGCGAAAGGAAGAAUGAGGGACGUAAUUAUAAGACGAGAAAGAACCUGAUCGACCCUUUUGGGGAAAGGGCUCGGGGGCUUCCUCGCACCAUGGGAACAGGCACUACGUGUAAAGAACACGCAACCUAUCCCUCAAGAUACUCCAGACUAUAGCUGUCAGGGGUAAAAUCCUUUGAAGGAAUAACACCAUUCCUCCGAAAGGCUCGGGGGCUACACCCGGCGGGUGCGCUCGCGCGCACCCUUCGGAAAAAAGUAAAAAAGCACCCAGUCAACAUUAGUCCCUUGGAAAAAGAACCUCUGAAGAGGUGACCUCACCCCUUCAGAGGCUCGGGGGCUACUGUUGGGUACCAUAAAAAGGGGUACCCAAAUCAGAACAAUAAAGAACGCAAAAAACAAAGCAUACUAACCACAAUUACCGGGGCACGACCCCCAGCUUAUUUGACCCCUUAGGGCCUCGGACGCAAGUUUCGACUCGCCCGACCCCUGAGGGCCUCAGACGCAAGUUCCGACUCGCCCGACCCCUCAGGGCCUCGGACGCAAGUUCUGACUCGCCCGACCCCUCAGGGCCUCGGACGCAAGUUCCGACUCGCCCGACCCCUCAGGGUCUCGGACGCAAGUUCCGUCUCGCCCGAUCCCUUCUGGGCUCAGGCACCGGACCCCGCUCCACCAGGUCAACAAGACUUCCACCGUACGGCGCCCGUACCCCCAAAGUGACAAGCGCGAUGAUUCCCAUACCGCAGCAGGGCAGGGUGCCGACUGUUCCAACCACCCUGGUCACUGUGGCCUUACCUCUUUCACUGUGUGACCUUACCUCUUUUCAUUGUGGCGUACUGCCGCACAGUAGAAAGGGAAUGGGAGAGGUUAAUCAACACCACUAUUUGAGGUCCUUUCCCACUAUUGACAAGAUGUGCAGCAGUGCCGGUGAUCCGACCCCCGCGACCUCUACAGGGCUCGGUAACCCUCUACAGGAGCAGCCAUGCUGUCAACCAUCCCUCAAGGACGAGAUGGACCAGCUUCAAUAGGGUCGGGACUGUGGUUUCACCAUUCAACAGAAGAAAUCUACUCAUAUAAAUACCUGUCUUUCCUUGAGGCUAUAAAAGGGGAGCCAGGGUUCACAACUAAGGACAGGUUCAGAAGGCGCACGCCCACCGCACUCUUUCACAGAGCAGCGACCUGCACUCUGUCCACCACUAAGUCGAGACCUGGGACUUAGCCCUCUCUCGCAACCUGCUUGUACCCCCUACUACAAGCACCUUUGGGUGCAAGGUUAUACAGAACCUCCGAUCACACUGGACGUAGGGCAUUCUUGGCCCGAACCAGUAUAAUCCCUCUGUGUCUCACUUGCAUCACUAUCCAAGUUUGGGUAGUCACGCAGACUUAUACUUGUUAGUGCCUAGACCACGAGUCUAGACACCGACAAUAUGGGUAUAAACAAGAGCAAUAUGCUUCACGUAAAAAUGACCACUUAUUAGUUGUGCAAAACAAACAAAAAUUAUCCUUCAGGGCAAUAAAUCCUUUCAGAGGAUUAUGGGAUAAAUAACUUACAAUAUUUAAUAUCUUCUAGAUAGUGCAUCAAACUUAUAAUUCCUAUUUCGUAGAUUUUAAAUUAUAUAUUCUACAAAUCUUUAGGAUUUUCAUUAUACCACUAAACAAUAAAUCCAAUCUUGCAUUUGGUAUUUAGGGGAUAAUUCAAUUUCCAAAAUCACCAUUAUUCUUAUACCUUCUAUGCUAUUUAGAGGAUACAAAACUUUAUUGCUAGCUUUACAAUAUACACUUUCUGAGUGUUUGUAUGAUGUCUUCAUGAUAUUUAGAAUUUCUUAUUUUAUUUCUUCUCGGGUCUAUAUUCACUUCAAGGAUUAAUGAUGUUUUUCAAGAAUCGACUGGUAAAUCCUUCUUGGAUUAAAUCCUUCAAGGAUGUUCUCAUUUUUGUUGAACCGUAUUUCUCUUCUAUGAGAAAUAUUCUCUACUACAUGAGAGUUUAUUAUGUGAUAUACACAACGAGAUAGUGUUAUUCACUAUAAAGUCAUUCAAUGACUAAUUCUUCUAGGACAUGCUCUUCUUGAGACUUUAAUAUUCAUUCAGGAAUCUAUUAUUCUACCUUAGACUUCUUAAUACUUAGUAUGAGAUUAAUUUUUACAUGUUGCGAUUUCUUUUCUUCAGGAACUAUAUGGAUUUUCCAUAUCCACUUACUAACUGCAUAUUUCAUAUUUAUUCAUUUUAUUUGCCAGAAAUAUUGCAGAACAUUUAUUUCUUCUUAGUAGGAGAUUCAACCUCAAUUGCUUUCUUUAUUAACCCGAUAUAAUCACUUCAAGCGACUUUGCCAUGGACUUUAUUUUCCGAAUCUGGGUUCUCGUAAGAGAAACAUUUGCAAUUAUAGAGGUAGCAUUGUCGACAACUAUUAUUUUCUCCCAACAAUUUCACAACGUGAGAUUAUCCUAUCUCUUUGUCAUUUUCUAGACAAGAGAUAAUUUUUUGUUCUGCAUACCCAACACUAUGAUGUGCACACUUAGUGUGUUGGAUUUCAUCUUCAUGAUGAUCCUCUUCAUGAGGUGCCUAACCUUUUUCAUGAGGUGUUCUCUUCAUAAGAAUGGAGGAGUUUAUUUUUAUUUCAUUUAACAAGUAUACACUAAACUAGAAUCCGCAGGCGUCCCCGUAGAUUUUAGCUUCAUAGUAUACACAUUUAGUUUACUACUAGUAAACACAACUUCUUGUUUAUAACUUCAAAUUACUCCUCCUAUUUUCAAAAAUAUCUGGCAUAUGCUCUGCUUCAUGCUUCAAAAGAGCAUUAGUCAAACUAUUGUUUGAUUUAGUGAGUGAUACUAUUCCUGCUUCAAGCUUCAAGGAAUAUUUUCUCUUAAGACUAUUUUUCCUUUCAUGAAAAUAAUAUUUGGCAUUCAACAUAGGCUUUCUCUCCCCCUAAUGCCAAUAUUAGAUCUUUAAUAGCAUACUUCAAAAGAAAUCCCCUACGAUGAGUUUAAAAUAAUUCAAAUUCAUGUAUCUCCAACUACAAGUGGAGGCCCAUUCAUAUAUGCUAUGAUAAAAUUUUAUAUGAAAUAUUCACGCACAUAUUUAAAUAUAGGGGUUAUUAUACAUUAUAUGCAGUGAGCUAGGAUUCAUAAAGUGCAUUUAAGAAUGUUCAGCAUUCCUACGAAAUCUAGGAUGUUCUCCCCCUGAUUUGCACAUAUUAUAGUUUAUAAAACUAUUUUAUUAUCUAACUUCUUUAUUCUUUAGCCUAAAAAAUUGAUCCCAGUACUCAUACAUAAAAAAAUGGACCAUACAUUUCAAAUGUAUAAAAUACACAACAUUCAAAUUUACAUGGAAUUUCUUCAAUAAUUUUCAAUUUUCUAAUUGCCAUUAAUGCAAUAUCCUCAAAUGCCUUUUCUUAAUAAAUCCCAAAUCAUUUAAGCGUGUUAUCAACCAUCUUAAUUCCACAAUAAUUCAUCCCUUCAAACUUGGUUACUUCUCCAUUUAGCUAAUUUCAUAUUAACUCACUCCCCCUAAUCUUAAGCCGCUUGGCCAUAGACCAAAAUAUUGCUUAUGUAUGCAACACAUAAAAAGUAAAAUAUUUCUUAGUUCAACGGGAACUAUAUAGAUAUAGCGUACUAGCUAGCCAACCUAAUUAUGGGAAGAGUGCAAGGUAGCUACUAGCUACAAAUUUAGCUUCUUCUAUGCUAAUAUCCAUACAAGACUGGAGAUACUUGCAGCUCGACGGGAGCACAACAUAGUAAUACACAUUCAAGUGUAACGUGAAAUGUUGGUAUUCAGUCAAACAUAAUAGAUAACAACAAAAUGCAAAGCUAUAGGCUUACAUGCAAGUAGUGCAAUGUAGAGAAAAUUAACAUAGCCGAAAAAGUCCGACUAGAACUUCAAGUCCUUAUACAUGCACUUAAAUAUAGAUUUAGGAAGGCUAUGCCUACUAAAUAUAUAUUAUCCAUAUUUUCUUAUGCCUUUACUUGAAAUUCCUCCCCAUUUUCAUGCCAUAAUUACUUCAAGAGUAGUAAUAUGCUUCAUGCAUCAUCUAUGAUUAAUCAUUUCAAAUGUUUCAUAGAAUUUAAUCAUACUUCUAGUAUUCAGUGGUUGUGACAUGAAAUACAAAUGUCGUGCGUACUAUUCAAUGUAGAGCAACAUAUUUGGAGUAGGACAUAAACUUCUAGUUUUUUGUGCUGAAGUAUUGAAUACUUAGUUAUGGAUUACACAAUUUCUUGGCUAAAUUGAUCCUUCCGAGAUCAGUUUAUAUGCCAAUAUAGUCCAAUCGUUCAUGUGCUUCUAGAAAAUUCAAUCUCCCUUCUACCUAUAUGGUAGUAUUACACAAAAAACGAUAACCUUCAUGGUUAAUAUGGCUUCUUUGUGGAUAAAAAUAAUGCAAAACUUAUUUAGAUAGGCAAAAUAAGCAAUUAUUUAUAUGUGAAACAUAUAUUCUAAUUCAUUCCAUAUAAGAUUGACACAUAUUACUGCAAGUAAAAAUUGCAACUAAGAAUAUUAAAUACUUGAUAUUAGAGCUAAUAAAAUUACAAUUAACUCUUCUAUAAGUUUAUAAAAUCCAUUUAAUUCAAUAGGAAUGAAAACUUAAAGCACUGCCACCAUUAAUACUUCUGGAUAGUAGUUUCAGAGACAAAUAAAUAUAUAAGCACAUAAUUUAAGUUAUUCUUCCAGAGAACCUUAAAAAUUCAUUACCCAUUCUUGCAUGUCUUAGCUUCUAUGCUUGACAUUUAGCAUCUUCAUGCAUGCUUUAUUUCAUAAUAGUAGUGAUAUGUAAUAAUGAUCCUUGUAGGAGUGCAACAUAUGUAAGUUAUAUAUCCUGGUUUAUAGAGCUGUCUAAAAAUUCUAACUCAACUUCUAUUUGAAUAAUUUCCGAUGAUAAAUUUAGAUACUUUAUGUAUUACAUUGCUCUUUGAUAUUCUAUAUACAAGAGAAUCUUCUUCGAAAAUAUUUAUCGUCAAAAUCUUUAUUUACCAUCAUGUCUUCUAUGACAUUUAACACAAAGCUUCGGGCCACUGUAUUUAUUUAUGGAACAACAUAUAUAUCUCAUAGGAUCAUGUAUAGCUUGAAAAUUCAAUUUUCAAUAAUAUGGAAUAUCUUCUAAAAUUUCUCAUGUAUCCCACAAAGACCUUUGAGAUUUAAUAUGGUCAUAUACUCAUUUAGGAGAGUAAUACCAGGAACUAUAGUGCCUGAGUCUACUACACUUUAGUGGUAGUAGAGUAUCCUACUAGGAUUUAACAAUGACCAUUUAUUAUAUAAUCCUGUCAUUCAAAACAAAUCUAGGAUAUUCCUUCUUCAUGAAGGUAUGCAUAUAUAUCAUGAUAACUGAAAUCAUUAUGUGCGUAUAAUUUUACUACGAGUAAACAAGUAGCAAGAUGCAAAAAGGUAGUGGAUGGUUAUACAAAAUACUCUUAGAAGCAUCCUAUCAUUUUCAGGAUUAUGGUAUAAAUAUAAAUUUUCACAACUAAUAUCAACCAUUCAUUCGUCCAAAAAUUCAAUAUGCUAGGAAAAAUAAAUAUGAGCCUCGUGAUAAGUCUAAGGUAUGCAAGAUUUAGAGAGCCCAUAUACCAUAUACCAUGUUUCUAAUGUAAUUAUUCAAUGCUUCUCUUGUUAUGACAUGGUAUAUUCAUAAUGUGUGAUAAAUAAAUGCAUUCAAAAUAGCAUAAAAAUAUCAACACAUGGCAUAUACUCGUAUACAUGGACAAAAGAAAUCUUGUCAGAGUAUAUAAAUUUUUUGUUAAUGUUGAACAUAUAAAUCUGCUUGAAACUACAAAUUCGUAGAGGAGUUGAUGAUUACAACAUAGAGCUCCCACGUAUAUAUAGUCCUGCCAAGGCCUAAGAGUUUUGGUAAGAGCCCACAUACAAACGGACUAGGAUUAGGAUUCCUUCUUCUCCUUUCCUUCUAGGUAUUAAGUCUGUAUAUUUUACAACACUCUCCUUGAGCGAUUACCACGAUAUGCACAUGUCUCACUAAAAACUCCAUCCGAAAACCCAAUGAGAAAAACGGUUCUUGGAGAAAAGAGUACAUCACAUUCGUUAAUUGUAUUGCACAUGUUGUCUCAUUAAAAACCUUGUGUGAAAAACUCACAUAAGAAAAAAGAGUACAAUAUUUAACCUUCAUGGUCAUAUAUUUUCAUGAUACCGUAUUCUUCAUGAAUAGAUAUUUAUCUUCAUGAUCUAUGCAUAGACUUGAAUGUUUUAGCAAAUAUGAUCUACUAGAUCUUUGUAAUUCUAGCGGUAUACCUUUAAGAUAGAUUUAAUGAAAAUAUGCUCCCCCUCAUAAUGCCAAAUUUGAACUUUAUUGUUCAAAAUCAGACUGUUCACAAAUGUGUGCUUAAUUAAUGGUAUGCAGUACCACAAUACUAUAUUUUUCAAAAGUUGGCUCAUAAUUCUUCUAUGAAUUAUAUGGGUAUAAACAAGAGCAAUAUGCUUCAUGUAUAAAUGACCACUUAUUAAUUGUGCAAGCCAAAUAAAAAUUAUCUUCAAGGUAAUAAAUCCUUUCGGAGGAUUAUGGGGUAAAUAACUUACAACAUUUAAUAUCUUCUAGAUAGUGCAUCAAACUUAUAAUUCUUGUUUAGUAGAUUUUAAACUAUAUAAUCUAUAAAUAUUUGAGAUUUUGAUUAUACCACUAAACAAUAAAUCUAGUCUUGCAUUCGGUAUUUAGGGGAUAAUUCAAUUACAAAAUCACCAUUAUUCUUAUACCUUCUAUGGUAUUUAGAGGAUAUCAAAACUUUAUUGCUAGCUUUACAAUAUACACUUUCUGAGUGUUUGUAUGAUAUCUUCAUAAUAUUUAGAAUUUCUUAUUUUAUUUCUUCUCAGAUCUACAUUCACUUCAGGGAUUAAUGGUGCUUAUUAAGAAUUGACUGGUAAAUCCUUCUUGGAUUAAAUCCUUCAAUAAUGUUCUUAUUCUUAGCGAAUAAUAUCUCUCUUCUAUGAAAUAUAUUCUCUAGUAUAUGAGAGUUUAUUAUGUGAUAUACAUAAUGAAAUAGUGAUAUUCACAACAAGGUCAUUCAAUGACUCUUUUCCUUCUAGGAUAUGCUCUUCUUGAGACUUUAAUAUUCAUACACGAAUAUAUAUUCUACCUUAGACUUCUUAAUUCUUAGUAUGAGAUUAAUUUUUAUAUGUUGCGAUUUCUUUUCUUUAGGAACUAUAUGGAUUUUCCGAAUCCACCUAAUAACUGCAUAUUUCAUAUUUAUUCAUUUUAUUUGCCAGAGAUAUUGCAAAACAUUUAUUUCUUCUUAGUAGGAGAUUCAACCUCAAUUGCUUUCUUCAUUGGCCCGAUAUAAUCUCUUCAGGCGACUUUGCCAUGGACUUUAUUUUUCGGAUCUAGGUUGCCAUAAGAGAAUCAUUUGCAAUUAUAGAGGUAGCAUUGUCGACAACUAUUAUUUUCUCCCAAUACUCUCACAAUGUGAGAUUAUCGUAUCUCUUUGUUAUUUUCUAAAGAGAUAAUUUAUUGUUCUGCAUACCCAACACUAUGAUGUGCGCGCUUAGUGUGUUAUAUUUCAUCUUCAUGAGGUGCCUAUCCUUCUUCAUGAGGUGUUUCUCUUCGUGAGAAUGGAGGAGUUUAUUCUUAUUUGAUUUAAAUGAAAUAAAAAUAAACUCCUCCAUUCUUAUGAGGAGAACACCUCAUGAAGAGGAUCAUCCUUAAGAUGAAAUCCAACACACUAAGCGUGCACAUCAUAGUGUUGGGUAUGCAGAAUAAUAAAUUAUCUCUUAUUUAGAAAAUAACAAAGAGAUAGAAUAAUCUCACAUUGUGAGAGUAUUAGGAGAAAAUAAUAGUUGUUGACAACACUACCUCUAUAAUUGCAAAUGUUUCUCUUAUGAGAACCCAGAUCCCGAACAAAGUCCAUGGCAAAGUCGCUUGAAGCGAUUAUAUCUAGUCAACAAAGAAAGCAAUUGAGGUUGAAUCUCAUACUAAGAAGAAAUAAAUGUUCUGCAAUAUCUCUGGCAAAUAGAAUGAAUAAAUAUGAAAUAUGAAGUUAGUAAGUGUAUUCAGAAAAUCCAUAUAGUUCCUGAAGAAAAGAAAACGCAACAUAUAAAAAUUAAUCUCAUACUAAGUAUUAAGAAGUCUAAGAUAGAAUAUAUAUUCCUGUAUGAAUAUUGAAGUCUCAAGAAGAGCAUAUCCUAGAAGGAAAAGAGUCAUUGAAUGGCCUUGUAGUGAAUAUCACUAUUUUAUUAUGUAUAUCACAUAAUAAUCUGUCAUGUAGUUGAGAAUAUAUCUCAUAGAAGAGAAAUAUAAAUCACUAAGAAUAAGAACAUCCUUGAAGGAUUUACCAGUCGAUUCUUAGCAAGCACCAUUAAUCCAUGAAAUGAAUGUAGACCCAAGAAGAAAUAAAAUGAGGAAUUCUAAAUAUCAUGAAGAUAUCAUACAAACACUCAGAAAGUGUAUAUUGUAAAGCUAGCAAUAAAGUUUUGAUAUCCUCUAAAUACCAUAGAAGGUAUAAUAAUAAUGGUGAUUUCGGUAAUUGAAUUUUCCCCUAAAUGCCAAAUGCAAGACUAGAUUUAUUGUUUUGUGGUAUAAUCAAAAUCCCAAAGAUAUAUAGAAUAUAUAAUUUAAAAUCUACUAAAUAAGGACAUUAUCACUAUCAGCUCCUCCUACGAGCACGCGUACGAGUGUAACGUCGAGUGUGUCGAAUACGGUGAAGCCGUCGAGAGCUCCACCAAGGUUGCCUCGAGACUCGAGGCUCUCGCCGUUGAGGCUCCAGAGCCAAAGCGCCAUGCGGGAAGCUUCGAGCUAGCAAAAAGCACCAAGAAGAUCCCCCUCGACCCAAAUAGCUCCAAAGACAAGAUGCUGAUGAUCAACGCUGACCUCGACACCAAAUAAGAAGUUGUGCUCGUCGACUUCCUCCGUGUGAACGCUGACAUAUUUGCAUGGAGUCCCUCUGAUAUGCCUGGCAUACUGAGGGAGAUCACCAAGCAUGCCUUGGAGAUCUGGGCCGAAUCUAAGCCAGUGAAGCAAUGCCUGUGCCGCUUCAAUGAGAAAAAGCGCAGGAUCAUUGGGGAGGAAGUUCAUAAGCUUUUGGCGGCCGGAUCUAUCUAGAAAGUUCAUCAUCCCGAGUGGUUAGCUAAUCCUGUACUAGUCAAGAAAAAGAAUAGAAAAAUGCGGAUGUGUGUCGAUUAUACUAGUUUAAAUAAAGCAUAUCCAAAAGUUCUAUUUCUUUACCAUGCAUUGAUUAGAUUGUUGAUUUUACCGCAGGAUGUGAAACGCUUUCCUUUCUUGAUGCUUAUUUUGGUUAUCAUCAGAUAAAGAUGAAGGAGUCCGACUAGCUCGUGACUACCUUCAUCACCCAUUUUGGUAUGUACUAUUACAUCACCAUGCCCUUCGGCCUUCGAAAUGCCGGGGCAACGUAUCAACAAUGCUUGCUACAUGUCUUUGACAAGCAUAUAGGGUCGACGGUUGAAGCGUAUGUCGAUGACAUCAUGGUCAAAUUGAAGAAAGUAGGAAACCUCAUAGAGGACCUUGAGAUUGCGUUUAGCUGCCUACGAGCUAACAACAUCAAGCUCAACCCUGAGAAAUACAUUUAUGGCAUGCCUCGAGGCAUGCUCUUGGGUUACAUUAUCUCCCAGCACGGCAUCGAGACAAACCCCGAGAAAGUCUCAGCAAUCAUGAAAAUGGGGCCGAUUUGAGACGUCAAGGGCGUGCAGAAGGUCACAGGCUACUUGGCGGCCCUCAGCCGCUUCAUUUCCCGGCAGUGGGAGAAAGCUUUGCCACUAUACCACCUCUCAAAGAAGGCCGAGCGCUUCACAUGAACCAUCAAGGAUGAGGAGGCCCUCAAAAAACUCAAGGGAAUGCUAACUUCCGCUCUAGUCCUUGUGCCACCUCGACCUGCCAAGCCCCUCCUCCUCUAUGUCACGGCAACAACCCAGGUUGUUAGCGCGGCAAUAGUGGUCGAGAGGCCGGAAGGACACACGCUGCCAGUGCAACAACCGGUUUACAUCAUCAGCGAGGUACUCUCAGAAACUAAGGUACGAUAUCCGUAGGUACAAACGCUCAUCUACACGGUGAUCCUCAAGUGCCGCAAGCUACAACACUACUUCCUCGGCCACUAUUGAUGGUAGAUAAGUAUCAUUUUUAUAUCAAAAAGAUAAUAGAGAAAUGUCUUAAAAGUAAUCACCAACAUAGAUAUAGGGGGUACACUGACAGAAUUCCACAAGUUUUGGUGAAUGUCUAUUUCUGUAGGGGUGAUCAGGAAAUGACCAAAGGAGGCCCACAUGUCAUGUUUACAUAGAGAGAAACGAGCCAACACGUAGACAAGUAUGAUCUAGAAGGUUCGGGAAGCCACCAGAACAAAGGAGAAGGCAAGCGGAGCUCGGGCCAGAGCCAGCAAGCAGGGUGCCCACCCUCUCCCUUCAACCAAUCAGGAGCGAGUUCGCGGAUCGUGGAUAAACCAACUUUGAGGCUUAAUCUUCUCCGUUAAUGAAGGUUGGUUUGAUCCGAGGGCUACAGUUCAUCCCACCUCCCUAUAUAAGGAGGGCCCUACCCCCUGGAGGAGGGCAAGCCCUAAAACCCUAAUUCAUUAUUUCGAGCCGGGAUCAGAGCCAAGCAUUCAAGAGUAGAUUAGCCAUGUAGUCUCUUGAGAGAUUAAUGUUAGUCUUGUAGAAUUAGAGAGAGAUAGAGUGAAGGGAAGAGUUGUGGAGGAAGCUCUGGCCUAUCGAUGUCUCCUUCCUUGGCUUGUACCUGCGAGAUCAAUCUCCUUCAUGGGGUUUGCUUCCGAGAUUCUUCGGUGCAUCAACUUCUAAUACUAUUGAUGUAAAAGUAGAUCUGCAAACACAAAGGGCUAAUACCCAAUUCAAAGUUAAGGCAUGCCAGCCGAUUUGACCUUACAACCGAUAAAGGUGAUAACUCAAAUACUUUGGUCCCGACAACAGCGAUACGCCCGGAUGCCACGGCCAAGAGGUAUUCACGCAGAACUUGAGAACUCGCUGAGUUUGACUCGAUGAAUUCCUAAGAACUCGUAAGUAAAAAUAAAAUAAGCGAGUUGACGAAGUCAUCGAAAAGUAGAUGCUGGAAUAGAUGUAAAAACUUGUGUUUGAUUGAUUGAAUUGUCUCUUACAUUGCUACUAGGUCUAUAUUUAUACCCUAUCUUAAAGAGUUACAAACAGGUACGACUAGGAUUCUAAUUCCAAACUAAACGGAAUCCAUAUACAAAACAAACUUUAAUAACUAUGGAAAUCAUUAAUUUAUCUAUCCUAGGCGAUCGACACACCACCAUAAUCUUCCCGACGAUUCCUACACCUUCCUCCACUAUCAUCGGCAUAUCAUCCUCCAUCGGCAUCGGCAACCGUUAACAUCAGCCAUUGGCACAGAUCAACCAUUAUCCCUAGACUUGGUCAUAUCCUGCUGCUUUAUCAUCGGCAUCAUAACCCAUCGACAAAUCCCUUGUCAACCGGUCAUUACUUCUACUCCUGCCGAUCCAAGUUCUAAUAACUUUCCAGAUACGUGUCAAAAAACGGUGUCAACACAUGCCCCCCAAUUUCGGGGUAUAAAAUCAUUAAUGCUCCGAAAUUCUCUCCUAAUAAUGACACCCUUUUCGCAGUUUUUCCCUUCUGACAGCAAUUAAUUACCAAAUCCAAACAACCUUAAUCCGGAUCUCCACCAGACACCUCGAAUUUCUCAACCUUCCGAACCAAAUCUCCUAAACAUCCGUUCAUCGGCAACUGUUCCGUUAGAGUGGACUACCGAUGAGCCGACCAGGAGAUCUUGCACAGUAAAAUAUCUCGUAAAAUCAUGACCAUUUGCUGUCAAAUCACUUGCACAAUCCCUUGAUUACCGUGCGAACAGUUAUCAUAUCCACCUGAACACCCUCGAAUUUCACGGAUACGACAAAGAGAUAAGUUAGAAAUGCCCCUGCUCAUUUUACCCUAUAAAUACUUCCUUCCUUGGUACUAUUUCUCUACCUUGUCAUCCUUCAUUCCCCAAACUCAUCUCUCUGGCGGCGGCAUUGUUGAAGAACCCAAGAACUUCAACAAAAUCCUCCCCAACGGUUUCUCAAGUAUCCAAUCUUCUUCUUCUCCGGGAAGCAAUGGCCGUCAACUUCAUCGUCCCUGAGGUUAAUCUAUUCCCAUCUUUCCUCUUUUUUGCCGCACCUCUUUACUUUUUGCAGGUUUACUUACUCGGCAUAUUUCUCUCUUCUUUCUUUUUCUCUGUUCUUUCAAUCUUCAAACCUUAGGAACUAAGCGAGAAAAUUGCUAUUCCUACCGAGCAACCCCACCUUCAAUGCCUCGGUCCACUGGGUGAUCUAGAUCCUACCGAUCUGAUCAAUGCGGAAACAAAUAGAAUUCCCUUUAGAGCCGAGAACUUUUUGUUAGAUUUGUGGAAGGACACUUUCCGAUCCUGGCCAAACCCCACCAAAGGAUGGAAGGAUUGGUUCUUGAGAGUUAGUAAAACAUAUGAAGUACGCUGGGGUGAACGUAAUAUAGACCAAUGUGUUCGGCUUUCUAUUGCAAAUAUGGAAAAGAAUGAAUCAAUGCUGAUAGCCGCCUCAUAUUUUUGGUCGGACACUUUCAACGCCUUCAUCUUUAGCCAUGGCCCAGCUUCUCCCACGCUUGCCGAUGUAGUUAUGUUUACUGGCUUGGGCGUUGCCACUGCAGAUGAUGGCCAGUUAUUCGGCCAUAAAGCCAAAUUCAAUGUAGAAACCUGUAACAUCGGCGGUUGGUCAGGGUACAUUCAGAAAUAUUAGAAAACGGGAUCGGUUGGUGAGAGAGAACAUGCCACUUUUCUAAAUAUGUGGCUGGAUAAAUUCAUUUUCUGUGGCCAAUCGGUAGGACCAACUUCUGUCUACUUAUCGGUACCAGGGAGGCUAGCCAAUGGCAACCGAUUUCCCCUCGGCCGAUAUUUGCUAGGUUCUGCUUACCACCUCCUACAUCAAGUGGCAGAGAAACUUCUAUUGGGUGAACCUAUCGGCAAUUUAGGAGGCCCUUGGUGGUGUAUCAACAUGUGGCUUAAUGUUCAAAUGCACAAAUGUCUUCGGUUUGACUUUUUCGCACAAUAGUUCCCCCGAGAUAUUGCCGAAGAUUAUGAACUGGCAGAUGAUGAAUCGACAACUCGCUCACCUCUCAAUUACAGUGAAGCGGUUAUUGUCCUCCCUGGUACCGGCUCCAAUGAAAACCAGAUUGGCUGAUUCUUUCAGACUCUGUAUGACGGCCUCUCCAAGGAUCAGCGAGCAUGGAUGCCAUAUGAAGAUCUAGAGACCAGAUUCCCACUCACCUUCCAUUCUUCUGAUAAUGCUGUCAACAAAGAUAAUGAUCUGAUGAUGGCAAUAAUUACCCCAAGAGCAAUCCCAGUUAGCUUUGGCAGUGCAAAGAACAUUAACACCACCUAUGAGUUUUACAACCCAUCAGCACUAGCUCGCCAACUGGCGUUUGGUCAGCUGCCGAUCAGACUUUGUUAUGCUGAUGUAGUAAAACCAAGAGAAACAAUAACCACUAGACUAGAGUGGAUCAGGGUAGCUCAACUUCAGCCAAACGCCGAUAGAACAGAUAUUGAUCUAUUAGCUUGGGUCCCAGCUCUUUUUAUUACCCAGUUAUACAAACAUUGGUGGGAAGAAUGGAAGGAGCACCUGUUCAGGAGAUCACCCCAUACAUACCGCGGUAUGAUCGACUCCGAUUACCAAGUCCCCAAUGACAUUGUAAGUUCUUUACUGAUACCUUAGUUCCUUUGUUACUAUAUUUUUCUUUUAAAAACUUCAUCGGCAACUAACUUACUCUUAUUUCAACAAGUCAAUGACCCAGCACCGACGGUGAGUAGAAGCGGACGGCCGAUUGAGCUCCUCCAAUCAGGCCCGAUUUCUUUAAUCGGCUAUAAUGCACCGAGUCUAGCAACUCUGAUGCAUCGCAAUGUACGCUUCAAAAAGACCACCAAACGGUUGAAGACAUCUCCAUCGGUCGCUGCUGCCACUCUUGCGCAUGCUUUUAAGGUAAACUCUUAAUUUCCUUCACUUAUACUGAUUUUAUCCCAUACUCAUAUCAUCCUUUCAGGGCACAUCGACUGCAACAAGAACUUCAUCGGUAAUUUUUAUCCUUCAACUGAAUUCCAUCAGUAUGCUUUUAUAUAUUUACUCAUGAAAUUUUGGUUGUUGUAACAGGAAACUAUCAAAUCGGCUAAGACCAGAAGCGCUCAAACGUCAAGUGCCGAUGCCCCCCAGCCCAGUCAAGCCCCAACCAAAAGAAAGGGUCCCAAAAGCACCAAGACUCAGCCGAAGCGCCAGAAGAUAGCACCUUCCUCUCCACUUUGUCCAGUAUCACCGAUCCAGGUAGCAUCAUCCACUUCUCCACCGAAACCUCAGACACAAGAAGCACCAGCCGAUGUUUCUAAAUAGAUUGCUGAUCCGGCUGAUCUGGGCACAUCAUCGGCGGCUCCUUCAGAACAGAUCAUCACCAUACCCCCUCAAGGUAAAGUACUAAUCAUAGAAUUAUUACCGAUGAAUUUGUUUUAUAGACCAUAAUCAUCUUUGUAACUUUUCAGUUGAAGUCAUUCCAUCGGCAACUUCAGCCGAUCAAACCAUAGUACUAGCUGCAUCUCCACGCCACAGGUAGGAAAUCACUCUAAAGCAAGUAAGUUAUUUGAUCUCUGGUCUUCAUAUUAUUAAUACUUGAUCUUCGAGUAACUUAUCCUCCUCCUUUUUAGGAACAAGACUCUCGAAAUAGCCUGUUCUCUUUUGCCAUCGACAUCUCCGAUGCUGAUGGCGAAGAAGCAAGCUCUUCUCAGGCAGUGGGAAUCUCAUCGGUAGAGAUUAAAGUUAAGUUGAAAGACUUGUUAGCCCUGCUGCAUCAAGACACAACCCAGCUAGUAGAUGAUUCCGAUCCAGCUAAGGCCUUAUUCAAGACCCUUUGUGGUCAGAUUCCAGCCGAUGCUGAAGAGAUCCUCUUUCAAGCUGCUCAUUUGGAAAGCCGCUAGCUUCAGUACCAGAAGGCCACUUAGCGUCUUGCCGAUAGAGCUGCUCACGCCCGUCUUGCAGAGGAAAUGAUGCAAGUAAAACAUGUUGUCGACGAAAAACACAAGAGCAUCGGUGUUUUGCAAUCUUCAGGGGAUGAACUGAAGCAAAAGAUCUCUGAUUUAUCGGCAAGAAGGGAAGCCUUGUUAGCUGAACUCAAACAAGUGGAAGAAGCUCUGACUUAAGCUCAGCGAGAAGAAAGUCAACUGCCUGAAGCGCUCAAAAUUCUUUAGCAAGAGAGAGAUACUCAGGCCCGGAAGGCGCUGCAUAUGAGGAAGAAGCUAAAGCUAGUUGAGGGUUCUGCCGAUGAAGAUACUCAAGAAAUAGAAGAGGCCAACCAGAUACGUCUGCGCGCCAUAUCAACCAUCCAGGCUCUGCUGAAUCUAUGAAUUCUUCAUCGGCAACUUGCUUAGUUUUGCUUCUAAGAACCUUAGUCAUUUUGGUCCAGCCGAUAGGAUUGUUAUUAGCAUUAAAACUUUGUGCAUGGCUCCAGAUACAUUCUAACAUUAGCCGAUAGGACUGUUAUCGGCAUUUGAACUUUCAUGCAUCAAUCCAAAUACUUGGGUGAUACUUCUUUAAAUAUUUCCCAUUUAAUGCUCUAGGAAAUUCGACUCCUUCGAGAGUUUCUAAAAUAUUAGCAUUGCCAUGAGGAGAUCGAUUUAUCUGAUAAGGACCUUCCCAAUUAGGAGACUUAGAACUUUUAGUCCCAAUCGGUAGAAUCAAUUUCCACACUAAAUCUCUAUCAGCAAACUCCUUGGCUUUCACCUUUUUAUCAUACCAUUUAGCAACUCUCUUUUUAUUUUCUUCUAUGCUUAUUAAAGCUCUCAACCGAUGCCCUACUAAAUCAUCCAACUCAUCCUUCAUCAAAGUGGCAUAGUCAUCGACAUUUAAUUGAUCCUAAGAAAAGAUCCGCCUAGAACCAGUCUUUAUCUCCCAUGGUAAUACCGCAUCAUGCCCAUAUACCAAUUGAUAAGGUGAAAUUUUGGUUGAGCCAUGACACGCCAUCCGAUAUGACCACAAAGCUUCAUUUAACAAUGUGUGCCAUCUUCUAGGAUUUUCUUCGAUUUUCCGCUUGAUGAGCUUAAUAAUCCCUUUGUUAGAAGCUUCAGCCUGCCCGUUAGCUUGAGCAUAGUAAGGAGAAGAAUUCAACACUUUAAUUCCCAUACCGAUUGCAAAUUCAUCAAACUCCCCUGAUGUAAACAUAGUACCCUGAUCGGUGGUGAUUGUUUGAGGAAUACCAAAUUGGUAAACAAUGUGCUCCUUUACAAAUUAAACAUGUUGGCCGAUGUCACUCUCUUUAAAGGAAUAACCUCAACCCAUUUAGUAAAAUAAUCGGUAGCGACUAAGAUAAACUUAUGCCCUUUGCUUGAUGGUGGAUAAAUUUGACUGAUAAGAUCAAUGGCCCAUCCCCGGAACGGCCAAGGUUUAAUAAUAGGAUUCAUGGCCGAUGCGGGUGCCCUUUGAAUAUUGCCAAACUUCUGACACCCUUGACAUCCUUUGAAAUAUUUAAAGCAAUCUUCAAGUAUAGUUGGCCAAUAAUAUCCGUUUCUCCUAAUCAUCCACUUCAUCUUGAAAGCCGACUGAUGUGCCCCACAUACUCCUUCAUGAAUUUCACCCAUCAAGCUCCUAGCUUCAUCAUCACUCAAACACUUGAGCAAGACUCCAUCUAUCAUUCGAUAAUACAACUCUUCCUCAAGGAGUACGUAUUUUUUGGCUUGAAACCUAACACUCCUCUCAACUUUUCUGGAUGGAUCCCUUAAAUAAUUAAUAAUUUCCUUUCUCCAAUCAUCAGCACUGACUGCCAACAACAUGUCCAAGAUGGGCUGAUACCCUGAGGCGUGUUGAGCCAAUCAGUUGGCUUCUUCAUUAUGUAACCGAGGAAUAUGCUCUAAUCGAAAAUCCUUAAAUUCCUUUAACAACUGUACGCAUCUUUCAUAAUAGGCUAACUAAACCUCACUUCGGCAUUGAUAAAUUCCAGCCAAUUGUUUAUAACAAGCAUGGAAUCACCGAAAAUCUCAACAGCAUCGGCAUGAACUUCCUUCAAUAAUUCCAACCCUUUGAUCAAAGCUUGGUACUGUAACACCCAAAAUCUGGUUUUCAAUUAAUAGGGUUUAAUUUGAUUUAUUUAAGUAUUUUUGUGGGCAUUUAAUAUAGCAAAUAAAUAUUUUUUUGUUGAAAUUAAAAUUUAUUAUAAGUUUAGUAACAUGUUUUUGCAUUCAUUCUGGUCAUUAUUUUAUUUUUAUACUGAGUGUUUUAUUUUAAAUUUAGCUGAAUUCAAAUUCUCUUUUGGAAAGUAGUGUUGAAAAUUCAGUUUUCUUAGAAAAAAACAACGGAAAAUGAACUGUUGCCUCGUUUGGCUUGUUGCAUGGCCGUGUAGUGCAGGCGUGGCCACCUCCGUGCGGCUGGCUUAACCUGAGCCAAAUUCUGAUCCGAGUCGAACCCUGCACAGAGCUCUGUUUUUUGGUUUUGGCGAUCGUGCCUUGCCUAGCAUCCUAUAAAUCUCGUGAGGCCUUAUCUCAUCUAUUUUCCAAUCUUCGUGCCGCAGUCCAAGCCCUAGCUGCACUCUCAUAUUGGUUUGCGCCUCGCCGAGAAGCCAAGAUCAUCGCCGUAUAGACGCCGCGUCCAUCUUCUGUUUCCCCGAGACGAUCCAAGCAGGUCUUAGGUGAACUCCGAUCCAUGUGGUGGUUGAUCUCCAUGCACCGUUUAUCCUCUUGUUUCUUUUCUCUUUUGCUUACGAUUCAUCAUGGAACUCUCGUAGCACGUCGAACAUCCGCCAAAAUCGAGCAGUCCAUCAUCUCUAUCUCGCUUCAGUCGGUGGAUUCGUUCUAGGUGAGCAGGGUGUUGCCUCUCUCUUUUUUUAUGCCCUCGGCUCACCGUGGCCGGUUGGCCCUCGUCCAGGAGCACCAGCGAGAUCAUAUCUGAUGAUGGCCACCAUCGUGUGCCCUGCGUGUUUUGCUAGCUUGAUGAUGUUAGGGUGAUGUCGUGACGACAUCACACAAAUUUAUGACCGUUUUUCUUUACAAAAAUAAAUCUAGAAAUACAAAGGAAAUACAUUAGAUUGUUUUAGUCAUAUAAUCUUUAUUUUAACUCUAUUUUUGUCCAUUCAAAUUUUGUCAAAUUCGUAUUUACGAGCUCUACAUGUUAGAAGUAUUAUUUCUCUGUUUUGAAACUUUUUAUUUUCGCAGUAGCAUUUAAUUAAUUAUUUAUCUAUAGGAAAUCUUAGAAAAUUCAUAACUUCUACGUUUUAAUUCCGAUUUUCGUGAACUUUACGCUUGUGUGAUCGUAGUGCUGCCAUCUUUGAUUUACCACUGGUUGGUGUAAUGUUCUAAUUAUAGCUUGUUUGCUUCGUGUAUGAUUGUCUCCAUUAGAAUGCGUGUUGUUGAUUGAUGAUCGAGUUUAGUCGGUGAGCUUUGCGUUGGUGAUCAAGGCCAAUCAUUUGACGACCAGCAGCAGGCUCAGGAGAGCUUUGAUCAAAGCAAGUAUAACUUGGGAUCAUCGUUGUUACCUAUACACUUAUAUAUAUAUAUAUAUAUAUAUAUAUGCAUGCUUCCACCUUGCCGACCUUAGCAAAAUCAUGGAUGAUUGUUACCUGGAUUCCUUGCUACCUACUUAAUAUGCAUUUGGUGUAGUUGUGCUAGUGCUUGGUAUAAUCUAUGAUCUUGUAAGAUAAUUAAUAGCUGUGCAAUAAACAUAAAAGGAUGACAAAUAACUAUAUGAGAUCUUGUCUGUACGUGAUCACUCGGAUAACAUUGCAACCAUGAGGGCUAUAUGACUCUGGCUUUAGCUCAGUAUGAGGACCUUUUUCUUGCUUGUUAGCGGUUACCUUAAAUGGCGUAAGAAUGGCUAGAUGCGUUGGGUAUAGUGUAGCCUCUGUCCGUGUGUAUAGGCUGCGGGUUAUGUGCCAUGGAAGGGGGGCUCUAUAUCUGCCUGCCGAGUGAAUCUAAUGGCCCUAACUUGUUAGACGAAACUUUUGAAAGGCUUCAUAGUGAACCCUGCCGGCUUUCCUUGGAAGUGAGCUAAGAGAUCGACGGGCCUCGGGCGAAAGGGUAAAUCAUGACUCAUGGGUAAAGAUGUACAAGCUGUGCAGAGUGUUAAAACUAGUAUACUAGCCGAGCUCACAGUCAGGAGCGGCCUUGGGGACAUCUAUGUUGACACUUGCUAACACCACUUGAAUACUAGGUUGUCAUCCCCAGCAUGGCACUAGAGUGUACUAUGGUAUUUAUACGCACACAGAUAAAUCCACAAGCGCACGAAUACCGUUGUAGCUUUUACCCGGUUAAAGGUUUUAUCGUAUCCACAGGGAAACGGGAGAACCAACUACACUCUAACUUAACCAAGAUAGAUAGAUAAGUGUAAAUAGGAAAGAUGGUAAAAUUGAAUAAGAACAAUAUUAAAGGUAAAAUGAUAAUGGGAGAAUAUAGAGUAGAUCAAUCUAAUAUAUGGGCGAUAAUAGGAGAAUAAAGAGGAUAGCUAUGGUUUCUCUACUUCAAAGGGGUAUGUCUAUGUCUGGGACAAACCACGUGAUAAGAUUACACCACAAAGGAUGCUUAUCCAUAGGCCGAUAAACCCUACCAGUCCUGCGAACGGGAGGUGGACUACAGAGGACCAACGUAGCUGUCACCUACGCGGUCUACCACACGAUCCGGCUAGACAGGGGAUAUCCACAAGUAAUCUAGGUCUAAGCACCAUGCUUACACCUAUACUACAACUCUCACCUAUAGCGUCCUAUAGAUUAAAGUACUCAAAAGAGUUGUGAACUAGAACAUACAUGGAUAGUAAUUGCAUAAUGAAAUAGAAGUAGAUUACCAAAGUCAUCCCAUGAGCAAGCAUGAUUAGAGCUUGAUCAUGGUGAACUACAACCGGAGGAAGAACCGAUAGGCCGGCCUCUCCUCCAAUCCUCCCUCGCUCUCCAUCUCGCUACUAUCUAGAUCUACUCUAGUUUAGAGAAGAGAGGAGAGCUCUCAUCUCCAAACCCUAGCUUUUGCUCUAUCUAUGAAUAAUGAAUAAGGAUGAAGGGGUGCCUCCUCCAAGGGCCAGGGGGGCCUGCUUAUAUAGUCCCCUCAAGUGAAUCUAGGCCGUCGGAUCAAACCGACAUUAAUCGCACGGUUUUCCUUGAUCCUUUAGGUCGGUGGAGCAUGAUCCGCGAAGUAGAACGUGAUUGGCCGAAACACUAGGGCGGGCGCCCUGUCCCCGAGCCCGCUCGGCUUCCUGUUCGUUCCCGUGGCUUCUGGAGUCUUCUAUAUGAUAGAAAAUUGCACGACACGUUAAUAUCUCUAUGUAAACCCGACAUGUGGGCCUUUCCUCCAUAUUUUCUGAUAACCCCUUGCAAAAACAGACAAACACCAAAACUCGUGGAAUUGUGUCAGAUAAAACCCUAAGUCUGGAUGUUGGUUGCAUUUGGAUCCUUUUCUUUAUUUAUUUGAUGAUUAUAUUUGGUACUUACGGACCGUCAACAACUUCCCCAAGCUUACCUCUUGCUCGUCCCUGAGCAAGGAUGGACUCAAGAGUUUCUACAGUGGUUUUAUGCCUUAAAGGUACACAUGCAUUCAAACAAGAUCUCAUCUCUGUGUUAGGGUAAACUGUUAAGAUUUAAACUUACUCAUUUUUCCUUCCACCAUGGGGCUUGCAAGCGUCACUUGUGUCUUGAGCAGUUAAAAGAUAGAACGGUCAAGUCAAGCGCCAUGUCUCUUGUUUCUUGAUCAACUAUAGCUCUGGAGUUUUUGUAGAUUUUCAAAAUAAAACUCAGAGAUUCCUUGUAUGACUCUCUCAAUUCUCUCUUUUGUGGUAUUUCUGGAUCCUCACCAAGGCAGUGAUGAUAUAUGCCUUCUCUCAAAGUAUGUAGUAUUUUUGGUAUAUGGCAUAGUGGCAUUGCCUUCUCUCUCACCCUACUCUAAUAAGGUUUUGAUAUCUGGUGCUCAUAGGUGGGAGAUAAAGUAUACAUAUGUUGACGGUUCUUAAGUAUCAAUUUUAAUUAUUAAAUAAACAAGGGAAAGGACCAAUAUACAAACAACACCUAGAAUUAGGGUUUGAUCUGACAAGAAUUCCAUGAGUUUUGUUAUUUAUCUGUUUCUGCAGGGGGUUAUCAGGAAAUAAGGAAGAAAGGCCCACAUCUCGGGAUUACAUAGAAAUAUUAACGCACCGCGCAAUUUUCUAACAUCUAGAAGACUCCAGAAGCCACGGGAACGAACGGGAAGGCGAUCGGGCCCGGGGGCAGGGCACCCGCCCUAGAGUUCCAGUCAAUCCCGUCCAACUUCGUGGAUUACGCUCCACCGACCUAAAGGAUCAAGGAUAACCUCUCCUCUAAAUAGACUUAGGGCUUAGCAUCUAAUGUGAGUAGAUUAGAUCUACUAGAUUGAGAGAGAUAGAGUGGAGGUGUAGAUCGGAGGAAGCCCGGCCUGUCGGUGUCUACUCCGAGGUUGUACCUGCGGGAUCAAGUUCUCCUAACCCGAAGCUUGCUCCUAGGAUUCUUCAGUAAUUCGACUUCUAAAUAGUAGUAAGUUCUUGUUUUAUUGUUCUUUGGUUUAUGAGUUUACUUUAAUCUCUUCGCGUAGAGUUUAGAGUAAUCAUCUCUAGCGUAGACGUGGUGUUUGGGCUAGGAUACUCAUAGAUAUUCCCUGACUAGCUGGACCGUGGUAGUAGUGAGGAACGUGACAUUUCCGAGUUACCUUUGCAGACCAUAUCUCGUUAGCAAGACAGAUAGGGUUUAUAGGUGCGGGUUGAACAUCCUCUGUGGUGUCUAGAUUCCGUGAGCCUCCCCAAUAGAACAGUAGAUUAUCCUUACCAAGGUUAGAACGAGACUACAGUUGCAGUCUUCUCUAUAUAUCACUCACAUCGAGAAACAUUCUUUGUAGCCUAAAGGUUAGUAGUAAUAGACUAGGUUAGUCAGAUGCACUCUUUCUCCUAGUGGUAAAAAUAUAAAUACGAUACUCUAGAUAACAUCCCAGGUGAAGUGCUCACCGAUAUCCGUGCGCUUGCGGAUCAAUUCCUUAUUGCGUUCCCAAAUAUCAACAAGCAUUUCUGGCGCCGUUGCCGGGGAGAAAGACGGUUUGCUGAGAUAACUUUGAGUCUUACUACUAGCUUGUAUCUAUACUUUUAUCUUUUCUUUUAUAUUCUUUAUUUCCUUUACUCUUACCAAGAUUCUAAAUCAAUCUAUUAAUUUGCAACACCUUUGAAAACUGACCUUUUACCAUGGGAGUCAUCAUAGCCUAUCCAAACAUCUCAGUAUAGGUUAAGUUCCAGGUUGAUUACCAUGAUUCAAAACCUAUCUUUUUCAGGAAAGGAAGACGAAAACCCUUACCUUUAUAUUAGAGAUUUUGAGCAAACAUGUAAUUGUCUUCGCAUUGAAGGCAUUUCUGAUAAAACCUUACGUUGGAAGCUUUUUCCUUUUUCUUUAAGGGGAGAAGCUAGACAAUGGUAUAAUCAGAAGGUAGGUCAACAACGAGGUGAAUGGGGAGUUUUACAAGCCAACUUUUGUCUAGAUUUUUAUUCCCUCGACCGUAUCGGCGACCUUAGACUCGAAGUCAUAUCUUUUAAACAAAAAGAUAAUGAAACUUUAGGAAUAUCUUGGAAACGUUUUUAUGAUCUUUUAGAAUCUGGUCCAAACCUUAAUCUUGAAGACCCUGUUCUCUUAUUUCACUUUUUUCUAGGUCUUCAGAGAGAUCAUAAACAAAUGCUACAUACAAUGUCUAGAGGUUCUUUCUUUUGUAUCCCUACUGAUGAUGCUAGAGUGAUCCUAGAUAGAAUCCUAGAAGCUGAGAUGGAUAAUACCCUUCAUGAUGAAACCCACGAAGCCGAAGUAGACACUAUGCCAAAUUCUCCAUCUACUUUAGCUAUCCCAAGUUCUGAGCCACAAAAGGAAGAAAUUCCACCACCUGAUUUCAUGAUGGAUAUAGAAUCUGAUCUUUUUGCCGAUUUUGGGAACAUUUCAAACUACCAUUCUAUUAAUAGACCCUAAAACGGCCAUUUUAGCAUUUGUUUGCCAACUGAACAUCAAUUGAGAGAGCUUAUCGCAGUCAUGAGUAGCGAAUGGUUAGAGGAGUCAGAGCUUUCCUCUGAUGUGAUCCGUUUGGACACACCUCAUAUAACUAUACGCUGUGCUUAUGAUUCUGAUCAAUUUGAUGCUCUCUAUAAUCCUGUUGUGGGGUUCAACAUCAUGUCUGAAUCUUUUGCACUUAAAUUAUUUAAAAAUUUGGUCUUAACCCCCACAACAAAGGUCAUAAAGGAAUCUUCGGGACGAUUAGUCCCCAGUCUUGGAAUUAUUAAUGUCCUACCCCUUAUGGUAGAAGGCUCCAUGGUUCAUUUGAACUUCUAUAUCUUUGAUACAUGGGACUUCGACCUGUUGAUAGGACAACCUUUUAGAAGACUCCUUUAUGAAGGUCAUACUGGAAAGCUACACAUUUCUUUUGGAAAAACUUUUAAAUUUCCCAUAACGAUUUCACACUCCUUAAAUAAUAAGGCCGAGUCAUAUCUUUUGCCUGAUCCUAUGGAGGAGGUAAAGGCUGCAUCUCUAGAGCUUUUAGAAGAACCAGACUUAGAAGACGGAGCUCCUUUCUUCAUAGAAGAAGAAGCUGAACCUUCUGAACCUGAACCCUUAGACGAGUUUGCAGAAAUGCCUAGACCUCCCAUAGAGCUUAAAGCUUUACCACCCGGUCUUAUCUAUGCUUUCCUAAACAAUAAUCCAGAGUUUCCUGUAAUCAUCAGUGAUAAACUCACUCAGGAUCAUUUUCCUUUACCCUUCAUAGAUGAGAUGCUAGAGCGAUUAACGAACCAUUCGUUCUUCUGUUUCUUAGAUGAAUAUUCAGGGUAUCACAAGAUCCCGAUCCAUCCCGAUGAUCAAAGCAAAACCACUUUUACAUGCCCAUACGGAACUUAUGCUUACCGUAGAAUGUCUUUUGGGUUAUGUAAUGCACCAGCUUCUUUUCAAAGAUGCAUGAUGUCUAUAUUUUCUGAUAUGAUUGAAGAGAUUAUGGAAGUUUUCAUGGAUGAUUUUUCUAUUUAUGGAAAAACUUUUGAUAGUUGUCUUGAAAACUUAGACAAGGUUUUGCAAAGAUGUGAAGAAAAGCACUUAGUCCUUAAUUGGGAAAAAUGUCAUUUUAUGGUUAGGGAAGGAAUAGUGCUGGGACACCUGGUGUCUGAAAGAGGUAUUGAGGCAGACAAAGCUAAAAUUGAAGUAAUUGAACAACUACCUCCACCUGUGAAUAUAAAAGGAAUUCGAAGCUUUCUUGGCCAUGCUAGUUUUUAUCGCAGAUUCAUAAAAGAUUUUUCAUUUAUUGCUAGACCACUUACUCAUUUGCUAGCCAAGGAUGCUCCUUUCGAAUUUGAUGAUGCAUGCCUAACAUCUUUCAAUUUAUUAAAGAAUGCACUCAUCUCUGCACCAAUCAUUCAACCCCCUGAUUGGUCGUUGCCUUUUGAAAUUAUGUGUGAUGCUAGUGAUUAUGCUGUGGGGGCAGUUUUGGGACAAACUAAAAAUAAAAAGCAUCAUGCAAUUGCUUAUGCCAGUAAAACUUUGACAGGAGCUCAGCUUAAUUAUGCAACCACUGAAAAAGAGCUUCUUGCUGUUGUCUUUGCCAUUGAUAAAUUUGGAUCUUAUUUAGUUGGAGCUAAAAUAAUUGUUUACACUGAUCAUGCUGCACUAAAAUAUCUGCUCACUAAAAAAGAUGCUAAACCUUGCAUGAUUAGAUGGAUAUUAUUACUUCAAGAAUUUGACUUAGAAAUAAAAGAUAAAAAGGGAAUAUAAAAUUCUGUUGCUGAUCACUCGUCUAGAAUGUAUUUUAAGAAUCCACAGGAAACCCCCAUCAAUGAUUCACUCCGGGACGACAUGCUCUACAGGAUUAACAUGCUCUGAUGGCUUACUCAGGAGAUGUGUGACCACUGAGGAAGGAUGGAAGAUCAUCGACAAAUGUCAUUCAUCACCAUAUGGAGGUCAUUAUGGAGCAUUCCGUACACAUUCAAAGAUCUGAUAGUGUGGAUUCUACUGGCCUACAAUGUAUGAAGACACGAAGCAAUAUAUCAGAAGAUGUGGGCCAUGUCAAAGGCACGGAAACAUAAACACAAGAGAUGCCAUGCCACUCACCAACAUCCUUCAGAUUGAGCUCUUUGAUGUCUGGGGAAUAGACUACAUGGGUCCAUUUCCCCCAUCAAAGAAGUGUGAGUUCAUCUUGGUGGCAGUUGACUACGUCUCGAAGUGGGUAGAGUUACUACCUUGCAAACAUGCUGACAACAUCAGUUCAAAGAGGAUGUUUGAAGAAGUUAUAUUUCCAAGAUUUGGAGUUCCCAGAGUAGUGAUAAGUGAUGGAGGAGCACACUUCAUCGACAAACGCUUUAAGCAAUAUCUAUCAAGACAUGGAAUCCAUCACAACAUCGCUACCCCUUACCAUCCUCAAACAAGUGGCCAAGCAGAGACUUCCAACAAGCAAAUCAAGAAUAUUCUUCAGAAAACAGUCAAUGAGAUGGGAACAACAUGGAAAGACAAGUUACCCGAUGCACUCUGGGCAUACCGGACAGCAUACAAGACCCCAAUUGGAAUGUCUCCAUACCAAUUGGUGUACGGGAAGACUUGCCACCUACAUGUUGAACUAGAAUUCAAAGCACACUGGGCCAUAAGAAGAUGGAAUAUGGACCUAGAUGUCGCUGGAGAUCAUAGAAGAAUGCAACUAUCAGAAUUGGAAGAAUGGCGAGAGAAAACAUAUCACAAUUCGAAGAUAUAUAGAGAAAGAGUCGAAAGGUGACAUGACAAGAGGAUCAAGAAGAAGGAGUUCGCACCCGGAGAUAAGGUAUUACUUUUUAAUUCUAGGGUGAAGCUUUUCGGGCAUGGAAAACUCCGGAGUAAAUGGGAAGGACCAUUCAAGGUAAUCAAUUCAUCAUCCCACGGAGCUAUCACACUUUAAAAUGAUGAAGGUACGUUAUUCAAGGUAAAUGGUCAACGUUUUAAAUUAUUUUUAGAGCCUAAUAAAGAAUUAGAAGAGAUAGACGUGAUCCAUUUCUACCUUCCCAUGGAGAAUUAGAGCCCAACCUUUUUAAUCUGACGUUUUUGGGCCACGUAUAUAUUUUUCGAAUAAAGUCUGCAUCUAGAAGUAUGCUCGAGGAAGCGAGCCCAUAGAGGGGCCAGGCAAAGGGUGGGCGCCCUGAUGAAGAGGGUGGGCGCCCAGCCCAUGUCCCCUCUCAGUCCCGAUUUUCUCGGUCGCGAUAAACACAUUUUUGGUAAACUAAAUAAUCAUAUAGAUGGAAAGUUUCGCACGCACGGCAGCCGGAGUAGCCCGAGCAAACCCUAGAGGCACUUUCUGACCCCUAUAUAAACAGACCCCUGACGUCAGUUUUCAAACACCAAUCUAUUCAAGCCUUCUCUCCUUCUUCAAUUAGAGCUUGAUUAGUCCGUCGCUGCUCCAAUGGCCGAAGAGUUCCACGACGAUUGGGAAGUCGUUCCCUACGACCUCAACAAGAAGCUCAAGGAAGACCCCGACGCCCAUGCUCUCGUCCCGGCCAACACAGAGCGGCAGCUAGAAGCCAUGCCAUUACGCCAACGCAGCUCCGCCCAAUCUUACCAUGCUCAACCAGUUCUCACCGCACCACCGCAGCCCCUAGUUCUCAAGGGACCAUCAGCCAAGAAGGAGGCCACCGUUAAGGUGCCAGCCGGCACUAGGAUCCUUCCACCCAGACCCAAUGAGAGGGUUGUUGGAGUGAAGACCAACCGGAGCGGCGAGAUCAGCAGUAUCCGCUACACGAUGGAGGAAGAGAGGCCUUACUUUGAGGGGAUCAGAGCAGCCAAAGUCUGUUUCAUCCCUCCAAAGGCAGCCCCAAAGCACGCUCUCAAUGCUUUUGAGACACCUCCUAAGUGUCGCAAGACUAUAGUAGAUAUUGAUGAGGACGUUCGUAGGCUAGACAGGGUCAUCAUAGACCUCCAGUCCUCGGUUAACUCUAUCACUAGGCAGCUCUCUAACCACAACACCGUGAUACUAGGUCUUAGGCAUGAUCUUGCUAGUGCCAAUAAGAAGAUCAGGGAGUUAGAGCGCCGCUAAGCUAUCUAGAUUAGAUCUUGAGGCAAUGCAUCUUAGUUAUUUAUCUUUAAAUCCGGUUUAGAUUUACUAUUAGCUUCAGUUCAUUACCAGUAAUUUGUAAUAAAUGUCUCAAGAUUAAUAAAGAGUAUUAUUAUAUCUCGUGUGUCUCUACUUUAUUCUUGUGUAAGAAAGCAGAAAACAAGUAUGGGGGAGAUCCCUCGACAUGCCAAACGUACUUCGACUACACCACUCUACGAUUCAGGUACAUGCUCUGCACACUUUAUACAUAUACAUAUAUCUUGGAUUAUGCAGAAUAUUAUCUCCGACAUGAUAAAUUAAAAAGAUUAAAAUGUCUCUAAUCAUGAUUAAUCUCACUCUAUGAUAUUUCCUGAAAACCUGCAACUAUUGAAAAAUCAUUUUAAAACCCUGUGUCACUUAAGUCACUGUGAAAUAUGGUAGAGUAUGAGUACCUUAUUCUUGAUAUCAAUACUACUUGGAGAAUUUAUUUUAAAAUCUUUAAAAAUUCUAGCUGUGUUUUAUAUGCCUGAUAAACCUGAAAAUAUUAAUAUGAUAAUUAUAAAAGCUAUCUACUCUGUAUUGAGUUUGUUCAAAAUGAGUUAGACUCUUGUUGAGAGAUUUAUCAUGCUCCUAAGAUCAAGACAUCUAUUCAGAAAGAUUCACUCUUCUGAAGUAUUAUUGCGUUAGAGGCAUGGGCUAUGCAAAAAUAUAUUUCGAGGAAAUAAAAAGAAGCAAGUGCUCGACAACCUCCACUACAAGAAAUGCAUGAUUUUUUGACAUAUUUAGUAUGACAAUAGACCAUGAUGUCAUUAUAUCAUCCAAAUUAUGAUAUUCUGUAAUAGGCAUCUUGACCUAGUGACAUAAAAAAGCUGGAUGUCAUAAUAAAUGUCAUAGAACUAUUCUAAUUCCAUACUAUGACAAUAUUCACUAUGUCAUGAGGCCUAAUUUAUAAAUGUCAAAAACAAUUGACAUAGGUUGGGUGUGAAAUUUUUUUUUUAGAAAUAUUUAAAGUACUCCUGUCCAUGUUGGCAUGUCUAAUUUUCAUUGGGUAGUUUUUUUUGUUUUUUCCUAUUUUUUUCUUAGCCUGCUGCUGCUUUUGAUUUGGGCCAGGCACCCACCCAUGUGCUCUCAGCCCAAUAUGCCAGCCCACUGUUGAGCUAGCUCCCUCCUAGGCGCCACAAUCCCAGAAAAUUACCAUUCAAAAAAAAUUUCGUUGCAGGGAGGGCUCAAACCUGAGCGCUCCUACAACCCGAGGAAGCGACUUACCACUGAGCUAGGCGAGUAGUUUUGCUUAGUUAGCAUAUACAAUUGUAUUUAUUCGAAGAUGAAUAGCUAAGGCACAUAGGACUCGUGGACUUAGCUCGCCCAGUCCAGACUUGUUUCCGCCGCACGCGAGCGUUUGUGGGCGCAUCUGCGAGCGUGGUCCAGCGAGCGCCGACGAGGGGCCCAUCCAGCGAGCGCCGGCGAGGUGCCCAUCCAGCGAGCACCGGCGAGUUGCGGAUCUCACAGUCACCAGCGAGGGGGUCGUCCAGCGAGCGCCGGCGAGGUGCCCAUCCAGCGAGCACCGGCGAGGGGCGGAUCUCGCAGUCACCAGCGAGGGGGUCGUCCAGCGGGCGCCGGCGAGAGAGCGUUCGUGGGCGCUGGCAAGGGCCUGGGCAGCGGGCAACGGCGAGGGCCAUUCAGGCGGUGGGGCCAGGCAAGGCCACCACUAGGUGGCGGCGCCAGGGUAGGCCAGCAAUCGUGUAGCAGCGAUUAGGCCAACCUGACCAAUGCUCAAGCGGCCAAAUUCCUCCCAUCAGCAUUCAUUCAGACUUGCAGCAGGCAGCUAGGUAAAGGUGUUCUUUUCUCCUCUAUUUUUUUCUUGCUAAUGUUACCAAGUUUAAAUAUUGCCUGAAUAUAGUUCAAGUAAUUCUAUCCCUAUAGUUACCAUGCCUCUGUUAUGUGUUCUCGUUAUGUAAACUGAAAUAUAUGAUAUGGUGCAGAUGGACAGGUCUUGGAUCAAUAGUGGGCUAUUCAGCAGGGCACACGUGGAUGGGGUCAAUGAAUUCAUGUCCUUUGUUUCUGAGAGAUUCAGUGAUGAUGAAGAGAUAUUAUGUCCAUGUCGUCGUUGUUUGAAUCGGGUUCGUAGCUUUAAAGGGCAGAUCGAGGAUCACUUGUAUAUUUAUGGGAUGUCUAGUACUUACACUAGAUGGGUGCAUCAUGGAGAAUCAAUGGAUGUUGUAGCAGCUAAAAAUGAUGACCAUGUUGAUGAACAUACUAGUGUCAAUGAGGAUUUUGCCAUGAAUGUGGAUGAAGAAGAUGACCCAGAUGAUGGAAUUCAUGCUAUGGUAGAGGAGUUGUACACCGCUGAAGAGGAAGGUAAUGGGAAAAAGUCUAUGUUUGCAAUUCUAUUAGAAGAGAUGAAGCAAGAAUUGCACCCUGGUGGUCCUUGUACAAGGUUUUCUUUUGUGGUGAAGUUACUUCAUAUCAAGUCCUUUUACCGAAUGUAUAAUGGUUGUUUCACAGCAAUACUGAAGUUGUUGUCAUCAUCAUUCCCAAAUUGCUCUAUUCCCGCAUCAUAUGAGGAGGCAAAGAGAAUUAUUCGUGCAUUAGGGCUUGGGUACAAUUCAAUCCAUGUGUGCCCAAACAAUUGUAUUCUCUUUUGGAAGAAUUUAGAAAAAAAUGAUGUUUGUCCGGUUUGUGGUGCAUCAAGAUGGAAAGACAACGAUGGAAGAAAGAAGAUUCCUGAGAAGGUUUUGCGACAUUUUCCAUUGAUUCCUAGGCUUAAGAGAAUGUUUUCUUCCAAAAGAAUGGCAGAGGAGGUGCAAUGGCACAAGUUGAAGAGGAAGCCCGUGGAGAAUGAGCUCAGCCAUCCAGCUGAUGGUGAGGCGUGGAAAGACUUUGAUAGAAAGUAUGGGUGGUUUGCAAAAGAUUCCAGAAACAUCAGACUUGGCCUUGCUACUGAUGGUUUCAAUCCAUUUGGUAAAAUGAGCUCAUCGUAUAGCAUGUGGCCAGUGUUUCUUAUCCCAUACAACUUCGCUCCAUGGGAAUGUGUAGAGCAAUCAAACUUUAUGAUGGGUUUGCUUAUCCCUGGAAAAGAAUGUCCAGGAAAGGACAUUGAUGUCUUCUUGGAGCCACUUGUUAAGGAGUUGCUAGAGCUUUGCAGAGGUGUCCCUACUCUUGAUGCAAUUACUAGGAAGAAGUUUGAUCUACAUGCUGCUGUAAUAUGGUGUAUUCAUGAUUAUCCUGCUUUGAGCACAUUGUCAGGUAGAGUCACAAGAGGUUGUUAUGCUUGUGUGCACUGUGACAAAAACCCUUGCUCCAAAAGGAUAAGGAAUAAGGUAUGUUACACCGGCCAUCGUCGUUUCCUUGCUAAGGACCACCCAUGGAGGAGGAGCAAGGUGUUUGAUGGUACUGUUGAAAACCGUGAGAAGCCAGAGAAAUUUAGCACUGUUGAGCUAAUGGAGAAACUAGAGAGGGUCAAGGAUGUUAGACCAGGAAAGCAUCCUGAAACCAGAAAAAGAAAGCGGGACGAAAAGGGCCAAUGUUGGAAGCAAAAGUCAUGUUUGUGGGAUUUGCCUUAUUGGUCAAGUUUGAAGCUGCAACAUAAUCUUGAUGUGAUGCACAUUGAGAAAAAUAUAUGCGGGUACAUCCUUGGUACAUUUCUAGGCAUGGCUGGGAAGUCAAAGGACAGUAUAAACUCUAGGCUUGAUUUGGAAGAUAUGGGCAUUAGGAAGCAUUUACACUUGGUCCGUGAAGGAAAUUCAUACAGUGUUCCUCAUGCACCCUACAUAAUGACUAAAAAACAGAAGGCUGAUUUUUGUGAUUUUCUGGAGAGUGUGAAAUUUCUAGAUGGAUACGCUUCCAACUUAGCAACAUGUGUGACUGCUGAUGGAUGCAACCUCCAAGCACUGAAAACUCAUGAUUGUCAUAUUCUUCUUCAAAGAAUUAUACCUGCUGCUAUCCGAGGAAUCAUGGACAAGGACAUAUGCGAAGCACUUGCUGAAUUAGGUAAUUUUUUUCAGCAACUUUGUGCAAAAACUUUGAAGUUAGAUGUGUUGAAAAGGCUGAAAGAUGACAUCCCAAUCAUCCUAUGUAAGCUUGAAAAGAUAUUUCCUCCUUCUUUUUUUGAUGUAAUGUUACACUUGGCUGUCCAUUUACCUGAAGAGGCAAUUCUUAGAGGUCCAGUACAAUAUGGAUGGAUGUACCCUGUAGAAAGAAGGUUGCUUACAUUGAAACGGUUUGUGAGGAACAUGGCAAGGCCUGAAGGGUCCAUUGCAGAAGCAUAUGUUGCUGCUGAGUGCUUAACGUUUUGCUCAAGGUACUUUGGUGAUGAUGUUGAGACUCGCCACAAUCGCGAGGGAAGGAAUAGAGAACGUGUUGCUACUUUGGAAGGAGAGAUAUCUAUUUUCCAGCAUGGAGCACAUCUUCUUGGAGCACCAAAACUUACUUAUCUUGAGCAUGAUUAUGAAAAAAUGGUUUGGUUCGUGCUUAACAAUUGUCUGGAGGUUGAGCCGUAUAUUGAGUAUGUCAGCCCCAUCUGAUGCUUUCAUUCUUUCUUAUAACUUAAGUAUGAGCCCUAAGAUUUGAAUUAACUAUUACUUGCAGGUCUAUAAGAAAGAGUUAGAGAAUGAAGGAUGUCCUGAUGUUGAAAAAACAAUUGAGAAACAAUUUUCUCCCUGGUUUAAGAAGCAUGAGAGUUAGAUCUCUACUAAUUUCUUCAUGGUAUAUGAAGCAAAAAUUUUAUAUCCAUUGAUUUUUUGUGCAGCUUGCAAAACUUCGUUAUGUGGAGAAACAAGACAUAAGUGAUGACCUAUUUGCACUUUCAUGUGAGCCUGGGUUGCGAGUUCGAAUUUUUUCAGCAUGUCUUGUGAACGGGGUUCGAUUCCACACUGUAGAGCGUGAGAAAAAUAGAAGAACGUAAAAUAGUGGAAUUAUGGUUGAGGGUACACAUGACAAUCAAGAUGUUGACUUUUAUGGUUCCUUGAAGGAAAUAAUUGAGCUUAGGUACAACUCAGAUUCAGAUGGCCAUAGGACUGUGGUUCUAUUUCGAUGUGACUGGUAUGACACUCAUAGAAGGCGGUUUCGAAUGAAGGAAGAUGGGUUCUUCAGAAGCAUAAACCAUGGCAGCUUGUGGUACAAGGAUGACUCUUUUAUUCUAGCAACACAAGCAACAAAGGUAUUUUAUUUGCUAGACACCAAGUAUCAUGAGAACUGGCGAGUGGUUCAAAAAUUUUCACAUAGGCACUUGUGGAAUGUGGCUCAAAACGACAAUGAUAAUAUACCAAGUGCAGUGGUGUUGUCCUACCAAGACGACGAUUGUGAAGCUGUGCAUGUCCGUGUUGAUGCUAAUGUAAUUGAGAAAGAGCAACACUUAGUGAAGAUGGUGUUCGUGUUGAUGCUAGUUUAGUUGAUGACCUACGUGUGCAAAGAGAUGUUGAAGAACAAGAUGAUGAGUUAGAGGACGGCGAAGAUGAAACUGGAUGGCAAUAUGCUAGUGAUAACGAUAAUCCAACAGUCCCUGUAGAGGAUGAUGACGAUGAUAGUGAUUAUGAUGAGUAAUUUAGUUAAAUUUUGUUGUGGAGUAGAAGUUUGAAACCUGCAAGUUCUGUAAGAGUUGUUUGUAUAUGUGCUGUUAUGUUCCUUUGUAUGUCCUGCAAGAUAGUGUGCAAGUUCUGUAAGAAUUGUUUGUGUAUGUGCAGCUGGCUACUGAAUUUAAUUCGUGUAUGUGCUGUUAUGUUCCUUUGUAUGUCCUGCAAGUUUUUUCAGCCCACUAAAUUGAUAUUUGCUAGCAGUUUGAUAUUGUCUUCUUUCUUGCAAGGCCUAUUAUUUUCAGGUGUUAUAACUUCCACACUAUUAUUUUCUAGUUUCAGACCUGCAAUUCCCAGUUUAGCAGCUUCCUGUAUUCCAGCAAGGCAACCAAGCAAUUCCACAGGGAAAGCGUCAAGCAAAUCAUUCUAACUGGAUGUAUAACAUCCCAGUCCAGCAAGAUACAUUCAGUUUCAAAAAAACUGCCAGCAACAUUCAUUUCGUGGAGUUGAUCUGAAAACAGGGAGACAAAAAUUCACUAAAACAACUUGGCCAUUAUUCAAGGCAACCAUAUAUUACAUACAUAACCAUUCAGGCAACAUGUCCUAGCCAUUCAGGCAACAGGUCCAAAUACUAUAUAUUUACAUAGCUAAUCAUCUAAGCAUGCACUGCAGUUCCAUCUAAGAAAUUCCAAAAGACAGACCAAAAGACACAUCCUAGCAUCCACUGCAGUUCCAUCUAAGACUUUCCAAAAGACAAAUCCCAGCAUGCAUACUGCAGUUCCAUCUUCAUUAGGCAGCAUCAAGCAUCUUAAUCAUCGAUCACCACCAACACCUUUUUGGCCUCUGGCUUGUCGACAGGCUCCAUCUUUAAGUCAUAGAGCUUGCUGCCAUGCACCCACACUUUCUUGCCCAAACAAAACUGUCUCAGCUUCAACUUCUUAAUCGGCCUCUCCAAUUUGAGAAGCCUCUUCUCCAUCUGCAAACAAAAAGUUCAAUUUCAGACAUUUAGUAAUCCUACUAUAUGUGCCAAAUAAAUUUCAAAGACAAUUACUUAUCUGGAAUGCUAGCCAAACAAGUCUUAACCAAACAAGUCUUAGCCAAACAAGUCUUAACCAAACAAGUAAAUUGGAAUGCUAGUCAAACAAGUCUUAACCAACAAAGCUCUAGCAGCCAGAGAUAAGAGCUUACCUCUCCAGCCAGCUAUCCUAAGGAGAAGUUUAUCAACUAAGGGUUGCAGAUCCUCUCUAGACAGCUUAUCAUAAUGCAAAGGUACUCCUAAAUAUUUCAGUGGAAAAGCCCCAACUGUUUCUAUGUUUCGAUGAGCAGUUAAAGAUGCUAGCAAUCUCCCUAGUCUCAUCUGUUUCUAUGUUCAUAGUAAAAAACCUCUCGAUUUCUAAAAACCUCUCGAUUCUAAAACGAAUCCUUUUUGACUGCAGUAAAAAACCUCUCGAUUUCUAAAAACCUCUCGAUUCUCCCUAGCAAUCUCCCUAGGGUUUAGGGUUUACCUUCAAACACUUCGGGCACCGCGGCGCCGACGGACCCUGGCCGGAGUGGUAGCCUCCCGACGGCGAGGAGGACCGCUUGCUUCCAUCUCCAUGCGCGGAGGACCCCUGGCCGCCGCCUCCUGGCUGCAUCCCGUCUCCAUGCACAGAGGACCCUUGGCCGCCGCCUCCCGACGGCAAACUUGCCGGCAGCAUCGCGCAGCUGGCGGCGCGCGCGCGUCGCUCUCUUGCCCCUAGCCAUGACCCCAGGCAGUGCAGCUCGGAGGCGGAGUGAGCGAGGGCUGGAGAGUGGAGAUGCGAGGAAUGGCGGAGGGGAUGCGAGGAGGCGGCGUAAAUUGGGUCAAGAAAUAAUAUGGCUCAAUAGUAUAUAUAAACUAUAUCGUCAAUCUCAUUUGAAAACACUCGAUGGCUCAGUGGUAUGGUUUGCAGGCUUUACACAUGCUAGGUCUCAGGUUCGAACCAGCCUGAGGUUAAUUUUUUGUUUUUUUAGUUCAACAAUUUUUUUGUUUUUUAAGUUCAACAAAAAAAUAUAUAAGUUUUUACACAUUGUGCAUUACUGCUUCUAGGUUAUAUAUAUAUAUAUAUAUACCAAUAUAUAUCUUAUUCAUUUCUAGUUUAGCCAAAGCACAAUAUUCUAUUUCUUCUAGAGCCACUCUCUCUUAAUGCACUGUCACAAUGCUUUGUCAAGUCGUUGAUCUCUUAAUACACUCCCUAUAUUUGAUUACCACACACAUCUGAUAUUGCUAUCUCUGGUGACCAAACCCAAUUAGAUCUCUCUCGGGCAUUCGACAUUUUUCAUCUAGGAGUAUGAGUGUGGACAUAAAAAGACAUGGGAUCAAGAUUGUUUACAACACUACUCUGCAAUAUGGUUAGAAACCUUGCAUGUGGCAUGCAUGCUAGAAUCGACAGGACGACAACACCUUUGCCUUCUCUAGAUGCAAGACGACCCGGGGGAUUGAGUCAAAUAUAUCCCGGUGAUAUAGAUCGGACAGCUUCUAGUUGUGUUGCUGGGUUUGGUAUACUCUAAUUUUCCCUUCGAAGACUUUAUGAAUCGUGUUAUAAACACAUGUUGAAAGCAAAAAAUUGUACAAUAUCCAACAAGUAGCCGUUUGUAGUGAAAAAGGAUAGUAUACAUGUUAAACCUAAAAGUUGUACACAUGUCGAGUCCAUGAUAAGUUGCAAACAACUAAUCAUGUUAUAAACAAACGUCAAACUCAAAAAUUGUACAAGAUACAAUAAGUUACUCGUUUCCAUUGAAAAGGCUACAACUUUGGAAGAAUCAGACCAAGUUUAUAAUAUGUACAAGUUUGGAAAUAUAUAGUGCAGCAAAGUAUCUCACAGAUCACUUUAUUUGUUUCAUAAUUUUACUAGAUUUCAACCUUUUUUCAAUAAUUCAUGCAUCUAAUUUACUAAUGGUGGUCAAAUGGUGAAAAAGUUUAAAGUUUUUUUAUAUUUUAUCAUAUAUUACAACCAAAAAUUUCCCCGCCAGACCAAAAAGCAUUGUUUCCUGGCCUAAAACAUACAGUGGCGGGAUGUUUCCCCGCCAGACCAAAAAUUUCCCAGGCAAAUUACAUCUUUGUCCACACAUCCAGUAAAAUCCAUGCUCAUAUGACGAGGACAGUAACGUAAAAUAACACUAGACUGUGAACUACAACUCACCUCUCCCACCCCCAAACCCUAGUCAGCCGCCACUUCCUCUAGGCUGCAGCAGCCGCCACUUCCCCAAACCCUAACGCUGCAGCCUAAGAGGUGGGUUCGUCGCCCUCCACCGUCGCUGCACCUCCAGACGACGUACUCCGCGCUCCUCCCGGUGUCCUAAACUCGCCAAGAUGGCUCCUGGUCGGAAAUCGGCGACCCGGCGUCCUGUGCCGCGCUCCAGAACUCCACCAGAAGGUAACUUGUCGACUCCCCCCUCUUACUUUGCAAUCCAUAUGGCGGGGAAAAUAGGCAAAGGCUCCGGCGCGGUGAGCCAUGGAGGUAGUGCUAGGCAUGUGUGUGUGGUUGUUGGGGACACAAGAGUGAGUGGUCAGGGAAGGCAGCUGGCUAGCAGUUUGAAACCUGCAAGUUCUGUACAAUUCUAUGAGCAGUUAUUGGUGAUAUAUAUCAUUCUCUUUCCAAUUUGAGAGCUAUCGUAAUGACGUUGUGUGGAGCAAACUUGAUAUAUGCAGAUCUGAAUAGAUAGAUUAUUCAUGUUGGGAAUUAUAUUGAUAGACUACUGAACCUCAAUGAGGAGGCUGUUGACUGAUGACUACUGGGAAUAGAAAUUAUUGCUGGGAGCUAGUACUAGUGAAGUUAAAAUCUUAGCUGUUAUUUCUUGAUUAUUGCUCAGCACAUUUUCCCCUGGUAUAGUAGUACUGAAAUAAUAUUAUGCCUUGCUUGAAAUGAAAAGAAAUCAAGUCUGUUUUCAUUUAGGUGGGGAUAGGGGCAUUUAGAGUUAUAGAAGGAAACACUCUAGAUUUUAGAUGAUUUCUUUAAAAGCUUGUGUGUAUUGAUCAUAUAAUUUACUCAUGAUCUCUUUCAUUUAUUUUUCAUUGAUGUGUGAUAUAUUUUUCUUGUGCAAGUAUAGAGCCUCCAUUGACUGAAUACGAGAUGCAGAGGGAUGAAAGGUUGUUGUUUAACAGUCGCGUGUUCCGAAGCCUAGGAAUACAACAGGCGGCUGACAUUUUGAAGAAAUCAGGAGAGACUCGCGAGACCACCAAUGCUACUCGUCAAGACUCGCUGAAAGCCCUAGUUUGGUUUUGGAUAAUUGAUGAAACCCUAGUACUAACCUCUAUACUAAGUGUGUGUAGACUUAAUGAGGUUGGUACAUGCCAAGUGAUGGAGCAAGUAAUGAUCAUGGUGAUGAUGGUGAUGACCACAAGAUGAUCAAGUGCUCAACUUGGAAAAGAAGAAAGACAAAAAAAAAACCCUUUGGAGAUCAAGGCAAAGGUAUUGCUUAGGGUUUUGGUUUUGGUGAUCAAGACACCAUAGAGGGUGUGAUCACAUUUAGGAUAGAUAGCCGUACUAUAAAGAGGGGAAUUCUUUGGCUAAGCGGUUAUCAAGUGCCACUAGGUGUCAUUGUUCAUGUGCAUGCAUUUAGAACCUAGUGAGCUAACUUAACUCCUUCAAAGAAAAUAAUUGUGAAAAUGCUAACACACGUGCACGCUCGUUUGGUACACACGUUGUGGUGUUGGCACACUUUGAGAAGGAGGUGGAGUUUGAAAGGUAGAGAGAGGAUGGGUUCCUCUCUCCCUCCCGCCGAGCUUGCGAGGCGGGAUUCGGCGCUUUUCGAGAAAAUGAAGUGCAUAUUUUCUAUUGCGCCGGUGGGAAAUUUGGAGAAGUCGCGGGAGUGUUUCUCGCUGAGAAAACACUCACCGGACGCUGGCUCAGAGGCACCGGACGCUGUGUCUGAGCGUCCGGUGUGCAGGCUGCCUGACUCGGUUAGGGUUAGGCACCGGACGAUAGGCACCGGACGCUGGCUUGAGCGUCCGGUGGUUAGCGUCCGGUGUGCGGGCGUUUUGCGACCCUCUCUGCGCAUGGGUCCGGUGAGCACCGGACGCUGAGGGUGCGUCCGGUGGCUCGCGUCCGGUGAACAUGCAAGUUUGCGGAGCUCUCUGCGCAUGAGUCCGGUGUGCACCGGACUGUCCGGUGCUCACUUGCUCAGCGUCCGGUGCACUGCAGGUGACCGUUAGAUUCUGACACGAGCGUGACACGUGGCUGACGUUGGAGCACCGGACGCUGGUGUUGAGCGUCCGGUGCCCCUUUAAGAGCGUCCGGUGACCCCGCAGUUUGCCCAGUGAAAGAGCCAACGGCUCUAUUUGCUUGAGGGGUUAUAAAUACGUGUUUGGCUGGCUUGGGGCUCACACUCUUGGCAUUCUAACAUACUUGACAUCCUUGUGAGCCUAAGAAAACACCUCCCACUCAUCUCCUUCAUAGAUUAUACAUCUUUGUGAGUUUGGGAGUGAUUCCAAGUGCAUUUGCUUGAGUGAUUGCAUCUAGUGGCACUUGGGGAUCGUUCUAGCUGCGGUUUUCUUGUUACUCUUGGUGGUUGCCGCCACCUAGACGGCUUGGAGCAGCGGAGGAGGAUUGGCACGAGUUGGUGAUUGUUCGUGGCCAUCUCCCGGUGAUUGUGAGGGGUCUUGUACCUUCCCCGGCGGAGAGCCGAAAGGUAACUCUAGUGGAUUGCUCGUGUCAUUGAGUUACCUCACUUGUGGGUUGGUUCUUGUGGUGUCCUAGUGAGGACGAGGUUCGUGCUACACCUCUUAGCCACCGAACCACCAAGUGUUGGUCGACACAACGGGGACGUAGCGUGCCGGCAAGCACGUGAACCUCGGGAGAAAAAUCGGCGUUUCAAUUGUGUUUGAUUGGCAUUCUCCCGGUGCUUGAUUGUUUAUAUUGGUGAUUGGUUCAUCCCCUACUCGGUGGUAUAAUUAUCUCAUCCACUCUUUUACAUUCCCGCAAACUAGAGUAGCGUACUUACUUGUAUAGAAACUUUAGGUAGCUUUCUAGUGUAAGUAGUAACAUAGCUCUUGUGUGCCUAGUGAUUAUAUCAACUAGAAUUGUUGGAUAGGUGGCUUGCAAACACCUCAUUAGAGCUAGAGCAAAAAGCUUCGCUUUGUUAUUUACUAACCUCUUGCUCUAGUGGGUUUAUAGAAUUUUUUAAAUAGGCUAUUCACCCCCCCUCUAGCCAUAUUAGGACCUUUCACUCGCGCAAGACCACCAAUGCUACUCGUGAAGACCCUGACCCGUUGUAUCAACCAGGAGACGAUGAAGCGGGUGAAGAUAUGGAAGGAGUAGCUGAUAAUGUACCUUCAUGACAACCUUGAUGUUAAAUAUGCAGUACAUGGAAUUUAUUCAUUCUGUGUUAAAUAAAAUAUGCAGAAUUAUUCAUUGUACUGUAAUUUAUUGAAUCAUGUAGGAGGCCAUGCUGGAGUUGGAACCUGAACUUAGCGAGAAUUUGGCUCCUCCUCACAAAAAUCAAAAAGAGUAAUGGCAGUGGCACUUCAGGGGCAAGACACACCAGCAAGGGUUACUAGGUAGACGACAAGGGAAUUGGCCUCAGCUAGUGAAGUUCCAACAGUAGAGCCACAAGAUGCUUCCACAGAAGCUGCACUGAUUGGUGCCAAUGAUAAUACCCAGUCCAACAACCACAGUGAGCUCCCUACUAGAGGCAAGUGAUUGUACCCUAUCUCCAAUAUUAAUGACUUAUUUAUUUCCAUUAAUGGGUCUCAAAUUUCCCCUAAUUGUCUUAUAAAUUCCUUGAUAGGUGGAUCUAACACUAGAAGACACCUAGGUAGAGAUUUGGAUAAUAUUUCAAGAGGGUUAAGAGACAAGAUCCCAGUGCACAUCUCUGAAGGAAAAUUGCGGCCAGAGGAGCCUUUGCAAGCUGCAAAACUAGCAUCGGAGGCUGGUAUUACUAUACGGGACCAUGUCCCAAUCUACCCUCAUUGGAAGCACUAUAAAGAUGCUGCUGCUAAACCUAUCAUUGCUAACUACACCGAAAAACUUGUUGUAAGUAAACUGGCUGCUAAAUAGAUAAUUAAUAUUCUGUGCUUUAUGGAUUGCUAAAUAGAUACCUGGCUACUAUUAUGGUGUAUGAACCUAGAUAGAUACCUGGCUGCUAUUGUGCUUUCUUUUGAGCUGCUAGAAAGAUACUAACAGCUUUAAUUUUGUAUAUGGAAGAUGUAGCAGUUUUGUACAUGUUCAAAAGCUUUACAGUUGCCCAAUCAUUGAGAACCUAUCUUCCUUAAAUAAAAUCAGCCUGUCUGUUGUGUUGUAUGAACCUAAAUAGAUACAUGGCUGCUUUGCUGCUCACUUUAACUUCAUUUAGGCUGGUAGAAAAAUAUUUUUUGUACCUGCUUUGCUGCUGCAGCUGCAAAACUGUGCUAUAAAUAUAUAUCUGGUUUCUUCAGUUCUCAGAAAUUCAUUUGGUGCUAGCCUUUUCGUUUCUUCUAGUGAUCUUGGUACAAUUAGUAUAUUUCCCCUUGCUGAUCUAGGUACAUUUGUAUAUUCAAAUUACUCUGUAAUAUAGUACUACUUACUUUGGAGUUUGCACCUGUGAGUCAUUUGAAUGUGGUUUAAUGACAUGCCCCUCUUGGCCAGGGUUCAUUCACCAUUGACAAAGAAGCUGCGCCGGUGAAGGAUGCAAAUGAUUUGCUCAAAAAAGGACAGCGGCAGAUGAGGUACAAGCUAAAGAAACAAUACUUCAAUGGCAUACCAGCAAAUGAAGUGCGAAAGACUUCACCACUAACUACAAUGACCGAUGAUGAGUGGAGAGCACUCACCGACAUGUGGUUUAACCCAAAGCACAUGGUAUCCUUCCUUAGCAUUUGACACAAUUUUUGCCUUCCAUAAUAUGGGAAUUGUCCAUCAACUAAUACUUGUCUUCCUAUAGGAAAAAUGCCAAAAACUCAAAAACAACCGUGAGCAAGUUUAGUACCAUCAGAUGACUGGAUCUCGGAGCUAUGUUGCUCAAUGCUAUGUCAUGGUAAGAAAAAUGAAGUCAUCUGUUAUUGUGCUGCUGCAGCGACAACUAUUGUCCUGUUCCUGUCACUGUGUGUUGUGAUCUUGCAUUGAUAAGCUAUCAAGAUUUAGUAAAUUGAUGUCUGUUAAUUAUUCAUAUGUUCACUAAGUGUGCAGUCUUUUCAUUAGCUUUGUUUCUGGGUAGCAAGUUAGAGUGCUGCUUUCUCUAUUUGGUAGUUGUAUGUUGUCGGGGAAGUACAUGUCCCCUCUGUGGUCAUGGUUUCUCAGGUCUUUGCUAUUUUCUGAUGUGUGUAGUUGUGGUAGGUGACUGACUGACUGACCAUAGUUCAUUUACUUCACAAUUGAAAUAAUGUAAACACAUGCAUAUGGACUUUCCAAAAUACAAUCAAUGGAAUGUGUUGCAUAUUUAUUGCUUAGUCUAGGAGUGAUGUUUGGCGAACCACUUGCUGAUUGCCAAAUAGCUGUCCAACAGUAACUCAUGUAUGUGGAUGGGGUAUGUUAUGGGCAGAUAUGAUUUCCUUUUCUCAUGUCAUUUUUACUAUCAUUGCAGCAAGUUUCAUGCUGCUGCUACUUGUUGCCAUGCAUCAACAUCUCUAUGUGUCAUGCAUGAUGGAAAAUAAAGUAGAUUGUGUCAUGCUAUAAUGCAUGAUGGUUUCAUGCUGCUGCUACUAGUUACAUGCUUCUGCUACUAAUUAUAUGCUCCAAAUGCUUUUAGUUACUUUUGUGUUUGUUUGUAUUUCAAAAGCAAACCAAAUUUAAGGAUGCAACACCAACUGCAAUUGACAUUUUCAAGAGCACUCACUGUAGCAGCAAGUCAGGUUUCAAUGAGCAAGCAAAGGAUGCUAUUGUAAGUAACUUAUUUCUUGCUUUGAUGAAAAACUAUUGUUUGGACAGAUCUUUAUGCUAAACAGAAAAUAAACAUGUUUGCACAUAUCUUAAUUUUUCUGGUGUUAUUGUUGCAAGGCUAACAUGGAGGCAUAUCUUGAUCAAGAAAUAGAAGAAGGACAAGCUCCAAAGACGCCACUUGAGGCUGUAGCUCAUGUUCUGCCAAAUUCAACAUUUCUUCAGAAUGUUGGUAUACAGCUCACAACAAAGAAGAAAAAUACCAAGGUUGCUGAAAUGUCUGCUCGUGUGAAUGAUCUUCAGAGUGAACUGCAAGCUGCUCAGAUGGGAUCAGCUGGACUACAAUCACAAGUCUCUGAUUUGGAGAAGCAGCUAGAGGAACAGAAAGAGGCAUCAAGGAAGAUUGAAGAAAGCCAAGAAGAAUGCUGAGGAGACAGAAAAGGUGAGGCAAAAAACUCUUGAAAUGCAAGGCUUCCUGCGUACCUUGUUUGCUGAGAAAUUUGCAUCAGGCCUUCUGCCAGAUCUUCAGCAGUAACCUCUUUGGAUCUCAUAUUUUGGUGGCAUUGGUGCCUGCGAUGCCAAGGAUGAUUUUGUUGACUGCAGCAAGACUAUUUUGUGUUCACUGCUAUUGUGUCGCAGCUGUUAUGCAAAUUUGAGACAACAGUUUGUUGAAUUGUAAGACUGUUAUACUGAAAUUAUUGUGAUGUCUUGCUGUGUUUGAGUAGUAGAUUCUUGAAUUGUAAGACUGGUGAUUUGGAGAUAAUAUUAUAUGAUGUAUGGGCUGAUUUCUGUGAUGUAUGGGCUGUAUGGGUUGAAUUCUGUGAUGUAUGGGCUCUAUGGGCUGAAUUCUGUGAUGUAUGGGCUGUGUUGUGAUUUGUAUGGGCUGGGCUGAAUUUUGUGGGCUUACAUAGGACAAAAAAGGCCUGAAUUUAGUGGGCUGAAAUUGUACUACUGAAAAAUCGAAUGGGCUAUAAUUAACAAAAUGAAUAUGGGCUAGAAAAAAGAAAAAAAUGCGCUCAACAAUUUCAGUCCAUAAAUAGAGCUUGUGUGGUCCAUGAAGUGCCUGGUUGCUAUAUGGACUUCAACAGGCCAAAUUUGAUUUUAUGACAUUUAUUUUCCUAUGCCAUGUCAUCGUCACGUUAGCUUUUCAUCUUACAUGGCAUUUUGCCAUGUGGUGAGGUCUCACAUAUUACGACAAAUAACUAAUAUCAUAACUUAUGAUAAAGAAUAUAUAGAUGUCACAUGAUCCAUUUGUGACAGUGAUUUUUUGACAUAUAGUUUUUUGUCAACUAAUUGUCACAACUCUUAUGUUGUGACAUUAUUUUCAUAUGUAAUGAUGUAUAAAUAGAAAGUCAAAAAAUCACAGGAUUCUUGUAGUGCUCGCAGAAAAAAAAUGGACAAAUGUCCGGCAGUAGAAUUAGGGGUACCUCGGUAUCCACUGAAAAAAAGAGAAAAGAGAGAGAAAGAAGAAAAUGAUAGCCCAUGGUCCCUCUAAUAAGCAAUAUGACAGCAAGAGUUGACAAGUUUUAAAUUUUCAAAAUCUUUGAUCAAAGAGUAUGAUAUUCCUCUCCUCGGAUCCUGUUUUGAUCAGGCAAGAAAUGCAAAGUAAGUAUGUGUAACAUCCUAAAAUUUGCUUGUUUUUAAAUAGUUGAAUUUGAUUUUAUAGUCAAUUUUGUGAGCAUCAAAAUAUAAGAAAAAAUAAUAAUAAUUGUUGAGAAAUUAAAAUUUAAUAUAAGUUUAGAAACAUGUUGAUGCAUUCAUGCUGCAGCAUUUAUUUAUGUGAUGUGUGGAAUUUGUAAAGAGUUUUGAAUUCAAAUUUCAUUUGAAAAAAUGAGUUUGAAAAAUUGUUUUGGAAAAAAAAGAAAAAUGGAAUUCCUUUUCUUCCCCUCUCUCCUUCUCUCGGCCUGCUAGGCCCAAAUUUCCCCGCGCCUCCUUUCUCCCUUCCUGGCCCAAGCCAGCCCAGCCGGCCAACUCCCCCCUCUCUCUCCCUCUCUCUCUCGCCGACAAGCAGGGCCCGCUUGUCAGCUCCUUCCCCUCCAAACCGCCUCCUCCCUCUCUCCCGAUUCCGCUCAACCUCAAGCCGAGCCGCCCCCCCGCUCCCCACGUUUCCCACUCCUCUUCCCCCCCCCCCCGCGCCUCAACUUAUGAGUCGCGUGCGCGCCCGAGCCCCCUUCCUCUUUCUCAUUUGCUCUCUUCCCGUCUCUGCCUUCGUCCCUGAACUUGCAGCAAGCUUGUCGAAACCGCCGCACGCCGUCCCGCCGAAUUGAGCAGCCAUCACCUCCGUUUUCGCUCUGGUGAGCAUCGCCUUCUCCCCCUAUUUCUCCCCGUACCUCUCUUGCGCCGUUUCGGGGUCCCUAGGGCCGUUUUCCGCGAGCUCCGGCGAGCUCCAUGGCCGCUGGCCAUGGAGCGGGCCGCGCGGGCUCUCCCCGGCCACGUCGAGGCCGGGAACGAGUUUGCCUCGCCCUCCUCUCUCACCCUGUGCUUUCGUAGUUGUAAACUGCACGUCGUAGCCUUCUAUUUUAGUGCGCCGGUGAGCUCCUCGCCACGGCAAUGGCGGCGCCGCCGCCAUCCCCUUCCCCUCCGGCGGCCGGCCCCCCUCCUCUCCCCUUCUUCCCCCCAGGAUCUAAUCCUGGCCGUCCAUUUCUAAUCGGAUGGCCAGAGACGCCCGAUACCCCUUCGGGUGCAAUUUUGCUUAAGAGCCCCUCCCUGAGUUCCAAAUUCUGCCCGCCGUCCUUAGGGUAUUCGUCAUGAAUGCGUCUUGCCGUGUUGAAAACGUAAAACGCACGGUUUGAUAUGAAAAUACGUUUUCAGAUAAUUACUAAAUUGCUAGUGAGUUUGUUUUGGCCAUAAAAUAUUUGUUUUAACUCCAAUUUGACCCGUUCAAAUUGCGUUAGAUUUAUAAUCUCAUGAACUUUGUGUUAGUAAUCUUGGUUCACCCGUUUGAAACAUUUUAACUUCGUGACCCUAUUUAAUUAAUUACUUUUCUAUAUAAAAUCUUAGAAAAUUAAUAUCUUCUCCGUUUUAGCUCCGAUUCGAUCCGUUCAAGUUGCGUUAGAUUCACAAUUUCAUAAGCUUCGCGUUGGUACCAUUGUUGUCUAGAUUCACCACUGUUAGGUUUCCUAGAUAAAUACAAGUCCGUAGAUAGCCUUUGCAGUCCCGUUUAAUGCGUAGAUUUCGCGUCGUAACUCCGUUUUGCGUGAAUUUUGCGUUGACGUGAUCGUAGCAGCAUGUAGAUGAUUUUGGAAAACUUUUAAUUAAAUUUAUUUACUGCUGGUGUAAUGUUCUAAUUCUAGUUUUGUUUGCUUUGUGUAUGUGUGGCCUUGAAUGCUUGUGUGUUGAUGAUUGGUGAUCGAGUUUAGUCAGUGGGCAUUACUUCGGUGAUCAAGAUCAGAGUCUUGGAAGCAAGUAAGAUCAGCAGGACCAGCAGGAGCAAUUGGAUCAAGGCAAGUAUAGCAUUUGGGUUUUAAUUCUAUGACUAUGAUCUUGUGACUAGAUUAAUAUAAAGCAACAAAUGAUAAUAAUGACUUUUUAGCAACUUGAGGAUUUAUUCGUAAGUGAUAACCGGGAUGAAAGUGCAACCAUGAGGGCUAUAAUGGCUCUGGCUUUAGUCAAGUAUGAGUAAUUUUUCUAGCUUGUUAGAGGUUACCCAUGUGGUGCAAAUGGGGGAUAGCAGACCGUGGAUCCCCUGCGGGGUAGAAUCACACGGACUGACUACCGAAACCAAGCGGCCCUAACCUGUUAGACGAACCUUUGAUAGACUUCAUAGUGAUCCCUACCGACCUACCUUGGUAGUGGGUUACGAGGCUGAUCACCUCAGGCAAAAGGGUAAAUCAUGACUCAUGGGUAAAGAUGUACAACCUCUGCAGAGUGUUAAAAACUGGUAUACUAGCCGUGCUCACGGUCACGAGCGGCCUUGGGGACUCUUACAUUAAGGGUGAUGAAUCUUGUUGUGUAAAUAUGCUCAUGAUUAUUGUUUAAUGCUCUAUAUUAUUUAUGUCACAUUGAUCAUGAGAUUGUGGAAUCUAUACAAUCUAGUUGUUAUACUUGCGGAGUCCGUCUUGGACUCACUCUUGCUAUAUCCCCCACACCUCAGGAGAAGUAUUGGGCUUGUGAUCAACCAGUCAGUUGGAUCCUAUAGAGUGAAGUUAACACCCGAAGUUUGGAGUUAUAUCCCAUGGUUUGCUGCCUAAGGUUGUUUCUGAUUUACUAUGUACGCUAUGUAAUUUAUGCGUUGUCCUUUGAUAUUACCCCUUAUUUGUAGCUAUAUGUGAGGCUUGUCUUCUAUAACUCACAUAUGGUGCAUAUCUGAUUUUGUUCUUAAAAUCGGGUGUUACAGUAUGCUUGAGAAUUUUUUGCAAAUUAAAACAGCCUCAGUAAGAUAUACAAAAGAUAAUGACUGACCCGAGAGAACCUAUGAGGAUAAAGGUAUGCUAAAUUUCUUUUCAAAAAAUAUACAAAAAAACUCCAAGUAACAGGAUUGGGAAGAAAGGACCUCUACUCUUGACCAUAUAUUUCCCUGACUAUGGUACAUAGUGAAUUUUUACAACACCCUGCAGAUAUGAAGAGAAUUUUUUACAAUGUUUUAACCCCAGAUAUUUUUCUUAACCAUCCUUUUCCCGAGGACGAGUAAAAGCCUAAGUAUGGGGGUAUUUGUUGACGGUUCUUAAGUAUGAAUUUUAAUUAUUAAAUAAACGAGGGAAAGGACCAAUAUACAAACAACACCUAGAAUUAGGGUUGGAUCUAACAAGAAUUCCAUGAGUUUUGUUAUUUAUCUGUUUCUGUAGGGGGUUACCAGGAAAUAAGGAAGAAAGGCCCACAUGUCGGGAUUACAUAGAGAUAUUAACGCACCGCGCAAUUUUUUACCAUCUAGAAGCCACGGGAACGAACGGGAAGGCGAUCGGGCCCGGGGGCAAGGCGCCCGCCCUAGAGUUCCAGUCAAUCCCGUCCAACUUCGCGGAUUACGCUCCACCGACCUAAAGGAUCAAGGAUAACCGUUCAAUCAAUGUCGGUUUGAUCCGACGGCCCACGUUCACCUGAGGGGACUAUAUAAGCAGACCCCCUGGCCCCUGGAGGAGACACAAGUUCAUCAUAGAGUUGAGAGGAGCCCUCAAAGGAUAACCUCUCCUCUAAAUAGACUUAGGGCUUAGCAUCUAAUAUGAGUAGAUUAGAUCUACUAGAUUGAUAGAGAUAGAGUGGAGGUGUAGAUCGGAGGAAGCUCGGCCUGUCGGUGUCUACUCCGAGGUUGUACCUGUGGGAUCAAGUUCUCCUAACUCGAAGCUUGCUCCUAGGAUUCUUUAGUAAUUCGACUUCUAAAUACUAGUAAGUUCUUGUUUUAUUGUUCUUUGGUUUAUAGUUUACUUUAAUCUCUUCGCGUAGAGUUUAGAGUAAUCAUCUCUAGCGUAGACGUGGUGUUUGGGCUAGCAUACUCAUAGAUAUUCCCUAACUAGCUGGACCGUGGUAGUAGCGAGGAACGUGACAUUUCUGAGUUACCUUUGCAGAUCAUAUCUCGUUAGCAGGACGGAUAGGAUUUAUAGGUGCGGGUUGAACAUCCUCUGUGGUGUCUAGAUCCCGUGAGCCUCUCCAAUAGAACAGUAGAUUAUCCUUACCAAGGUUAGAACGAGACUACAGUUGCAGUCUUCUCUAUAUAUCACUCACAUCGAGAAACAUUUUUUGUAGCCUAAAGGUUAGUAGUAAUAGACCAAGUUAGUCAGAUGCACUCUUUCUCCUAGUGGUAAAAAUAUAAAUACGAUACUCUGGAUAACAUCCCGGGUGAAGUGCUCACCGAUAUCCGUGCGCUUGCGGAUCAAUUCCUUACUGCGUUACCAAAUAUCAACAACAUACUUACAAGACAUUUAUUGCAUAGUCAAACCAUGGAUCCAGAGAAACAUGUCAAUAAGUCAAAUCAAGAUGUGCAUGUGUGGCGAAUGAAUGUUGUAUGGUGAUGAUGGUGAAAACAAUGGUGAAAGUCUAAUUCUACUUGUGCUCUUUUGAGGGGAUACAUACCUUUCUUGCUCUUUGAAACUUUUGAGGGGAAUGAGAUGCUCUUUAUUUUCUUUUUUUUCUUUUCUCUCAGGUGGGUAUCUUGUACCCCUAAUUCUACUAUCGGACACUUGUCCAUUUUUACCUCUCGUCUUACUUUUUUUUUUCUUCGAGGUUUCAGGCACUUGCCCCUUUUUAUUUCCUCGUAUUCACUUUUUUUUCAGAGCACUCACCCUCCUGGAAUAAUGUAGCAAGUGGUAGUAACCAAAAUAUCUCGAGCAUUUAUUUCAUGGGGAAUAACAGGGAUAGGAUAAUGUUUUUGGCUAUUCUCUCCUGGAUAGGAGUAGAAUAAUUUUGGGUGAAUCUGGAGACGGAAAUGAGUGGAUGUAUGUGGAUGCGUACUUCCGGAGUAGAAGCAGCAUGUAUGAGUGAACGUGCAAGUGAAUCUUGAUUUUAACCACAUGACAAGCUCCUAAGGGUCUACAUAGCUUGACCACACUCAAUGCUCAUAAGCAGUAAAAAGUAAAUGUAUGGUUCAUAGUCUAAUAAGCAUGUAUAUAUGGCUGUGGUAGGAUUUUAAACUCUCAACAUACAGGAACUCAUCAUGCAACAUUUUAAAGAUUUUCAAAGAUAAAAUUCUCUAGAAUUCUAGCAUCUCUAGGAACAGAUAAACAACAGCUCAACCUUCCCAUAUCAUAUCCGUUAACGACUUGGACUUGAGAUCAAGUACUCUUCCCACAAGUUUAGGUCUAGAGCAAAUCUUAAUUCAUAACAGUCAUACCUAAACUUGAGAGAGAUCUCAAAUUUGAAAACUAGAUAAUUGGCAGAGCAAUUAUUCAUCAUAUCUUGUGAGAGCUUAUCAUGAGGGUUCAUAGCAAACUUUAUUUAUUUAUUUAUUUAGCAAACUAAGCAAAGAUAUAUAUAUAUAUAUAUAUAUAUAUAUAUAUAAGCACAAAAUCUUUAUUUGGGUUUUUAUGAUUAUGUAUCUUUUUUUAUUUGAGUAAAGUAUAAACGCGAAUAUAAACACUUAGCUGGAUAAAUGGGGGUGCUCUCCCCCAAGCUGGAUUUUGACGUAAUUUCUUCUGAUGUAGCUAGCAGGUGGCGGAGGUGUAUUUGAAUGUCGGCAACACCUAGACAGCGAUUAGGAUGUCCUCCGUCUACUAGUCUUCUUUGAUCUUUGGAUUCUGCGGAGCUCAAAUAGACAACAAAACUUUGUGGAACUGGUUAAGUGUUAGCAUAAAAUCUCUUAGCCGUUAUCAUGUUGAGCUUUCUCUAAUAGAUAUUACUCUCUUUGGUAGGAUCAUAAAUUUAUUUUUAUAUUUUUAUUUCUAUAGGACAAGAAUAUAUUUAUUUUAUUUUUACGCCACCACAGUGAAUGUACUUAUGGGUUUUAUGCCACGAGCAUACUCACAUGGGGCUUACUAUUUUUAAUAUUUUUUUUAUUUUAUUUUCAAGAUAGCAUAAUUAACUAACAAGCUAUUCAAGGAAAGUAAAUAAUUUAUGGAAAAAGGAAUGCAGAAAGGAUAAAUAUGGAUAACUACCGAUUUUACCUUUCGGCAAGGGUUCAAUGUUUUAAGUCUUCUGAACAAGACUUCUCACCGUGUUCAUUCUUUAGGUGCAUCAUUUGAUUCAGGUGCGGAUCCUUGACGUCUGCACCUCUUGAUACGGUGUCACCCAUGUUCUUCGUUUGCCUAGCAGUUCAAAGUGCGGCGUUGGCAGUAUCUUGCUCAGUGUGUUUGUGCUCAUAGAUCCAAGUCCUUCACUUGGUAGAGUCUGGGAGUUGAAAAAUCCCCGUGUUUCUCAAAAUGUGUCCUACUCAUAGAGACGAUGCAGAGAUCAAGUGCAUGGGUCCUGUUGGUGGAAAACACCAACAGAACCAAAAGUAUAUUUAUUCUUCUCUAUCCUUAAGCAUAGGGAGAAAGACAAAGUUGAUGGAUGAUAAGUUCAUGAGUGUAGCACUUAUAACAUUUGUCAGAUUAGUUCGCUGAACCUUAUGGAAAGAUAAUCUAUCUAUGUAUAUGUAUUUUUCUUUAUAUCUUCCCAAAGAUUGAAUGUGCAACAUUUUAGCUCAUAUGAUUGGGAGUGUGGGAUCAUGGAGGUAGUACUAGGAACAAAGAUUAAAGAACUAAACAUGCUGAAUCAGUUGGGUUGGUUAAUUUGGAGUUAUAAAUCAUACAUGUUUGUCUAUUUAUUUAUGUGAACGCCAGAACCAAGGAGAAGCUCAUAAAAGUGAUAGUCACAUAUCUUAAGAUGUUACCUUAAUUGAAGAGUGAUGGUACCAUCUCACCUUGUGGAAACUUCCCAUUCGUAGUGUCUAUGUAUCUUCUUUAUGUACUUUGUCUCCUUUCAUGGAUCAUCUCUCUAUGAUGAAUGAGCUAUGUCCUUCUUGUGCAAAUUGUUACACUUCAUGUGUCUCUCUCUUCAUCUCCGAUGUGAGUUUAUCUCAGGACUUCCCAAAUCGACAUUGAAAGUUUUUCUGCAGGGGUUAGCCCGACAAAAUAUACCAAUGUCUACACAAGCAGUUUUUAGUUCAAUAACCGAACUAGACUCCAUGUCUAAUCAAAUUAAGGAAGGCUGUUUAACCUAAGCACCAUGCUUAAUUUAAAAGCCAAUAGAAGUAUGUGCAGUACUUCCAAACUAACACUUACUAGGAUAAACAAAGGUAGCAUGAUGGCAUUUAUAGAGAUGUACUCAAGUGGAGAUGAAGUAGUGUGAUUAGUAUUUAACAAAUUGAGCAUGUCUCAAAGGUAGAGACAACCAACAUAGCAACAUAGCAAAGGAUGUUUUUAUGUAAGAUACUCCCCCAAGCUUGAAUUUUGCAAAAUUCAAGUUUGGAUGAAUUUAAUUCAGUGUUGCAUGAUGAUUGGUUGGACAUACCUUGUGCUUGUCGUUCAUCCGAUCUUCUUGCUCCAAUCCUGGAAAGGUUAGUGACAAGAAUACCCAAAGGAAUAUUUUUACAAUUAUCCUUAUAUGCUCAAUACACAAGGUAAUGUUGUAAAUAAUUAAAAGCUCAUGUUACGAUCUGAUCAGUGCUUAUUUUAGGACACUAAGCUUGUCCUUGGGAAACCAUCAAUUUAUGUCGGCGAAGUGGUUUCCCUUCCAACGCUGACCUAUAUCAAGAUAAACUCAACGAGAUCUGCAAUAUUUAUUAUAGACAUAUGCAUCGACAACCGCCCUUUUAAAGUUUUUAUAAAUAGAAAGGAAGAGGGGGUUGGAGAUUGUUGGGUAUUCUUAACAUCAUUACUAAAAGUAGACUAAGUUCUAAAUCUAGCAACGGUGCCAAAAAUGCCAAACCUAUCCCUCACACCACUUAAGCCAAGUUGUCAUCCCCAGCAUGAUAUAAGAGACGCGGUAUUGAAAUAUGCAAUUGCUCUUCUAAAUAAAUAAUGAAUGGGAUCUGCAAGCGCACAGAUUAAUACCGAUGCAGCAUUUUAACCGGGAAGUAUUCCAGGUAUCGUUAUUUAUAUUUUUACCACUGGGAAGGGAUUAGAAAUCAUCACUAAUGAUUACAGAAUAGAAUAUGAGAUUGAGCAUCUAUCAUUGCAUGUAUAAUUGAGAACAUUAUAUCUAACUCAUCAUACAGGGAUAAGUGUCACAUAAAAGAUAUAUGAAAUGAUAAUAGUGACAAGGAUAUCUAAUCUGAUCUAGCCACAUAAUAAAUAUGAUAAGCACCUCAAUUAGAUACUCUAGAAAGUCAUUAGCAUGGUAUUAGAACGAACUACAAGAAUAUUCCCUAAGUUAUUCUCAACUAUAUAGUCUAGCAUAUCAUAGUUAGUGCAAGCAUACUUAGCAAUCAUUGCGAGACAAGACUACGCCCAUGCAUAGUGAUAUUAGCAAGGAAUAUGAGAAACAUAGCAAUCACUCCCCUGUAAUAAUGUUGCUCUGCCAGCCCAAUACACGAGAGGGGGACUAUAUAAGAAUCAAUGAAGCUGUCACUAUCACGAACUACCCCACAAUCUGGCAUAUUGGGUACAAUCGCAGAUAAAUACGGUAUAAGCACCACGCCUACACAAUAUCUAUCAUUUACCCAUGGAUCCGAUGGAUAAACGCUAUACGAUCCUAAGCAUGUAUAUAGAUCGUAUCUAACUAAGCCAAGUACAUAACUAUGAUAAACUAAGAACAAUAUAAUCUUGAAUAUAAGCAAGUAGAGCAAAGUCAUAAGCAAUAUAUUGAAGUAGAACAAAGUCAUAUUCAUAAUAUUGAAGAACAAAGAUAAUUAGAAAGCAAUUAGAAGCACAAUUAGAGAAUUACCAAGAAUCCUCCUGACAGAUCCGGAAACCAAUCGAAGAUAGACUCCUUCUAGUUCUAAUCCUAUGUAGCUAUGCUAAUCUAGAUAUCUAAUUGAUGUGGUGGCUCUAAUCUUGAUCAGAGGCUUCUUCUCCCUUGAUGGAACAAUGAAUUAGGGUUGAGAGGCUCCCUCCUCCAGGGGCCAGGGGGUCUGGUUUUAUAGUCCCUUCAAGUGAAUAUGGGCCCUUGGAUCAAACCUGUAACACCCCAGGUGUUUGUCACUUGCUAAGUACUAGGUUUGAGCUCAAACAUGACAAGUUCAAUGGUAAUAUAGAGGUCAAAGUCAAUCUAUGAAAGUAAACCCCAACUUGGGCUUGGUGGAUGCAACCUUGCUUGCAUAUAUGCCUUUUUAAAAGGUAUGCUUUGAUGAUGCUAAUGGAACCUUUUCCAUGUGCCUUAUAUCCAUCCCAAUCUAUGUUGGUCUAUGGAAAAGUUUGGUGAAGUUUGGAAUCAAGAAGUCACAUGAAAUGAUAAGUUAUAUCCUUGCCGGAAUGGCUCUAUUAAGGAAAUAGAAUCAUGGGUCAUCAAACAACCCUUGAAAACAUGUUCAUAUGACUCUAGAUGAAUUAUACAACAAAAGUCAUGAAGGGUUCAUGUUGAGCUUAUGUCAAGAAAAUGCUUCAAUUGGCCUAAAAUCCUAUUUGGAGCUUUAUCGGGUUACUGCUUUGACCAAAGUGAAAGAUUGACUUUCGUUGCAGUUAUGAGGUUUGACCCUAAAUGAAAGUUGUGGUUUUGCUUCUGUAGAAGAAACUUUAUUCAAGGGUAAAGAACCAAAUCAGCAUGCAAUUAGUUCAAACAGAGGCUCCAAGUUCGAAUCAGCUGCUGCUUUUUAUCCCUGAGAAAUAAUUCUAAGUCCCAGGAAAGUGACAGCAGCAAGUUUGCUUCUUUGUGACAUUUUAUUAUCCAAAUUCAUAUAGUAACUCAAUUGGAUUCCUUAAUAUGAGUUGGAGUACUCUUCUUGAUGAAAGCAAUGGAUCAAGUAUCAUCAAAUUUGGAGUUCAUUUGGAUAUCUAAAAGUAGCUCCCAAAACAGCAAAAGAUUAAUUUAUUGCUAAACGGACGUCGACCCGUUGGCAUGCCGCGUUCUCGUGUUUUUGUUAAGCAACUAAAGUUGGUCCAAGAAUAAAAGUGGUGGACAAUUACUUGGAGAAGGUCAUGUAAAAAGUUGCAUCAAGUUUGACAUGGUUUGGAUCGUCAAUUCUUGGUUUUGCUAAUCACCGUCAAUACGUUGACACUUAUGACUUGGCAUCUAAUUCUCUCUUAAUCCGUUGGCCUAAUGAUCUUGGUGUCUCAAUCAAAGUUGUAGUGCACGACGUGGUGAACAAACUUCGUUUUAGGCCCAAGGUCCAAUUCAGCCUGGAGCAAGCCCAAACCGGCGUCCCACCUUCCCUACUUUGCUGCACGCCACGUGCUCGAUGGAAUGGCUCCGUGGCGUUCAUGCAUGGACUGGCACCCCACCUCCAUUGCCACGCGCUGCCCUGCUCUCUGCGCCUCCAGAAGUGGGCGCUGCGCUCCCUACUCCUCCCUGCUCUCACUCUCUGCCCUCGCUCGCUCCUCCUUCGCUCGGUGCUCGCCUUGCUGCUCGCGCCGUCGCCAUGGCCGCCGUGGAAGCUCCUGCCGCCGCGUUCUCGCUGCUCCGGACCUCCUCACUCCCUGCAAGCGUCGUCAGUAGCUUCGCCUCCAUCUCCUACAUCUCGUGCUCGCGCUCGCCAUCCGAAUCCGUCGCCGUGGUCGCCGGCGUGCCGCCGCCGCCGCCGCCGUCGGUGUGCGUGCGUGGCCGGACCGCCACGGACCACCUUUGGCCGAGCCGUGGCCACCUUCGGGUGCGGCUCAUUGCCCUGAUGUUUCCCCACCCCUCCAUCGCCGCCGACGAGGCUCCGACGGGCCGGAACAUGAAGCUCCGGCGAGUCUCCCCUGUUCUGUUCGCGACCAGGGACCUCGGGCUAAAAUUCAUCAAAAGUGAGGGGUUCAAAUGUGAAGUCAUGACACAUGUGAAUAGUACCUGCAGGGAUCUCUCGGUUGUAGUUUGUUUUGCGGAUAACUUAAGGGUCUCUGUGCAAAUCUGUUUUUCUUUCAUAUGGCUGAAGUUUGGAAAAUCAUCAUAAAUUGUAGAGCAAUCGUAAAAUAGCAAAUGUGGACUUUUUGGAAUCCUUGUGAAAUUCUAUAUGCAGUAGAUCUAUAAUAUGGCAUGGUUUAGUUUGAAGUUUUAGUCGUAAAAAUAGAUUUAUGCAGUUAGAUUUUAAAUUGCUUGUUAUAUUUGUCUUUUUCAUAACUGCUGUGUUGUUGCCCAAAUAAAUGUGAAAAUAUUGUGACAUGUUUUUCAUAUGGUAUUUGAUGACUGGUAAAAGUUUCAUGAAUUUAGGAACAAUAGAUUAAGAGUUAUAAAAAUAACAAAUGUCAUGUGUUGCUUUGCUCCUAUUCUGAGUGGAUCUGCAUGUUUGUAUUGUUUGGCUCAGUUAAGUUGUGAAUCUUGCCUGGAUAAAAAUAUAUAAGUUUUAGUACUUUUCAUAAUAUUUCCAAAAAGAUAAAUAGCACAAUUUUUGGUUAAGCACAUGUUUAGUUAUAGUAGUUUAAAGUACUGUUCCAGUUUCUGUCUAAACCCAGACAGAAUUGCAUUGUUUGUAAUGUAAGACCUUGUUAGUCGUAUAUUUAGCUCUAGAUGUUUAUAACAAAGUUGUUCACAAUUUAGUAAGCUUUCUAGAAAGUACACAACCAUAAAUUAUGGAAAUUUGAAACUCAAGUUAUGGGUGUUUAAUGUAGCAUGACAGAUUCUGUCUGUGUUUUGGACAGAGAUAUCUUCAUGGGAUUAAUUGACCUUGUUAACUCUAGAUUCAUAUUUAGAUGAUAAUAAGAAAGUUGUAGGUAACUUUAUAAGCUUUGCAAAAAUAUAAGAAUCAUGUUGGCUGGAGGUCGACAACUCCAGUUAUGCUUCCUUGAAUUGCCUAUCAGUUUUCAGUUGUAAUUGUACUUCUACUGUUUGGCAGCAUGAGCAGUUUUGAUUGUGCAAUUAAUUCCAUGAUAUAAAUUAUGUUUUCUGUGAAACUUGUAUAUAGAAAAGAUGUAGAUAACUUACUAAUAUAUCUUGUUGUAAAGUUUCAUGUCAUUGGGCUAAGUGGUUUGUGAGUUACAGUAGUAUGAAGUUCGUCCUUUGAAUUGCUUGUUCUCUGGAAAUUCCUGGACCAGAUUAUAUGGUCAUGCAUGUUUGAUUUGGUUAACUUGUUAAUCAUACUGAUAUGAUUAAAGAUGAAUUGUAGAUAAUUCUAUAUUCUUUCCAGAAUGUCCAAUUGCAUAGUUUUUGGAGUUGUGUAACUCCAGUUAUGAUUUAAUUACUGAGUUGCUGCAUGUAUAUCCAGAGUUUGCUGAAAAUGUAUGAAUGCUUGAUUGCUUACUUUGUGUAUACUAAGUGUGACACAUGUCUUUAGUGGUGAUUAAACAAUAUACUUGUGACCUUAUAAAACGUGUGCCAUGCUUGAUAUGUUGCUAUCCAUAUUUGGUUGUGUGAUGCUAGUUAAAUAACGUUAGAUGCAUGUGUCUUGAAUACUUUUAUGUGAUGCAUGUUGUGUUAUUAUUCUUUAUAUUCAUGCACUUGCAUCUUGCAUCUCAUCUAGGUACGCUAGAUGAAUCACGUGAAGGUCUUGGUGUGGGAACAAACCCGAAGACGGUGUUGGGUGGAUCCCGAAGGUGGAAGGACUAAGCAAGCGUUGUGACCUUAGAUGUCACCAAGACGGAGCAACUAAUUAAACUGACUCCGUGUUGAUCCCAGGCAAGCCCCGGAGCAUUAUAAGUCUCCCACUACUUUGAAUGCAAUUGAGAAUGUAUGUUAUAUAUGUAUUGUUGCAUUAAGUAUAGGAGUUGGGUGAAACCCUUGCUGCAUAUAUCACUCCUUGUCCAGCAAAUAUACCUAUAACCUUAUGUAGAUUCAGGAUCGAAUCUAAAUGCUUAGCUAUGCUUAGAUCGGUAGAAGCCAGGUGAUCUCCUGUCACCUGAGCCAGAUAGGUGGACACCUGAAAAGGUUGGCUAUGUAUGCUAUCAUGGAAAUAACCAAGUGAUGAGGAUGAAUAAUUGGAGACCGGGCGGGACGAUGAUAGAGAAGUAACAAGACAUGGAGGUCUUGGGUGCCUAUCUAUCCCCGCCUGUGUCGAUUAAGGACCGAUCGUUGACGGCCCUCUUGUCAUGUUGAACGCAUGCCCCACACUUAGCUGGAAGGAUAAGUCGUUCUGACCGCGAAGCCUGAGCACUAUCCGGGCCGGGAAUCGGCCCGAUGUACGCGCUGUAUUGGUGAUGGUUGAGGAGAACGACGAGGGCGCGACGCGCAACCUUGGUAUACCUUGGAUACCUCGGUCGCCGGAACGGUCCUCGGGUACGGGCGGUGCCUGUCGAACCCGCGAAUUGGUCCUGGAUAGUGCAAUACGGUGAUCUGUAGCUCACUUGAUCAGUGAGUGUGGUUUGUGUGGGGAAUAAACUCGCCAGCUGGUUAGAAAUCGAUUCGAAUCGCCAUCGCUCCUGGAUAGUGAGCACUUGACUUGAGCUUCGUCAUCGUAGUAAUGUUUAUGGAACACUUGGAUGGUUAUGGUAUGAUGAUGAUGUUGGAAAUGCCACAUCAAAUAUGGGUACUACUGUUGUAUCUUAAUCAAGUGAUUGCUCUAGUACAGGUGCUAAUAUAGAUGACAGGUAAUGAUUAUUAACUUGAGCUAAAUACCUGAAAAGUUACUUACCUGUAACCUAAGCUUUUUAUGCAAAAAGUGUUGUCAAGCUAGCCCCACCAAUAAUGCCUUGCAUACUCCUUGGUGUCAUAUUAUUUUUGGUUUAUGACGGGUAAGUCUAGCUGAGUACCUUCUCGUACUCAGGGUUUAUUCCCACUUGUUGCAGGUUGUGAUGUAUCAUGGCUACUGCAAGAGUUGGAUGACUCCUACCGUAUUUGAGGAGUAAGAUCAUGGGCAUGAUCCUUCUUAGUUACCUCAUCUAUACUGCUUUUGUUGGAAUUGACCUGGAUACUGGCAUGUAUUUGAAAUAAGGGCAAUAUUAGUUUCAAAUUACUUCGCUUCCGCUACUUUUCAACUUAAGUGGUAAUAACUAUCUUGAACUCUGAUGUAUAUCAAACUACUUGUGAAAUGGAUGUAACAUGUGACUUGUUAUGUUGAAUCACUACGAUCUUGGCUUGUAAGAUGGUUGGUUUGAAAUCCCUCGUGAUUUCACGGACUACCGGGUUUAUGAGAGUUCGAUUAUGUUAAAGCAACUGCUUUGGCGGGAGUUUUUCAUAGUUGAUCUCUUGUAAAUUGGGCGGUUAUGUUACAGCUGGUAUCAGAGCAAGGUUCAACAUUAAACUUGUCAUAUGUGUAUUUAAAACAAAAGAUUUUGUUUUCUAAAAUUAGUUUUUGACAACUUAUAGCUAUUAUGAUAAAGGUGUGUUCAAAUCUAAAAAGGUUUUAUCUAAGUAUGCCAGUGGUCAUGUCCUUUAUGCCCAAUUAAGGACCCUUAGGUGGCUUAUUUAAGUACUGACUUGGGGGUUUAUGCAUCAUAUUUCUAUUUCGUUGCUCAUACGGCGUGCAAUAGUAUGAGUGCCAUUCAUUUGAAUGGUAAUGUAUGGAUCAUUUUUCCUCUACGCCUUGGUAAGUGUGAGCUAUGAGAGCAUGAUCGGAUACACCGCCGAUCUAGGGAAGUGCUUUUGGUACUGGAUCAUGUGCACAUUUUACAUGUGCCUAUGAAAAGGUAUCGCAUGAUGGGUGAUUCCGUCCUUAGAGGCGAUGCCGUCACUAGGACGAUGAUGUGGGUAGUAGCACUACACAUACAUGUAUGGGGAAUACACGUGUGUGGAGCGCAUAGCUUUUUAAUCUUGUACUGCAUGUUUCAUACUGUGGGUGGGCUGAAAUGAGUUUUCUGCAGGUAUGCUAACCACGAAUGCGUAAAUUGAAUAUUACGACUAGCUAUAUGUCGAGAGUGUACGUGUUAUGCCACCGACAUAGAACGUGAUUGCCACCUUAGGCUGGCAAUUUUGUGAGAACGAAUAGGACGAAGCAUGCAUCGUCAUGAUUGUUUCCUUAUGUCUAACUGUGCUUCUCUCACCCUUGUUCCAGUAAUAAAUAACUUGUGAAUCAAUGUGUGUCAUCUUGCUUGUGUGAAGUUAGAUGAAAUGUUUUGCUCCAUGUUGCUUGAAUAGCUAUAAUUGAAGGUAGGGUGUGAUUAGCUUUGUUUUGCCCGUGUUGUGGUCAAUCUGUGCACCCUGUUAGUAUGAUGCACAUCUCUAAGAUGACCAUUCUUCUAAAACAUAAGUAAAAAUUUGUUUUCACAACUAGAGAAGAGACAUACACCUUUCUAGUAAAAGAAAGUGAAAGAUAAAAACACCUUACCAUCAUGUUUUGUAUGUUCAGGUGUACUAGUGUUGCGUUAGAUGACUGCUUGUUAUCUUCAAACUUUGUGCUUAGUAUUGGUUCUUGGAGAUAGUAUGAUUGAUGUUCUCACAUGUUUGUUUAAAACCAUGAUGCAUGAGUAGAUGUGUUGUUAAUCAGGUAGUGUCGUAGUUGUUACCUUUUUGUCCUUAGUAAGCAUGCGAGUGUUGAAGAGCCUUAUCCUAGAAUAACACUCAUGUCACUUUAAUCUCAUGGUUAUCUCCAAGUAGAUUCCAAUGAUAAAGAGCUUGAGUUUGUGCAUGGUUGUUAGCUCUUGAAUGUUGUGUAUCCAUCCCCUAAUCUGUGUAUUGACUCAAUCUUUCAAAUCUCAAUCAUUUUAUCUCCAACUCUCUUGAGUCUCUGGGUAUUUAUCCAUCUUAAUCUCAUGUGAUCUAUGUUCUCUAGUACUAUGUUUUAAAUCACUUCCUUGUGAACCUCUAAUCUCAUGACUAUCUUAGUUGAUACCCCCUCUUUUGCAAAGUGCUCACUGCUAUGCAACCCAAUUUUUUGCCAUGAGAGAUUCCUUUUGGAUUGUAUGUUCAGUAAUGGUGUCUUGGUUAAUGAUUGAUGGUGCCGUGACGAAACCGAGAGCCCCUUGUGGCGGCCGACACAUGGUUGUGCUGCUCGGCACGCGCUGGUAUCGUUGUUGCUAGCCAUGAUCCAUUAUAGAACUACACCAAUGUGUCAUCUCAUCAUGAGUUUGUCCUUAAUUAUCUAUCUAGAUUUGAUUAGAAGAUCCUUACUUCACGUGCAAGUAAGAGAACUUCCUAUGAAGUUACAAAGAGGAUAACCUUUGAAGAACAGGUCACUGACAUAAACAUUAAUGGACUGCAAGAGAUGGUAGACAAGUGACACUAUUUAACUAUCCCUGCAAUGAUGAUGGCCAUUUAAUGAGCAACAUUGGUCAUCCACGCCAAACCAAAAGGACACACAACACUUAAUGUUGGACAAGUUAUCUGUUGAACAAGCAUCGAUCAUCACCAUUGUGCUUAUGCUCUAGUUUUCCUAGGUCUUGAUCUUUAUGUGCAUCAUGGUCAUACAGCUACAGUCAACCAUCUUUAGCAUGAAUCCUUAUCUCCUGGUUUUGAGGGUGACUAAUGGUUAAGCGUCAACCGCAAUUGUUGUAGUUAAGAGUAGAGCUUUGGAAAUUUUAGUGCUGAGAGCCAAUUGAUUGGUUGCUAGUAACAAAGCUAAUCUCAAGCAAGGAAACGAUGUAUUGAUAGCCAUGAAGGAUAUAUUUCAUCAACUAGUGAAUUAAACUGUGGAGUUGAGAGAUGUCUUGUCAGUCAGGAAUGUUGCCCUUUUAGCACCGAACAAGUUUAGUAUGUAUAUGUUCUGCCUACACAAAUGGUACCUCUUUGAGCUGAAUUUUGGUCAGAGGUUAGAAGACUCAUGGAUCUGUAUUUCUACCAAAUUUCAGGGGGAUGUGAGUGAUAAUUGGUGAAAUAUGAACCAAAACCCAAAAGGGGUAGAAAUCUACAAUUUCAGUUUUGAUAUCGAUCAUCCUUCGUAUAUAAAGUGGUGUUGAUUUUAGUGCCAUGGAUUAUAGUAUGGGCAAUGUCUUGCUGCAUAGAUAAUGCUUAUAUGCUGAAAUAAGAUUCUUUGUACCCAUUUGUGCCAGUGCAAAUCAAAAAAAAAUGUUUUGAAAGGUGUCAGUCAAUAGAUUUUCAAUAUCAGAGCUACCGACUGAUCUUAAAAAGGAAACCUCAAAAACAAAAGUAGUUCCCUUGGGUUGGUUUUUUCUAUGGUACAAGUCAACCUAACUCUUAUGCAAUUGCAUCAUGAAGAAAGGUCAUGCUUAACCUACUUGGUGGUAAACUGUUUCUUUAGUUGGUUGAACACUUGCAACUGUUGGAGACAUAUAGGCCCCACUAUCAUCCUUUGUCAGUAGUGGUUAUCCAAUUCUUACAUGCCUUGGUUACCUUCUAUGUGUUACCCAAGAAGUUACAUCUGAUUCAACCCAGAUAACUGUUGUUGUUUGGAUACAAGAAUCCCAUUAAAGUAAAUGAUCAUGGAAGGCAUGAAACCAACAGAGUCAGCUAUCACAUUCACUGUUCUCUUAAUCGGGUGGUCAGUACAAUGUUGUCAUCAGAGAAAAAGGACCUGCAAGUGUGGGAAGUUAUAAUUCAACCAUUUUGGUAGAGAACUGCUUUUCAAAUCUUGUGAAUGAGCCUGGAAUCAGUAUAAUGAGCAACCCUUAGAAGCUUGUGACAUAGUGUAAAGUUCAUAUGGCUUGCAUUAGUUUCACUAAAGAAGCUAAUGGUACAAGUAGCUCCUUAGGCUCUAAACAAUCAGAAACAAAGUACAUGGAACAAUGUUGUCUUGGAUUCCUCCCAAGGUAGUGCUUCAGUGGAGUCAAACAAAAAGGGAGUUUCUCUGGAUAAAGGUUUACUAUGAAGGGCAAGUAUCAGAAAAUGUUUGGAUCAAGUUAGCUUCUCUGAUGUUCUAAGCUAAGUCGCCCACUACUAUCGCUAAUGUUGGAAAAAUGCGUGACAUUGUUUUCUUCCCUUGAAAGUCUUUUGCACCGAAUCUCAGGACGAGAUUCUUUUAAGGGGGGAAGGCUGUAACACCCCAGGUGUUUGUCACUUGCUAAGUACUAGGUUUGAGCUCAAACAUGACAAGUUCAAUGGUAAUAUAGAGGUCAAAGUCAAUCUAUGAAAGUAAACCCCAACUUGGGCUUGGUGGAUGCAACCUUGCUUGCAUAUAUGCCUUUUUAAAAGGUAUGCUUUGAUGAUGCUAAUGGAACCUUUUCCAUGUGCCUUAUAUCCAUCCCAAUCUAUGUUGGUCUAUGGAAAAGUUUGGUGAAGUUUGGAAUCAAGAAGUCACAUGAAAUGAUAAGUUAUAUCCUUGCCGGAAUGGCUCUAUUAAGGAAAUAGAAUCAUGGGUCAUCAAACAACCCUUGAAAACAUGUUCAUAUGACUCUAGUUGAAUUAUACAAAAAAAGUCAUGAAGGGUUCAUGUUGAGCUUAUGUCAAGAAAAUGCUUCAAUUGGCCUAAAAUCCUAUUUGGAGCUUUAUCGGGUUACUGCUUUGACCAAAGUGAAGGAUUGACUUUCGUUGCAGUUAUGAGGUUUGACCCUAAAUGAAAGUUGUGGUUUUGCUUCUGUAGAAGAAACUUUAUUCAAGGGUAAAGAACCAAAUCAGCAUGCAAUUAGUUCAAACAGAGGCUCCAAGUUCGAAUCACCUGCUGCUUUUUAUCCCUGAGAAAUAAUUCUAAGUCCCAGGAAAGUGACAGCAGCAAGUUUGCUUCUUUGUGACAUUUUAUUAUCCAAAUUCAUAUAGUAACUCAAUUGGAUUCCUUAAUAUGAGUUGGAGUACUCUUCUUGAUGAAAGCAAUGGAUCAAGUAUCAUCAAAUUUGGAGUUCAUUUGGAUAUCUAAAAGUAGCUCCCAAAACAGCAAAAGAUUAAUUUAUUGCUAAACGGACGUCGACCCGUUGGCAUGCCGCGUUCUCGUGUUUUUGUUAAGCAACUAAAGUUGGUCCAAGAAUAAAAGUGGUGGACAAUUACUUGGAGAAGGUCAUGUAAAAAGUUGCAUCAAGUUUGACAUGGUUUGGAUCAUCAAUUCUUGGUUUUGCUAAUCACCGUCAAUACGUUGACACUUAUGACUUGGCAUCUAAUUCUCUCUUAAUCUGUUGGUCUAAUGAUCUUCGUGUCUUAAUCAAAGUUGUAGUGCACGACGUGGUGAAAAAACUUCGUUUUAGGCCCAAGGUCCAAUUCAGCCCGGAGCAAGCCCAAACCGGCGUCCCACCUUCCCUACUUUGCUGCACGCCACGUGCUCGAUGGAAUGGCUCCAUGGCGUUCAUGCAUGGACUGGCACCCCACCUCCAUUGCCACGCGUUGCCCUGCUCUCUGCGCCUCCAGAAGUGGGCGCUGCGCUCCCUACUCCUCCCUGCUCUCACUCUCUGCCCUCGCUCGCUCCUCCUUCGCUCGGUGCUCGCCUUGCUGCUCGCGCCGUCACCAUGGCCGCCGUGGAAGCUCCUGCCGCCGCGUUCUCGCUGCUCCGGACCUCCUCACUCCCUGCAAGCGUCGUCAGUAGCUUCGCCUCCAUCUCCUACAUCUCGUGCUCGCGCUCGCCGUCCGAAUCCGUCGCCGUGGUCGCCGGCGUGCCGCCGCCGCCGCCGCCGUCGGUGUGCGUGCGUGGCCGGACCGCCACGGACCACCUUUGGCCGAGCUGUGGCCACCUUCGGGUGCGGCUCAUUGCCCUGAUGUUUCCCCACCCCUCCAUCGCCGCCGACGAGGCUCCGACGGGCCGGAACAGGAAGCUCCGGCGAGUCUCCCCUGUUCUGUUCGCGACCAGGGACCUCGGGCUCAAAUUCAUCAAAAGUGAGGGGUUCAAAUGUGAAGUCAUGACACAUGUGAAUAGUACCUGCAGGGAUCUCUCGGUUGUAGUUUGUUUUGCGGAUAACUUAAGGGUCUCUGUGCAAAUCUGUUUUUCUUUCAUAUGGCUGAAGUUUGGAAAAUCAUCAUAAAUUGUAGAAAAAUCGUCAAAUAGCAAAUGUGGACUUUUUGGAGUCCUUGUGAAAUUCUAUAUGCAGUAGAUCUAUAAUAUGGCAUGGUUUAGUUUGAAGUUUUAGUCGUAAAAAUAGAUUUAUGCAGUUAGAUUUUAAAUUGCUUGUUAUAUUUGUCUUUUUCAUAACUGCUGUGUUGUUGCCCAAAUAAAUGUGAAAAUAUUGUGACAUGUUUUUCAUAUGGUAUUUGAUGACUGGUAAAAGUUUCAUGAAUUUAGGAACAACAGAUUAAGAGUUAUAAAAAUAACAAAUGUCAUGUGUUGCUUUGCUCCUAUUCUGAGUGGAUCUGCAUGUUUGUAUUGUUUGGCUCAGUUAAGUUGUGAAUCUUGCCUGGAUAAAAAUAUAUAAUUUUUAGUACUUUUCAUAAGCUUUCCAAAAAUAUAAAUAGCACAAUUUUUGGUUAAGCACAUGUUUAGUUAUAGUAGUUUAAAGUACUGUUCCAGUUUCUGCCUAAACCCAGACAGAAUUGCAUUGUUUGUAAUGUAAGACCUUGUUAGUGGUAUAUUUAGCUCUAGAUGUUUAUAACAAAGUUGUUCACAAUUUAGUAAGCUUUCUAUAAAGUACACAACCAUAAAUUAUGGACAUGUGAAACUCAAGUUAUGGGUGUUUAAUGUAGCAUGACAGAUUCUGUCUGUGUUUUGGACAGAGAUAUCUUCAUGGGAUUAAUUGACCUUGUUAACUCUAGAUUCAUAUUUAGAUGAUAAUAAGAAAGUUGUAGGUAACUUUAUAAGCUUUCCAAAAAUAUAAGAAUCAUGUUGGCUGGAGGUCGACAACUCCAGUUAUGCUUCAUUAAAUUGCCUAUCAGUUUUCAGUUGUAAUUGUACUUCUACUGUUUGGCAGCAUGAGCAGUUUUGAUUGUGCAAUUAAUUCCAUGAUAUAAAUUAUGUUUUCUGUGAAACUUGUAUAUAGAAAAGAUGUAGAUAACUUACUAAUAUAUCUUGUUGUAAAGUUUCAUGUCAUUGGGCUAAGUGGUUUGUGAGUUACAGUAGUAUGAAGUUCGUCCUUUGAAUUGCUUGUUCUCUGGAAAUUCCUGGACCAGAUUAUAUGGUCAUGCAUGUUUGAUUUGGUUAACUUGUUAAUCAUACUGAUAUGAUUAAAGAUGAAUUGUAGAUAAUUCUAUAUUCUUUCCAGAAUGUCCAAUUGCAUAGUUUUUGGAGUUGUGUAACUCCAGUUAUGAUUUAAUUACUGAGUUGCUGCAUGUAUAUCCAGAGUUUGCUGAAAAUGUAUGAAUGCUUGAUUGCUUACUUUGUGUAUACUAAGUGUGACACAUGUCUUUAGUGGUGAUUAAACAAUAUACUUGUGACCUUAUAAAACGUGUGCCAUGCUUGAUAUGUUGCUAUCCAUAUUUGGUUGUGUGAUGCUAGUUAAAUAACGUUAGAUGCAUGUGUCUUGAAUACUUUUAUGUGAUGCAUGUUGUGUUAUUAUUCUUUAUAUUCAUGCACUUGCAUCUUGCAUCUCAUCUAGGUACGCUAGAUGAAUCACGUGAAGGUCUUGGUGUGGGAACAAACCCGAAGACGGUGUUGGGUGGAUCCCGAAGGUGGAAGGACUAAGCAAGCGUUGUGACCUUAGAUGUCACCAAGACGGAGCAACUAAUUAAACUGACUCCGUGUUGAUCCCAGGCAAGCCCCGGAGCAUUAUAAGUCUCCCACUACUUUUGAAUGCAAUUGAGAAUGUAUGUUAUAUAUGUAUUGUUGCAUUAAGUAUAGGAGUUGGGUGAAACCCUUGCUGCAUAUAUCACUCCUUGUCCAGCAAAUAUACCUAUAACCUUAUGUAGAUUCAGGAUCGAAUCUAAAUGCUUAGCUAUGCUUAGAUCGGUAGAAGCCAGGUGAUCUCCUGUCACCUGAGCCAGAUAGGUGGACACCUGAAAAGGUUGGCUAUAUAUGCUAUCAUGGAAAUAACCAAGUGAUGAGGAUGAAUAAUUGGAGACCGGGCGGGACGAUGAUAGAGAAGUAACAAGACAUGGAGGUCUUGGGUGCCUAUCUAUCCCCGCCUGUGUCGAUUAAGGACCGAUCGUUGACGGCCCUCUUGUCAUGUUGAACGCAUGCCCCACACUUAGCUGGAAGGAUAAGUCGUUCUGACCGCGAAGCCUGAGCACUAUCCGGGCCGGGAAUCGGCCCGAUGUACGCGCUGUAUUGGUGAUGGUUGAGGAGAACGACGAGGGCGCGGCGCGCAACCUUGGUAUACCUUGGAUACCUCGGUCGCCGGAACGGUCCUCGGGUACGGGCGGUGCCUGUCGAACCCGCGAAUUGGUCCUGGAUAGUGCAAUACGGUGAUCUGUAGCUCACUUGAUCAGUGAGUGUGGUUUGUGUGGGGAAUAAACUCGCCAGCUGGUUAGAAAUCGAUUCGAAUCGCCAUCGCUCCUGGAUAGUGAGCACUUGACUUGAGCUUCGUCAUCGUAGUAAUGUUUAUGGAACAUUUGGAUGGUUAUGGUAUGAUGAUGAUGUUGGAAAUGCCACAUCAAAUAUGGGUACUACUGUUGUAUCUUAAUCAAGUGAUUGCUCUAGUACAGGUGCUAAUAUAGAUGACAGGUAAUGAUUAUUAACUUGAGCUAAAUACCUGAAAAGUUACUUACCUGUAACCUAAGCUUUUUAUGCAAAAAGUGUUGUCAAGCUAGCCCCACCAAUAAAGCCUUGCAUACUCCUUGGUGUCAUAUUAUUUCUGGUUUAUGAUGGGUAAGUCUAGCUGAGUACCUUCUCGUACUCAGGGUUUAUUCCCACUUGUUGCAGGUUGUGAUGUAUCAUGGCUACUGCAAGAGUUGGAUGACUCCUACCGUAUUUGAGGAGUAAGAUCAUGGGCAUGAUCCUUCUUAGUUACCUCAUCUAUACUGCUUUUGUUGGAAUUGACCUGGAUACUGGCAUGUAUUUGAAAUAAGGGCAAUAUUAGUUUCAAAUUACUUCGCUUCCGCUACUUUUCAACUUAAGUGGUAAUAACUAUCUUGAACUCUGAUGUAUAUCAAACUACUUGUGAAAUGGAUGUAACAUGUGACUUGUUAUGUUGAAUCACUACGAUCUUGGCUUGUAAGAUGGUUGGUUUGAAAUCCCUCGUGAUUUCACGGACUACCGGGUUUAUGAGAGUUCGAUUAUGUUAAAGCAACUGCUUUGGCGGGAGUUUUUCAUAGUUGAUCUCUUGUAAAUUGGGCGGUUCUGUUACAAAACCGACAUAGAUUGUAUGGUUUAGAUUCAUCCUUUAGGUCGGUGGAGAUCUCCCGCAAAGCAGAGUCCUGAUUGGACUCAGGAGGUGGGCGGGCGCCCUGACCAACUGGGCGGGCGCCCAGGGUCUGGCCCCGUUUCGCCUCCGCUUCGGUCCCGUGGCUUCUGGAGUCUUCUAGAUGUAAGAUAAUUGCGCAGCACGUUAAUACCUUUAUGUAAUCCUGACAUGUGGGCCUUUCUUCCGUAUUUCCUGAUAACCCCCUGCAGAAAUAGACAAACACCAAAACUCGUGGAAUUCUGUCAGAUAAAACCCUAAGUCUAGAUCUUGAUUUCAUUUGGAUCCUUUUCUUUAUUUAUUUGAUAAUUAAAUUUGAUACUUAAGGACCGUCAACAAACUCCCCGAAGCUUACCUCUUGCUCGUCCCUGAGCAAGGAUAGACUCAGCUAUGGAUCAGAAGUUGCUGCAAUAUUUUUUAAAAAUUUGACAGUACACAUGCUUUUAAAUAAGAUCUCAUCUCUGAGUUAGAGUAAACUGUCAAGACUUAAAACUUACUUACUUUACCUUCACCAUGGGACUUGUAACUGUCACUUCUGUCUUGAGUGGUUAAAAGAUAGAACAGUCUAGCCAAGUGCCAUGUCUCUUAUUCUUGAUCAGCUAUAGCUCUGGGGUUUUUGCAGAUUUUCAAAUAAAACUCAGAGAUUCUUUGUAUGAUUCUCUCAGGUCUCUCUUUUGUGGUAUUUUUGGAUUCUUACCAAGGCAUUGAUGGUAUAUGCCUUCUCUCAAGAUAUGUGGUAUUUGUGGUAUGAGGCAUAGUGAUAUUGCCUUCUCUCUCACCCUACUCUACUAAGGCUUUAAUAUCUGGAGCUCAUAGGUGGGAGAUAAAGUAUACAUACUUACAAGACAUUUAUUGCAUAGUCAAACCAUGGAUCCAAAGUAAUAAGUCAAUAAGUUUAAUCAAGAUGUGCAUGUGUGGCGAAUGAAUGGUGUAUGGUGAUGAUGGUGAUAACAAUGGUGAAAACAAUGGUGGUGGAAGUCUAAUUCUACUUUUGCUCUUUUGAGGGGAUACAUACCUUCCUUGCUUUUGAAACUUUAUGAUGAGAAUGAGAUGCUCUUCUUUUUCUUGUCUCUCAGGUGGGUAUCUUGCACCCCUAAUUCUACUGUCGGACACUUGUCCAUUUUUACCUCUCAUCUCACUUCUUUUUUUUUCCUUUCGAGGUUCCGAGCACUUGCUCCUUUUUAUUUCCUCGUAUUAUUCCUUUUUUUUUAGAAAGCACUCAUCUCUUGAGAUAAUAUAGCAAGUGGUAGUAACAAGAUAACUUGAGCAUUUAUUUCACAAGGGGAAAACAGAAAUAUUUUUGGUUAUUCUCUCCCGGAUUAGGAGUAGAAUAUUUUUAGGUGGUUCUGGAGAUGGAAUGGGUGGAUAUAUGUGGAUGGUACUUCCGGAGUAGAAGUAGCAUAUAUGAGUGAACGUGCAAGUGAAAUCUUGAUUUAACCACAUGACAAGCUCCUAAGGGUCUACACAGCUUGACCACACUCAAUGCUCAUAAGCAGUAAAUAGUAAAUGUGUGGCUCAAAGUCUAGCAAGCAUGUAUAUAUGGCUGUGGUAGGAAUUUAAACUCUCAUCAUACAGGAACUCAUCAUGCAACAUUUUAAAGAUUUUCAAAGAUAAAUUCUUUAGAAUUCUAGCAUCUCUAGGAACAGAUAAACAGCAGCUCAGCCUUUCCAUAUCGUAUCUGUUAACAACUUAGACUUCAGAUCAAGUUUUCAUCCCACAAGUUUAGGUCUAGAGCAAGCUUUAAAUUAUAACAGUUAUGUCUAAACUUGAGAGAGAACUUAAAAUGUGCAAAUUAGGCAGAGCAACUAUUCAUCAUAUCCAUGCUUAAGUUUUAUUAGAUACAGAUUAGCAUAGCCACUUUAUUUAUUAAUUAAACAUACUAAGUAAUAUAUAUAUAUAAGCAUAAAAUCUUUAUUUGGUUUUCCCAUAGUUUAUGUGUAUUUUAAUAUUCUAAAAUAAUAUAAGUAUAAAGAUAGAUAAAAAUACUUAUCGGAAUAAAUGGAGGUGCUCUCCCCCAAGCUGAAUUUUGACGUAAUUUCUCUUGAUGUAGCUAGCAGGUGGCAGAGGUGUAUUUGAAAGUCAGCAGCAUUCUGACAGCGAUUAGAAUGUCCUCCGUCUGCUAGUCUUCUUGAUUCUUAAAUUCUGUGGAGCUCAAAUAGACAACAUAGCUUGUGGAACUGAUUAAGUGUUAGCAUAAAUAUCUAGCCUUUAUCAUGUUAAGACUCCUUAAUAAUUGUUACUCCCUGUUUUUAUAUUUUUUUCUUUAUAAAGCAGAAAAGAUAUUUAUUUUAUUUUUAUGCCACCACAGUGAAUGUACGUAUGGGUUUUAUGCCACUCGUCUAUUCACAUGGGGCUUACUAUUUUUCACAUUUUUAUUUUCUUUUUAAGACAGUAUGAGCAUGUUUAACUAAGUAAACUAUUUAAAAUAACUGAAAGGGAAAGGAUAACUACCAAGUUUACCUCUUGGCAAGGCGUCCGGUGUUUUUAAGUCCUCCGAACGGGACUCUCCAUUUUCUCAAUCGUCCUGAGGUUCGUUGGGUGGCGUAGUCGGUACUUCCGGCAGCGCCUCCUCUUCUUGUAUAGUUAUCUUCAUUUUCCAUACCUGACUCGGUGCUUCAAUCUCCUCUGGAUAAUUCUGUUUAAACUCUACGUUUUCUGACCUUACAACUUCUCCUUCAUAGUCUGCCCAUCCGUCCUUGAUGAUCUGCCUCCUCUGGUUGCGGUUGCGUCUCUUUCUGACCUGCUUAGAUUCUUCAACGAUAUAGUCAGGGUCAGUAAAAUAACGGCGUACCUUCUCUGAGGGGAAGUGCAUAUGGACUUCUCCGGUUCCAAUAUAGAUAAUUGCUUUAACGGUGCUGAGGAACGGUCUUCCAAGGAUGAUGGGUGGAUCAUAUUCAUCUUCUCCCAUGUCAACAACUUGAAAGUCUGUGUAGACAAAGUGAUCGUCUAUUUUGACUGGGACAUCAGAUACUAUUCCUUUAACUUCUCGAAAUGUCUGAUCUGCCAUCUGGAGUUGAAUGUAUGUGUCGACGAAAGCUAGUCGGCAGUCUACCUUGGGGUAUACCCACGGUAGUAGUUUAUCGGUAGACGGUGCGCAAACUACGAACUCGAUGGUGACGCAAGACACGGACAAGCUUUUUAUCCAGGUUCGGCCGCCGAGUUGGCGUAAUACCUACGUCCUGCGUCUGGUUGUAUUGGAUUGUGUUGAGAGAUAAUCUGUCCUAGGGGGUCCCCUUGCCCCUCCUUAUAUAGUCUGGAGGGCAGGGUUACAGAUCUAGAAACUAAUCCUAGUCGGUUACAAUUGCCAUAGAUAAUUCGAUAUCAAUUCCUAUUCUAACCGACUAGAAUCCUGCUUGAUCUCCACGUCCUGUUUCUUUGCACGAAACUCGGGCUGUCGGAUCAAGCUUUGAACUCGUCUCGUAGUGGGCCAAGCUUCCUGGCUCAAGUCUAGCCGUAAGGGUAUAGGGGUUUAUACCCCCACAGCUAGUCCCCGAGCACCAUGUAUUGUGAUGCAACACGCCGUCUUGAACUUCUUCGAUCAGUGAGGCUUGUCGUCUUCAAUGAGCGGGGAAAUCGCCCAAACGUUGUCAUCGAAGAAGCAGGUUGUUCGAAGAAUGCAUGGUCCUCUAAAAAAAAUUUCUUUCCUGGUGAAGUGUGCCCACUUUGCCUUUCUGAAAGGUAGAAGUAUCAAAAAAGCAAGCAAAUUCACCGCCAGGUGAAGUGUGCCCACUUAGUCCCCGAGCCUGGUAGUAGGUGGCGUAGGCACGUGGUGCCAGGGUCAAAGGAAAAUUCCCCAAAGUAGUUUUGAGACUGAGAUGCAUCGCUAGAUGCAUCGUACCGAUGUAGUCCCCGAGCUUGCUGGAAGGCGAAGUAUGUGCCUUGUAGCAAGGUCUAAAAAAUUGAAUUUACCAGUCCCCGAGCAUGUCAUGCUCGUCUGCGAUCGAAAAGACCAAUCGACCAGUCCCCGAGCAUCGAGUGCUCAGUUUCCUAAGCAUGCUUUAAAGCUUUGAGUUGAUAGACUGAGCGACCAGUCCCCGAGCGUCGAGUGCUCGGUGGUCGGUGCAGUCCUUGAAGUUCUGAGUUGAUAGACUGGGCAACCAGUCCCCGAGCGUCGAGUGCUCGGUGGUCGGUGAAGUCUUUGAACUUUCGAGCUGAUAAACUGGGCGACCAGUCCCCGAGCGUCGAGUGCUCGGUGGUCGGUGCAGUCUUUGAAGUUCCGAGCUAAUAAACUGGGCAACCAGUCCCCGAGCGUCGAGUGCUCGGUGGUCGGUGCAGUCUUUGAAGUUCCGAGCUAAUAGACUGGGCGACCAGUCCCCGAGCGUCGAGUGCUCGGUGGUCGGUUCAGUCCUUGAAUUUCCGAGCUGAUAGACUGGGCGACCAGUCCCCGAGCGUCGAGUGCUCGGUGAUCGGUGCAGUCCCCGGAUUGCUGACUCACUGGCGUAUGUGUCUUCUUACUUUUGAAAUGGUCUUUCAAAUUUAAAGUUGACGUGACGGGGUCUCCUGACGAUAUGUCAGACGGAUGCAUGAAAAGCUGUGCCUGGCAACUGUACAACCGCUCUUUGCGUGGUUUGAGAAAAGGAAACCAUCAAUUGGUACGAAAACUCCGCCGCAUUAAUUGUCUAUAAUCAUUGUAAACCGAAACGCCGCGUCCGCCGCAUGGCCUGCCCACUUCCCGAGAUUACAGGAAGUGGGAGAGGUGGGGUCGCUGGUUUAUAAGGGCCUAAUAGGACCGCCUGUACCGCUUCUCCUGCCAUUGCCUUCAAACCUUCCGUUCUCAUCUUCUCCAAUCACCUGCAUCUUCCUAACUCCGGCCCACAUUCGCACCUCUAAUGGCGAAGAGCGACUCCAGGAAGAGGGCCGACCUGAUGGCCAAGGAAUGGAAGAAGUCUCGCAGCACCACCAAAUCGCUUGGUGACCUCGUCGAUAUGGGGCUGUUGCACGACGCAGAGCUCGGCGGCUGGAGGGCACCAGAGGGGGAGAGCUACCCCGAUCCUCGCGCCGGUGAGGUCGUCGUUUUUGAAGACUUCGUUAAGAGAGGUUUUGGUGUUCCUGUCCAUCCUUUUCUUCAAGGUCUUUUGUACUAUGAGAUCGGGAUUUGCAAUCUGCACCCGAACUCAAUUCUCCUUAUUUCCACCUUCAUCCACCUGUGCGAGGCCUAUGUUGGCAUAGAGCCGCACUUUGAUCUUUUCCGGUAUCUUUUCUGUCUGAGGAAGAAGGGAGCAGUUGGAGGCUCCAAGGUUGCAGGUGGAGUAUACCUCAACCUCCGUGAUGGGAUGAAGAAUCGCUACCUGCACUGCCCAUGGAACACCUCCUUGACCGAAUGGUACAGGAAGUGGUUCUACGUCAGGGAGGAACCGGGCAGCUCCACGUUCUGCGACGUGGGGUACGUUCCCGAGAAGAGGGCGAGCUGGUCUGACCGCCCAGAGUUCGACGGUCAAGUGGCGGAUCUGAUGAAGCUGAUCGACUGGUCGCGCCUGGAUGGGCUUAGCGUGGUCGGCAACUUCAUUUGCCGCCGGGUGAUGCCCUGCCAGAAGAGGGUGCACUCGGUGUAUGAGUAUGCCGGAAGCACAGACCCGACCAGGAUGCGGUCGGAGAUCCUGGAGAAGGCGGAGGUACAACACCUGCUGAACGAGCUGUUUAACUUCGCGGAUGGGGGCUUCACCCGUAGCAGCGAUCGGGUGCAAGCCUUCAAGUUAGGACGACCAGCACCAAAGGUAUGUAGCAGACUUCGUUUGAUCAUUCGUAUGUCGCCUGUAGUUGGCUCAUCUCUGUUACUUUUGCAGGUCGGUGAUGUCGACCGGUGCGUAGUGUACGUAUCACUGGCACCGGGGAUGGAAGAUCCUGUGGAAGAGGUCCCGCCAGAGGAAGGCCGAGCCCGCCCCGUCCCGACCUCCGAGGAGAGGGUGGCGGGGAAAAGGCCAUUGCCGGUGGAUCCCCUGCCGACGCCGGAGCUGCCGGCAGACCUACCGGCGGAGAGCAGCCAAGCGCCGAAGCGUCGUCGGCUCGUGCGGAUCGUCGACGACGACGACGACGACGAGGAGGCUGCGCCGUCGUUGGUCCGACGGCCUCGGGGCCGCCCAAACGCUGCACCGGUCGCCACUGAUCGAGUGGCCAGCGGCGCAGCUGCCCCGCAAGUUGCCGAGGUGGGGGCACAGGCGCCGACCGGCCGGGCGAGGAGGAGGUUCACCGCGACCCAUCGCCGGUCAGACCUGUAAGUGUUCAACUUACGUAUUUUUUUUUUUAAACUUCUGUUCCUGUAGUGCGGCAUCGGAUGUCGACCCUGGCCAAACUGCCGGCCAGGGAACGGGCGAGCCUGCCCGCGGUUCUGGGGAUGCGGCCCCCCAGACCACAGAGCAGCCGACUGCUGCAGUCGCGCCUGGGAGCACCGAGGAGCUCCCGAGCGCGGCGCCGACUACAACAAGCAGUCCGACCAGGGCUGGGGAGGCUCCCCCAACUGACUCCUCGGAGAAGGGAAGGUCUCCGACCGCUCCUCCUGCCGGGGGGAGUGAAGUCCCCCCGCCGCCCCGAGCAGGAGCCUCUCCAGCUGCGGGCUCCCCAGGUCUGGUCCAAGGGGCGGUGACGCCUGGGACCACCACCGGGGGUGACGCAGCCCAGGAGGAGGAAACCAGGGCGGCCUCCGACGACGAGGUAGAAGAGAUCGAGGGUCGUCCCCGUGAUGGCCGCCAACACGUGUAUGUGUGGCGCCAACGCGGGGAUCACUUUAUCGGUCAUGAGGAGCUUGCCGAGUCCGAAGAGGCCGCCAGGGUGGAGCGCGCGGCCAAGCGCCUUGUCGACGAAGUCAAGGUAAGCGGCGUUUUGAGCUGCCGCGCAUUCUUUUGCCUUGUCUUCUGCGCAUUGUUAUAUGCUUGCUUUGUAGGACGUUAUGAAAACGGCGAAGUACCGGAAACGGUGCUUUGACCAGAUAGAAGGCGUCAUGGCCGAGAACAAGGCCCUUGCCGCGGAGGUAGACCGGUUGCGGGCGGAGGUCGGAGAGAAGGUGGUCGAGAUGAGCGCCGAAAAGGAGCGUCGUCUCGACCUUGCUCGUCGUCUGGCCGACCAGUACCGGCUGCAGGAAGGUUAGUCAUACGCUCCGAGCAGUUUCGCGUACUUGCAUAGUUUGCUUCGCUGACCAGUUUGAUAUUCACGCAGACUUGGAGGAGGAGGUGGCGAGCCUCCAACAAGAGAAGGAGCAGCUCAGCCAACAGCUCGCCGGUGCUCAGGAGUCCGGGCGGCGAGCGGAAGAGGAACUGGGUAGAAAAGACCGGGAGUUAGCUGGUAAUGGGUGCCGCCUUGUUGGUUGCUACCUGCCCCUUUGCUUGUCUGGUAUGCCGAAAAUAACGUUUCGUUUCGUUUGCAGUGCUCAAGGUGAACGCCAAAAAACACCUGGAUGAGCUGGUCAAGGACCGGGACUCCUGGAAGGUCAACUGUUGCAGGAUCUGGAAGGGAGUGUCCCCGGUCCUGGACCUGAUCAGUCCCGAGCUCCCGGAGAGCCAGCCCCGCGUGCCGCCGUUGACCCCGGUCGAGAAGGCGCAACGGGCGUGGGACUGGCUCCAGCAGUUUGUGAAGGACGCCGGGGAGUUUGCCGGCGCGCACGUCCUCAGCAUGGUACGCGCCCACUACCCCCUGGUCGACUUGAGCAGGCUGGAGAAGGGGUACCCGAAGGAAGUCGGCCCACAGGAAGCGGACGAACUUCGGGGUAGUCUGCUGGACUUGUCGUCGACAGUGAUCGGCGACAUCAACCUGUGCGGAACGGCCACUCCUCCAGACCAGCCGAGCUCAGAUAGGUCGGCCAGGGAGUUGUCGGGCGCGUCCGUUGCUGGAGAUGGGCGGUCGACGCCUGCGGUCUCGACCAGCCAGGCGCCGGUGGCCCCGACCCCUUCGUCCGGGCAGCAGGGCCAGGCGGGUGAUCAGCCCGAGCAGCUAGGCCAAUAAAGUAGUCUGUAGGCAUAGACUAGUAUCUGCCCGUCAGGGUAUUUAUUGUAAACUUUGUAUGUAAAGUUUGUAAUAAAGUUUUCUUUUUUGUCAUGACUGUUGUUUUGAGCGCUGUACAAUAUCUGAGUGACGUGUCACCGUGUUUGUCUUGGUUGUCGCCAAGAGCAUCCAUCGCAGGAGUUUUGCCGAGUGCUGUGUAUGACAAGGUAUAGGCGAAAAAUAGAGAAUCUUAUUAUCAAAAAAUUAUAAGAUACUUACAAAAGAAAGUCAUUAAAACUUUAUGGAUAGAAACGUCGCAGUUUGUCGAUGUGCCAAGAGUUAGGUACUCGUGUUCCGUCUGGGUAUGCCAAUCUGUAGGACGUAGGUCGUGUGACCUCGGUCACGACGAAGGGUCCUUCCCAGGGAGUGGAUAACUUGUGCAUUCCCUCCUGGCUUGUUUUCCAUCGGAGCACCAGAUCGCCGACCACGAAGGAACGGUCCUUGACGUUCCUGUUGUAGUAUCGCCUGACUGCCGCGAGAUAUUUUGCUGUUCGGAGACAUGAAACUAAACGCUUUUCCUCCAUGCAAUUGAUUUCGAGUUCUCUGGCGUUGUCGGCGGUCGCCUGGUCGAAGUGCUCGAUUCUGGGAGAUCCGAAGUGUAUGUCGGACGGCAAGACCGCCUCAGCACCGUACACCAUGAAGUAGGGAGAUACCCCUGUGUUUCGACUGGUCUGAGUUCGGAGGCCCCAGACCACUGCCGGCAAUUCUUUCAUCCAUCGACCGGGUGCUCUGUCGUUCUCGGUGUACAAUCUUUUCUUUAGGGCGUCGACGAUCAUUCCGUUAGCACGUUCAACUUGACCGUUGGCACGUGGAUGUGCCACUGACACAUAUUUUAUGACUAUGCCUCUGUCAUCGCAGAAAUCCCAAAAAGUGGUGCCAGUAAACUGAGUGCCCAGGUCGGUGAUUAUGCUGUUCGGGAUGCCGAAUUUGUGUAUGAUUUGAUUGAGGAACUCCACAGCCUUCUCGGAGGUUGCCUUGACCAGGGGCAUGUAUUCAAUCCACUUGGAGAACUUGUCGAUUAACACGAAGACAAACUUGAAGUUGCCCGGGGCUGGUUUAAAUGGUCCGAUCAUGUCGAGCCCCCAGCAAGCAAAGGGCCAAGACGACGGGAUGGUUUGAAUUUCAUGGGCAGGUACGUGGGUCCUCUUAGCGAAAAACUGACAUCCUUCACAAUGUCGAACCAGUUUUUCUGCGUCGCUGACCGCGGUUGGCCAAUAAAAACCUGCUCGGAAAGCCUUUCCGACCAGCGUUCUAGAUGCGGCGUGGUUGCCGCAAGAUCCGGCGUGUAUGUCCUCCAAGAGCUUGAUACCAUCGUCUUGGGGUAUGCACUUGAGCAGUACCUCGGAGCUUGCGUUUUUCCGCAUGAGUUUUCCGUCAACCAGGAUGUAGUUCUUUGAUCGUCGGAUGAGACGCUCGUUCUCUGUUUUGUCUUGAAAACCUGUCCCAUCCGAGAUGUAUUUGAUGAACGGGAUACGCCAGUCACGCCCACUGGUUGUCGGAGUGGCGUCAUCUAUGAGCAUUGCCUCGGUGGGUUGCUUGUCGACCAGGGUGGAGCUUACGCUCGGCUCACGGAUGUCCUGGACGAAAAUACCCCGCGGGAUUUGGGCCCGAGACGAGCCUAACUUUGACAACGCAUCUGCUGCUUGGUUCUUGUCCCGGACUACGUGGAUGUACUCUAUGCCAUAGAAGUUAGUUUCCCAUUUGCGAAUUUCUUUGCAGUAGAGAUCCAUCUUCUCGUGGGUUGCGUCCCACUCCUUGUUGAGCUGGUUGAUGACCAAAGCGGAGUCCCCGUAGACAUAGAGGCGCUUAACCCCCAGCUCAACGGCUAGUCGUACGCCAUGUAAGCAAGCUUCGUAUUCGGCGACAUUGUUUGACGCCGGAAAAAGGAUCCGAAGGACGUAACGGAGUUUGUCCUUGUUGGGUGAUACGAACAAGAUCCCAGCGCCUGCACCGUUGAUGUUCAAGGACCCAUCAAAGAACAUUGACCAGUGGUCUGAGACAUCGGGAACGGAAGGCUCGUUGAGAUCCGUCCAUUCGGCAAUGAAAUCGACCAGGGCUUGAGACUUNNNNNNNNNNNNNNNNNNNNNNNNNNNNNNNNNNNNNNNNNNNNNNNNNNNNNNNNNNNNNNNNNNNNNNNNNNNNNNNNNNNNNNNNNNNNNNNNNNNNGAGCAUUGCCUCGGUGCCUUGCUUGUCGACCAGGAUGGAGCUUACGCUCGGCUCACGGAUGUCCUGGACGAAAAUACCCCGCGGGAUUUGGGCCCGAGACGAGCCUAACUUUGACAACGCAUCUGCUGCUUGGUUCUUGUCCCGGACUACGUGGAUGUACUCUAUGCCAUAGAAGUUAGUUUCCCAUUUGCGAAUUUCUUUGCAGUAGAGAUCCAUCUUCUCGUGGGUUGCGUCCCACUCCUUGUUGAGCUGGUUGAUGACCAAAGCGGAGUCCCCGUAGACAUAGAGGCGCUUAACCCCCAGCUCAACGGCUAGUCGUACGCCAUGUAAGCAAGCUUCGUAUUCGGCGACAUUGUUUGACGCCGGAAAAACCCUCCAUCCGGUUAGCUUCUGAAUAUCCUUGACGUUCUUCGGUGGUCGCAUGUCGAGUACGGCUUUGACUUUUGAAGGGUUUGGUCGUAUGCCGUCGCAACUGACGACGUUGCCGAGCAGUAGACCGGAAGGAACGCCGAAAAUGCAUUUCUUGGGGUUGAGCUUCCACUUGUACCUAUUGAGUGCCUUGAAGGUUCGGUCUAAAUUGUCGAUUAGGGUGUUCGCAUCCCUUGUUUUUACGACCACGUCGUCCACAUAGGCCUCGACGAGGUCGUCGCGAAUCUCGUGGUGGAGGCAUUGCUGGAUGGCCCUUUGAUAAGUGGCCCCGGCGUUUUUAAGUCCGAAAGACAUGGUAGUGUAACAGUAUGCGCCGAAAGGUGUGAUGAAGGAUGUUUUGAUCUGAUCUUCUUCUUUUAACGAGAUCUGGUGAUAACCAGAGUAGCAGUCUAGAAAGGAGAGGAGUUCGCAUCCGGCCGUUGAGUCGACCACCUCGUCGAUGCGAGGAAGACCAAAAGGAUCUUUAGGACAGUGUUUGUUGAGAUCGGUGUAAUCAACGCACAUUCUCCAUUCAUUAUUCUUUUUGCGUACAAGAACCGGAUUGGCGAGCCAAUCGGGAUGAUACACCUCUUUUAUGAAUCCGGCUGCUAGAAGCCGUGUUAUUUCUGUCCUAAUAGCCUCCUUUUUGUCACGAGCGAACCGUCGCAGUUUUUGCUUGAUUGGUCUUGCGGUCUUCGAGACGUUUAAGGAGUGCUCGAUCAGGUUUCGUGGGACACCGGGCAUGUCUGCGGGUUUCCAUGCGAAAACGCUCACGUUGUCCCUUAGAAACCUGACGAGCGCGUCUUCCUAUUUUGGAUCCAGGUUAGCCCCGAUGAGGGCUGUCUUCUCAGGGUUGCCUUCGACUAGCUGCACUUCUUUGUACUCCUUGGAUUUCGAAUUCUUUCUGGAUGUCUCCUGCUCGGGUAAUCGGAGCUGGUCGGGAGGCAGCUGCGCGGCUUGGCUUGCUGUUUCCGCCAUGCGGAUUGAGAGGUCAAUUGCCUCGGUGAUCUUGAAGCUUUCUUCUUCGCAGGUGUACGCCGUGUAGACGUUGCCUCUGACGGUUAGGACACCCUUCUCCGUGGGCAUCUUAAGCACUAAGUAUGAGUAGUGCGGGACUGCCAUGAACUUUGUCAGCGAAGGGCGGCCCAGUAUGGCGUGGUAGGUCCCGUCAAAGUCCGCGACUACGAAGUUGAUGAACUCCGUCCGGAAGUGAUCGGGUGUGCCGAAUUGGACAGGCAAUGUUAUCUGUCCGAGGGGCACCGAACUUUGACCCGGCAAAACCCCCCAGAAUUGGGCGUCGUAAGGUUUUAGUUGCGCCGGUGAUAUCUUUAGGGCGGGCAGGCUGUUGCGGAAGAGAAUGUCGAUGGAGCUUCCCCCGUCCACGAGCACGCGCUCGAAUCUGAUGCUAUUGAUGCAGGGAUCAAGAAUCAGUGGGAAACGUCCCGGCUCUGGGAUAGCGGCCCACUGGUCCUUCCUGCUGAACGAGAUCUCCCUGUGGGACCACGCGGGAAAUUUUGGAUCUGCGAUCAGCCCGUCCGUGCUGUCUAUGUUGAGGCAGGCUCUCUUUAACAGCUUUCUUUCUCGCUUGGACUCAGUGGAGACCUUGCCCCCGAAAAUGGAGUGGACCACGUCGGUGGGGCUGACGUAUUGGUGUCGGGGGUCCCUGUCUUGGUCCUCAUCCUCAUCUUCGUGGUCGUGCCCGUCGCGUUUGUUAUUUUUCUUGGCGGAGUCCUCUUGGGCGGCCCGCCGUGUAUAGAUACUUUUGAGGACGCGACACUCUUCCAUGGUAUGGUUAGACUUUGGGUGUAGCUGGCAUGGUCCCUUCAACGUUUUGUUGUAGUCGUCUUGGUAGUCCCGUCGUCCGUUGGGACGUUUGACCGUAUUUACUUCGUGGUCGUAUUCACGAGGGCGCUUCCCUCUGAAGUCGUCGCGGCUGUCGCGCCGCCGAUCCCAAACCUCUCGGUGAUCGCGGUUGUCGGAGCGGCGGUGAUUUCUGUUGUCGUAGCGACCACGACCGUCAUCCCGCCGAGAAGGCUGGUCGGGGCCUCUCGCGUCGUCUCGGAUUAGUUUUUCUGCGUCAUGAGCAUCGGCGUAGUUUUUAGCCGUGGCGAGGAGCUCUGCUACCGUUGAUGGGCGUUUACGCAGCAGCUUGUUCCUCAGCGCUUCAUGGAAACGCAAGCCCUUGAUAAAGGCUGAUAUGGCCUCGUCGUGAGAAAUCUUCGGGAUUUUGAGGCGCAUAUCCGAGAACCGUCGGAUGUAAUCGCGCAGAGGUUCAUUCUUCUUGUCUCUUAUCCUUUCAAGGUCAUACUUGUUCCCGGGCUGCUCGCAUGUGGCGAUGAAGUUGUCGAUGAAAGCCUGUCGUAGCUCUUCCCAAGAUUCGAAGGAGUCCUCGGGUAAGCCGAGAAGCCACUGAUGACCAGCCUGGUCGAGGACUACGGGGAAGUAGUUAGCCAUGACGUGCUCAUCUCCUGCCGCUGAUCGGACGGCGAUUUCAUAAAGGGUGAUCCAGUUCUCUGGAUUUUCCUUGCCGUCGUAUUUUUUAAGUUUUUCGAGCUUGAAAUUGCGGGGCCACACGACCUGACGGAGGUGCGAGGAGAACUGCCUUAGGCCCGGAGGACCGUGGGUCGCGUCGUACUCGAUGCGGCGCAGGUUUUCGUGGACUGCUCUUUCUGCGGCGCGCCUGUUGAUGCGAUCCCGGGCAUCUUUGGGAGGGAUGUUGUGGCGGAGAUCCCUGUGUUGAUCUUCUUCUUCUUGGUCGCGUACACGGUUCUGCUGGCGGCGGCCAUCGGCGUCCCGACCACCAUCGUCGCGCCGUGAGUCCCCUCGACGGUUGUCGGGGGAGCGGCUGCGGCGGCGCCUGCUGGGUGAGGCCCGGCUGCGAUUAGUCUGGUCGGAGGCGGCUUCCGUAUAAGAGACGUCCUGGACUCUCUUGAGUAGAGUGGCUGUCUGUCCCAUUGCGGCGAUCAGGUGUGCCCGGAUACUGGUCCGGACUCCCUGGCAUUCGGGGGUGUCAGGAAGCCGAUCCAGGUUGGCCAUGGCGACAGCCACGUUGGCGCUUGGCGUUUUGUAGACCGGCUGGUCCCCGACCAUGUCAAAGGCAUCAUUGAGGUUACUUGGUGGCAUAUGUUGUUGCUCAUCCGCACGCCGUCGGGCGCGAUCGGCGUUACGCUGUUCGCGGAGUUGCCUCUGGUCAUCUGUUUCUCCGUCAACGGCCGGCUCGUCGGCGCUGACAUUGAACACGAUAUCCCCUCGCCGGGGGGGGAAUAUCGGGAAUCGGUCGAAACCCGGAGGGUGUGAAGGAAAAUCCAGGUCGUAGCCCUCGUCUUCGGUGUUUAUAACCUCGGUGGGGACGGAGCCGGUGCUUGAGUUGGUGCUGGAAACUUGGCCGUCCCGUAGCUCUCGGAUUGUCACCAUAUUGACAUGGUGACGAUUGUUCCUUGUCGGCGACCAGCCCGCUUUGCUGAAAACGGAUUGAACAUGCUGUGAGUAGACAGAGGCCGAGUUAUUCAGGCCGCAAGGAUGGUAUCCCUUUUUGAGCUCGACGGAUCGUCCUGAGGAGGUUGAGGUUAUCGUCAGGGACGUUCCCAGCCGUUCGUGUGUGGUGACACGAGUUGGCCGGCGGGAUUUCGAAAAAUCCGCUCGAGUGGCUUGGUCGGGCCGGCGCAGAACUCCAUCUAUUAGUUGGGAGGCUUCGAGCAGCUUGGAGUCGGCGCGAUCGAGCGCUUGGAGGAGGUCCGAGCAGUCGAUCUCCUUUCCCUUGUAGAGUGGGAACGGUGGUCGGGAGUUUGGUGCCGUCAUGCGUGUGGUCGGAGACGGCGUGAUCUCAGAUUGGAUCUGGAUCUCUUUCGGAACCGUGGUCGGGAAGCCGCAGCUGCACGUCGUCCACGUGAUCUGGCCGACGGUGAACGUGAGGCCUUCGGGCACGGUCGCGGAAGCUGGGAUCGUGACCAUCUUGUUCGCCGGAAAAGUUGCACGCACACCCCCUACCUGGCGUGCCACUGUCGACGAAAGCUAGUCGGCAGUCUACCUUGGGGUAUACCCACGGUAGUAGUUUAUCGGUAGACGGUGCGCAAACUACGAACUCGAUGGUGACGCAAGACACGGACAAGCUUUUUAUCCAGGUUCGGCCGCCGAGUUGGCGUAAUACCUACGUCCUGCGUCUGGUUGUAUUGGAUUGUGUUGAGAGAUAAUCUGUCCUAGGGGGUCCCCUUGCCCCUCCUUAUAUAGUCUGGAGGGCAGGGUUACAGAUCUAGAAACUAAUCCUAGUCGGUUACAAUUGCCAUAGAUAAUUCGAUAUCAAUUCCUAUUCUAACCGACUAGAAUCCUGCUUGAUCUCCACGUCCUGUUUCUUUGCACGAAACUCGGGCUGUCGGAUCAAGCUUUGAACUCGUCUCGUAGUGGGCCAAGCUUCCUGGCUCAAGUCUAGCCGUAAGGGUAUAGGGGUUUAUACCCCCACAGUAUGUUGGUCUUAGUGGCAUGGUUCCGAACAAGAGCUGAUAGGUGACUGCGGCCAUUAUGUUGACGCCUGAUCCGGUGUCGCAAAUCGUCUUGUAGAAGUUAUAUCCAUUUAUGGAGCAGUAGAUGCUUGGCAUUCCUGGGUCGUCUUUCUUGGUCAAAAACGGUGACUUAAGUUGAUGAUCUUGGCCUCCAUGGACUACAGUGACCAUCUUAGCUGACUCGGUCCACACUUGCUUGUUCCUGUUUCUCCUGUUGGUCCUCUUCCUUGAUUUACGUCUGGAUUGAUCUUGAAUUUGUGUAGUCUUGUUCUUGAAGAAAAAUAUCUCCUUCUUCCCUUUGACAUAGAAACUGAUCUUAGCAGCACUGGCGUAGAUGAUAGCUCCCAUGAUGUUCAAAAAUGGCCUCCCUAGGAUGAUAGGUGCUCUCUCAUCAUUUCCGGUCUCUACCACUACGAAGUCUGCUGGUGCAUACAAGGUACCAACUCGGACACAAAGGUUCCUCACUAUUCCUUUUGGAAAAGUUAUCGUCUGAUCUGCAAAUUGCAAACACAUGGUUGUCUCUAAUAAAGGAUAUGUAAAGAAUUUCUCAUAGAGUACCCUGGGUAUAAUGUUGACACUGGAGCCAAAGUCGCAGAGUGCUUCUGGGACAUCCACCAUGCCGAUGGAGAUCGGGAUGACGGGGCGUCCUGGAUCGCCUCUCUUGACCGGCAGACGGUCAGUAGAAAAUUCAGUGACGGGGUUACUCCAAUUACCUGCAUCAAACAUGUCUACAAGAUUUGCAGAUUCUAAUCCUUCCAGUUGUGAUGGUAUACCGGGGUUAGUAGUAGGAACAGCAGCAGCUAUUUGAUUUAACUGAGAUUCAAUCAUUUUAUUAAAGCUAAUUUGAUUCUUGAUGGCAGUAGAGAAAUUAUCCAUUCUAUUAUUUUUAUUUUCUAGCAUUUUAUCAUUAGAUGCCAAUUUCUUAGAUAGAUUAUCCAUUAGCUUUCCUUGAUUAGACACUAACUCUCUCAAAGGUGGAAAAUUAUUAUUAUUGUUGAAAGAAUUGUUACCUUGAUAAUUACCUGAGUAGUUAGGCCUCUGUUGAUUCCAACCUUGAUUUUGUUGAGGACGGUUGUAGUAGUUGUUGUUGUUGUUGUUGAUGUAGUUCACAUCCUCAAGUAUCUCAGGGCAGUGGUUGCCUGAGUGUCCAGUGUCUCCACACUCCUCACAAGUCAUGUGAGAGUCGUAGAUGUGCAUAACUUCUUUCUUGUCUCCAGCUCUAUCGUCGAGCUUCUUCAUGAGCAGGUCUAGCUUUGCAGACAGCAUGUCUACCUCCUUCGGCUGAUGCAUACCUCCACCUCUCUUGCGUGUCUGGGUCCUCUCUUCAUUCCAGCUUUGAUUGGACGCCAUCUUCUCCACAAGAGCUGUGGCUUGUGGUAUAGUAAGUGAUAAGAAUGCUCCUCCAGCUGCAGCAUCCAUAGUCUCUCGGGCACUGUUGCUGAGCCCAUGAUAGAAUGUCUGCAUCAAUAGCCAACUCUCCAUUCCAUGAUGGGGACAUUCUAGGAUGUAGUCUUGAAAGCGCUCCCAUGCUUCUGGAACAGAUUCAUCAUUUUGUUGCUAAAAACUUGUAAUCUUCCCACGAAGAGCAUUGGUCUUGCCCAUGGGAAAGAACUUAGCCAGGAAGUUUGUUGAGCAGAGUGCCCACGUAGUAUUCUUCUCCUUUGUAGCGUAGAACCACUGCUUCGCUCUUCCUAACAGUGAGAAUGGGAAGAGGCGAAGUAGUAUAGCGUCUUUGGAAACUCCUGCUAUGGUGAAUGUGUUGCAAAUCUCCAGGAAGUGUUGUAAAUGAGCACUAGCAUCUUUGUGUGCCUUCCCACAGAACUGGUUGGAUUGCACCAAGUUGAUAAGUCCAGGCUUGAGCUCAAAGUUGCCAUCGAUCUCUGCAACAGGUCCAGUGCGAAUGUUGUCCGUAGUGGGAGCUGAGAACUCGCGGAUUGAUUUGUUCGCCAUGGCUUCGAACUCUGAAGACAAGUUCCGGUGAUCUUCUUGAUUGGAUGAAGCUUCUUGCUGAAGUGUUGAUGAUUUCUUUAGCUUGGCUCUCGUCUUCUUGAAUAAUGCUUCGGGAUUGUCAACAAAAUUUCCUGGAAGAUGUCUUCUAUUCAUACAUUCCCCUGCAUAAGAUAAAAUAGAAAAAUAUCGGGGUAAAACUGUAUGAGAGAAUAGAUAAGCUCAAUCAUAUUAGUGAUGCGAAUGAUGACUCAAAAUCUUUUAUUCCAUUCCUGAUUGGUAAUCAACCUUCCCCGGCAACGGCGCCAAAAAUGCUUGUUGGGUAUUCUUAACAUCAUUACUAAAAGUAGACUAAGUUCUAAAUCUAGCAACGGUGCCAAAAAUGCCAAACCUAUCCCUCACACCACUUAAGCCAAGUUGUCAUCCCCAGCAUGAUAUAAGAGACGCGGUAUUGAAAUAUGCAAUUGCUCUUCUAAAUAAAUAAUGAAUGGGAUCUGCAAGCGCAUAGAUUAAUACCGAUGCAGCAUUUUAACCGGGAAGUAUUCCAGGUAUCGUUAUUUAUAUUUUUACCACUGGGAAGGGAUUAGAAAUCAUCACUAAUGAUUACAGAAUAGAAUAUGAGAUUGAGCAUCUAUUAUUGCAUGUAUAAUUGAGAACAUUAUAUCUAACUCAUCAUACAGGGAUAAGUGUCACAUAAAAGAUAUAUGAAAUGAUAAUAGUGACAAGGAUAACUAAUCUGAUCUAGCCACAUAAUAAAUAUGAUAAGCACCUCAAUUAGAUACUCUAGAAAGUCAUUAGCAUGGUAUUAGAACGAACUACAAGAAUAUUCCCUAAGUUAUUCUCAACUAUAUAGUCUAGCAUAUCAUAGUUAAUGCAAGCAUACUUAGCAAUCAUUGCGAGACAAGACUACGCCCAUGCAUAGUGAUAUUAGCAAGGAAUAUGAGAAACAUAGCAAUCACUCCCCAGUAAUAAUGUUGCUCUGCCAGCCCAAUACACGAGAGGGGGACUAUAUAAGAAUCAAUGAAGCUGUCACUAUCACGAACUACCCCACAAUCUGGCAUAUUGGGUACAAUCGCAGAUAAAUACGGUAUAAGCACCACGCCUACACAAUAUCUAUCAUUUACCCAUGGAUCCGAUGGAUAAACGCUAUACGAUCCUAAGCAUGUAUAUAGAUCGUAUCUAACUAAGCCAAGUACAUAACUAUGAUAAACUAAGAACAAUAUAAUCUUGAAUAUAAGCAAGUAGAGCAAAGUCAUAAGCAAUAUAUUGAAGUAGAACAAAGUCAUAUUCAUAAUAUUGAAGAACAAAGAUAAUUAGAAAGCAAUUAGAAGCACAAUUAGAGAAUUACCAAGAAUCAUCCUGACAGAUCCGGAAACCAAUCGAAGAUUGACUCCUUCUAGUUCUAAUCCUAUGUAGCUAUGCUAAUCUAGAUAUCUAAUUGAUGUGGUGGCUCUAAUCUUGAUCAGAGGCUUCUUCUCCCUUGAUGGAACAAUGAAUUAGGGUUGAGAGGCUCCCUCCUCCAGGGGCCAGGGGGUCUGGUUUUAUAGUCCCUUCAAGUGAAUAUGGGCCCUUGGAUCAAACCGACAUAGAUUGUAUGGUUUAGAUUCAUCCUUUAGGUCGGUGGAGAUCUCCCGCAAAGCAGAGUCCUGAUUGGACUCAGGAGGUGGGCGGGCGCCCUGACCAACUGGGCGGCCGCCCAGGGUCUGGCCCCGUUUCGCCUCCGCUUCGGUCCCGUGGCUUCUGGAGUCUUCUAGAUGUAAGAUAAUUGCGCAGCACGUUAAUACCUUUACGUAAUCCUGACAUGUGGGCCUUUCUUCCGUAUUUCCUGAUAACCCCCUGCAGAAAUAGACAAACACCAAAACUCGUUGAAUUCUGUCAGAUAAAACCCUAAGUCUAGAUCUUGAUUUCAUUUGGAUCCUUUUCUUUAUUUAUUUGAUAAUUAAAUUUGAUACUUAAGGACCGUCAACAGAGAUCUCAAAUGUGGUGAUGUUGGAGAGACCAAUAGAUUGGGAAGAUGUUGCAUAUGAGCAUGGAGUAAACGAAGUGGCUAUGAAAUAAAUUCCAUGCUCAUUAAUGUUAUCUUCGUCUCCAAUCUGAGUGUUCGGAGUUUCUCCUGGAUUGGUCUCACCUAUGUCCUCUUCUGUAGUUGGAUGAAUCAUAUCUUCAAAGGGAGUCAAGAACUCACCAUCUGAAAUUGAGCCAAAGUCAGAAUCCAUUAAGGCUUCUUCCUUAUCCAUCCAUUCUACACAUUCUAGCCAUUUAGAACUUGUGAUCAAGAGAAGGGAGCUGAUAGAAUCAUCUAUAUGGUUUUGCUCUCAUUCUAUGGCAUUACUUGUCAUGCCAUCAUUAUGGUCUUCAUGACUCCUAUGGUUUGGUCGUCUUGAUGGAUUGCUAGGAUCAUCAUGAGACUGAAAAGGAGAGGGAUAAGAGGGGUCUCUAAGGUCAAGGAUGGAUUUAGAAUUUGUGAACAUGGAAGGGGAGGAGAUAAAAUUUUCUAUAUGGUUUAGCUCUCCUUCACUUGAUAUGUCAUCCUCGACUUCUUCAUAAUAGGAACCAGGACAUUCUCUAAGAGAACCAUUAUUGCAAGGAUUUGAAUUAUCUAUGCUUGAAAGUCUCUUAUGGAACCAGAUGUCUAAACCAUCAGUAUCUGAAAGAUUUAUGUUCGGAAUUCCUUCCUCCCUUAGAGAAUUUUGGGGUAUUGAUGGUUUAGGAUCGAUAGCUAAAGUUUGGGAUUGAAGUGUUUGUGAUUUGGCUAUCGAAACUUCUUCUUGUCUAGGAACUGGUUCUUUCUCUUUCUCAGGGAUAUAAAUGUUAGGAAACUUUCCACUCAAUGAAUCAAUUAAAUCCCUAGCUUCACUAGCAGGUAGGUAAUAGAAGGAUCCUCUAGAGGCUGUAUUCAAGGUUUGCUUAUUUUCCCUACUAAGGCCCUCAAAAAAGGGAAUUAGAAGAACUUCUUCUGGAAUAGAAAGCUUUGGGCCAGUGAGAGUAAGGUUAAUAAAGCAGUCCCAUGAUUUCCCAAGAGAUUCUUCUUCUAGUUGUCUAAAAGAAAUAAUCUCACGCCGAAGUUCCGCCACUUUGGAGAUUGGAAAAUAUUUAAAAAGAAAACUAUUAUAUAACUCCUUCCAAUCUCCAUGAACACUCCCUACUUUGAGUUUGUACCAAUGUCUAGCUUUUCCUAUUAAAGAGAACGGAAAGAGCUUCCAUUUAAGGGUCUCAUCGGACAUGCCUUCUAUGCGAAGGAGGUCACAGACUCGAUAAAACUCUCUUAGGUGUGUGUAUGGGUUUUCUUCACCUUCUCCUGAGAAAGGUUGUUUUUGAACAAAUUCUAUGUAAUCGGGGUCUAUCUCAAAACUAGAUGCUAUGAUAGGAUUUGAAGAUUUUGGUGGUUUGAGAUGUGUGCCCGUAGGUCUAUGAAACUAAUAGAUAGACAUGUUUGCCUUCAUGAUAGACCAGAGAUGAAGGAUUAGAUAAGAAGAAAGAAUAGCAGAGAUAAGGCAAAGGAUGGAAGGAAAUAUAUAUAUAUUAAUUUUUUAGAAAAUGAUUAAGCUAGUUCGUAGUCAACUCAGCAACCGUCUCCCCGGCAACGGCGCCAAAAAAGCUUGUUGACCCUUGCUAACACCACUUGAAUACUAGGUUGUCAUCCCCAGCAUGGCACUAGAGUGUACUAUGGUAUUUAUACACACACAGAUAAAUCCGCAAGCGCACGGAUACCGUUGUAGCUUUUACCCGGUUAAAGGUUUUAUCGUAUCCAUAGGGAAACGGGAGAACCAACUACGCUCUAACUUAACUAAGAUAGAUAGAUGGUGUAAAUAGGAAAGAUGGUAAAAUUGAAUAAGAACAAUAUUAAAGGUAAAAUGAUAAUGGGAGAAUAUAGAGUAGAGCAAUCUCAUAUAUGGGUGAUAAUAGGAGAAUAAAGAGGAUAACUAUGGUUUCUCUACUUCAAAGGCGUAUGUCUAUGUCUGGGACAAACCACGUGAUAAGAUAACACCACAAAGGAUGCUUAUCCAUAGGCUGAUAAACCCUACCAGUCCUGCUAACGGGAGGUGGACUACAGAGGACCAACGUAGCUGUCACCUACGCGGCUUACCACACGAUCCGGCUAGACAGGGGAUAUCCACAAGUAAUCUAGGUCUAAGCACCACGCUUACACCUAUACUACAACUCUCACCUAUAGCAUCCUAUAGAUUAAAGUACUCAAAAGAGUUGUGAACCAGAACAUACAUGGAUAGUAAUUGCAUAAUGAAAUAGAAGUAGAUUACCAGAGUCAUCCCAUGAGCAAGCUUGAUUAGAGCUUGAUCAUAGCGAAGUACAACCGGAGGAAGAACCGACAGGUCGGCCUCUCCUCCAUCUCGCUACUAUCUAGAUCUACUCUAGUUUAGAGAAGAGAGAAGAGCUCUCAUCUCCAAACCCUAGCUUUUGCUCUGUCUAUGAAUAAUGAAUAAGGAUGAAGGGGUGCCUCCUCUAGGGGCCAGGGGCCCUGCUUAUAUAGUCUCCUCAAGUGAAUCUGGGCCGUCAGAUCAAACCAACAUUAAUCGCACGGUUUGCCUUGAUCCGUUAGGUCGGUGGAGCAUGAUCCGCGAAGUAGAACGUGAUUGGCCGAAACACCAAGGCGGGCGCCCAAGGGGGGAGUGCGGGCGCCCUGUCCCCAAGCCCGCUCGGCUUCCCGUUCGUUCCCGUGGCUUCUAGAGUCUUCUAGAUGAUAGAAAAUUGCGCGGCACGUUAAUAUCUCUAUGUAAACCCGACAUGUGGGCCUUUCCUCCAUAUUUCCUGAUAACCCCUUGCAGAAAUAGACAAACACCAAAACUCAUGGAAUUCUGUCAGAUAAAACCCUAAGUCUGGGUGUUGGUUGCAUUUGGAUCCUUUUUUUAUUUAUUUGAUGAUUAUUUGGUACUUAAGGACCGUCAACAACCUACAUUAAGAUGAUGAACUUGUUACGUUAUUAUGAUCAUUUAAUUAUUGUUUAUGCUACUAGUUUAUUAUGCUUACAUUUGAUCAUGUGAUUAUUGGAUUAUUGAUGCUACCUUGACAAUUGCUAUUAAAUUAUGAACAUGCUAUCCACUAUUAAAAGCUAAAUGCAGUUAAACCAGUGUCAGCUUUUUGAGCCUCAUGAACCCCUGGUUAUACUUGUUGAGUACGAUAUGUGCUCACUCUUGCAAUUUCCCAACACCCCAGGUUAUGCAAGUGAUGAUGUUUGGAAUGAGGACUACCGUUAUGAGUACUAGUCUUGAAGUCAACCAGUCAACAGUGUCCCUAUGUGGUGCUUUCGUCGAGAGUAUUUUUUUUGUUUGAGACUAUUUAAUAAUUAUUGUUCCGCUAUGUAAUGAACGCUGCAAUGAUACAUUUGAGAUUUGUCUACUUAUGUGUGCACUGUUUCUAGGGCACAUAUGAGUCUUUUAUGCACUCUAUUUUGUUCUUGAAAUUUGGGUGUGACAGGUACUCAGCUUGAUUAUUUGUUGACGUGGCAAUAGUUAGCAAAGAAAAUUCAUACUUCUUUCCACGAGGAGAAAUUAGUACUAUACCAAUUCCUGCUCCUUGGUCACAUGUAGAUCCAUCAAAGAAGAGCGUCCAAGGAAUGAUUUCCAAUGCAUUCACUACACCAUAAUGUUGAGUCACAAAAUCGGCCAUAAUCUGCCCUUUAACUGCUUUAGCCGAUUCGUAGCGUAGAUCAAAUUCCGACAAUGCUAAUAUCCACUUGCCGAUUCUACCACUCAUAGUCGGCAUUGAUAACAUGUAUCAGACAACAUCAUCUUUGCAUAUGACAGUGCAUUCGGCCGAUAGCAAGUAAUGCCUUAAUUUAACGCAAGAAAAGUAUAAACAUAAGCACAACUUCUCAAUUGCCGAAUACCUUAUUUCAACAUCCACCAAUCUUCUACUUAGAUAAUAAAUCACACGUUCCUUCCCAUCAAAUUCCUGAAUGAGAGCCGAACCGAUGACCAUACCAUCGGUAGACAAAUAUAACCUGAAGGGUUUUCCUUGCUAUGGUGGAACCAAAACUGGAGGGUUUAUCAAAUAGUUCUUGAUUUCAUCCAAGGCUAACUAUUGCUCUCUUCCCCAUACAAAUUCUUGAUCGGCCUUUAACUUAAGCAAGGGACUAAAAGGACGAAUCUUACCUGACAAAUUAGAUAUAAAUCGUCUGAUAAAAUUAAUCUUGCCGAUCAACGAUUGAAGUUCAGUUUUAUUGGUGGGAGCAACUAUUUUGUUGAUAACAUCAAUAGAUCUCCUACUUAUUUCAAACCCUCUUUGAUGCACCAUAAAACCUACAUUUGCCCUACCGACACACCAAGUGCACAUUUAUUAGGAUUCAUCUUUAAACCAUGUUUCCUCGUGCACUCCAACACCUUUCGCAGAUCGGCUAGAUGUUUUAUGAAAUCUCCAGACUUAACCACGACAUCAUCAAUAUAGAUUUCCACUAGCUUGCCGAUGAACUCGUGGAAGAUAAAAUUCAUGGCUCUCUGAUAAGUAGCACCAGCAUUUUUCAAGCCAAAAGUCAUGACCAUCCAUUCAAACAAUCCAACAUGACCAGGACAUCUAAAUGCAGUCUUAGGAAUAUCUUCUUCAGCCAUGAAUAUUUGAUUGUAACCCGCAUUGCCAUCCAUAAAGCUAAUAAUUCAAUGUCCAGCUGCAGCAUCAACCAGCAGAUCGGUAACUGGCAUUGGAUAACCAUCCAUCGGUGUAGCUUUAUUGAGAUUUCUAAAGUCAAUGCAGACACGAAGUUUCCCAUUCUUCUUGUAAACGGGGACAACAUUAGAAAUUUAUUCAGCAUACCGACACUGCCGAAUAAAUUUAGCUUCAAUAAGUUUGGUUAUUUCGGCCUUAAUAUCAGGAAGAAUAUUAGGAUUGCAUCGGUGUGCUGGCUGCUGAUGCGGCCGAAACCCAGACUUGAUAGGCAACCGAUGUUCAACAAUCGAUCGGUCUAAACCAGGCAUCUCGGUAUAAUCCCAAGCAAAGCAAUUUUUAUAUUCCUUUAACAAAUCGGUUAAUUGUUGCUUACACUCAGAAUCUAAUUUAGCACUAAUAAAAGUAGGUCUUGGUCUAUCACCACUACCUAUAUCUACUUCUACUAGAUCAUGAGCCGAUGUAAACCCCUGUCCUAACUUUCCAUCAUCGGCGAACCUAUCCAUUAAAACUCUUCAUCAAAACCGACUGCUUGGAUCGGUGGAAUUUCAUAAUCGGCGACCUUGAGAAAAUCCUUCUCCCAAACUUCUCCUGAAAUGUAUCUGGUCCUCUCAUAAGUAUCUGAUUUUGCCGAUGCAAUGACAUAUGAAGAAUCUCCUGGGACAAUCUCAAUUUUGUCACCUACCCAUUGAACCAGGCAUUGGUGCAUUGUAGAAGGAAUGCAACAAUUGGCAUGAAUCCAAUCUCUCCCCAAUAACAAAUUGUAUGCACCUUUCCCCUGAUGACAAAGAAGGUUGUCGGCAAUGUCUUGCUGCCGAUUGUCAAUUCAACACAUAUAGCUCCUUUGACUGGAGACACAUUCCCUUCAAAAUCCUUUAGCAUCAUAUCUAUCUUGGUUAAAUCCUGAUCCCCUUUGCCAAGCUUCUGAUAGAUCGUAUAUGGCAUAAUGUUGAUAGCAGCUCCACCGUCAAUAAGUAUCUUGGACAUUGGCUGCCCAUCAACUUUGCCUUUGACAAACAAAGCCUUGAGAUGCUACCUUUCAUCAUCAAAAGGUUUCUCAAACAUAGCUAUCAUUGGGUCAAGAGCCAACUGAGCUAUCUGAUCAGGAAAGCCUAUCUCUUCAUCAUCACUGAAAGGUGCAAGAAACUCCAUCGGCAACAUAGACACCAUGUUAACAUCUGCCGAUGGCCCUUCUCCUCUAGGAUCUGAUUGCUGCCGAUUCCCAGAUUUAGCAGAAUUUUCUUCCCUGCUUAAUUCUUCCUGCCUCUCUCGCUGCAUUCUCCUUUUGUGACCUUGUCAAUCCUUCUGGACACCAUUGGGGAAGUUGUGUCCUCCGUACUGGUUGAUAGCGAACCUCCCUUGAUUCCAUCCAAUAAGUAUUAGCAUCCCUGCAAAAUAUAAACUCAUCGAGAACCCGUGCAUUUGCCAUCUCUUCAAGUUCCUCUUGUUUUCUUGGAAAAAACUGACACAUUCACCAAGUCUGUCAUGCACACUGAGGCUGCCCCCUAGCCGAUCAUGAACUGACGUCCUUCCUCUAAUCGACCCGUUAAACCGUCGAUCAUCGUUCUGAUAUUGCCGAUUUGGUCGAUCAUUCCGAUUAUAACCAUUGCACUCAGGGUAGUCUUUGACAAUCGGUAACUUGAUAUUUUGCUCCCAACAGUGGAUGAAGGACGGGCAAUUCCAAUGAUCUUUGUGCCGAUUCCACUCUUGUCGGCGUCUUUCUUCUUCUCGGCGACGAUCCUCUUGUUGGCGGCGAUAUCGAUCUUCACACUGCUGCCAUGUUUCUCGAUGCCGCCUAUGAGUAAUCACAAUGCCAGAUAGAGGAGGUCUCCUAGGACUGGUGCCUUCUUGGAUCAAACCUUUGCCCUUGGUGUCAUCGGCAGUGAUAUGAUGUUGGGGAUCUACCGAUGCGCUCUUUUCAACUGCUUCCGAUGUCAAGACCUUAGUCUUUCCCUUAGCGUCCAGCAUAUUUGUAGGAAAAGGAUGCUGAUCAAUCUUCAUUGGCUUCUGAGCUUUGGAGCUAUCAAAUUGAAUCCUCCCAGAUUCUAUAGCCGAUUACAAUUGUUGCCUGAACACCUUGCACUCAUUUGUACUAUGAGAUGUCGCAUUAUGCCACUUGCAAUACUUAAUCUUUUUCAAUUCUUCUGCCGAUGGGAUUACAUGAUUUGGUGACAACUUAAUCUGCCCUUCCUGAAGUAGAAAGUCAAAUAUCCUAUCGGCUUUUGUGAUGUAAAAAGCAAACUUUUCUGGCUCUUUAUGACCGAAAGGACAAGACAUUGGCUUCUUAUUUUUCACCCAUUCUGCUAAGCUGAUGACUGGUUCUUCAUCUGAAUCUGAACUUGCUACUUCAUCAACAAAUGACACCUUUUUGUUCCAAGCUUUCCUAGGUUCAAAAGUCUUGAUAUCUUGAUCAGAAAUUCUUUGCACCAAAUGAAUUAGACUUUCAAACUCUUGAGAAGCAUAUUUGUCUUUAAUAUGUGGCAGCAAUCCUUGGAAAGCCAAAUUGGCUAGCUGCCGAUCAUCCAGAACCAGACUAUAGCAUUUGUUCUUGACAUCCCGCAACCUUUGCACAAAACUUUCAACCAAUUCAUCAUUGCAUUGCCUCAGCCUAACUAAAUCGGUAAUUUUCUUCACAUGAACUCCAGAAAAGAAGUACUUGUGAAACUGCUUCUCUAGAUCGGCCCAAGUAAUCACUGAGUUUGGAGGUACUGAAAUGAACCAAGUAAAAGCCGAUCCGGACAAAGAUGAUGAAAAUAGACGAACUCGUAACUCAUCUCGGUUAGCGGCUUCUCCACACUAGAUGAUGAACCGAUUAACGUGUUCCAUGGUUGACGUGUUAUCUUGUCUAGAGAAUUUAGUAAAAUCUGGCACCUUGUACCGAUUUAGAAGCGGGAUCAAAUUAUAUGCAGGUGGGUAUGGUGUCCGAUAAGAGUAAGUAUUGACUUUAGGUUUAUCCCAAACUGAUCUCUUAUUACUUCUGCUAUCUUAUCGGCCCAAUAAGCAUCGGCAUCGUGCCGAUGUACAGGUUGGGGUUCUGGUACCUGCUGAUAAGCCUCCAUGUGUCACAGAGGUGCACGAUCUCCAGGGAACAUAGUGUUGGGCAUUGGUUGCUGGCCACCCAUCUGUUGAGCAAGAUUCAUCGACUGAUUGGCUGGCCCUUGUACUGAAAACCAAGCUGCAUUUGUCCCUGCUGGAAUCCUGUAGCCUGAUGGUUCUGCUGAGCCAUUUAUGGAAAGACAAACUGUCCUCUCCAUCUAUUGUUAACAUUCAUCGGUGUAGGCCCUACCGAUGGCUGAUAGUUGGGUGUCAUCAUUGGGUUGACAUACCCUGCCUGAGUCAUAAAUCUUUGGUGCGCCGGUAGUGGAUCCACCGAUGCGUUGGGCAUCUGAAAUGUCAGUAUCUGAAAGUUUCCAGUAACAGGCCUCUCAGUAGUGGUUGUGGAAUAUUGAGGAUUCUGAGUCAUCAGCGAUACUGGAGGUGCCGAUGUCAUAGGAGCCUUGCCUAUCACGUCAGCCACUUGAGAUGUUCCAGAACUAUUCGCAAAAAGUCUGGAGGCAUACCAUAUCCCCACCAAUUGGGAGGAACUUGACAAUUCUAGAAUACAGAUCCUAACAUUGCUGAUGCCGAUAGAUCUGUGGUAAGUUGAACCCGUCCCUCUGAUGUUGCUGGAUUAGUCCUCAUCGGUGUAGAUUGCCCGUUAGUCAUCCCUAAUGUGCUUGGAGGAGAGGUAGCUCUGUACCCGCAAUGGCCGGAGGAGUGUUGACGGUGGAUAUACCAUAGAAAUCCACAUACAAAACACCGUCAACAUGCCUCGGUUGCAAGGGGAAAUGACAUGACAUGAACAUAUUUUAUCCAUAACUAGUUCCACUUGUACUCUUAGCUUGUUUAUGCAGGAACAACAAAUUCAAGACAUUAUUUGACAAAGCCAACAUCAGAAUCAUCAAGAGGAGAUCGAGGGGACAACAGGUGACACCCUGGGCCCACAGGGAGGGGGUCGCCCGACCCCUCUUUGGUGGGACCCAGGUGUGCCACCUAGUCCACCGACAUAAGGGACCCCUGUGGACACUGCUGGUGGGCCCAGAGGCCCAGAAGUGGGGUCGCCCGACCGCACAUCAAAGGCGGUUCCAGGGUCGGUGGCCUCCCACCGACCUUCCCCACAUGUCCCACAUGUUGAUUUGCCCCUGCCGUUGAUCAAAUGGCGGUUGUGAGGUCAGUUUGAUCCAAGGGUGGAGAGAAGAUGUCACGCGGAUCGAUGACGUGGCGAUGGAGUAACCCCUACUCCAUCUCCCUCUAUAAAAGGCAGCCUCCACCCUUCAUUUCAAGUGUGCAAUUCCAAGGCCAAGUGCAUUACAAGUUCCAAGCAUACAAGUAGAGUAGUAGUUAGUCUAGAGUGGGAGUUAGAGUCGAGUCGAGCGAAGCUCGGGGUCUCCGGAGUCGUCUUCUGGAGAGUCUGGUAUAGCUCUUGUACCUUUCUACUUUUGUAAGACUUUCCUUUUAUUAAUAUAUUAUUCUUACUUUACUUUACUGAGUUCUUACUUAGUGCAAGUCUUUUAGUCUUGUUGUGCAUUUACUUUAGUAAUAUAGUUGUCUUAGUGAAGUUAGUGACCUGUAACCACUCCUGUGUGUGCAUCAUCGUCCUAUCUUGUAUAGGAGCUCUAGCUAGCUGCAACUAGUUAGCGUUGUAGGAUUAAGUGUGAGCGUGGUGCUCAUACUUAAGAUUACCUUUGAUUACCGCUGGCUUGAACGGAAAGUAGGAGCGCACUCCCUAGUAGGUGACAGAUCGUGGGCGGCAUUAGGUUCUCCUCACGUACAGGCUAGUUCUUAAAAGGUAAGGCGUCCAUAAGCCCAAUAGUCGCUUUCGGUAAGGGGUUAGGUGAAAAACCUUCUAAGCGUCUUACCAGCUCGGCUAUCCCUCGCACACAGUUAGUAAGGCUCUAGCGUAGUUAAGACAAUUAUCUAUUAAAGUAAGUCACAGAAGUCAAGUUAGAUACAUAGGAGUCCUUUACUCACUCGUUGUCCUCCCACCUAGCUAACUCUACCAUUUACCUUUAGCAUAGGACCUUGGAUUCACCACUACCCUUCCUAUUCGUUAUUUACCACCCUUAUUCACUAGUUGAUACUAGAUAACUCAAGGAAUCUCAUUCCCCUUUUUGUUAAACACACUUAGCCGCUUUCCCUUGGGAAAAUAUAAAUUACGAUACCUUGGAAUACUCCUUGGUGAAGUGCUACAGCGGUACAUUCUGUGCGCUUGCGGAAUUAUCCAAUAGUAAAUAGAGUUACCCUACCAGGGCACUUCUGGCGCCGUCGCCGAUAUCCGGUGGUUGCGUUAAGAAGUGUCAACAAGCAUUUCUGGCGCCGUUGCCGGGGAGAGCGUCUGUCUAAGAGUUUUAACAAAAAGAGAAUCCAGAGUUUGCUAGUUAUCAAGUAGUGAUAGGGAUAACCCAUCACUUGUCUUGUCUUCCUUUAUUGUGAAGCCUGACAGUGUAUGAGCGGUUUCCAAUUGCCGUCAAACUUCGUUGAAGAUCCUGAGCAACUGUUGAGGAGAACUAGACGUCGUCAAGUUCCACCUCAAAGGUUCAUCUCGAACCUGAAUCCGUUAGAGGAAGGAGUAUCUGCACCGGUUAUCAAAGAAGCUAUGGCCCAGAAGACCAUCUCUGAGUACUCUGCGCCGUCGGCUGACAAUGUCGCCACGGGUCCGCAGCUUAACUUGGGGGAUGCGACUUUUGAGUUGAAGCCUGCGCUUAUCAAUAUGGUGCAAGCUAAUCCCUUCUGUGGAAAGCCACACGAGGAUGCCAAUGCCCAUCUCCAACACUUCUUGGAGGUGUGCGGCACCUUCACCAUCAAGAAUGUCGCCGCAGACGCCAUCCGUCUUCGCCUCUUCCCAUUCUCGUUAUUGGGGAAGGCGAAGCAAUGGUUCUACGCCAACAAGGGUGAAGUGACCACGUGGGAGAGGUGCGCCAAUGCAUUUCUCAAGAAGUUCUUUCCGAUGGGCAAGACCAGCGCCCUUCGUGGAAAGAUUUCCAGCUUCCAACAGCAAGCGGAUGAGACGAUUCCCGAAGCAUGGGAACGUCUGCAGGAGUACAUUCGCGCCUGUCCUCAUCAUGGGAUAGAGGAGUGGCUCCUAAUCCAAGGUUUCUACCAUGGCCUGACCGGUUUGGCCCGUAGUCACCUUGAUGCUGCCGCUGGAGGAGCAUUCUUGCAACACAAUGUCAAGGAUGCCAAGGACCUCAUUGAAAAGAUGUUUAUAAACCAAGGAUGGAAUGAGGAACGCCUCCAACCCAAGAGAAGAGGUGUCCAUGCCUUGAAUGAGGUGGACAUGCUCUCUGCUAAGAUGGACCUCUUAAUGAAGAAGAUGGAAGAAAGUUCCAAGCAAGAGACCAUUCAACCUUACGCCACUGCACGGGCCAUUGAAUCUGAUUCAUGGUGCGAAGUGUGCGGAGGAGAUGAUCAUUCGGGAAACAAUUGUCCCGAAACAAAGGAGGAAGUGAGCUUCAUCAACAACAACAACAAUGGGUACCGGCCCCAACAACAGCAAUGGAACUCGCGCCCCUUCUACCAAGGUAAUCAAGGUAAUGGUUACAAUCAAAAUUUCAAUAAUUCUUUUGGUAGCCAACCUUCUCUUAGAGAUCUUGUCUUAGGCCAAUCUAAAAUCAAUGAUAGCAUUAACAAGAAAAUGAUGGCUAAUGAUAAGAUCCUUGAAAACUUAAGUGAAAAGUUGGAUAGCUUUAACUCUGCUAUGAAAAACCAGUUGAGCUUUAACAAAAUGCUAGAAACACAAUUAGCUCAAUUAGCAGCAGCUGUCCCAUCCUUCGAGCAAGGUAAGAUCCCAGGGAAACCUGAGGACCCAAUUGAAGGAGUUAAACUAGUUACUACGAGGUUCGGUAAGCCUCCGGUACAAUCCAACUGGAGCUAUCUUCUGGAUUCGCCCUUCAUCACCAAGAAGGACGACCCAGGCCUGCCGACCAUCACCUGUGAGAUCGGACCGCAAAUCUUCCACAAUGCCUUCUGCGACCUUGGAUCGGGUGUCAACAUCAUGGCCAAGGUAACUUAUGAUAAUUUGCUAGGGGGGCCUUUGCACCCCACAUUUGUUCGUUUGCAGAUGGCAGAUCAGACGAUCAGGUUCCCUGAGGGGUUGGCAAGGGACAUACUGGUAAAGGUCCAAGACGACUACGUCCCUGCCGACUUCAUCAUUUUGGAUAUGGGAUCCAAUAAUGAUGUCUCGAUCAUCUUGGGAAGGCCAUUCCUCAACACGGUCAAUGCAGUCAUCUAUGUGGGGUCCGGCCAGAUUCACCUCCAAUUCCCAGUAUGGAAGGUAAAAAAUGUCCAUUCAAUGGUUAUAAAGCUAACAUGCAGGUGAAGGACAAAGAACCUCCGACUAAGCCUCGCCACCUCCGACGCCGAAGGGACAAGAGAGGUAAGUCGGCCAAAAGGGCCGAAAAGAAAGAAGAGGAACCCGCUGAACCAAAAAUCAAUACCAAGCAAGUAUGGCGGGAGAAAGAGGUGCAAUCAAGGUCCACGUCUCCGGGACCAUCUGAUGCACCCGAAGAAUGAACAAGAUGGAGAGGUCCUGCUCUACGGACCUAAAACAUGGAGCCCUUGCUGAUAAGGUAAAUCAGUAGUUAUCCCAUAUUUAUUUUCUGCAUUUCAAUUUCUACUAUUCACUUUUCAAUUGCAUUCUUACUUUGAAUUUUGCAUAUCUUAUUUCGACAAAAUGUUUAGCCAUAAUAAAUAAAAUCUUGAGAAUAACUUGUCAUAAAAAUUUGAGCUGCUGGAGCUCCCAAAGGGGGGUCGCCCGACCCCACCUUGGGGCCCACUUCACCACAUUUCAACCUUGCUAGUCAUAGAGGUUCCAACCCAGCACUUGGAUGCUCUGGGAGCUCCAAUGUGGGGGUCGGCCGACCCCCAUAUUGGCCCCACUUGCCUCCUGCUGGCCACCAUUUGAAUCACAAUGGAGUCCUAUGCUUGUAACACUAGCUAAAGUUUGAAAAAGAGUGGUCCCUUGAUCCUUUACUUUAGUCAUAAGAUGCUCCUUUCAUCUUUGAUUCUUUUGGGACCACUCCACUAGCUUAAAUUCUGCAAGGUGGUCACCUAGGCAUGCUUGAGUGCUCCCAUGGUCCAUAGGAAUCACUUUAGACAUGUCUCCACUUUUGCCAUUCAUCUUUUACCUUUCACAAAGCACUAAAACAGGGAAUCUCAGAAACAAUUUGAAAACUUUUGGUCCACACCUAGCCUUUACUUUUCUGGACAAUCAAUGACACAAUGUUUAAAGUGGAGGAGGGGCUAGGAUGGGGGUCGGCCGACCCCCAUUUUGGACCAUCUCUGCAAAAUCUUGAAAGCAUGCAGAAUGGUUCCCUGUAUAAAGCUAAGUUCAAAUUCAAAGUGCUUCUAGGGGGGGUCGGCCGACCCCUAUAUUGUGGGUCCACUACUUGCCCUUCUCCCCCUAUAAAUACCACAGCAUUGUGAGCUCAACUCCACACCCAAAACCACCAGAACCAUUUCGAGCUCACAAUCCUUUCUCUUCUCUCUUUGUUACAAGCCAUUUCUCAAGUGUAGUUUAGAAAUAGUCAUCAAAACAAAAACCCAAAAAGAUUCCCCUUGCAUAGUAGUAGUAGGAGCUUGGUUUGCCUCACUUGUGUAGGAGGAUGAAGAAGCAUAUCUUCGGCAAGUUCAAGAAAGCAAAGGGUGAGAGCUCUUCUCAAGGCUCUCACCAUGCUCAUGGAAGGGAGGAAGAAGAAGGUUACCAUGGGAUGGUACCCUACGAGCCUCCAUCAAGGAUGAGAGAGCCCGAGAGCGGCCUCAUGUUAAGCCAAGAAGAGUUGCAAAGGUACUACAUCAUCCGAGAGGGUCUCUUCCUACACACUAGCAUCAUCGAUCCGGACCUUUUGGCCCGCACAGGUAUGGAUGUUGAAUUUGAUAAGGUGUUUAGAGCAAUUGGUUGGAGUAGUUUUUGGCAAGUGCCUGAAUUUGGAAAAGAAUUGCUUGCUAAGGAAUUUCUAUGCACCCUAAAACUCACAAAUAAUGGAAUAUCUUUUCGCAUGUGUGAGCAAGAACAUCAAUUAAAUUGGAGUUUGCUAAACACUGCUUUAGGGUGUGAACAUGAAUGUGAACUUGAUCUAGAUCAUGCCACUAGAAUGUUCGAUAAAUUUAGAUUCUGGAAAGCAAUUUCUGGCUCUAAUGAUUGUUCAAAUCCUACUCCCAUUGAAAUCCAUAAUCCAACCUUGCGCUUUCUUCACUUCUGGAUCAUGUGCACUCUAUAUCCUGGCAUGGGAACUGAUACUUUAAUUGAUGAUGAACUUAAAAUUCUCUAUGCCAUGGUUAGUAAAAUCAAGGUCUCCCCUGUGAAACUGCUAGUGAACUAUUGGCUUAACUCUAUUGAGUAUGGGAAGCCCAUCUAUUUCACAUCCUUUAUUACUCGAAUAGCCGAUACUUUUGGAUUACUUGAAUCACAUUAUUUUGAAGACAUUGGCUAUGUUAGAGGAGUGGUAGAUGAGAACUUCUUUAUCAAUGCUAACAUGCUCAUAAGAGAUCCAAAUGGUGAACUUAAAAUGAUUUAUCCGGGCUAUACAACCGAAAUUCCUCUCCCAUGUGCGAGGCGCCGGUUGUAUGGGGUCCGCACACUUACCAUUAGACUAGCCCGAGUGGCAAGUCCAGAUGUUGCAGGGACACGCAGGGUGACAAGAAGGAUGAUGCAAGCCGCCCAGGUGAAGCAAGGAGGAUCCUCGCACCAUGACAUUGAAGAGGGCGAUGAAGCGAUGUCAGUGGAUGCUUCAGACUCCAUGGGUCUACCUCCACAACGCACUCCACGCCCAAGGGACAGGGCUAGGCGUCACCAGCCCACAGGUAUGGACAGUCUCAUUAAUGACAUGGGCGAAUUGCAGAUUGGGCAAGAAGCAACAUUGCAACUGGCGUUACAAAACGGCCAACAUAUCCGACGUGUGCGAGAGGAAGACGCACAACGCUGGGCUGGAUGGUACCAAAAUUUCCCGCCACCAUAGUGAGCGAAGAUCUAGCUUGGGGGAGAUCCUCUCCCCCACUAAGGUAAGUAUUCUAUCCUAUUUAUUUUCAUGCAUUUUAUCAUUCUUACUUAAAAAAAAUAUUUAUUAGCAUUUCCCUUUAGCAUAUAUGCUUCAUGUAUGUUUAUAUCCCUCAUGGAAAUGAUGACUAGUUGCUUGUUAAUGUUUCUCUAGUACCUAGUAUACAACUUAGUAUUUCUCUAAGUAUGGAUCACUUAGCUCACUUAAACUGCCAUGAACCUAAAAACUUUGUGGGUUGCAAGUGCUAGAACUAAGUCUAAGUUGUUGUGGGACAUGAGAUAGUAAGACAAGAGCUACUAUAAUAUUUUUCUAAGCAUGCAUGAUUAUCAGAGAUUUAUUCUUAAAAUGAUCAAAACCUUAAUUGUUCCUCAAUGGUGAUGAAUUCCUACCACAGCCAUAUCUACUUUACAUAAUUGCAACCUUUCCACAUAAGCUAUUUGCUUUGGGUUGAGUGUCGUCAAGUCUUGUUGACCCUUGUUAAGAGACUUUUCAUGCUCCUAAGAUCAAGAUCACGUACACACCACAUAUAUAUAUGCUGCUUCUACACUGGAAGUACGCAACCACAUGUAUUUCGCAUCCACUAAAUAGGUUGCUCCAUACUCUAAAUGUUAGAACAUCUCUCUAAGCAUUAUUUGGUAAAUGAGACAUCAAAAGGCUAGGCAAAAUGAAAUAAAAAGAUGGACAUGUGCAAGUCCACAGAAAAAGAAAAUUGAGCACAUGAAAGCUCAUAUAUAAAAAAAAAGAAGAAGAAAAAAAUGCUAGCCAUGUCUCAAUACAUAGAGAGUCUAUCAAAUAAAGGAGCAACCUAGUCCACCAUAUAUCACACUUGCACAUCUUGAUCUGGGAGUAUGACACUUCUCUUCAAGGAUCCGAGCUUUGACUUCGCAAUACAUGCAAAGUAAGUAUGCUAUCUCCUUUCAUCCCUACCUUGAACUCCACAUAAGCCUUUUAGAAAUAGGAUGAAAUAGAGAAGGCAACUCUUACCAUAUGCCUUGGUGAGGAAUCAUACACCAUUUGAGUGACAUGAGAGAACCAUAAGAGGAACAUUUAAGCUUUCUUUUGAAAAUAUCACAAAACCUCUGAUAUGAAACUUGCUACGAAUGAGAAAGUUAGUGCUCAAGUCAAACUGUUCUGUCUCUCAACCACCUAAGACAAAGGAAAAGCCAUAAGCCCCAUAAGGGACUAAGGUAAUAGGGGUAAGUUUACAUAGCUAAAUUUUUCAUGCAAAGAGAAGAACUUUGUUGUACACAUGGUACUCUUGAAAUGUGAACAUAGUAACAAUACCUGAUCCACCGAGGCUAAGUUUGAUUGUUUGCUCGGGACGAGCAAAGGUUAAGCUUGGGGGAUCUUGUUGACGGUGGAUAUACCAUAGAAAUCCACAUACAAAACACCGUCAACAUGCCUCGGUUGCAAGGGGAAAUGACAUGACAUGAACAUAUUUUAUCCAUAACUAGUUCCACUUGUACUCUUAGCUUGUUUAUGCAGGAACAACAAAUUCAAGACAUUAUUUGACAAAGCCAACAUCAGAAUCAUCAAGAGGAGAUCGAGGGGACAACAGGUGACACCCUGGGCCCACAGGGAGGGGGUCGCCCGACCCCUCUUUGGUGGGACCCAGGUGUGCCACCUAGUCCACCGACAUAAGGGACCCCUGUGGACACUGCUGGUGGGCCCAGAGGCCCAGAAGUGGGGUCGCCCGACCGCACAUCAAAGGCGGUUCCAGGGUCGGUGGCCUCCCACCGACCUUCCCCACACGUCCCACAUGUUGAUUUGCCCCUGCCGUUGAUCAAAUGGCGGUUGUGAGGUCGGUUUGAUCCAAGGGUGGAGAGAAGAUGUCACGCGGAUCGAUGACGUGGCGAUGGAGUAACCCCUACUCCAUCUCCCUCUAUAAAAGGCAGCCUCCACCCUUCAUUUCAAGUGUGCAAUUCCAAGGCCAAGUGCAUUACAAGUUCCAAGCAUACAAGUAGAGUAGUAGUUAGUCUAGAGUGGGAGUUAGAGUCGAGUCGAGCGAAGCUCGGGGUCUCCGGAGUCGUCUUCUGGAGAGUCUGGUAUAGCUCUUGUACCUUUCUACUUUUGUAAGACUUUCCUUUUAUUAAUAUAUUAUUCUUACUUUACUUUACUGAGUUCUUACUUAGUGCAAGUCUUUUAGUCUUGUUGUGCAUUUACUUUAGUAAUAUAGUUGUCUUAGUGAAGUUAGUGACCUGUAACCACUCCUGUGUGUGCAUCAUCGUCCUAUCUUGUAUAGGAGCUCUAGCUAGCUGCAACUAGUUAGCGUUGUAGGAUUAAGUGUGAGCGUGGUGCUCAUACUUAAGAUUACCUUUGAUUACCGCUGGCUUGAACGGAAAGUAGGAGCGCACUCCCUAGUAGGUGACAGAUCGUGGGCGGCAUUAGGUUCUCCUCACGUACAGGCUAGUUCUUAAAAGGUAAGGCGUCCAUAAGCCCAAUAGUCGCUUUCGGUAAGGGGUUAGGUGAAAAACCUUCUAAGCGUCUUACCAGCUCGGCUAUCCCUCGCACACAGUUAGUAAGGCUCUAGCGUAGUUAAGACAAUUAUCUAUUAAAGUAAGUCACAGAAGUCAAGUUAGAUACAUAGGAGUCCUUUACUCACUCGUUGUCCUCCCACCUAGCUAACUCUACCAUUUACCUUUAGCAUAGGACCUUGGAUUCACCACUACCCUUCCUAUUCGUUAUUUACCACCCUUAUUCACUAGUUGAUACUAGAUAACUCAAGGAAUCUCAUUCCCCUUUUUGUUAAACACACUUAGCCGCUUUCCCUUGGGAAAAUAUAAAUUACGAUACCUUGGAAUACUCCUUGGUGAAGUGCUACAGCGGUACAUUCUGUGCGCUUGCGGAAUUAUCCAAUAGUAAAUAGAGUUACCCUACCAGGGCACUUCUGGCGCCGUCGCCGAUAUCCGGUGGUUGCGUUAAGAAGUGUCAACAAGGAGCCAAUGGAGCUGUCACUGAUAAUAAUCCUGGCUGAUGAUAGGCAGGGCCCAUGUAUAAUGGUGGUGUCUGUCCUUCUUUAAAAGUUCUAGCCACAGCGUUGAAGACAGUAUUGGACAACACACUGGAUUGCUUGAUAAGAGCAUGAUUCAUAGCAUUAUCAACCAUAUCUUGUAAUUUCCAGGAUUGGCUUCAAAAGUGAUUUGCCGAGGCAUCAGCAAAUCUAGCUUCUGGAUUAGUUCACUACUCCUGUUGAUGCUGAAAGAUUUCAAGCAAAGUUGCUUGUAUUCCUCCAUAGCCCUUGCCAUAGCCUGCUUUUGCUCAUCCCUGAGAUCAGCUUCCGUCACGGCGAUGACGUUGUCUGCGUCGAGCUCUGUAGUAGACAUGUUGAUCUUGAUAACAAAUCUAUCCCACUGGGCGUGCCAAAAGAUAUGUUGAUGCAAAAGAAUAUCUGCAAACACAAACGGCUAAUACCCAAUUCAAAGUUAAGGCGUGCCAGCCGAUUUGACCUUACAACCGACAAAGGUGUCGGUGUUUUCCCCCCGGGGGGUCACACCAACGAGUAAAACUUCUGUGAGUGCUCCCCUUUCCAGAUGGUGAUGCAAGAAAGACACAAAGAUUUAUCCUGGUUCGGGCAAGAGAAGGCCCUACGUCCAGCAGGGGGAGUGUUUGUAUUAUCUUGCACCUAAGUGCUUGUACAGGGGUGAAUACAAGUUGGUAAGAUGUGGAUGGAUGGAGAUGGAGUAUGGUUGCUCUUCUACGGAUGUCUUGUGUCCCCUGUCCUUUCCUGAGCCUCCCCUUUUAUAGUCCCAAGGGGAGACCUAGGUUACAUGCGUAGGUGACAAAGUAGGGAUCGAUAGGGGUGUGGCGCGCUGACCUACUCGAGGCUUCCGUACCGGCGUGGCCUCGAGCUGUCUUGUUACCCAGUACUUGGAUGAUGAUUACGCGUGUCACUGAAUUUGGCUUCUCAUGUCGUCCUGGAUUGGCUCAACCGUGGGCACGCCUGUAUGUCGUGGCUACAGUUGCGUCGGGGUGGUUGAGGUGCUGUCUUUCAUCGUCUGACUCUUCUCAGGGAAGGAACACACUCGCUCAAGGGUCUGAUGCCGUGCAAGGCCUUGCUAAUAGGAGCGUUGACUUUGGGUGUCUCAAGGGGGGUCGUGACGAGACAUUCCGUUCGCCUUGCUGCGCCCUGUCAUGCUCUGACUCAUUCGGUGGACAAGGUUGCAAAAAGGGGUGAUUGGAUGGGUGCUUGCUUCCUAUCACGCUUCCCGUGGCUGUCGGGUUAGGUGGGAAUGCGGCGGGAUGCAUUAAAUGCCCUGGUUCCCGUACCCGCGUCAUGCGGCAAGCGGCGUCCCCGCGCUCGAGGCUUGCCGAUUCGUACGAGCCAGUUUCCGUAUUCGACAGUCACCGUUCGGUCGAGCCCUAGCUGAUUCGCAUGACGCUCUUUCCAUAUUCGAGGCCAUGGUCGUUGUCUUGUUUUGACGAUCAUAUAUGCGAUCGGGGGGCGUCGAGUCGGGGGCCUCGAUAUACACACGGGUGCUUUCGUCAUGUGCGUCGGUUAGGGUACCCCUUACUGAUACCCUCGACAAUAGCCCUCGAGUCUCCAUUUGAGCGCUUUGCGCUCGAGUAGAGACUCUUCUUGUUGGUUGACUUUUCAUGGGGUCGCGCGAGCGACCCCUGCGGGGGUAGCCCCCGAGCCCUUGGAGGAGUCUUUGACUCCUUCGAGGGUUAUGUUGCCUUACCUGAUGGAAACGCUCUCAAUGCCCGUCAUGGGAGAGGAGCUAGAGGCUUCGAUUGGUUGGUUUUGCGUCGCGGUCGUGACGUACUCCCGGCGGAGCGAGCGUCACUUACCCCAGAUUGAGCUCCUAUUGGGUAAUCCAAGUGAGAACCUGUGCCCUGUUCGAGGGGGUCAGCUGUAGCCCGGAGGCGUUCUCAUAAAGCAGGGUCGACGUGGUCGGGGUUAUUGGUCUUGUUCGAUAGAGUCCAGCGGCUCGAUGCCUCCCUUCGUGGGGAUUCCUCUCGACCGUCUCGCUCUCGCCUUGGACAUCCCCAGCGAGUUCUCGAGGCGGGCCUCGCUUUUCGACCGCUCGCUGGGCAUCCCUGAUUCUGGUACUCGAGAUCGGCUGUUGAACCCGUUCGGUGGGUCAGCCUGUGACCUCUCGAGAUUUUCAUCAUAACGAGUACGUACCUUGGCUUACAGGGGAAGGAAAGGAUUGUCACAGAACCGACCAAAUUAUAAGAGUUCAAGUGCAGAAACGAUCACCAAGCAAUCAAGUUUCCAAACUUGAGCCCAUAUAAUCUCGGUAGUCAAUUGAAAUCACGAAGGACUUCAAACCAACUCGCAACAAACCAAGAUCGUAAUAGUUCAACAUAAACACAACGAAUGUUACAUAGUCAUACAUUGCCGUCGAAGCGGCACCACAUCGGAGUAUUAAGUUAUUACAACACUUGUUCGAAAUAGUGGAAGCAAAAUAGUUACACACACAUUCCAAAGUUCAGUUCACAAGUUUGGGUUACUGCCAGAGUCUACACCACCCUUCCAAAAGCAACAGGUACGAAGUUGUUAGAGAACCGUGCCCAACGGUUAGUCCUCAUCCCCGGCGGGAUGGAGACAGGUCUUGCAGAACCCGUCAUAAAAGAUGUCAUCUGCAACAAGUGGGAAUAAACCCUGAGUACGAGAUUGUACUCAGCUAGACUUACCCGUCUAGUAAAACAUAAAAGACAUCAAGGAUCAUGCAAGGCUAAAUAUCAAGUGGAGCUGGUUGACUCACCUUUUUGCCAAAAGCUUAACUUACAACUAAAUUAUUCUGAGAGCAUCAUAUUUAUUUAUCAUCAGCCUACCACUAGAUUAGCACCUAUACUACAACACAUCACUUAAUUAUUACAAACAAUAAUAACCAUAUCAGAUUCAUCAUGUGUUCUUCUUGCUAUCCUCAUUAUCAUGAACCAAUUUCAUUAGUGAAUGCUACGUUUGCCGCUGCUCUGUCAAGUUCUCACUAACCGGGAGAGACGGUGAUUCGAAUCGAAUUCCUAUCCAGCUGGAGGGUUAUUCCUAGCACUCACCCAAGCAUCCCCUGCCGGAGAGCCAACGGGUCACCUUUGGUACAACUCAGGAAUCGCGGCUCCGAUCAGCGCCGCACUCCCAGGGCUACCACUCCGCCAGGGAGGUCAGGAAUUUUAACUCACCUGCCUAUGGACUUACGCCAAUGGUCCCCCGCACACCGCACUUCCUCCGGUAGUGCGCACAUUAUACUUGCCGGUCUUCCGGCCUGAGUCAUACUACUCGGCUUUGCGGUCGGAACGAGUUAUCCGGCCAACUAAGUGUUAAGCAUGCGUUCAACACGACAAGAGGACGUACAACGAUCGGUCCUUAGCUGCCACAGACGGAGUUACUACACACUUGCAAAACUCCUCCCGAUUUAAGUCAAUUUAAUCAGGUUCCAUCCACGAUAGCACAUAUAGACCAUCGUGAUCCGACAUAACCCUAUAUCGCGCAGGUGACAGGAUAUCACCCGACUUCUACCGAUUAAAGCAUGGCUAAGCUGCUACUCGAUCCUAACUCUACGAUCAGGGUGUGGUGAGUUAUCUGGACAAGGAUAGAGUAGAAUGCAGCAACAGUUUCAUCACAACUCCUAUACGUAAUGCAUCAAUAGAUAUAACAUAUUAAGUAAACUUUCGAAAAUAACGGGAGUCUUAGAAUGCUCCGGGGCUUGCCUUUCACGAACGAUGCCGGCUCAUGAUUCGGGCACUCAACUACUUCUUCGGGCUCCUCGAGUCCGGCUUGCUGGACCUCCACCUCCGGACUGCCCUCCUGACCUUCGGGAUUCGCCUGAAGCUCGUAGGAGGCUGUCGCGUCCGAUGCACCUAUUGCAUGCUCGAAUAAUAAGAAGAUGCACAUACUAAAGAUGAAUGCUUGAUAACACAAGUAACUCACUGGACACUCAUUUACGGAGUAAAAGUUACACUAGCUCACAUAAGUAAGCAAGUCAACUUAGCUCACAACCUAUCAUGAUACUAAAACAGCAAGCAACACAAAACAAGUAUACCCAGUAAUUAAAUCAUAACUAAUGAUAUCCAGGUCCAACAAACAUGAGUGAAGACAUUCUGGAAAGCUUAUGAAAUUGUCUACAACUCAUCUUUAAACAUGACAGCAAGAUUCAAAAACUAAACUAGUCAUUUUAAACAAAGUUCCAGGUUCUGUCCCAGAAAAACAGAGAACCCCUAUUUCUGGAACCCAACUUGGAACAGCUAUAACUUUUAAACUACUUGGCCAAAUGACCUCAAAUUUAAACCACAGCUAGUUCAAUAAGUUUAGAACAACUUUGAUUUAGACAAGAUGCACAGAAAGUCAAGUUAUCAUUAAGCAAAGUUAAAUCCUCUCCUUGCUGUCCAGAACAGCCUUUAACCCUUUAAGUAAUUAUUUAAUGACAUGACCAAAACAUAAACCAUGCCAACCACAUGGCUUAUGAGCACAAACAUAUUACAAGGUUACCAGAACAUCAGAUGGAAACCCCCAAACAUUUACUUAACAAGGCAUUUAUUAAUUAAUUCUAGAUAAGAGCAUAAUUACAAGAUACUAGUCAAAGUGCUCAGAAAAAUCUAUAAAAAUUACAGAAGCACAAAUAUGACAUCAGGGCAUCACCAUAAAUUUUCCAGAGCAAUUGCACAUACUAAAUUAAAGAUAUGUAUUUAACAUGUGCCAAGGUAAUUAUUUCAUAAAUUCAGAAGCAUGACUCAUAUGGUGCCAAACAACAGAUUUCAGAUUAUUUACAUCUUAGGAAUACCAUAAACAAGUUUACUACCAAAGUAGAGCACCAACAUAAGCACCAAUUAAUUGAUAUAAUUUAAUCAAGGAAACAAGCCACAUUUCAAUCAUAAUUUACAUAACUAAACUGCAGUGCUCCAAAAAUACUGAAAUAUUUACCAAAGCACUCUCAUACCAUACAGAGACUACCAUAAAAUUUUCAGAGUAAACUAAGCAGUAUAACAAGAGAUAUACAUUUAUCCAAGAAUAACAAGAUUAAAUCCUUAAUAAAUAAUUUCCCAGAAAACAUGGUUCAUUUUAUAUUUUUAUUAAAUACUAGCCAUCUCAAGGAAUACCACAAAAUUUGUUUCAGAAUUUUUGGAUCUCUGAAACAGGAGAUAUGAUUUUUAGAAAAAACAGCUCAAACCCUGAUUUAAACAAAGGAGAAAGAGAGACUGACAGAGGGGACCCGCGAGUCAAUGGACCCCACCUGCCAGCGACCCGGAAGCAGAGGCGUGGCUUGACCGCCGGAGAUCUCGUCGACGGCGAGGUCUCGGCGCUAGCCAAGGGCACCAUUGUGCUCCCCACUGCAUUCCGCAUCUAGCGGUACCCAAAACCCUAACUCUACCGAACUCUAGGUACCUUGCCCUCGCGAAUGGCGGCACGGCGGUGGUGCGCGGCCGACCGCCGGCAUCUCUGGCCAGAGACAGAGCAGAAGAGAAUGCGGACGAGCAACAACAAGACCUAGCGAAGCUUUUGGGACAAGAAUGAGGAAGAAUGGUGAACUACAGAGCCCUGGCCACGACGCCGGUGGCCAUGGCGGAACUCCGGCGAGGUAAGCUCGCGUCGGAGAAGGCAAUGCGAGCUCACCGAGGCUCGGCAGUCGCAGCCAACUUGACGACGGUGAAGUGGAGAGGCUUGCGGAGCACUGGACGGAGUUGCUUGGCCGGAGGCACGGAGACGCGCGCGCGCGAGCUCGCCGAAGCAACAGCGGCGACGCGGAAACGACGACGCGCGCGAGGGAGAGGACACCGGGAGUGGAAUGGCGCUGUCCACGCGACCGGGGGCGCCGUGGCGAGCUGAAGGACACGCGGAGGACUGACGAGCGGGGCCAACGGCGACGUACGGACGCCACGAGUCCAGACACGCGGCAACACCGGCGAGCUCCCCCUGUCUGACGGCGGCUCGAUUCAGUUCCCCAAACCGACUGAAACUCGGUUUUGCACGACGAUUAACUCCCUAACCACUCGAUGAUUUUGCUGGCUAAUUGCUCCAUGCUGGAGAGCUACAUGAGUACUCCAACAUUGCUUACUAGGUCAUAGCUUGAUUCGGCCUAGAAUUCAAACUGGAAGAUGAACAAUACCCCCUCGAGCAAACUGCAGAGAUUCCAGACUUAGAAAAUUUUCUAAGUGUUGGAAACAGCCCCAAAUCUGCCUUGUGGGCCACUUUUGAGCUAUUUGUGAUCAUUUUCAUGAGAUGGCCAUAAAACAACUUUUGUUCCUUAUAAAAUUUGCUACAACUUUGAUGUAGGAAGUUUUGACAUGCAAACAUUUUAUGAAACACUUUUUAAAAGCCUAAGCAAAAGAGGUUUCUAGGGCCUAUUUACACAAGUAUGACUUAAAGGCAUAUUUUGGAGAAGUGACCAACAUGAACAUUGUUCCCAAGGCCAACUUAAGCAUAGAUAAACUAAUUACCAAGGCAUUAAGCAUAAACACAAGCAUGGUUCACUCAAACAUAAGCAUAGGAAGACUAUUUAAGCAGUUUAAACCACAUUUUUGCAUAGAAUGACAUGGCUCAAGAGAGAUGAUGAUCAUGGAUGCUUUGAUUAGAUAAUGAUGCUUAUGCUAUGCACAUGAUUAAUGCAACCAUAACACUGGGGUGUUAUAAGGAUCGCGGCGAUUCGCCUUUUUGCCCGUUGGGCACGCCUUUUUAGGCGGGAGCCGUUGCGGCACUGUACCGGCGUGAAAUUCGUAGCGUCCUAUCUGUGAGAGAAAUAAGGACUGUCAGGCAGCACAUUUACUAGGGGAGUUACCGUAUCUGUCGGAUCUGUCCGUUGGUGGUCAGCCGUCUAUAAAUAUCCUUGGGUCUCCCUGCCGUCGCUCCUUCUGCCUUCCGCCCCUGUUCUUGCCUCUGCCUCCUUGCCAUCUCACGCGCGCGCGCACCCUCGAGCAGUAGCAAAGUCGCUCUCCUUCCUCCUGAAGAUGCCGGUGAGACUCAUCGCUGCCGAUGACUGGCGCCCGUCGUCGAUGACGGAGCGCCGGCUGCUAGAGCUCGAGAAGGAAGGGCUUUUGCGCCCUCGCACUUCAUCAACGCGGCCAGAGUGGAUCGUGCUGGCGGCGGACCACCGGGAACCAAGACUGCCCAAAUGAUAUGUGGUAUCCUUCACCAAAUUCCACCGCCACGGCUUGGGCUCUCCUCCGAGCCGCUUUAUGCGGGCGCUCUGCCACCAUUACGGUGUGGAGCUUCAACACUUUUCGCCAAACGCCAUCACCGCCGCGGUGUGUGAGGGCUACCUUGGGAUGAUGCCGCACUGGGACCUGUGGCUCCACUUGUAUCGGGGCGAGCUCUUCCACGCCCCCAGUGGAACCACAGGGGUGAGGAAGCCGGUGCGGGCCGGCUGCAUCAUCCUGGUGCUGAAGACCGGCAAGGCAGAGAAGCCGGGAGAGUACAUCCUGGUGGGGUUGACGUCGAACCACGCCGGGUGGGACUCCCUAUGGUUCUACCUACGGAACGACGAUGACCUCCUCCCCGCCUACACCGGGUGCUUGAUCUCGGAGCACCUGGACCGCUGGAGGUAUGGUGUCGUCCAGACCCAUCAAUCGCGGCUCGAUCCCAUCCUCAACGCCCUGAAGAAGCUGCGCGAGGAGGGCCUGACAGCUACACUCGUCCUCUCAGCUGUCCAUCACCAGAGGGUUCUCCCGUUGAUGUCUCGACCGCUGAGGAUGGACGAGAUGGGUCCUAGUGUUUCGUCCCGGGAUCUCGAGACGUGUCGGAUGUCCAAUGAGGCUCCCGCGGACGACGAGGUUGCAGCCAGAGUUAGGGCAGCCGUCGCAGGCGACUUUCAGCCUGAGCACGUCAACGGCUUCCCUAUGAGCCCUGACAAGGGGUCGAUUGACCUGGUAAGUCCUUCUCCCGCUUAUGGCUUUGAUUCUUGAUUUCCUACGAUCCUUCUUAAGACUUAUCUUCGUCCGUGUAGGGAUCGAUUGACGCUCGAUCCUCAAAGCCUCCGGUAAAGGAGGAUGAUAUCGAUCGCAACAAGAGGCGUGAGUCCGCAGAGAAGCAGAAGUCCGCAAAGGACUUGGAAAAGAAGAAGGAAAAGAAGAAGAAUCUCGAGUGACAAGCACUGGAGACAUGUCGAGUGAAGUCCAGGCAGAGGGGGGAGCCUGAGGAAGAAUCUCCCGAUGAGGACGACGGCAACGAGGGCGACGACGGCAGCGACAACUCCGAAGGGAUGGCGGCCCGUCUCGACAGAAUCCUCGAGGGCCCGCCGCAAGCCGACGUCAUCGUCCCGCGGACAGGAGCCCCUAAGGGGGUGUCGAGCAGUUCCCGCGAUGGCCAACAGGGGGAGUCCUCUCCACGCCAUUCUCGCGCCGACAGCCCUCCUGCGCUUGCGCAGGGUCAGGCCGUCCCUCGCCCCCAACCUCCUCCCGUAUCUAAGGCGGGCCACCGGGUUAAGUCUAUGGCGACGGCGCCGUUGACCCGCGGCCGCACUGCGGCCUCGAGUCAGGGGGAAACAGGUCGUAGAAGUUCUAGCCCUAGCGCUCGCCAGGCGGCAGACGCCGAGCCGAGGCCUACGUCCGCCUAUGAGAGGACCGAGGUCUCGACGCGGGGCGGCUCGAGGCCAGCUGGUCGAGGCGCUGGUCGGCGGGUUGCUCUUCCCGUGGGGUAAGGUUUAAGUGUUGUGGUUCUUGUUUUCCAAUGUCUUGCGUAUUCUCGGCUACGGCUCUCUGUUGACGGUCCUUAAUGCUCACAUUUAACUAUCAACUAAUCAUGGAAAAGGAUCCAAAUGCAACCAACACCUAGACUUAGGGUUUUAUCUGACAGAAUUCCACGAGUUUUGGUGUUUGUCUAUUUCUGCAGGGGGUUAUCAGGAAAUACGGAAGAAAGGCCCACACGUCGGGAUUACAUAGAGAUAUUAAUGUGCCACGCAAUUUUCUAUCAUCUAGAAGACUCCAGAAGCCACGGGAACGAACGGGAGGCCGAGCGGGCCCGGAGGCAGGGCGCCCGCCCUACCCCCCUGGGCGCCCGCCCUCCUCUGCUGGCCAAUCAGCACGAUUCUCGGGGAUUAUGCUCCACCGACUCUAAGGAUCGAGGAAAAUCACACGAUGAAGGUCGGUUUGAUCGGAUGGUGGAGAAUAACGUGGAAAUUCCUUGGGAGCUACUCUUCCUAGAUUUCUUGGGGGCUACUCUUCCUAGAUUUCUUGGGGGCUACUCUUCCUGGACUAUAUAAGCAGACCCCCACCAGCCCCUGGAGGCAUACCUCUUCUACAGAAUCAAAGCUAGGGUUUCAAUUUUUCAUCCAAGUAGAGAGGAUCCCUCUAGUUCUUCUAGUUCUAGUUCUAGUUAGUUCUAGUUGUAAUCUAGAAAAUAGGGAGAGAGAAGAGGAGAGCGGAGGAGGAGCCGGAUCUGUCGGAUCUUCCUCAACAUUAUACUUUUGCAGCAUCUGGUUCGUUCUUCAUCGUUCUCCAGGUUCUUCAAUUCAUAAUUCCUGAGUUCUUUAAUUACUUUUAUUUACAUUCAAGUUAUUUAUUGGAUUCCCGCUUGCAUCAAGUGCUCUAGUCUUUAUAACGCUAGAGUAGUAAUUAAUAGAUUAGACGUGGUGUUUAGUCUUGUGAUUACCUGGAAUUGCACCCAAUCCUGCGGAUUGUUGUGGUAGCCUUAGGGUAGUGACAGCCCUAACGGUCGACGUAUUCCACCACGUUCAGAUCGGUGUUUGUAGGACCGUAGUCAGACCUUCCUAGCCCCCUUCUCAUCUCUUUCUGUGGUUAGUGCUCUGAUGUCCCGAUAUAGAUAAUCUUGAAGUAAUUCUUGAUUCUUAGAUCAACUAGAGAACUCUCAGGAAACUUCCUCUCUUCCCACCAAAAAUAAUUAUAUAGUUAUCCUUGGGCGAUCUUGGAUCUUAAUUAGUACACUCACGUUCUCUGUGGAAAAUCGAUACUCUGGAAUACUCCCGGGUGAAAGCUACAUCGGUAUCCGUGCGCUUGCGGAUUUUUUCUGUUUGCGUUUAAAAUACCCAACAAGCUUUCUGGCGCCGUUGUCGGGGAACGGUAGCUGUGCUAGUUUCGAACCAAGUCGCCCGUAUAUCCUUUUUCUUUUCUUUUUUUACCACACUCACCUUAUCAUUUUCACCGUACCACAUGGAUUUCACUCUAAGCAUUAAUGAGCAUGGAAUUUAUUUCAUAGCCACUUCAUUUACUCCAUGCUCAUAUGCAACAUCUUCACAAUCCAUUGGUCUCUCCAACAUCACCACAUUCGAGAUCUCCAACCCCCUCAUCCUUUCUAUUUAUAAAAACUUUAAAAGGGCGGUUGUCGAUGCAUAUGUCUAUAAGAAAUAUUGCAGAUCUCGUUGAGUUGAUCUUGAUAUAGGUCAGCGUUGGAGGGGAAACCACUUCGCCGACAUAAAUUGAUGGUUUCCCAAGGACAAGCUUAGUGUCCUAAAACAAGCACUGAUCAGAUCAUAACAUGAGCUUUUAAUUAUUUGCAACAUUACCUUGUGUGUUGAGCAUAUUAGGAUAAUUGUAAAAAUAUUCCUUCGGGUAUUCUUGUCACUAACCUUUUCAGGAUUGGAGCAAGAAGAUCGGAUGAAUGACAAGCACAAGGUAUGUCCAACCAAUCAUCAUACAACAUUGAAUUAAAUUCAUCCAAACUUGAAUUAUGCAAAAAUUCAAGCUUGGGGGAGUACUUUACAUAAAAACAUCAUUUGCCAUGUUGCUAUGUUGGUUGUCCCUACCUUUGAGACAUGCUCAAUUUGUUAAAUGCUAAUCACACUACUUCAUCUCCACUUGAGUAGAUCUCUAUAAAUGCUCUCAUACCACCUUUAUUUGCUUUAGUAUAUGUCUAGGUUUGGAGUAGUUUCAUUUAUCUCUUAAUUAAGCAUGGUGCUUAGUUUAGGAAUGAUGAUCUUACUUCCAAGGGAGUUUAAAUUAAGCAUGGUGCUUAGGUUAAAAUGCCCUCCUAAAUCAAAUUAGACAUGGUGUCUAGGUUGAUUUUUGAACCAAUAGUAUGCUAUAGUAGAUAUUGGAUAUUUUGUUGGACUAACCCCUGCAGAAAAACUUUAAAUAUCGACCUGGGAAGUCCUGUGAUAAACUCACAUUGGAGACAAGGAGAGACACACAUGAAGUUUAACAAUUUACACAAGGAAGGCAUAGCUCACAAGAGAUGAUCGAUGGGGGGUGCCACAAACAUGAUGCACAACCGCUAAGAAAGGAAAGCUUCCACAAGGUGAUACUGUAACAUCACUCUUCAAGUAAGGUACACUUCGAGCAAAAUAUGACAGACUUUUACAACUCCCAGACUCCACCAAGUGAGGAACCUAGAUCUACGAGCACAAACACACUGGAGAUACUGGACACUCAGGCAAUCACUGCCCUGAGAUGCUUGAGGACGUAACUACUGGAGUAACCCCGUUGUGGAAGUAAUUACUGACCUUCUGCCGGUCAAGAGAGACAACCCAGGACGCCCUGUCAUCCCGAUCUCCAUCGGCAUGGUGGACUUACUAGAAGCACUCUGCGACUUUGGCUCCAGCGUCAACCUUAUGCUCCGGGUACUCUAUGAAAAAUUCUUUACACAUCCUUUAUCAGAAACAACCAUGGGUUUGCAGCUUGUAGAUCGUACACUAAGUUUCCCAAAAGGAAUAUUGAAGAACCUCUGCAUACGAGUUGGUACCUUGUACGCCCCAGUAGACUUCAUGGCGAUAGAGACUGGUACUGAUGAGAGGGCACCCAUCAUUCCAGGGAGGUCAUUCCUGAACACCUCAGGAGCGGUCAUCCACGCUAGUGCUGCCAAGAUCAGUUUCUACAUCAAGGGGACGAAGGAGACGUUUUCCUUCAAGAACAAAACUACACAAAUCUCAGAGCAAUCCUGACAUGAACCAAGGAAAGGACCAACAGGAGGAACAGGAACAAGCAAUUGUGGACUGAGUCAGCUAAGAUGGUCACUGCAGCUCAAGGAGGUCAAGAUUGUCAACUCAAGUCACCUUUCUUGAUCAAGAAGGACGACCCUGGUGUCCCAAGCAUCGAGUGCACAAUCAAUGGAUAUUCUUUUCAGAAGACACUCUACGACACCAGAUCUAACGUCAACAUAAUGGCCGCAGUCACUUAUCAGCUCCUGCAUGGAACCAUGUCCCUACAACUAACAUACAUUCAGGUCUAGAUGGUAGAUCAGACAUUCUGAAAGAUUGAAGGUUAUUGACAUGGGAGAAGACGAGUACGAUCCACCCAUCAUCCUUGAGAGGCCGCUCCUCAGCAUCGUUAAAGCAAUCAUCAACAUUGGAACCGGAGAAGUCCACAUGCACUUCCCCUCUGAGAAGGUACGCCGUUAUUUUACUUACCUUAACUAUAUAGUUGAAGACUCUAAGCAGGUCAGGACAAGAAGAAGACGACGCAACCGCAACCAGAGGAGGCAAAUCAUCAAGGACGGAUGGGCAGACUAUGAAGGAGAAGUCGUAAGGUCUGAAGACAUACAACUUGAACAGAACUGUCGUGAGGAGACCAUAGCACCGUGUCAGGUGUGGAGAGAGAAGAUAGUUAUACAUGAAGACCAGGCGCUGCCGGAACCACUGACUACGCCAUCCAGCGAAUCCUAGGACAACUGAGAAAAUGGAGAGUCCCAUUCGGAGGACUUAAAAACACCGAACGCCUUGCCAAGAGGUAAACUUGGUAGUUAUCUUUUCCUCUUAACUAUUUUAAAAUAGUUUGCUUAGUUAAUCAGGUUUAUAUCAUCUUGAAAAGAAAAUAAAAAUGUUAAGAAUAGUAAGCCCCAUGUGAGUAUGCUCAUGGAAUAAAACCCAUAAGUACAUUCACUGUGGUGGCAUAAAAAUAAAAUAAAUAUAUUCCUGUCCUAUAAAAAUAAAAAUAUAAAAAUAAAUUUAUGAUCCUACUAAAGAGAGUAACAUUUAUUGAGGAGGCUCAACAUGAUAAAGGCUAGAUAUUUAUGCUAACACUUAACUAGUUCCACAAAGCUUUGUUGUCUAUUUGAGCUGCACAGAAUUCAAGGAUCAAAGAAGUCUAGCAGACGGAGGAUAUCCUAAUCGCUGUCAGAGUGCUGCUGACAUUCAAAUACACCUCCAGCACCUGCUAGCUACAUCAGAAGAAAUUGCGUCAAAAUCCAGCUUGGGGGAGAGCACCCCCAUUUAUCCAGCUAAGUGUUCUACUCACGUUUAUACUUUACUCAAAUAAUAAAAAGAUGCAUAAUCAUAAAAACCCAAAUAAAGAUUUUGUGCUUAUAUAUAUAUCUUUGCUUAGUUUGCUAAAUAAAAAAAAUAAUAAAUCAAGAUAAGUAUUAUUUUUCUUUCUUAGUUUUAUUUACUAGUAUUCGGAAAUAAAAAAAAUACAUAACCAUGAAACUUUGUUUUUAGUAAUAUAUAAUAGUUUUAUGUAAUACUAAGUUUUAAAUAAAAUAAAAAGAAAGUUUGAUUCAAGUCUAGGUAUUUGACAAACAUGAUAUGGGAAGGUCUGAGCUACUAUUUAACUUGUUCCAAGUUUUGCUAGAGUUCUGGAGAUUUUAUCUUUUGAAAAUCUAAAAUUCAUAAAAAAAUAUAUGAGAUCAUAAUACCUAGAGUCUUAUAAGAUAUAAAUAUUAAAACUAUGGGCACUUGCUUUGUUCAAGCCAUUGUUAAUUCUUGUAGUUUUGGUUGAGAGAAUUAUCAUGCUCCCAAGAUCAAGAUAUUUUUGUUUUAAAAAUAUAAAAGAUUCACUCUUCCGAAGUAUUAUUGCGUUAGAGGCAUGGGACUAUGCAAAAAUUUGAUUCGAAAAAAAAGAGUGAGAUGAGAGGUAAAAAUGGACAAGUGUCCGAAGUAGAAUUAGGGGUACAAAGAUACCCACCUGAGUGGAAAAAAAUGGACAUGUGUCCGAUAGUAGAAUUAGGGGUACCUGCUGCCCACUUGAAAAAAAAGAGACUAAAAAAAAAGAAAAAAAAAGAAGGAAAAAAAAUGAUAGCCCAUGGUCCCUCUAAUAAGCAAUAUGCCAGUAAGAGAUGACAAACUCUUCAAAAAGGUCAAAGGUCUUGAUCUAGGAGUAUGACAUUACUCUCCCUUACUCCGAGCAUUGAUAUAGCAAAAUGCAAAGUAAGUAUGCUAAAACUUUUAAAGCUCUACUUAUAUAUAUCUUUCGAGAAGAAGCCAAAUGCCUCGGUUUUAUUUUGCAGACUUAUAAAAAAAAACUCCAGAACAAAGGUAAAACAGAAGAACUUAAGACAUAGUGCUUGACUUGAUUGUUCUGUUUUUCAAUCACUUAAGACCUUAGUGAUAACUUAAAAACCCUGUAGUAAGAGGCAUAAAAGUAACCCCUGUUUUCUUGCUAAUUUUAGUUUUGCUCAGGGACGAGCAAAGGUUAAGCUUGGGGGAGCUUGUUGACGGUCCUUAAUGCUCACAUUUAACUAUCAACUAAUCAUGGAAAAGGAUCCAAAUGCAACCAACACCUAGACUUAGGGUUUUAUCUCACAGAAUUCCACGAGUUUUGGUGUUUGUCUAUUUCUGCAGGGGGUUAUCAGGAAAUAUGGAAGAAAGGCCCACACGUCGGGAUUACAUAGAGAUAUUAACGUGCCGCGCAAUUUUCUAUCAUCUAGAAGACUCCAGAAGCCACGAGAACGAACGGGAGGCCGAGCGGGCCCGGAGGCAGGGCGCCCGCCCUACCCCCCUGGGCGCCCGCCCUCCUCUGCUGGCCAAUCAGCACGAGUCUCGGGGAUUAUGCUCCACCGACUCUAAGGAUCGAGGAAAAUCACACGAUGAAGGUCGGUUUGAUCGGAUGGUGGAGAAUAACGUGGAAAUUCCUUGGGAGCUACUCUUCCUAGAUUUCUUGGGGGCUACUCUUCCUAGAUUUCUUGGGGGCUACUCUUCCUGGACUAUAUAAGCAGACCCCCACCAGCCCCUGGAGGCAUACCUCUUCUACAGAAUCAAAGCUAGGGUUUCAAUUUUUCAUCCAAGUAGAGAGGAUCCCUCUAGUUCUUCUAGUUCUAGUUCUAGUUAGUUCUAGUUGUAAUCUAGAAAAUAGGGAGAGAGAAGAGGAGAGCGGAGGAGGAGCCGGAUCUGUCGGAUCUUCCUCAACAUUAUACUUUUGCAGCAUCUGGUUCGUUCUUCAUCGUUCUCCAGGUUCAUCAAUUCAUAAUUCCUGAGUUCUUUAAUUACUUUUAUUUACAUUCAAGUUAUUUAUUGGAUUCCCGCUUGCAUCAAGUGCUCUAGUCUUUAUAACGCUAGAGUAGUAAUUAAUAGAAUAGACGUGGUGUUUAGUCUUGCAAUUACCUGGAAUUGCACCCAAUCCUGCGGAUUGUUGUGGUACCCUUAGGGUAGUGACAGCCCUAACGGUCGACGUAUUCCACCACGUUCGGAUCGGUGUUUGUAGGACCGUAGUCAGACCUUCCUAGCCCCCUUCUCAUCUCUUUCUGUGGUUAGUGCUCUGAUGUCCCGAUAUAGAUAAUCUUGAAGUAAUUCUUGAUUCUUAGAUCAACUAGAGAACUCUCAGGAAACUUCCUCUCUUCCCACCAAAAAUAAUUAUAUAGUUAUCCUUGGGCGAUCUUGGAUCUUAAUUAGUACACUCACGUUCUCUGUGGAAAAUCGAUACUCUGGAAUACUCCCGGGUGAAAGCUACAUCGGUAUCCGUGCGCUUGCGGAUUUUUUCUGUUUGCGUUUAAAAUACCCAACAAGCUUUCUGGCGCCGUUGCCGGGGAACGGUAGCUGUGCUAGUUUCGAACCAAGUCGCCCGUAUAUCCUUUUUCUUUUCUUUUUUUACCACACUCACCUUAUCAUUUUCACUGUACCACAUGGAUUUCACUCUAAGCAUUAAUGAGCAUGGAAUUUAUUUCAUAGCCACUUCAUUUACUCCAUGCUCAUAUGCAACAUCUUCACAAUCCAUUGGUCUCUCCAACAUCACCACAUUCGAGAUCUCCAACCCCCUCAUCCUUUCUAUUUAUAAAAACUUUAAAAGGGCGGUUGUCGAUGCAUAUGUCUAUAAGAAAUAUUGCAGAUCUCGUUGAGUUGAUCUUGAUAUAGGUCAGCGUUGGAGGGGAAACCACUUCGCCGACAUAAAUUGAUGGUUUCCCAAGGACAAGCUUAGUGUCCUAAAACAAGCACUGAUCAGAUCAUAACAUGAGCUUUUAAUUAUUUGCAACAUUACCUUGUGUGUUGAGCAUAUUAGGAUAAUUGUAAAAAUAUUCCUUCGGGUAUUCUUGUGACUAACCUUUUCAGGAUUGGAGCAAGAAGAUCGGAUGAAUGACAAGCACAAGGUAUGUCCAACCAAUCAUCAUACAACAUUGAAUUAAAUUCAUCCAAACUUGAAUUCUGCAAAAAUUCAAGCUUGGGGGAGUACUUUACAUAAAAACAUCAUUUGCCAUGUUGCUAUGUUGGUUGUCCCUACCUUUGAGACAUGCUCAAUUUGUUAAAUGCUAAUCACACUACUUCAUCUCCACUUGAGUAGAUCUCUAUAAAUGCUCUCAUACCACCUUUAUUUGCUUUAGUAUAUGUCUAGGUUUGGAGUAGUUUCAUUUAUCUCUUAAUUAAGCAUGGUGCUUAGUUUAGGAAUGAUGAUCUUACUGCGGUAUUGAAAUGCUUGUUGGGUAUUCUUAACAUCAUUACCAAAAGUAGACUUAGUUUUCUAAUUCUAGUAACGGUGCCAAAAAUGCCAAACCUAUCCCUCAUACCACUUAAGCCAAGUUGUCAUCCCCAGCAUGACAUGAGAGACGUGGUAUUGAAAUAUGCAAUUGCUCUUCUAAAUAAAUAAUGAAUGGGAUCUGCAAGCGCACAGUUUAAUAUCGAUGUAGCAUUUUAACCGGGAAGUAUUCCAGGUAUCGUUAUUUAUAUUUUUACCACUGGGAAGGGAUUAGUAACCAUCAAUGUUGAUUAUAGAAUAGAAUAUAAGAUUGAGUAUCUAUCAUUGCAUGUAUAAUUGAGAACAUUUAUCUAACUCUUUCAUACAGGGAUAAGUGUCACAUAAAGGAUAUAUGAAGUAAUGAAUAGUGACAAAGAUAAUUAAUCUGAUCAGCAUAACUUAGCCACAUAAUAAAUAUGAUAAGCACCUCAAUUAGAUAUUCUAGAAAGUCAUUAGCAUGGUAUUAGAACGAACUACAAGAAUAUUUCCUAAGUUAUUCUCAACUAUAUAGUCUAGCAUUAUCACAGUUAGUGCAAGCACACUUAGCAAUCGUUGUGAGACAAGACUACGCCCAUGCAGAGUGAUAUUAGAAAGGUAAAUGAGAAACAUAGCAAUCACUCCCCUGUAAUAAUGUUGCUCUGCCAGCCCAAUACACGAGAGGGGGACUAUAUAAGAAUUAAUGAAGCUGUCACUAUCACGAACUACCCCACGAUCUGGCAUAUUGGGUACAAUCGCAGAUAAAUACGGUAUAAGCACCACGCCUACACAAUAUCUAUCAUUUACCCAUGGAUCCAAUGGAUAAACGCUAUACGAUCCUAAGCAUGUAUAUAAUUCCAAUCUAACUAAGCCAAGUAUAUAACCAUGAUAAACUAAGAACAAUAUAAUCUUGAAUAUAAACAAGUAGAGCAAAGUCAUAAGCAAUAUAUUGAAGUAGAACAAAGUCAUAUUCAUAAUAUUGAAGAACAAAGAUGAUUAGAAGAACAAUUAGAAGCACAAUUAGAGAAUUACCAAGAAUCCUCUAAUAAAGGAUAUGUAAAGAUUUUUUCAUAGAGUGCUUCUGGGACGUCCACCAUGCCGAUGGAGAUCGGGAUGACGGGGCGUCCUGGAUUGCCUCUCUUGACCGGCAGAAGGUUAGUAGUAACUUCAGUGACGGGGUUACUCCAGUUACCUACAUCAAACAUGUCUACAAGAUUUGCAGAUUCUAAUCCUUCCGGUUGUGAUGGUAUACCAGAGUUAGUAGCAGGAACAGCAGCAGCUAUUUGAUUUAACUGAGAUUCAAUCAUUUUAUUAAAGCUAAUUUGAUUCUUGAUGGCAGUAAAGAAACUAUCCAUUCUAUUAUUUAUAUUUUCUAGCAUUUUAUCAUUAGAUGCCAAUUUCUUAGAUAGGUUAUCCAUUAGCUUUCCUUGAUUAGACACUAACUCUCUCAGAGGUGGAAAAUUAUUAUUAUUGUUGUAAGAAUUGUUACCUUGAUAAUUACCUCAGUAGUUAGACCUCUGUUGAUUCCAGCCUUGAUUUUCUUGAGGACGGUUGUAGUAGUAGUUGUUGUUAUUGUUGAUGUAGUUCACAUCCUCAAGCAUCUCAGGGCAGUGAUUGCCUGAGUGUACAGUAUCUCCACACUCCUCACAUGUCAUGUGAGAGUCGUAGAUGUGCAUAACUUCUUUCUUAUCUCCAGCUCUAUCAUCGAGCUUCUUCAUGAGCAGGUUUAGCUUUGCAGACAACAUGUCUACCUCCUUGAGCUGAUGCAUACCUCCACCUUUUUUGCGUGUUUGGGUCCUCUCUUCAUUCCAGCCUUGAUUGGACGCCAUCUUCUCCACAAGAGCUGUGGCUUGUGAUAUGGUAAGUGAUAGGAAUGCUCCUCCAGCUGCAGCAUCCAUGGUCUCUCGGGCACUGUUGCGGAGCCCAUGAUAGAACGUCUGCAUCAGUAGCCAACUCUCCAUUCCAUGAUGGGGACAUUCUAGGAUGCAGUCUUGGAAGCGCUCCCAUGCUUCUAGAACGGAUUCGUCAUGUUGUUGCUGAAAACUUGUAAUCUUCCCACAGAGAGCAUUGGUCUUGCCCAUGGGAAAGAACUUAGCCAGAAAGUUCAUGGAGCAGAGUGCCCACGUAGUAUUCUUCUCCUUUGUAGCGUAGAACCACUGCUUCGCUCUUCCUAAUAGUGAGAAUGGGAAAAGGCGAAGUAGUAUAGCAUCUUUGGGGAUUCUUGAUAUGGUGAAUGUGCUGCAUAUCUCCACAAAGUGUUGGAGAUGAGCACUAGCAUCUUCGUGUGCCUUCCCAUAGAACUGGUUGGAUUGCACCAUGUUGAUAAGUCCAGGCUUGAGCUCAAAGUUGCCAUCGAUCUUUGCAGUAGGUCCAGUGCGGAUGUUGUCCGUAUGGGAGCUGAGAACUCACGGAUCGAUUUGUUCGCCAAAGCUUCGAACUCUGAAGACAAGUUCCGGGGAUCUUCUUGAUUGGAUGAAGCUUCUUGCUGAAGUGUUGAUGAUCUCUUCUUGAGCUUGGCUCUUGUUUUUCUGAACAAUGCUUCGGGAUUGUCAACAAAAUUUCCUGGAAGAUGUCUUCUAUUCAUACAUUCCCCUGCAUAAGAUAAAAAUAGAAAAAUAUCGGGGUAAAACUGUAUGAGAGAAUAGAUAAGCUCAAUCACAUUAGUGAUGCGAAUGAUAACUCAAAAAUCUAUAUCCAUUCCUGAUUAGUAAUCAACCUUCCCCGGCAACGGCGCCAAAAAUGCUUGUUGGGUAUUCUUAACAUCAUUACCAAAAGUAGACUUAGUUUUCUAAUUCUAGUAACGGUGCCAAAAAUGCCAAACCUAUCCCUCAUACCACUUAAGCCAAGUUGUCAUCCCCAGCAUGACAUGAGAGACGUGGUAUUGAAAUAUGCAAUUGCUCUUCUAAAUAAAUAAUGAAUGGGAUCUGCAAGCGCACAGUUUAAUCCCGAUGUAGCAUUUUAACCGGGAAGUAUUCCAGGUAUCGUUAUUUAUAUUUUUACCACUGGGAAGGGAUUAGUAACCAUCAAUGUUGAUUAUAGAAUAGAAUAUAAGAUUGAGUAUCUAUCAUUGCAUGUAUAAUUGAGAACAUUUAUCUAACUCUUUCAUACAGGGAUAAGUGUCACAUAAAGGAUAUAUGAAGUAAUGAAGAGUGACAAAGAUAAUUAAUAUGAUCAGCAUAACUUAGCCACAUAAUAAAUAUGAUAAGCACCUCAAUUAGAUAUUCUAGAAAGUCAUUAGCAUGGUAUUAGAACGAACUACAAGAAUAUUUCCUAAGUUAUUCUCAACUAUAUAGUCUAGCAUUAUCACAGUUACUGCAAGCACACUUAGCAAUCGUUGUGAGACAAGACUACGCCCAUGCAGAGUGAUAUUAGCAAGGUAAAUGAGAAACAUAGCAAUCACUCCCCUGUAAUAAUGUUGCUCUGCCAGCCCAAUACACGAGAGGGGGACUGUAUAAGAAUUAAUGAAGCUGUCACUAUCACGAACUACCCCACGAUCUGGCAUAUUGGGUACAAUCGCAGAUAAAUACGGUAUAAGCACCACGCCUACACAAUAUCUAUCAUUUACCCAUGGAUCCAAUGGAUAAACGCUAUACGAUCCUAAGCAUGUAUAUAAUUCCAAUCUAACUAAGCCAAGUAUAUAACCAUGAUAAACUAAGAACAACAUAAUUUUGAAUAUAAACAAGUAGAGCAAAGUCAUAAGCAAUAUAUUGAAGUAGAACAAAGUCAUAUUCAUAAUAUUGAAGAACAAAGAUGAUUAGAAGAACAAUUAGAAGCACAAUUAGAGAAUUACCAAGAAUCAUCUUGACAGAUCCGGAAACUAAUCGAAGAUUGACUCCUAGUUCUAAUCCUAUGUAGCUAUGCUAAUCUAGAUGUCUAAUUGAAGUGGUGGCUCUAGCUUUGAUCAGAGGCUUCUUCUCCCUUGAGAAUAAUGAAUUAGGGUUGAGAGGCUCUCUCCUCCAAGGGCCAGGGGGUCUGGUUUUAUAGUCCCUUCAAGUGAAUAUGGGCCGUUAGAUCAAACCGACAUUGAUUGAACGGUUAUCCUUGAUUCUUUAGGUCGGUGGAGAUUGAUCCCGAAAGAGAGUCCUGAUUGGACUCGAAAGGUGGGCGGGCGCCCAGUGCCUGGCCCCGUUCAGCCUCCGCUUCCUUCCCAUGGCUUCUGGAGUCUUCUAGAUGUAAGAUAAUUGCGCGGCACGGUGAUAUCUCUAUGUAAUCCCGACGUGUGGGCCUUUCUUCCGUAUUUCCUGAUAACCCCCUGCAGAAAUAGACAAACACCAAAACUCGUGGAAUUCUGUCAGAUAUAACCCUAAGUCUAGAUGUUUAUUUCAUUUGGAUCCUUUUCUUUGUUUAUUUGUUAAUUAAAUUUGAUACUUAAGGACCAUCAACAGCGGACGCCUUGGCCCAUCCGGCUCCACUCCGUCGAGGAGAGGAGGAAGAAGGAAGAGGAAGAGCGCGAGCGGGAGCCGCAGCAACAGCUGUAGGAGGAGCUACAGCAGCUACAGGAGGAGCAGCAACAGCCGCGGCGAGGAGGAGGAGAAGAAGAAACACUCCAGGACGCGUUGGAGCAGUGCCGGCAGCAAGAGCUGCUGCAACUCCAACGAGAACAGCAACAGCGGAGCCAACAGUUGGAAGAGAAGCUCGAGCUGCCACCGCACGGCCCGCGCCAGCCUAAAUCGUCACUGCCGCGGGGGCCCGAUGCCGGGGAGGAGGGUUUGCCAAUUUACGGCCCUCCAACCCCUGCGUGGCUCCGCCUAGGGGCGCCUGCAUCCAUCUCGGCCGAGCCAGGCGAGCAGAUAGUGUGGUGGCGCUUGCCUGUGCCAUGCGCACCCCCGUGGACCCCCAGUCAGAGAUUAAGGGUACGGUUUAUGGCAUCGAGGGAAUCGGCCCCAGGUUCCUUCAAGACCGGCGGCCGUGGGUGGACCUUAGCACCGUUGGGGAGGACGAGGCCGAGGCGAUACCGGGGAGACCGGGACCUGGAGGGCUGUGGAUGACGACGGGCGAUUCCCCUCCCUCGUUGACCUAUUUUUACGUCAUGGGGGUCGCUCGAGAUUGUCCAAGAACUCAUCCGGGGCGUCAAGGCACGCACGGAGGAGGAGAUGGAGAGCUGGGGCCCUGGUCGGAUCCGCAUUCGGGCCUCCAUCGAUCCAUCAGAGCCUAAUAUCUUUAUGGAUGAUCGGAAGGAGGCCGAAAAGUGGGAACACCUAGAGGAGCUUCACCUCUGGAUGAAGCAUGUGGUGGGACUCAUGUCUGACAUCGUUAACAACGGGCUUGGUCAGGCUUAUUUUGUAAGUGUCCUUGGACUUUAGCUAUUUGGAGUGUUUGGUUUCGUAUGCUUACUAUUCGACCACCGGUUCGCAGGAUCUGAAAGAGACCUCCCGCUUGAAGUCAGGCUUUAUCCAUGCGACGAGGGGCGGCUGGGAGCAACUCCCUCUUCUCAAGGACCAACUCCUAGAGUCGCAGGAGAAGCUCCUCAAGGCCUACAAAGAGCUUUUGGCGCUCGAGGAGGAGACAAAGGAGAGGGAGGCCGCUCUGGUCGAAGCUCGGGAGGCCUCGAGGAAGGUGGUGGAAGAGGCCAUGCAGUUGAGGGAGCGGACCAUGAUGGUCGAGGAGGCUGCGUCCAAGGCCCGGGAAGAGGCCGUAUUUUAUAAGGACGCAGCCGCCGAUCUUGACAAGGAGAAGGGCCUCAUCAAGGCUGACCUUGCCUCUGCCCGAGAGGCCUACCGAGAGAUGAAGGUGGAGUGCGUGAAGGGCGAGAUUGCUCGGAGCACCGCAGAGGAGGCCAAGAAGAAAGCCCUCGAGGAUCUCGAGGCGGAGCGGGCUCGAUCUCGCAGCCUCUCUAACGACGUUGAUCAUCUGAAGAGAGCGUUGCUGGAGAAAGAGGGAGCUAUCACGCAGGCGGGCAAGGCGAUCGAGGACUUGUGGGUCGCCAACACCAUCCUAGCCCGCUCUCAUAGGGAGAUCGAGAGGGCCAACACCGAUUUGGUUGGUCAAAACACUGCUCUAGAGGAGAAGAUUCAUGGUAAGCUUCUUUAUACUUUCACACUUCUUUUUGCAAGGUAUUUUUUGGUGUUGUCUAAUUUCCAUGCAUUGGUCUUUGCAGGGCUUAGGGACGAGCUUCUGGCUGCCCAGGUCGAGGCCCGCUCCGCCAAGGAUCAGCUCGAGGGGGAGGUUGCUUUGAACGGUCGACUAAGGACCGCGAUAAGCGAUCUCUCGGCCUCCUAGGAGCUCGAGCCUAUGGAUGAGUCAAGGGAGGAGGCUCAAGGCGACGCACUGGUCGAUCAGCUGUGCUACCUAGGCGCCACGCUGAGGGAUCGAGUGUGGGACGCUCUUCAUACCGGGGUGAAGCGGGCAAUGGCGGUUGUCUGCUCAGGCUUUUCCUACGAUAUGGAGGUGGUGUCCCACGGCUUCGUCACCGACAUUUCUAAGACUGACGCAGAGAACGAGGAGAGGCUCCAUGCCUUGAUCGACGAUGCGGAGGUCCCUGGAGAAAGGAUGGCGAGGCGGUUCGAGCCAGAAGUACUUCCUCCCGAGACUAGCCCGGGUGCGGAUGAUAGUGGUGAGGGCGGAGAUGCGCACUGAGGCCUGCGAGCCUAUGCUGGGUGUCAAGACCCAUUAUAAAGUAUAAGUGAUACAUUGUGCUUUGAAUGGUUUUCUAUGAUUUGUGAAUAUUUGCUUAUUUUUGUGCAAGACAUUCCUUUGUUCCCUUGUUCGGUCUUUUGUUAAGGUGGCCUUGAUUGCCUCGAGGGUGAGGCAGUGAGUAGAGUUACUAUAGCCCGGGGGCAUAGGAGUUCUCAGGCUCGUUGUCUCUUGGCCUUUAAGGGGCUCGAGGUGCCUUUACUACUCGACCGUGCGAGGUUUACUUAUAGGAAAGAAAAAAUCGUUCGGUUUUUAGGAACUUGGGGGGUCCCCCUGCUAGCCCCCGAGGGAGUAUCGAUUAUGAUAGGUCAUAGUUGGCACUCCCUUCUAACGUUGAGACCUUGACCGGCGAAAAAGUAAAUUGCUCGAGGAAAAGAUCUCGUUUAUUCAUGCAUUCAUUCAUAGGAUCUCGGUACAGAAUGUACAUAAAAGCAUAAAACUUCGAAACUCUAGGUGUAGAAUCGACGUAGCUGUUCGAAGUUCCAUGCGUUGGUGAAGACUGCCCCUUUUUCGUCCGCGAGCUUGUACGUCCCUAUCUUCAGGACCUCGGCCACCACGUAUGGGCCUUCCCAGGGCGGGGUCAGCUUGUGACGUCCUUGGUUGCUUUGCCGUUGCCAUAGGACGAGAUCGUCCACGUUCAGGUCCCUUUUGCGCAUGUGCUUGUCAUGAUAGCGUCGAAGCUUCUGCUGGUACCUGGCGGAGUUGAGGAGGGCCAUGUCUCGACCUUCCUCGAGCUGAUCGACCGCGUUCUCUCGAGUCUCCUUAUUCGUCUGCUCAUUGUAGGCCUUGAGUCGGGGUGACCCAUACUCAAGAUCCGUUAGAAGCACGGCCUCGGAGCCGUAGACCAUGAAGAAUGGGGUAUAUUUCGUGGCCCUGCUAGGCGUCGUCCUUAAACUCUAUAGGACCGAAGAGAGCUCUUCGACCCAUUUCUUGCCGAAUUUCUUCAACCGGUUGUAGAUUCUUGGCUUGAGCCCCUGCAAUAUCAUGCCGUUGGCACGCUCGACCUGGCCGUUGGUUCGAGGAUGAGCUACUGCAGACCAGUUCACACGGAUGUGAUGCCGGUCAUAGAAGUCCAAGAACUUUUUGCAGGUGAACUGGGUGCCGUUGUCGGUGAUGAUGACAUUGGGUAUCCCAAACCGGUGGAUGAUGUCGGUGAAGAAGUGGACGGCCUGCUCAGUGCGGAUGUUCGUGAUGGGUCGAGCCUCGAUCCAUUUGGAGAAUUUGUCCACGAGCACAAGCAAAUGGGUGUACCCUCCUGCCGCUUUUUGUAGAGGGCCUACGAGGUCGAGACCCCACACCGCAAAUGGCCACGUGAUGGGGAUCAUCUGGAGAGCAUGAGCGGGAAGAUGGGUCUGCUUGGCAUAGAAUUGACACCCGUGCACGAGCGCACGAGCUCCAUGGCGUCACCUACGGCCGUUGGCCAGUAGAAGCCUUGUCAGAAAGCGUUCCCUACGAGGGUCCGUGGAGCAGCGUGGUGGCCGCAAGCCCUCGAGUGCAGAUCCUCGAGGAGCUUUCGACCUUCUUCUAUGGGGAUGCAGCACUGUAGGAUCCCGGUCGGGCUUCGUCGAUAUAGUUCGUUGCUUUCGCCGUAGAUCACGUACGAUUUAGCCCGCCGAGCGAUACGGCGGGCCUCAGAUCGGUCUUCUGGUAGCUCACAUCGAAUCAGGCAAUCGAGAAACGGCGUGUGCCAGUCGAAUAGUCGACCGGGACGCUGUUCCACUUCCAUCACUUCUGCUGCCGCUAGCAGGGCUUCGAUAGCGUUGGUUGGACGAGGGGCGUUGGUUUUGACGUCAGCUCCCGAGCUCAAGUCGACGGAUGGCUCGUGUAGAUCUCUCGAGAAUGCAUCGGGCGGGACCAUGCAUCGAGUCGAUGCAAUCUUGGCAAGCUCGUCGGCCGCCUCGUUGUAGCGUCGGGCGAUGUGGACGAGCUAUAGGCCAUGGAAUUUGUUCUCAAGUCGACGUACCUCCUUGCAGUAUGCCUCCAUCUUUGGAUCAUGGCAGCUCGAGGCCUUCAUUACCUGAUCGAUUAUGAGUUGAGAGUCGCCUCGAACGUUGAGGUGCCGAACCCCUAGCUCGAUGGCGAUCUUCAGCCCAUUGACAAGGGCCUCGUACUCUGCGAUGUUGUUAGAUGUAGAGAAAUGUAUCCUAAUGACAUACCUCAUAUGGACGCCGAGGGGUGAGAUGAAUAGCAGACCUGCCCCAGCUCCCAUCUUCAUGAGAGAUCCGUUGAAGUACAUCGUCCACAGCUCUGCUUGAACUUGAGCUGGGGGGAGCUGAGAGUCCGUCCACUCCGUGACAAAUCUACCAGAGCUUGUGAUUUGAUGGCUUUGUGGGGCGCAUAAGUGAGGGUCUCACUCAUGAGUUUGACCAACUAUUUGGUGUUUCUUCCUGUGGCCUCCCGACUUCAGAUGAUCUCUCCUAAGGGGAAGGACGAUACCACCGUGAUAGGGUGACCAAGGAAGUAGUGUUGCAGCUUGCGUCGAGCGAGGAUCACUGCAUUGAUUAGUUUCUGGAUCUGUGGGUACUGUACCUUGGUUUCUUAUAGCACUUCACUGAUGAAGUAGACCGGCCUCUGGACUGGCAGUGCAUGUCCUUCUUCCUGUCUUUCGACCACCACUGUAGCACUGACCACCUGGGUCGUUGCAGCAACGUAUAGAAGCAGAGGUUCUGUGGACUGAGGUGGAACUAAGACUAGGGCGGAGGUCAAUCUUUUCUUCAGGCUAUCGAGGGCCUCCUCGGCUUCGGGGGUCCAUGAGAAACGCUCAACCUUUUUUAAGAGCCGGUACAGCGGCAAUGCCCUUUCCCCUAACCUCGAGAUGAAACGGCUUAGCGCCGCCAAACACCCCGUGACCUUUUGUACCCCCUUGACGUCUCGAAUCGGCCCCAUCCUUGCAAUGGCCAAGACCUUUUCGGGAUUGGCCUCGAUGCCACGCUGGGAGACUAUGUAUCCCAAGAGCAUGCCUCGAGGCACGCCAAAGAUGCACUUCUCGAGGUUGAGCUUGAUUUUGUUGGCGCGUAGACAACCGAAAGCGAUCUCGAGGUCCUGAAUCAGGUCGCCUCGUUUCUUUGAUUUGAUGACGAUGUUGUCGAUGUAUGCCUCGACCGUCGUCCCUAUAUGCUCGCCAAACACGUGGAGCAUGCAUCGUUGGUAUGUUGCCCCAUUGUUUCGGAGCCCGAACGGCAUGGUCACAUAACAGUACAUCCCAAAAGGCGUGAUGAAAGAUGUCGCGAGCUGAUCGGAUUCUUUCAUUUUUAUUUGAUGGUAACCAGAGUAUGCAUCAAGGAAAGAAAGGGUUUCACAUCCUGUGGUAGAGUCAACAAUUUGAUCGAUGUGUGGUAAAGGGAAAGGAACUUUUGGACAUGCUUUAUUUAAACUUGUGUAAUCGACACACAUCCUCAUCUUCCCAUUCUUUUUCUUAACUAAUACAGGGUUUGCUAACUAGUCGGGAUGGUGAACCUCCUUGAUGAAUCCGGCCGUCAAAAGCUUGUGGAUCUCCUCGCCAAUGAUCUUGCGCUUCUCCUCGUCGAAGCGACGCAGCCGCUGCUUCACUGGCUUGGAACCGGCUCGAAUUUCCAAGGAUUGCUCAGAGACUUCCCUCGGUAUGCCUGGCAUGUCCGAGGGACUCCAUGCAAACAUGUCGGAGUUCACACGGAGAAAGUCGAUGAGCACGACUUCCUAUUUGGGGUCGAGGUCGGCGCUGAUCGUCAGCACCUUGUCGUCGGAGCCGUUGGGGUUGAGGAGGAUCUUCUUUGUGCCUUCUGCCAGCUCGAAGCUUCCCGCAUGACGCUUGGGUUCAGGAGCUUCUGUAUUAAAGGCCUCGAGCUUCGAUGCAAGCUCGGUGGAGCUCUUGACAGCUUCUCCAUACUCGACGCACUUGACGUCGCACUCGUACGCAUGCUCGUAGGAGGAGCUGACAGUGAGGACCCCCUUCGGCCCGAGCAUCUUCAGCUUCAGGUAGGUGUAGUUGGGGAUAGCCAUGAACUUGGCGUAGCCCGGCGCCCGAUGAUGGCGUGGUACGUGCCUCGAAAUCCCACCACCUCAAAGGUGAGAACCUCCUUUCUGAAAUUGGCCACCGUGCCAAAACAGACCGGCAGGUCGAUUCGACCUACCGGCAACACCUUCUUUCCAAGCACGACACCAUGGAAGCCGCCUGCGCUUGGUUGGAGCUGUGUCCUUUUGAUGCCUGUUGAUAUUUGGUAACGCAAUUAGAAAAUGAUCCGCAAGCGCACGGAUAUCGGUGAGCGUUUCACCCGGGAGGUUAUCCAGAGUUAUCGUAUUUAUAUUUUUACCACUAGGAGAAAGGGUGCAUCUGACUAACCAAAUCUAUUGCUACUAUCCCUUUAGGCUACAAAGAAUGUCUCUCGAUGUGAGUGAUGUAUAGAGAAGACUGCAACCGUAGUCUCGUUCUAACCUUGGUAAGGAUGAUCUACUGUUCUAUUGGGGAGGCUCACGGAAUCUAUACAACACAAAGGAUGUUCAACCCGCACCUAUAAACCUACCCGUCCUGCUAACGAGAUGUGAUCUACAAAGGUAACUCGGAAAUGUCACGUUCCUCGCUACUACCACGGUCCAGCUAGUCAGGGGAUAUCUAUGAGUACCCUAGCCUAAACACCACGUUUACACUAACAAGUGAUUACUCUAAUACUCAACCGGAAGAGGAUUAAAGUAAACUCAUAAACCAAAGAACAAUAAAACAAGAACUUACUAGUAUUAGAAGUCGAAUUACUGAAGAAUCUUAGAAGCAAGCCUCGGGUUAGGAGACUUGAUCCCGUAGGUACAACUCGGAGUAGACACCGACAGGCCGGCCUUCCUCCGAUCCACACCUCCACUCUAUCUCUCUCAAUCUAGUAGAAACUAGAAGAUCUAUUUCUACUUUACAUUGGUUGCUAAGCCUAAAAAGAAAUAUUAUUUAGAGAAGAGGUUUUCCUUCGAGGGCACUCCUCAAUCUCUAUGAUAAUUUCUUGUCUCCUCCAGGGGCCAGAGGGGGUCUCCUUAUAUAGUCCUCCCCUUCUAUGCGUUUUUGGGUCGAUAGGCGAGGUGGUACUAUGUUAUUCUGGAUCCAAUAGGUCGGUGGAACGUCGUGUGCGAAGAGAGUCCGGAACGGGGUCCAGAGGUGGGCGGGCGCCCAGGUCCUUAGGGCGGGCGCCCUGGGCCUGGCCCCUUUCGGGCUCCGCUUCCUUCCCGUGGCUUCUGAAGUCUUCUAGAUGGUAGAAAAUUGCGAGGUGGGUUGAUAUCUCUAUGUAAUCCCGACAUGUGGGCCUUUCUUCCUUAUUUCCUGAUAACCCCCUGCAGAAAUAGACAAACACCAAAACUCGUGGAAUUCUGUCAGAUAAAACCCUAAGUCUAGAUGUUGAUUUCAUUUGGAUCCUUUUCUUUGUUUAUUUGAUAAUUAAAUUUGAUACUUAAGGACCGUCAACAAACUCCCCCAAGCUAACCUCUUGCUCGUCCCUGAGCAAGGAUGAACUCAAGAGUUUCUGCAGUGGUUUCAUUUCUUAGAAGUACACACGCAUUUAAGCAAGAUCUCAUCUCUGAGUUAGAAUAAACUGUUAAGACUUAAAACUUACUUACUUUACCUACACCAUAGGACUUGUAACCGUCACUUCUGUCUUGAGUGGUUAAAAGAUAGAACAGUCUAGCCAAGUGCCAUGUCUCUUAUUCUUGAUCAGCUAUAGCUCUGUGGUUUUUGCAGAUUUUCAAAUAAAACUUAGAAAUUUCUUGUAUGAUUCUCUCAGGUCUCUCUUUUGUGGUAUUUUUGGAUCCUUACCAAGGCAGUGAUGGUAUAUGCCUUCUCUCAAGAUAUGUAGUAUUUGUGGUAUGAAGCAUAGUGACAUUGUCUUCUCUCUCACCCUACUCUAAUAAGGCUUUAAUAUCUGGAGCUCAUAGGUGGGAGAUAAAGUAUACAUACUUACAAGAUAUUUAUUGCAUAGUCAAACCAUGGAUCCAAAGAAACAAAUCAAUAAGCCAAAUCAAGAUGUGCAUGUGUGGCGAAUGAAUGGUGUAUGGUGAUGAUGGUGAUAACAAUGGUGAAAGUCUAAUUCUACUUUUGCUCUUUUGAGGGGAUACAUACCUUUCUUGCACUUUGAAGCUUUUUGAGGAUAAUGAGAUGCUCUAUAUUUUCUUUUUCUUUCCUCUCAGGUGGGUAUCUUGUACCCCUAAUUCUACUGUCGGACACUUGUCCAUUUUUACCUUUCGUCUCACUUUUUUUCUUUUUCUUCGAGGUUCCGGGCACUUGCCCCUUUUUAUUUCCUCGUAUUCAUUUUUUUUUCUCUCUCUCUUUUUUUUAGAGCACUCAUCUCCUGAAAUAAUGUAGCAAGUGGUAGUAACCAAAAUAACUGGAGCAUUUAUUUCACAGGGAAUAAUAGGGAUAGGAAAAUGUUUUUGGCUAUUCUCUCCCGGAUUAGGAGUAGAAUACUUUUGGGUGGUUUUGGAGAUGGAAAUGAAUGGAUAGUACUUCCGGAGUAGAAGUAGCAUGUAUGAGUGAACGUGCAAGUGAAUCUUGAUUUAAACACAUGACAAGCUCCUAAGGGUCUACACAGCUUGACCACACUCAAUGCUCAUAAGCAGUAAAAAGUAAAUAUGUGGCUCAAGGUCUAGCAAGCAUGUAUAUAUGGAUGUGGUAGGAAUUUAAACUCUCAUCAUAGAGGAACUCAUCAUGCAACAUUUUAAAGAUUUUCAAAGAUAAAAUUCUCUAGAAUUCUAGCAUCUCUAGGAACAGAUAAACAACAGCUCAACCUUCCCAUAUCGUAUCCGUUAACAACUUGGACUUCAGAUCAAGUUUUCAUCCCACAAGUUUAGGUCUAGAGCAAGCCUUAAAUUAUAACAGUUAUAUCUAAACUUGAGAGAGAACUUCAAAUUUGCAAAUUAGGCAGAGCAACUAUUCAUCAUAUCCGUGCUUAAGUUUUAUUAGAUACAGAUUAGCAUAGCCACUUUAUUUAUUUAUUAAACACACUAAGCAAAAUAUAUAUAAGCAUAAAAUCUUUAUUUGGUUUUUCAUAGUUAUGUGUAUUUAUAUUCUAAUAUAGUAUAAGUAUAAAGAUAGAUAGAAAUACUUAUCGAGAUAAAUGGGGGUGCUCUCCCCCAAGCUGAAUUUUGACGUAAUUUCUCUUGAUGUAGCUAGCAGGUGGCAGAGGUGUGUUUGAAAGUCAGCAGUAUUUUGACAGCGAUUAGAGUGUCCUCCGUCUGCUAGUCUUCUUGAUUCUUAAAUUCUGUGGAGCUCAAAUAGACAACAAAGCUUGUGGAACUGAUUAAGUGUUAUCAUAAAUAUCUAGCCUUUAUCAUGUUGAGACUCCUUAAUAAAUAUUACUCCCUGUUUUUAUAUUUUUGUUUUUAUAAAGCAGAAAAAUAUUUAUUUUAUUUUUAUGCCACCACAGUGAAUGUACUUAUAGGUUUUAUGCCACUCGUCUGCUCACAUGGGGCUUAGAGUUUUUUUCACAUUUUUAUUUUCUUUCUAGGAUAAUACGAACAUGAUUAACUAAGUAAACUAUUUGAAAUAAUUAAAAGGGAAAGGAUAACUACCAAGUUUACCUCUUGGCAAGGCGUUCGGUGUUUUUAAGUCCUCCGAACGGGACUCUCCGUUUUCUCAGUCGUCCUAGGAUUCGCUGGAUGACGUAGUCGGUGAUUCCGGUGGCGCCUCCUUUUCGUGUAUAACUAUCUUCUCUUUCUGACUCGGUGCUACGGUCUCCUCAGGACAUUUCUAUUCAAGCUGUAUGUCUUCAGACCUUAUCAUUUCUCCUUCGUAGUCUACCCAUCCGUCCUUGAUGAUUUGCCUCCUCUGGUUGCGGUUGCGUUGUCUUCUUCUUGUCCUGACCUGCUUAGAAUCUUCAACUAUAUAAUCAUUAAAGUAGUGGCGUACCUUUCUCAGAGGGGAAGUGCAUGUGGACUUCUCCGGUUCCAAUAUAGAUAAUGGCUUUGAUAGUGUUUAGGAACGGUCUUCCAAGGAUGGUGGAUGGAUCAUACUUGUCUUCUCCCAUGUCAAUGACCUGAAAGUUGUUUGAAGCUGAAUGUAUCUUGGUUGUAGGGGCAUGGUUCUAUGCAGGAGCUGAUAAGUGACUGCGGCCAUUAUGUUGUCGUCAGAUCCGGUGUCGUAGAGUGUCUUCUAAAAAGAGUAUCCAUUGUUUGUGCAUUCGAUUCUUGGAACACCAGGGUCGUUCUUCUUAAUCAAGAAAGGUGACUUGAGUCGACGAUCUUGACCUCCUUGAGCUGCAGUGACCAUCUUAGCUGACUCGGUCCACAUUUUCUUGUUCCUUUUCCUCCUGUUGGUCGUCUUCCUUGGUUCAUGUCGGGAUUGCUCUGAAGCUUGUGUAGUCUUGUUCUUGAAGGACACUCUCCUUCUUCCCCUUGAUGUAGAGACUGAUCUUGGCAGCAUUAGCGUAGAUGACUGCUCUGGUGUUUAGGAAUGGCCUCCCUAAGAUGAUGGGUGCUCUCUCCUCACUACCAGUCUCUAUCACCACGAAGUUUGCUGGAGUGUACAAGGUACCAACUCGGACACAGAGGUUCUUCAAUAUUCCUUUGGGAAACUAAGUGUCUGAUCUCCAUUGUGUUUGUGCUCGUAGAUCCCGGUUCUUCAAUUGAUGGAAUCUGGGAGUUGUAAAACGCCUUCACGUUUCUCAAAAUGUGUCCUGCUCAUAGAGACAAGGCAGAGAUCAAGUGCAUGGGCCCUGUUGGUGGAAAAUACCAACAGAACCAAAAGUGUAUUUGUUCUUCUCUAACCUUAAGCAUAGUGAGCAAGACAAAGUUGAUGGAUCAUGAGUGUAGCAUUUAAAACAUUUGUUAGAUCAGAUGGCUCAACCUAAUGGAAAGAUAAUCUAUCUAUAUUUAUGUUUUGUUUAUAUCUUCCAAAGAUUGAAUGUGCAAUACUUUAGCUUAUAUGAUUAGGAGUGUGGGAUCACGAAGGUAGUACUAAGAACAAAGAUUAAAGGACUAAACAUGUUGAAUUAAUUGGGUUGAUUAAUUUGGAGCUACAAAUCAUACAUGUUUGUCUCUUUAUUUUAUGUGAACGCUAGAACCAAGGAGAAGCUUAUAAAAGUGAUAGUCAAGUACCUUAAAAUGUUACCUUACUUGAAGAGUGACGGUAGAGUAUCACCUUGUGGAAGCUUUCCUUUCUUAGCGGUUGUGCAUCGUGUUUGUGGCACCCUCCAUAGAUCAUCUCUUUAUGAUGAAUGAGCUAUGUCCUUCUUGUGCAAAUUGUUAAACUUCAUGUGUCUCCUUUAUCUCCAAUGAGUUUGUAUCUCAGGAUUUCCCAGGUUGAUAUUGAAAGUUUUCCUGCAAGGGUUAGUCCAACAAAAUAUCCCAUAUCUACUAUAGCAUACUAUCGGCUCAAAAAUCAACCUAGACACCAUGUCUAAUUUGAUUUAGGAGGGCAUUUUAACCUAAGCACCAUGCUUAAUUUAAAAAUCCUUUGGAAGUAAGAUCAUCAUUCCUAAACUAAGCACCAUGCUUGAUUUAAGAGAUAAAUGAAACUACUCCAAACCUAGACAUAUACUAAAGCAAAUAAAGGUAGCAUGAGAGCACUUAUAGAGAUCUACUCAAGUGGAGGUGAAGUAGUGUAAUUAGUAUUUAACAAAUUGAGCAUGUCUCAAAGGUAAGGACAACCAACAUAGCAACAUGGCAAAUGAUGUUUUUAUGUAAAGUACUCCCCCAAGCUUGAAUUUUGCAAAAUUCAAGAUUGGAUGAAUUUAAUUCAAUGUUGCAUGAUGAUUGGUUGGACAUACCUUGUGCUUGUCAUUCAUCCGAUAUUCUUGCUCCAAUCCUGGAAAGGUUAGUGACAAGAAUACCCGAAGGAAUAUUUCUACAAUUAUCUCAAUAUGCUCAAUACACAAGGCAAUGUUGCAAAUAAUUAGAAGUUCAUGUUACGAUAUGAUAAGUGCUUGUUUAAGGACGCUAAGCUUAUCCUUGGGAAACCAUCAAGUUAUGUUGGUGAAAUGGUUUCCCCUCCAACACCAACCUAUAUCAAGAUCAACUCAACUAGAUCUGCAAUAUUUAUUAUAGACAUAUGCAUCGACAACCGCUCUUUUAAAGUUGUUCUAAAUAGAAAGGAAGAGAGGGUUGGAGAUCUCAAAUGUGGUAAGGAUGGAGAGACCAAUUGAUUGGGGAGAUGUUUUAUAUGAGCAAGGACUUCGUAAGGUAUUUAUGAAAUAACUUCCAUGCUCACUGUUGUUUCUCUCAUUCUCAAACUCCAAGGAUGAUUCUUCAUGAAUGCUUAAAAUUCCUCUAGGAUUGUCUCUCAAGUUUGUUUUAUCUAUCCAUUCAAUGGUGAUAGCACAUGGAUUUUUAAUGCCCUCUAGCCAUUGAUGUUGCUCUUCUCGAUCCUCCUUCUUAUGCAUGGGAUGUUUAGAGAGAUUGAUAUGAUUAUCGGGAGGUUUAAGAGAAAGAGCAUAGUAGAAUUUAUUAAGCUCAAGGAAGGUGUGGAUAGCCGAAUUAUGGGUUUGAAAUGUUUGGAAAUCGGCUAUUGAAACUUCCUUUCCUCGUCUGGGAGAUGAUUCCUUCUCUAUCUCUAAGAUUUUUCUAUGAAUACUAGUACAAGAAGGAUGCCCACGAAUGAAGACAUACCUUCCUUUACUAAUAGAUAAAGAAAGAAGGACUCUACUAAAGGUUAUAUGAUUAAGACCAAUGUGAAAAUAUCGAGAAAAAACAUGGUCUUGUAGGGCUAGGUCUAAACCAAAAUUUAUAGAAAGAUUAAAAGAUUCCCUAGGUGUAGCUAAAAGUGCAUUAUCUUCUUGAUUAAAAGAUAGGACCUCGGCUAUAGAAAAGGGUUGGUUUUGACCUAUUGCAAUCAACUCCGGACACAGAUCAUAAUUAGGGGUAGGACGUGUUGACUCCCAUGGUCUAUGGCUGGUCUCCGAGGGUGCAAAGAAUUUAAUAAUAGGUAUGGAAUUUGAGUUAUCCAUAAAGAUAAAAAUAAAAAGAUAAAAGAAUAAAAGUAUAAAAGUAUAAUACAAGAUAAUAGCAAGACUCAAAGUUAUCUCAGCAAACCGUCUUUCUCCCCGGCAACGGCGCCAGAAAUGCUUGUUGAUAUUUGGUAACGCAAUUAGAAAAUGAUCCGCAAGCGCACGGAUAUCGGUGAGCAUUUCACCCGGGAGGUUAUCCAGAGUUAUCGUAUUUAUAUUUUUACCACUGGGAGAAAGGGUGCAUCUGACUAACCAAAUCUAUUGCUACUAUCCCUUUAGGCUACAAAGAAUGUCUCUCGAUGUGAGUGAUGUAUAGAGAAGACUGCAACCGUAGUCUCGUUCUAACCUUGGUUAGGAUGAUCUACUGUUCUAUUGGGGAGGCUCACGGAAUCUAGACAACACAAAGGAUGUUCAACCCGCACCUAUAAACCUACCCAUCCUGCUAACGAGAUGUGAUCUACAAAGGUAACUCGGAAAUGUCACGUUCCUCGCUACUACCACGGUCCAGCUAGUCAGGGGAUAUCUAUGAGUACCCUAGCCUAAACACCACAUUUACGCUAACAAGUGAUUACUCUAAUACUCAACCGAAAGAGGAUUAAAGUAAACUCAUAAACCAAAGAACAAUAAAACAAGAACUUACUAGUAUUAGAAGUCGAAUUACUGAAGAAUCUUAGAAGCAAGCCUCGGGUUAGGAGACUUGAUCCCGUAGGUACAACUCGGAGUAGACACCGACAGGCCGGCCUUCCUCCGAUCCACACCUCCACUCUAUCUCUCUCAAUCUAGUAGAAACUAGAAGAUCUAUUUCUACUUUACAUUGGUUGCUAAGCCUAAAAAGAAAUAUUAUUUAGAGAAGAGGUUUUCCUUCGAGGGCACCCCUCAAUCUCUAUGAUAAUUUCUUGUCUCCUCCAGGGGCCAGAGGGGGUCUCCUUAUAUAGUCCUCCCCUUCUAUGUGUUUUUGGGUCGAUAGGCGAGGUGGUACUAUGUUAUUCUGGAUCCAAUAGGUCGGUGGAACGUCGUGUGCGAAGAGAGUCCGGAACGGGGUCCAGAGGUGGGCGGGCGCCCAGGUCCUUAGGGCGGGCGCCCUGGGCCUGGCCCCUUUCGGGCUCCGCUUCCUUCCCGUGGCUUCUGGAGUCUUCUAGAUGGUAAAAAAUUGCGCGGUGGGUUGAUAUCUCUAUGUAAUCCCGACAUGUGGGCCUUUCUUCCGUAUUUCCUAAUAACCCCCUGCAGAAAUAGACAAACACCAAAACUCGUGGAAUUCUGUCAGAUAAAACCCUAAGUCUAGAUGUUGAUUUCAUUUGGAUCCUUUUCUUUGUUUAUUUGAUAAUUAAAUUUGAUACUUAAGGACCGUCAACAAUGCUGAGGAGGACAAGGGUCUCGAGGUAGAUGAUGUUCAGGCUACUGCCGCCAUCCAUCAACACCUUCGAGAGUCUGGCGUUGACGAUGAUGGGGUCGACGACGAGUGGGUAGAUGCUAGGAGCGACUACCUUGUCGGGAUGGUCGCCUUGAUUGAAGGUGAUAGGGGUGUUCGACCAGUUGAGGUACUGGGGCACCGCCAUCCUUGCCGCAAAGACCUCACAGCGCUCCCUCUUGCGCUGCCUUGCAGUUAUCUGCGUCGAGGGUCCACCGUAAAUCAUGUAGCAGUCGUGGACGGCUGGGAAACCCUAGUCUUCUUUGUCGUCCCCCUUGUCGCCGCUUCUUUCUUUCUUUUGGUCGUCCUUCUUAAACCCCAAGUCGUCGAAGUGUCUUUUCAGCAUGCAGCAGUCUUCAAGCCUGUGGUUUGCCCCUCCCUUAUGGUAAGGGUAGGGUUCCUUUAGCAUCUUGUCAAAGAUAGCCCCCUCAGGGGACCCUCGAGGUCUUUUAUGAUCCAUGGCAGCGACGAGAUCGUCGUCGAGGGCCUCCCGUUGGAACGACCGUGCUUUCUUCUUCUUGUUGUUCUUCUUGGGUCCUCGACUGGGGCCCUCAUCAUCAUCGGCUGGCGACUUGCCUUUGCCUCCUUCGCAGCUGAAGAAAGCGCCAACCGCUUCCUCCCCUGCUGCGUAGUUUGCCACUAUGUCCAUUAGCUCGUCGACGGUCUGAGGGCGAUUCCAGCCCAAUUCCCGCACCAAAUCUCGGCUAGUGGUGCCCGAGACAAAGGCUAGGAUGACAUCAUGGUCUGGGAUGUGCGGCAGCUCGGUGCGCUGCUUCGAGAAGCGUCGAGCGUACUCUCAGAGAGUUUCUCCAGAUUUUUGCAUGCACUUGCUGAGGUCCCAUGAGUUGCCGGGCCGUAUGUAGGUCCCCUUGAAGUUACCCUCGAAUACUCUGACCAAAUCGACCCAAACGUGGAUCUGGUUGGCCGGGAGCUCUUCGAGCCAUCUGCGGGCGGUGUCGGAGAGGAAAAGUGGCAACUAUCGGAUGAUGGCUAGAUCAUCCCCUCGGGCGCCUCGCACUUGACAGGCUAGCUGGAAGUCCGCUAGCCACAGUUCAGGCUUGGUUUCACCGUUGUAUUUAGCAAUGCUAGUCGGGAGUCGAAACGGGCUAGGCAGCGGCAUGCUGUGGAUUGCUCUGCUGAACACGCGAGGGCCCGGCGGUUCCAGGGCCAUUCGGUCCUCGUCGCUGUCGUAUCGCCCGCCGCGGUGGGCACUAUAACCGCGCUCCUCUACAUCCCCAUGUCGACGGUGUCAAUACUUGUUGAUGUCGUGUCAUGCGUCGUGUCGCCGUUGAUUAUCGACGGGGUGGUUUUGGACAGGCGCUUUCCUCUUUCCUCGAGGGGGUGGUUGCUGAUGGACCGACACCUCCUUCUCGUUUCGGGCCGGCUCAUCACAUCUCUCGAUGGCUACUCCUCGACGUCGAGAGGGUGAGCUCUCGGCCUGCUGGACCGCCGCCACUUGAAGCAGAGUCUGCACCUCGUCUCGAAUUCGCCGCGCUUGGGAGUUCGAGGGUUUAGGCAUGUUACGUAGCAUCAUUGUUGCCGCCACGACGUUCUGGCCUGCUCGGGGGAAGCGGCUGACGGGUUACUCUGGUUCCCCAUCCCUGACGAUCUGUCGAUGUACCUCUCGAGCUCGUCUGCGGGCACUUCCGCCAGGCGGGUAUGGUUGGUCCUGCUCGAGGAUCUUCUCGAGCUGGACAAGGCGCUCGCGAUCUUCGUCGAGCUUUGCUUUGAGCUCCCGUAGCUACGCAAGUUGCGUGGCUUUGUCUUCCUGCGGCGGGGGGUCGACCUGACCAUCAUUCCCAGGCGUCCUGGGGUCCUCCCUUGCUACAGGGGCUCGACCGCCGAUGAUGGCGUCUGUGUUUCCUCGGUGGUUUCUACCUCCCCGUCGACGUUGAAGCAUUCCCUAGUGGGGUCGUAGCUGUCGGAUUCAGAGUCGAGGUCCGGCUUGGCGGCGUAGAAGCAUCCACGUCUUUCCUCCAGUAGCCGCUGCCUGAGCGAGGUGAUCGUGUGUCGCCCAGGUCCUAGGCGUCAGAGGCCUCGCUCCUAGGAGAAAUCCGGUAACUCAGCCGCUUGCUGCUGCAGCGUCGCAUGGGAGGACCAUUGGUCGCUCCACGUACGUCUAGGCGUUUGGACAUAUCCUCCUGGCGAGCGACGCCGCGGCGUUGUCCAGACCGAAUGGUGGUGCUCUUCUUGAGGUGAAUAACCCGUGCGGAAGUAGCGUUGUGGGGGACGAGAGCGCGUGAGGCGCAUCGUCACCCAUCGUCGUCGCGCGAUCCUCGUGACGUCGGGCCGUGGCACCCGCGGCUUCGGCGCGCGGGGUUGUCGGCUCCUGCGUCACCACCGACCUGGCACGAACCGGUGACUGUGAGGAGGCAGGAUAGCGGCGGCACUGUCCACGCCUCUUCUUGGGCGGGGAGGCAUGGUGGCAAGGCCGUCUUGGAGCCCUCAGUCGUGCGGGCGCAAUGCGAGCUCCUUCCGGUCCUUUGACCGAGAGCAGGAUCAUGUCGUAGCCGAAACUGGUAGACAUGAACUCGAGGCUCCCGAACCAAAUCACCGCGGAGUGUGGAAUCUGUGAAACGAGAGUGGCCAUCUAGAAAGAGAUGGGAAAUCAGCGAAAAAACACGUAGGACCCCUACCUGGCACGCCAACUGUCAGUGUUUUCCCCCCGGGGGUCACACCAACGAGUAAAACUUACAAAGAUUUAUCCUGGUUCGGGCAAGAGAAGGCCCUACGUCCAGCGGGGGGGGGAGAGUGUUUGUAUUAUCUUGCACCUAAGUGCUUGUACAGGGGUGAAUACAAGUUGGUAAGAUGUGGAUGGAUGGAGAUGGAGUAUGGUUGCUCUUCUACGUAUGUCUUGUGUCCCCUAUCCUUUCCUGAGCCUCCCCUUUUAUAGUCCUAACGGGAGACCUAGGUUACAUGCGUAGGUGACAGAGUAGGGGUCGAUAGGAGUGUGGCGCGCUAACCUACUCGAGGCUUCCAUACCGGCGUGGCCUCGAGCUGUCUUGUUACCCAGUACCUGGAUGACGAUUACGCGUGCCACUGAAUCCGGCUUCUGCGUGUCGUCCUAGAUUGGCUCAACCGUGGGCACGCCCGUACGUCGUGGCUACAGUUGCGUCGAGGUGGUUGAGGUGCUGUCUUUCGCCGUCUGACUCUUCUCAGGGAAGGAACACGCUCGCUCGAGGGUCUGAUGCCGUGCAAGGCCUUGCUGACAGGAGCGUUGACUUUGGGCGUCUCGAGGGGGGUCAUGACGAGACAUUCCGUCCGCCUUGCUGUGCCCUGUCAUGCUCUGACUCAUCCGGUGGACAAGGCUGCAAAAAUGGGCGAUUGGAUGGUUGCUUGCUUCCUAUCACGCUUCCCGUGGCUGUCGGGUUAGGUGGGAAUGCAGAAGGACACAUUAAAUGCCCUGGUUCCCGUACCAGCGCCAGGCGGCGGGCGGCGUCCUCGCGCUCGAGGCCUGCCGAUUCGUACGAGCCUGUUUCCGUAUUCGACGGUCACCGUUCGGUCAAGCCCCAGCUGAUUCGCACGACGCUCUUUCCAUGUUCGAGGCCAUGGUUGUUGUCUUGUUUUGACGAGCAUAUAUGCGAUCGGGGGGCGUCGAGUCGGGGGCCUCCAUAUACACACGGGUGCUUUCGUCAUGUCUGUCGGUUAGGGUACCCCUUACUGAUACCCUCGACAAAAGGUGAUAACUUGAAUACUUUGGUCCCCACAAUAGAGAUACGCCCGGAUGCCACGGCCAAGAGGUAUUCACGCGGAACUUGAGAACUCGCCAAGUUUGACUCGAUGAAUUCCUAAGAACUCCUAAGUAAAAAGAAAAUAAGAGAGUUGACGAAGUCGUCGAAAAGUAGAUGCUGGAAUAGAUGUAAAAACUUGUGUUUGAUUGAUUGAAUUGUCUCCUACAUUGCUACUAGGUCUAUAUUUAUACCCUGUCUUAAAAAGUUACAAACAGGUAUGACUAGGAUUCUAAUUCCAAACUAAACGGAAUCCGUAUACAAAACAAACUCUAAUAACUAUGGAAAUCAUUAAUUUAUCUAUCCUAGGCGAUCGGCACACCACCAUCAUCUUCCUGACGAUUCCUACACCUUCCUCCACUAUCAUUGGCAUAUCAUCCUCCAUCGGCAUCGGCAACCGUUAACAUUAGCCAUCGGCACAGAUCAACCAUUAUCCCUGGACUUGGUCAUUUCCUGCUGCUUUAUCAUCGGCAUCAUAACCCAUCGGCAACUCCCUUGUCCACCGGUCAUUACUUCUUCACCUGCCGAUCCAAGUUCUAUUAACUUUCUAGAUAUGUGUCAAAAAAUGGUGUCAAAAAAUACUAGUAAGUCCGUGGUUAUUAUGUUCUUUGGUUUGCGACUCUUAGAGUACUUAGAUUCUUGGUUAUUCUUGGACUAGAGUUGCAUGUCGUGUGUAGACGUGGUGUUUAGACACAAUCGCACAUAGAUAUCCUCCUACUGGCCGGGCAAGGAUAGUUCGCGGGGAGUGACCCAAUCGUCUUGAUGAAUUUAUAGCUUCCUGUCAUGCUAGUUAGGACUGGUAGGACGUAAGAGCUAGUUUAGAGUGCUCUUUGCAAGUACUUUAGCCUAGUUCGUCCCCUCUAGAACACUAUUAGCAUAACUUACCAUAGGUUUGAACUAGAACCCUUGGAUGUCUUCUCAAUAGCCCCUUAGUUCCCUUGUUUCAUACUCAGGGGUUAAGUUUAGCCUUGGUUAGUCAUUGCAUGCUUUCUCCUUGUGGAUAAACAAAUACGAUACUCGAGAUAUCUUUCCCAGGUGAAGUGCUACUUCGGUAUAUUCGUGCGCUUGCAGAUUAUUUCUUUGAUUCUUCUGUAUUGCGUAAUAAAUACCAACAAGCAUUUCUAGCGCUGUUGCCGGGGAGAAAGAUGUCCGUUGAGAUAAGUUAAGACUAAGCUUCACCUUGUAAUAUACUUUUAUCUUUUAUCUUUAUACCUUUUCCUUUUGUUUUCUAUCCUUAUGUAUAUUCAAAAUUCCACUCAUAUAUAUCAGUAUCAUGCACCCAUGAGUGCAAGCCUAGAGCCACUAGAGCCUUUAAUUACCACACCUAGCUAUGAGCUGCGCCCAUGCCUUGUUGCAAUAGGUCAAGACCAACCCAUUUGUAGAACCUAGAUCCUAUCUUUUAUGGAAGGUAAUGAAUCUUUGGCCACAAUCCUAUCUUUUAUGGAGGGUAAUGAACCUGUGUUUACAUAGUGGGAAUGUUUCAAUCUCCUUAUAAAUUUUGGUUCAGACCUAGCAUUACUAACACCCAUGCAUUAUGACCUCAGUCUUAGUAAUGAUUCCAUGAAAUCCCUAGAUAUGACCUUUGGAGUCACUUUCCUUUCUCUAUCUGCUAGUGAAGCAAGGUUUGUCCUUGAUCAUAUAAAUGGGCACACUCCUUGCAUCAUUAAGAAUCACGAUGAACUCUUAGAGGAAGAUAAGGAAUCAACCCCCAAACAAGAAGAGGAAGUUUCGAUAGCCAAAUUAUAACCAUUUGAAUUCCAUAACUUGGCUAUCAAUCCCAAACCAUAUGUACUCCAAAUUCCUUCAAGGGAAGAAGAAAUUCUACCCUUGGACAUGCAUUCUGAUGAUGAGUUUUGGGAGGAGCUUGAUCUUCCUGCUCCAUAAGAGACCUCCAAGUGUAGAUACAUUGAAUCCCCAUAGGAAGGUAUCACUUAAGAAGCAUCUUAAGGAAUAUCUAGAAAGACUCAAGGAUGACAUUUUGAAUGAUGCCAUAGAAGGAGAGCAAAGCCAUCUAGAAGCCACUCAUAUCUCUUCUCCUUCUAUGCCAACACUAGAUACAAAAACUAAACUAAUCUUUAAUACCAUCCUUGUCCUGUAUGAGUCCUCUUGUGCUCUUUCUCUUGAGACUCAUGAUGAUCCUAGUGAUCCACAAAGACAUCCAAAUCAUAGGAUUCAUCAAGACCAUCGAGAAGAACAACAUCAAUGGCUAGUGAGCAUUCAAAACCUAUAUGCUAUUGCCAUUGAGUGGAUGGACAAAGCCAUAGAUGAGACCAAUCCAAGAGACAACAAUGCAAAGAGUUUUGAACAAUCAAAAAAAUCAACACUGGAGUUUGAAAACGAUGGAGACAUCAGUGAGCAUGGAAGCCAUUUAAUAAACACCACAUCUAGUUUUUUCUCAUUUGAGAAAUCUCCUGAUUCAAUUGGUCUCUGCAAUUUUGCCACACAUGAGAUCUUCACCCCCUCACACUUGAUGAUCUAAAAGAUUUAAAGGGGAGGUUGUAGAUACACAUGUCUAUCAUAAAUUUUGUAGAUCUCGUUGUGCUGGCCUUGUCUUGAGAUAUACGCACACAAGUUUGUGUUGGAGGGGAAACCACUUCACCAAAACACAUUUUGAAGGUUUCCCAAGGAUGAAACUUGUGUCCUAAAACAAGCAGUUUUGAGACCAUAACAUGAGUGUUCACCCAUUUGAUCGUAAUACCCUUGCGAAGUGAGCAUAGAGAUAUAAUUGAAAAUAUACCUUCGGGUAUUCUUAUCACUAAUCUUUCCAAGUUUGAGCAAAGAGGACAAAGGAAUGAUGAAUAUAGGUAUGUGCAACCAAUCAUCAUGAAACAUUAAUUGAAUUUGUCCAAUCUUGAUUUUUGCAAAAUUAAAGCUUGGGGGAGUGAUUUCCAUGAAAACAUCUAUUGUUACAUGACCUUGGUUUACGCUACCUUUAAGACAUGCUCAAUUUGCUAAAACACCAAUCAUGCUCUUUCAUCUCCAUUUGUGUAUAUCUCUAUAGCGCUUACAUGCUACCUUUGUCUAUCAUAGUAAAUUUUGGUUUAGAAGUACUGCACAUACUUCUAUUGGCUUUUAAAUUAAGCAUGGUGCUUAGGUUAAGUAUCCUUCUGUAAUCAAAUUAGACAUGGAGUCUAGUUUGGUUAUUGAGCUAAAAACUACUUUAGACAAUGGUAUACUUUGUUGGACUAACCCCUACAGGAAAACUCUUCAAACCAAAUUGGGAAGGUCCUGAGAUGAACUCACUAUAGAGAUGAAGCAAGGCGCAUGAACUUCAACCACUUUGCACAAGGGGAGACAUAGCUAGUAAAAGAGGAGUGCCUACACGAGAGCACUCACUCCAUUGAACAAGGUGAACAGAUUUCCAUUGUGCCAUUGAACACCAUCAUGGAGGAACUCGAGUGCAGUUUUACUCGUAGCCUCUUGUUAACCAUUAAUCAACGGGAAUCAAGAGAAACUGACAUGAGAAGAGCAUGCAACUUUCUGCACCCUCACUUCCUGGAUUGAAAGGUUGAUGCAAGAAGGAAGGACAACUCAUCUAAAGGAUCCAACUGGGUUCUUCCACCUCCCAUGCUCCCAUCACUCCGUCACACUAGUUUGCAAUCUCUCAAUCCACUAUUACUUUAUUUCUUUAAGUUUGAUUUAUUCCACAACUCCCAUAUAUGAAUCAAACAUAAGAUAAAAAGAAAAAAUAUAUAAAAUCAAUCCUCUACAAACAAAGCAAAAGUUGAACUGCUAACAUGAUCAAACAAACUUCAUUGUAGCAUAGAAGGUGACAUUUAGCUGUAUGACAACGCUACCCAUGUUAUCUUUUGUAUAUUCCUUCGGGUAUGUGUCAUCCACUAAUGAUUUGCAGGAAAACAAAAGAAAAAGAGAAAUAGAGAAAAGAAUGGCAUGACAAAAAGGCAAGAAGGAUGGAGUGCAAGGAAAGGGAACAAGUUGUUCGUCAACAAGAUCGAUGACCUACCAAACAAGGGAAGCUACCACAAGGUGCUACGGGAUCAACAAGCUCCAACACUGAAGGUAACACCUCUGGUUAAAUGAUCAUAAUUUUAAAUUCUUUUCCCAUGAUUCUGGUAUGCACAUAAAUGAAGAACCAAAUAUGUUUGAGUUGUAACUUCACUUGAUCCAACUUGAUUAAGUCAACAUGUUCAAUUCUUUAUGUUUUGUUGAUGCAAAAGUAAAUCUGUAAACACAAAGGGCUAAUACCCGAUUUCGAUGUUGAGGCGUGCCAGCCGAUUUGAACUAGCAAUCGACAAAGGUGAUAACUCGAAUACUUUGGUCCUGACAACAGUGAUGCGCCCAGAUGUCACAGCCAAGAGGUAUUCACGCGGAAGUCGAGAAAUUCAUCGAGUAUUGCUUGUUGAAUCCCUGAGAACUCAUAAACAAAACAAAAAUAUGUGAGUUGACGAAGUCAUCAAAAGUAGAUGCAAAAGUAGAUGUAAAACUUGUGUAUGAUAUUAAUUGAUUGUUUUCUUACAUUGCUGCUAGGUCUAUAUUUAUACCCUGACCUAAAGAGUUACAACCGUAUACGACUAGAAUUUAAUUCUUAAACAAAACAAGACUCUUACAUAAGGCAUACUUUAAUAAAUAUGGAAAACAACCAUCUAUCUAUUCCAGUGUCUGCUUCAAUUACGAUGAAACCUUUCAUCGGCUCUGCUUCAUUGGCAUAUCCUUGUUGCCUCCUUAGAAACUUCCACACCUUUCUUCAUCAGCAUCAGCGAUCAUCGACAUCGGCGAUCAAUCGGCAAUGAUCAGUAACUACCGUCUCAACCCUCAGGCCAACGACAUCCUCCACCUGUUAGCCUGUCAUCGGCAUCAUCGGCAAUCGACAAUCUUCUUAUCGGCUUGACACAGCAUUUUCCUGACUACCGAUCAGUUCCUCUUGACCAUCCUGACUUAUGCCUAAAAAUGGUGUCAACACAUGCCCCAAUUUUGGAGAAUAAAAUUAUUAAUGCUCCAAAAUUCUCUCCAGAUAAUUACGACCUUUUCAUAAUCACUUUCCUUUCGGUAAAAAAUUAUUACCAAAUCCAAACAACUUUAAUCAUGACUUCCAUAUCUCAGUAAAUAUCUCAAAUCUUCCAACCAUCCGAGCCGAAUCAUAUAGAAAAACGCUCAUCGACAACUUUUCUGUUAGGAUAGAUUACCAAUGACCGACUAAAAUAUUGUGUACAGUGAAAUGUCCCCAAAAUUAUGAUUAGUUGCCAUCAAAUCACCUGCACAAUCCCUUGAUUAUCGUGCGAACAGUUACCAUAUCCAUCUGAACAACCUCGAAUUUCACGGAUACGGCAAAGAGAUAAGACAAAAUACCCCUACUCAUCUCAACAUAUAAAUACCUCCUUCCUCAGCACUCAUCUUCUUGCGAGUUUAUAUACUUGGCAUUUUCUUCCUAUUUUUUCUGUCCUUUUGAUCCCCAAACUCUAGGAUUUCAGUGAUAAGAUUGUUAUUCCCACUAAGCAACCUCACCUCCAAUGCCUGAGUCCAAUGGGUAAUCCAGAUCCUACUGAUUUAAUCAACACAGAAACCAACAGGAUCCCCUUUAGAGCCAAAAACUUCUCCUUAGAUCUAUGGAAGGAUACUUUCCGAUCCUAGCCAAAACCAACUAAGGGAUGGAAAGAUUGGUUCUUGAGAGUCAGUGGGACAAAUGAAGUGUACUGGGGGAACACAAACUAGACCAAUGCAUCAGACUCUCCAUUGCUGAUAUGGAGAAGAAUGAGUCAAUGAUGAUAGCAGCUUCAUACUUCUGGUUAGACACCCUCAAUGCUUUUAUAUUUGGUCACAGCCCAGCUUCCCCUACACUUUCCGAUGUCCUCAUGCUUACUGACUUGGAUAUCUCAACUGCCGAUGAUGGUGGUAUUUUUUACUAGAAAACUCAGUACAAAGUAGAAACCUGUAACAUUAGUGGCUGGUCGGGAUACAUCUAGAAGUAUCGGCAGACUGGAUCGGUUGGCCAGAGAGAGCAUGCCUUCUUUCUGAACAUGUGGCUAGACAAGUUCAUCUUCUACGGCCGAUCAGUAGGGCCAACUUCUGUUUACCUAUCGGCAGCAGAGCGACUAGCCAAUGGUCAUCGAUUCCCCCUUGGCCGAUACCUUCUGGGCUCUAUCUAUCACCUCCUCUAUCAAGUAGCUGAGAAACUCCUGCUAGGUGAACCCAUCGGCAACCUGGGAGGCCCUUGGUGGUUUAUUAAUGUGUUGCUCAACGACCAUAUGCAUAAACGUCUGCAAUGGGAUUUCUUCACACAACAGUUCCCACGAGACAUUGCUGAGGACUAUGAGCUAGUAGAGGAUGAAUAGGCAACGCGCUCGCCCCUCAAUUAUGGCGAAGCCAUCAUAGUCCUUCCUGGGACCGAUGCAAACGAGAACCAGAUCGGCUGAUUCAUCCAAACAUUUUACAAUGGCCUUUCCAGGGAUCAUCGGGCUUGGAUGCCUUACAAAGACAAAGAAUCUAGAUUUCCACUCACCUUCCAUCCUGCCGAUGACGCACUCAACAAGGAUAAUGACUUGAUGAUGGCAAUCAUCACCCCAAGAGCAAUCCCAGUAAACAACUUCGGCAGUGGGAAGAAUACCAACACAACUUAUGAAUUUUAUAACCCAUCAGCACUAUCUCAUCAACUAGCUUUUGGUCAGUUGCCCAUUAAACUCUGCUAUGCCGAUGUGGUUAAGCCAAGGGAGACAAUAACCAAUGGACUCGAGUGGAUCAGAGUAGCUCAACUCCAGCCAGAUGCCGAUACAACAGAUGUUGAUCUAUCGGCUUGGGUCCUAGCCUCCUUCAUUACGCAAUCAUAUAAGUAUUGGUGGGAAGAAUGGAAAGAACAUAUGUUCAAGGUAUCAGUUCAUAUGUACCAGAACAUGAUCGACCCCAAGCAUGAAAUCCCUAACGACGUUGUUAGUUUUUUCUGAUACUCAGUCCUUUCAUCAGUUUUAACUUUAUUGGCAACUUACUUCUUUAUUUCAACAGGUCGAUGAUCCAGCACCAACAGUGAGCAAAAGUGGGCGGCCGAUCGAUCUUCAUCCAAUAUCUCCAGUCUCUUUGAUUGGCCACAAUGCCCCCAGCCUAGCAGUCCUAAUGCACCGAGGUGUUCGUUUCAAGAAGAUGACCACUAAACGGUCGAAAACCUCUCCAUCGGUAGCUGCUACCACUCUGGCACAAGCUUUCAAGGUAAAUCUUCAAUUUUUUCAUUAUUCUGAUUCCAUCCCAUACUUACAUUAUUUUUUCAGGGUGCAUCGGCUACGACUAGAACGUUAUCGGUAACUUUGCUCCACAUUAGAUACUUUCACUUUUCAAUGAAUUCCAAAAUACUGCUCUGCUCUCAUAUUUAACUUACCGAAUUUUAAAUUUUGUGACAGCAAAUUGGUGCAUCGGCAAAGGCCAAAGGUACUCAAUCGGGUGCCGAUGCCCCCCCCCCAGUCGACGACUAGCCAAGCUCCGCCUAAGAGGAAAGCACCAAAAAGCACCAAGAGUCAAUCGAAGCGGUAGAAAGCAGCACCAUCCUCUUCGCCUCAUCGAGCGCCUCAGACUCAAACAACACCAUCCUCUCCGCCUCAUCCAGCGCCCCAGACUCAAACAGAUCUGGCCGAUGCACCUAAACAGAUCACUGAUCUAGUUGACCAAGGCAUGUCAUCGGCCGUUAUUCCCGAGCAGACCAUCGUUAUUUCCCCUCAAGGUAAAGUAUCAAUCACACAAUUAUUACCGAUGGACCUUUAUAUAAAUACCGUCGUCACCCUUAGUUUUUUCAGUUGAAAGCAUUCCAUCGGCAACUCCGGCCGAUCAGAGCACGGUACAAGUCACAUCUCCAAGCUAGAGGCAAGAAAUUUCUCUGAAACAAGUAAGCCACCCGAACUGCUAGACUUUGUACCAUUCAUACUUAGUUUUUACUAACUCAUCCUCCCCUUUGUUUCUAGGAACAAGAUUCCCCUGAUAGCUUGUUUUCUUUUGCCAUCAACAUUUCUGAUGACGAAGGUGAAGAGGCAAGUUCCUCAUUGGCGCUUGGAAUCGCAUCGACGGAGAUCAAGUCCAAACUAGAAAAUUUACUAGCCUUAUUACAACAAGACACGGCUCAGCUAGUGGAUGACUCUGAUCAGGCCAAGGCUAUCUUGAAGACUCUCCGCGGCUAGAUUCCUGUCGAUACUGAGGAGAUGCUUUUUCAAGCUGCCCACCGGGAGAGCCGUCAACUUCAGUACCAAAAGGCCGUUCAGCGCCUUGCCGAUAGAGCCACGCAUACCUAGCUCAAAGAGGAGAUUCUACAAGUGAAGCACGCCACCGAUGAGAAGCAUAAGAGCAUCGGCAUUUUGCAUCCCUCAGGUGUCGAACUAAAACAGAGAAUCUUUGAUCUAUCGGCAAAGAGAGAGGCUCUGCUCGCUGAACUCAAACAAGUGGAGGAAGCUUUGACCCAGGCCCGACAGGAAGAAAGUCAACUGCCUAACGUGCUCAGAAAUCUUUAGCAAGAGAGGGAUGCCCAAGCUCGCAAGGCACUACAAAUGAAGAAGAAACUGAAACUAGUAGGUUCGGCUGAUGAAGACACCAAAGAGAUAGAAGAAGCUAAUUAGAUCCGUCUACGUGCGAUAUUGGCCAUCCAAGCUCUGCUAAAUAUGUGAACUUCUCCAUCAGCAGCAUGUUUCGUUGGUUCUUUUGAGAACACUAGCAUUUGAUCCAGCUGAUAGGAUUGUUAUCGGCACUUAAUCUCCUUAUGCGUUGAUUCAGAUACACUAAUAUUUUGUCCAGCCGAUAGGAUUGUUAUCGGCACUUAAACGUUUCAUGCAUCGACCAAGAUACUAGGAUAAUAUCUUUUUAAGUAUUUUCCGUUUAAUGCUCUGGGAAAUUCAACUCCUUCGAGUGUCUCCAAAAUAUAUGCAUUGCCAGGAGCAGAUCGACUUAUCCGAUAAGGACCUUCCCAAUUAGGAGACCAUUUUCCAAAUUUUGAACUUUUAGUCCCAAUCGGUAGAAUCAAUUUCCAAACUAAAUCUCCAUCGACAAACUCUUUAGCUUUUACUUUCUUAUCAUACCACUUAGCUACUCUCUUUUUAUUCUCCUCUAUGCUGAUCAAAGCUUUCAACCGAUGCCCUGCCAAAUCCUCCAACUCAUCUUUCAUCAAAAUAGUAUAAUCAUCGGCAGUCAAUUGAUCUUGAGAAAACAUUCACCUAGAACCAGUUUUAACCUCCCAAGGUAGUACCGCAUCAUGCCCAUAUACCAAUUGAUAAGGUGACACUUUGGUUGCACCAUGACAUGCCAUCCGGUACGACCACAAGACUUCAUUUGACAGUGUAUGCCAUCGCCUAGGAUUUUCCUCAUUUUUUCACUUGAUGAGCUUAAUAAUUCCUUUGUUAGAAGCCUCAGCCUGCCCAUUAACUUGAGCAUAACAAGGAGAAGAGUUUAACACUUUAAUCCCCAUACCAAUUGCGAAUUAAUCAAACUCCCUAAAUGUAAACAUGGUACCCUGAUCGGUAGUGAUUGUUUGAGGAAUACCAAAUUAGUAAACAAUAUGCUCCUUCACAAAAUCAAUCAUAUUGGCCGAUGUCACUUUCUUCAAAGGAAUAGCCUCAACCCACUUGGUGAAAUAAUCAGUGGCAACAAGGAUAAACUUAUGCCCUUUACUCGAUGGCGGAUAAAUUUGACCGAUGAGAUCAAUAGCCCAGCCCCAGAAUGGCCAAGGUUUAAUAAUAGGAUUCAUAGCUGAUGCGGGCGCCCUUUGAAUAUUUCCAAACUUCUAACAUCCUUGGCGUCCUUUGAAAUAUUUGAAGCAAUCCUCAAGAAUAGUCGGCCAGUAAUAUCCAUUCCUUCUAAUCAUCCACUUCAUUUUAAAAGCUGACUGAUGUGCUCCAUACACUCCUUCAUGGAUUUCACCCAUCAAUGUUUUGGAUUCAUCAUCACCAAGACAUUGAAGCAGAAUUCCAUCCACAGUACGAUAAUACAGUUCAUCAUCAAGGAGCACAUACUUGGUAGCUUGAAAUCUAAUAUGUCUUUCAACUUUCUUAGAGGGAUCUCUUAGGUAAUUAACAAUUUCUUUUCUCCGAUCAUUGGCACUGAUUGCCGAACACCCCCAAGACGGGUUGAUACCCCAAAGCAUGUUGAGCCAACCGAUUAGCUUCCUCAUUAUGUAAUCGGGGAAUAUGUUCUAAAUGGAAAUCCUUAAAUUCCUUUAAUAACUGUAAACAUCUUUCAUAAUAAGAUAUCUAAAUCUCACUUCGGCAUUCAUAAACCCAAGCCAACUGAUUUAUAACAAGUAUAGAAUCACCGAAGAUUUCAACUACAUCAGCAUGAACUCCCCUCAACAACUCUAAUCCUUUGACCAAAGCUUGGUACUUAGCCUGAUUAUUUAUUGAUGUGGCAACAAUCGGCAAAGAAAAUUCAUACUUCUUUCCUCGAGGAGAAAUCUACACUAUACCGAUGCCUGCCCCCUGAUGACACGUGGACCCAUCAAAGAAAAGCGCCCAAGGAGCAACUUCCAAAGAAUUCACCAAACCGCAAUGUUGAGUAACAAAAUCGGUCAUAAUUUGUCCCUUGACCGCUUUAGCCGAUUCAUAACGUAGGUCAAACUCUGACAAUGCCAAUAUCCAUUUGCUGAUUCUACCACUCAUAAUCAGCAUUGACAACAUGUAUGUGACUACGUCAUCUUUGCAUAUAAUAAUACACUCGGCCGAUAGCAAAUAAUGCCUUAGUUUAGUACAAGAAAAAUACAGACAUAAGCAUAAUUUUUCAAUAGCCGAAUACCUCGUCUCAGCAUCUACCAAUCUCCUACUUAAAUAAUAAAUCACACGUUCUUUCCCCUCAAAUUCUUGAAUAAGAGCUGAACCGAUAACUGUAUCAUCGGUUGAUAAGUACAACGUGAAGGGCUUCCCAUGUUGUGGUGGAACCAACACUGGAGGAUUCGUCAAAUAACUUUUAAUCUCAUCUAACGCCAACUGUUGCUCUUUUCCCCACACAAACUUUUGAUCGGCUAUUUGCUUGAGCAAAGGACAGAAGGCCUUUAUCUUACCCGAUAAAUUAGAUAUAAAUCGCCUAAUAAAAUUGAUCUUGCCGAUCAGAGAUUGGAGCUCAAUCUUAUCGGCAGGAGCGACUACCUUGUUGAUUGCAUCAAUAGACCUCCUACUAAUCUCAAUUCCUCUCUGAUGCACCAUGAAACCCAAAAACUGGCAUGCCGAUACACCAAACGCACAUUUAUUAGGAUUCAUCUUUAAACCAUGCUUCCUUGUGCACUCAUGUAUCUUCCAUAAAUUGGCUAAAUGUUUGAUGAAAUCUCCAGACUUAACCACCACAUCAUCAAUAUAAAUUUCCACCAAAGUGUCAAUGAAUUCAUGGAAGAUAAAAUUCAUGGCCCUUUGAUAAGUAGCACCAGCAUUUUUCAAACCAAAAGUCAUGACUAUCCAUUCAAAUAACCCAACAUGACCAGGACACCUAAAUGAAGUCUUGGGAAUAUCUUCUUCAGCCAUGAAUAUUUGAUUAUACCCUGCAUUGCCAUCCAUGAAGCUAAUAAUCCGAUGUUCGGCCACAGCAUCAAUCAAAAAAUCGGCAACUGGCAUUGGAUAACCAUCCAUUGACGUAGCUUUGUUAAGAUUUCUAAAGUCAAUGCACACACGAAGCUUUCCAUUCUUUUUUUAAACAGGAACAACAUUAGAAAUCCACUCCGCAUACCAACACUGUCGAAUAAACUUAGCUUCGAUGACUUGCGGGUCGCCAACACCAGCCUUGCCCGCUCUCACAGGGAGAUCGAGAGGGCCAACACCGAUUUGGUUGGUCAAAACACUGCUCUAGAGGAGAAGAUUCGUGGUAAGCUUCUUUAUACUUUCACACUUCUUUUUGCAAGGUAUUUUUUGGUGUUGUCUAAUUUCCUCGCAUCGGUCUUUGUAGGGCUUAAGGACGAGCUUCUGGCUGCCCAGGUCGAGGCCCGCUCCGCCAAGGAUCAGCUCGAGGGGGAGGUUGCUUUGAACGGUCGACUAAGGACCGCGAUAAGCGAUCUCUCGGCCUCCUAGGAGCUCGAGCCUGUGGAUGAGUCAAGGGAGGAGGCUCAAGGCGACGCGCUGGUCGAUCAGCUGUGCUACCUAGGCGCCACGCUGAGGGAUCGAGUGCGGGACGCUCAUCAUACCGGGGUGAAGCGGGCAAUGGCGGUUGUCUGCUCAGGCUUUUCCUACGAUAUGGAGGUGGUGUCCCACGGCUUCGUCACCGACAUUUCUAAGACCGACAUAGAGAACGAGGAGAGGCUCCACGCCUUGAUCGACGACGCGGAGGUCCCUGGAGAAAGGAUGGCGAGGCUGUUCGUGCCAGAAGUACUUCCUCCCGAGACUAGCCCGGGUGCGGAUGAUAGUGGUGAGGGCGGAGAUGCGCAUUGAGGCCUGCGAGCCUAUGCUGGGUGUCAAGACCCACUAUAAAGUAUAAGUGAUACAUUGUGCUUUGAAUGGUUUUCUAUGAUUUGUGAAUAUUUGCUUAUUUUUGUGCUCGACAUUCCUUUGUUCCCUCGUUCGGUCUUUUGUUAAGGCGGCCUUGAUUGCCUCAAGGGUGAGGCAGUGAGUAGAGUUACCAUAGCCCGGGGGCAUAGGAGUUCUCAGGCUCGUUGUCUCUCGGCCUUUAAGGGGCUCGAGGUGCCUUUACUACUCGACCGUGCGAGGUUUACUUAUAGGAAAGAAAAAAUCGUUCGGUUUUUAGGAACUUGGGGGGUCCCCCUGCUAGCCCCCGAGGGAGUAUCGAUUAUGAUAGGUCAUAGUUGGCACUCCCUUCUAACGUCGAGACCUUGACCGGCGAAAAAGUAAAUUGCUCGAGGAAAAGAUCUCGUUUAUUCAUGCAUUCAUUCAUAGGAUCUCGGUACAGAAUGUACAUAAAAGCAUAAAACUUUGAAACUCCAGGGGUAGAAUCGACGUAGCUGUUCGAUGUUCCAUGCGUUGGUGAAGACUGCCCCUUUUUCGUCCGCGAGCUUGUACGUCCCUAUCUUUAGAACCUCGGCCACCACGUAUGGGCCUUCCCAGGGUGGGCUCAGCUUGUGGCGUCCUUGGUUGCUUUGCCGUCGCCAUGGGACGAGAUCGUCCACGUUCAGGUCCCUUUUGCGCAUGUGCUUGUCAUGAUAGCGUCGAAGCUUCUGCUGGUACCUGGCGGAGUUGAGGAGGGCCAUGUCUCGAGCUUCCUCGAGCUGAUCGACUGCGUUCUCUCGAGUCUCCUUAUUCAUCUGCUCGUUGUAGGCCUUGAGUCCGGGUGACCCAUACUCAAGAUCCGUUAGAAGCACGGCCUCGGAGCCGUAGACCAUGAAGAAUGGGGUAUAUUUCGUGGCCCUGCUAGGCGUCGUCCUUAAACUCUAUAGGACCGAAGAGAGCUCUUCGACCCAUUUCUUGCCGAAUUUCUUCAACCGGUUGUAGAUUCUUGGCUUGAGCCCCUGCAAUAUCAUGCCGUUGGCACGCUCGACCUGGCCGUUAGUUCAAGGAUGAGCAACUGCAGACCAGUUCACACGGAUGUGAUGCCGGUCACAGAAGUCCAAGAACUUUUUGCCAGUGAACUGGGUGCCGUUGUCGGUGAUGAUGACAUUGGGUAUCCCAAACCGGUGGAUGAUGUCGGUGAAGAAGUGGACGGCCUGCUCAGAGCGGAUGUUCGUGAUGGGUCGAGCCUCGAUCCAUUUGGAGAAUUUCUCCACGGCCACAAGCAAAUGGGUGUACCCUCCUGCCGCUUUUUGUAGAGGGCCUACGAGGUCGAGACCCCACACCGCAAAUGGCCACAUGAUGGGGAUCAUCUGGAGAGCAUGAGCGGGAAGAUGGGUCUGCUUCGCAUAGAAUUGACACCCGUGGCACGAGCGCACGAGCUCUAUGGCAUCAGCUACGGCCGUUGGCCAGUAGAAGCCUUGUCGGAAAGCGUUCCCUACGAGGGUCCGUGGAGCAGCGUGGUGGCCGCAAGCCCUCGAGUGCAGAUCCUCGAGGAGCUUUCGACCUUCUUCUAUGGUGAUGCAGUGCUGUAGGAUCCCGGUCGGGCUUCGUCGAUAUAGUUCGUUGCUUUCGCCGUAGAUCACGUACGAUUUAGCCCGCCGAGCGAUACGGCGGGCCUCAGAUCGGUCUUCUGGUAGCUCACAUCGAAUCAGGCAAUCGAGAAACGGCGUGCGCCAGUCGAACAGUCGACCGGGACGCUGUUCCACUUCCAUCACUUCUGCUGCCGCUAGCAGGGCUUCGAUAGCGUUGGUUGGACGAGGGGCGUUGGUUUCGACGUCAGCUCCCGAGCUCAAGUCGACGGAUGGCUCGUGCAGAUCUCUCGAGAAUGCGUCGGGCGGGACCAUGCCUUGAGUCGAUGCGAUCUUGGCAAGCUCGUCGGCCGCCUCGUUGUAGCGUCGGGCGAUGUGGACGAGCUCGAGGCCAUGGAAUUUGUUCUCAAGUCGAUGUACCUCCUUGCAGUAUGCCUCCAUCUUUGGAUCAUGGCAGCUCGAGGCCUUCAUUACCUGAUCGAUGAUGAGUUGAGAGUCGCCUCGAACGUUGAGGUGCCGAACCCCUAGCUCGAUGGCGAUCUUCAGCCCAUUGACAAGGGCCUCGUACUCUGCGACGUUGUUAGAUGCAGAGAAAUGUAUCCUAAUGACAUACCUCAUAUGGAUGCCGAGGGGUGAGAUGAACAGCAGACCUGCCCCAGCUCCCAUCUUCAUGAGAGAUCCGUUGAAGUACAUCGUCCACAGCUCUGCUUGAACUUGAGCCAGGGGGAGCUGAGAGUCCGUCCACUCCGUGACAAAGUCUGCCAGAGCUUGAGAUUUGAUGGCUUUGUGGGGCGCAUAAGUGAGGGUCUCACUCAUGAGUUUGACCGACCAUUUGGCGAUUCUUCCUUUGGCCUCCCGACUUCAGAUGAUCUCUCCUAAGGGGAAGGACGAUACCACCGUGAUAGGGUGACCAAGGAAGUAGUGUUGCAGCUUGCGUCGAGCGAGGAUCACUGCAUUGAUUAGUUUCUGGAUCUGUGGGUACUGUACCUUGGUUUCUUAUAGCACUUCGCUGAUGAAGUAGACCGGCCUCUGGACUGGCAGUGCAUGUCCUUCUUCCUGUCUUUCGACCACCACUGCAGCACUGACCACCUGGGUCGUUGCAGCAACGUAUAGAAGUAGAGGUUCUGUGGACUGAGGUGGAACUAAGACUAGGGCGGAGGUCAAUCUUUUCUUCAGGCUAUCGAGGGCCUCCUCGGCUUCGAGGGUCCAUGAGAAACGCUCAGCCUUUUUCAAGAGCUGGUACAGCGGCAAUGCCCUUUCCGCUAACCUCAAGAUGAAACGGCUUAGCGCCGCCAAACACCCCGUGACCUUUUGUACCCCCUUGACGUCUCGAAUCGGCCCAUCCUCCCAAUGGCCAAGACCUUUUCGGGAUUGGCCUCGAUGCCGCGCUGGGAUCCCAAGAGCAUGCCUCGAGGCACACCAAAGAUGCACUUCUCGGGGUUGAGCUUGAUUUUGUUGGCGCGUAGACAACCGAAAGCUAUCUCGAGGUCCUGAAUCAGGUCACCUCGUUUCUUCGAUUUGAUGAUGAUGUCGUCGAUGUAUGCCUCGACCGUCGACCCUAUAUGCUCGCCAAACACGUGGAGCAUGCAUCGUUGGUAUGUUGCCCCAUCGUUUCGGAGCCCGAACGGCAUGGUCACGUAACAGUACAUCCCAAAAGGCGUGAUGAAAGAUGUCGCGAGCUGAUCAGAUUCUUUCAUUUUUAUUUGAUGGUAACCAGAGUAUGCAUCAAGGAAAGAAAGGGUUUCACAUCCGAUGCGUGGUAAAGGGAAAGGAACAUUUGGACAUGCUUUAUUUAAACUUGUGUAAUCGACACACAUCCUCAUCUUCCCAUUCUUUUUCUUAACUAAUAUAGAGUUUGCUAACUAGUCGGGAUGGUGAACCUCCUUGAUGAAUCCGGCCGUCAAAAGCUUGUGGAUCUCCUCGCCAAUGAUCUUGCGCUUCUCCUCAUCGAAGCGACGCAGCCGCUGCUUCACUGGCUUGGAACCGGCUCGAAUUUCCAAGGAUUGCUCAGAGACUUCCCUCAGUAUGCCUGGCAUGUCCGAGGGACUCCAUGCAAACAUGUCGGUGUUCACAUGGAGAAAGUCGACGAGCACGACUUCCUAUUUGGGGUCGAGGUCGGCGCUGAUCGUCAGCACCUUGUCGUCGAAGCCGUUGGGGUUGAGCAGGAUCUUCUUUGUGCCUUCUGCCAGCUCGAAGCUGCCCGCAUGACGCUUGGGUUCAGGAGCUUCUGUAGCAAAGGCCUCGAGCUUCGAUGCAAGCUCGGUGGAGCUCUUGACAGCUUCUCCAUACUCGACGCACUCGACGUCGCACUCGUACGCAUGCUCGUAGGAGGAGCUGACGGUGAGGACCCCCUUCGGCCCGGGCAUCUUCAGCUUCAGGUAGGUGUAGUUGGGGAUAGCCAUGAACUUGGCGUAGCUCGGCGCCUGAUGAUUGCGUGGUACGUGCCUCGAAAUCCCACCACCUCAAUGGUGAGAACCUCCUUUCUGAAAUUGGUUGCCGUGCCAAAACAGACCGACAGGUCGAUUCGACCUACCGGCAACACCUUCUUUCCAAGCACGACACCAUGGAAGCCGCCCGCGCUUGGUUGGAGCUGUGUCUUUUUGAGGCCGAGGAGGUCAAGGGUCUCGAGGUAGAUGAUGUUCAGGCUGCUGCUGCCAUCCAUCAGCACUUUCGAGAGUCUGGCGUUGACGAUGAUGGGGUCGACGACGAGUGGGUAGACGCUAGGGGCGACUACCUUGUCGGGAUGGUCGCCUUGAUUGAAGGUGAUGGGGGUGUUCGACCAGUUGUGGUACUGGGGCACCGCCAUCCUUGCCGCAAAGACCUCACAGCACUCCCUUUUGCGCUGCCUUGCAGUUAUCUGCGUCGAGGGUCCGCCGUAAAUCAUGUAGCAGUCGUGGACGGCUGGGAAACCCUCGUCUUCUUCGUCGUCCCCCUUGGCCGCUCCUUUCUUUCUUUUGGUCGUCCUUCUUAAACCCCAGGCCGUCGAAGUGUCUUUUCAGCAUGCGGCAGUCUUCAAGCCUAUGGUUUGCCCCUCCCUUAUGGUAAGGGCAGGGUUCCUUUAGCAUCUUGUCAAAGAUAGCCCCCUCAGGGGGCCCUCGAGGUCUUUUAUGAUCCUUGGCAGCGACGAGAUCGUCGUCGAGGGCCUCCCGUUGGAACGACUGUGCUUUCUUCUUCUUGUUGUUCUUCUUGGGUCCUCGACUGGGGCCCUCAUCGUCAUCGGCUGGUGACUUCCCUUUGCCUCCUUCGCAGCUGAAGAAAGCGCCAACCGCUUCCUUCCCUGCUGCGUAGUUUGCCACUAUGUCCAUUAGCUCAUCGACGGUCUGAGGGCGAUUCCGGCCCAAUUCCCGCACCAAAUUUCGGCUAGUGGUGCCCGAGACAAAGGCUAGGAUGAUGUCAUGGUCUGGGAUGUGCGGCAGCUCGGUGCGCUGCUUCGAGAAGCAUCGAGCGUACUCUCGGAGAGUUUCUCUUGAUUUUUGCUUGCACUUGCUGAGGUCCCAUGAGUUGCCGGGCCGUAUGUAGGUCCCCUUGAAGUUGCCCUCGAAUACUCUGACCAAAUCGACCCAAUCGUGGAUCUGGUUGGCCGGGAGCUCUUCGAGCCAUCUGUGGGUGGUGUCGGAGAGGAAAAGUGGCAACUAUCGGAUGAUGGCUCGAUCAUCGGCUUGGGCGCCUCGCAAUUGAGAGGCUAGCCGGAAGUCUGCCAGCCACAGUGCAGGCUUGGUUUCACCGUUGUAUUUAGCAAUGCUAGUCGGGGGUCGAAACGGGCUAGGCAGCUGCAUGCUGUGGAUUGCUCUGCUGAACACGCGAGGGCCCGGCGGUUCUAGGGCCAUCCGGUCCUCGUCGCUGUCGUAUCGCCCGCCGCGGUGGGCACUGUAACCGCGCUCCUCUACAUCCCCAUGUCGACGGUGACGAUACUUGUUGAAGUCGUGUCGUGCGUCGUGUCGCCGUUGAUUAUCGAUGGGGUGGUUUUGGACAGGCGCUGUCCUCUUUCCUCGAGGGGGUGGUUGCUGAUGGACCGACACCUCCUUCUUGUUUCGGGCCGGCUCAUCACAUCUCUCGAUGGCUGCUCCUCAGUGUCGAGAGGGUGAGCUCUCAGCCUGUUGGACAGCCGCCACUUGAAGCAGAGUCUGCACCUCGUCUCGAAUUCGCCGCGCUUGGGAGUUCGAGGGUUUAGGCAUGUUACGUAGCAGCAUUGUUGCUGCCACGACGUUCUGGCCUGCUCGGGGGAAGUGGCUGACGGGUUACUCUGGUUCCCCAUCCCUGACGAUCUGUCGACGUACCUCUCGAGCUCGUCUACGGGCGCUUCCGCCAGGCGGGUAUGGUUGGUCCUGCUCGAGGAUCUGCUCGAGCUGGACAAGGUGCUCGCUAUCGUCGUCGAGCUUUGCUUUGAGCUCCCGUAGCUGCGCAAGUUGCUUUGCUUUGUCUUCCUGCGGUGGGGGGUCGACCUGACCAUCAUUCCCAGGCGUCCUGGGGUCCUCCCUUGCUACAGGGGCUCGACCGCCGGCGAUGGUGUCUUGUGUUUCCUCGGUGGUUUCUACCUCCCCGUCGACGUUGAAGCAUUCCCUAGUGGGGUCGUAGCUAUCGGAUUUAGAGUCGGGGUCUGGCUUGGCGGCGUAGAAGCAUCCACGUCUUUCCUCCAGUAGCCGCUGCCUGAGCGAGGUGAUCGUGUAUCACCCAGGUCCUAGGCGUCGGAGGCCUCGCUCCUGGGAGAAAUCCGGUAACUCGGCCGCUUGCUGCUGCAGCGUCGCGUGGGAGGACCAUUGGUCGCUCCACGUACGUCUAGGCGUUUGGACAUAUCCUCCUGGCGAGCGACGCCGCGGCGUUGUCCAGACCGAAUGGUGGUGCUCUUCUUGAGGUGAAUAACCCGCGCGGAAGUAGCGUUGUGGGGGACGAGAGCGCGUGAGGCGCAUCGUCACCCAUCGUCGUCGCGCGAUCCUCGUGACGUCGGGCCGUGGCACCCGCGGCUUCGUCGCGCGUGGUUGUCGGCUCCUGCGUCACCACCGACCUGGCACGAACCGGCGACUGUGAGGAGGCAGCAUAGCAGCAGCGCUGUCCACGCCUCUUCUUGGGCGGGGAGGCAUGGUGGUGAGGCCGUCUUGGAGCCCUCAGUCGUGCGGGCGCAAUGCGAGCUCCUUCCGGUCCUUUGACCGAGAGCAGGAUCAUGUCGUAGCCGAAACUGGUAGACAUGAACUCGAGGCUCCCGAACCAAAUCACCGUGGAGUGUGGAAUCUGUGAAACGAGAGUGGCCAUCUAGAAAGAGAUGGGAAAUCAGCGAAAAAACACGUAGGACCCCUACCUGGCACGCCAACUGUCGGUGUUUUCCCCCCGGGGGUCACACCAACGAGUAAAACUUAUGUGUGUGCUCCCCUGUCUAGAUGGUGAUGCAAGAAAGACACAAAAAUUUAUCCUGGUUUGGGCAAGAGAAGGCCCUACGUCCAGCGGGGGCGGAGACUGUUUGUAUUAUCUUGCACCUAAGUGCUUGUACAGGGGUGAAUACAAGUUGGUAAGAUGUGGAUGGAUGGAGAUGGAGUAUGGUUGCUCUUCUACGUAUGUCUUGUGUCCCCUAUCCUUUCCUGAGCCUCCCCUUUUAUAGUCUCAAGGGGAGACCUAGGUUACAUGCGUAGGUGACAGAGUAGGGGUCGAUAGGAGUGUGGCGCGCUGACCUACUCGAGGCUUCCGUACCGGCGUGGCCUCGAGCUGUCUUGUUACCCAGUACCUGGAUGAUGAUUACGCGUGCCACUGAAUCCGGCUUCUGCGUGUCGUCCUGGAUUGGCUCAACCGUGGGCACGCCUGUACGUCGUGGCUACAGUUGCGUCGAGGUGGUUGAGGUGCUAUCUUUCGCUGUCUAACUCUUCUUAGGGAAGGAACACGCUCGCUCGAGGGUCUGAUGCCGUGCAAGGCCUUGCUGACAGGAGCGUUGACUUUGGGCAUCUCGAGGGGGUCGUGAUGAGACGUUCUGUCCGCCUUGCUGUGCCCUGUCUGCUCUGACUCAUCCGGUGGACAAGGCUGCAAAAAUGGGCGAUUGGAUGGUUGCUUGCUUCCUAUCACACUUCCCGUGGCUGUCGGGUUAGGUGGGAACGCGGAAGGACGCAUUAAAUGCCCUGGUUCCCGUACCCGCGUCAGGCGGCGGGCGGCAUCCCCGCGCUCGAGGCCUGCCGAUUCGUACGAGCCUGUUUCCGUAUUCGACGGUCACCGUUUGGUCGAGCCCCAGCUGAUUCGCACGACGCUCUUUCCAUGUUCGAGGCCAUGGUCGUUGUCUUGUUUUGAUGAUCAUAUAUGCGAUCGGGGGGCGUCGAGUCGGGGGCCUCAAUAUACACACGGGUGCUUUCGUCAUGUCCGUCGGUUAGGGUACCCCUUACUGAUACCCUCGACAAAAGGUGAUAACUUGAAUACUUUGGUCCCAACAACAGAGAUACACCCGGAUGCCACGGCCAAGUGGUAUUCAUGCAGAACUUGAGAACUCGCCGAGUUUGACUUGAUGAAUUCCUAAGAACUCCUAAGUAAAAAGAAAAUAAGCGAGUUGACGAAGUCGUCGAAAAGUAGAUGCUGGAAUAGAUGUAAAAACUUGUGUUUGAUUGAUUGAAUUGUCUCCUACAUUGCUACUAGGUCUAUAGUCAUACCCUGUCUUAAAGAGUUACAAACAAGUAUGACUAGGAUUCUAUUUCCAAACUAAACGGAAUCGGUAUACAAAACAAACUCUAAUAACUAUGGAAAUCAUUAAUUUAUCUAUCCUAGGCGAUCGGCACACCACCAUCAUCUUCCUGAUGAUUCCUACACCUUCCUCCACUAUCAUUGGCAUAUCAUCCUCCAUCGGCAUCGGCAACCGUUAACAUCAGCCAUCGGCACAGAUCAACCAUUAUCCCUAGACUUGGUCAUAUCCUGCUGCUUUAUCAUCGGCAUCAUAACCCAUCGGCAACUCCCUUGUCAACCAGUCAUUACUUCUUCACCUGCCGAUCCAAGUUCUAUUAACUUUCUAGAUACGUGUCAAAAAACGGUGUCAAAAAAUACUAGUAAGUCCGUGGUUAUUAUGUUCUUUGGUUUGCGACUCUUAGAGUACUUAGAUUCUUGGUUAUUCUUGGACUAGAGUUGCAUGUCGUGUGUAGACGUGGUGUUUAGACACAAUCGCACAUAGAUAUCCUCCUACUGGCCGGGCAAGGAUAGUUCGCGCGGAGUGACCCAAUCGUCUCGAUGAAUUUAUAGCUUCCUGUCAUGCUAGUUAGGACUGGUAGGACGUAAGAGCUAGUUUAUAGUACUCUUUGCAAGUACUUUAGCCUAAUUCGUCCCCUCUAGAACACUAUUAGCAUAACUUACCAUAGGUUUGAACUAGAACCCUUAGAUGUCUUCUCUAUAGCCCCUUAGUUCCCUUGUUUCAUACUCGGGGGUUAAGUUUAGCCUUGGUUAGUCAUUGCAUGCUUUCUCCUUGUGGAUAAACAAAUACGAUACUCGAGAUAUCUUUCCCGGGUGAAGUGCUACUUCGGUAUAUUCGUGCGCUUGCAGAUUAUUUCUUUGAUUCUUCUGUAUUGCGUAAUAAAUACCAACAAGCUUUUCUAGCACUGUUGCUGGGGAGAAAGAUGUCCGUUGAGAUAAGUUAAGACUAAGCUUCACCUUGUAAUAUACUUUUAUCUUUUAUCUUUAUACCUUUUCCUUUUGUUUUCUAUCCUUAUGUAUAUCCAAAUUCCACUCAUAUAUAUCAGUAUCAUGCACCCAUGAGUGCAAGCCUAGAGCCACAAGAGCCUUUAAUCACCACACCUAGCUAUGAGCUGCACCCAUGCCUAGUUGCAAUAGGUCAAGACCAACCCAUUUGUAGAACCCAGAUCCUAUCUUUUAUGGAAGGUAAUGAAUCUUUGGCCACAAUCCUAUCUUUUAUGGAGGGUAAUGAACCUGUGUUUACAUAGUGGGAAUGUUUCAAUCUCCUUAUAAAUAUUGGUUCAGACCUAGCCUUACUAACACCCAUGCAUUAUGACCUCAGUCUUAGUAAUGAUUCCAUGAAAUCCCUAGAUAUGACCUUUGGAGUCACUUGCCUUUCUCUAUCUGCUAGUGAAGCAAGGUUUGUCCUUGAUCAUAUAAAUGGGCACACUCCUUGCAUCAUUAAGAAUCACGAUGAACUCUUAGAGGAAGAGAAGGAAUCAACCCCCAAACAAGAAGAGGAAGUUUCGAUAGCCAAAUUACAACCAUUUGAAUUCCAUAACUUGGCUAUCAAUCCCAAACCAUCUGUACUCCAAAUUCCUUCAAGGGAAGAAGAAAUUCUACCCUUGGACAUGCAUUCUGAUGAUGAGUUUUGGGAGGAGCUUGAUCUUCCCGCUCCAUAAGAGACCUCCAAGUGUAGAUACAUUGAAUCCCCAUAGGAAGGUAUCACUUAAAAAGCAUCUUAAGGAAUAUCUAGAAAGACUCAAGGAUGACAUUUUGAAUGAUGCCAUAGAAGGAGAGCAAAGCCAUCUAGAAGCCACUCAUAUCUCUUCUCCUUCUAUGCCAACACUAGAUACAAAAACUAAACUAAUCUUUAAUACCAUCCUUGUCCUAUAUGAGUCCUCUUGUGCUCUUUCUCUUGAGACUCAUGAUGAUCCUAGUGAUCCACAAAGACAUCCAAAUCAUAGGAUUCAUCAAGACCAUCGAGAAGAACAACAUCAAUGGCUAGUGAGCAUUCAAAACCUAUAUGUUAUUGCCAUUGAGUGGAUGGACAAAGCCAUAGAUGAGACCAAUCCAAGAGACAACAAUGCAAAGAGUUUUGAACAAUCAAAAAAAUCAACACUGGAGUUUGAAAACGAUGGAGACAUCAGUGAGCAUGGAAGCCAUUUAAUAAACACCACAUCUAGUUUUUUCUCAUUUGAGAAAUCUCCUGAUUCAAUUGGUCUCUGCAAUUUUGCCACACAUGAGAUCUUCACCCCCUCACACUUGAUGAUCUAAAAGAUUUAAAGGGGAGGUUGUAGAUACACAUGUCUAUCAUAAAUUUUGUAGAUCUCGUUGUGCUGGCCUUGUCUUGAGAUAUACGCACACAAGUUUGUGUUGGAGGGGAAACCACUUCACCAAAACAUAUUUUGAAGGUUUCCCAAGGAUGAAACUUGUGUCCUAAAACAAGCAGUUUUGAGACCAUAACAUGAGUGUUCACCCAUUUGAUCAUAAUACCCAUGCGGAGUGAGCAUAGAGAUAUAAUUGAAAAUAUACCUUCGGGUAUUCUUGUCACUAAUCUUUCCAAGUUUGAGCAAAGAGGACAAAGGAAUGAUGAAUAUAGGUAUGUGCAACCAAUCACCAUGAAACAUUAAUUGAAUUUGUCCAAUCUUGAUUUUUGCAAAAUAAAAGCUUGGGGGAGUGAUUUCCAUGAAAACAUCUAUUGUUACAUGACCUUGGUUUACCCUACCUUUAAGUCAUGCUCAAUUUGCUAAAACACCAAUCAUGCUCUUUCAUCUCCAUUUGUGUAUAUCUCUAUAGCGCUUACAUGCUACCUUUGUCUAUCAUAGUAAAUUUUGGUUUAGAAGUACUGCACAUACUUCUAUUGGCUUUUAAAUUAAGCAUGGUGCUUAGGUUAAGUAUCCUUCUGUAAUGAAAUUAGACAUGGAGUCUAGUUUGGUUAUUGAGCUAAAAACUACUUUAGACAAUGGUAUACUUUGUUGGACUAACCCCUGCAGGAAAACUCUUCAAACCAAAUUGGGAAGGUCCUGAGAUGAACUCACUAUAGAGAUGAAGCAAGGCGCAUGAACUUCAACCACUUUGCACAAGGGGAGACAUAGCUAGUAAAAGAGGAGUGCCUACACGAGAGCACUCACUCCAUUGAACAAGGUGAACAGAUUUCCAUUGUGCCAUUGAACACCAUCAUGGAGGAACUCGAGUGCAGUUUUACUCGUAGCCUCUUGUUAACCAUUAAUCAACGGGAAUCAAGAGAAACUGACAUGAGAAGAGCAUGCAACUUUCUGCACCCUCACUUCCUGGAUUGAAAGGUUGAUGCAAGAAGGAAGGACAACUCAUCUAAAGGAUCCAGCUGGGUUCUUCCACCUCCCAUGCUCCCAUCACUCCGUCACACUAGUUUGCAAUCUCUCAAUCCACUAUUACUUUAUUUCUUUAAGUUUGAUUUAUUCCACAACUCCCAUAUAUGAAUCAAACAUAAGAUAAAAAGAAAAAAUAUAUAAAAUCAAUCCUCUACAAACAAAGCAAAAGUUGAACUGCUAACAUGAUCACACAAACUUCAUUGUAGCAUAGAAGGUGACCUUUAGCUGUAUGACAACGCUACCCAUGCUAUCUUUUGUAUAUUCCUUCGGGUAUGUGUCAUCCACUAAUGAUUUGCAGGAAAACAAAAGAAAAAGAGAAAUAGAGAAAAGAAUGGCAUGACAAAAAGGCAAGAAGGAUGGAGUGCAAGGAAAGGGAACAAGUUGUUCGUCAACAAGAUCGAUGACCUACCAAACAAGGGAAGCUACCACAAGGUGCUACGAGAUCAACAAGCUCCAACACUGAAGGUAACACCUCUGGUUAAAUGAUCAUAACUUUAAAUUCUUUUCCCAUGAUUCUGGUAUGCACAUAAAUGAAGAACCAAAUAUGUUUGAGUUGUAACUUCACUUGAUCCAACUUGAUUAAGUCCACAUGUUCAAUUCUUUAUGUUUUGUUGAUGCAAAAGUAAAUCUGCAAACACAAAGGGCUAAUACCCGAUUUCGAUGUUGAGGCGUGCCAGCCGAUUUGACCUAGCAAUCGACAAAGGUGAUAACUCGAAUACUUUGGUCCUAACAACAGUGAUGCGCCCAGAUGUCACGGCCAAGAGGUAUUCACGCGGAAGUCGAGAAAUUCAUCGAGUAUUGCUUGUUGAAUCCCUGAGAACUCAUAAACAAAAAAAAAUAUGUGAGUUGACGAAGUCGUCAAAAGUAGAUGCAAAAGUAGAUGUAAAACUUGUGUAUGAUAUUGAUUGAUUGUUUUCUUACAUUGCUGCUAGGUCUAUAUUUAUACCCUGACCUAAAGAGUUACAACCGUAUAUGACUAUAAUUUAAUUCUUAAACAAAACAAGACUCUUACAUAAGGCAUACUUUAAUAAAUAUGGAAAACAACCAUCUAUCUAUUCCACUGUCUGCUUCAAUUACGAUGAAACCUUUCAUCGGCUCUGCUUCAUUGGCAUAUCCUUGUUGCCUCCUUAGAAACUUCCACACCUUUCUUCAUCAGCAUCAGCGAUCAUCGACAUCGGCGAUCAAUCGGCAAUGAUCAGUAACUACCGUCUCAACCCUCAGGCCAACGACAUCCUCCACCUGUCAGCCUGUCAUCGGCAUCAUCGGCAAUCGACAAUCUUCUUAUCGGCUUGACACAGCAUUUUCCUGACUACCGAUCAGUUCCUCUUGACCAUCCUGACUUAUGCCUAAAAAUGGUGUCAACACAUGCCCCAAUUUUGGAGAACAAAAUUAUUAAUGCUCCAAAAUUCUCUCCAGAUAAUUACGACCUUUUCAUAAUCACUUUCCUUUCGGUAAAAAUUUAUUACCAAAUCCAAACAACUUUAAUCAUGACUUCCAUAUCUCAGUAAAUAUCUCAAAUCUUCCAACCAUCCGAGCCGAAUCAUAUAGAAAAAUGCUCAUCGACAACUUUUCUGUUAGGAUAGAUUACCAAUGACCGACUAAAAUAUUGUGUACAGUGAAAUGUCCCUAAAAUUAUGAUUAGUUGCCAUCAAAUCACCUGCACAAUCCCUUGAUUAUCGUGCGAACAGUUACCAUAUCCAUCUGAACAACCUCGAAUUUCACGGAUACGGCAAAGAGAUAAGUCAAAAUACCCCUACUCAUCUCAACCUAUAAAUACCUCCUUCCUCAGCACUCAUCUUCUACCCUGCCAUUCUUUAUCUCCAUCCUCGCUCUCUCCGGUGGCAACUCUAACGAAAAGCUCAAGAACUCUGGCAACAAGUAACUCCCCUACGGUAAGACUCAUAACUCAAGACCUUCAAAUCCCUGAUCUACCCCGUACUAGAAGAAAUGGCCGUCAACUUCACUGUUCCUGAGGUUACUCCAUCCCCAUCUUCUCUUUCCUUUACUGCAGUUCUUUACAUUCUUGCGAGUUUAUAUACUUAGCAUUUUCUUCCUAUUUUUUCUGUCCUUUUGAUCCCCAAACUCUAGGAUUUGAGUGACAAGAUUGUUAUUCCCACUAAGCAACCUCACCUCCAAUGCCUGAGUCCAAUGGGUAAUCCAGAUCCUACUGAUUUAAUCAACACAGAAACCAACAGGAUCCCCUUUAGAGCCAAAAACUUCUCCUUAGAUCUAUGGAAGGAUACUUUCUGAUCCUAGCCAAAACCAACUAAGGGAUGGAAAGAUUGGUUCUUGAGAGUCAGUGGGACAAAUGAAGUGUACUGGGGGGAACACAAACUAGACCAAUGCAUCAGACUCUCCAUUGCUGAUAUGGAGAAGAAUGAGCCAAUGAUGAUAGCAGCUUCAUACUUCUGGUUAGACACCCUCAAUGCCUUUAUAUUUGGUCACGGCCCAGCUUCCCCUACACUUUCCGAUGUCCUCAUGCUUACUGACUUGGAUAUCUCAACUGCCGAUGAUGGUGGUAUUUUUUACUAGAAAACUGAGUACAAAGUAGAAACCUGUAACAUUGGUGGCUGGUCGGGAUACAUCUAGAAGUAUCGGCAGACUGGAUCGGUUGGCCAAAGAGAGCAUGCCAUCUUUCUAAACAUGUGGCUAGACAAGUUCAUCUUCUACGGCCGAUCAGUAGGGCCAACUUCUGUUUACCUAUCGGCAGCAGAGCGACUAGCCAAUGGUCAUCGAUUCCCCCUUGGCCGAUACCUUCUGGGCUCUAUCUAUCACCUCCUCUAUCAAGUAGCUGAGAAACUCCUGCUAGGUGAACCCAUCGGCAACCUGGGAGGCCCUUGGUGGUUUAUUAAUGUGUUGCUCAAUGACCAAAUGCAUAAACGUCUGCAAUGGGAUUUCUUCACACAACAAUUCCCACGAGACAUUGCUGAGGACUAUGAGCUAGCAGAGGAUGAAUCGGCAACGCGCUCACCCCUCAAUUAUGGUGAAGCCAUCAUAGUCCUUCCUGGGACCGAUGCAAACGAGAACUAGAUCGGCUGAUUCUUCCAAACAUUUUACAAUGGCCUUUCCAGGGAUCAUCGGGCUUGGAUGCCUUACAAAGACGAAGAAUCUAGAUUUCCACUCACCUUCCAUCCUGCCGAUGACGCAGUCAACAAGGAUAAUGACUCGAUGAUGGCAAUCAUCACCCCAAGAGCAAUCCCAGUAAACAACUUCGGCAGUGGGAAGAAUACCAACACAACUUAUGAAUUUUAUAACCCAUCAGCACUAUCUCAUCAACUAGCUUUUGGUCAGUUGCCCAUUAAACUCUACUAUGCCGAUGUGGUUAAGCCAAGGGAGACAAUAACCAAUGGACUCGAGUGGAUCAGAGUAGCUCAACUCCAGCUAGAUGCCGAUACAACAGAUGUUGAUCUAUCGGCUUGGGUCCUAGCCUCCUUCAUUACGCAAUCAUAUAAGUAUUGGUGGGAAGAAUGGAAAGAACAUAUGUUCAAGGUAUCAGUUCAUAUGUACCAGAACAUGAUCGACCCCAAGCAUGAAAUCCCUAACGACGUUGUUAGUUUUUUCUGAUACUCAGUCCUUUCAUCAGUUUUAACUUUAUUGGCAACUUACUUCUUUAUUUCAACAGGUCGAUGAUCCAGCACCAACAGUGAGCAAAAGUGGGCGGCUGAUCGAUCUUCAUCCAGUAUCUCCAGUCUCUUUGAUUGGCCACAAUGCCCCCAGCCUAGCAGUCCUAAUGCACCGAGGUGUUCGUUUCAAGAAGAUGACCACUAAACGGUCGAAAACCUCUCCAUCGGUAGCUGCUACCACUCUGGCACAAGCUUUCAAGGUAAAUCUUCAAUUUUUUCAUUAUACUGAUUCCAUCCCAUACUUACAUUAUUUUUUCAGGGUGCAUCGGCUACGACUAGAACGUUAUCGGUAACUUUGCUCCACAUUAGAUACUUUCACUUUUCAAUGAAUUCCAAAAUACUGCUUUGCUCUCAUAUUUAACUUACCGAAUUUUAAAUUUUGUGACAGCAAAUUGGUGCAUCGGCAAAGGCCAAAGGUACUCAAUCGGGUGCCGAUGCCCCCCCCAGUCGACGACUAGCCAAGCUCCGCCUAAGAGGAAAGCCCCAAAAAGCACCAAGAGUCAAUCGAAGCGGUAGAAAGCAGCACCAUCCUCUUCGCCUCAUCGAGCGCCUCAGACUCAAACAACACCAUCCUCUCCGCCUCAUCCAGCGCCCCAGACUCAAACAGAUCUGGUCGAUGCACCUAAAUAGAUCACUGAUCUAGUUGACCAAUGCAUGUCAUCGGCCGUUAUUCCCGAGCAGACCAUCGUUAUUUCCACUCAAGGUAAAGUAUGAAUCACACAAUUAUUACCGAUGGACCUUUAUAUAAAUACCAUCAUCACCCUUAGUUUUUUCAGUUGAAAGCAUUCCAUCGGCAGCUCCGGCCGAUCAGAGCACGGUACAAGUCACAUCUCCAAGCUAGAGGCAAGAAAUUUCUCUGAAACAAGUAAGCCACCCGAACUGCUAGACUUUGUACCAUUCAUACUUAGUUUUUACUAACUCAUCCUCCCCUUUGUUUCUAGGAACAAGAUUCCCCUGAUAGCUUGUUUUCUUUUGCCAUCAACAUUUCUGAUGACGAAGGUGAAGAGGCAAGUUCCUCAUUGGCGCUUGGAAUCGCAUCGACGGAGAUGUUGAUAUUUGGUAACGCAAUUAGAAAAUGAUCCGCAAGCGCACGGAUAUCGGUGAGCAUUUCACCCAGGAGGUUAUCCAGAGUUAUCGUAUUUAUAUUUUUACCACUGGGAGAAAGGGUGCAUCUGACUAACCAAAUCUAUUGCUACUACCCCUUUAGGCUACAAAGAAUGUCUCUCGAUGUGAGUGAUGUAUAGAGAAGACUGCAACCGUAGUCUCGUUCUAACCUUGGUAAGGAUGAUCUACUGUUCUAUUGAGGAGGCUCACGGAAUCUAGACAACACAAAGGAUGUUCAACCCGCACCUAUAAACCUACCCGUCCUGCUAACGAGAUGUGAUCUGCAAAGGUAACUCGAAAAUGUCACGUUCCUCGCUACUACCACGGUCCAGCUAGUCAGGGGAUAUCUAUGAGUACCCUAGCCUAAACACCACGUUUACGCUAACAAGUGAUUACUCUAAUACUCAACCGGAAGAGGAUUAAAGUAAACUCAUAAACCAAAGAACAAUAAAACAAGAACUUACUAGUAUUAGAAGUCGAAUUACUGAAGAAUCUUAGAAGCAAGCCUCGGGUUAGGAGACUUGAUCCCGUAGGUACAACUCGGAGUAGACACCGACAGGCCGGCCUUCCUCCGAUCCACACCUCCACUCUAUCUCUCUCAAUCUAGUAGAAACUAGAAGAUCUAUUUCUACUUUACAUUGGUUGCUAAGCCUAAAAAGAAAUAUUAUUUAGAGAAGAGGUUUUCCUUCGAGGGCACCCCUCAAUCUCUAUGAUAAUUUCUUGUCUCUUCCAGGGGCCAGGGGGCCUUGCUUAUAUAGUCCUCCCCUUCUAUGCGUUUUUGGGUCGAUAGGCGAGGUGGUACUAUGUUUUUCUUGAUCCAAUAGGUCGGUGGAAUAUCCCGAGCGAAAGAGUCCUGAUUUGGCUCCAACAGGGGGGCGGGCGCCCAGGCUACGAGGGCGGGCGCCCUGGGCCUGGCCCCUUUCGGGCUCCGCUUCCUUCCCGUGGCUUCUGGAGUCUUCUAGAUGGUAGAAAAUUGCGCGGUGGGUUGAUAUCUCUAUGUAAUCCCGACAUGUGGGCCUUUCUUCCUUAUUUCAUGAUAACCCCCUGCAGAAAUAGACAAACACCAAAACUCGUGGAAUUCUGUCAAAUAAAACCCUAAGUCUAGAUGUUGAUUUCAUUUGGAUCCUUUUCUUUGUUCAUUUGAUAAUUAAAUUUGAUACUUAAGGACCGUCAACAAACUCCCCCAAGCUUACCUCUUGCUCGUCCCUGAGCAAGGAUGAACUCAAGAGUUUCUGCAGUGGUUUCAUUUCUUAGAAGUACACACGCAUUUAAGCAAGAUCUCAUCUCUGAGUUAGAAUAAACUGUUAAGACAUAAAACUUACUUACUUUACCUACACCAUAGGACUUGUAACCGUCACUUCUGUCUUGAGUGGUUAAAAGAUAGCACAGUCUAGCCAAGUGCCAUGUCUCUUAUUCUUGAUUAGCUAUAGCUCUGGGGUUUUUGGAGAUUUUCAAAUAAAACUCAGAGAUUCCUUAUAUGACUCUCUCAGAUCUCUCUUUUGUGGUAUUUUUGGAUCCUUACCAAGGCAGUGAUGGUAUAUGCCUUCUCUCAAGAUAUGUAGUAUUUGUGGUAUGAAGCAUAGUGACAUUGUCUUCUCUCUCACCCUACUCUAAUAAGGCUUUAAUAUCUGAAGCUCAUAGGUGGGAGAUAAAGUAUACAUACUUACAAGACAUUUAUUGCAUAGUCAAACCAUGGAUCCAAAGUAACAAAUCAAUAAGCCAAAUCAAGAUGUGCAUGUGUGGCGAAUGAAUGGUGUAUGGUGAUGAUGGUGAUAACAAUGGUGAAAACAAUGGAGGUGGAAGUCUAAUUCUACUUUGCUCUUUGAGGGGAUACAUACCUUCCUUGCUUUUUGAAACUUUAUGAGGAGAAUGAGAUGCUCAUCUUUUUCUUUUCUCUCAGGUGGGUAUCUUGUACCCCUAAUUUCUAAUGUCGGACACUUGUCCAUUUUUACAUCUCGUCUCACUUUUUCUUUUCUUUCGAGGUUCCGAGCACUUGCUCCUUUUUAUUUCCUCGUAUUUCUUUUUUUUCUCUUCUUUUUUUUCAGAGCAUUCAUCUUUUGAGAUAAUAUAGCAAGUGGUAGUAACAAGAUAACUUGAGCAUUUAUUUCACAAGGGGAAACAGAAAUAUUUUUGGUUAUUCUCUCCCGGAUUAGGAGUAGAAUACUUUUGGGUGGUUUUGGAGAUGGAAAUGAGUGGAUAUAUGUGGAUGGUACUUCCGGAGUAGAAGUAGCAUGUAUGAGUGAACGUGCAAGUGAAUCUUGAUUUAACCACAUGACAAGCUCCUAAGGGUCUACACAGCUUGACCACACUCAAUGCUCAAAAGGAGUAAAUAGUAAAUGUGUGGCUCAAGGUCUAGCAAGCAUGUAUAUAUGGCUGUGGUAGGAAUUUAAACUCUCAUCAUACAGGAACUCAUCAUGUGUUAUUUUAAAGAUUUUUCAAAGAUAAAAUUCUCCAGAAUUCUAGCAUCUCUAGGAACAGAUGAACAGCAGCUCAACCUUCCCAUAUCGUAUCCGUUAACAACUUAGACUUCAGAUCAAGUUUUCAUCCCACAAGUUUAGGUCUAGAGCAAGCCUUAAAUUAUAACAGUUAUAUCUAAAUUUGAGAGAGAACUUCAAAUUUGCAAAUUAGGCAGAGCAACUAUUCAUCAUAUCCAUGCUUAAGUUUUAUUAGAUACCGAUUAGCAUAGCCACUUUAUUUAUUUAUUAAACACACUAAGCAAAAUAUAUAUAAGCAUAAAAUCUUUAUUUGGUUUUUCAUAGUUAUGUGUAUUUAUAUUCUAAUAUAGUAUAAGUAUAAAGAUAGAUAGAAAUACUUAUCGAGAUAAAUGGGGGUGCUCUCCCCCAAGCUGAAUUUUGACGUAAUUUCUCUUGAUGUAGCUAGCAGGUGGCAGAGGUGUGUUUGAAAGUCAGCAGUAUUUUGACAGCGAUUAGAAUGUCCUCCGUCUGCUAGUCUUCUUGAUUCUUAAAUUCUGUGGAGCUCAAAUAGACAACAAAGCUUGUGGAACUGGUUAAGUGUUAGCAUAAAUAUCUAGCCUUUAUCAUGUUGAGACUCCUUAAUAAAUAUUACUCCCUGUUUUUUUAUUUUUGUUUUUAUAAAGCAGAAAAAUAUUUAUUUUAUUUUUAUGCCACCACAGUGAAUGUACUUAUGGGUUUUAUGCCACUCGUCUACUCACAUGGGGCUUACAGUUUUUUUCACAUUUUUAUUUUCUUUCUAGGAUAAUACGAACAUGAUUAACUAAGUAAACUAUUUGAAAUAAUUAAAAGGGAAAGGAUAACUACCAAGUUUACCUCUUGGCAAGGCGUUCGGUGUUUUUAAGUCCUCCGAGCGGGACUCUCCAUUUUCUUAAUCGUCCUGGGAUUCACUGGAUGACGUAGUCGGUGAUUCCGGUGGCGCCUCCUCUUCGUGUGUAACUAUAUUCUCUCUCCACACCUGACUCGGUGCUACGGUCUCCUCAGGACAGUUAUGUUCAAGUCGUAUGUCUUCAGUCCUUAUCACUUCUCCUUCGUAGUCUACCCAUCCGUCCUUGAUGAUUUGCCUCCUCUGGUUGCGGUUGCGAUGUCUUCUUCUUGUCCUGACCUGCUUAGAGUCUUCAACUAUAUAGUUAGGGUCAGUAAAACAGCGGCAUACCUUCUCAGAGGAGAAGUGUAUGUGGACUUCUCCGGUUCCAAUAUAGAUGAUGGCUUUGAUAGUGCUGAGGAUCUGUCUUCCAAGGAUGGUGGGUGGAUCAUAUUCAUCUUCUCCCAUGUCAAUAACUUGAAAGUCAUCUAUAGCGGAAUGUAUAUUGGUUGUAGGGGCAUGGUUUCAUGCAGGAGCUGAUAAGUGACUACGGCCAUUAUGUUGACGUCAGAUCCGGUGUCGUAGAGUGUCUUCGGAAAAGAGUAUAUGUUGUUUGUGCAUUCGAUUCUUGGAACACCAGGGUCGUCCUUCUUGAUCAAGAAAGGUGACUUGAGUCGACGAUCUUGACCUCCUUGAGCUGCAGUGACCAUCUUAGCUGACUCGGUCCACAUUUGCUUGUUCCUGUUCCUCCUGUUGGUCCUCUUCCUUGGUUCAUGUCGGGAUUGCUCUGAAAUUUGUGGUCUUGUUCUUGAAGGAAAGUCUCCUUCUCUCCCUUGAUGUAGAAACUGAUCUUGGCAGUAUUAGCGUAGAUGACAGCUCUGGUGUUUAGGAAUGGCCUCCCUAAGAUGAUGGGUGCCCUCGCCUCAGUACCAGUCUCUAUCACCAUGAAGUCUGCUAGAGCAUACAAGGUACCAACUAGGACGCAGAGGUUCUUCAAUAUUUCCUUUUGGAAACUGAGUGUCCGAUCUGCAACCUUGGGCAUAAUGUUGACGCUCGAGCCAAAGUCGGAGAGUGCUUCUGGGAAGUCCACCAUGCCGAUGGAGAUCGGGAUGACGGGACGUCCUAGAUCACCUCUCUGAGUAAUUAGGCCUCUGUUGAUUCCAACCUUGAUGUUGUUGAGGACGGUUGUAGUAAUAGUUGUUAUUGUUGUUGAUGUAGUUCACGUCCUCAAGCAUCUUAGGGCAGUGAUUGCCUGAGCGUCCAGUAUCUCCAGUGUGUUUGUGCUCGUAGAUCCUAGUUCUUCACUUGGUGGAAUCUGGGAGUUGUAAAACUCCUUCAAAUUAUGCUCGAAGUGUUCCUGCUCAUAGAGACAAGGUAGAGAUCAAGUGCAUGGGCCCUGUUGGUGGAAAACACCAACAGAACCAAAAGUGUAUUUGUUCCUCUCUAACCUUAAGAAUAGUGAGCAAGACAAAGUUGAUGGAUCAUGAGUGUAGCAUUUGUCAGAUCAGAUGGCUCAACCUAAUGGAAAGAUAAUCUAUCUAUAUUUAUGUUUUGUUUAUAUCUUCCAAAGAUUGGAUGUGCAAUACUUUAGCUUAUAUGAUUAGGAGUGUGGGGUCACGAAGGUAGUACUAAGAACAAAGAUUAAAGGACUAAACAUGUUGAAUUAAUUGAGUUGGUUAAUUUGGAGUUAUAAAUCAUACAUGUUUGUCUCUUUAUUUAUGUGAAUGCCAGAACCAAGGAGGAGCUUAUAAAAGUGUUAGUCAAGUACCUUAAGAUGUUACCUUACUUGAAGAGUGAUGGUACAGUAUCACCUUGUGGAAGCUUUCCUUUCUUAGCGGUUGUGCAUCGUGUUUGUGGCACCCUCCAUGAAUCAUCUCUUAUGAGCUACGUCUUUCUUGUGCAAAUUGUUAAACUUCAUGUGUCACUUUCUUCAUCUCUAAUGAGUUUGCAUCUCAGGACUUCCCAGGUUGUUAUUGAAAGUUUUCCUACAGGGGUUAGUCCAACAAAAUAUACCAAUAUCUACUCAAGUAGUUUUUAGUUCAGUAACCAAACUAGACUCCAUGUCUAAUCAGAUUAAGGAAGGCUAUUUAACCUAAGCACCACGCUUAAUUUAAAUGCCAUUGGAAGUGUGACCAGUACUUCCAAACUAACACUUACUAGGAUAAACAAAGGUAGCAUGAUGGCUUUUAUAGAGAUCUACUCAAGUGGAGAUGAAGUAGUGUGAUUAGUAUUUAACAAAUGGAGCAUGUCUCAAAGGUAAGGACAACCAACAUAGCAACAUGGCAAAGGAUGUUUUAUGUAAAGUACUCCUCCAAGCUUGAAUUUUGCAAAAUUCAAUAUUGAAUGAAUUUAAUUUAAUGUUGCAUGAUGAUUGGUUGGGCAUACCUUGCGCUUGUCAUUCAUCCGAUCUUCUUGCUCCAAUCCUAGAAAGGUUAGUGACAAGAAUACCCGAAGAAAUAUUUCUACAAUUAUCUUUAUAUGCUCAAUACCCAAGGCAAUGUUGCAAAUAAUUAGAAGUGCUUGUUUUAGGACACUAAGCUUGUCCUUGGGGAACCAUCAAUUAACUCAACGAGAUCUGCAAUAUUUAUUAUAGACAUAUGCAUCGACAACCACCCUUUUAAAGUUUUUAUAAAUAGAAAAGAAGAGGGGGUUGGAGAUCUCAAAUGUGGUAAGGAUGGAGAGACAAAUUGAUUGGAGAGAUGUUUUAUAUGAGCAAGGACUGGGUGAGGUAUUUAUGAAAUAACUUCCAUGCUCACUGUUGUUUCUCUCAUUCUCAAACUCCAAGGAUGAUUCUUCAUGAAUGUUUAAAAUUCCUCUAGGAUUGUCUCUCAAGUUUGUUUUAUCUAUCCAUUCAAUGGUGACAGCACAUGGAUUUUUAAUGCCCUCUAGCCAUUGAUGUUGCUCUUCUCGAUCCUCCUUGUUAUGCAUGGGAUGUCUAGAGAGAUUCAUAUGAUUAUCGGGAGGUUUAAGAGAAAGAGCAUAGUAGAAUUUAUUAAGCUCAAGGAAGGUGUGGAUAGCCGAAUUAUGGGUUUGAAAUGUUUGGAAAUUGGCUAUUGAAACUUCCUUUCCUUGUCUGGGAGAUGAUUCCUUCUCUAUUUCUAAGAUUUUUCUAUGAAGACUAGUACAAGAAGGAUGUCCACGAAUGAAGACAUACCUUCCUUUACUAAUAGAUAAAGAAAGAAGGACUCUAGAAAAGGUUAUAUGAUUAAGACCAAUGUGAAAAUAUUUAGGAAAAACAUGGUCUUGUAGGGCUAGGUCUAAACCAGAAUUUAUAAAAGGAUUAAAAGAUUCCCUAGGUGUAGCUAAAAGUGCAUUAUCUUCUUGAUUAAAAGAUAGGACCUCGGCUAUAGAAAAGGGUUGGUUUUGACCUAUUGCAAUCAACUCCGGACACAGAUCAUAAUUAGGGGCAGGACGUGUUGACUCCCAUGGUCUAUGGCUGGUCUCCGAAGGUGCAAAGAAUUCAAUAAUAGGUAUGGACUUUAAGUUAUCCAUAAAGAUAAAAAGAUAAAAGAAUAAAAGUAUAAAAGUAUAAUACAAGAUAAUAGCAAGACUCAAAGUUAUCUCAGCAAACUGUCUUUCUCCCCGGCAACGGUGCCAGAAAUGCUUGUUGAUAUUUGGUAACGCAAAUAGAAAAUGAUCCGCAAGCGCACGGAUAUCGGUGAGCAUUUCACCCGAGAGGUUAUCCAGAGUUAUCGUAUUUAUAUUUUUACCACUGGGAGAAAGGGUGCAUCUGACUAACCAAAUCUAUUGCUACUACCCCUUUAGGCUACAAAGAAUGUCUCUCGAUGUGAGUGAUGUAUAGAGAAGACUGCAACCGUAGUCUCGUUCUAACCUUGGUAAGGAUGAUCUACUGUUCUAUUGGGGAGGCUCACGGAAUCUAGACAACAAAAAGGAGGUUCGACCUGCACCUAUAAACCUACCCGUCCUGCUAACGAGAUGUGAUCUGCAAAGGUAACUCGGAAAUGUCACGUUCCUUGCUACUACCACGGUCCAGCUAGUCAGGGGAUAUCUAUGAGUACCCUAGCCUAAACACCACGUUUACGCUAACAAGUGAUUACUCUAAUACUCAACUGGAAGAGGAUUAAAGUAAACUCAUAAACCAAAGAACAAUAAAACAAGAACUUACUAGUAUUAGAAGUCGAAUUACUGAAGAAUCUUAGAAGCAAGCCUCGGGUUAGGAGACUUGAUCCCGUAGGUACAACUCGGAGUAGACACCGACAGGCCGGCCUUCCUCCGAUCCACACCUCCACUCUAUCUCUCUCAAUCUAGUAGAAACUAGAAGAUCUAUUUCUACUUUACAUUGGUUGCUAAGCCUAAAAAGAAAUAUUAUUUAGAGAAGAGGUUUUCCUUCGAGGGCACCCUUCAAUCUCUAUGAUAAUUUCUUGUCUCUUCCAGGGGCCAGGGGGCCUUGCUUAUAUAGUCCUCCCCUUCUAUGCGUUUUUGGGUCGAUAGGCGAGGUGGUACUAUGUUUUUCUUGAUCCAAUAGGUCGGUGGAAUAUCCCGAGCGAAAGAGUCCUGAUUUGGCUCCAACAGGGGGGCGGGCGCCCAGGCUACCAGGGCGGGCGCCCUGGGCCUGGCCCCUUUCGGGCUCCGCUUCCUUCCCGUGGCUUCUGGAGUCUUCUAGAUGGUAGAAAAUUGUGCGGUGGGUUGAUAUCUCUAUGUAAUCCCGACAUGUGGGCCUUUCUUCCUUAUUUCAUGAUAACCCCAUGCAGAAAUAGACAAACACCAAAACUCGUGGAAUUCUGUCAGAUAAAACCCUAAGUCUAGAUGUUGAUUUCAUUUGGAUCCUUUUCUUUGUUUAUUUGAUAAUUAAAUUUGAUACUUAAGGACCGUCAACAAGAGAUCAAGCCCAAACUAGAAAAUUUACUAGCCUUAUUACAACAAGACACGGCUCAGCUAGUGGAUGACUCUGAUCAGGCCAAGGCUAUCUUGAAGACUCUCCGCGGCUAGAUUCCAGCCGAUACUGAGGAGAUGCUUUUUCAAGCUGCCCACCGGGAGAGCCGCCAACUUCAGUACCAAAAGGCCGUUCAGCGCCUUGCCGAUAGAGCCACUCAUACCUAGCUCAAAGAGGAGAUUCUACAAGUGAAGCACGCCACCGAUGAGAAGCAUAAGAGCAUCGGCAUUUUGCAUUCCUCAGGUGUCGAACUAAAACAGAGAAUCUUUGAUCUAUCGGCAAAGAGAGAGGCUCUGCUCGCUGAACUCAAACAAGUGGAGGAAGCUUUGACCCAGGCCCGACAGGAAGAAAGUCAACUGCCUAACGUGCUCAGAAAUCUUUAGCAAGAGAGGGAUGCCCAAGCUCGCAAGGCACUGCAAAUGAAGAAGAAACUGAAACUAGUAGGUUCGGCUGAUGAAGACACCAAAGAGAUAGAAGAAGCUAAUUAGAUCCGUCUACGUGCGAUAUUGGCCAUCCAAGCUCUGCUAAAUAUGUGAACUUCUCCAUCAGCAGCAUGUUUCGUUGGUUCUUUUGAGAACACUAGCAUUUGAUCCAGCCGAUAGGAUUGUUAUCGGCACUUAAUCUCCUUAUGCGUUGAUUCAAAUACACUAAUAUUUUGUCCAGCCGAUAGGAUUGUUAUCGGCACUUAAACGUUUCAUGCAUCGACCAAGAUACUAGGAUAGUAUCUUUUUAAGUAUUUUCCGUUUAAUGCUUUGGGAAAUUCAACUCCUUCGAGAGUCUCCAAAAUAUAUGCAUUGCCAGGAGCAGAUCGACUUAUCCGAUAAGGACCUUCCCAAUUAGGAGACCAUUUUCCAAAUUUUGAACUUUUAGUCCCAAUCGGUAGAAUCAAUUUCCAAACUAAAUCUCCAUCGACAAACUCUUUAGCUUUUACUUUCUUAUCAUACCACUUAGCUACUCUCUUUUUAUUCUCCUCUAUGCUGAUCAAAGCUUUCAACCGAUGCCCUGCCAAAUCCUCCAACUCAUCUUUCAUCAAAAUAGUAUAAUCAUCGGCAGUCAACUGAUCUUGAGAAAACAUUCACCUAGAACCAGUUUUAACCUCCCAAGGUAGUACCACAUCAUGCCCAUAUACCAAUUGAUAAGGUGACACUUUGGUUGCACCAUGACAUGCCAUCCGGUACGACCACAAGACUUCAUUUGACAGUGUAUGCCAUCGCCUAGGAUUUUCAUCAUUUUUUCACUUGAUGAGCUUAAUAAUUCCUUUGUUAGAAGCCUCAGCCUGCCGAUUAACUUGAGCAUAAUAAGGAGAAGAGUUUAACACUUUAAUCCCCAUACCAAUUGCGAAUUAAUCAAACUCCCUAAAUGUAAACAUGGUACCCUGAUCGGUAGUGAUUGUUUGAGGAAUACAAAAUUAGUAAACAAUAUGCUCCUUCACAAAAUCAAUCAUAUUAGCCGAUGUCACUUUCUUCAAAGGAAUAGCCUCAACCCACUUGGUGAAAUAAUCAGUGGCAACAAGGAUAAACUUAUGCCCUUUACUCGAUGGCGGAUAAAUUUGACCGAUGAGAUCAAUAGCCCAGCCCCAGAAUGGCCAAGGUUUAAUAAUAGGAUUCAUAGCUGAUGCGGGCGCCCUUUGAAUAUUUCCAAACUUCUGACAUCCUUGGCGUCCUUUGAAAUAUUUGAAGCAAUCCUCAAGAAUAGUCGGCCAGUAAUAUCCAUUCCUUCUAAUCAUCCACUUCAUUUUAAAAGUUGACUGAUGUGCUCCAUACACUCCUUCAUGGAUUUCACCCAUCAAAGUUUUGGAUUCAUCAUCACCAAGACAUUGAAGCAGAAUUCCGUCCACAGUACGAUAAUACAGUUCAUCAUCAAGGAGCACAUACUUGGUAGCUUGAAAUCUAAUAUGUCUUUCAACUUUCUUGGAGGGAUCUCUUAGGUAAUUAACAAUUUCUUUUCUCCGAUCAUCGACACUGAUUGCCGAACACCCCCAAGAUGGGUUGAUACCCCAAAGCAUGUUGAGCCAACCGAUUAGCUUCCUCAUUAUGUAAUCGGGGAAUAUGUUCUAAAUGGAAAUCCUUAAAUUCCUUUAAUAACUGUAAACAUCUUUCAUAAUAAGAUAUCUAAAUCUCACUUCGGCAUUCAUAAACCCAAGCCAACUGAUUUAUAACAAGUAUAGAAUCACCGAAGAUUUCAACUACAUCAGCAUGAACUCCCCUCAACAACUCUAAUCCUUUGACCAAAGCUUGGUACUUAGCCUGAUUAUUUAUUGAUGUGGCAACAAUCGGCAAAGAAAAUUCAUACUUCUUUCCUCGAGGAGAAAUCGACACUAUACCGAUGCCUGCCCCCUGAUGACACGUGGACCCAUCAAAGAAAAGCGCCCAAGGAGCAACUUCCAAAGAAUUCACCAAACCGCAAUGUUGAGUAACAAAAUUGGUCAUAAUUUGUCCCUUGACCGCUUUAGCCGAUUCAUAAUGUAGGUCAAACUCUGACAAUGCCAAUAUCCAUUUGUCGAUUCUACCACUCAUAAUCAGCAUUGACAACAUGUAUGUGACUACGUCAUCUUUGCAUAUAAUAAUACACUCGGCCGAUAGCAAAUAAUGCCUUAGUUUAGUACAAGAAAAGUACAGACAUAAGCAUAAUUUUUCAAUAGCCGAAUACCUCGUCUCAGCAUCUACCAAUCUCCUACUUAAAUAAUAAAUCACACGUUCUUUCCCCUCAAAUUCUUGAAUAAGAGCUGAACCGAUAACUGUAUCAUCGGUUGAUAAGUACAACGUGAAGGGCUUCCCAUGUUGUGGUGGAACCAACACUGGAGGAUUCGUCAAAUAACUUUUAAUCUCAUCUAACGCCAACUGUUGCUCUUUUCCCCACACAAACUUUUGAUCGGCUAUUUGCUUGAGCAAAGGACUGAAGGCCUUUAUCUUACCCGAUAAAUUAGAUAUAAAUCGCCUAAUAAAAUUGAUCUUGCCGAUCAGAGAUUGGAGCUCAAUCUUAUCAGCAGGAGCGACUAUCUUGUUGAUUGCAUCAAUAGACCUCCUACUAAUCUCAAUUCCUCUCUGAUGCACCAUGAAACCCAAAAACUGGCAUGCCGAUACACCAAACGCACAUUUAUUAGGAUUCAUCUUUAAACCAUGCUUCCUUGUGCACUCAAGUAUCUUCCAUAAAUUGGCUAAAUGUUUUAUGAAAUCUCCAGACUUAACCACCACAUCAUCAAUAUAAAUUUCCACCAAAGUGUCGAUGAAUUCAUGGAAGAUAAAAUUCAUGGCCCUUUGAUAAGUAGCAACAGCAUUUUUCAAACCAAAAGUCAUGACUAUCCAUUCAAAUAACCCAACAUGACCAGGACACCUAAAUGAAGUCUUGGGAAUAUCUUCUUCAGCCAUGAAUAUUUGAUUAUACCCUGCAUUGCCAUCCAUGAAGCUAAUAAUCCGAUGUUCGGCCGCAGCAUCAAUCAACAAAUCGGCAACUGGCAUUGGAUAACUAUCCAUCGGCGUAGCUUUGUUAACAUUUCUAAAGUCAAUGCACACACGAAGCUUUCCAUUCUUUUUGUAAACAGGAACAACAUUGGAAAUCCACUCAGCAUACCAACUGUCGGUGUUUUCCCCACGGGGGGUCACACCAACGAGUAAAUUUGUAUGCGUGCUCCCUUUCCCAGAUGGUGAUGCGAGAUGACACUGAGGUUUAUCCUGGUUCGGGCAAGAGAAAGCCCUACGUCCAGCGGGGGAGGAGAGUUUGUAUUAUCUCGCACCUAAGUGCUUGUACAGGGGUGAAUACAAGUGCGGUAUGAAGUGUGUGAGCUCUACUGCAUAUGAUCGUGGUGUUGUGCGUUCUAUUCCUGAGUUCCUCCUUUUAUAGCUCCAAGGAGAGACCCAGGGUACAUGUAUAGGCGCCAGAAUAAGAGUCGAUAGCAGCAUGGGGCGCUGACCUACUCGAGGCUUCCGUACCGGCAUGGCCUCGAGCCGUCCCGUCUUGAUAGCCUGGUGAUGAUUACGCGUGCCCCUGCAUUCUGCUCUGCGCGCCGUCUUGUGUUGGUUCAACGGUCGCACGCUUGUACGGUAUGGCGGCAGAUCCGGUGGGGUGGUUGUGGUGUUAUCAGUCGACGCCCAACUCGUCCCCAGGAUGGAACCCCGUUCGGUCGAGGGCCGGACGCCGUGUAAUGUGCCGAUGUCUGGAGCGCUGACCUUGGAUGUCUCGAGGGGGUCCCGAUUAGACGUUCCAUCCUUAUUUCCUGCGUCCUGACACGCCCUAGGUUGUUUGGUGGGAAAGCUGCAAAAAGAACGAUGGGACAGAUGCCUGUUCCCUAUCACGCCUCCCGUGACCUGUGUGUUAGGUGGGGAAGCGUCAGGCGCAUUUAAUGUCCCGGCUCUCGUGCGCGCGUCAGGCGGCAGACAGUGUCCUUGCGCUCGAUGCCUUCUGAUUCGCUUGAGCCUGUUUCCGUAUUCGAUGGUAGUCAGCACUCGACCCCCAAGUGGUUCGCUCGACGUUAUUUCCAUCUUCGAGGCUGCAGCCGUCGAUUGCUGCGCACAUGUGUGACCAGAACGUCGAGUUGAGGGCCUCGACUUGCGUAUGGAUAAUCUUGAUAGGUGCAUCGGUGAGGGUACCUCUUACUGAUACCCUCGACAGUAGCCCCCGAGUCUCCAUUCGAGCGCUGGCGCUCGAGUGGAGGCUUUACUUUUGCGGUCGAAUUUCUGUGGGGGCGCGCGAGCGACCCCGCGGGGGUAGCCCCCGAGCCCUCGAGGGAGUUUUUAACUCCUUCGAGGGUUAUUUUGCCUAAUUUGCAGAAACGCUGUCGACACCAGUGUUGGAAGGUUCUGAUCGGCUUUGCCUUGUGAGGAGGUCUCGACGUACUCUCGGUAGAGCGAGCGUCUUCCACCCCAGAUUGAGUUCCUAGCGGGUAAUCCAAGUGAGAACCUGUGCCCCUUUCGAGGAAGUCAGCUGUAGCCCGGAGGCGUUCUCAUAAAGCAGGGUCGACGUGGUCGGGGAUACCGGUCUCAUUCGAUAGAGUCCAGCGGCUCGAUGCCUCCCGUCGGGCGGAUUCCUCUCGACUGUCUCGACCCUACCUUGGACAUCACCAGCGAGUCUUCGAGGCGGGCCUCGAUCUUCGACUGCUCGCUGGGGAUCCCUGACUCUGGUGCUCGAGAUCGGCUGUCGAACCCUUUCGGUGGGCCAGCCAUCGACCUCUCGAGACUCUCGCGGGUACGCCCCUUGGCCUACAAGGGAAGGAGGUGGCCGUGGCGGUUCGCCUUUUUUGCCCGUUGGGCGCGCCUUUUCAGGUGGGUGACGUUACAACACUGCGUCGGCGUGGAAUUCGGAGCGCCCCGCCUGUGAGGGGAAAGAGAUUGUUAGGUGGCGCAUUUAUGGGGGGAGUUACCUUAUUUCUCGGAUCCGUCCGUUGGUGGAUUGCUGCCUAUAAAUACGCCGUGGCGCCACCGCCGUUCUUUCUUCCGCCUCCUAUCUUCACUCUUGCCUUAGCCUUUUUGCCGUCUUAGCUUUCUCGCCGUCUCACACGCCCACGCCUCCUCGAGCAGUAGCGGAUCCACCGUCCUUCCAGCCGAGAUGCCUGUGAGACUCGUUGCCGCCGACGACUGGUGCCCGUCGUCGAUGACGGAGCGCCGGUUGUUAGAGCUUGAGAGAGAGGGACUGCUGCGCCGCCGCACCUCGCUAUCGUCGCCCGAGUGGAUCGCGCCGCCGGCGAACCACAGGGAGCCCCAACCGCCCGAGGGCUACGUGGUGUCAUUCGCCAAAUUCCACCUCCACGGCCUGGGUGCUCCUCCGAGCCGCUUUAUGCGGGCACUUUGCUUCCACUACGGGGUGGAGCUCCAACACUUCUCCCCGAAUGCCAUCACCGUCACGGCGGUCUUCGCCACCGUGUGUGAGGGCUACUUGGGGAUGAUGCCGCACUGGGAGCUGUGGCUCCACCUCUACAGGGGCGAACUUUUCCACACCCCCACCGGAACCACGGGCGUAAGGAAGCCCAUGCGGGCGGGAUGCCUCAAUCUUGUGCAGAAGACGGGGAAGACGGACAGGCCGCGGGAGUACAUCACGGUAGGGUUAUCGACCAACCACGCCGGCUGGGACUCUCAGUGGUUUUACCUACAGAACGACGACAACCUCCUGCCUUCCUACUCGGGUCGUCUGAUCAUGGAGCGUCCAGCGGACUAGACAUACGGCGUCGUCCAAGCUCACCAAUCUCGGCUCGACCCCCUCCUCGACGUCCUGAAGAAGCUUCGCCAGGAGGGUUUGACCGCCGCUCUCGUCCUCUCAACCGUCCAUCACCGGAGAGUUCUCCCAUUGAUGUCUCGACCGUUGAGGAUGGACGAGAUGGGACCUGGCGUCUCAUCUCGAGACCUCGAGGCGUGCCGGAUGUCCAACGAGGCUCCGGCGGACGACGAAGUCGCGGCCCGAGUCAGGGCUGCAAUUGCCGGUGAUUUUCAGCCGGAGCAUGUUAACGGCUUCCCCAUGAGGCCAGACGCAGGCUCGAUCGAUCUGGUAUGGUUUCUUCUCGCGCGCAGCCUCGAUUCUGGGUUUCCUUUCUUCCCCCCCUUUUUUUUCUAAGUCUACCUUUGUUUUGGCAGGGACGGAUUGAUGUCCGAUCCUCGAGGCCUUCAGUAAAGGAGGACGAGGUCGAUCGCGACAAGCGGCGCCAAUCUUCCGAAAAGCUAAAAUCCGCCAAGGACUCUGCAAAGAAGGGGGAGAAGAAGAAGAACCUCGACCGCCAAGCAUUAGAGGCGCGUCGAGCCAAAUCCAGGCAGAGGGGGGAGCCUGAGGAAGAAUCCCCCAACGACGACGAUGAUGACGACGAGGACAGCGACGACUCUGAGGGGAUGGCGUCACGCCUUGACCGAAUCCUCGAGGGUCCACCUCGAGGCGACGUCGAUGCCCCCCGGACGGAGACUCCAAAGGAGGGUCCGAGCGGUUCUCACCGCCCUCGGGCCGAUAUGCCUCCUGCGCCCAAGGCUGGUCAAGUCGCGCCGCGCCCUCCCCCGGCGCUCAGGGAAAGCGGUCAUGCUAGGCCCCAGGCGACGGGGCCACUGACUCGCGGUCGUGCCGCGGCCUCCGAGAAAGGAGAGGCCGGCCGCAGGAGCGCCAGUCCCAACGCCCGCCAGGCGGGAACUGUCGCGCCAAGGCCAGCGCCUGCCUUCGAGGGGCCUGGGGCCCUGACGUGGGGUGGCUCGAGGCCCGCCGGUCGGGGCGGCGGUAGGCGAGCUGUUCUCCCUGUGGGGUAAGCUUUUUCGACAUUGUGGCUUUUGUCUUCCUGCUCCUAUGCACUUUCUCAUAUGCCGAUCUUCUCCGGCGCUCAUCUGUUUCUUUUCUCAGGCUAAAGCGGACCCUCGAGCAGGCCCAGCCGUCCAUGGCAAAGAGGCUCAAAGCGGGAGCUGCCUCCAAGGAGCCAGGUUUGUGGUUUACUUUUGGGAUUUGUGAUGUUCUUGUGCUAGCCAUCGCAGUCACCGGCCUUUAUUUUUUGUUUUGCAGGCUCCUCCGACUCCCAACCUCCAGCCGGCGUUGAGAAUGCUCCGCCUCGUCCUGUGCCUACCCCGUCGCCGCCGACGUGUGGCGAGGCACCCCAGACGCAAGUGCCAGAGGGAGCCCCCGAGCCUCCUCUAUUGGGGGUCGAGGGGGAACCCAUCACCAUCAGCGAUACAUCUGAUGGUAACGAAGCGUCUGGGGUGCCCGCCCUAUGGAGGAGGAAACGUCGACCUCCCACGUCGCGGGACGGACUCCCUGGCCCGCUGGCCUUCGAGCCCUCGAAGAGUAGAAGGAGAAAGAGAAGGAGGGGGAGGAGCGGGAGCGUGAGGCGACGCGGCCGCCACAGGAGCAGGAGCAGCAAACGCCCGAGGGGCUUCAACAACAGUAGCAGCAGAGGGAACAACAGCAGCAGCAGGAGCAGGCGGGCCAAGAGGAAAGGCCGCUCGAGCCCCUACCUCAAGGUCUGGCCCAACCGGUGCCACCGGCGCCGCAAGAGCCCGGCGAUCAGGAGGAAGAUUUGCCGGUGUACGGCCCUCCCACCCCGGCGUGGCUCCUCCCGGGGGCGCCUACCGCGAUCCGGGCAGAGUCGGGGCGAGCGGAUGGAGUGGUGGCGCUCGCCUGUAUGAUGCGCACCCCCAUCGACCCCGAGUCCGAGAUCAAGAGGACGAUCUACGGCAUGGACGGGAUCGCCCCUAGGUUCCUUCGGGAGCGUCGAGCGUGGGAGGACCGCUUUCCCUCUGAGGAGGAUGAGAUCGGAUCACCCCUGGGUUCCUCCGGGAGCGUCGAGCGUGGGAGGACUGCUUUCCCUCCGAGGAGGAUGAGAUCGGGUCGUCAGGGAGCAAGGACGGUACCUGGAAGACGGUUGACGACGACGGGCGGUUCCCAUGCCUUGUCGACCUGUUCUUGCACCACGGGGGCUCCCUCGAGACCGUUGAGAACCUUAUCCGUGGUGUCAAGGCGCGGGCUGAUCGAGAGAUGGAGAACUGGUGCCCCGAUCGGAUUCGUAUCCGGGCUUCCACCGAUCCGUCCGAGCCCAACAUCUUCCUCGACGACAAGAAGGAGGCCGAGAAGUGGGAACAUGUCGAGGAGCUCCGCCUUUGGAUGAAGCACAUGGUGGGGCUCUUGUCGGACAUCAUCAACAACGGGCUCGGGCCUGCUUAUUUUGUAAGUGUCUUUCGAUCUUUGAUCUCCAUGGAGCCCUUUGGUUUUGUUCUCUAACUGUUCGUCCACCGGCUCGCAGGAUAUGAAGGAGACCUCCCGCAUCAAGUCGAGCUUCAUCCACGCCACGCGAGGCGGCUGGGAGCAGCUCCCCGUCCUCAAGGAUCAACUCCUCGAGUCGCAGGAGAAACUCCUCAAGGCUUAUAAAGACCUCAUAGCGCUCGAGGAGGAGAAGAAGGCGAGGGAGGCUGCCUUGGUAGAGGCUCAAGAGGCCUCGAAGAAGGCAGAGGAGGAGACGACGCUGCUGCGGGAGUGGGCUCUGACGGUCGAGGAGGCUGCAUCCAGAGCCCGGGAGGAGGCCCUGUCCUACAAGAACGUUAUUGCGGACCUGGACAAGGAGAAGGGCCUUCUCAAGACCGACCUAGACUCCCUCCGAGAGUCCUUCCAGAAGAUGAAGGUGGAGCACGUGAACGGCGAGAUCGCCAGGAGCGCCGCGGAGGACGCCAAGAAGAAGGCCCUAGAAGAUCUCGAGGCGGAGCGUGCUCAAUCCCGCAAGCUCUCUGACGACGUCGAACAUCUGAAGGGAGAACUGUUGGAGAAGAGUGGGGCCAUCGCUCAGGCUGGCAAGGUGAUCGAGGAUCUCCGCGUCGCCAACACCGAGCUGGCCUGUUCCAACAGAGAGAUCGAGAGGGCCAACACCAGAUUAGUCGGCGAAAACACGGCCCUGGAGGAGAGCGUCCGCGGUACGUUUCCUUUGUCGGGUUUCUUUUUCGAGGUGUGCUCAGUUUUUCCUAAAGUUUCUUGUAUUGGCGUUUGCAGGGCUUAAGGACGAACUCCUAGCCGACCAAGUCGAGGCCCGUAAUGCCAAGACCCAGCUCGAGGCUGAGGUUGCUUUGAACCGUCGAGUGCGGAUGGCGAUAAGCGACCUCUCGGCCUCCUGGGAGGUCGAGCCUAUGGAGGAGUCGAGGGAGGACGCUUGAGGCGACGCACUGGUCAACCAGCUGUGCUACUUAGGCGCGACGCUGAGAGAUCGAGUGCGGGACGCCCUCCACAUCGGGGUGAAGCGGGCGAUGGCAGUUGUCUGCCCGGGCUUCUCCUAUGACAUGGAGGUGGUGUCCCACGGCUUCGUCACCGACAUCUCCAUGACCGACGCGGAGAACGAAGAGAGGCUCCAUGCCUUGAUCGACGACGCGGAGGCUCCUGGGGAAAGGCUGGCUAAGCUUUUUGAGCCUGAGGUGCUUCCUCCUGAGACUGGCUCGGGCGCAGGCGAGGGUGGUGAGGAUCGUGCCAUGGACUGAGGCCUGCGAGCCUGCGCGGGGUGCCUGGGGCCCCUUGUAUAAUACUUUGUCAAUAUGCUUUUUGAAUGAUACAGUAUCUUUUUGUAAUUGCUAAAUGUUUAUUUGUCUUUCCGCUCGAGGUUCUUUUAUUUCUCUUUGCGCCUACGUUUGUAUUCCUUGUUCGAUCUUUCGUAAAAAACAAACUCGAUCGUCUCAAGGGUGAGGAAGUGAGUAGAGUUUCCGUAGCCCGGGGGCGUAGGAGUUCUCAGGCUCGUUGUCCCUCGACCUUUGAGGGGCUCGAGGUGCCUUAGCUACUCGAAUCGUGUAAGGUUUACUAAGUAGGAAGAGAAAAUUUCUUGGCUUUUUCGACGUAUGGGGGGGGGUCGUCCCCCUGGUAGCCCCCGAGGGGGUGUUGACUAUGAUAGGUCAUAGUCGGCGCCCCCUUCCAAUGUCGAGAUUAUGACUUGUAAAUCCUUGGUACAAAAAGAAAUUGCUCGAGGGAAAGACUUCAUUUAUUCAUGCAUUCGUUUACAGAGUCUUGGUACAAAAUGUACGUAGGAACGUAAGUUUUGAACUUUUAGGGGUAGAAUCAACGUAGUUGUUCGAUGUUCCAUGCGUUGGUGAAGACCGCCCCCUUCUCGUCCGCUAACUUGUACGUUCCUGGCUUCAAGACCUCGGCCACUACGUACGGGCCUUCCCAUGGUGGGGUCAGCUUGUGGCGUCCUUGAUUGCUCUGCCGUUGUCGUAGGACAAGGUCACCCACGUUUAAGUCCCUCUUUCGUACGUGUUUGUCAUGGUAGCGUCGAAGCUUCUGCUGGUAUCUGGCAGAGUUAAGGAGGGACAUGUCUCGAGCCUCCUCAAGCAGGUCGACAGCACUCUCUUGAGCUUCCUUAUUUGACUGCUUGUUGUAUGCCUUGAGUCGAGGAGAUCCAUACUCGAGGUCCGUUGGGAGCACGGCCUCAGAGCCAUAGACCAUGAAGAACAGGGUGUAUUUGGUGGCCCGGCUUGGCGUCGUCCUCAGACUCCAUAAGACCGAGGAAAGUUCCUUGACCCACUUCUUGCCGAAUUUCUUCAGGCGAUUGUAGAUCCUUGGUUUGAGCCCUUGCAAGAUCAUGUCGUUGGCACGCUCGACCUGGCCGUUAGUUCGAGGGUGAGCCACCGCAGACCAGUUCACACGGAUGUGAUGCUGAUCGCAGAAGUCCAAGAACUUUUUGCCAGUGAACUAGGUGCUGUUGUCGGUGAUGAUCACGUUAGGGAUUCCGAAUCGGUGUAUGAUGUCGGUGAAGAAGAGGACGGCUUGUUCGGAGCGGAUAUUGGUGAUGGGUCGAGCCUCGAUCCAUUUGGAGAAUUUGUCAACGGCCACGAGUAAGUGGGUGUAACCCCCUUUUGCCUUUUGUAGAGGUCCUACUAAAUCGAGUCCCCAUACCGCAAAUGGCCAGGUGAUGGGGAUCAUCUGAAGAGCGUGGGCGGGCAGAUGCGUCUGUUUGGCGUAGAACUGGCACCCAUGACAUGAAUGUACAAGCUCGAUGGCAUCUGUCACGGCCGUUGGCCAGUAGAAACCUUGUCGAAAGGCGUUCCCUAUGAGGGUCCGUGGAGCUGCAUGGUGGCCGCAAGCCCCCGAGUGUAUGUCCUCGAGGAGUUUUCGGCCUUCUUCUAUGGUGAUGCAACGCUGCAGGACCCCCGUCGGGCUUCGUCGGUAUAGCUCAUUGCCUUCGCCAUAAAUCACAUAUGACUUGGCCCGUCGAGCGAUACGGCGGGCCUCAGAUCGAUCUUCUGGCAGCUCGCAGCGGAUUAGGCAGUUGAGGAACGGUGUACGCCAGUCGAACGGUCGACCGGGUCGCUGCUCUACCUCCAUCACCUCUGCUGCCAUCAGUAGUGCAUCGACGGUGUCGGUUGGCUGGGCGGGAGCGGCAUCGACGCCAGCCCCCGAGCCCAAGUCGACGGAUGGCUCGUGAAGAUCUCUUGAGAACGCAUCAGGUGGCACCGUGCCUUGAGUCGAUGCGAUCUUGGCGAGCUCGUCGGCUGCCUCGUUGUAGCGUCGGGCGACAUGGACGAGCUCGAGACCAUGGAACUUGUCCUUGAGUCGACGAACUUCUUUGCAGUACGCCUCCAUUUUUGGGUCGUGGCAGCUCGAAGUCUUCAUCACCUGGUCGAUGACGAGUUGGGAGUCGCCUCGGACGUCGAGGCGUCGGACUCCUAGCUCGAUGGCAAUCUUGAGACCGUUGACGAGGGCCUCAUAUUCCGCGACGUUAUUAGAUGCGGCAAAAUGAAUCCUGAUAACAUACCUCAUAUGGGCGCCCAAGGGUGAGAUGAACAGCAGGCCGACCCCGGCCCCUAUUUUCAUGAGUGACCCAUCAAAAUACAUCGUCCACAGCUCCGCCUGGACCUGAGUCGGGGGAAGCUGGGAGUCUGUCCAUUCCGCGAUGAAGUCUACCAGGGCCUGCGACUUGGUAGCCUUGCGAAGCGCAUAAGUGAGCGUCUCACUCAUGAGCUCGACCGACCAUUUAGCUAUUCUUCCCGUGGCCUCCUUGCUCUGGAUUAUUUCGCCUAAAGGGAAGGACGAGACCACCGUGAUGGGGUGGUCGAAGAAUGUAGUGUUGCAGCUUACGGCGGGCAAGGAUUACGGCGUAGAUCAGCUUCUGGAUUUGGGGGUAACGUGCCUUGGUCUCCGAAAGCACUUCGCUGACGAAAUAGACUGGCCUCUGGACUGGUAGCGCAUGUCCCUCCUCCUGCCUUUCGACCACCACUGCUACGCUGACGACUUGGGUCGUCGACGCAACGUAGAGGAGCAGCGGUUCUGCAGGUUGAGGUGGGACCAGGACUGGUGCUGAGGUCAGCGUCUUCUUCAGCUUUUCGAGCGCUUCCUCGGCCUCGGGGGUCCAAGAAAAGCGCUCGGCCUUCUUCAGAAGUCGAUACAACGGCAACGCCUUUUCUCCUAGUCUUGAGAUGAAACGGCUCAGAGCCGCCAGGCAUCCCGUGACUCUUUGCACACCCUUGAUGUCCCGGAUCGGCCCCAUUCUUGUGAUGGCCGAGACUUUCUCGGGGUUGGCCUCGAUGCCGCGCUGCGAAACAAUGUAGCCCAAGAGCAUGGCUCGAGGCACGCCGAAAACGCAUUUCUCGGGAUUGAGCUUGAUUUGGUUGGCGCGUAAACAGCUAAAAGCGAUCUCGAGGUCCUGGAUCAGGUCCCCUCGCCGUUUUGACUUGACGACAAUGUCGUCGACAUAGGCCUCGACUGUCGACCCUAUGUGUCCACCAAAUACGUGGAGCAUGCAGUGUUGGUAUGUAGCUCCCGCGUUUCGAAGCCCAAAUGGCAUGGUUACAUAGCAAUACAUCCCAAAAGGUGUGAUGAAAGAGGUCGCGAGCUGGUCGGACUCUUUCAUUUUUAUUUGAUGGUAACCGGAAUACGCAUCAAGGAAAGAAAGGGUUUCACAUCCCGCAGUAGAAUCGACGAUCUGAUCAAUACGUGGUAAUGGAAAAGGAACUUUUGGACAUGCUUUAUUUAGACUUGUAUAAUCGACACACAUCCUCAUUUUCCCAUUCUUUUUCUUAACUAAUACAGGGUUUGCUAACCAGUCGGGAUGAUGAACCUCCUUGAUGAAUCCGGCCGUCAAAAGCUUGUGGAUUUCCUCGCCAAUGAUCUUGCACUUCUCCUCGUCGAAUCGGCGCAACGGCUGCUUCACUGGCUUGGAACCGGCUCGAAUAUCCAAGGAGUGCUCGGCGACUUCCCUCGGUAUGCCUGGCAGGUCUUGCUCAAGGAUUUGCUCAAGCAGGACGAGGCGCUCACAGUCUUCGUCGAGCUUCAUCUUGAGCUCUCGUAGCUGUGCAAGCUGCGUAGCUUUGUCUUCCUGUGGUGGGGGGUCGACCCGCCCGUCGUUCCCAGGCGUCCUGGGGUCUUCCCGUGCUGCAGGGGCUCGACCGCCCGCUGUAGCAUCCUGCGUCUCGUCGGUAGUUUCUACUGCCCCGUCGACGUGAUAGCAUUCCCUCGUUGGGUCGUAGCUAUCAGUCUCGGAGUCGGAGUCCGGCUCGGCGGCGUAGAAGCAUCCACGUCCCUCCUCCAGCAGCCGUUGCCUGAGUGAGGUGAUCGUGUAUCGCCCGGGGCCUAGGCGGCGGAGGCCUCGCACCUGGGAGAAAUCCGGCAGUUUGGACGUCGGUCGUAGUGUCUCAGGGUCACGUGGGAGGACCAUUGGUAUCUCCACGUACGUCUGAGCAUUUGGGCAUAUUGCUCUGGCGAGCGACGCCGCGGCGUUGUCCAAUCCGAAUGGCAGUGCCCUUCUUGGAGUGAACAACCCGUGUGGAAGUAGCUCAGUAGCGGUGGGGGAGGGCGCGUGAGACGCGUUGCCUCCCGUCGUCGCGUGAUGUUGAGCCGUCGUGCCCGCGGUUCUGGCACAUGGUGUUGCCGGCUCGCAGCCCACCUCCUGCCUCGCACGAGUUGCCGGUCGUGAUGAGGCAGAGGGGCGGCGGUGGUGCUGUCCGCGCCUCUUCUUGGGUGGGGAGGCGUGGUGGCGAGGGCGUCUUGGGGCCCUCAACCGAGCUGGUGCCACGCGGGCUCCUCCCGGUCCUUUGACUGAGAGCAAGAUCAUGCCGUAGCCGGAGCCCGUAGACAUGAACUCGAGACUCCCAAACCAAAUCACCGUGGAGCGCGGAAUCGGUGAGGCAAGAGCUGCCAUCUGGAAAGGAGAGGGAAACCGAUGAAAAAACACACAGGACCCCUACCUGGCGCGCCAACUGUCGGUGUUUUCCCCAUGGGGGGUCACACCAACGAGUAAAUUUGUAUGCGUGCUCCCUUUCCCAGAUGGUGAUGCGAGAUGACACAGAGGUUUAUCCUGGUUCGGGCAAGAGAAAGCCCUACGUCCAGCGGGGGAGGAGAGUUUGUAUUAUCUCGCACCUAAGUGCUUGUACAGGGGUGAAUACAAGUGUUGACGGUCCUUAAUGCUCAUAUUUAACCAUCAAUUAAUCAUAGAAAAGGAUCCAAAUGCAACCAACACCUAGACUUAGGGUUUUAUCUGACAGAAUUCCACAAGUUUUGGUGUUUGUCUAUUUCUGCAGGGGGUUAUCAGGAAAUUUGAAAGAAAGGCCCACACGUCGGGUUUACAUAGAGAUAUUAACGCGCCGCGCAAUUUUCUAUCAUCUAGAAGACUCCAGAAGCCACGGGACCGAAGCGGAAGCCGAGAGGCCUCAGGGACAGGGCGCCCGCCCUAGUCCUGAGGGCGCCCGCCCACCUCUUUCCACCAAUCAGGGUGAAGUUCGAGGAUCAUGCUCCACCGACCUAAUACUUCAAGGAAAACCACACGAUCAAUGUCGGUUUGAUCCGACGACCCAGAUUCACUUGAAGGGACUAUAAAACCAGACCCCCCUGGCCCCUGGAGAUCAUACCUCUUCUACAGAAUCAAAGUUAGGGUUUCAAUUCUUCAUCCAAGUAGAGAGGAUCCCUCUAGUUCUUCUAGUUCUACCUCUAGUUCAUCUAGAUCUAGUUCUAGUUCAUAUAGUUCUAGUUCUAGUUCUUCUAGUUCUAGUUCUAGUUAGUUCUAGUUGUAAUCUAGAAAAUAGGGAGAGAGAAGAGGAGAGCGGAGGAGGAGCCGGAUCUGUCGGAUCUUCCUUAACAUUAUACUUUUGCAGCAUCUGGUUCGUUCUUCAUCGUUCUCCAGGUUCUUCAAUUCAUAAUUCCUGAGUUCUUUAAUUACUUUUAUUUACAUUCAAGUUAUUUAUUGGAUUCCUGCUUGCAUCAAGUGCUCUAGUCUUUAUAACGCUAGAGUAGUAAUUAAUAGAUUACACGUGGUGUUUAGUCUUGCAAUUACCUGGAAUUGCACCCAAUCCUACGGAUUGUUGUGGUAGCCUUAGGGUAGUGACAGCCCUAACGGUCGACGUAUUCCACCACGUUCGGAUCGGUGUUUGUAGGACCGUAGUCGGAGCUUCCUAGCCCCCUUCUCAUCUCUUUCUGUGGUUAGUGUUCUGAUGUCCCGAAAUAGAUAAUCUUGAAGUAAUUCUUGAUUCUUAGAUCAAUUAGAGAACUCUCAGGAAACUUCCUCUCUUCCCACCAAAAAUAAUUAUAUAGUUAUCCUUGGGCGAUCUUGGAUCGUAAUUAGUACACUCACGUUCCCUGUGGAAAAUCGAUACUCUGGAAUACUCCCGGGUGAAGGCUACAUCGGUAUCCGUGCGCUUGCGGAUUUUUCUGUUUGCGUUUAAAAUACCCAACAAGCUUUCUGGCGUCGUUGCCGGGGAACGGUAGCUGUGCUAGUUUCGAACCAAGUCGUCCGUGUAUCCUUUUUCUUUUCCUUUUAUACCACACUCACCUUACCAUUUUCACCACACCACAUGGAUUUCACUCUAAGCAUUAAUGAGCAUGGAAUUUAUUUCAUAGCCACUUCACUUACUCCAUGCUCAUAUGCAACAUCUUCACAAUCCAUUGGUCUCUCCAAUAUCACCACAUUCAAGAUCUCCAACCCCCUCUUCCUUUCUAUUUAUAAAAACUUUAAAAGGGUGGUUGUCGAUGCAUAUGUCUAUAAUAUAUAUUGCAGAUCUCGUUGAGUUGAUCUUGAUAUAGGUCAGCGUUGGAGCGGAAACCACUUCGCAGACAUAAAUUAAUGGUUUCCCAAGGACAAGCUUAGUGUCCUAAAAUAAGCACUGAUCAGAUCGUAACAUGAGCUUUUAAUUAUUUGCAAUAUUACCUUGUGUGUUAAGCAUAUAAGGAUAAUUGUAAAAACAUUCCUUCGGGUAUUCUUGUCACUAACCUUUCUAGGAUUGGAGCAAGAAGAUCGAAUGAAUGACAAGCACAAGGUAUGUCCAACCAAUCAUCAUACAACAUUGAAUUAAAUUCAUCCAAACUUGAAUUUUGCAAAAUUCAAGCUUGGGGGAGUACUUUACAUAAAAACAUCCUUUGCCAUGUUGCUAUGUUGGUUGUCCCUACCUUUGAGACAUGCUCAAUUUGUUAAAUACUAGUCACACUACUUCAUCUCCACUUGAGUAGAUCUCUAUAAAUGCUUUCAUGCUACCUUUAUUUGCUUUAGUAUAUGUCUAGGUUUGGAGUAGUUUCAUUUAUCUCUUAAUUAAGCAAGGUGCUUAGUUUAGGAAAGAUGAUCUUACUUCCAAAGGAUUUUAAAUUAAGCAUGAUGCUUAGGUUAAAAUUCCCUCCUAAAUCAAAUUAGACAUGGUGUCUAGGUUGAUCUUUGAGCCGAUAGUAUGCUAUAGUAGAUAUUGGAUAUUUUGUUGGACUAACCCCUACAGGAAAACUUUCAAUAUCGACCUGGGAAGUCCUGAGAUAAACUCACAUUGGAGAUAAAGAGAGAGACACAUGAAGUUUAACAAUUUACACAAGGAAGGCACAAGAGAUGAUCGAUGGAGGGUGCCACAAACACGAUGCACAACCGCUAAGAGAGGAAAGCUUCCACAAGGUGAUAUUGUACCAUCACUCUUCAAGUAAGGUAACAUUUUAAGGUACUUGACUAUCACUUCUAUAAGCUUCUCCUUUGUUCUAGUGUUCACAUGAAUAAAAGAGACAAACAUGUAUGAUUUACAACUCUAGAUUAACCAACACAAUUGAUUCAAUAUGUUUAGUCCUUCCACCUUUGUGAUUCCACACUCCUAAUCAUAUUAGCUAAAAUGUUGCACACUCAAUCUUUGAAAGAUAUAAACAAAACAUAAAUAUAGAUAGAUUAUCUUUCCAUAAGGUUGAGCAAUCUGAUCUAACAAAUGUUUUAAAUGUUACACUCAUGGUCUUAUUAUCCAUCAACUUUGUCUUUCUCACUAUGCUUAAGGUUAGAGAGAACAAAUACACUUUUGGUUCUGUUGGUGUUUUCCACCAACAGGGCCCAUGCACUUGAUCUCUGCCUUGUCUCUAUGAGCAGGUACACUUUGAGCAAAAUAUGAAGGACUUUUAUAACUCCUAGACUCCACCAAGUGAAGAACCUAGAUCUACGAGCACAAACACACUGGAGAUACUAGACACUCAGGCAAUCACUGCCCUGAGAUGCUUGAGGAUGUAACUACUGGAGUAACCCUGUUGUGGAAGUAAUUACUGACCUUCUGCCGGUUAAGAGAUACAAUCCAGGACAUCCCGUCAUCCCGAUCUCCAUCGGCAUGGUGGACUUCCCAGAAGCACUCUGCGACUUUGGCUCUAGCGUCAACAUUAUGCCCAGGGUACUCUAAGAAAAAUUCUUUACACAUCCUUUAUCAGAAACAACCAUGGGUUUGCAGCUUGCAGACCGUACACUAAGUUUCCCAAAAGGAAUAUUGAAGAACCUCUGUAUACGAGUUGGUACCUUGUACGCCCCAGCAGACUUCAUGGUGAUAGAGACUGGUACUAAUGAGAGGGCACCCAUCCUAGGGAGGCCAUUCCUGAACACCUCAGGAGCUGUCAUCUACGCUAGUGCUGCCAAGAUCAGUUUCUACAUCAAGGGGAGGAAGGAGACGUUUUCCUUCAAGAACAAGACUACACAAAUCUUAGAGCAAUCCUGACAUGAAACAAGGAAAGGACCAACAGGAGGAACAAGAACAAGCAAAUGUGGACCGAGUCAGCUAAGAUGGUCACUGUAGUUCAAGGAGGUCAAGAUCAUCGACUUAAGUCACCAUUCCUGACCAAAAAGGAUGACCCAGCUCCUGCAUGGAGCCAUGCAUCUACAACCAAAAUACAUUCAGCUCCAGAUGAUUUGAAGGUUAUUAUCAUGGGAGAAGACGAGUACAAUCCACCCAUCAUCCUUGGAAGACCGUUCCUCAACACCGUUAAAGCAAUCAUCUACAUUGGAACCGGAGAAGUCCACAUGCACUUCCCCUCUGAGAAGGUACGCCACUAUUUUACUGACCCUAACCAUAUAGUUGAAGACUCUAAGCAGGUCAGGACAAGAAGAAGACGACGCAACCGCAAUCAGAGAAGGCAAAUCAUCAAGGACGGAUGGGUAGACUAUGAAGGAGAAGUUGUAAGGUCUGAAGACAUACAACUUGAAUAGAACUGUCCUGAGGAGACCGUAGCACCGAGUCAGGUGUGGAGAGAGAAGAUAGUUAUACAUGAAGACCAGGCGCUGCCGGAACCACCGACUACGCCAUCUAGCGAAUCCCAGGACGAAUGAGAAAACGGAGAGUCCCGUUCGGAGGAUUUAAAAACACCGAACGCCUUGCCAAGAGGUAAACUUAGUAGUUAUCUUUUCCUUUCAAUUAUUUUAAAAUAGUUUACUUAGUUAGUCAGGUUUAUAUCAUCUUGAAAAGAAAAUAAAAAUGUUAAAAAUAGUAAGCCCCAUGUGAGUAUGCUCAUGGCAUAAAACCCAUAAGUACAUUCACUGUGGUGGCAUAAAAAUAAAAUAAAUAUAUUCCUGUCCUAUAAAAAUGAAAAUAUAAAAAUAAAUUUAUGAUCCUACUAAAGAGAGUAACAUUUAUUGAGGAGGCUCAACAUGAUAAAGGCUAGGUAUUUACGCUAACCCUUAACCAGUUCCACAAAGCUUUGUUGUCUAUUUGAGCUCCACAGAAUUCAAGGAUCAAAGAAGACUACCAGACGGAGGACAUCCUACUCACUGUCAAGGUGCUGCCGACAUUCAAAUACACCUCCGCCACUUGCUAGCUACAUCAGAAGAAAUUAUGUCAAAAUCCAGCUUGGGGAAGAGCACCCUCAUUUAUCCAGCUAAGUAUUCUACUCACGUUUAUACUUUACUCUAAUAAUAAAAAGAUGCAUAAUCAUAAAAACCCAAAUAAAGAUUUUGUGCUUAUAUAUAUAUAUCUUUGCUUAGCUUGCUAAAUAAAUAAAUAAAUAAAGUUUGCUAUGAACCCUCAUGAUAAGCUCUCACAUGGAAAGAUGAAUAGUUGCUCUGCCAUGACUAGUUCUCAAAAUUGAAAUCUCUCUCAAGUUUAGGCAUCACUGUUAUUAAUUAAGAUUUGCUCUAAACCUAAACUUGUGGGAAGAGUACUUGAUCUAAAGUCUAAGUCGUUAACGGAUAUGAUAUGGGAAGGUUGAGCUGCUGUUUAUCUAUUCCUAGAGAUGCUAGAAUUUUGGAGAAUUUUAUCUUUGAAAAUCUUUAAAAUGUUGCAUGAUGAGUUCCUGUAUAAUGAGAGUUUAAAUUCCUACCAUAGCCAUAUAUACAUCCUUGCUAGACUUUGAGCCACACAUUUACUUUUUACUGCUUAUGAGCAUUGAGUGUGGUCAAGCUGUGUAGACCCUUAGGAGCUUGUCAUGUGGUUAAAAUCAAGAUUCACUUGCACGUUCACUCACACAUGCUACUUCUACUCCAGAAGUACCAUCCACAUAUAUCCAUCCAUUUCCAUCUCCAGAACCACCCAAAAAUAUUCUACUCCUAAUCCGGGAGAGAAUAGCCAAAAACAUUCUCCUAUUUCUGUUUUUCCCUGUGAAAAAAAAAUGCUCAAGUUAUCUUGGUUACUACCACUUGCUACAUUAUUUCAAGAGAUGAGUGCUCUAAAAAAAACAAAAAAAAAAGAGAAAAAAAAGAUACGAGGAAAUAAAAAGGGGCAAGUGCCCGGAACCUCGAAAGAAAAGAAAAAGUGAGACGAGAGGUAAAAAUGGACAAGUGUCCGACAGUAGAAUUAGGGGUACAAGAUACCCACUUGAGAGAAAAGAAAAAAAAAAUAUAGAGCAUCUCAUUCUCUUCAAAAAGUUUCAAAAGUGCAAGAAAGGUAUGUAUCCCCUCAAAAGAGCAUAAGUAGAAUUAGACUUUCACCAUUGUUAUCACCAUCAUCACCGUACACCAUUCAUUCGCCACACAUGCACAUCUUGAUUUGACUUAUUGACUUGUUCUUUUGGAUCCAUGGUUUGACUAUGCAAUAAAUGUCUUGUAAGUAUGUAUUAGCUGUCUCCCACCUAUGAGCUCCAGAUAUCAAAAGCCUUAUUAGAGUAGGGUGAGAGAGAAGGCAAUGUCACUAUGCCUUAUACCACAAAUACCACAUACUUUGAGAGAAGGCAUAUACCAUUACUACCUUGGUAAGGAUCCAGAAAUACCACAAAAGAGAGACUAGAGAGAGUCAUACAAGGAAUCUCUGAGUUUUAUUUGAAUAUCUGCAAAAACUCCAGAGCUAUAGUUAAUCGAAGAACAAGAGACAUGGUGUUUGACUAGACUGUUCUAUCUUUUAACUACUCAAGACAGAAGUGACGGUUACAAGUCCCAUGGUGAAAGGCAAAUGAGUAAGUUUUAAGUCUUAACAGUUUACUCUAACCAGAGAUGAGAUCUUGUUUAAACGCAUGUGUAUCUUUAAGUUAUGAAACCACUGCAGAAACUCUUGAGUUCAUCUUUGCUCAGGGACGAGCAAAGGUUAAGCUUGGGGGAGCUUGUUGACGGUCCUUAAUGCUCAUAUUUAACCAUCAAUUAAUCAUAGAAAAGGAUCCAAAUGCAACCAACACCUAGACUUAGGGUUUUAUCUGACAGAAUUCCACAAGUUUUGGUGUUUGUCUAUUUCUGCAGGGGGUUAUCAGGAAAUAUGAAAGAAAGGCCCACACGUCGGGUUUACAUAGAGAUAUUAACGUGCCGCACAAUUUUCUAUCAUCUAGAAGACUCCAGAAGCCACGGGACCGAAGCGGAAGCCGAGAGGCCUCAGGGACAGGGCGCCCGCCCUAGUCCUGAGGGCGCCCGCCCACCUCUUUCCACCAAUCAGGGUGAAGUUCGAGGAUCAUGCUCCACCGACCUAAUACUUCAAGGAAAACCACACGAUCAAUGUCGGUUUGAUCCGACGGCCCAGAUUCACUUGAAGGGACUAUAAAACCAGACCCCCUGGCCCCUGGAGAUCAUACCUCUUCUACAGAAUCAAAGUUAGGGUUUCAAUUCUUCAUCCAAGUAGAGAGGAUCCCUCUAGUUCUUCUAGUUCUACCUCUAGUUCAUCUAGAUCUAGUUCUAGUUCAUAUAGUUCUAGUUCUAGUUCUUCUAGUUCUAGUUCUAGUUAGUUCUAGUUGUAAUCUAGAAAAUAGGGAGAGAGAAGAGGAGAGCGGAGGAGGAGCCGGAUCUGUCGGAUCUUCCUUAACAUUAUACUUUUGCAGCAUCUGGUUCGUUCUUCAUCGUUCUCCAGGUUCUUCAAUUCAUAAUUCCUGAGUUCUUUAAUUACUUUUAUUUACAUUCAAGUUAUUUAUUGGAUUCCUGCUUGCAUCAAGUGCUCUAGUCUUUAUAACGCUAGAGUAGUAAUUAAUAGAUUAGACGUGGUGUUUAGUCUUGCAAUUACCUGGAAUUGCACCCAAUCCUGCGGAUUGUUGUGGUAGCCUUAGGGUAGUGACAGCCCUAACGGUCGACGUAUUCCACCACGUUCGGAUCGGUGUUUGUAGGACCGUAGUCGGAGCUUCCUAGCCCCCUUCUCAUCUCUUUCUGUGGUUAGUGUUCUGAUGUCCCGAAAUAGAUAAUCUUGAAGUAAUUCUUGAUUCUUAGAUCAAUUAGAGAACUCUCAGGAAACUUCCUCUCUUCCCACCAAAAAUAAUUAUAUAGUUAUCCUUGGGCGAUCUUGGAUCGUAAUUAGUACACUCACGUUCCCUGUGGAAAAUCGAUACUCUGGAAUACUCCCGGGUGAAGGCUACAUCGGUAUCCGUGCGCUUGCGGAUUUUUCUGUUUGCGUUUAAAAUACCCAACAACAAGUGCGGUAUGAAGUGUGUGAGCUCUACUGCGUAUGAUCAUGGUGUUGUGCAUUCUAUUCCUGAGUCCCUCCUUUUAUAGCUCCAAGGAGAGACCCAGGGUACAUGUAUAGGCGCCAGAAUAAGAAUCGAUAGCAGCAUGGGGCGCUGACCUACUCGAGGCUUCCGUACCGGCAUGGCCUCGAGCCGUCCCGUCUUGAUAGCCUGGUGAUGAUUACGCAUGCCCCUGCAUUCUGCUAUGCGCGCCGUCUUGUGUUGGCUCAACGGUCGCACGCUUGUACGGUAUGGCGGCAGAUCCGGCGGGGUGGUUGUGGUGUUAUCUGUCGACGCCCAAUUCGUCCCCAGGAUGGAACCCCGUUCGGUCGAGGGCCGGACGCGGUGUAAUGUGCCGAUGUCUGGAGCGCUGACCUUGGAUGUCUCGAGGGGGUCCCGAUUAGACGUUCCAUCCUUGUUUCCUGCGUCCUGACACGCCCUGGGUCGUUUGGUGGGAAAGCUGCAAACAGAACGAUGGGACAGAUGCCUUUCCCUAUCACGCCUCCCGUGACCUGUGUGUUAGGUGGGGAAGCGUCAGGCGCAUUUAAUGUCCCGGCUCUCGUGCGCGCGUCAGGCGGCGGACAGUGUCCUUGCGCUCGACGCCUUCUGAUUCGCUCGAGCCUAUUUCCGUAUUCGAUGGUAGUCAGCACUCAACCCCCAAGUGGUUCGCUCGACGUUAUUUCCGUCUUCGAGGCUGCAGCCGUCGAUUGCUGCGCACAUGUGUGACCAGAACGUCGAGUUGAGGGCCUCGACUUGCGUAUGGAUAAUCUUGCUAGGUGCAUCGGUGAGGGUACCCCUUACUGAUACCCUCGACACCAACACUGUCGAAUAAACUUAGCUUCGAUGAGUUUGGUUAUUUCAACCUUAAUAUCAGGAAGAAUAUUAGAGUUACAUCGACGCGCUGGUUGCUAAUAUGGCUGAAAUCGAGACUAAAUAGGCAACUGAUGCUCGACAAUCGAUCGGUCUAAUCUAGGCAUCUCGGUAUAAUCCCAAGCAAAGCAAUCUUUAUAUUCCUUCAAUAAAUCGAUUAAUUGCCGUUUACAUUCAGAAUCUAGCUUAGCACUAAUAAAAGUAGGUCUUGGUCUAUCACCACUUCCUAUAUCUACUUCUAUUAAAUCAUCAGUCGAUGUAAAUCCCUGUCCUAACUUUCCAUCAUCGGCGAACCUAUCCAUUAAAACUCUUCAUCAGAACCGACUGCUUGGAUCGGUGGAAUCUCAUAAUCGGCAACUUUGAGGAAAUCUUUCUCCUAAGCUUCUCCCGAUAUACAUCUAGUUCACUCAUAAGUAUCUGAUUCUGCAGAUGCAAUGUUAUAGGAAGAAUCUCCAAGAACAACUUCAAUUUUGUCGCCUACCCAUUGAACAAGGCAUUGAUGCAUUAUAGAAGGAAUGCAACAGUUGGCAUGAAUCCAAUCUCUCCCCAAUAGCAAAUUGUACGCACCUUUUCCAUUGAUGACAAAGAAAGUCGUCGGCAUGGUCUUGUUGCCGAUAGUCAAUUCAACGCACACAACCCCUUUAGCUGGAGACACAUUACCUUCAAAAUCUUUCAACAUCAUAUCGGUCUUGGUUAAAUCCUGAUCUCCUUUACCAAGCUUAUGAUACAUCACAUAAGGCAUAAUGCUCCAUCAAUAAGUAUUUUCAAAACUGGCUGCCCAUCAACUCUGGUUUUAACAAACAAAGCUUUAAGAUGUUGCCUUUCAUCAUCAGAAGAUUUCUCAAAAAUAGCUGUCAUUGGAUCAAGUGUCAGCUGAGCUAUUUGAUCAGGGAGACUAAUUUCUUCUUCAUCACUAUAGGGUGCAAGAAACUUCAUCGACAACAUGAACACCAUGUUGACAUCUGCCGAUGGUCCUUUCCCUUUGCGGUCUAACUGCUGCCGAUCUUCAGAUUUAGAAGAAUUUAACUCUCUGUAUAAAUCUUCCUGACGCUCCCGCUGCAUCCUCCUCCGCUGCGUCCUUGUCAAUCCAUCUAGACACCAUCGGGGAAGCUUUGUCCUCCAAACUGGCUGAUAACGAAUUUCCUUUGAUUCCACACAAUGAAUGUUUGAAUCUCUACAAAAUAUGAAUUCAUCGGGAACUCGUGCAUUUGCUAUUUCUUCAAGUUCUUCCUGAUUCCUUAGGAAAUGACCAACACGUUCACCAAGACUGUCAUGCACACUAAGCCUGCCCCCUAGCCGAUCGUGAACUGAUGUUCUCCCCCUGAUUGGCUCUGAAACGUCGAUCAUUGUUUUGGAAUCUCCGAUCUGACCGAUCGUACCGAUGAUAACCAUUGCACUCAGGACAGUCUCGAACAGUCGGCAAUUUGAUAUUUUGUUCCCAGCAAUGACAGUCUUCUCGUUGCUUCUCUUCUUGUUGAUGCCGAUACCGAUUCCAAUGAUCUUUAUACCGAUUCCAUUCUUCUCGUUGCUUCUCUUCUUGUUGAUGCCGAUACCGAUCCUCACACUGCUGCCAUGUUUCUCGAUGCCGCCUAUGAGUAAUUACAACAUCAAAGCAGGGAGAGCAUCCAGAGCUCCUAUCCUCCCUUACCAAACCUUUUCCUUUGGCAUCAUUAGUAGUUACUUGAUGCUAGGGAUCCACCGAUGCGUUCUUCUCAGCCGUCUCCGAUGUUAAGACUUUGGUCUUACCUUUGGCAUCUAACAUGUUUGUAGGGAAAGGAUGCUGAUCAAUCUUCAUCAGCUUCUAAGUUUUGGAACUAUCAAACUUGAUUCUUCUAGAUUCUAUAGCUGAUUGCAAUUGCUGCCUAAAUACUUUGCAUUCAUUGGUGCUAUGUGAGGUUGCAUUGCGCCAUUUGCAAUACAUGAUUUUCUUUAGCUCCUCUACCGAUGGAAUUACAUGAUUAGGUGACAAUUUAAUCUGUCCUUCUUGAAGCAAGAAAUCAAAUAUCCUAUCGGCUUUGGUGAUAUCGAAAGAAAUCUUUUCUGGUUCUUUCUGGCCAAAAGGACAAGACAUCGGCUUUUUGUUUUUUACCCACUCUACCAAGGCGAUGACUGGUUCUUCAUCAGAAUCAGAACUCCCUGCCUCAUCAACAAAUGAUUCUUUCUUAUUCUAAGCCUUUCUCGGUUCAAAAGACUUAAUAUCUUGAUCAGAAAUCCUUUGCACCGAAUGACUUAAACUUUCAAACUCUUGAGAAGCAUAUUUAUCUUUGAUGUGUGGCAACAAUCCCUGAAAAGCCAAAUCAGCUAACUGCCGAUCAUCCAGAACCAGACUAUAACAUUUGUUCUUUACAUCUCGCAGCCUCUGCACAAAGCUUUCCACCGAUUCAUCAUUACGUUGUCUCAAUCUUACUAAAUCGGUAAGCUUCUUCUCAUGAACUCCAUAAAAGAAGUAUUUAUGAAACUGCUUCUCUAGAUCGGCCAAAGUAAUGACUGAGUUUGGAGGCAAUGAAAUAAACCAGGUAAAAGCCGAUCCUGACAAAGAAGAUGAAAAUAAACAAACUCUCAAUUCAUCUCAGUUAGUAGUUUCUCCACAUUGAAUGAUAAACUGUUUGACGUGUUCCAUGGUCGAUGUAUCAUCUUGUCCAGAGAACUUAGUAAAAUCUAGCACCUUGUACCGAUUUGGGAGUGGAAUUAAAUCAUAGGCAGGAGGAUACGGUGUCCGAUAAGAAUAAGUGUUAACCUUGGGUUUUAUCCCAAACUGAUCCCUCAUAAACUCUGCUAUCUUAUCGUCCCAAUAGGCAUCGGCAUCUUGCCGAUGUACGGGUUGAGCUUCUGGCACUUGCUGAUAGGCUUCAAUGUGUCACUGGGGUACACGGUCUACAGGAAACAUCACAUUAGCCAUAGCUUGCUGCCCACCGAUCUGUUGAGCAAGAUUCAUUGGCUGAUUUGCCGGCAUCUGAUUCUGAAAACCAACCAGCAUUUGACCUUGUUGGAAUCCUCCAGCCUGAUGAUUCUGCUGUGUUGCAUGCGGGAAGAUUAACUGUCCUAUCCAACCACUGUUAGUGUUCAUUGGCCCAAAAUUUGCCGAUGGCUGGUAAUUGGUUGUCAUUGCUAGAUUAACAUAACCUGCCUGAGACAUCAACCUUUACUGUGUCAGCAAUGGAUUUGCCGAUGAAUUUGCAUUAGGCGUCUGGAAUGUGGGCGCCUAAAAAUUCCCCGUAACUAGCCUCGCAGUGGUUGUUGUAGAAUACUGAGGAAUUUGAGUCAUCGGCGAGACUGGAGGCACCGAUGUUAUGGGAGCUUUCCGUGCUAAGUGAGUUGCCUGAGAGGUUCCAGAACUAUUUGCAAAAAACUCUGGAGGCAUACCAUAUCCCCACCAGUUGGGAGGAACCUAGCAAUUCUGAAAUACAGACCCUGACAUUGCCGAUGCCGAUAGAUCUGUGUUGAGCUGAACCCGUCCCCCUGAGGUCAUUGGAUCAGAUCUCAUCGGUGUAGAUUGCUCAUUAGUUAAUCCCAAUGUGCUCGGAGGAGAAGUAGCUUUUGUACCCACAACGGCUAGAGGAGCCGAUGGAGCUGCGACCGAUGACAAUCCUAGGUGAUGAUUGGCCGGGCCAGCAUAAAGUGGUGGUGUCUGUCCUUCUUUAAAAGUUCGAACCACAACAAUGUAAACAGUAUUGGACAACACAUUGGAGUGAUUAAUCAAAGCAUGAUUAAUAGCAGUUGUUGGGCAUUCUUAACGUCAUUACCAAAAGUAGACUUAGUUUUCUAAUUAUGAUAACGGCGCCAAAAAUGCCGAACCUAUCCCUCAUGCCACUUAAGCCAAUUUGUCAUCCCUAGCAUGACAUGAGAGACGCGGUAUUGAAAUAUGCAAUUGCUCUUCUGAAUGAAUAAUAAAUGAGAUCUGCAAGCGCACAGAUUAAUACCGUAUGUAGCAUUUUAACUGGGAAGUAUUCUAGGUAUCGUUAUUUAUAUUUUUACCACUGGGAAGGGAUCGCUAAUCAUCAAUGUUGAUUAUGGAAUGGAAUAUAGAAUUGAGUAUAUAUCAUUGUAUUUGUAAUAGAGAGCAUUAUCUAUCUCUUUCAUACAGGGAUAAAUGUCACAUAAAAUAUAGAUAAAGUAUGAAUGGUGACAAAGAUAAUUAAUCUGAUCAGCAUAACUAGCGACAUAUAAUAAUGAUAAGCACCUCAAUAGAUAUUCUAGCAAGUCAUUAGCAUGGAAUUAGGAUGAACUACAAGAAUAUUUCCUAAGUUAUUCUUAACUAUAAAGUCUAGCAUAUCAUAGUUAGUGCAAUUAUACUUGGCAAUCAUUGCGAGACAGGACUACGCCCAUGCAUAGUGAUAUUAUCAAGGAAAAUGAGAAACAUAGCAAUCACUCCCCUAUAAUAAUGUUGUUCUGCCUGCCCUAUACAUGAGAGGGGGACUAUAUAAGAAUCAAAGGAGCUGUCACUACCACGAACUACCCUGCGAUCCCGCAUAUAGGGUACAAUCGUAGAUAAAUACGGUAUAGGCACCACGCCUACACAAUACUUAUCAUCUACCCACUAUACACAUGGAUAAACGCUAUACGAUCCUAAACAUGUAUAUAAUUCUAAUCUAACUAAGCCAAGCAUAUAACUAUGAUAAACUAAGAACAAUAUAAUUGCAAAUAUAAACAAGUAGAGCAAAGUCAUAAUCAAUAUAUUGAAGUAGAACAAAGUCAUAUCCAUAAUAUUGAAGAACAAUGAUGAACAAAUAAAGGACAGUAGAGGAAUUACCAAGAAUCCUCUUGACAGAUCUAGAAACCAAUCGAAGAUUGACUCCUUCUAGUUCUAAUCCUAUGUAGCUAUGCUAAACUAGAGAUCUAAUGAUGUGGUGGCUCUAGGGCUUGAUCAGAGGCUUCUUCUCUCGAGAUGGAUAAAUGAACUAGGGUUCAGAGGUCCUCUCCUCCAGGGGCCAGGGGGUCUGCUUAUAUAGUCCUUCCAAUUGAAUGUGGGCCGUCGGAUCAAACCGACAUUAAUCGCACGGUUUUCCUUAAUCCCUUAGGUCGUUGGAGCAUGAUCCGCGAGGCAGAGCCUGAUUGGCUCUCAGGUCAGGGCGGGCGCCCAAGGGAGGAGGGCGGGCGCCCUGCCCCCGGGUCCGCUCGGUCUCCCGCUCAUUCCCGUUGCUUCUGAACUCUUCUAGAUGUUAGAUAAUUGCGCCGCACGUUAAUAUCUCUAUGUAAACCCGACGUGUGGGCCUUUCCUCCAUAUUUCCUGAUAACCCCCUGCAGAAAUAGACAAACACCAAAACUCGUGGAAUUCUGUCAGAUAAAACACUAAGUCUAGGUGUCGGUUGCAUAUGGAUUCUUUUCUUUGUUUAUUUGUUGAUUAUAUUUGAUACUUAAGGACCGUCAACAAACUCCCCCAAGCAUACCUCUUGCUCGUCCCUGAGCAAGGAUAGACUCAGUGAUGGAUCAGAAGCUGCUGUAAUGCCUUUAAAAGUUGACGGUACACAUGCUUUCAAAUGAGGUCUCAUCUCUGAGUUAGAGUAAACUGUCAAGACUUAAAAUUUACUCAUUUUACCUUUUACCAUGGGACUUGUAACCGUCACUUCUGUCUUGAGGAGUUAAAAGAUAGAACGGUCUAGUCAAGCGCCAUGUAUCUUAUUCUUGAUCAGCUAUAGCUCUGGAGUUUUUGCAGAUUUUCAAAUAAAACUCAAAGAUUCCUUGUAUGACUCUCUCAGAUCUCUCUUUUGUGGUAUUUCUGGAUCCUUACCAAGGCAGUGAUGGUAUAUGCCUUCUCUCAAAGUAUGUAGUAUUUGUGGUAUGAAGCAUAGUAAACUUGCCUUCACUCUCACGCUACUUUAAUAAGACUUUUGAUAUCUGGAGCUCAUAGGUGGAAGAUAAAGUAUACAUACUUACAAGACAUUUAUUGCAUAGUCAAACCAUGGAUCCAGAGAAACAAGUCAAUAAGUCAAAUCAAGAUGUGCAUGUGUGGCGAAUGAAUGGUGUAUGGUGAUGAUGGUGAUAACAAUGGUGAAAGUCUAAUUCUACUUUUGCUCUUUUGAGGGGAUACAUACCUUUCUUGCUCUUUGAAACUUUUGAGGAGAAUGAGAUGCUCUACAUUUUCUUUUUCUUUCCUCUCAGGUGGGUACCUUGUACCCCUAAUUCUACUGUCGGACACUUGUCCAUUUUUACCUCUCGUCUUACUUUUUCUUUUCUUUCGAGGUUCCGGGCACUUGCCCCUUUUUAUUUCCUCGUAUCCUUUCUUUUUUUCUUUUUUUUAGAGCACUCAUCUCCUGAAAUAAUAUAGCAAGUGGUAGUAACCAAGAUAUCUUGAGCAUUUAUUUCAAAGGGAAAAACAGGAAUAGGAGAAUGUUUUUGGAUAUUCUCUCCCGGAUUAGGAGUAGAAUACUUUUGGGUGGUUCUAGAGAUGGAAAUGGGUGGAUAUAUGUGGACCGCAUGACAAGCUCCUAAGGGUCUACACAGCUUGACCACACUCAAUGCUCAUAAGUAGUAAAAAGUAAAUGUGUGGCUCAAAGUCUAGCAAGCAUGUAUAUAUGGUUGUGGUAGGAAUUUAAACUCUCAUCAUACAGGAACUCAUCAUGUGAUAUUUUAAAGAUUUUCAAAGAUAAAAUUCUCCAGAUUUCUAGCAUCUCUAUGAACAGAUAAACAGCAGCUCAACCUUCUCAUAUCAUAUCCGUUAACAACUUAGACUUUAGAUCAAGUUCUCUUCCCACAAGUUUAGGUUUAGAGCAAGAUUUAAAUUAUAACAGUUACGUCUAAACUAGAGAGAGAACUCAAAUUUGAAAAUUAGGCAAAGCAACUAUUCAUCAUAUCCAUGCUAGAGUUUUAUUAAGAUUUAGUUUAGCAUAGCCACUUAUUUAUUUAUUAAGCACACUAAGCAAAAUAUAUAUAUAAGCAAAAAAUCUUUAUUUGGUUUUUCAUGGUUAUGUAUAUUUUUUUAGUAUAGUAUAAGUAUAAAUAUAGACAGAAAUACUUAGCAGGAUAAAUCGGGGUGCUCUCCGCCAAGUUGGAUUUUGACGUAAUUUCUUCUGAUGUAGCUAGCAGGUGGUGGAGGUGUAUUUGAAAGUCGGCAGGACCCUGACAGCGAUUAGAUUGUCCUCCGUCUGCUAGUCUUCUUGAUUCUUGAAUUCUGUGGAGCUCAAAUAGACAACAAAGCUUUGUGGAACUGAUUAGGUGUUAGCAUAUAUAUCUCACCUUUAUCAUGUUGAGCCUCCUCAAUAAUUGCUACUUCCUUUGGUAGGAUCACAAUUUUAUUUUUAUAUUUUCAUUUUUUAUAGAAUAGAAGAAUAUUUUUAUUUUAUUAUUUUUUCUGCCACCACAGUGAAUGUACUUAUGGGUUUUAUGCCACUUGUAUACUCACAUGGGGCUUACUGGUUUUAACAUUUUUUUAUUUUUCUUUUUAAGAUGAUAUGAACCUAAUUAACUAAGUAAAAUAUUUUAAAUAAUUGAAUGGAAAAGGAUAACUACCAAGUUUACCUCUUGGCAAGGCGUUCGAUGUUUUUAAGUCCUCCGAACGGGACUCUCCGUUUUCUCAGUCGUCCUGGGAUUCGUUGGAUGGCAUAGUUGGUGGUUCCGGCGGCGCCUCCUCUCCAUGUAUAACUAUCUUCUCUCUCCACACCUGACUCGGUGCUAUGGUCUCCUUAGGAUAGUUCUGUUCAAGCUGUAUGUCUUCAGACCUUACCACUUCUUCGUAGUCUGCCCAUCCGUCCUUGAUGAUUUGCCUCCUAUGGUUGCGGUUGCGUCGUCUUCUUCUUGUACUGACCUGCUUAGAUUCUUCAACUAUAUAGUUAGGGUUAGUAAAAUAGCGGCAUACUUCUCAGAGGGAAAGUGCAUGUGGACUUCUCCGGUUCCAAUGUAGAUGAUUGCUUCAACGGUGCUGAGGAACGGUCUCCCAAGGAUGAUGGGUGGAUCGUACUCGUCUUCUCCUAUGUCAAUAACCUGAAAGUCUGUAUGGAAAAAAUGAUCAUCUAUUUUAACAGGGACAUCAGUUACUAUACCUUCCACCUUUUGAAAUGUCUGAUCUGCCAUCUGGAGCUGAAUGUAUAUCGGUUUUAGAGGCACGGUUCCGAACAGGAGCUGAUAGGUGACUGCAGCCAUUAUGUUGACACCUGAUCCAGUGUCGCAAAGUGUCUUGUAGAAGUUGUACCCAUUGAUGGAGCAAUGGAUGCUUGGCAUACCUGGGUCAUCCUUCUUGGUCAGGAAUGGUGACUUAAGUCGACGAUCUUGACCUCCUUGAACUGCAGUAACCAUCUUAGCUGACUCGUUCCACACUUGCUUGUUCCUGUUCCUCCUGUUGGUCCUCUUCCUUGGUUCUUGUUGGGAUUGCUCUGGGAUUUGUGUAGUCUUGUUCUUGAAGGAAAACGUCUCCUUCCUUCCUUUGAUGUAGGAACUGAUCUUGGCAGCACUAGCAUAGAUGACAGCUCCCGAGGUGUUUAGGAAUAGCCUCCCUAAGAUGACGGGUGCUCUCUCAUCAUUACCGGUCUCUAUCACCUUGAAGUCUGCUGGGGCGUACAAGGUACCAACUCGGACGUAGAGGUUCUUCAGUAUUCCCUUCGGAAAACUUAACGUCCGAUCUGCAAGCUGCAGACACAUGGUUGUUUCUAGUAAAGGAUAUGUAAAGAAUUUUUCAUAGAGUACCCUGGGCAUAAUGUUGACACUAGAGCUAAAGUCGCAGAGUGCUUCUAGGAAGUCCACCAUGUCGAUGGAGAUGGGGAUGACGGGGCGUCCUGGAUCGCCUCUCUUGACCGGCAGAAGGUUAGUAGUUACUUCUGCAGCGGGGUUACUCCAGUAGUUACCUGUAUCAAACAUGUCUACAAGAUUUGCAGAUUCUAAUCCUUCCGGUUGUGAUGGUAUACCGGGGUUAGUAGCAGGAAUAGCAGCAGCUAGUUGAUUUAACUGAGAUUUAAUUAUUUUAUUAAAGCUAAUUUGAUUCUUGAUGGUAGUAGAGAAAUUAUCCAUUCUAUUAUUUAUAUUUUCUAGCAUUUUAUCAUUAGAUGCCAAUUUCUUAGAUAGGUUAUCCAUUAGCUUUCCUUGAUUAGACACUAACUCUCUCACAGGUGGAAAAUUAUUAUUAUUAUUGUAAGAAUUGUUACCUUGAUAAUUACCUGAGUAGUUAGGCCUCUUUUGAUUCCAACCUUGAUUUUGUUGAGGACAGUUGUAGUAGUAGUUGUUGUUGUUAUUGUUGAUGUAGUUCACGUCCUCAAGCAUCUCAGAGCAGUGAUUGCCUGAGUGUCCAGUAUCUCCACACUCCUCACAAGUCAUAUGAGAGUCAUAGACGUACAUGACUUCCUUCUUAUCUCUAGCUUUAUCAUCGAGCUUCUUCAUGAGCAGGUCUAGCUUGGCAGACAGCAUGUCUACCUCCUUGAGCUGAUGCAUACCUCCACCUCUCUUGCGUGUCUGGGUCCUUUCUUCAUUCCAGCCUUGGUUGGACGCCAUCUUCUCCACAAGAGCUAUGGCUUGUGAUAUGGUGAGGGAUAAGAAUGCUCCUCUAGCUACAACAUCCAUGGUCUCUUGGGCACUAUUGCCGAGCCCAUGAUAAAACAUCUGCAUCAGUAGCCAACUCUCCAUUCCAUGAUGGGGACAUUCUAGGAUGUAGUCUUGGAAGCGCUCCCAUGCUUCUAGAACAGAUUCAUCAUGUUGUUGCUGAAAACAUGUUUCCCACGGAGAGCAUUGGUCUUGCUCAUGGGAAAGAACUUAGCCAGAAAGUUCGUGGAGCAGAGUGCCCACGUAGUAUUCUUCUCCUUUAUAGCGUAGAACCACUGCUUCGCUCUCUCCAACAGGAAGAAUGGGAAAAGGAGAAGUAGUAUAGCAUAUCUGGGGACUCCUGAUAUGUUGAAUGUGCUGCAAAUCUCCAGGAAGUAUUGGAGAUGAGCACUGGCAUCUUCGUGUGCCUUCCCACAGAACUGGUUGGAUUGCACCAUGUUGAUAAGUCCAGGCUUGAGCUCGAAGUUGUCGUCGAUCUCUGCAGCAGGUCCAGUGCGGAUGUUGUCCGUAGUGGGAGCUGAGAACUCACGGAUCGAUUUGUUCGCCAUGACUUCGAACUCUGAAGACAAGUUCCGGGUGAAACUUCGGUGAUCUUCUUGAUUGGAUGAGCUUCGUGCUGAAGUAUUGACGAUCUCUUCUUGAGCUUGUCUGUUGUUUUUCUGAAUAAUGCUUCGGGAUUGUCAACAAAAUUUCCUGGAAGAUGUCUUCUAUUCAUACAUUACCCUGCAUAAAAUAAAAUAGAAAAAUAUCGGGGUAAAACUGUAUGAGAGAAUUGAUAAUCUCAAUCAUAUUAGUGAUGCGAAUGAUGACUCAAAAUUCUAUGUUCAUUCCUUAUUUGUAAUCAACCUUCGCCGGCAAUGGCGCCAAAAAUGCUUGUUGGGCAUUCUUAUUGUCAUUACCAAAAGGAGACUUAGUUUUCUAAUUCUGAUAACGGCGCCAAAAAUGCCAAACCUAUCCCUCAUGCCACUUAAGCCAAGUUGUCAUCCCCAGCAUGACAUGAGAGACGCGGUAUUGAAAUAUGCAAUUGCUCUUCUGAAUGAAUAAUAAAUGAGAUCUGUAAGCGCACAGAUUAAUACCGAUGUAGCAUUUUAACCGGGAAGUAUUCUAGGUAUCGUUAUUUAUAUUUUUACCACUGGGAAGGGAUUGCCAAUCAUCAAUGUUGAUUAUGGAAUGGAAUAUAGAAUUGAGUAUCUAUAAUUGCAUAUGUAAUAGAGAGCAUUAUCUAUCUCUUUCAUAUAGGGAUAAAUGUCACAUAAAAUAUAAAUAAAGUAUGAAUGGUGACAAAGAUAAUUAAUCUGAUCAGCAUAACUAGCCACAUAUAAUAAUGAUAAGCACCUCAACAGAUAUUCUAGCAAGUCAUUAGCAUGGAAUUAGGAUGAACUACAAGAAUAUUUCCUAAGUUAUUCUUAACUAUAAAGUCUAGCAUAUCAUAGUUAGUGCAAUUAUACUUGGCAAUCAUUGCGAGACAGGACUACGCCCAUGCAUAGUGAUAUUAUCAAGGAAAAUGAGAAACAUAGCAAUCACUCCCCUGUAAUAAUGUUGUUCUGCCUGCCCUAUACACGAGAGGGGGACUAUAUAAGAAUCAAUGGAGCUGUCGCUACCACGAACAACCCCGCGAUCCGGCAUAUAGGGUACAAUCGCAGAUAAAUACGGUAUAGGCACCACGCCUACACAAUACUUAUCAUUUACCCACUGUACACAUGGAUAAACGCUAUACGAUCCUAAACAUGUAUAUAAUUCCAAUCUAACUAAGCCAAGCAUAUAACUAUGAUAAACUAAGAACAAUAUAAUUGCAAAUAUAAAUAAGUAGAGCAAAUUCAUAAUCAAUAUAUUGAAGUAGAACAAAGUCAUAUCCAUAAUAUUGAAGAAUAAUGAUGAACAAAUGAAGAACAGUAGAGGAAUUACCAAGAAUCCUCUUGACAGAUCCGGAAACCAAUCGAAGAUUGACUCCUUCUAGUUCUAAUCCUAUGUAGCUAUGCUAAACUAGAGAUCCAUUGAUGUGGUGGCUCUAGGGCUUGAUCAGAUGCUUCUUCUCCCAAGAUGGAUAAAUCAAUUACGGUUCAGAGGUCCUCUCCUCCAGGGGCCACGGGGUCUGCUUAUAUAGUCGUUCCAAAUGAAUGUGGGCCGUCGGAUCAAACCGACAUUAAUCGCAUGGUUUUCCUUAAUCCCUUAGGUCAGUGGAGCAUGAUCCGUGAGGCGGAGCCUGAUUGGCUCUCAGGCCAGGGCGGGCGCCCUGCCCUCGGGUUCGCUCGGUCUCCCGCUCGUUCCCGUGGCUUCUGGACUCUUCUAGAUUUUGGAUAAUUGCGUGGCACAUUAAUAUCUCUAUGUAAACCCGACGUGUGGGCCUUUCCUCCAUAUUUCCUGAUAACCCCCUGCAGAAAUAGACAAACACCAAAACUCGUGGAAUUCUGUCAGAUAAAACCCUAAGUCUAGGUGUCGGUUGCAUUUGGAUCCUUUUCUUUAUUUAUUUGUUGAUUAUAUUUGAUACUUAAGGAGCGUCAACAGCAGUAUUAACCAUGUCUUGCAAUUCACCAGUAUUGGGAUCAAGAGUAACCUGCCGAGGCAUCGGCAGAUCCUGCUUCUGGAUGAACUUCCCCGCUCCUGUUCACACUGAAGGAUUUCAGACAGAGCUGCCUAUAUUACUCCAUAGCCCUUUCCAUAGCCUGCUUCUGUUCUUCUAUGAGAUCAGCUUCUGUCACGCCAAUGACAUUGUCUACGUCGAGCUCAGAAGUAGCCAUGUCGAUCUUGUUGAUAGAUUGGUCCCACUAGGCAUGCCAAAAGAUGUGUUGAUGCAAAAGUAAAUCUGCAAACACAAAUGGCUAAUACUCGAUUUUGAUGUUGAGGCGUGCCAGCCGAUUUGACCUAGAAAUUGACAAAGGUGAUAACUCAAAUACUUUGGUCCUGACAACAGUUAUGUGCCCGGAUGUCACGGCCAAGAGGUAUUCACGCGGAACUCGAGAAAUUUGUCGAGUAUUGCUCAUUGAAUCACUGAGAACUCAAAAAUAGAAGAAAAAUAUGUAAGUUGACGAAGUCGUCGAAAGUAGAUGCAAAAUUAGAUGUAAAACUUGUGUAUGAUAUUGAUUGAUUGUUUUCUUACAUUGUAGCUAGGUCUAUAUUUAUACCCUAACCUAAAGAUUUACAACCAUAUACGGCUAGGAUUUAAUUCUUAAACAAAACAUGACUCUUACAUAAGGCAUACUUUAAUGAAUAUGGAAAACAACCAUCUAUCUAUUUUGGUGUCUGCUUCAAUUACGAUGAAACGUUUCAUCAGCUCUGCUUCAUCGGCAUAUCCUUGUUGCCUCCUUAGCAACUUCCACACCUUUCUUUAACGGCAUCGGUGAUCAUCGACAUCGGCGAUCAAUUGGCAAUGAUCAGUAACUGUCAUCUCAACCCUCAGGCUAGCGACAUCCUCCACCUGUCAUCCUGUCAUCGGCAUCAUCGGCUAUCGGCAAUCUUCUUAUCGGCUUGACACAGCAUUUUCAUGACUACUUCCUCUUGACCAUCCUGACUUAUGCCUAAAAAUUGUGUCAACAUGUUUAUUCCUAGCAUCACUCUCUUGAUCUUACUGUCUUAACUAAAUGAACUAAAAAUGAUUGCACAUCCAACACUUGGAAGAUGAUAGUAAUAAUCAUGUAAAAGAUCGAUACAAUAUGCAGAGAUAGACUUUUCUUCCAUAGUGAUCUAAUAUGCCAAAGAUUUUAAUAUGUCAAACCCAUGCUCAUUGUCACCCAUGUUAAGAAUGAACAAAGCACAUAGAUGUCAACUUUGACUUGCUCAAUACGCCUAAGGCUUGAGAUAAAUGAAUGCACUUUUGGUUCUGUUGGUGUUUUUCCACCAACAGAGCACAUGCACUUGAUCUCUGCCUUGUCUUUAUAAGCAGGAGACAUUUUGAUAAAACACAUGGAGGAGUUUGUCAAUUCUCAACUCAUAAAAGUGGAGUCCUUGCCUACGAAAAUGCACACUGAGCAAGAUGUUGGACGAACUAAGAACAUAGGUGACAUCACAUCAAGAGGUACGAUCAUCAAAUUCUCCACCCUUGGGACUAGAGGAUGCACCUAAGGAGCGAUCACGGUAAGAAGUCUUGUUCAGAGGACUUAAAACACUAAAUCCUCGCCAGGAGGUAAAAUUGGUAGUUAUCUUUUAUUUCCCUUUUCAAAUAUUGCUUGCAUUAGUUUGCUUUGCAUAACCACUUCCCUACAUUUGCAUAGCCAUGUUAACCUUAGCAUAUUUACUUCACUGCAUUAACGCCUACAUAAGAAAAUAAAAUAAAAAUAUUUACUUUGUUGCAUCAUAAUUCCUAAGCCCGAUGUGAAUAAUUUGUGGCAUGUGAAAACCUACAAGAGUAUUCACUGUGGUGGCACAAAAAAUAAAAAUAAAUAUGCAUUCAUCUUGUUACACAUUCUUUGCAUCAUAGAAAAUACAAAAAUACUGAAAAGAAUGAUCCUAGUGAAAACUCUACUUAGAAGAACAAAAAACAACAAUAUCAAAUGUCUUGGACAAUUGAGGCUUAAGUGGCCAACCACUAACGCUUAAUCUAUUCCACAAGUUUUGUUGUCUAUUUGAGUUUCACAGGAUUUGAAAUACCACAAGGAGCUGACAAACAAGUGGACGUUCUUUGCACUAUUGGAGCACUCUCUCAACAAGUCAUCAACACGAAUUAAUGCUCCACAAGAGGAAGAACAUCUGCACUGCCAGUCUACAACCUCAGAAGAACAAACGACUAUGUCAACAUCCAGCUUGGGGGAGCGCACCCCAUGUAUCUAGCUAAGUAUUCUCUUCCCUCAGUUUUACUUAGUCUUUGUGAGUUUUCUUAAUUAGUAAUAAUGAUGAUCUAAAAUAAUUAAAACAAAAUAAAAAGGAUGUGUUUAGUUUGCUUGAUAUUUGGUUUUAAAUAAGUUGAUAAUAAAAAGAAGAACUCUCUAAAUAAAACUCUUGCAUGGAAAUGAUGAAUAGUUGCUCUGCUAUAGUUCCUUUCAAGUACCUAGUUUUCAACCUUGAUCUCUUCCAAGUUUUAGACACAACUGUUUUGAUCUAAGAUUUACUCUAAACUUGAACUUGUGGGUAGCAAAUGCUUGAUUUAAGUCUAGAUAGUUGACAGGUAUGAUAUGGAAGGUCUGAUGCCAGUGUUUAUCUUGUUCUUAGAGAUUCUAGAGUUCUGGAGAUUUAUAUUUUGAAAACAUAAAAAUGCUGCAUGAUGAGAUCCUAUAUGACGAGAGCUUGAAUUCCUACCAUAGCAAUAUACAUGCUUGCUAGACUAGGAAAACUUCCACUUAUAUUUGCUGCUUGUGAGCAUUGAGUAGACUCGAGCUGUGUUGACCCUUAGAAACUUGUCAUGUGAUUAAAAUCAAGAUCACAUACACUCGACCCACACAUGCUGCUUCUACACUAAAAGUACACAUCCACAUCCAUUCCAUCUAAAUCCAUCCAAAAUUGUUCUACUCCUACACUAGGAGUGAACACCAAAAACAAAUUUUCCAUCCAUCAUCCCAUUCCCAUCCAAAUAAAGCUCCAAAUAUUCUUGUUACUACUUCCCAUCAAUAUAUCCAAAGAAGCAUGGGUGCUCAUUGAAAAAAAGAGAUAAAGAAAGAAAGAAUGAAUGAAAUAAAUAAAGAGGACAAAUGUCCCAAUAAAAAAAGAGAGAGUGAAAGAUUGUGAGCAACCCAAGUUCUCCCAAUGUCUUCAGACUCAAAAGAGAGGUAUGUAUCUUCAAGGAGCAAAAGUAGAAUUAGGCUUUCAUGAUUACCAUCAUAUUCAUGACAUCAUAACCAUUUACACCUACCAUUUCCACCAUCCACUAUAUCCCAUGUCUUCCACACACAUGCACAUCUUGAUUUGAUUGUAUGACUUGUUCCUCUGGAUCCUUUCUUUGACCUUAUAAUGCAUGGUUGCAAGUAUGUAUGAGUUGUCUCCCCACCUAUGAGCUCCACAUAAGCCUAUUAGUUGUAGGGUGAGAGAGAGAGGGCACAAUGCUACUAUGCCUAAUGCAAAAAAAUACCACAUAUCUGGAGAGAUGAGAGAAGACAUACAUCAUUAAUACCUUGGUAAGGAUCCAUAAAUACCAUAAAUGAGAGACUUGAGAGGGUCAUACACAGGAAUCUCUAAGUUUUAUUUGAAAAUCAAUAAAAACUCUAGAAUGAAGGUUGAUUGAUGAGCUAGAGAUAUAAUGCUUGACUUAACCGUUCUAUCUUUCAACUGCUCAUGACCCAAGUGACGGCUAUAAGCCUCAUGGUGGAAGGUAAGACGAGUAAGUUUGAAGUCAGAAUAGUACACUCUAAUCCUAAGGAGAAUUCUUGUUUGAACUCAUGUGUACUUUUGAGGUGUGAAAGCAUUGCAACAACUCUUGAUCCAUCAUUGAGUUUAUCUUUUGCUCAGGGAUGAGCAAAGGGUAAGCUUUGGGAAGCUUGUUGAGGGUAGAUAAGUAUCAUGUUUAUAUCAACAUGAUAAUGGAGAAAGGUCUUAAAAGCAAUGACCAACAUAGAUAUAGGGCAUACACUAACAGAAUUCCACCAGUUUUGGUGAAUGUCUAUUCUGUAGGGGGUGAUCACGAAAUAACCAAAGGAGGCCCACAUGUCAUGUUUACAUAGAGAGAAACGAGCCAACACGUAGACAAGUAUGAUCUCGAAGGUUUGGCAAGCCACCAGAACAAAAGAGAAGGCGAGCGGAGCCCGGGCCGAAGCCAGCAAGCAGGGUGCCCACCCUCUCCCUUCAACCAAUCAAGAGCAAAUUCACGGAUCAUGGAUAAACUGACUUUGAGGCUUAAUCUUCUCCGUUAAUGAUGGUCGGUUUGAUUCGAGGGCUACGAUUCAUCCCACCUCCCUAGACGGUCCUACCCCCUGGAGGAGGGUAAGCCCUAAAACCCUAAUUCAUUAUUUCGAGUUGGAAUCAGAGCCAAGCAUUCAAGAUUAGAUUAGCCAUGUAGUCUCUUGAGAGAUUAGGGUUAGUCUUGUAGAAUUAGAGAGAGAUAGAGUGGAUGGAAGAGUUAUGGAGGAAGCUCCGGCCUGUCGGUGUUUCAUUCCUCGGCUUAUACCUACGGGAUCAAUCUCCUUCAUGGGGUUUGCUUCUAAGAUUCUUCGGUGCAUCAACUUCUAAUACUAGUAAGUCCAUGGUUAUUUUUGUUCUUUGGUUUGUGACUCUUAGAGUACUUCAAUUCUUGGUUAUUCUUGGAUUGGAGUUGCAUGUCAUGUGUAGACAUGGUGUUUAGACACAAUCGCACGUAGAUAUCCUCCUACUGGCCGGGCAAGGAUAGUUCAUGGGGAGUGAUCCAAUCGUCCCAAUGAAUUUAUAGCUUCCUAUCAUGCUAGUUAGGACUAGGAGGAUGUAAGAGCUAGUUUAGAGUACUCUUUGCAAGUACUUUAGCCUAGUUCAUCCCCUCUAGAACACUAUUAGCAUAAAUUACCAUAGGUUAGAACUAGAACCCUUAGAUAUCUUCUCUAUAUCCCUUUAGUUCCCUUGUUUGAUACUUAGGGGUUAAGUUUAGCCUUAGUUAGUCAUCGCACACUUUCUCCUUGUGGAUAAACAAAUACGAUACUCGAGAUAUCUUUCCCGGAUGAAGUGCUACUUCGGUAUAUCCGUGCGCUUGCAGAUUGUUUCUUUGAUUCUUCUGUAGUGCGUAAUAAAUACCAACAGCCACCCGGUAACGGUAGUCUCAUCCUUUCUACUGGGUGAAAUCAUCCAAAACCAAGAAGCCAUUGGGAGGAUAGCCAAGUGGUCAGUCGAGCUCAUGGGCAAAACUCUCACAUAUGCCCCACGCAAAGCCAUCAAGUCCCAGGUGCUGGCGGAUUUCAUUGCGGAAUGGACCGACACCUAGCUUCCACCAGCACAAGUCCAAGCAGAGCUCUGGACCAUGUACUUUGAUGGGUCGCUCAUGAAGACGAGAGCGAGCGUCGGCCUCUCCUCGCCUUGCCCCUCGGCAUCCUCAUGCGGUACGUCAUUUGUAUUCAUUUUGUAGCCUCAAAGAAUGUUGCAGAAUAUGAAGCCCUUGUCAACGGGCUGAGGAUCACCAUCAGGAUCCGGCGAUCUGGCGCUUCGACAUUCGGUGGGAUUCACAGCUCGUCAUCGACCAAGUCAUGAAAGCCUCGAGCUACCACGAACCCAAAAUGGAGGCAUACUGCAAGGAAGUACGCAAGCUGGAGGACAAGUUCCACGGUCUCGAGCUGAACCACAUCACUAGAUGAUACAAUGAAGCUGCAGAAGAGCUUGCCAAGAUAGCCUCCACUCAAGGCACCAUCCCACUACACAUGUUCUUGAGAGAUCUCCUCGAGCCAUCGCCAGCCGAUCUAGGCAUUGGGCCUGGUGCCACAACAGCAACGCUUGAGCCCACAGACAUGGUCGAGGUCCUCCUGGCGGUAGAAGAGGUCAUGAAAGUCAAGCAGUCGUCUCAUCGACCAAGCUAACCAUUUGAUUGGCAUGACCCCUUUCUCAACUGCUUGAUUAGAGGGGAUCUUCUAGAAAACCAGACAGAGGCUCACCGUAUCACUCGACGAGCCAAAACAUAAGUGAUCUACACUGACGAUAAAGAGUCGUACUGAUGAAGCCCGACAGGGAUCCUACAACAGUGCAUCCCCAUCGAGGAGGGCAGGAAGCUCCUCGAGGACUUGCACUCAAGGGCUUGCGGCCACCACGCGACACCCAAGACCCUUGUUGGAAACAACUUCCGACAAGGCUUCUACUAGCCAACCGUCAUUGCUGACGCCAUCUAACACCUCCGCUCGAGCCACGGUGCCAGUUCUACGAUAAGCAGACUCAUCUCCUAGCUCACGCUCUAUAAAUGAUCCCCAUCACCUAACCAUUCGCGGUCUAGGGCCUCGACCUCGUGAAGCCCCUCCAAAAGACAACUGGGGUUACACACACCUACUGGUAGCCGUCGACAAAUUUUCCACGUGGAUCGAGGCUCAACCCAUCACCAACAUCUGCUCUGAGCAAGUCAUCCUAUUCUUCACUGAUAUUAUCCAUCGAUUUGGGGUGCCCAACAUCAUCAUUACCGACAACGACACACAGUUCAUAGGCAAGUCGCCCACCCUCGAACUAACGGACAGGUCGAGCGUGCUAAUGGUAUGAUCUUGCAAGUUCUAAAGCCCAGAAUCUACAAUCGGUUGAAGAAGUUCGAUAAAAAAUGGAUCGAUGAGCUGCCCUCAGUCCUGUGGAGCUUGAGGAUGAUGCCCAGUCGAGCCACAAUAUUCACCCCAUUCUUCAUGGUCUAUGGGUCCGAAGCAAUUUUACCCAUAGAUCUCAAGUAUGGGUCCUCUCGACUCAAUGCAUACAACGAACAAUCAAACAAGACGGCCCAAGAAAACGCAGUCGACCAGCUCGAGGAAGCUCGAGACAUGGCCCUUCUCAACUUAGCAAGGUACCAAUAGAAGCUUCGACGCUAUCAUGACAAGCACAUACAUAAAAGGGAUCUACACAUUGGCGACCUCGUCCUACAUCGACGACAGAGCAAUUAGGGAUGCCACAAGCUGACACCACCCUAGGAUUGCCCAUACAUGGUGGUUGAAGUCUUAAAGCUAGGAACAUACAAGCUAGCAAACGACAAGGGUGCGGUCUUCACCAAUGCAUGGAACAUCGAAUAGCUAUGUAUCUUCUACCCCUAGAGCCUCGAAGCUCUAUACAUUCCAUGCAUUUUGUACCCCUGUCACUACUAGGUAUGUGUUCACCAAUAACGGUACCCUUUCGACAUUGAAUACAGCAAAAUUGUCACAUGAUUCCAUUUGUGAUGACUUUGUGACGAAUUGGAAUUUGUCAUGUGAAAGGAUCAAGAUGCCCAAGAGGGGGGUAAAUUGGGCUUCUCUAAAAAUUUAGGCAACCUAUAAGCUCCAAUUCAACCCCUUGUGCCUAGUGUGACUAGAGAGCUACCAGAUAUAAGUUUUGCAACCUAGUUCCAAUCCUAUUCUAGCAUGGCAAUUCUAGGAAUGUAAAAACUCAAAGUAAUUGCACAAAAUAAUUGCUAGAAAGUAAUGGAGUAGUGGAAGAAAAUGCUCAGCGAUGUUUUGCCGAGGUAUCGGAGAGUCGCCACUCCCCACUAGUCCUCAUUGGAGCACCCGCGCAAGGGUCUUGCUCCCCCUUGGUCCACGCAAGGACCAAGUGCUCUCUACGGGCUGAUUCUUCGACACUCCAUCACGGUGCAUCGCCCAAAACCACUCACAAGCUUGACACGAGCCACCCAUAAGAACUCUGGGCGGUCUUCGUGCCUCCAAUCACCACCGAACCAUCUAGGUGAUAGCGAUCACCAAGAGUAACAAGCAAAGAACUCUCACUUGACCCAAUCAAGGCACUAGAGAGUGGUGGAUGCACACUUGACUCUUGGAAAUCCACUAGAGAAGGAUUCUCACAAGAAAUCUCUCAAAUCUCAAUCAUCUCUUGGAUCUUGCUUCUCUCUUGCACCACAAGGUGAUUCUCAACUGAUCAAAUGGGCAAGAGACCUCCCAUGGACAAGGUGGAGGAGUAGAAAUACACAUCCAUCAAGUCCAAAUGUCGGCCAACCGUUUUAAACUGAAAACGGGGUCACCGGACGCUAGUUAUGCUGCACCGGACGCACUGCACUGAGCGUCCGGUGACCUCAUAACGGCUAACUGAACUCUCUUUGACAGAGCACCAAGGUGACACCGUCCGGUGUGAGGAUGAACUUUACAUCCUCCCUGAGUUUAGGACCGGACGCUACCCGGUGAGUCCGGUGCUAGCGUCCGGUGCCUAGGUCACCCUUUGGACCUCCAUGGGUUUAGGACCGGACGCUACCCGGUGAGUCUGGUGCUAGCGUCCGGUGCCUAACCCUAGGGACUCAGGCACUCUAACUGCUAAUGACCUCACCGGACGCACUCACAGAGCAUCUGAUGCCAACUUAGGCACCCAAACUUCGUCGAAACGCGACCGUUCCAAAACAAAGUUUGUUCCUCUUGAUCUAAGGACUAUCUCUGAGCUGCCUAGUGCUAGGUUUACCAAGUGUGCACUACACCUAAACCUAAAGCCUUGUCUAAGUUAAGCUACUAGAUCAAAGCCCCUCUUAAUAGUAUGGUCAAAGGAAAACAAAGUCCUAAACUAUUCUAAGUGCCCUUCUUCGCCAUAUGGCACUUAGACCUAGUCUAGUCUUGACGAUGUCCAUCCAUCCUUUGAAAACCGAAACGAUUUCCACUAUUAAGUCGGCAUGUACGUCCCUGUUCAUCGAGUACCUGUUGUUGACGGUUCUUAAGUAUCAAUUUUAAUUAUCAAAUAAACAAGAGAAAGGACCAAUAUGCAACCAUCACCUAGAAUUAGGGUUUGAUCUGACAGAAUUCCACGAGCUUUGUUGUUUAUCUAUUUCUGCAGGGGGUUAUCAGGAAAUAAGGAAGAAAGGCCCACAUGUCGGGAUUACAUAGAGAUAUCAACGCACCGCGCAAUUUUACAUCAUCUAAAAGACUCCAGAAGACACGAGACUGAAGCGGAGGCAAAACUGGGCCAGGCCCAGGGCGCCCGCCCUGGAAGCCUGGGCGCCCGCCCCCCUAUUGGAGCCAAUUCAGGACUCCUUCGCUCGGGAUAUUCCACCGACCUAUUGGAUCAAGAAAAACAUAGUACCACCUCGGCUAUCGACCCAAAAACGCAUAGAAGGGGAGGACUAUAUAAGCGAGGCCCCCCUGGCCCCUGGAAGACAUGAAGAAAUUAUCAUAGAGACUGAGGGGUGCCCUCGAAGGAAAACCUCUUCUCUAAUUAAUGUUUCUUUUUAGGCUUAGCAAUCAAUGUAAGGUAGAAAUAGAUCUUCUAGUUUCUACUAGAUUGAGAGAGAUAGAGUGGAGGUGUAGAGUGGAGGAAGCCCGGCCUGUCGGUGUCUACUCCAAGCUUGUACGUGUGGGAUCAAGUUCUCCUAACCCGAAGCUUGCUCCUAGGAUUCUUCAGUAAUUCGACUUCUAAAUUCUAGUAAGUUCUUGUUUUAUUGUUCUUAUGGUUUAUGAGUUUACUUUAAUCUCUUCGCGUAGAGUUUAGAGUAAUCAUUGCUGGCAUAAACGUGGUGUUUAGGCUGGGGUACUCAUAGAUAUUCCCUGACUAGCUGGACCGUGGUAGUAGUGAGGAACGUGACAUUUCCGAGCUACCUUUGUAGAUCACAUCUCGUUAGCAGGAAGGAUAGGGUUUAUAGGUGCGGGUUGAACAUCCUUUGUGGUGUCUAGAUUCCGUUAGCCUCCCCAUUAGAACAGUAGAUCAUCCUUACCAAGGUUAGAAGGAGACUACGGUUGCAGUCUUCUCUAUUUAUCACUCACAUCGAAAGACAUUCUUUGUGCCUAAAGGUUAGUAGUAAUAGACCGGUUAGUCAGAUGCACUCUUUCUCCUAGUGGUAAAAAAAUAAAUACGAUACUCUGGAUAAUUUCCCGGGUGAAGUGCUCACCGAUAUCCGUGCGCUUGCGGAUCAAUUCCUUAUUGCGUUCCCAAAUAUCAACAAGCAUUUCUGGCGCCGUUGCCGGGGAGAAAGACGGUUGCUGAGAUAACCUGUGUCUUGCUAUUAGCUUGUAUCUAUACUUUUAUCUUUUCUUAUCUUUUAUAUCCUUUAUUUAUUUUCUUUAUUCUUACCUUAUGGAAAACCAAAAUUCUAAAUCGAUCCAUGAGUCUGCAAUCCCUUUAGCAACUGACCUUUUGCCAUGGGAAUCAUCAGAGCCUAUCCAAACACCCCAGUAUAAGUUAAGUUCUAGGUUGAUUGCCAUGAUUCAAAACCUAUCUUUUUCGGGAAAGGAAGACGAAAACCCUUACCUUCAUAUUAGAGAUUUUGAGCAAACAUGUGAUUGUCUUCGCAUUGAAGGCAUUUCUGAUAAGACUUUACGUUGGAAGCUUUUUCCUUUUUCUCUAAGGGGAGAAGCUAGACAAUGGUACAGUCAGAAGGUAAGUCAACAACAAGGUGAAUGGGGAGUUUUACGAGCCAACUUUUGUCUAGAUUUCUAUUCCCUUGACCGUAUAGCCGACCUUAGACUCGAAGUACUAUCUUUUAAACAAAAAGAUAAUGAAACUUUGGGAAAAUCCUGGAAACGUUUUUCUGAUCUUUUAGAAUCUAUUCCAAACCUUAAUCUUGAAGACCCUGUUCUUUUAUUUCACUUUUUUCGAGGUCUUCAUAAAAAUCACAAACAAAUGCUUCACACAAUGUCUAGAGGUUCUUUCUUUCGCAUCCCUGCUGAUGAAGCAAGAGUGAUCCUAGAUAGAAUCCUAGAAGCUGAGAAGGAUAAUACCCUUCAUGAUGAAACCUACGAAGCCGAAGUAGACACUCUGCCAAAUUCUUCAUCUACUUUAGCUAUCCCAAGUUCUGAGCCACAAGAGGAAGAAAUUCCACUACCGGACUUCAUGCUGGAUAUAGAAUCCGAUCUUUUUGCCGAUUUUGGAAAUAUUUCAAACUACCAUUCUAUUGACAAACCCCAAAACGGUCAGUUUAGCAUUUAUUUACCAAGUGAAUAUCAAUUGAGAGAGCUUAUCUCAGUCAUGAGUAGCGAAUGGUUGGAGGAAUCAGAGCUUUCCUCUGAUGUGAUCCGUUUGGACACACCCUCUAUAACUAUACGCUGUGCUUAUAAUUCUGAUCGAUUUAAUGCUCUUUAUAAUCCUGUUGUGGGGAUCAACAUUAUGUCUGAAUCCUUUGCACUUAAACUAUUUAAAAAUCUUAUCUUAACCCCCACAACAAAGGUCAUAAAGGAAUCUUCGGGACGAUUAGUCCCCAGUCUUGGAAUUAUUAAUGUCCUACCUCUUACAGUAGAAGGCUCCAUGGUUCACUUGAACUUCUAUAUCUUUGAUACAUGGGACUUCGACCUGUUAAUAGGACAACCUUUAAGAAGACUCCUUUGUGAAGGUCAUACUGGAAAGCUACACAUUUCUUUUGGAAAAACUUUUCAAUUCCCAAUGAUAAUUUCACACUCCUUAAAUAAUAAGGCCGAGUCAUAUCUUUUGCCUGAUCCUAUGGAGGAAGUAAAGGCUGCAUCUCUAGAGCUUUUAGAUGAACCAGACUUAGAAGACGAAACUCCUUUCUUCACAGAAGAAGAAGACGAACCUUCUGAGCCUGAACCCUUAGAUGAGUUUGCAGAAACACCUAGACCCCCCAUAGAACUUAAAACUUUACCACCCGGUCUUACCUAUGCUUUCCUAAACAAUAAUCCAGAAUUCCCUGUGAUCAUUAGCGAUAAACUCACUCAGGAUCAGACUCUGCAAUUAAUGACCAUUCUUGAGAAACAUCACUCAGUUUUCGGCUACUCACUUCAAGAUCUUACAGGAAUCAGUCCUAUGAUUUGUACUCAUCGUAUUCCAACAGAUCCUUCUGUUACACCCUCUCGAGAACCCCAACGUAGACUUAACAAUACUAUGAGAGAGGUAGUUAAAAAGGAAGUUAUAAAGUUGCUGCAUGUAGGGAUUAUAUAUCCUGUGCCGCACAGUGAGUGGGUGAGCCCAGUACAAGUUGUGCCCAAAAAGGGAGGCAUGACAGUUAUUAUGAAUGAAAAGAACGAGCUAAUUCCGCAACGCACCGUCAUAGGAUGGCGGAUGUGCAUAGACUAUAGAAAAUUAAACAAAGCCACGAGAAAGGAUCACUUUCCUUUACCUUUCAUAGAUGAGAUGCUAGAGCGGUUAGCAAACCAUUCAUUCUUUUGUUUCUUAGAUGGAUAUUCAGGAUAUCACCAAAUCCCGAUCCAUCCUGAUGAUCAAAGCAAAACCACUUUUACAAGCCCGUAUGGAACUUAUGCUUAUCGUAGAAUGUCUUUUGGGUUAUGUAAUGCACCAGCUUCUUUUCAAAGAUGCAUGAUGUCUAUAUUUUCUGAUAUGAUUGAAGAGAUUAUGGAAGUUUUCAUGGAUGAUUUCUCUGUUUAUGGAAAAACUUUUGAUAGUUGUCUUGAAAACUUAGACAAGGUUUUGCAAAGAUGUGAAGAAAAGCACUUAAUCCUUAAUUGGGAAAAAUGUCAUUUUAUGGUUAGGGAAGGAAUAGUGCUAGGACACUUAGUGUCUGAAAGAGGUAUUGAGGUAGACAAAGCUAAAAUUGAAGUAAUUGAACAACUACCUCCACCUGUGAGCAUAAAAGGAAUUCGAAGCUUUCUUGGCCAUGCUGGUUUUUAUCGUAGAUUCAUAAAAGAUUUUUCAUUUAUUGCUAGACCACUUACUCUUUUGCUAGCCAAGGAUGCUCCUUUCGAAUUUGAUGAUGCAUGUCUAACAUCUUUCAAUUUAUUAAAGAAAGCACUCAUCUCUGCACCAAUCAUUCAACCCCCUGAUUGGUCGUUGCCUUUUGAAAUUAUGUGUGAUGCUAGUGAUUAUGCUGUAGGGGCAGUAUUAGGACAAACUAAAGAUAAGAAGCAUCAUGCAAUUGCUUAUGCCAGUAAAACUUUGACAGGAGCUCAGCUUAAUUAUGCAACCACUGAAAAAGAGCUUCUGGCUGUUGUCUUUGCCAUAGAUAAAUUUAGAUCUUAUUUAGUUGGAGCUAAAAUAAUUGUUUACACUGAUCAUGCUGCAUUAAAAUAUUUGCUCACUAAAAAAGAUGCUAAACCUCGCCUGAUUAGAUGGAUCUUAUUACUCCAAGAAUUUGACUUAGAAAUAAAAGAUAAAAAAGGAGUAGAAAAUUCUGUUGCUGAUCACUUGUCUAGAAUGUAUUUAAAGAGUCCACAGGAAACCCCCAUCAAUGAUUCACUUCGGGACGACAUGCUCUACGGGAUUAACAGGUCUGACCCCUGGUAUGCAGAUAUUGUUAAUUUUAUGGUUUCAGGGUAUGUACCACCAGGAGCAAACAAGAAGAAGCUUACUCAAGAAAGUCGUUCACAUAUAUGGGAUGAGCCAUACCUCUUCCGAGUAUGCUCUGACGGCUUACUCAGGAGAUGUGUGACCACUGAGGAAGGAUGGAAGAUCAUUGACAGAUGUCAUUCAUCACCAUAUGGAGGUCAUUAUGGAGCAUUCCGUACACAUUCAAAGAUCUGGCAGUGUGGAUUCUAUUGGCCUACAAUGUAUGAAGACACGAAGCAAUAUAUCAGGAGAUGUGGGCCAUGUCAAAGGCACGGAAACAUAAAUACAAGGGAUGCAAUGCCACUCACCAACAACCUUCAGAUUGAGCUCUUUGAUGUCUGGGGAAUAGACUACAUGGGUCCAUUUCCUCCAUCAAAGAAGUGCGAGUACAUCUUGGUGGCGGUUGACUAUGUCUCCAAGUGGGUAGAAGCAUUACCUUGCAAGCAUGCCGACAACGUCAGUUCAAAGAGGAUGUUUGAAGAAAUUAUAUUUCCAAGAUUUGGAGUUCCCAGAGUAGUGAUAAGUGAUGGAGGAGCGCACUUCAUCGACAAACGCUUCAAGCAAUAUCUAUCAAGACAUGGAAUCCGUCACAACGUCGCUACCCCCUAUCAUCCUCAGACAAGUGGCCAAGCAGAGACUUCCAACAAACAAAUCAAGAAUAUUCUUCAGAAGACAGUAAAUGAAAUGGGAACGGCGUGGAAAGACAAGUUACCCGAUGCACUCUGGGCAUACCGGACAGCAUACAAGACCCCAAUUGGAAUGUCUCCAUACCAAUUGGUGUACGGGAAGACUUGCCAUCUACCUGUUGAACUAGAGUUCAAAGCACACUGGGCCAUAAAGAGAUGGAAUAUGGACCUAGAUGUUGCUGGAGAUUAUAGAAGAAUGCAACUAUCAGAAUUGGAAGAAUGGCGAGAGAAGGCAUAUCACAAUUCAAAGAUCUACAAAGAAAGAGUCAAGAGGUGGCAUGACAAGAGAAUCAAGAAGAAGGAGUUCACACCCGGAGAUAAGGUAUUACUUUUUAAUUCCAGGGUAAAGCUUUUCGGGCAUGGUAAACUCCAGAGCAAAUGGGAAGGACCAUUCAAGGUAAUCAAUUCAUCAUCCCACGGAGCUAUCACACUUCAAAAUAGCAAAGGUACGUUAUUCAAGGUAAAUGGUCAACAUCUUAAAUUAUUUUUAGAGCCCAAUGAGGAAUUUGAAGAAAUAGACGUAGUCCAUUUUUACCUUCCCAUGGAGAAUUAGAGCCCGUCACUUUUGGUCUGAUGGUUUUGGGGCAUAUAUAUAUUUUUCUAAAUAAUUUCGCAUCUAGAAACGCGCUCGGAAAAGUGGGCCCACAGAGGAGCCAGAGAGAGGGCGGGCGCCCAGGUCAAGUGGGCGGGCGCCCUGCCCCUGUUCCCCCUCGGUCCCGACUUUCUCUGUUAUGGAAAAUGCACUUAUGGUAAUUCGAAUAAUCCCUCGGAUAGAAAGUUUCCCACGCAAGUCGACGGGAGCAACCCGAACAACCCAUAGAGGCAUCCUUUUGACCCCUAUAUAAACAGACCCCUGACCUCAGUUUUCAAACACCAAGCCACCAAGCUUUCUCUCCUUCAAUUAGAGCUUAAUUAGCUCUCCUUCAAUUAAAAUUUUAUUAGUUCCUUGCUACUCCAAUGGCCGACAAGUACCACGACGAUUGGAAAGUCGUCCCCUUCAACCUCAACAUGGAGCCAGUGGAAGACCCCGAUGCCCGUGCUCUCGUCCCGGCCAACACAGAACGUCAGCUAGAAGCCAUGCCAUUACGUCAACGCAGCUCCGCCCAAUCUUACCAUGCUCAACCAGUUCUCACCGCACCACCACAAACCCUACUUCUCAAAGGAUCAUCAUCAAAGACAAAGACCACUAUCAAGGUGCCAAUCGGCACAAGAGUCCUUCCACCUAGACCCAAUGAGAGGGUCGUUGGAGUCAAGACCAACCGAAGCGGUGAGAUCAGCAGUGUUCGCUACACUACGGAGGAGGAAAGGCCUUACUUUGAAGGGAUUAGAGCAUCCAAAGUCCGUUUCAUCCCUCCAAAGGCAGCCCCAAAGCACGCUCUCAAUGCUUUUGAGACACCUCCCAAGCGUCGCAAGACUAUAAUGGAUAUUGAUGAGGAAGUUCGCAGGCUAGAUAGAAUUAUCAUAGACCUCCAGUCCUCGAUUAAUUCCCUCACUAGGCAGCUCUCUAACCACAACACCAUUAUACUAGGCCUUAGGCAGGAUCUUGCCAGUGCCAACAAGAAGAUCAAGGAAUUAGAGCGCCGCUAAGUUAUCUAGAUUAGACAGAGGCAAUGCAUCUUAGUUAUCUAUCUUUAAAUUCGGUUUAAGUUUGCUAUUAUCAGUUUGUUAUUAUCAGUUUGUUAUCAGUUUGCUAUCAGUCUUUUUAAUAAAUGCCUCAAGAUCAAUAAAGAGUAUUACUAUUAUUAUUAUGUCUUGUGUGUCUCUACUUUAUUUUUGUGCAAGAAAGCAGAAAACAAGUAUGGGGGAGAUCCCUCGACAUGCCAACCACACUCCGACUACACCACUCCAUGAUUCAGGUACACACUCUGCACACUUUACUUCAUACAUACAUUUAUUUUGGAUUAUGCAGAUUACUGUUUCCGACAUGAUAAAAUAAAAAGAUUAAAAUAUUUCUAAUCAUGAUUAAUCUCAAUCUGUAAUAUUUCCUGAAAACUUGCAAUUAUUAUAAAAUCAUUUUAAAACCCUGUGUUACUUAAGUCAAGAUGGAAUAUGUGAUGGUAGAGUAUGAGUUUCUUAUUCUUGAUAUCAUUGUUGCUUGGAGAAUUUAUUUCAAAAUAUUCAAAUUUCUAGCUACCAUCCUCAGUGUUUUAUAUGCCUGAUAAGACUGAAAAUAUUAAUUAUGAUUAUAAAAGCUAUCUGCUCUGUAUUGAGUUUGUUCAAAAUGAGUUAGACCCUUGUUGAGAGAUUUAUCAUGCUCCCAAGAUCAAGACAUUAUUUCAGUAAGAUUCACUCUUCCGAAGUAUUAUUGCAUUAGAGGCAUGGGCUAUGCAAAAAUAGAAAUAUUUCGAGGAAAUAAAAAGGAGCAAGUGCUCGACAACCUCGCAGAAAAAAAAAAUGGACAAGUGUCCGGC
rnacentral:lncRNA from 1 species